rnacentral:lncRNA from 1 species
UUCUUUUUUUUUUUUUUUUUUUUUUUUUUUUUUUUUUUUUGUUUUUUUUUUUUGUUUUUUUUUUUUGUUUUUUUGUUUUUUUUUGUUUUGGUUUUUUUGUUUUUUGUUGUUUUUUUUUUUUUUUGUGUUGUUGUUUUUUGUGUUUUUUUGUUUUUUUUUGUGGUUUGGUUUUUUUAUUGUUUUUUUUUUUUUUNNNNNNNNNNNNNNNNNNNNNNNNNNNNNNNNNNNNNNNNNNNNNNNNNNNNNNNNNNNNNNNNNNNNNNNNNNNNNNNNNNNNNNNNNNNNNNNNNNNNNNNNNNNNNNNNNNNNNNNNNNNNNNNNNNNNNNNNNNNNNNNNNNNNNNNNNNNNNNNNNNNNNNNNNNNNNNNNNNNNNNNNNNNNNNNNNNNNNNNNNNNNNNNNNNNNNNNNNNNNNNNNNNNNNNNNNNNNNNNNNNNNNNNNNNNNNNNNNNNNNNNNNNNNNNNNNNNNNNNNNNNNNNNNNNNNNNNNNNNNNNNNNNNNNNNNNNNNNNNNNNNNNNNNNNNNNNNNNNNNNNNNNNNNNNNNNNNNNNNNNNNNNNNNNNNNNNNNNNNNNNNNNNNNNNNNNNNNNNNNNNNNNNNNNNNNNNNNNNNNNNNNNNNNNNNNNNNNNNNNNNNNNNNNNNNNNNNNNNNNNNNNNNNNNNNNNNNNNNNNNNNNNNNNNNNNNNNNNNNNNNNNNNNNNNNNNNNNNNNNNNNNNNNNNNNNNNNNNNNNNNNNNNNNNNNNNNNNNNNNNNNNNNNNNNNNNNNNNNNNNNNNNNNNNNNNNNNNNNNNNNNNNNNNNNNNNNNNNNNNNNNNNNNNNNNNNNNNNNNNNNNNNNNNNNNNNNNNNNNNNNNNNNNNNNNNNNNNNNNNNNNNNNNNNNNNNNNNNNNNNNNNNNNNNNNNNNNNNNNNNNNNNNNNNNNNNNNNNNNNNNNNNNNNNNNNNNNNNNNNNNNNNNNNNNNNNNNNNNNNNNNNNNNNNNNNNNNNNNNNNNNNNNNNNNNNNNNNNNNNNNNNNNNNNNNNNNNNNNNNNNNNNNNNNNNNNNNNNNNNNNNNNNNNNNNNNNNNNNNNNNNNNNNNNNNNNNNNNNNNNNNNNNNNNNNNNNNNNNNNNNNNNNNNNNNNNNNNNNNNNNNNNNNNNNNNNNNNNNNNNNNNNNNNNNNNNNNNNNNNNNNNNNNNNNNNNNNNNNNNNNNNNNNNNNNNNNNNNNNNNNNNNNNNNNNNNNNNNNNNNNNNNNNNNNNNNNNNNNNNNNNNNNNNNNNNNNNNNNNNNNNNNNNNNNNNNNNNNNNNNNNNNNNNNNNNNNNNNNNNNNNNNNNNNNNNNNNNNNNNNNNNNNNNNNNNNNNNNNNNNNNNNNNNNNNNNNNNNNNNNNNNNNNNNNNNNNNNNNNNNNNNNNNNNNNNNNNNNNNNNNNNNNNNNNNNNNNNNNNNNNNNNNNNNNNNNNNNNNNNNNNNNNNNNNNNNNNNNNNNNNNNNNNNNNNNNNNNNNNNNNNNNNNNNNNNNNNNNNNNNNNNNNNNNNNNNNNNNNNNNNNNNNNNNNNNNNNNNNNNNNNNNNNNNNNNNNNNNNNNNNNNNNNNNNNNNNNNNNNNNNNNNNNNNNNNNNNNNNNNNNNNNNNNNNNNNNNNNNNNNNNNNNNNNNNNNNNNNNNNNNNNNNNNNNNNNNNNNNNNNNNNNNNNNNNNNNNNNNNNNNNNNNNNNNNNNNNNNNNNNNNNNNNNNNNNNNNNNNNNNNNNNNNNNNNNNNNNNNNNNNNNNNNNNNNNNNNNNNNNNNNNNNNNNNNNNNNNNNNNNNNNNNNNNNNNNNNNNNNNNNNNNNNNNNNNNNNNNNNNNNNNNNNNNNNNNNNNNNNNNNNNNNNNNNNNNNNNNNNNNNNNNNNNNNNNNNNNNNNNNNNNNNNNNNNNNNNNNNNNNNNNNNNNNNNNNNNNNNNNNNNNNNNNNNNNNNNNNNNNNNNNNNNNNNNNNNNNNNNNNNNNNNNNNNNNNNNNNNNNNNNNNNNNNNNNNNNNNNNNNNNNNNNNNNNNNNNNNNNNNNNNNNNNNNNNNNNNNNNNNNNNNNNNNNNNNNNNNNNNNNNNNNNNNNNNNNNNNNNNNNNNNNNNNNNNNNNNNNNNNNNNUUUCACGGCCCAUACAAGAGCACAGUGCCCAAGUCGAAAAUUGAUACUCAUUCUCUUCUUCCAAUGCAUCUAUGGUAACAAGUACUUUGCUCCUGUCUAUCUAGCUAAUUGUACACGAAUAUGCUCCUACUCUAAUCAUAUAUAAGGUCUAGAAGCAUUCUUGAUCGAGUUAAGGUAAUAUCUAUCUUAUCAUAUCCUUCGAAGCUUUUUAACUACUUCCUCUAGGGAAGCUAUUAUGUUGAACAUGUUCGCAGGUUAUAAUGAAAGCAUUUAGCUCAAAGAAGAGAAAGUCAAGUAGGUCAGGCGAACUUCAAGACUGAAACCGCAAGCUCUUGGUGUGGGGGGGGGGGGGGGGCAGGGCAAAGAUACAGUAAGGCUGUCAAGUAUCAGGCUCAGAUCAUCUGGAGAAUACUCAAAGGAACUCUCGAGUUGGUUGAUAAGGGCAAUUCUAUUCUCCAGCACCUGUUAAAAAUCGAUAUGAAGUUAGCAUGCUGCAAUUGACUUCAUUGCACGAAUGUCAUAUUAAGCCGCUUACUAACAUGUAAUCGCUGUUUCAGAAGAAAAAUGCAAUGUCUGAACUCUGAAAGCAAAUGGAAAUGAACAGAACAAUUAAUUGCUAACUAGCAUCACAACAACCAGACAUGAGACCUCCAAUACAAAUGGGGAGCUUACCAAUGAGCUCGGCAAACACUACUCCCAUCCACCCACACAAAACGCGUCUGCUAGUGUCUAUUGAUUGGCAAUCAAAUUAAUUCCAAGUUUCACGAGCGCGUACCCAAUCAGUGCACCGCUGCGAAUUCAUGGCGGCCUGGACCAAAUCAAACCCUAGGGGGAGGGGAACGGGCGAAGCGGAACCGCGAAACCGGCGCCUCGACGAGAAGCGAGGGAGAUGAUGGCGUACCUCGGAGGAUUUAACCGCCCCUAGGAGGGACUCCAGGUCGCCACACCUCCCCUCCGGCACGCCGCCGUCGACCUCCAUUGCUUGCUCGGUUGCUCCCUCGCUCGGCGCGUGGCUGGUUUUGCCGUUUCCCGCCUCUUCCGUUAGGCGCCCGCGCUCCCACUAAUUGGACUGAGGAAGUAUUUCUCGGGUAGGUGGAGGGUACGCUAAUUAAAAGAAUUAAAUAUAAAUUAAUUGUGAAAUUAAUUGAACGUGACUAACGAGAAGAAUCUAUUAAAUCUAAUUAAUUCAUCAUUAGCUCAUGUACUGUACCACUGCACUAUCAAAUAAUGAACUAAUUAAAUUUAAUAAAUUUAUCUUGUAAUUAAUCUUCAUCUGUGCAAUUAUAUCUCGUAAAUUAAUCAAAAUAUUUAAUGUGAUAGGAAUUAAAGGUGGAACUAAAUAUUCAAUGUAACUUUAGAUGGCUCGGCUAUUUACUUCAACAAAAGUUUGGGCUUAGCAGCGUUGCGGUGGCGCGGGCGGCGGACGUCGGCUAAUGGGCCUUACAAUCUAUUAGUCCGUUCGGCCCAGUCCUAAAGAAGUCUUCAGCUUUGAACGUCUCGUGCUCAAAGCUCAACGACUCAACGUCCUGCUUGGUGGCCAGCAAGUUGCUAGCAGAAAUAUGCAUUAUGCAAUGGUGAUAGCACUCUACGAGAUCGACGCUUUGUUUACGAAAGCCAUUGUCAGAAAGCUAUGCGAACUUUGUGGAGAGGAGGAACGUGUGUAGGCCUAGCUACACAUACAAAUGUACGCUCUCCUAAUUAGCCACUGUGAAUUAGCAUUGUUAUAGCAGUAUACUAUACAACUAUAGGAUCCCUAUAGUAGCAGUACUAUUAACAUAUUUGUUAUUUGCUAAGGCCUUGUUUACUUUCCAAUUUGGGAGUGGCAAAAUUGGUACUUUGCCAUAAAUGCGCAACUGUAGCGUUUCGUUUGUAUUUGUGAAUUAUUGUCCAAAUAUUGACUAAUUAGGCUCAAAAGAUUCAUCUCGCAAAGUACAACAAAACUGUGCAAUUAGUUUUUAAUUUCGUCUACAUUUAGUACUCCAUGCAUGUACCGCAAGUUUGAUGUGAUGGGGAAUCUUCUUUUUGCAUAGUGUCAAAGUUGGGAGUUGGGAGGAAACUAAACAUGGCCUAAGCUUUUCUUCAACUUUUGUAACAGUAUUUUUUACGUCCAAGUGUACAGCAGCACAUGGCAAGGGCUGCCAUGUAUAGUAAACUUUAAGAGCCUGCAAGUAGAUCUCUGCUCAUGACAUGGUCGGCGCCAUUGACGAUCAAUUAUCAAACGAAUUACCCAAACAAUCGGACGGUUAAUAAUCCUUAAAUAAUGUUGAAAGCUGACUGCAUUUGUACAGCGGGCCUCUGCAGUCUGCACAAGGAAAGCUGACUGAUCUGCAUCGGUAUUCCCGUUGAAUUCCAGAAACUUCAGAGCACGGGUGUAGGCCAUUCAUAGGGUGUGUAGUUCGCCACUCGUCUGCAUUUGUACAGACCGCAUCCUUCGUCUUCCUCAGUUCCUCAUCUCAAAUUGAUCAUCUUGUCCAGAGUCCGUUGCUACAGUAUACCGUGCAUGAUUCUAGCUACACUUUCAGCAUGCAACUAAGCGUGGCUAACUCCAUCAUACAACUGGAGAGAGACAUCUCAAUUCGCAUCCUGUGAUCUUGCCUGAGCCUUCUUCCUUUUCGAAUUGGUCAUACCAUGCUUGAAAUGCACUUCAUCAGCACAAGUUGUUUCUCUUUGCCCUUUCCCCGGAUUGAACUUACGCCAUAGCCUUUUCUGAUGCUGACAAUGCUGUUCGUGCUUCUUGAUUCGGCAGCUGUCCAAAUCUGCAGCGAAAGGCGGUGGUGCUCGGUCGCGCCGGGCAGUCGGCGGAGCGAAGGGAGUGGACAAGGCCGCGGCGAACGCGCUGCCGCCUCUGCGGCUCCUCGCCACCCUCGCCGUGAUAGUUUGGACCCUGUUCCUCUACUUGCAAUUCUCCGUGCUCAGCGCCGCGGUGGAGGUGGUGGAGGUGAGCCAUGGUGCUGACAGCGCCGACCCGUGCCGGGGCCGGUACGUCUACGUGCACGACCUGCCGCCGCGCUUCAACGCCGACAUCAUCCGCGACUGCCGCAAGACCGAGGACCACUGGGGCGACAUGUGCGGGUUCAUCAGCAACGCCGGCCUCGGCCGGCCGCUCGCCGACCGCGCCGACGGCGUCAUCACCGGCGAGGCCGGGUGGUACGGCACGCACCAGUUCCCGCUCGACUUCAUCUUCCACAACCGGAUGAAGCAGUACGAGUGCCUCACCAACCACUCCGCCGUGGCCAGCGCCGUGGUCGUCCCGUUAUACGCCGGCUUCGACCUCGCCCGCUACCACUGGGGCUACGACAACGCCACCAGGGACGCCGCGUCCGUGGACCUGGCGGAGUGGCUCAUGGCGCGUCCCCAGUGGCGGCGCAUGGGUGGGCGCGACCACUUCCUCGUCGCCGGCCGGACGGGCUGGGACUUCCGGAGGAGCAACAACGUCGACCCGGACUGGGGCAACGACCUCCUCGCCAUGCCGGCCGGCCGGAACAUGUCGGUGCUCGUGCUCGAGUCCACGUUCCUGCACAGCAGCGACUACUCCGUGCCGUACCCGACCUACUUCCACCCCAGGUCCGACGCCGACGUGCUCCGGUGGCAGGACAGGGUGCGCGGCCAGCGGCGGGAGUGGCUCAUGGCGUUCGUCGGCGCGCCGCGGCCGGACGUUCGAAUGGACAUCCGGAUCCGGGAUCAGGUCAUCGCGCAGUGCAAGGCGUCCAGCGCGUGCGCCCUGCUGGCGUGCGCGCGCGCCCCCGGCAGCCCCCAGUGCCACGCCCCCGGCGACAUCAUGCGGCUUUUCCAGAAGGCAAGCUUCUGCCUGCAGCCGCCUAGGGACUCGUGCACGCGGCGGGUCGGCGUUCGACUCCAUGGUGGCCGGGUGCAUCCCGGUGUUCUUCCACACGGCGUCGGCGUACAGGCAGUACCGGUGGCACCUCCCAAGGACCACCUUCAACUACUCCGUGUACAUCCCNNNNNNNNNNNNNNNNNNNNNNNNNNNNNNNNNNNNNNNNNNNNNNNNNNNNNNNNNNNNNNNNNNNNNNNNNNNNNNNNNNNNNNNNNNNNNNNNNNNNUCAGCGCCAUAAGCUUUGACGCUGGUUGCACAUGUGGCCGUGACCUGGCAGCUCGGCGCUACAGGUCUCGGCGCCGAGCUCCCCAACCAACAAAACUAGCCGUUGCCACUUUCUGCGUAUCACCGACUCAUUCGGUGGUGCGCAAGGGUGGUCACCAUAUCAAUUGGUGGAUGCCACCUCAGCUAGUCGUUGGGCCAUCCACGCCCACUAACGUCUCGGCCCAAAUCACCUAGGUGGUGGUCAAGACAAGCCACCGAACUAGUAAGUGACUUGCCUGGACCCAAGUUCAUCAAUCCAAUAAGAGGUAGAAUUGAACCUCUCACGGGUACCGAAGAACCUUUCGCAUACAAUAGCUACUAAGUAUUUGAGGAUGAGAAAGUACUAACACCAGCAUCAGAUAUCUUUAUAUUUCUUAUACAUUGAAAGCUUGAAUUUAAACAUAAGGUAGCAAGGAAAUACAAUGUAUCAAUACGAGCAUGCCAUAAUUAUUUAAAGAGACUGAUCAAUGGCUAGACAAAUAGCAGCAUCUUUUAUUCUUCCUUAUGCUGACAAACUCGAACCCUUUCAGAUAGAAGGGCAUUUGAGUAAUAACAGGAUUACCUCAUGAAAAAGCUCCAUCUAACAUGCCAGCUUCAAGUUGUUACCUUUUCAUAAAACAUGCCCUAGUACAAACCUCUAGAGGAGGAUGAAAAGAAAGGGUAAAGAGUGGCCCUGAAAACUGAUGGUCUCAAUUGUCUCCCACUAUAUUUAGGAACUGUUCAGCUGAUGCAGGAGAUUAGGUGGUCUGCUCAGGUGGGCAAUCAAUGGCAACGGGCCGACAGCAACAAAAAUGCAGUUCAAUUUGACUGCACAUAACCAAACAAGAAAAAAAGGUGCUUUGUGCAAAAAUAUAAGAUUCAAAGUGAGGAAGAAUUGAAGCUUUUACAAACAUAUAGUUAUAUUUCAAACUAGCACAUGUUUCCCAGAAAAACAAUAACAUUGAUACAGAUAAGGAUUGCAGAAUCAAUCACUCGGUACUUUCUCAUCCUCAAAUACUUAAUAGCUAUUAGCAAGUUACCGACUGAUUCGGUGGCUUGUCUUGACCACCGACCACCGAAUCAGCCGGUGACUUGGGCCCAGGCGUCAGUGGGCGUUGAUGACCCAACGGCUAGCUAAGGUGACACCCACAGAUUGAUACGGUGACCACCCUUGCGCACCACCGAAUGAGUCGAUGAUAUUCCAGAAAGUGGCAACUGCUAGUUUCCUUGGUUGGGGAGCUGUGGCACCGAGCUCGGCGCGAAGAUCCCUGGCCUCGAGCUGCCAGGUCACAGCCAUGUGUGCAGCCCCGCAGACGUAGGCCUGCGACCUCAGCGUCAAAGCUUAUGGUGUCGAGACAUGUUAGCUUGGACGUCGAGAUCAGGGUUUAUUUUUUGAAAUCUUUCUUCCGGAAGCGUAUUUGCGAAAAACUUUAAAAAAAGGCCAAAAAAAAAAUAAAAAAGUCGCCACCGCUGCGAUGGCCGUCUAGCCGGAGCUGCCGCAGCCUCGCGGUCGGGCGUCACGCGUCGGACAGGAGCCGUCAACGCUGCGCAGGUGGGCGGAGCCGCAAAGCGCUGCUCGCCUCGCAGCUCGCACAGCGACACCGUUUCAGCGUGUGGUCAGGAACAUGAACGAGGGGUCCCACAAAUAUCCCAAUCCUAAAAUCAAAAUUCCCAAACAAGGGAUAAGGAUAGCAGGUCUGAUAACUCUCUGUCCCAAUCCCUAUCCCAAUCCUACCUCCGCAUGACCCAUCUCAUUUCCUUUUCCCAUUCCAACCUAACUUCCAAACGUCACCUCAAGACGUGCAAAUCCGGUUUUCCACUCUAAAGACGCAAUUCCGCUCUCAAGAAAUAUGUGCAAAUCCGAUUUGGAAAAUGAUCAUUCAACACUAACAUAAACUCCAUAACAAUUAUUACACCAGAAUGAACUGCAUAACAAAAUUCAUAAAAUAAAACGACGUACAAAUUCUGAUGACCAAACAGGUAACAGUCAAGUUGCUGACACAGUCCACAAAUCUCAUGGAUUCAAGUUCAAGCUGUCUCCGCAUUCCAGUUGACUUCGAUGUUUCCAGUUGACUGAUUAACUCAAAAUACCCAACAGGUGGUGACUCCCUCAAACCUGUAAAUAUGCGACCUCUGCUUCAACAUCACAAGUCCCUUGUGGUCUGUGGUUGGCUUCAGCACCAAUCCAGUAAACACAACGAACCUCUCGAUUACAGGUAUGCAGACUUGAUUGUUCUCAACGUUGACUACCCUUUCAAAAAACUUGGCAACGCAGAACUUGUUAGAGCCCAGAUAGACAAGGUGUGACUUGAGAGGAUCCCAACAACACGGCGGGUUCAGAUCUUCCCAAACCAUGUCCAGCGUUGGUGCACCCUGCGCAGGGGCAGUGAUAUCCGAUGAAGAGCAGAGUAGGUUGUCUUGAGAUGAGAAGCCAAGCCACACACCGUGUUCCGGGAAGAAGUCAGCACGGUCACGGAAGGGCAGCUCCCAGUCACCAGCCUUCCUCCACGAGCAGCUUGAUGUGUCAAAGGAGUAGGUGCCAAUGCCCGGUGUGGAUAUCAAGAUGUUGGAGCCACCGGCAACCGUGUAAGCCCCAAUAAUAAAUCUUCCUUUAUAGCCAGUCUCAAGCACGAAAGGUAGUGGCUGAAGGCAGUGCCAGGUGCUGUUUGGCUUGAACAAAACAUCAUUUGGAAGAUCAACAAUCAGUGCCUCGAAGCUGCGUUGGUUGCUUGGAACUGGCUCUCUGUCCAUAACAUAGAGGGCAUCACCGACGGCAAGGGAGACGGGAUCGCAGCACUUAUACUCAUUAGGAGAGGCGAUCUCAUGCAUGGUACGGCGCUCGACGUCAUACAUGUAGGAAACUCCGUCGAAGUCAACGGCAGCCAAAUAGCUCUUCUUCCGGCCAUGACCAAAGAAGCCGAAGAAUUCCAGCCUUCCUCUGUCCUGUGAAGGGGUGAACGAAAGGUGAGGGCGAGGAAGCGGAGUUUCCUCAAUUGUAAGAGCCUCAUUCACUCGAUUCACUUGAUUUCUUGCGAAGAACAAAUUUGAUGCGUUUAUACGGCGCAGAGGAUACGUUCCGUUCAAAUCGUCCACCAGAAGAUACAAGUACCGCCUCCACCUGUUCAUCUUCGACAAGUGGAUAUUCAAAUCUCUUCUAUGCCGCCUGUAGAAUUGAUACAUAGAAUCACUGAAUAUGAAUAUGAAAGCGUCUUAUCCAGGUCGAUUCUAAACAAUAACUAAUUUUGCCACCAACGCGCUGCACAGUACAUACAUAAAAAUAGGGCAACCCCGAUGGGUGGGGUGCGGUGGAGGUGGGACAGGCGGCGCCGUCCGCCAGGGUCGGCAGCGGGGAGCAGAGCACAGAGGUGGUGACGGGCAGCCGGCGGCUAGGUUAGGAGAGGAAUCUAGGGUUCUACCACGUGGUCCAUUAAAUAUUGCGGUCAAUCUUGACCGUGCGCCGAGCAGAAAAUGGGCUGGGCCGCGUUGCUCUCCAGCGGCUGCUGAUCAGAGCAGGCCGAUCAGCUAAAUCAGCCCAUCAUCGGACCCUUAGGUCAAGUCCAAUAAUGAAUGAUGACGCUCGGUUUUAUUCAGUAUGCCUUACUCACUCCUUUAGGAAAAAAAACGUAUGCUUAUCUACUAUUAAAAAAACCUUCUCAGAUCGGAGCCACUUACCCCUCACAUUGAACCCGCCUAUCAUGUGUUUGUGGGAGGGAAUAGGGUGGAGACCUAUAAAAUCUAUAUUAUAAAAAUCGAAAACAAUUGAAAACCUUUCUUAUCCGGAUCAGGACCACCUUACCCUCACACUAAACCCGCCUUUCAUGUAUUUGGGGAAGAGAAUAGGGUGAAGACCUAUAGAAACUGCAAGAUAGAAAAUGUUUCCGCCAAAAAUGUUAUCUUUUUCUCACCGAACACCGUCCUACUCACUGUUGUACCCACCGUGCCUAAGGGGGUGUUUGGCAGGGAGGGGUUAAAUUUUAGCCCCUGUCACAUCGGAUGUUUGGACACUAAUUAGGAGUAUUAAAUAUAGUCUAAUUACAAAACUAAUUGCACAACCCCUAGGCUAAAUCGCGAGACGAAUCUAUUAAGCCUAAUUAGUUCAUGAUUUGACAUGUGGUGCUACAGUAACCAUUCACUAAUGAUGGAUUAAUUAGGCUUAAUAGAUUCGUCUCGCGAUUUAGCCUAGGGGUUCUGCUAUUAGUUUUGUAAUUAGCUCAUAUUUAAUCCUCCUAAUUAGCAUCCGAACGUGUGAUGUGAUAGGGCUGUUUAGCCCCUAACGUCCAAACACCCCCUAAAUUUCUCCCCCGAACUGCCGGCCGCCGCUCCCUACCGCCAGACCUCCCCGCGGCGUUCCUCUCCCACCCGGUUUAUGAUGUCUCAGUGGUAGUGCCUACUCUUCAGAAUCAAAAGGUCACAAGUUUGACCCCUGCUCUUGACACUCUUGCCUUUUUAUUUUUCUCCCUUUUUAUCAGACUUGUGGGACCCUGCUAGAUUUUAUAACGAAUUGGAACACUUUAUUUCCGAACUCAUGCUUGCAUGGGAGAUCCCCUCUCGGUUUAUGUUGUUUUUGCGGACCUUAUUUUUCAACAAAUGCUUACAUAUGGGACCCUGGUUGGUUUAUGAUAUUUUUUGCGGAGUUUAUAUCGUCACAAAACCACCAUGUAACUGGGAGUGACGAUUUCUUUUGUCUACAGUGGCAACUUUUAUGACGUUAUGUAAUUUUAUCACUAAAUUUGCUCAGAUGUGAAACUUUAUGACGAUUUCAGUCAGAAAUGUCAUAGAUCUAUGACGAUAACAAAUGUACCAUAAAAGUUUCGUCACUAGUCGGCAUAUUUCUUGUAGUGAACAUGGUCGCACCAGUAGACCCGGGUUCGAUUCCUCGUGGGAGCAGAUUUACGGGGCUAGUUUGUUUAAAAAAAAAAUCCCCUCAUCGGCAUAGCCGGGGUUCGGGUUUUUUUUUAAGACCCCGAGGAGGUUACUUCUUCUUAAUGAAAAACUGUAAGCUCUUCACUCCAUCAGGUCUAGUUUUUUUUUCGAGCUGGUACACUAAACAAUGCACACAACAUGGUCAAGCAUCUCCUAUGCUCCUGCAUCGCAUUUGUUUGCUCAAAAGGGAUUUUCCUAUAUGAGUGGAAAUAGGCUGAGUCAAAUGUAGUAGACCGAGUAUUUUGUUUUGGAAAAAAAGUAUAUAUGAAGUCCCCACAUACAUAUAAAAUCUUGUGCUCAUAUAUAUGAAUAAGGAGAACCGGUGGUGGUAGGUAGAUCUCGAGAUAAGUUUGUAUAAGUUCGUACACGGAGGGUUUUUUAAACCAUAAACAUAUUAUCGAUUCAUUAUCUUUUACUGUACAAGUUUGUUGGAAACGUUUGCAAGCUAACGAACAAACUGCUGAGGUCGCUCCGAAUAAUCUAUGCUGCACCGGCAUGCAUUAUAGAAGGUAUCCGGCCCGCUAAUUGUGUCCUGAGGUAUUUGAAAAUUUGUCUCUUAUAGCGGUAUUCUAUCCGUAUAUGAAUUGUUUUCGAAACGGAACGUGUACAUGUAGAUCCUGCUUCCACGUGUCGUCCAUCACAGGGAAAUACUCUUCACGUUUUGAUAAUUGGAUGUCGAAAAUUGAUGCAAAAUAUAUUUUUUUCCAAUAAAAUACCCAGUACAUUUCUUGUGACCCGGCCUAUUCUAAGACACUACUCGUUCGGCCCACGGCCCUCCUUCCGGCCCCACCUUAAAACCUAGCCGCCGCAACCACCUCUCCCGUAGCCGCCUCCCGGCGCCCGGCGUCCGCACCCGGUCGCCAGCCUCCGAGCAGACCCCCGUCAACCUCGGCGACGCCACUUCAGUUCGUUUCUCCGGCGUCGCCACUUCGGGUCCCGUCCACUCUCCGGCGUCGCCUCCUCCAGAUCUGUUGUCUCCCCUCCACAUCUCCAAAUCCACGCCGGCGUCGAGAACAAAGACACUCGUGGGUGCCUUAUCUCUAUCUAUCUAUAACGUGCAAGGCUUAGGUGAUAAAAUUGGUAUUUGUUAAAAAACAACCUGGAUGCAACACUCAUAUAUUCAGAUUCAGUGAUUCUUUGUAUCCAUUGCACAGGCUUUUUGCAGAGAUUUGAGUCUCCACCGGUCGAAGAUGAACAAGUGGCGGCGUUACUUGUAUCUCGUGGUGGACAAUGUGAACGGAACCUACCCUCUGCGCCGUAUAGACGCAUCAACUUUGUUCUACCCAAGAGAUGGAUGGAAAAGACCUCCUAGAUUGCAGGAAACUCCGUUGCCUCACCCCCACCUCCAUUUCACCCCUUCACGUAUCAAGGACGGCAAGGGGGCCCUGGAAUUCUUCGGUUUUUUUGGCCGCGGUCAGAAGAAGAGCCUUUUGGCCGCUGUCGACUACAAGGGAUUUUCCCAGACCUACGAUGCCGAGGACCGCACCAUCCAUGUCAUCGUCUCGCCUAAUGAGCCAAAGCACCACAACCCUGUCUCCCUCGCUGUUGGUGAAGCUCUCUAUGUCAUGGAUAGGAAGCCGGUCCCAGGUAGCUGCUGUGGCUUUGAGGCCCUCACAUUUGACAUGCCGAAGGAAGUGAUGGGCAAGUUGGGCUGGGACUGGUACUGGCACUGCCUCAAGGCACCACCUUUCGUGCUUGAGCCUGGCUACAACAACACAAGCAUCCAGGGUUACACGGUGGUUGGUGGCUUCAACAUCUGGAUAUCCACAAGGGGCAUUGGCACCUACUCAUUUGACACAGAUAAUGGCUCGUGGAGUAAGGCUGGCGACUGGGAGCUGCCCUUCCAUGGUCGUGCUGACUUCUUCCCAGAGCAUGGCAUAUGGCUUGGCUUCUCAUCUCAGGGGAAUCUGCUCUACUCGUCAGACCUCGGAGUCUCUAUGCAGUGUAAACCGGAGUUGGACAUGAUUUGGAAAGAUCCGAACCCACUGGAGGAGUGGAUUCCUCUCAAGUCACACCUUGUGCAUCUGGGGUCUGACAAGUUCUGCGUCGCCAGGAUGUUUGAAAGAGUAGAUAUGACUAUUCGUGGCAGCAUACCUCAUGUUGAGAGGUUUGCCGUCUUCACUGGGUUGGUGCUGCAACCUAGCAGGGAUGGCAAGGAGCCUGAGAUGGUGAAUCACAUUUCUCGAAUAUACAGGUUUCAUGGAAUCACCACCUGUUGGGUUUUCUGAGUUGAAUCAGUCAAACUGGAAGCAUGGAGCCCCCAAAUAGUGCAAAUUGCUAGCUUCUGACCUGUGACAACACCAAUGAGGAUGACACCAAUCUGCAGAGAUGGCUGCUGCUACCAAUUCUUGCCAACAAGGAUGGCUGACGCCAAAUAGCACUUGUUGCUUGGUUUAUUCUGAUUCCAUCGCUUUUGUAAUUUGCACUGUCUUACAUCUAUGCACUUAAUAUUGGUGAAUUGUGUGUUCUGUGCUAGUUUCUGUAGUCAGUUAUUUCGUUUCUUGUAUUUAAUUUAAUUUUUGUUGGUCAUUUAGUUGCUGAUCAUUCAUGCCUUCAAAGUUAAUUCCUUCUGUUAUACGGAGUACUAUAGUAAUCUGAAUAUCUGAUUGUUAGUAGCAUAAAACAAUCGAUGUAAGAUCAGACACUUCAGCUGAAUUCUAGUGUUCUUGGUAACAAUCAAAUGUUUAUUAUCUCUCUCUUGCACACGCACACAGAGAGAUGAGACGAGGUGGAUCUCUGUCCUGUCUUCUGUGUUCUCAACUUGUGCCUGUGGUGCUCUACUGUUUUCACGUAAUUCACCACUAAACAAAUGCGUGCAUGGUAGAGGUGACCUGGACUAAAGUUAAAGACCGGAAUAUUUGCAAAGAUUUACAGAGUCCUUUUGUUCCAAGCCCUGUCAACGAGGUAGGCGAUCGUCCACUAAUACCAGGACCUGAAAUUUUCCGUGAGUCUUCACCGGUUGCACGGCUGCGCCUUGUUCAAGUCGCAGUCUGCAGGUGACUGCCAUAUUGCCAUGGACCGGGGGACGCUGUAGCCGUUCAAGAUCUGUAUGACACGCGGUCCGCCAUGAUUGGCUGCUCUCGCAUGUUGUGGACUGAAUGGAAGUUUAGUCUUUCAGGAGUUCAGAGCAUGCCCGGUUUCGUGAUGGAAAAGAUCAUCGAUGCGCCGCCCGCGCAUCAGAUCAGUUGAUCGACGACUAGCCCAGGAAAAUAUCUUCUCGUUUGCCACAUCAGCGAGAUAGUACGCGCGUCCCAAUCAUCGGUCGCAAAAUAUUCCCCACUCGAUCAUGGCUCGUUUUUUUUACGACGAACAACACGGGUAUAAGCAGAAAAAAUAUAAAAUUAUAUUGCCGAGAGGUCAUAAUCAGGCAAAAAAACAAAAAAAAAGAAGCAUAACCGACGGGUUGGAUUGAGACAUAAACACGCGCGUCGAGCUCAACUCAACUCAAACAACUCAGGCCGGUUGGAUUGGUAUAUCGACGCAAGCCGUACAACUCAUCGCACGAGACAACUCAAUCCGGUUGGAUUGGGACAUCAAUACGGAUCACAACAACAAACUCCGCCCGGUCGGAUUGGGAUAGCAAGCCUCCAAAGGUUGGGCAAAACAACACCCGACAGCGGUAGCAAUACCGAAGUCUUACCGCAGUACCCACCAACAUUCUCGCUCAUGUAGUCACCGAGGGUGUGUUUGGUUAGUUGUAUCAUUUGAUUCAUGUAUCAAAUGAUUCAAAAUAAUAAUGAUCCUUUUGUUUGGUUGGGUGAAUUGGACCAACUCAUCCAGGAUGAGGCCAUCCCACUUAAUACAUUAUUCUACUAAUUAGAGUGAACCAUAUGGUACAAGCAAAUUGAUUGAACCACCCCAUCCAGGAUCAUCCAUGCAUGCAUCAUGUGGUGCAUGCAACCAAACACACUCCGAACUUCCAGGCGUGACCCUAUGUCGACAGGGACCAGAAAAAGCAGACUGCACCGCACCGAGAAGGCCACCGCUAUGCGGGACCCUCCACUGUAGUGUCGCUGCACCAUCACACGCCACCUAACAGAGUGAUAACACCGAAUCCGGACUUCUCGCAGGUUGCCUCGAAGUCGCCACCACGAAAACACAAUACAUGGGGGAGCUCACCUCAUCCACCGUCGGACUCCACCUCGCUCUCGUCGCCUCGAAGAAACACCACACGCAGGGGCCUCGCCACGCCCGCCAUAGUACUCCACAUCACGGAUCCGUUUCUUUUGUCACCGUCGGUAUGGUGAGCAAUGUUGCCCCGUGCUCCAAAAUCUCCAUCAAACGGCCAAGCCACCGCCACAGGUCGACUUCACCUCGUUGCUUCGCCCGCGCACAUAACGUCCACCACUAUGUCAGCAAACCAAAGAAAUCGCUUGCGCCGUCUUCUGACGAUGUACCACACCGGAAAGCCCAACCAAGCUGAGUAACCCACCGCGGUCCGCUGCAAGCCUAGUCGUCCCAUGAUACCAUUGCCGCAAGCGUCGUCCUUCGAUGUAGUCACAUGCCGCACUGACCGUUGCCAAGCAACGCCAGCCGCCACGGUCCGCUGCAAGCAGCCAAACCCGACAACCAUGUGUCAACCCAUGGCCGCCACCAUAGCUGCGAACGCCUCCAUGUGGGCUCGACAACCCCCGUCCAGCUUGCCACGUGGUGGAAUUGCCGCCACCGACUGCGGCCACCCAUGACCAAUGGACCAGCAAUGCCAAAAAUUGAGAUAGAUCUAUAGAGACGACACCUCCAAGGAGGGCACGAAGCCAAAGGUGCCAUCAUCGCUCGUCUAGAAUCUGGAUAGGAUUUUAAAAAAUAACGUCCCAACAGGGAAAACGACACCCUAGGACGCUGUCGUCAUCUCCACUAGCAAAAGCGGCAGCGAGGGCUUUCGCCCGAUGCAUCCAACCGCUCGUUGCACGCUCACGACUCGACACUCCCGGACCAUAGCCACGGCUGCCCGUCCAGUGUGGCACCGCCGCCAUAGCUUCACCUCCGCUGUGCUUGCCGACCAGCUGCGCUCGCCACCACUCGACCUCUUCUCGUCGCACGCGGCCAUCACCACGCCGCCACAUCUUCACGCGCGUCGCCCCGCACGUAGCCUCCCUCGCCUGUCCGCCGGCCGGAGGCCUCGUCGCGACUCGCCGGGCCGGCCUCCUCCCGGCCACACCACCGCGCCGCUCACCGCAGCGGCCUCGUCGUGCGGCAUCUCCCAGUCAACGCACCUCGCGCCGCAUCGGGCCGCCGCCGCGCUUCCCGCCGGCUGCCGCAGCCCGACCACCUCGCGCCGCAUCAGCCCGCCGCCGUGCUUCAUUCCCAGGUAGCUGCUGUGGCUUUGAGGCCCUCACAUUUGACAUGCCUAAGGAAGUGAUGGGCAAGUUGGGCGGGGACUGGUACUGGCACUGCCUCAAGGCACCACCUUUCGUGCUUGAGCCUGGCUACAACAACACAAGCAUCCAGGGUUACACGGUGGUUGGUGGCUUCAACAUCUGGAUAUCCACAAGGGGCAUUGGCACCUACUCAUUUGACACAGAUAAUGGCUCGUGGAGUAAGGCUGGCGACUGGGAGCUGCCCUUCCAUGGUCGUGCUGACUUCUUCCCAGAGCAUGGCAUAUGGCUUGGCUUCUCAUCUCAGGGGAAUCUGCUCUACUCGUCAGACCUCGGAGUCUCUAUGCAGUGUAAACCGGAGUUGGACAUGAUUUGGAAAGAUCUGAGCCCACUGGAGGAGUGGAUUCCUCUCAAGUCACACCUUGUGCAUCUGGGGUCUGACAAGUUCUGCGUCGCCAGGAUGUUUGAAAGAGUAGAUAUGACUAUUCGUGGCAGCAUACCUCAUGUUGAGAGGUUUGCCGUCUUCACUGGGUUGGUGCUGCAACCUAGCAGGGAUGGCAAGGAGCCUGAGAUGGUGAAUCACAUUUCUCGAAUAUACAGGUUUCAUGACCACCUGUUGGGUUUUCUGAGUUGAAUCAGUCAAACUGGAAGCAUGGAGCCCCCAAAUAGUGCAAAUUGCUAGCUUCUGACCUGUGACAACACCAAUGAGGAUGACGCCAAUCUGCAGAGAUGGCUGCUGCUACCAAUUCUUGCCAACAAGGAUGGCUGACGCCAAAUAGCACUUGUUGCUUGGUUUAUCCUGAUUCCAUCGCUUUUGUAAUUUGCACUGUCUUACAUGUAUGCACUCAAUAUCGGUGAAUUGUGUGGUCUGUGCUAGUUUGUGCAGUCAGUUAUUUCGUUUCUCGUAUUUAAUUUAAUUUUUGUUGGUCAUUUAGUUGCUGAUCAUUCAUGCCUUCAAAGUUAUUUCCUUCUGUUAUACUACAGUAAUCUGAAUAUCUGAUUGUUAGUAGCAUAUUCGUUUCAGUUACUGUUUAGUGCUGCUUAUUCUACCUGGUUAUAGAUUGAUUGUUUAUUCAUUUAAUGAAAUUCAGUGCUAAGAGUUGACCCGUAAUCCUCGGUAAAUUUGGAUUAUAUAGACGUUUAUUUUUAGCAAUAGCUGUGCUUGCUGCAGUUUCAGCAAUUCACAUUUCGCACAUUUCUUUCGAUAUGGUAGUUUUCAGUAGUGUUUCAGUUGGCAUCUUUCUUGCCACUUGGCUACCUGCAACCCUUUCCCCUACUUUACAUUUAUCAAUGCCCCACUUCUCUACUAAGUGAUAGUCUCUUUAGUACAAAUUAAUUAUAUCUCUUCUUUUUUCUUCUUCUUUUAUUCCUUGUCUCUAAUGUCUCUAAUUUGCGCCUCUACCUAUGGAUGCUCUUAAGCGACGCGCAGCCUACUCUCUCGUUUUUCCAAUCAUUCUUUACCCCCUCUUCUGAUCCUUACUAUCUCCUUUUCUACUUUUCUUCCCUCCUCCCUCGUACCCAUUUAUCUCCAUUGUGCUCAAGUGCCCAACACCUUCCCCUUAUAAUUCUGCAUAGGGUCAGCCCUUUUUCCAUCCAUUUUGAGUCAAAGCGUGUUCAACGGUACACUAGUCAGUGCACAGAACAUGGUUGAGCAUCUCUCGUGCUCCUGCGUAACAUUUGUUUGCUCGAAAGGGAUUUCCUAGAUGAGUGGAAAUAGGCUUAGUCAAUGCAGUAGACUGAGUAUUUUGUUUUGGAAAAAAAAACAGUAUAUAUGAAGUCCCCACAUACGUAUAAAAUCGCGUGCUAUAUGAAUAAGGAGAAUUGGUAGGUAGAUCUUGAGAUAAGUUUGUAUAAGUUCAUACGCUGAGAGUUUUUUUUGGAACAAUAAACAUAUUAUCGAUUCAUUGUCCUUUAGUGUACAAGUUUGCCAAGUGGAAACAUCUGCAAGCUAAAAAUAUGCAGACGGCCUAUCUAUCUUGCAAUGUGCAGAUGAUACGAUCUUAUUCAUGAUCAAAGCUCACCUUUAUUCUCAUAUCUCGAUUAUUAUGUCCCCAAAAGGCUCUUAAAGCUCCAAACACAUAGCAUAAGUUGCCAAAUCUCUUGUACAUAGAAGCAAAAUACUCUGCCUUAGCACUCCUGCAGGUACACCAUUUUUCUUCUUUUGAAAUCGUCCACUGAAUAUAAGUUUCGUAUGGCUAUGUUUCACUUACAAAUGGAUGUUUGCAACAUUAACGAAGAAGUGUGGUUCUCUGUUUGGACCCUCCAUCACGCCUAUGUCUAGUUUUGAUUUUACUCCUGCAAAAAAGAUCCAUUAGUGAUCUCAGAUUUAGAGAUUAUAAAUCCAUCAAGUAAACAACCAGCAUAUUACAUGACCCAACCCUUAGUUCCACAAAUGUUAGAAAAAGAUGGACAGGGGAAUAGAGAAGUCGUAUAAUUUCUAUGUUUGACUGAUGCGAAUUUUUGUCUCUCUUAAUUUAAGAAUACUGCAAUAAGUAAUACAAGACACAUAAUACUGAAUCGCUAUGUUCUGUUUACAGCAUAUUCAUGUAUUUUAAUAGGUAAUAGGGAAAGAACUACAAUUGUUCAUCCAUUAACAUAAAAAGACUUAAAUAUCACUUCAAACACCAUAAAGAAAGAAAGUAAGGAAGAAACCUCUCACAAUUCGAUCAAUCGCGUCAUGAGGAUCAUUCGUCCUGGAUUAAAGAAAACAAUAACACCAAUUUAGUGAAAAUAGAGGCUAACAAAUAACCAUGUCAUGUGCAGAUUAAGCAGGAAAGGAAACAAACAUACCAGUCAAAUGUCCUUGCAAAAUCUGAGCCAGUUCCAAGUGGAAUAAGCUAUCAGUAUUAGUGUAUAAAACAAACAAUUUAGAACAUAAUUAUUGCUAUAGUUUAAGUAUCUAAAAGUUAAAAGGGCAUGGCAUAUGGGCACUCACACCAAGUGUCGUUGAAUGGUCAGGCCCUCCAUCAAGAGCACGCACUGGACUUCCUUUCCAAAACAAGUCAUUCACCAACUACAUAUUCAAAAUAAUAUCCCCAACUCUAUGACCAUAUGCACUCCCAAUUUCAAUAGUUGGAAAAUGUAAACUCGUUUUAGAGGUUGUACAAACAAUAUACACAAUUCCAACUAUAUUUAGCAUGGUUAUACAAACAAUCUACACACAUGAAUACCUCAUGAAGCGUACCAUCGCCGCCAACAGCGAUCACUGCAUCAGCCCCAUCCUUUAUAGCCUGCAGUAAGUACACUAUUACUAGUGCUUAGAAGAAAGACAGUCGCCAAGUGGACCUCAGUAUUUAACAAGGGGACACGCACACACCUCCCUUGUGACAUCUAUGGCGUGGGACGGGCCCGAAGUGAAGCACUCGCAAAUCUGAUCAACCAACACCAACAAACGAAAACAUUCUGUGAGACUGAGACCGCCUAAUCACCACCAGAUCUGAGACCAAACGCGGGUUUCAGUCGGCAAUUACAAAUCCCUGAAAGCUAUGGACGGCGGGCUUACGUUGCACUAGUCGGCGAGGCGGGUGCGGAGGUGUGGGAGCAGCUGCUUCCAUUGGCGCCUGCACCCCGGAGUACGCGCAACGAGAACGGCGUUCAGUGCGCAAAUUCGUUAGGGAACUGGCGGGGGCGGAGGGGGAGCGUACCGGAGGGGUUGACGACGAAAACGAAGGCGCCACGCCGGCGGUGGGAGGCGGCGACACGGUCGGAGGUGAGACCGCCGGCUCUGGGCUGGGAGUGGGAGUGCGAGGAGGCACGCGGGAGGAUCAGCGAAGCCCUCGGUGUCGCCGGCGCGGCCAUGGCGCCGCUUGCCGCUUAUCCCCCGCCUUGGCUUUAGAGAAGGAAACACACUGCCGUGUGACGUGAAAGGCGCCGCCGGCUGCCCAAGUACGCCGUGUGAAGGAUGAAGCCGACUUCCUUAAUCACGUGUCCCCUGUGGUUCAAUUCUGGCCUGCUGAUUCGUGUGCAGUCACCACUCACCAGUCAGUUGUCUAUUCAGAUGAUCAUCAGUCCGGCACGCCUCAUCAGUUUUUCGGUGUUUUCGUAACGAAAAUUUCUCGCACGAAUUCGAAUUGCAGCAAUGCAUUGGCCUAGGAGAUAGACUUUCUGAACUUGAAUGGCAGAUUAGUUUUCUUUUGAUGCGUUUUACAGUUCAUUCUCUGAAUGUAGAGGGGUGGCAGAUUGAUGUGCAUGGCCAGGCAACAAGACGCUAAUGCGACGUGCAAAACAAUUUGCAAGCAAAGAAGUACCAUGCAUAGCACAAUCACGUCCAGUUUAUAUUUCCACGGUUUGUAGACUAAGGCCCAGCAAGAACAGCUAGAGAUACAUCAAAUGUACUGCUAAGUGCGAACAUAUAGAUUAGCAGCACUGCACCUAAUAACAAAAUUUUGCAAAAUUCAACCUCCGCAUCUGCGAAAGGGUUUGAUUCCUUAACUAUACUACAGAGCUCAAUGUGCUCCCUACUUCUGUUACAAAUCUCAAGCAACAACAAAUCCGAGCACCGGACACCUCAACCCUGCACUGCUGCCCCAAGACUCCGUUAUCUGCUUCACUUUCAAGACACAAGAUGUACUUUCUUGCCAUCCACGUUGAAUUUCCUGCUCCCUUGAAGCUGAAGAACACAAUGAGACGGAACAGAAAUCAACAUUGAGCAGCAAAAUAACCAUUCCUCAAUCGAAAAAGAACAAUGUUGCAUCUAAAGUUACUGACAGCUUAUGAUACAUGAGCAAAUAAUCAUAGCAGCUAAUGACUAAAUAGUAAAUACUGUUUAGAGAAACAGACAGCAAGAGUUGGCUCCUUUCCAUUUUUUGGCAGGAUAGAUAUCCAAUGCAACUGAUCAUGUGCAGAUAUGUAUAUGAGCAUACCUUCUUCAGAAACAACAUAGCUUCACGUCUACAAGAGAAGCUGGAGAAUACAGCAUUUGAACGUUCUUCGACGGCUACCUUAAGAUCCUUCAAUUUCAUUGACUGAGAUGCAUGGGGCCUGGAAAGAACAAUAGUCAGUAGCAAUCAUAUACCAGAGCACAGCACAUUAAGUACUCACAUAGAAGACAGACUGUACCUCACGAAGUAUUCUUUUGCAAAGUUUCUUGACCUUGGUUUUGGAUUUAACAUCCGCAUGCAAUACUUUAUCUGUACUCUUCUGUGUGUCAAUCGAUUCAACAGUAGUGGCAGGUUGUUCCUCAUUGUCAUCUUCUUCAAUUUCUGAAUAUUCAUCAUCGGACUGGGCUGGACUAUCUUCAUCACUAUCACCAAAUGAAGUUUUGUUUCCCUUCCAACGAUGGCCAGCAAUUUUCAUUGGCAGGCCCUUUAUGCCAAGACCCUGCUUGCCUGAAGUAGCUUUAUCCUGCAGCAAAUCACAGACCAUGCAUAUAUUAAGAAUUCAGGUACAUUUAAUUGUUUUAAAGAACAUGUCUGUUAUGUAAUCACGCACACAAUUAUCAAUGUAAUAAAUCAACAUCUAGGUUUGUUCAUCAAGUGAAAAUGGCAUAAUGUAAUCUAUGCGGAGUGAAAUGAAUUGAUAAUUUUGCUUAAGAGGUAGUUGAAAGACUGUAAAAUCACAUCUUGAGUGCACUCAGCAUUCACAUCACAUCUCCAAAUUUGAAAACUAAAAUAGCAAGAUCUCUGUUUAACAUCACUAUAAUCUGUGUACAGCACAUCAUACCAAUCAACCUGAACAAGAUUGUACAGAUUUUCUUGAUCUUCCUCCGCAAAUGUCUGGCGGACAUUAGAAGGAUCUUUUCGUGAAGAUCUUUUUUUACGAGAUGUUGCUCCAAGAAACCCUCCUGACACAAAUCCAAAUUUGUGCCCCCACCAGUUUACAUCUUCAGCUUGGGAUACUGCACAAGCAAAGAGUUGACAAAGCAAGUUACUAAAACCUCUAUGAAAUUUAGCACACAAUGAAGAAAAGGUACAAAUGUAAGAGCACAACAAGCAUGCAUUUCUUCAGCAGCGCUAGAUGUAGAUACAGUACCUAUUUUUUCUAAUAAGCAUGAGACUACAGCAUAGCAAACAAAACAUAAAAUCGUAGUAAUAUCUAUUACAUGCUAAGUGGACAAUCUAAAAUUCCCAGGUAAUUUUUGGUAGCAGGAAAGGGUGGGCCUGACUACUGUACUUGUACUUCUGGUUUAAAAGAACAAAAAAAAUUGCAUAAUAAACCUGAUUUAAUUUCAAGAACUCAGAUUUCAAUAGCUAAUGUGCGUGCCAUGGCAUAUUUAGAGCAUUGUUUGUUUAGCUCCUAGAAUGUAGUUCUAGCAUCGUACUAAAAGUAAGGCACCUCAGAUCAAUAAGGAAAUAACAGGCCAGAAGCUUGUGCAACAUAGUUAAGCCAGGGGAAAAAACAGCUGGUGAAAUUGAAAAGCACAAACUGCUUAGUGCUGACCUGCAUCUGGGCAGAUGAUAGGAUCAGGUUCAUCCAAGCAUGUAGAUUCAACUUUCUGAUCCAUUUGGCAAUUAUCUUCGUUUUUGCGUACCUGUGCCAAGACAGGUUGCUUUAGAGAUCCAAACAAGGCAAAUUAUUUAAUAAUCUCUUCUUGAGAAUUGUAGCUUAAGUUUCAAAUGCUCGCAGGAGAAUCCAGCGGAGUAGCGCAUGUAGGCCCCCGCCGCAUGCACGCCGCGCGCCCACACACAGACGACGCAUAUCGUGCGUCCACGAAGAUUUCCUCCGCCCAUCGGCGAACUCCAUGGUCCGCCAUCAGAUUUCCCUCCGCCGAUCGGCCAUGGCUCGCUCGCAGGAAACCCGGCCAGAUUGUUGUGGUGAUCUACUUGUAUCUCUAGCGCCCUGCACCAUGGCUGCCUGGUGUACGAACCCAGUCGAUGUCAUCGCAUGGAUCAGUUCGUUCGUUCGAAAUUGAAGCUCUCGGCGUGCAAAGCACUGUUGCCAUGUGGUACACUGUGCAGGAGGUCAGGUGGAUCGAACGCAGGUGUGCGAGACUAGUGUGGUGAGUGGUGACCCAUCACAACACAAAUGAUUUUGCUCGCAUGCGAUGGACGAGGGCCAUGAUCUGAUCCGAUCCGUGGUGUUCAUAAUUCUUCCCGAGUCCCUUUCGUCCACAUGCAUGCUUUAAGACACGUACGGUCUCGGCUUAACAAAGAGUAGUUAAAGGAGAGAUUGCAUGCGUGCGCGCCGGACUGUUUAUCAUGUUGUCAUUUGACAGGAUAGAUCGAUCGAGGAGGGUGAUGGAGAUGGCGUCGCGGACGGCCGUGUCGGCAUUGCCGUGGCACCACUCCAUGCUCGACGUGGAUGCGCGCGCCGGGCUCGCCGGCGCGACCCUGGGCCUCGGUGCCGAGAACCGCCGGAGAGCCCUGACCUUGCGGUAAAGCGGCAUCAGGAACCGGAGGUACUGCACCAGUAUCUUCCACGACGACGACCGGCCGCGCCUGCCUGCGGCGAAGAGCGGCGGCGGCCCGAUGGAGGCGUUCUUGCCGCCGGCGACGCCGCUCCUGCCGCUGGAACACGAGCUCAGCGAGGCCGGCGUUCUCUGGGCCGAGCGGUACAGCGGCGACGAGGGCGACGACCGCGGCGCGCUGGGCAGGUCGGCGACGCGGUCCCCGUGAUGUUCUCGGGCACCGGAGUGGCGGCAGACGGGCUCGCUGGGCAGGAGGCGGCCGUCGCGGAUGAUCUGGCUGGCGCUGACCAGCACCGGGGACGGCGGGUCACUGCUCACGCUGCCGCCCCCGGGCAAGCCGAACUCGAAGUCGCUCUCCGGCGGCGGCGCCGUGGUGGUCCACCGCAUGGAGAAGAGCUCGGCGGGGUCCAUGUCGAUGAAGGACCUGGAGCUGCCGAAGGAAUAGCCGAGGUCGGCGUCGGCGAACGGCGGCAUCGCCUGCGCGCUGCGCUUGAGCCAGCCGCGGGAGAAGCUGUCGCCGAGGUGCUGCAGCGAGGCGACCUCCAUGAGCGCGGCCGGGCGUCGUGCGCGAGUUACCAGAGCACGCGGUGAUGGGGGUGAGCGAUGCGUGCGCAAUCAAUCGGACGGAGGGCCAAAUUGUUUCCUGCGUUUUCUUUUGUUUUCCCCGUUGCGGGCGGGGCUCUCAGCUUUCCUCCCCUUUCUCACUUCCGCCAUCUCUCCUCUUUUCCCCCCUCGCCAAUUUUAUCUCGCGCGCGCGCAAAAGAAAAGGGUGGCGUACUUUGGACGGACACGCACCAGCGCGGCCGUGGGAGCAGGGCGGACCCACUGUUGUGCCCGGCAUACCCAAUAUUUUUGGAAAAUUUUUUAGUAGUUCUUGCAGCUAUAUAUAUAUGUAUAAUAUAGUUUAGGGCUCCAAUUCGCGUCCAGACCAACCUGGCCCGCAGACCACACCCCGCCGGCCGGCCCAUCGGCCCAUCUAACCACUGAUCCCCCCACCACCACACUAAGCCCGUCAGCCGGUCAGGUCCCGAGCUCCUGCCUGACCUAGUCCGCUACCGCCGCCAGGCGCCAGGCACAGCCGCACGCACCGCGCCGCCCCCGUCCACCCACGUCCGCCGCGCGGCCGCGCCGCGGCGCCGUCCCGCGCCCCCCGGCCCCCGCGGCGAGAUCCCGUCGCCCGCCGCCGCCAGACCCCUUCAGGCCUCCGCCGGCAGGUCUACCCGCGGUCCCGCGCGGCGCUGCGGCCUCUCUGCUCUCGGCGCUCGGCGCUCGCGGCGCUCCGGCGCCGGCGCAGCCCCACCAGGCGACCGCCCCCCCUCGGGCCUCGGCCCCUCCCCGGCUCCCCCCGCCCCCCACCAGGACUGCCUGCUGCCCCCCACCGCGAGGUAAGCGAAAUCGACUGCUCAAUCUCUCAACCCGUUGACAUGAUGCACACGGUUGUAAAAAUAGAUGUGUCAGAAUAGAUGCAUUGCCAAUUGCUAUAGAUGCACACGGUUGACAUGAAGAAGUCAAAAAUGACAUUUGGUUCCUUGUAGGCAGUACAAAAUGAAGAAGUCAAAAAAUAUUGAUCUGAAAUCAACGUGGGAAAGGGCUACGAAGACACGCAUGUAGAUUCUCUUCUGAACUUUUUAGGUUGUUCGUCUAAAUAUUUUUUUUCAAUGGGCAUACCCUACUUUGAAAUCCUAGGUCCGUCAUUGGGAGCAAGCACCGGUCCCACGCUGCGUUAGUCUGUAGCAAUCAUAUACCAGAGCACAGCACAUUAAGUACUCACAUAGAAGACAGACUGUACCUCACGAAGUAUUCUUUUGCAAAGUUUCUUGACCUUGGUUUUGGAUUUAACAUCCGCAUGCAAUACUUUAUCUGUAUUCUUCUGUGUGUCAAUCGAUUCAACAGUAGUGGCAGGUUGUUCCUCAUUGUCAUCUUCUUCAAUUUCCGAAUAUUCAUCGGACUGGGCUGGACUAUCUUCAUCACUAUCACCAAAUGAAGUUUUGUUUCCCUUCCAACGAUGGCCAGCAAUUUUCAUUGGCAGGCCCUUUAUGCCAAGACCCUGCUUGCCUGAAGUAGCUUUAUCCUGCAGCAAAUCACAGACCAUGCAUAUAUUAAGAAUUCAGGUACAUUUAAUUGUUUUAAAGAACAUGUCUGUUAUGUAAUCACGCACACAAUUAUCAAUGUAAUAAAUCAACAUCUAGGUUUGUUCAUCAAGUGAAAAUGGCAUAAUGUAAUCUCUGCGGAGUGAAAUGAAUUGAUAAUUUUGCUUAAGAGGUAGUUGAAAGACUGUAAAAUCACAUCUUGAGUGCACUCAGCAUUCACAUCACAUCUCCAAAUUUGAAAACUAAAAUAGCAAGAUCUCUGUUUAACAUCACUAUAAUCUGUGUACAGCACAUCAUACCAAUCAACCUGAACAAGAUUGUACAGAUUUUCUUGAUCUUCCUCCACAAAUGUCUGGCGGACAUUAGAAGGAUCUUUUCGUGAAGAUCUUUUUUUACGAGAUGUUGCUCCAAGAAACCCUCCUGAUACAAAUCCAAAUUUGUGCCCCCACCAGUUUACAUCUUCAGCUUGGGAUACUGCACAAGCAAAGAGUUGACAAAGCAAGUUACUAAAACCUCUAUGAAAUUUAGCACACAAUGAAGAAAAGGUACAAAGGUAAUCGAAAUCGACUGCUCAAUCUGUUGACAUGGUGCACACGGUUGUAAAAAUAGAUGUGUCAAAAUAGAUGUAUUGCCAAUUGCUAUAGAUGCACACGGUUGACAUGAAGAAGUCAAAAAUGACAUUUGGUUCCUUGUAGGCAGUACAAAAUGAAGAAGUCAAAAAAUAUUGAUCUGAAAUCACCGUGGGAAUGGGCUACAAAGACACGUAUGUAGAUUCUCUUGUGAACUUUUUUUAUGUUGUUCGUCUAAAUAUUUUUUUUCAAUGGGCAUACCCUACUCUGAAAUCCUGGGUCCGCCACUGGGAGCAAGCACCGGUCCCACGCGUUAGGGAAGUGGGAGGCGGGCGGGUAGGGUGCGGGCGAGGUGGCGACAAGGCCUCCACUGGAGGGGAAGGCUUGAGGCCUGGAGCGCGUGCAUCGGUGGCCGCUGUUCAGAGUCAGAGAGGAGCGCGAGGUGGGCGGGGCUGGUCAGAGGGAGGAUGCCGCCGUGGUCGGUCGGUGUGGGGCCCGGGGUUGCCCGAGGCCGAUUCUAGGUAGGCCAGGGCAUCUCGGCACGCACACAUAUAGGUGCAUCUCAUUGGAUCAAGCUAUCCAAACGACAUCGCUACUGAUCUGAUCAUGAUUAAGUGUUAUGCUAGUAUAGUUUAGAUGCAUGUGGGAGUAGAGUUGUAGAAGUAGGAGAGCUGCUGCUGCUGUCCACAUGCUUUUAACACCGAACUCCAAGUGGCCGUAGCUUCUAACUCGUCACCAUGCAGCAGCUUGACCAUCGUAAAAGUAACAUCAUUCAAAGUUUAAAAGUUCUCAAUCUGAUUGUUGUCUGUCAGAUCAUACUUUGUGUUCUUAAACUUAAACGUCUCGAUUCAUGAGACGAUUAAGUUUUCUAGCGAAAACUGCUCCUUACCGAGUGUCCACCCCUCCCUGUGUGCUUGCACCAUCAAAUCCUUUAGGCUUUUCAUCGAGAACUUGCCACCAUUAGUUAGAAGCCUCGACCACUUGGGGUUCGAUGUUAAUAGCAUGUGGAGACCUUCGUUAGGACCAAUCACCUCAAUCAGCAUAGAAUUUUCUUUGAAAUGGUUAACUGGAUUCUUGUACAGUAAGUGGUAACAAUCUUUAUCAACGCAGUUGACAGUACAACUUUCUUGUAAUAGAGGUGCAAUGGUUAUCAACAUUAUAUUGUUGUGCCUGCUUAUUUACGUAAAGAUAAGUAAUUCAAUUUACAAGAUAAUUUUCACUCUAGGAAGACUAGUUGUAAGGUUAGGUUAUAAUAGCUUAACGAAAGUCGUACUUUCCAUGCAACAAUUACAUCUCAUUCAUUUAACGAAACAACGAAACAAACCUUGGAAAAACUGCUCAAACCGAAGAUUGUGAAAGAGGUCUAUCAUUUUUUCUUCCUCUCACGAAACUUAAUAGCGCCUCUAAUUAUCUGCGGUAACCACCUUAGAAACUUAUACUGCAGCAGCACAUAGAUUGCCUUAGGUUGGUAAUAGGGUACGACAAUUGAACUUUGGUUCCCUGACCCUCCAAGCAAUCGUGUCAUGACGGUUAGGGACAGAUUGCUCGGAAUCUUUCCCUGGUGGCUCAGGCAGUGGGCAAUGAUGUGUCGUGGAAAGAUGAUGACAUGUCUCUCAUUUUUGACAUUGUAUCUUCCUUUGAUAUGACUGAACAAGUGGUCCAACCAUGGAUCAUUGGUUGAUAUGAUGGUUCAGUCAUCUUAAGGAACAACUGGUGUUCUCCAGGACAAGUUUCUUUAGUAUAUGUGCAGCAUCAAAUGUAUGUGUCGAUAACAACCUGCUGUCGUCCUCCAUGAACAACUCGUGGAAUUUCAUAAAUGCUGGUCCAUAGCAAGACACAGGAAGAAGUGCUGGGUAUAAGUCAAUCCACAAGGUAGUUAGCUUGGGGUUGGCGAUCGUUCUCAGAUCAGCAAUCAUCAUCAUGAAAUCGUUUGCCAAGAAGCUAAUGAUGUCAUCACCAUGCAGCAGCUUGACCAGCGUAAAAAUAACAUCACUCGAAGCAAAAAAAGUAUCAAUCUGAUUGUCGUCUGUCAAAUCAUACAUAAUAAGCGCGUUCUGAAACUUAAAUGUCCUAAUUUAUGAGACGAUUAAGUUUUCCAGCGAAAGCUGCUCCUUACCGAGUGUCCACCCGUCCCUGUGUGCUUGCACCAUCAAAUCCUUUAGGUUUUUCAUCGAGAACUUGCCACCAUCAGUUAGAAGCCACGACCACUUGAGGUUCGGUGUUAAUAGCAUAUGGAAACCUUCGUUGGGAUUAGUCACCUCAAUCAGCAUAGGAUUUUCCUUGAAAUGGUCAACUGGAUUUUUGUACAGUAGGUGGUAACAAUCUUUGACAGUUGAGAGUACAACCUUCCUGUAAUAGAGGUGCAAUGGUUAUCAACAUUAUAUUGUUGUGCCUGCUUAUUUAUGUAAAGGUUAGUAAUUCAAUUUGCAAGAUAAUUUCCAAUCUAGGAGGUCCAGUCUGCAAGUUUAGGUCAAGUAGCUUAACGAAAGUCGUACUUUCCAUGUAACAAUUACAACUUAUUCACUUAACGAAACAACCAAACAUACCUUAGAAAAACUACUCAAACCGAAGAUUGUGAAAGAGGUACACCAUUUUCUUACUCUCAUGGAGCUCAAUAGCGCUUCUAAUUAUCUGCGGUAACCACCUUGGGAACUUGUACUGUAGCAGCACAUAGAUUGCCUCAGGUUAGUAAUAGGGUACGGCAAUUGAACUUUUGUUCCCUGACCCUUCAAGCAAUCGCGUCAUGGCGGUUGGGGGAUGGAUUUCUCGGAAUCUUUCCCCGGUGGUCAGGCAGGGGGUGAUGAUUUGUCGUGGAAAUAUGAUGACUUCUCUCUUAUUUUUUAUAAUGUAUUUUUCUUUGAUGUAACUGAAUCACGUAGUCCAACCAUGGAUCAUUGUUUGAUAUGAUGGUCCAGUCAUCAUCAGGAACAGUUGGUAUUCUGUAGGACAAGUUCUUCAGUAUAGGUGUAACAUCAGAUGUAUGUGUCGACAACAACCCGCUGUCGUCCCGCAUGAACUAUUCGUGUAAUUUCAUAAAUACUGGUCCAUUGUAAGACACAUGAAGAAGUGUUGGGUAUAAGUUAAUCCACAAGGUAGCUAGCUUGGGGUUGGCGAUCGUUCUGAGAUCAGCAAUCAUCAUGAAAUCGUCCGGUAUGAAGCUAAUGAUGUCAUUAGCAUGCAGCAGCUUGACUAGCGUAAGAGUAACAUCACUCGAAAGCUAAGAAGUCUUCAAUCUGAUUGUCGUCUGUCAGAUCAUGACUUAAUGAGCGCGGUCUUCNNNNNNNNNNNNNNNNNNNNNNNNNNNNNNNNNNNNNNNNNNNNNNNNNNNNNNNNNNNNNNNNNNNNNNNNNNNNNNNNNNNNNNNNNNNNNNNNNNNNUAGGGGUGGGUGGCCACUCGGUAAGGAGCAGUUUUCGCUAGAAAACUUAAUCGUCUCAUAAAUAAGGACGUUUAAGUUUCAGAACGCGCUUAUUAUGUAUGAUCUGACAGACGACAAUCAGAUUGAUGCUUUUUUUACUUCGAGUGAUGUUACUUUUACGCUGGUCAAGCUGCGACUUGGUGAUUACAUCAUUAGCUUCUUGGCGAACGAUUUCAUGAUGAUGAUUGCUGAUCUAAGAACGAUCGCCAACCCUAAGCUACCUACCUUGUGGAUUGACUUAUACCCAGCACUUCUUCCUAUGGCUUGCUAUGUACCAGCAUUUAUGAAAUUCCACGGGUUAUUCAUGAAGGACGACAGCGGGUUGUUGUCGACACAUAUAUCUGAUGCUGCAGCUAUACUUAAGAAUUUGUCCUAUAGAACACCAUGUGUUCCUGAAGAUGUCUGGACCAUCAUACCAAACAAUGAUCUAUGGUUGGACCACUGGUUCAGUCACAUCAAAGAAAGAUAAAAUGUCAAAAAUGAGAGACAAGUCAUCAUCUUUUCACGACACGUCAUCACCCACUGCCUGAACCACCGGGGAAAGAUUCCAAGCAAUCUGUCCUCAAUCGCCAUGGCGCGAUUGCUUGGAGGGUCAGGGAACUAAAGUUCAAUUGUCGUACCCUAUUACCAACCUGAGACAAUCUAUGUGCUGCUGCAGUAUAGGUUCUCGAGGUGGUUACCGCAGAUAAUUAUAGGCGGUAUUGAAUUCCGUGUGAGGAAGCAAAUGAUGGACCUUUUUCACAAUCUUUGAUUUGAGCGGUUUUUUCAAGGUGUGUCUGCUUGUUUCGUUAAGUGAAUGAAUUGUAAUUGUUGAAUGAAAAGUACGACUUUCGUUAAGCUACUAGGGCCUAACCUUGCAGACUGGCCUCCUAGGUUGGAAAUUGUCUUGCAAAUCGAAUUGCUUACCUUUGCAUAAAUAAGCAGAAACACCAAUAUAAUGUUGACAAUCAUUGUAACUCUAUUUCACGAAGGUUGUACUAUCAACUGCCAAAGAUUGUUAACACCUACUGUACAAGAACCUAGUUGACCAUUUCAAAGAAAAUCUUAUGCUGAUUGAGGUGAUUGAUUCCAACGAAGGUCUCCACAUGCUAUUAACAUCGAACCCCAAGUGGUCGUGGCUUCUAACUGAUGGUGGGAAAUUCUCGAUGAAAAGCCUAAAGGAUUUGGUGGUGCAAGCACACAGGGAGGGUUGGACACUCGGUAAGAAGCAGUUUUCGCAAGAAAACUUAAUCGUCUCAUCAAUCCGGACGUUGAAGUUCAAGAACGCGCUUAUUAAGUAUAAUCUGCCAGACGACAAUCAGAUUGAAGACUUUUUUAGCUUCGAGCGAUGUUAUUUUUACGUUGGUCAAGCUGCUGCAUAGUGAUGACAUCAUUAGCUUCUUGGCGAACGAUUUCAUGAUGAUGAUUGUUGAUCUAAAAAUGAUCGCCAACCCCAAGCUAGCUACCUUAUGGAUUGACUUCUACCCAAACACCUUUUUCUGUUUCUUGCUAUGGACCUCCAUAUAUGAAAAUUCACAGGGUGUUCAUGGAGGACGACAUCGGGUUGUUGUCCACACAUACAUCUGAUGUUGCAGUUAUAUUGAAGAACUUGUCCUACAGAAUACCAUGUGUUUCUUAAGAUGACUCGAUCAUCAUAGCAAAGAAUGAUAUAUGGUUGGACCACUGGUUCAGUCACAUCAAAGAAAGAUACAAUUUGAAAAAUGAGAGACAAGUUAUUAUCUUUCCACGACACGUCAUCGCCCACUGCCUGAACCACCGGGGAAAGAUUCCGAGCAAUCUAUCCCCAACUGCCAUGGCGUGAUUGCUUGGAGGGUCACGGAACCAAAGUUUAAUUAUCGUACCCUAUUACCAACCUGAGGCAAUCUAUGUGCUGCUGCAAUACAGGUUCCCGAGGUGGUUACCGCUGAUAAUUAGAUGCGCUAUUGAGUUCCGUGAGAGGAAGAGAAUGGUGGAACUCUUCCACAAUCUUCGGUUUGAGCAGUUUUUCUAAGGUGUGUUUGGUUGUUUCGUUAAGUGAAUGAGUUGUAAUUGUUGCAUGGAAAGUACGACUUUUGUUAAGCUACUAGUGCCUAACCUUGCAGUCUGGGCCUCUUAGAUUGGAAAUUGUUUUGCAAAAUAAAUUGCUUAUCUUUACAUAACUAAGCAGGCACAAUACUAUAAAUUUGAUAACUAAUGCUCCUCGAUUACAAGAAGGUUGUACUGUGAACUGCCAAAGAUUGUUACCACCUACUGUACAAGAACCCAGUUGAUCAUUUCAAGGAAAUCCUAUGCUGAUUGAGGUGACUGAUCCCAACGAAGGUUUCCACAUGCUCUUAACACCGAACCCCAAGUAGCCCUGGCUUCUAACUGAAGGUGGGAAGUUCUCGAUGAAAAACCUAAAGGAUUUGGUGGUGCAAGCACAAAGGGAGGGGUGGACACUCGGUAAGGAGCAGUUUUCACUGGAAAACUUAAUCGUCUCAUCAAUCGGAACGUUUAAGUUCAAGAACACGCUUAUGAAGUAUGAUCUGAUAGACGGCAAUUAGAUUGAAGACUUUUUAGCUUUGAGUGAUGUUACUCUUACGCUGGUCAAGCUGUUGUAUGGUGAUGACAUCAUUAGCUUCUUGCCGGAUGAUUUCAUGAUGAUGAUUGCUGAUCCGAGAACGAUUGCCAAGCCCAAGCUAGCUAUCUUGUGGCCGGUCGUCAGCCGCCAUGUGCGACUCGCGUGCUCGGCUACAGUGACCGACCGCCGAAUCGUCGAUGGGACCCAACGGCAACCACCCUUUUUGUGGGAGAAGCUCUGAAAUGGGCAUGCCACUCGAUUGCGUUCGUCGCGGGAGAUCUGGGAGAAAGAUUUUGUGGGUCCACCGGUCAGUCUCGGUUGGUCCACUGCUUAAAUUGAAAAAAGGUACUGUGGGAAGACUUAGAAGGAUGCGACGGUAUGGGUUGGGGUCGGCAUGGAUCGGAGUUGGAAACCAGCGGAAGGGGUCGGAUACUCAGGGGUCACGGGAUGCUUGGCGGCCCUAAGUCGCUUCAUCUCGCGCCUCGGUGAGCGAGGGCUUCCUCUCUAUCGACUCCUAAAAAAGACUGACCGCUUCGAAUGGAUUGGCGAGGCCCAGGAGGCACUUGACCGGCUCAAGGACCUCCUGACGAAGGCCCCGGUUCUAGUCCCGCCGACCGACGGCGAGCCCUUCCUGCUCUACAUCGCGGCGACCACCCAAGUGGUUAGCGCGGCCCUGGUGGUGGAACGAAAAGAGGAGGGACACGCUCGCAAGGUACAACGCCUGGUGUAUUUCAUCAGCGAGGUCUUGUCCGAGUCCAAGACACGUUACCCACAGAUCCAGAAGCUCAUCUACGCCGUCCUCAUCACGAAGAGGAAGCUGCGCCACUACUUCACCUCCCACCCGGUAACGGUUGUUUCGUAAUUCCCGUUAGGCGAAGUAAUCUGGAACCAGGACGCCACGGGAAGGAUCGCGAAGUGGGCGCUCGAGCUCAUGGACCAGGGCAUCACCUACGCCUCCCGCACCGCCAUCAAGUCCCAGGUACUCGCUGACUUCGUGGCAGAGUGGACGGAGGUUCAAUCGCCAUCGGCGCCGGAGAGGCAGGAGUACUGGACAAUGUACUUCGACGGGUCGCUGAUGAGGGCCCGCGCCGAAGCGGGUCUCGUCUUCGUCUCUCCUCUAGGCGUGCGCAUCAGGUACAUGAUCCGCCUCCAUUUUCCUGCGUCCAACAAUGUCACCAAGUACGAUGCCCUCCUCAACGGGCUCCGCAUCGCUAUCGAGCUGGGCAUCCGUCGGCUGGACAUCCGGGGCGACUCCCAGCUAGUCGUCGAACAAGUCAUGAAGGAAUGGAGCUGCCACGACCCCAAGAUGGCCGCCUACUGCAACGAGGUUCGCAAGCUCGAAGACAAGUUCGAUGGGCUGGAGCUCAACCACGUCGCAAGGCGCUUCAACGAAGCCGCCGACGAGCUAGCGAAGGCGGCAUCCGGCCGAAUGCCCGUGCCCGACGGCGUCUUCGUUAGCGACCAGUUGAAGCCUUCAAUCCGUUACCCGGAGCCGGCAGGGGUCGGCGAAGCCCCCCCGACCCCGGGGUCGGGCCCCGACUCAGGGGAGGUCGGUAGCACGCCGCCUACCCCAGGCUCGGGCGCCAGCCCCUAUCCCUCUAGCCUCAUGGUCAUGGCAAUCGCGGCAGAUCCCACGGUGUGGGCCGACCCCCCGACCGACUGGAGAGCCCCUUACCUCGACUACCUCGUCCGCGACACGCUCCCGGUAGACAAGACGGAGGCCCGUAGGAUCGCGCGCCGCGCCAAAUCCUUCGUCGUCAUGGACCAAGAGCUCUACAAGAGAAGCCACACUGGGAUCCUCCAGCGCUGCAUCCCGAUCGAACAGGGGAAGGCGCUGAUCCAGGAUAUCCACACCGGAGCCUGCGGUCACCACGCCGCGCCAAGGAUCCUCGUUGGCAACGCCUUCCGACAAGGUUUUUACUGGCCGACCGUGGUCGCCGACGCUACUCAGGUAGUCCGCACCUGUGAGGGGUGCCAAUUCUUUGCGCGUCGGACUCACCUACCCGCGCAGGUGCUACAGACCAUCCCCAUCACGUGGCCGUUCGCGGUCUGGGGGCUGGAUCUCGUCGAACCCUUCAAGAAAGCGCCCGGGGGCUUCACCCACCUACUUGUCGCCGUCGACAAGUUCUCCAAAUGGAUCGAGGCAAAACCGGUGGCGCAAAUCAGGUCCGAGCAGGCGGUACAAUUCUUCACCGACAUCAUCCACCGCUUCGGGAUCCCAAGUUCCAUCAUCACCGACAACGGCACGCAGUUCACCGGGAAGAGAUUCCUCCAGUUAUGUGACGACCACCACAUUCGAGUGGACUGGGCGGCCGUGGCACACCCCCGCACGAACGGGCAAGUCGAGCGAGCCAACGGCAUGAUACUCCAGGGUCUCAAGCCACGGAUCUUCAACCGCCUUAAAAGGUUUGGCGGACGGUGGGAUGCUGAGCUCCCCGCAGUCCUUUGGAGCCUGAGGACGACCCCCAGCCGAGCGACGGGCUUCACCCCGUUCUUCAUGAUUUACGGGUCCGAGGCCAUCUUGCCCACCGAUCUAGAGUACGGACCGCCGAGGGUCAGGGCAUACGACGAACAAGGAAACCAGGCAUCACUCGAGGACGCGCAAGAUCAACUCGAUGAGGCACGAGACGUAGCCCUGCUGCACUCGGCUAAAUAUCAGCAGGCCCUACGGCAUUACCACAGCCGUAAGGUGCAAGGCUGAGCCUUCAACAUCGACGACUUGGUGCAAAGCCUCGUCCAGGACAACAGGGGUCGGCACAAGUUAACUCCCCCGUGGGAAGGCCCCUUCAUCGUCGCGCAAGUACUGCGGCCUGGCACCUACAAGCUGGCGACUCCCGACGGGCAGAUCUUCAGCAACGCCCGGAACAUAGAACAGCUAAGGCGCUUUUACCCCUAGCUCUUAUUUCCAAGCUCUGCACAAACUUAUCUGCAAUUUUGAUAAUUUUCUUUUUGCGGAAAAAAGAAAUUCCACGCCGUCUCUAUUCAGGCUUUUCCCCUCAAGCUCAGGGGCAUCUAACCCUGGCCUCGCUCCAGGGCCGCAUACCCCUCGGGGGCUAUCAAGGGCUCCGGUCCAAGCCACUUGGCACCAUCUAAAAGAAAUGUUUUUUCUUUCAAACCGAGCCCCCCUUCUUUCUAAACCUUUGGACGCAAAAAGGAAAGAAUGCGCGAACGGUGCUCAGGCAAGAUUGACCGGACUGUGAAAAAACCUACGCCCCAGCGGUUACGGUGCCUUCGCCCAUCAAAGCUUACUGACACACCCAACGACGCACUCCAAACUUUCAAAGUCCAAAGGAACAAAAAGGGGGAUCGGAAACUUUCGAACGACAAAGUUAUAAAAAAGGCCCGUAUGGCCAUCACGAAACAAGUUCGAAACUGACAUAUUUACAAUUGGGGCGCAAGCCCGGUACAACUAACUUGACGGGGGGUCUUCAGGAGGGAUGGCCUCAUCUUCCAGGAGCUUCGCGAGGGCUUCUGCCGGGGUGAACACCGCCGCAUCAAUCUCGUCCAGCUCGGCCUCAGAGUAACCGGCGGCGUACCCUCCGCUCAUCCCGGCAAAAUUGAUGCCGGAAUAGUGGGAGCCGAAGACCCCGAAGGCUCGCCGCACGCCGGUGUGAAGCGCGUCCACGACGAUCUCGCGACUCCGGUGGCGUACCCCGAGGACACGAGCCGGCAGGGAGCUCGACCCCUCCUUCAGAACCACGCCGAAGCCGUCGCAGACGACGCGGACCGCAUCCCGCAGGGCGCUGGGCUCACUACGCUCCUCGUCGAGCAAGUCCUUCAGCUUGGCGAGUUCGCUUGCAGGAACCAUCCAGAAAAGCCCAUCAGGUCAGGAACCACCGCAACACCACGGGAACGCAGAAACGGAAAGGAAUCUCACCGUCGGCCCAGGCCUUCAGCUCGCGCUCCCGGUUGGCUCCUUGAGACACGGCGGUCUGGAGUCCCUGCACUUGCGACCGGAGGUGACCAACCUCCGCGCCAAGGUCAGCCGCCACCUUCUCGGCCUCCUCCUUCUUGACCUUCUCGGCGUCCCGGUCCUGCCAAGCUUUGUGCCGCUCACGCCGGAUGCGCUCGACGGUCUUUUGGAGGGCUUCAUGCUCCCCCCUCAGCCGUGCGAGCUCCUCAGCGUCGUGGCGGGCCCUCUCAGCAGCAGCCUGGAACUCCUCGUGGUCAAGACGGGCCUUGUCGAUGACGGCUUGGAGCUUGGCCUCCGAUCGCCGCGCCUCCUCCUGCGCCGCCUCCUCACGCCUUUGCAGGUCGGCGAUGACCCCCUGGGCAGCCGUAACCUGCAUAGACAGCUCCCUGGUGUGCUCCCUCUCCACGUUGAAGCGCUCCCAGAGCCCCCGCUCCAGCCGGAGGAAAUUAGAUUUCCCCCGACUGCACUCUUGGAGGGCCUGCAAAGCGACGUACCAUCAGGGACAAAGCAAUGGGGAAUGAUGAUCACCAACAGGAAAGAGCAACGUACGUGGCUACCAGGGAGGACGGUGUUGUCCAAAGCCCCCAUCGCCGAGGACAGAGCCGCGCGGGCGUGGGCAAGGCCACUCUGCACCGCCUGCCACUUGUGCAACUUCGCGGCGUCGUCCAGGGUGAAGCGGCGCCUCGGCGGAUCCUCGCGGGAUGACCAACGCAGGACGGACCCCCUCCACGCCCUGGGAACGGUGGGAGCUGAGGCUGAGGCGGGAGCCGAUCUUGACGCUUCCGUCGGAGUUGGCACCACCACACCGGAAGCCGCCAGGUUUGCCGACGGCUCCGACGCCUGCACACCCGUCGUCGCCGAGGUCGCCGCGGGGUCGCCCAAUGGCAGCGCCGCCUCUGACGCAAGCGGCAAGUUAGGAAUCCCCGCGGCUACCUCGCCCUCCGCCGUAAUCGCCGAGGGAGGCUCCUCCGCCCCUGCCGGAGCCACUCGAGCGGGCCCCUUCGCCUCCGCCAUCGGAGUCACCUCCGCCGGGAUCCUCGGGGCGGAGGUCCCCGCCUCCGUCGCCGCUACGUCCUCCGCCGCGGUCGCAGGGGUAGGCACUCCCUCCUCUGUCGCCGCCGCCGUCGAUCGCACCACGGCUGCGGGGGCAUCCGUCCCGCCUCCCGUCGCCGCCGUCUCCUCCGCCUCGUCGAUGUCAAGGUCAAUCACCUCCCCGGCCUGAGGACCCGGGGGAAUGAUGCCCUGCGCUGUAGGGGCGACCGGGGGAACCAAAGGCGGAAUGGGGUCCACUCCCCCGUAACCGACGCCGCCGUCGCUCCGCCAGCCGCCGUCACGGGGGCCGCCUCCGCGGAGGGGUCUGCGGCCUCACCAAGGACCUCGCCGCUCGCUGCGGGCGGGACCGCGAUCCGUCCCCCGGAGGAGGACAACACCCGCACCGCCUUCUUAGGCGCCAGUUGCAUGAUGAGGCCACGAGGGGCGGCGCUGCACAUCAACAAGCAAACGUCAGCGGGAACGAACGCGAGAAGGGAGAGGAACGAGACGCGCGAGGAAUGCCAACUUACGUUCCUGAAGCGCAAGGGCGACGCGCGCGCUUCGCUUCGGAGCCCGACGCCGACCCCGGGGCAUCUGGCAGCGGCCGCUUGUCGCCGCUUCGCUGCCCUCCAGUCUCGGGCGCGACGGUGGAGGCGGUCUCCGCGGACCUCCGGGGAGCGGCCUGGGUGGACUCCUGGGGGACACCCCGCGCCGGCUCCUGAGCAGCGGCGGUGUAGGCUCCGAAGACCCCCGGGGGCGCUCCGCGCCGGCUCCAGGGAGGAGCCCCGUGUCGACCCCUGGGGGGCACCCCUCGCCGACCCCUGGGGAGCGUCCCGCGCAGGCUCUGGGGAGGUGCCCCGCGCCGACCCCUUGGGGGCGUCUCGUGUCAACUCCUAGGGGCGCUCCGUGCCGACCCCUGGGGCUACGCCCCAGGGCCUUGCGGAACCAGGGCCCGGGCGGACGCCCCCUCCGCCUCAUCCCCCGCGGCCGUCCACGAGCGCACCUCCCGGAUUACAAGUGCACCCGAUCGGAGGGAGGAAAUCAGCUCCUCCCCCUCUUCAUCAUCUUCCUCAUCUUCAUCAUCGUCGUCGUCGUCGUCGUCUGUCACGACCUGCCCCCUCCGCCGCCGUUGGAACUCCUUGGCGGCCUUCUUCUUCUUCUUCUUCGCCGUCUCCUUAUCCUUACGACGCUUCUGCGCCUCAGCAAGGAGACGGUUGCGCGUUCGCCGAUCAGCGUCUUCCGGCACCGGCGGAAGCGAGUCCACGACCCGGGUCAGCGCGCCCUACGAACGUAAAACGUAGAAAGGAAGUCGGCGCCCCAACCCCUUUCCAGGUCUAUGAAGCCCGUGUCGGGGCGCAUCGGCGGGUGCCCGGGCACCGGGUACUCGGCGUCCUUGUCCUCCAGCGCCUCCCAAAUUCGUUGCUGGAUCUCGGAGGCGGCAAGCGCGCCCGCCGCCAAGGCGGUGCCCUCGGUCGGCGCGUCCGGAGUCAAGGCGGCAAGCGAGCGGACCCGGAGCAUCAGCGGCGCCACUCGCCGGGCAUGGUACGCCCCGAUGACCCCGGCGCCGCUAAGCCCGCUCCUCUUCAGCUGCUCGAUGGCCUACAGCAGGUCGAAGAUCCGCUUCUUCUCCUUGUCCACCGGCCCGUACGCCCACACCUCCGGCGCCACGUCGAUGGUACGGCCGGUGAGCUCCGGCAGUGUUGGGGGGAAAUAUUAACGACCCCCUAACACACUGCUUAAAAAAGCAAACAUGAAGGCCCAGGCCCACCAAAGCAUGAUCAACUCUCCGCCUCGCCCGACCCAGGCGCUAGGAUCGGGAGCGCCCGACCCUCCUCCGCAAGGUUUCCGCCUCGCCCGACCGCGACCCCAGGGUCGGGGGCGUCCGACCCUGCGCCACGAAAGUUCCGCCUCGUCCGACCCCGAGCGAAGGAGUCGGGCGCACUGGGGCCCACAAGUCCGGGAGCCCCCUCGGAUACGGUCCGCACAGACGAGACAAAUCCUGUGGGUGCCCCCGUCGGCCUCACCAUAAAUGCACCACAGAGUUGGCAGAGGGCAGGGCGACCGAGCCCCUCACGCAACCUGGCGCAAGUACCCGUGCAUGACCGUCCUGUGCAGGCUACAGUGCCGGCGGCCGGUUCUCAUUCGCCACGGAGCACUCAUGACCUGCGCCGACCGGAGCAAAAAAGAGAGAGGCCUGUCCUCGGGUCCCGCACACCCUCGAGUCUCGCGCACCCAACAGUGCGGACGUAACACCCUCCCUCUCAGCGGCCAUCGCCGGAGCAGCGGUAUCCACCGUCCUCCCUAACGGACGCUGGGGUAACGACGAAGCCGCCUCAUCAUGAGCUAACCUGGUACCUACGAACAUCGAAGUAGCUACCUACGGGGAGCAGCAACACUUGGCAUCCGGCGACCUCCCCCUCCGGCAUGCAUGACGACACGCGUUUAGGGUCGGCAGGACAUCGGGCGCCUAGGAUCUCUCCCCUCCUUCCUGCCUUACUUUUUACCAUCUUACUCUUUACUCUUGACAGACCUUUUUUACCCGAUCCCAAUUGUAACUCCGGCCGUCCCCUUGCGAUAUAAAAGGAGGAACCUAGAGCCGGAGAGGGGGGAAUCGAAAAGGAUAGAAUCAACCAGCUUCUUCUCCCGCACAUCAUAGUACACAACCACUGUUCCUAAGAGCACGAAAACCGAAGAGACUUGGGACCAGUCCCCUCUCUCGCCCAUCUGUAACCCCCUACUACAGAACCCCCGCGCGGGCAACACGAGCAUCCUCGAUACUGGACGUAGGGCUUCCUUUACCCAAACCAGUCUAAUCCGUGUCUCCCGUGCAACCAUCUGAGGCUCACGCGCAUAAAAGAAAUUUACUAGUCUAAGUCUUGAUCCACUGAUCUUGACAACGACAGUUGGCGCGCCAGGUAGGGGACCUUUGCGCGUGCAUCUCCAAGUCUCAGAUGGCCAAUGGCGAUAGCAGCUUUGCUCUGGGCUCCCUGAUUCGUUUCGGGAGCCUGGACUUCCUGGCCACCGGGAAAGGGAUCGAGCUGAUCCCUGUCCACGUCCUGCCCGCUCGUCCCGCUGCCCUCGGCACCACCGCCAGGGCAGCGACGAGCGGCCGGACGCCAGCCAGGAGGGUCUCACCGGCGACGAGCGGCCGGACGCCAGCCAGGAGGGUCUCACCAGAAGGAUGGCUCUUCGGGCUACGCAACGCCACGGGGGCUCACGGCCGCCUCCUAGCGCGGUCCUUCCCCGCGUCACCCGCGAGCAACGAGCUCGUGGGCGUGGCAAGAACAUUCUCCGACACUGGCUCUAGUAACGAGAAUCCCCGCCCCUCGCGCGAGUGCUUCAUGGCCGAGGCGCACUCCGAGGGGUCCAAUGGCGAUGGUGCCGAGGGGAGGCGACGGGCUCCCCCCUCGGACGCCGCCGCUACGGCUGGAGGCUUACCCAGGGCCCCAGAGUGCUCACAGCAACCGGAAGCGCACGUGGGCGCUCGCCAGGGAGUAGAGCACCCCCAUCACGAGGGGGGAGCGCGGCAACGGGCGCGCGACGUUCAGGAACGCAUCUGUGCGGAUGGAGAACGCCCGCCGCUCUUUGCCCGCGCUAGCCAGAACGUCGCCGCGGCGGCGGUGUUACUCCGGCACCUUCCCGAGCCAGCAACGCCCGAGGAGCGACGGGCGCGCCAAGAGAUGCACAACCUGCUCGAGUGCGCCGCCGUCCAGCAGGCGGAAAGUUCAGCGUCUCGACGACGCGGCCAGAACGCCAGUCGGGCGACGCAGGGCGCGCCUCCAGAACGGCGGGGGGAAUCUGUCCAUCAACCCUCUCCGGGGGCGGAUCCGGCUGCGACCGCCCAACGAACACCGCCACCCGCGGAAGGCGAGGCCCGAUCCGUCCACCAGCGCGUCGGUCUCGUCCGCGACGCCCGCGACACGCUGAACGCGCGGAGACGCUCCCGCGCGGACAGGGGGGACGGGGCAGAUCGAGGCUACCACGUCCACCGAGGCGGGCGCUACGACAGCGGGGAGGACCGCAGUCCGAGCCCCGGAGCGGCUGGGCCUCGGGCUUUCUCCGCGCGCAUCCUAAAUGCGCCCUUUCCGCCGCGCUUCAGGCAACCGACGAGCGUGGCCAAAUACUCGGGGGAGACCAACCCUGGAGUAUGGCUCAGCGAUUACCGGCUUGCAUGUCAAGCCGGCGGGGCGGACGAUGACCUGUUCAUCAUCUGCAACUUACCCCUGUUUCUAGCAGACUCCACGAGAGCCUGGCUAGAACAUAUCCCUUCAGGACGCAUUCGCAACUGGAACGACCUGAAGGAGGUUUUCGUAGGAAACUUCCAAGGGACGUACACACGCCCUGGCAACUCCUGGGAUCUUCGGAGCUGCCGCCAGGGGGCAGACGAGUCCCUCCGGGAUUACAUCCGGCGCUUCUCCAGAAAGCGCACCGAGCUCUCUAACGUCGCCGACGCCGACGUUAUAGGAGCCUUCCUAGCAGGGACCUCCUGCCGGCCACUCGUCCACGAGCUAAGGCGCCGAGGCCCGCGAACCACGGAAGAGCUCCUCAACAUCGCCACUAGCUACGCCUCUGGCGAGGAGGCUGUUGGAGCGAUCUUCGAUCGUUCCAAGGGCAAGGCGAAACGGGAGGAGGACGCCGACGAAGGCACCUCCAACCGCCAGCAGCAGAAGAAGAAGGGCAAGCAGCGACGCGAGGCUCCACUCGUAGCCGCAGUCGAGCGCAAGCGGGGGCAACCGCCCCCCGACGGCGCAUCGGGCUUCUUCGACAAGCUGCUCGAGGGGCCGUGCCCGAACCACGAGUUCCCCGUCAAGCAUGCCUACAAAGAUUGUAACCUCAUGAAGAGGUUCUUUGUGGGCAAUCCGGUGAAAGGUGACCGGAAGCGGAAACCCGACGAGGAAAAGAAGGGUGACGAGGAGAAGGAAGACGGCUUUCCUAAAGUUGACGGCUGCUUCAUGAUCUUCGGGGGCUCUGUCGCGUACGACACCAGGCGCCAGCAAAAGCUAGAGCGCCGGGAGGUCUACGCGGCCGAGCCUGCGACCCCGGCUUUCCUCGAUUGGUCCGGACCGGCUAUCACCUUUGAUAGAUCCGACCACCCGGGACGCGUCCGGCAUCCGGGGCGUUACCCUCUCGUCGUCGACCCCAUCGUCGGUACGACACACCUCACCAAGGUACUCAUGGAUGGGGGCAGCGGCCUCAACCUCCUCUACGCCAAGACCCUCGACGCCAUGGGGAUCGAUCGCUCCCGUCUCCGUCCUAGCAAGGCUCCCUUCCAUGGCGUUGUGCCAGGGAAGCAGGCAACGCCCCUCGGGCAGAUCGACCUGCCCGUCACGUUCGGGACCCCUUCUAACUAUAGGAAGGAGGUCCUCACCUUCGAGGUGGUAGGGUUUCGCGGAACCUACCACGCCAUCUUGGGGCGGCCAUGCUACGCGAAGUUCAUGGCAAUCCCCAACUACACCUACCUCAAGCUCAAGCUACCAGGGCCUAACGGGGUAAUCACCGUCGGCACAACCUUCCAGAAGGCAUACGAGUGCGACGUCGAGUGCUGCGAGUACGCCGCGGCCAUCACCGUCUCGGGCGACAUGGUGGCCCAGCUUGAGGAGACGAUCGAGGACCAGCUCGGCGCCAAGCAGUCAGGUGCCUCCUUUGAGCCCACCGAAGGCAUCAAGGAAGUCCCUCUCGACCCCGGCAGUUCCGGCGGUGGGGUCGUGCGGAUCAGCGUAGCCCUAUCCCCCAAAUAGGAAAGCGCGCUCGUCGACUUCCUUCGCGCGAACAACGACGUCUUUGCGUGGAAGCCCUCGGAUAUGCCAGGCAUCCCGAGAGAAGUCGCCGAGCAUUCCUUGAACAUCAGGGCCAGCUCUAAACCAGUGAAGCAAGGCUUGCGCCGUUUCGACGAAGAAAGGCGCAGGGCCAUUGGUGAAGAGCUCCAGAAGCUCCUGGCGGCCGGGUUCAUCAAGGAAGUACACCACCCGGAGUGGUUGGCUAAUCCUGUUCUUGUACCGAAGAAGAACGGGAAAUGGAGGAUGUGUGUCGAUUAUACCGGUCUCAACAAAGCGUGUCCAAAGGAUCCGUUCCCUUUGCCACGCAUAGAUCAAAUAGUAGACUCAACCGCCGGGAGCGAAACACUCAGCUUCCUUGAUGCGUACUCCGGCUAUCACCAGAUCGCGAUGAAAGAGGCUGACCAGCUCGCUACCUCCUUCAUCACCCCCUUUGGCCCCUACUGCUACGUUAAGAUGCCAUUCGGCCUCAAAAACGCGGGGGCUACCUUCCAGCGGUGUAUGCUUAAGUGCUUCGGAGAUCUCAUCGGGCGGACCGUUGAGGCCUACGUCGACGACAUCGUGGUCAAAUCCAGGAAGGGCGAUCAGCUCGUUCCCGACUUGGAGCUAGCCUUCGAAAGGCUAAGGGAUAAGCGUAUCAAGCUUAACCUCGAGAAAUGCGUGUUCGGUGUCCCAAGGGGCAUGCUGCUAGGCUUCAUCGUCUCCAUGCGCGGCAUCGAGGCGAACCCGGAGAAGCUAGCGGCCAUCAACGACAUAGGGCCGAUCCGGAACAUUAAGGGAGUACAACGCGUCAUGGGAUGCUUAGCAUCCCUAAGCCGCUUCAUCUCACGCCUCGGCGAGCGAGGACUUCCUCUCUAUCGGCUCCUGAAAAAAUCCGAUCGCUUUGAGUGGACCAGCGAGGCACAGGGAGCACUUGACAGGCUCAAGGAUCUCCUGACGAAAGCCCCAAUUCUAGUUCCGCCGGCCGACGGCGAGAUCCUUCUACUCUACGUCGCGGCAACCACCCAGGUGGUCAGCGCGGCCCUAGUAGUGGAGAGGGAGGAGGAGGGGCACGCUCUUAAGGUGCAACGCCCGGUGUACUUCAUCAGCGAAGUGUUGUCCGAGUCCAAAUCGUGAUAUCCGCAGAUCCAGAAGCUCGUCUACGCCGUCCUCAUCACGAAGAGGAAGCUGCGUCACUACUUCACCUCCCAUCCGGUAACGGUCGUUUCUUCAUUCCCGCUUGGUGAACUAAUCCGGAACCCGAAUGCAACAGGAAGGAUCGCGAAGUGGGCGCUUGAGCUUAUGGAUUAGAGUAUCACCUACGUUCCCCGCACCGCCAUUAAAUCCUAGGUACUUGCCGAUUUCGUGGCCGAGUGGAUAGAGGUACAAGCACCGACGGCAACAGAGGAGCAGGAGUACUGGACGAUGUACUUCGACGGGUCGCUGAUGAGGGCCCGCGCCGGAGCAGGCCUCGUCUUCGUCUCUCCGUUGGGCGUACGCAUCAGGUACAUGAUCCGCCUCCAUUUUCCUGCAUCCAAUAAUGUCGCUGAGUAUGAAGCCCUGCUCAACGGGCUCCGCAUCGCCAUCGAGCUGGGCAUUCGUCGACUAGACGUCCGAGGCGACUCCUAGUUGGUCGUCGAACAAGUCAUGAAAGAAUGGAGCUGCCAUGACCCUAAAAUGGCCGCCUACUGCAACGAGGUACGUAAGCUCGAGGGCAAGUUCGACGUGUUGGAGCUCAACCACGUCGCAAGGCGCUUCAAUGAAGCCGCCGACGAGCUCGCAAAGGCGGCGUCCGGCCGGAUGCCCGUCCCCGACGACGUCUUUGUUAGCGACCAGCUGAAGCCUUCAAUCCGUUACCCGGAGCCAGCAGGGGUCGGCGGGGCAUGCCCAGCCUUGGGGGCGGGGUCCGAACCAGGGGAGGUCGGCAGCAUGCCACCUGUCCUGGACCCGAGCACCGAUCCCAAGGGAACCAACGCUGCCCUACCCGACCCGGCCUCGGAAGCCAAGCCUUCCGACCCCGUGGUUAUGGAAAUCGAGGCAGACCCCGCGGCGGGGGCCGACCCCUCGACCGAUUGGAGAGCCCCGUACCUCGACUACCUUAUCCACGACGCGCUCCCGACCGACAAGACCGAAGCCCGCAGGAUCACGCGCCGUGCGAAAUCCUUCACCAUCAUCGACCAGGAGCUUUACAAGCGAAGUCACACUGGGAUCCUCCAGCGCUGCAUCCCGAUCGAACAGGGAAAGGCGCUGAUCCAGGACAUCCACGCUGGGGCUUGUGGUCACCACGCUGCGCCAAGGAUGCUUGUGGGCAAUGCCUUUCGACAAGGUUUCUACUAGCCAACCGCGGUCGCGGAUGCUACCCAGGUAGUCUGCACUUGUGAGGGAUGCCAGUUCUUUGCCCGCCAAACCCACCUGCCCGCGCAGGCGUUACAAACCAUCCCCAUCACGUGGCCGUUCGCGGUCUGGGGACUGGAUCUCGUCGGACCCUUCAAAAGGGCGCCCGGGGGCUUCACCCAUCUACUCAUCGCUGUCGACAAGUUUUCCAAAUAGAUCGAAGCAAGGCCAGUGGCGCAAAUCAGGUCCGAGCAGGCGGUACAGUUCUUCACCGACAUCGUCCACCGCUUCGGGAUCCCGAACUCCAUCAUAACCGACAACGGUACGCAGUUCACCGGAAAAAGAUUCCUCCAGUUCUGCGACGACCACCACAUUCGAGUGGAUUGGGCGGCAGUUGCGCACCCCCGCACGAACGGGCAAGUCGAGCGAGCCAAUGGCAUGAUACUUCAGGGUCUCAAGCCACGGAUCUUCGACCGCCUUAAAAAAUUCGGCGGACGAUGGGUUGCGGAGCUCCCAGCAGUCCUUUGGAGCCUGAGGACGACCCCCAGCCGGGCGACAGGGUUCACCCCAUUCUUCAUGGUCUACGGGUCAGAGGCCAUCUUGCCCACCGACUUGGAGUAUGGGUCACCGAGGGUCAAAGCAUACGACGAACAGGGAAACCAGGCGUCACUCGAGGACGCACAAGACCAACUAAACGAGGCGCGAGAUGUAGCCCUGCUACACUCAGCUAAAUACCAGCAGGCCCUACGGCGUUACCACAGCCGCAGGAUACAAGGCCGCGCCUUCAACGUCGGAGAUCUAGUGCUCCGCCUCGUCCAAGAUAACAGGGGUCGGCACAAGUUGACUCCCCCAUGGGAGGGCCCGUUCAUCGUCGCACAGGUGCUACGACCAGGCACCUACAAGCUGGCAACUCCCGACGGGCAAAUCUUCAGCAACGCCUGGAACAUAGAACAGCUAAGGCGCUUCUACCCAUAGCUCUCAUUUACAAGUUAUGCAUGGUCCUGCCAUCCUUUCCGUUCUUUCUUUUAAGCUCAGGAGUAUCCGACCCUGGCCUCGUUCCAGGAUCGCAUACCCCUCGGGGGCUACCAGUUUUGUUCUUCUGCGAAAAAAGAAACCCUGAGCCACUUUGGCUCAGGUCCUUUCGUUUAAGCUCAGGGGUAUCCGACCCUGGCCUCGCUCCAGGGUCGCACACCCCUCGGGGGCUACCAGUUUUGUUCUUCUGCGAAAAAAAAAGAAACCCUGAGCCACUUUGGCUCAGGUCCUUUCGUUUAAGCUCAGGGGUAUCCGACCCUGGCCUCGCUCCAGGGUCGCAUACCCCUCGGGGGCUACCAGUUUUGUUCUUUUACGAAAAAGAAGGCCUUUUCUUUUAAACUUAGGGGUAUCCGACCCUGGCCUAGCUCCAGGAUCGCACACCCCUCGGGGGCUACCAGGGGUCCCGACCCCAGCCGCCGGGCACCGCCUUAAAAGAAAACGUUUUUUCUUUUUUCAAAACCGAACACUCCCUUUCGAAAACCAUUGGACACAAAAAGAUAAGGAUGCGUGAACGGUACUCAGCCAAGUUGCGAUCGGACUGCGAAAAAGCCUACGCCCCAGCGGCUACGGUACCUUCGCUCAUCAAAAACUUACUGACGCACCCGGCAAUGCAUCCAAAAGCUUUCAAGACCAAAGGAAUAACAAAGGGAAACGGUUUCCUUAGCGCAAAUAAAAAGUCAUAAGAACAGGCCCGUAUGGCCAACACGAACGAGUUCAACACGACUGACUUAAGUACAAACUUUUUUCGGGCACAAGCCCGGUACAGCUAAUUAACAGGAGGGUCGGCCGGAGCAGUGGUUCCGGGGUCGGCUGAAGCAGCGGCUUCGGGGUCGACAGGAGCGGCGGCUUCAGGGUCGGCGACGGCGGCGGCCUCAGGAUCGAUAGGGGGGACGACUUCAUCCUCCAGAAGCUUCGCGAGAGCCUCCGCUGGCGCGGUCACCACGGCGUCGAUCUCAUCCAGCUCGGCGUCUGUGUAGCCGGCGCAGUACCCCUCACUCAUCCCGACAAAAUUAAUGUCGGCAUAGUGAGAGCCGAAGACUCCGAAGGCGCGCCGCACGCCAAGGCGAAGCGCGUCCACGGCGAUCUCGCGACGACGACGGCGCACCUCGAGGACACGAGCCGACAGCGAGCUCGACCCCUCCUCCGGAGCGACGCCGAAGUCCUCACAGAUGACGCGGACCGCAUCCCGCAGGGCGCUAUGCUCGCCGCGCUCCUCGUCGAGCAGAGUCCGCAACCUGGCGAUGUCACCUGCAGGACCCACUCGAGAAAUCCCACCAAGUCAGAAGAAGCAAAACACCAAUGACACAAAAACGCAGAAGCAGAAAAAGCCUCACCGUCGGCCUCGGCCUUCAGCUCGCGCUCCCGGUCGACGCUGCGGGACAAAGCGGACUGGAGCCCCUGCACUUGCAAACGAAGCUGCUCGUGCGCCGCACGAAGGGCUGCACUCUCCCCCCUCAGCCGCGCCAGCUCCUCGGCGUCUCGGCGGGCCCGCUCAGUAGCAGCGGCUUUUAGCCCCUCGGCAUCGCGGCGGGCCCUGUCCAUGGCGGCCUGGAACUCCUCAAGGUCGAGGCGGGCCUUCUCCGCGACGGCCUAGAGCCUGGCCUCGGCACGCCGCGCCCCCUCUAGCGCCGCCUGCUCACGCCCCUCCAGGUCGCGAACGGCGCCCUGGGCGGCGCCAAGCUGCAGGGUCAGAUCCCUGGAGCGCUCCCUCUCGGUGUUGUAGUGCUCCCAGAGGUUCCGCUGCCGCCGGAGGAAGUCAGACUUCUCCCGGCUGCCCUCUUGGAGAGCCUGCAAAGAAGCAUUCCGUUAAAAGCAAAAAAAAAAAAGUAAAGAGAAGGAACUCAUCGCCGAGCGGCAGGAACAACAUACCUGGCUGCCGGGAACCACGGUGUUGGCCAAAACUCCCAACGCCGAGGUCAGAGCCGCCUGAACCUGGGCGACGCCGCCGUGCAUCGCCUGCCACCUAUGCCACUCGGCGGCGUCAUCCAGCGCGUAGAGGCGCCUCGGCGGGUCAUCGCGGGACGUCCAGCGGAGGACGGGCCCUCUCCACGCCCCAGGGACGGAGGAAGCCGAGGGCGGAACAAGGGCCGACUCUGACGUCGCCGUCGAUGACGACAUCACGACGCCAGAAACCCCUGGAUCCACCGACGGCUCCGGCGCCUGCGCGCCCGUCGCCACCGCGGCCGCUAACGGCACCCCUGUGGGCACCUCCGUCUCGGCCGCUAGAGUCACCCCCGCGGGAGCAACCGGGACGGAGACCCCGGUCUCCAGCACCACUGCCUUCGCCGCCGCCGCGUCCUCGGGAGCCAGCGCCCCCUCUGCCUCUGACCCCGCCAUGGCAGCGGGGGCAUCCGCCCUGCCCACCGCCGUCUCCGCCUCCUCCGCCUCGUCGGCGUCAAGGUCGAUCACCUCCCCGGCUUGAGGGCCCGGGGGAAUCACGACCCGAGCCGGAGGGGCGAUCGGUGGGGCCGUAGGCGGAGUGGAGUCCGCUCCCCCUCCGGCGGAGGAGGAGGACGUCCGCAGCAUCUUCUUGGGCGCCAGCCGCAGGGUGACGCCGCGGGGAGAAGUACUGCACGUCGACGGACGGGCGUCAACAGAAACAAACGGAAAGAGAAAGGAAGGAUGACACGUAGGAAGAGUCAACUUACGCCCUCGAAGCGCAGGGGCGGCGCGCGCGCUUCGACUCGGAGCCGGACGCCGACCCCGGGGCGUCUGGCAGUGGCCGGUUGUCGCCGCCCCGUUGCCCUCCGCCAACAGGCACGGCGGCGGAGGCAGCCCCCACGGAUCCCCGAGGAGCCCCCCGAGCGGACUCCUGGGGAGCGCCCCGCGCCGGGCCCAAGGCAGCGGCAGGGGCGGACUCUGAAGGCCCCUGAGGGGCGCUCCGUGUCGACGCCGGGGCGGCAUCCCUUGCCGGCCCCGAGGGAGCAUCCCGCGCCCGCUCCUGGGGGAUGCCCUGGGACGACCCCGGGGGGGCGCCCCGCGCCCCUCCCCGGGGGAGGCCCUGCGCCGACCCCCGGGGAACGUCCUGCGCCGCCCCCUGGGGAGCAAUCCGCACCGGCUCCUGAGGCGCGCGCUGCGCCGACCCCUGAGGAGCGGUCCGCACCGGCUCCUAGAGCACGCGCUGCGCUGACCCCUGGGGCACGGUCUCAGGACCCGGGGGAGCCGGAUCCCGGGCGGACGCUCCCGCCGCUGCACCCCCUGCAGCCGUCUGCGGGGGUGCGUCACGAAUCACCAAAGCCCCCGAACGGGGGGCAAACAGCUCUUCCUCCUCCUCUUCUUCUUCUUCUUCUUCUUCUUCUUCUUCUUCUUCUUCUUCUUCUUCCUCGUCGUCGUCGUCGUCAGACACGACCGCCCCUCUCCGCCGCCGUUGGAACUCCUUGGCGGCCUUCUUCCGCCGCUUCUCCGUCUCCUUGUCCUUCCGGCGCUUCUGCUCCUCGGCCCGGAGACGAUUGCGAGCCCUCCGCUCGGCAUCCUCCGGCACCGGCGGGAGGGAGUCCGCAACCCGGGUCAGCAUGCCCUGCAAAACGCGAAAGAGGAUCCGCAUCAGAACAACAAAACAACGGGACAUCAGGAGGGAGAAGCGGCGACCCAAAAACCUUACCAGGUCUACGAAGCCCGGCUCCGGGCGCAUCGGCGGAUGCACGGGGAUCGGGUAGUCGACGUCCUUGUCCUCCAGCGCCUCCCGGAGCCGUUGCCGGAUCUCGGAGGCAGCGAGCGCGCCUGUCGCCAGGACGGUGCCCUCGGUCGGCAUGUCGGGGGACAUGACGCCAAGUGGACGCGCCCGGAGCAUCAGCGGCGCCACCCGCCGGGCGUGGUACGCGCCGAUGACCCCGGCGCCGGUGAGCCCCUCCCGCUUCAGCUGCCCGAUGGCCUGCAGCAGGUCGGAGAUCUUCCUCUUCUCCUUCUCCACCGGCCCGUACGCCCACACGUCGGGCGCCGCGUCGAUGGUGCAACCGGUGAACGCCGGCAGGGGGGAGUUCGGGUAGUUCUUCACGUAGAACCACUGAUUGUGCCACCCCUUGUGGGACACCGAGGUCUUCACCGUCAUAUACUCCUUGGAGCGAGUAUGACGGAGGUGGAUCCCGGCGCACCCAAUCGGCACCGGAGGCGACCGCUGUUGGCUCCCGGCCUUCCCCGCCUUCUGGUACAGGCUCACGGUGAAGAAGUACUUUCAUAACUCGAAGUGGGGCUCGAUGCCCAGGAACCCUUCGCACAGCGCGACGAAUGCCGCGAUGUGCUGGAUCCCAUUGGGGUUGAGAUGCUGGAGCUCGAGCCCGUAGUAGUAGAGGAGCCCGCGGAAGAAGCGGCUUGGAGGGGAGGCGAAUCCCCGCUCGUGGAAGUGGGCGAAGGAGACGACGUAGCCGGCGGGCGGCGACGGGACCUGUUCCGGCCCCGGCAGUAUCCACUCGUCCGCCGUCGUCUUCUCGCAGAGGAGCCCCUUUCGCACCAGGCCCUCGGCGCGGUUGGCGGUGAAGUGGGAAACUCCCCAGGAGGCCAUCGCCAAGGAAGGAAGGGGACCGACGGAGGCGAAAGCGAAAGCACGCGGCGUGAAGCAAUGGGAACAAAGCGAGCGAGGCGAGCGCAAGUGAGCUAGGAAGGCAAGAAGGCUCGAGUGCGGAAGGAGAGGAACCGGCGCGGCGUGCUUCUGCUUUUAUAGGAAAAGUACCGGGGAAGCCCAAUCGACGCCCCGGCCCCCAUAAAUGCGGCGCCAGGUACGCCCCUGCCGCGCCCGUUUCCUUUUCGAAAAACGCGCGCACGAUCGGCCGCGAAAAAACAUCCUAUCUUCCUCGAUCCGCGGGACGACGCUUCCAUAACUCCGCUUCCCGGGUAUCGCGCCCACGACGCUCCCCACGACCGGCCCAGGCACACCAACCGCUCCGCUCCGGUCCAAGGCCCACAGGGAGGUAAGAAAGGGAUACGGGGCUGAAAACGCCCCUACGGCCCAAUACGGUCCAGGGGUUCGAAAGCUGGCCCAACACGGGUUCGACAGCUGCCUCAGGACAUCCCCGAGCAAGGGGUGAGAAGGGGCGGGCCCGCUAGCGGCCAACACCCAGGCGAGCGAACGCCAAGGGCGCCCCAACCUCACGUUCGAGUCCCGCUCAGUGUAAAGUUCAUGGUUUUUCCACGGGGAAAGGCAACGAGCCCUCAGAUCCGGUCGAACGGAUCCGAGAACUAUAUGAACUGACCGACGGGAAAUCGGAGUACGCCACCAGCUUGGCCCGAGCCGGACCCCCCCGAACGGGGACCGGGACUCCACUCGAACUUACCCGUUUGCAGCUCAAACGAGCACCAUGGUUCGUCCAACGCGGAUAACGUGGCCCGGCUCAACCCCUCCGUCCUAGCGAACGCACGCUUGAGGGGCAACGAUCAAAAAGUCGACCUGGCCUCCCGAUCGGUUUCCUGCAACGAGCAGGAGCUCGGGGGCAAGCCUCGCAAACAACUGCCACACGUGUGGUCACAAACCUGGCAGGUUCUCUCGAGCAAGGCGGAGAUAAAAACAAGCGCGCCAUAAUACAGAAACCGGCGGCAAACAGCGAAAGGAGCCUCCGGAGGAGCACUCCUGCUCCACCACAGGCUCGGGGGCUACUGUUGGGGGGAAAUAUUAAUGACCCCCUAACACACUGCUUAAAAAAGCAAACAUGAAGGCCCAGGCCCACCAAAGCAUGAUCAACUCUCCGCCUCGCCCGACCCAGGCGCCAGGAUCGGGAGCGCCCGACCCUCCUCCGCAAGGUUUCCGCCUCGCCCGACCGCGACCCCAGGGUCGGGGGCGUCCGACCCUGCGCCACGAAAGUUCCGCCUUGUCCGACCCCGAGCGAAGGAGUCGGGCGCACUGGGGCCCACAAGUCCGGGAGCCCCCUCGGAUACGGUCCGCACAGACGAGACAAAUCCUGUGGGUCCCCCCGUCGGCCUCACCAUAAAUGCACCACAGAGUUGGCAGAGGGCAGGGCGACCGAGCCCCUCACGCAACCUGGCGCAAGUACCCGUGCAUGACCGUCCUGUGCAGGCUACAGUGCCGGCGGCCGGUUCUCAUUCGCCACGGAGCACUCAUGACCUGCGCCGACCGGAGCAAAAAAGAGAGAGGCCUGUCCUCGGGUCCCGCACACCCUCGAGUCUCGCGCACCCAACAGUGCGGACGUAACGCCCUCCCUCUCAGCGGCCAUCGCCGGAGCAGCGGUAUCCACCGUCCUCCCUAACGGACGCUGGGGUAACGACGAAGCCGCCUCAUCAUGAGCUAACCUGGUACCUACGAACAUCGAAGUAGCUACCUACGGGGAGCAGCAACACUUGGCAUCCGGCGACCUCCCCCUCCGGCAUGCAUGACGGCACGCGUUUAGGGUCGGCAGGACAUCGGGCGCCUAGGAUCUCUCCCCUCCUUCCUGCCUUACUUUUUACCAUCUUACUCUUUACUCUUGACAGACCUUUUUUACCCGAUCCCAAUUGUAACUCCAGCCGUCCCCUUGCGAUAUAAAAGGAGGAACCUAGAGCCGGAGAGGGGGGAUCGAAAAGGAUAGAAUCAACCAUCUUCUUCUCCCGCACAUCAUAGUACACAACCACUGUUCCUAAGAGCACGAAAACCGAAGAGACUUGGGACCAGUCCCUCUCUCGCCCAUCUGUAACCCCCUACUACAGAACCUCCGCACGGGCAACACGAGCAUCCUCGAUACUGGACGUAGGGCUUCCUUUACCCGAACCAGUCUAAUCCGUGUCUCCCGUGCAACCAUCUGAGGCUCACGCGCAUAAAAGAAAUUUACUAGUCUAAGUCUUGAUCCGCUGAUCUUGACAACGACAGGCAGGGGGGAGUCCGAGUAGUUCUUCACGUAGAACCACUGGUUGUGCCACCCCUUGUGGGACGCCGAAGUCUUCAUCGCCAUAUACUCCUUGGAGCGAGUAUGGCGGAGGUGGAUCCCGGCGCACCCAAUCGGCACCGGAGGCGACCGCUGCUGGCUCCCCCUCUUCUCCGUCUUCUGGUACAAACUCACUGUGAAGAAAUACUUCCACAGCGACAAGUUGGGCUCGAUGCCCAGGAACCCCUCGCACAGUGCGACGAACGCCGCAAUGUGCUGGAUCCCGUUGGGGUUGAGGUGCUGGAGCUCGAGCCUGUAGUAGUGGAGGAGCCCCCGGAAGAAGCGGCUCGGUGGAGACGCGAACCCCCGCUCAUGAAAGUGAGCGAAGGAGACGAUGUAGCCGGAGGGAGGCUCCGGCACUUGCUCCGGCCCCGGCAGCAACCACUCGGCCGCCUCCGUCCUCUCGCAGAGGAGGCCUUUCCGCACCAGGCCCUCGGCGCGCGAGGAGUUGAAGUGAGAGAUCCCCCAAGAACCCAUCGCCAGAGGAGGAGGAAGCUCGACGGAGGUGAAAGGCAAGUGCGCAGCUGGGGAGGAGGAAGGCGAAGCGGACGCAGGUGAGCUAAGUGCGAGGCUGGAGGACGAAAGGGCUCGAAUGCAGAAGGCGGGCGGAACCAGCGAGGCGGGCUUCCAUUUUUAUAGGAAAGGCGCGGGGAAGCCAAAUCGACGCCCCUGCCGCCAUAAAUGCGGCGCCAGGUACGCCCCUGCCACGCCCACUUCCUUUUCGGAAACCGCGCGCACAACCGGCUGCGAAAACAUCCUAUCCUCCUCGAUCCGCGGGACGACGCUCCCCAUAACUGUGUCUCCCGGAAGGCACACCCACGACGUCCCCCACGUUCGGCCCAAACGCAACGACCGCUCUGUUCCGGCCCAAGGCCCACCGAAGGGUAAGAAGGGAUACGGGGCUGAAAACGCCCCUACGGCCCAUUACGGUCCAGAGGUUCGAAGGCUAGCCCGCCACGGGUUCGACAGCUGCCUCAGGACGUCCCCCGAGCGAGGGGUGAGAAGGGACGGGUCCGCUAGCGGCCAACACCCAGGCGAGCGAAAGCCAAGGGCGUCCCGACCUCACGUUCGAGUCCUGACCGGCAUGAAGUUCAUGUUUUUUCCACAAGGAAAGCCAACGAGCCCCCGGAUCCGGCCGAACGGACCCGGGAACUAUAUGAACUGGCCGGCGGGAGAUUGGAGUACGCCACCAGCUUGGCCCGAGCCGGACCCCCUCGAACGGGGACCGGGACUCCACUCGAACCUACCCGUUCGCAGCUCAACGAGCACCACGGUUCGUCCAACGAGGAUAGCGUGGCACGGCUCAACCCCUUCGUCCUAGCGAACGGACGCUUGAGGGGCAACGAACAAAAGUCGACCUGGCCUCCCGACCGGUCUCCUGCAACGCGCGGGGGCUCGGGGGCUAGCAUCGCAACCAACAACCACGCGUGUGGUCGCGAUUCGCAGGCUCCCCGGCCAAGUUGGGCUAAAACAAACGCACCCUACCCCCAACAAGAUCUCCGGCGAAACGGCGAAAGAAGCCUCCGGAGGAGCACUUUUGCUCCACCACAGGCUCGGGGGAUAUUGUUGGGGGGAAAUAUUAACGAUCUCCUAAAUACCUCUUAAAGGAACAAACAUGAAGGCCCAGGCCCAUCCAGGAUAACAAACUCACCGUCAAGCCCAACAUGAGCAAAACUCCGCCUCGCCCGACCACGGUCUCAGGGUCAGGAACGUCCGACCUCCCGCCACGAGGCUCCGCCUCGCCCGACCGUGGUCCCGGGGUCAGGAGCGUCCGACCUCCUGCCGCAAGGCUCCGCCUCGUCCGACCGCGACCCCAGGGUCAGGGGCGCCCGACCCCUCGCCACAAGGUUCCGCCUCGUCCCACCCCGAGCACAGGGGUCGGACUCACUGGGGGCCCCAGGACGGAUAUCCCCCUCAGGUGCGGACCGGGUGGUCAAGGUAACGAUCCCGUGGGUCCCCCUUGUCGACCUCGUCAUAAAUGUGCCGCAGGCUUGACAGGGAGAAGGAUGAUCACGCUCCUCACGCAACCCGCUGCAAGUACCCAUGCACGACCACACUGUACGAGCUACAGUGCUGGUGGCUUCCUUCCAUUCGCCGCCGGGUACUCAUGGCCUGCGCCGACCGGAGCAGAGGGAAGACUCGCCCGUCCUCGGGCCCCGCGUGCCCUCGGGCCCCCCGCGCUCGGGAGCAAGGAUGUGACGCCCUCUCUCCACAAGCCAUCAUCAGGACGGUGGCAUCCGCCGUCCCUCCCAACGGACACCGUAGUGACGACAAAACACCUUCAUCAUAACCCGACGCCUACGGACACCGAAGAGGCUAUCUGUAGGGCGCGACGACAGUUGGCACACGGCCGCCCUCCUCCUCCAGCAUGCACGUCGGCGCUCGUCAGGGGCUGGCGAAGGCGCCGGACGCCUAGGAACUUGGUUUCUCCCUUCUUGUUUACGUAAAGGUAAGUAAUUCAAUUUACAAGAUAAUUUUCACUCUAAGAAGACUAGUUGUAAGGUUAGGCUAUAAUAGCUUAACAAAAGUCGUACUUUCCAUGCAACAAUUACAGCUCAUUCAUUUAACGAAACAACCAAACACACCUUGGAAAAACUGCUCAAACCGAAGAUUGUGAAAGAGGUCUAUCAUUUUUUCUUCCUCUCACGAAACUUAAUAGCGCCUCUAAUUAUCUGCGGUAACCACCUUAGAAACUUAUACUGCAGCAGCACAUAGAUUGCCUUAGGUUGGUAAUAGGGUACGACAAUUGAACUUUGGUUCCCUGACCCUCCAAGCAAUCGUGUCAUGGCGGUUAGGGACAGAUUGCUCGGAAUCUUUCCCUGGUGGCUCAGGCAGUGGGCAAUGAUGUGUCGUGGAAAGAUGAUGACAUGUCUCUCAUUUUUGACAUUGUAUCUUCCUUUGAUAUGACUGAACAAGUGGUCCAACCAUGGAUCAUUGGUUGAUAUGAUGGUUCAGUCAUCUUAAGGAACAACUGGUGUUCUCCAGGACAAGUUUCUUUAGUAUAUGUGCAGCAUCAAAUGUAUGUGUCGAUAACAACCUGCUGUCGUCCUCCAUGAACAACUCGUGGAAUUUCAUAAAUGCUGGUCCAUAGCAAGACACAGGAAGAAGUGCUGGGUAUAAGUCAAUCCACAAGGUAGUUAGCUUGGGGUUGGCGAUCGUUCUCAGAUCAGCAAUCAUCAUCAUGAAAUCGUUUGCCAAGAAGCUAAUGAUGUCAUCACCAUGCAGCAGCUUGACCAGCGUAAAAAUAACAUCACUCGAAGCAAAAAAAAAAGCAUCAAUCUGAUUGUCGUCUGUCAGAUCAUACAUAAUAAGCGCGUUCUGAAACUUAAAUGUCCUAAUUUAUGAGACGAUUAAGUUUUCCAGCGAAAGCUGCUCCUUACCGAGUGUCCACCCCUCCCUGUGUGCUUGCACCACCACAUCCUUUAGGCUUUUCAUCGAGAACUUGCCACCAUCAGUUAGAAGCCACGGCCACUUGGGGUUCGGUGUUAAUAGCAUAUGGAAACCUUCGUUGGGAUUAGUCACCUCAAUCAGCAUAGGAUUUUUCUUGAAAUGGUCAACUGGGUUUUUGUACAGUAGGUGGUAACAAUCUUUGGCAGUUGAUAGUACAACCUUCCUGUAAUAGAGGUGCAAUGGUUAUCAACAUUAUAUUGUUGUGCCUACUUAUUUAUGUAAAGGUUAGUAAUUCAAUUUGCAAGAUAAUUUCCAAUCUAGGAGGCCCAGUCUGCAAGUUUAGGUCAAGUAGCUUAACGAAAGUCGUACUUUCCAUGCAACAAUUACAACUUAUUCACUUAACGAAACAACCAAACAUACCUUGGAAAAACUACUCAAACCGAAGAUUGUGAAAGAGGUCCAUCAUUUUCUUCCUCUCACGGAAUUCAAUACCGCCUCUAAUUAUCUGCGGUAACCACCUCGAGAACCUAUACUGCAGCAGCACAUAGAUUGUCUCAGGUUGGUAAUAGGGUACGACAAUUGAACUUUAGUUCCCUGACCCUCCAAGCAAUCGCGCCAUGGCGAUUGAGGACAGAUUGCUUGGAAUCUUUCCCCGGUGGUCAGGCAGGGGGUGAUGAUUUGUCGUGGAAAUAUGAUGACUUCUCUCUUAUUUUUGAUAUUGUAUUUUCCUUUGAUGUAACUGAAUCAGUGGUCCAACCAUGGAUCAUUGUUUGAUAUGAUGGUCCAGUCAUCAUCAGGAACAGUUGGUAUUCUGUAGGACAAGUUCUUCAGUAUAGGUGUAACAUCAGAUGUAUGUGUCGACAACAACCCGCUGUCGUCCUGCAUGAACUAUUCGUGUAAUUUCAUAAAUACUGAUCCAUCGCAAGACACAUGAAGAAGUGUUGGGUAUAAGUUAAUCCACAAGGUAGCUAGCUUGGGGUUGGCGAUCGUUCUGAGAUCAGCAAUCAUCAUGAAAUCGUCCGGUAUGAAGCUAAUGAUUUUCAGGUGUGUCUGCUUGUUUCGUUAAGUGAAUGAGUUGUAAUUGUUGAAUGAAAAGUACGACUUUCGUUAAGCUACUAGGGCCUAACCUUGCAGACUGGCCUCCUAGAUUGGAAAUUGUCUUGCAAAUCGAAUUGCUUACCUUUGCAUAGAUAAGCAGAAACACCAAUAUAAUGUUGACAAUCAUUGUAACUCUAUUUCACGAAGGUUGUACUAUCAACUGCCGAAGAUUGUUAACACCUACUGUACAAGAACCUAUUUGACCAUUUCAAAGAAAAUCUUAUGCUGAUUGAGGUGAUUGAUUCCAACAAAGGUCUCCACAUGCUAUUAACAUCGAACCCCAAGUGGUCGUGGCUUCUAACUGAUGGUGGGAAAUUCUCGAUGAAAAGCCUAAAGGAUUUGGUGGUGCAAGCACACAGGGAGGGUUGGACACUCGGUAAGAAGCAGUUUUCGCUGGAAAACUUAAUCGUCUCAUCAAUCCGGACGUUGAAGUUCAAGAACGCGCUUAUUAAGUAUAAUCUGCCAGACGACAAUCAGAUUGAAGACUUUUUUAGCUUCGAGCGAUGUUAUUUUUACGUUGGUCAAGCUGCUGCAUAGUGAUGACAUCAUUAGCUUCUUGGCGAACGAUUUCAUGAUGAUGAUUGUUGAUCUAAAAAUGAUCGCCAACCCCAAGCUAGCUAACUUAUGGAUUGACUUCUACCCAAACACCUUUUUCUGUUUCUUGCUAUGGACCUCCAUAUAUGAAAAUCCACAGGGUGUUCAUGGAGGACGACAGCGGGUUGUUGUCCACACAUACAUCUGAUGUUGCAGUUAUAUUGAAGAACUUGUCCUACAGAAUACCAUGUGUUUCUUAAGAUGACUCGAUCAUCAUAGCAAAGAAUGAUAUAUGGUUGGACCACUGGUUCAGUCACAUCAAAGAAAGAUACAAUUUGAAAAAUGAGAGACAAGUUAUUAUCUUUCCACGACACGUCAUCGCCCACUGCCUGAACCACCGGGGAAAGAUUCCGAGCAAUCUAUCCCCAACUGCCAUGGCGUGAUUGCUUGGAGGGUCACGGAACCAAAGUUUAAUUAUCGUACCCUAUUACCAACCUGAGGCAAUCUAUGUGCUGCUGCAAUACAGGUUCCCGAGGUGGUUACCGCUGAUAAUUAGAUGCGCUAUUGAGUUCCGUGAGAGGAAGAGAAUGGUGGAACUCUUCCACAAUCUUCGGUUUGAGCAGUUUUUCUAAGGUGUGUUUGGUUGUUUCGUUAAGUGAAUGAGUUGUAAUUGUUGCAUGGAAAGUACGACUUUUGUUAAGCUACUAGUGCCUAACCUUGCAGUCUGGGCCUCUUAGAUUGGAAAUUGUUUUGCAAAAUAAAUUGCUUAUCUUUACAUAAAUAAGCAGGCACAACACUAUAAAUUUGAUAACUAAUGCUCCUCAAUUACAAGAAGGUUGUACUGUCAACUGCCAAAGAUUGUUACCACCUACUGUACAAGAACCCAGUUGACCAUUUCAAGGAAAAUCCUAUGCUGAUUGAGGUGACUGAUCCCAACGAAGGUUUCCACAUGCUCUUAACACCGAACCCCAAGUAGCCCUGGCUUCUAACUGAAGGUGGGAAGUUCUCGAUGAAAAGCCUAAAGGAUUUGGUGGUGCAAGCACAAAGGGAGGGGUGGACACUCGGUAAGGAGCAGUUUUCGCUGGAAAACUUAAUCGUCUCAUCAAUCGGAACGUUUAAGUUCAAGAACACGCUUAUGAAGUAUGAUCUGAUAGACGGCAAUCAGAUUGAAGACUUUUUAGCUUUGAGUGAUGUUACUCUUACGCUGGUCAAGCUGUUGUAUGGUGAUGACAUCAUUAGCUUCUUGCCGGAUGAUUUCAUGAUGAUGAUUGCUGAUACGGCUACAGUGGCCGGUCGUCGCCACCAACUUGCGCGACUAGAGUGGUCAGCCGCCAUGUGCGACUCGCGUGCUCGGCUACAGUGAUCGACCGCCGAAUCGUCGAUGGGACCCAACGGCAACCACCCUUUUUGUGGGAGAAGCUCUGAAACGGGCAUGCCACUCGAGUGCGUUCGUCGCGGGAGAUCUGGGAGAAAGAUUUUGUGGGUCCACCGGUCAGUCUCGGUUGGUCCACUGCUCAAAUUGAAAAAAGGCACUGUGGGAAGACUUAGAAGGAUGCGGCAGUAUGGGUUGGGGUCGACAUGGAUCGGAGUUGGAAACCAGCGGAAGGGGUCGGAUACUCAGGGGUCGGGACCGGGACCGGAGGUUGAGCUCUUAAACUCGGGAAAGCUGAGACAGGGGAUUAGGGACUCGGAUUAAGAUUUACUUGAAAGAUUUGGGGUUGGUCGUUACAGCGCCCCUCGUCGACCCCUGGGGCGCGGCCUCCAAGCCCCGCAGGGUCGCGCCCUGGGCGGGCGGUCCGCUCAACCUGUCCCCCGCGGCCGGUUGACGGGACUGGUCCCGGAUGAUGAGCGUGCCAGGCACGAAGGCCGGGACGUAACCCUCCUCCUCCUCGGUCUCGUCUUCAUCAUCCUCAUCGUCAUCAUCAUCAUCGUCGUCCGUCACGACCGCGCCGCUCCGCCGCCUUCGGAACUCCUUCGUGGCCCUCUUCCUCCUCCUCGCCGUCUCCUUGUCUUUCCUCCUCUUCUACUUUUCAGUGAGGAGGCAGUUCUGCUGCGGCCGCGCUGCGUCCUCCGGCACUGGCGGGUGGGAGGCUACGGCCUGGUUCAACUCGCCCUGCAGACUCGAAAAUAUCACGUCAGGAAUGGCGAACUAGAAAACACAUGAAAGAAGGAUGAGAAGACAAAGAUUUCUCACCAGCGGGAUGUGGCCUUCGUCCAGGCGCAUCGGAGGGUGAUCCGGCACCGGGUAAACGACGUCCCUGUCGCCCAGCGCCUCACGGACACGCUGCUCGAUCUAGGCGUCGGCGAGCACACCCGUCGCAAGGACGGCGCCGUCAGUCGCCGCGCCGGGAACCAUAUCGCCAAGCGCAGGGGCUUGGAGCAUCAGUGGUGGCACCCUCCGAGCGUGGUACGCCCCGAUAACUCCGGCCCUGGUUAGGCCCUCCUUCAAGCGAUUGAUGGCCUAGAGAAAACCAGUGAUGUUCCUCUUCUCCUUCUCGACCGAACCAUACGUCCAGUUGUCCGGCGCCUCCGCGAUGACGCGGCCGGUGAACUCCAGCAAGGGGGACUCGGAGCAGUUCUUCAUGUAGAACCACUGCUGGUGCCACCCCUUGUGAGACGGCGCGGUCUUCAUCACCAUGUACUUCUUGGCGCGGUUCUGGCGGAGGUGGAUGCCAGCGCACCCCAUCGGCACCGGACCUGUCCGCACCUGGAUCCCCUUCUUCUCGAUCUUGUGAUGCAGGGUGACCGCGAAGAAGUAUUUCCAAAGCGAGAACUUGGGCUCAAUCCCCAGGUACCCCUCGAACAGAGCGACGAACGCCGCGAUGUGCUGGAUCAAGUUGGGGUUGAGGUGCUACAGCUCGAGCCCGUAGUAAUGCAGCAGCCCGCGGAAGAAGUGGCUCGGCGGAUUCGCAAACCCCCUCUCGUGGAAGUGCGCGAACGAGACGAUGUAUCCGUCAUCCGGCUUCGGCGCAUCCUCCCUCCCGGGGUACCACCACUCAUUCUUGGCGGUCCUCUCGCAAAGGAGGCCCUUCUUCACGAGGCUGGUGGCGCGAGCGGUGUUGAAGUUCGAGCGCAGCCAGGACUCCAUCGCUAAGGGAAGGGAAGGCUCAACGGUGGGGGCGGAGAAGGCUAAUGCGCUGGAACGAAGGGAGGUGAAAAGUGCGCAAGAAAGCAAGAAAGGCUGGAGACGAGUGCAGACUCCCUCGUCUUAUAGGGGGCGCGUGGGAAACGAAAGGGCAAUCCGAUCGCAGUUAUUGCGACGCCAGGUACGCCCAUCACUCCGCCUUUUUCGAACCGUGCACACGAUCUCUUCCAACCGCAGGGAACGUCUCCCCUCCUCGUUUCGCGGGCCUGGUGUUUUCCGUGGCUUCACCUCCCAAAGGAUGCACGCGCAUGACUUCCUCCACGUACGGCCCGGGGCCCACCAACAGGUAAAAAAAGGGAUACGGAGCUGAAAAUGCUCCUACGGCCCAUUACGGUCCAGGGGUUCGAAGGCUGGCCCACCGCAGGGUUCGACAGUCACCCCAGGACACUCCCGAGCAAGGGGUGAGAAGGGACGGGUCCGCUAGCGGGCACCACCCAGGCGAGCGAAAGCCAAGGGCGUCCCGACCUCACGUUCGAGGCCGGACUGGCGUUUAAGUUUAUGGUUUUUCCCCGAAGAAAGGCAACGAGCCCCUGGAUCCGAUCGAACGGAUCCGGGAACUAUAUGAAUUGGCCAUCCGGAAUCUGGAGUACGCCACUAGCUUGGCCCAAGCCGAACCCCCCCGAACGGGGACCGGGACUCCACUCCAACUGAUCCGUUAGCAGCUCACCGAGCAUCAUGGUUCGUCCGACGAGGGUAACAUGGCACGGCUCACCCCCUCCGUCCCAACGAACGGAUGCUUGAGGGGUACCGAUUAAAAGACAAUCCAACCUCUCGAUCGGUCCCCUACAACGCGCGGGGGCUCGGGGGCUGGAAUCGCAACCAACGACCAUGCGUGUGGUCAAUAUUUGGAGUCUUGGAGCAGGAGUGGUCGUCGGAACGAUAGGGAAUCUUCCCGAACCGAGCCAUCCUCAGAACACCCCGCCUACCCAAAACUCCCCGGCCAGGCCAAACGAGCGAAGCUUUUCCUCCCUGAUCAAAUGCAGGUUGCAGGUCAAACAAAGAUCCUUGAUGAACGACGAACAUAGCCUCUGGAGGAGCAUUCUUGCUCCACCAAAGGCUCGGGGGCUACUGUUGGGGGGAAAUAUUAACGACUUCCUUAUAUUCCUUAAACGACAGUUAUAAGGGCCCGGGCCCACCUCCAGCAACAGUGACCUCCGCCGACUUGGCCCGACCCCAGGGUCACAGGGUCGGACGCGCUUGACCCCCCGAGGCCGCUCCUCAUCCCAGCCGAGAGAGUUCUGCCUCGCCCGACCCCUCGCAGCAGGUCUCCGCCUCGCCCGACCCCAGGCGCAAGGGGUCGGACGCGCCCGACCCCUCGUCGCAAGGCUCCGUCUCGCCCGACCCCGGGCGCUAAGGGUCGGACGUGUCCGGACCCACAGGAUAGGGCUUCGCCUCGCCCAAAGGACGUGCGCGGACCAACAGACGAGGGCGCAGAUCUUGUGGGCCCCCACCGAUCUCGCCAUCAAUGCAACCGAUGGGACGCGCAUGCUCGGAACACGGCUCUGACACACGGAGAGGCGCCCGCGUUCCUCUACGUGACCUGCUGGAGUUUUCGGGCGGCGCACUGCUGCCACGACUGCACAGGGCUACAGCUGCACCAUCCUAACCCUCCCCUGUGACAUUCGUCAUAGGGCACUCAUCGCCCAUGCUACCUAACUAAGGAGGGUGCGCCGCCCGGUUUCCCGCUCGGCCCGGCGGCAGGGGCGUGUCAGCCGCGCCCCCCGGUCAGCACGCAUGGCUACAAUGGUCGCCCGUCAUCCGCGACGUGCACGGCUACGGUGGCCAGUCAUCAUCAUCAACUCGCACGGCUACAGUGGUCGGUCGCCACGCACGUCUCGCGUGCUCGGCUACAGUGGCCGACCGCUGGGUCAUCGAUGGGACCCAACGGCAACCACCCCUCCUCGGUGGCCACGCUGACAGGACGCAGAAAUCAGAAGGGAAGGCGGCCACCCCGGUGGCUCGACCCCUCUCCCUGUGCUUUACCUUCCUUGCUUACCUUUUUUUACUUCCCUUUACUCCUGGCUCAAUGGUAACUCAUGUGUCCUCUUUACGCUAUAAAAGGAGGACCAGGGGGGCCGAGAAAGGGACGGCUCUCGAAUGGAACAAUCCAACUCCGACCCGCAAUCCAACCUCACGAGCAUCAGUGCACACCCACAGAGACUUGGGACCAGCUUCCCUCUCUCGCCCGUUUGUAACCCCUACUACAAACUUGGCACGAGUAACACGAGCAGCCUCCCACUCUGGACGUAGGGCUAUUCGUGUCCGAACCAGUAUAAAUCUCGUGUCCUCUCGUGCAACCAUCUGAGCCUUACACGCAUAGAAAACAAAUUUACUUGCCGGAGUCUUGACCCAUGAUUCUUGACACCGACACAAAGGUAAAUAAAAUCUAGGCGAACCUUAAUUGGGACCCAUCAAGAUUAAAAGUAUUAUGUGCAUAACAAUGUUGUAUUGAACAUGAAAGUAAAGGUGAAUAGGACUUAAAGAAAUGAUCAAGGACACGACUUGCCUUCUUGACCUUGCUCUUGCUAUUCAUACUCCUCGAAGGCUUGAUCUUCAAAUCCCUCGAACUGCUGAACGUCUACACGCGUCACAUGAGCACGUACAAGCAAACAAAUGCGUAACAUGAAAAACAGUACACCAAUCAUAAUAAACAGAGAAAACAAGAUUGAAAAACUAAUCUACGCAUUAAAACGAACACGUGGAUAUAAAGAACGCGAAAAACGAAGUUAAGAUGCAAAAGAUAUGAUUAAAACAAGUUUUAGGGGCUUUUCAGCGAGAAAAACAACUUCCAGGGCUAAACUGUGAGAAACCGAGGACUUAUACGUAAUUACGCAUACAAACCGAAGGUUUAAUGCGCAAAAACGCCACUCCGGAUGGCGGGUUAAUUUUAUAAAAGAGCAGGGUUUAAAACAGAAGAAAACAGGACCGGCUCGUAAAUAUUUUUGAACUAGCUUGGACUGCAGGUUGAUUUGCGGAGAACGCGAGGGUUAAAAUGCAAAAAUGAUGCGGCGUGGCGCGGUUGACCGGUGCGCUGCUAGUUGACUCUCGCCCAGGCCGUCGAUUCGAGAUCGAGCGGCUGGCGAGGCGCUGCGCUGACGCCAGCAGCGGUGAGCGGCGGUGAGAGGCGGCAGUGCGGCGGUGCUCCGCCGGAGCUGCUCGAAAAUGAGCUCCCGGCCAUGGUUUCACGUGCGGAUUGCACAGGAAGCACGAGGGGCGCACAGCGAACUCGUUUGGAGCUUCGGCGAGGGACUAGGCGCGGUCGAGACUCACCAUGAGGCUGAGCUUGCAGCAGCGGCGCUGGAACUCGGAGGCGGCUAGGGUUUGGUGGUGCGGCAAAAAGGACCAGGGGUGGCGGCCUUAUAUAGGGGCGGAGGCGGCACCGGCUCAGCCCGAGCUCGACGCGGAUGCAGGGACUCGGCGUGCGGAGGAAGGAAGGCGCGGCGCAAGAAAAAGGAAGGGGGCGGCGCGCUGGGAGGAAAGGAGCGGGAGGAGGAAGAAAGGAAGGUGAGGGACGACGCUGCCCACCUAUCGGCGAGAGGAAGCGGUUGCUGCGCCGCGAGCAGGCUGGCGCGGAAACGGGCCAGGGAAAGGGAAUGUGGGCCUGCGGAGCUGGUGGUGGGUUGGAGGAGAAGAAAGGGAGUAGUGUUGGAGGAAAAGGAGAAGGAAGGGGAUGCAACCAAAAAGAGAAGGAAAAAAAAAGCCUUUUUAUGUAAAAAGGGAUUUGAGUUUAGAAUUUGAAUUUGAUCAAACACAGUCAAUCAAAAUAAAUGCACCAGCAUGCAUGCACAAUAAACUCCUAUGGUGAAUCAUUUUAAUUUGAGAAAAUAAAAUUAAAUGCCUAGAAAUUUAAAUAACAUCCUAAUUGAGCAAUUUUUAGUGGAUUUGAAUUCUUUUAAUUUUGGGUGUUACAAUUUGGUGGUGCAAGCAUACAGGGAGGGAUGGACACUCGAUAAGGAGCAGCUCCCGCUGGAAAACUUAAUCGUCUCAUCAAUCGGGAUGUUUAAGUUUAAGAACGCGCUUAUUAAGUAUGAUCUGAUUGAGGACUUUUUAGCUUUGUAGCUGGCAGUGGCUUCUCAAACGCUGGCGGUUUGCUUGCAUGUAACUUGUUCCGAAAUUAGAAUUCAGAAGUACCCGGGAAUGGCAGUUGAGUUGGACAGUAUCAUAGGCAGAAAUAAUGUGUGUAUGCUUGACCAUGCUCGUCGGAAUGGAAGCCUCUGAACAGGCUAGUAGGUAAGAUGAGAAUGAAUCGUUCAAAUCCUCUCCGUUCCCCUCGGCUGUCCAGCGGCCAACUUGUUCUUAUGGUUCUCUGAAUUUUGAUGCUGCUGUGAUCUGGUACAUGCUGUCAAGCUGAUUGAUCGUUAGACAUGUGUGUGCUUUAUUCUAUUUGAUAAACACAUCUAUUCCUUUCACUGUCUGCUAACUUGCAUCAAUUAGUAUGGGUGUAUGCUUGACUAUGCUUCCAACAACGUUGGUAGUCUUAAGAUGUGAAGGUGGUCCAAUAUCUUUAGACUUUAGGUCCCAUCAGAAUUUGUGAAGCAUCAGUUUAAUCAUUUACAUACAGACAAGCUUGUGUCAGCGGAUGAGGAUCAGGUCUAACCUCUUCGGAUUGGGAGAGAUGAAGCAAUCUCCCAGGUCCCAGCAAACCACCUCUUCGGAUUGGGAGAGUUGAAGCAAUCUCCCAGCAAACCUAGGGGUUGGAUAUAAUCCCUGGACCGCUAUCAUUCUUCUGAAGUAACCAAUCCUGUCACAUUUUCUACAUCACAAUAAAUUAUCAAAGUCCUUGUCUGUUCUAAAGUUUACAGAUGGAAACCCGUAUCGGUGAAACAUGUUGUGUUAGUGAUAUUUGGGAUUGCAAUGACUGCGGGAGUUUACAUUUUCAACAAGUUAUAUUUGCAAGACUUGGUAAAGAUUUCUUCACAAGAAAGCUACUAACCUACAAGGCAUCUCACGUUUGCCUUUCUGUCUUUAGCAAUUGGAUGGAACUGUUAGAAAUGGACCAUCCACUCUACUGACUAAUGGAUUGGAUGAUACUGUGCAAUCCCACGUUUUGGUGGUAGUUUCCUUACGAUGAACAGCACCAAAGACGAUGGCACAAUCUCAACAAGCUGCAUAAGACACAGUGAACACCAGCAAUUAUAUCAGCAAGUGCGACGAUUGAUCAUAAGGAGAUAUAAAUGAUAUCACAAAGUUAGCCUAUAUGAUUGAAAUGAACUGACAUUUAUAUAUGUAUCAAAAAACCAUUUCCUAUCAUUAUAUAUAAAGAAAAUCUCCUAGAAGACAUCAAUAUCUACAUCAAACAAAUGAAAGUGAAAUAUAAACUUGCGAAGAAACACCAAGUGAUCUGAAAUAGCAUGGUUAAAAUUGCAGGUACUAACAACAUACCAAGUAGUAAAAGAAGUUCAGGAUUGGAUGAUUCAGAACAUCGAGAUCAGCUUCUUUAUUAAAAGCACUAAAGCACAUCUGUAAGAUAGAUAUAAUAAAUCAAAAUGUUUAUUGGAAUUAUUUCAGAACUUAAGUUAGUGCCGUAUAGGAUUUACCAUUAUGCAUCUGAUCAAGAAGCAACCAAAGCAUAUGGUGGGCACAUAGCCAACCUGUGUAAAAGGGGAUAAUGUUAAACAUACAAAGUCAUCUAGAAAUUUCUACAAUGCAAGAAUCCUGAUAGUGAAGUACCCCAUUCAACUUUUUCCGCCGACCUUCCGACUUGACAGGGAAACGCAGCAACAUCAGGAAUAGCUUACACAAGGAUAUACACAUUAUUAUAAGUAGCUCCUCUGUUAUCAAAAGGAUCAGAACAACAUGACAGAAAUCUACAGGCCCAUGCUUGUUUGCAUGUCCUCAUUUUACAUAAGCACAAGGACGCAUUUAGUGUAUGGAAAUAUUUAUAACUUAGCAAACACCCUCAUAUUGCAGAAUGCAGAUAUCAAGGGGCAACACUGUACAGAAAAUUUUUUGCUCUCAUAUUAGUGGCAUGCUAAGCUUCUUGUUUUCUGCAGUAGCAGUGUAACCAUAAUAAUGCUCAAGGCCAAACAAAAAAAUUAUCUAGUUUAAACAAUGGAAAUAGUAUAGUUUUCAUCUGAUAAAGAACCAUGAUAUAUCAAGGAAUAAGUUAUUACCUUCCUCCAUAGAGAAGGAAACGAAAAGCAGCAAAUAAGGAUGUAGCUGAAAACUAGCUCUGUGUUAGUAGCAGAGGUAAAUAAGUACACAGUAUAAAAUCACAGACUGCGAUAUAAUUUGCUUUAAAUAACUUAAUGUCCAAUUUUAUGUCUCUUUCCUGUCAAAUAGUUGAUACAAGGAGCUAAGGUUAAAAAAUGUAGCUUCUGGAAUUUGCUAAUUGGGUAUUAUUUACAUGAAACUAAGAAUAUUUUCAUAACUAAUAUCAAAAAUUUGUUUUUGAACAUAGUGAUAAUGGGGGAGAAGUCAUCGCAUUAUCUUUUUUUUAAAAGCCUCGUUUAUGAGAGUACAAGUUGUAGUAUCUGAACUUACACAUAGACACACACCCCCACACACACCCAACACCACAAUCACACAUAUCGCAAGCUAAAUCCUACCCCUACACUCACACUCACAUGCCUGCCAUGAAGAGAUGGUCUCGGACAGCAAUUCCCAACACGUGUUGAGGUUGCAGCAAUCCAGGAAAAAUCCUAGAAAAUCCCCUCGAAAUCCGGUUCCAAAGGGAUUCGAACUUGGGACCUUCUACUGAGGUUUGGUGCUACUACGGCUUCUGGUGACCAAUUGGUCCCAGGCCUGUUCGCAUUAUCUCUGACUACUGCUGGAAAAAUUUGUCUAAAUGGUUAUUCUUCGUUUGCCUUAUAUCCCACAGGUUGCUAGAGGUAGACCGUAGGUGGUGACAACCCUAUUGAUCCUUUGUAAUCCUCCACGUCCGGAUACAGCGUAGAGUUGGGUUCAUAAAACCGCAGGCAAGAGUUGCCUGACAGAUCAGGGGUAAGCCGAUGCCCGAAGAAAGUUCUAUUUGAGAGAUCGACCCCUAACUCAACUAUAGUGCUAUCUUAGGAAUCCUCUCUACCUUUGCCUCCUACCUUGGUGUGUCCUUGGACCGACUAAACUAGAAGUUAGUACACACGUUCCUUGGGAUUCGAUACCCUUGGAAUACUUUGAGAUGAAAGCUACAAUGGUAUCCGUACGCUUGCGGAUAUAUUCGUCAUCGUUAAUAUACCCAACAGUAGGAGUUAACAAGAAUCAACUGAGGGCAAGGUUGUUCCCUUUCUCUCUACUUUGGAGAGCACUUCAAUGGUUUUGUUCUCUACCUACAGCAAAAGUUCAAAAUUAGGAUGAAUUGAUGAAGGCUUAUAUGACAGAACAUUAUUCUCUAGUCAAGACGUAGAAUCUGAGGAACAAGAUCAUCACUUAUCUUAGUAUAUGUGAUAGGACUGACUCGUCGCAACACAUCGAUGCGGCGGACGGUGCCUUGCUUUUGGGGUCAAGCAAGCGCCCGGCCGGUCUUCCACGGCUGAGGGCGACGCAUGUGAUGCUUGGGUAAUUGGCUUGCUUGGUGGAGACAGGUGUGGAAGCUGCGGUAGUGCACGGCCAUUUUCAGAUCCUUUUCCGGCGUCCUAGUUGCCACUCAGGCACUCAGCGCUUGGCACUCGACCCAGACAGAUAGCCUCUGGGAUUUUCGUGUCAAAUCGUGCUUGUGUGGCCCACCUCGAGUGAAAAAACUCGCUGUUUCACCUGUCCUUUCUUUCCUCCUUCGAACUUGCGUCGUAGUAGAGGGUGGCAGACUUGUAAUAGCUGUGUUGACGCCUCGGAUCCACACAACACUUGUUCAAAGUCAACGCGCCCGUCUUUUACAUACGACCAAGUUCGACCUUUUGGAACUAGUCAACCCUUGGAGGUUAGUUUCGACGUGUUGGACCAAACAGAACAGCCACACCAGACGAAGAACCAACCUUUUUUUUUCCAGUGCUACAGAGCGUAUCUGUGCAGCAGCUAGCCAAUAGAUUCUGCCACCUAUCCGUAGGAAAAUAAUGUUACAUUAUUAAGAGUUUUGAUAGCUGAACCACACACUGCUCCGUCCUCAAUCACCCAGGUUAAGAAUUAUAAACACACGUGACAUCGUCAUGUCUUAAUCCGACCUCAUGCCUGAUGCUCUCCUUUCAAAUGAAUCGAAUUUCGACGCGUGUCCUUUUCAAAACCAAAAAAAAAACUUUUGACGCAUGCCGUGCCAGGCAUUUCCUGCGUAAAACAGCAGCAUGCAGUCCACAGCUGAGUAACAGAGAAACACACCACGGCCAACUCAUCAAGCAAAACCAACAGAAACACAAACAUCUCAGACAACGGCUAGUAGCACACAUGACUAAUCACAUUCAGACACAAAACAAUGGACAUGGUGAAAAUCAAAUAUGAGAUGCUACCCGUCACAUUCAGAAUGCUCGGACUUGUGUAAAACUGAUGAUUUGUAUCAGAUAUAAACAGGAUUCCAUGAGCGAAGAGAAACACGUCACAGCACCGAUAAUUCAGGCGACUGGACGAAUAAAAUCAAAAUGUGAGACAAGAAAAUGAAUGAACUCUGGAGUUAUCAUAAGCAGUUUUCAGUUUUCGCUUCAGUCCCAUGGUCCAAUCCCCUAUAUAUAUUGUCUUAAUAAACGGCCACACUGAAAUGGCAGAGCAGGAGAAUUAGCAGGCAUUGUUCUCUUAUAUAAUAACCAAGGGGGAUGCAAUUUACAGUUCAUAUAUCAGCCAUAGGGUGGUUUAGCCAGAGCAGAGCUUUUCGAGAGCCAGGUUCUCAUCCCCAUCGACACUCUUAAGGGUACUUCUCACAAGAUCCUCUGGGAAGCCCAUCUCAACCAGCUUCUGCACCUGUACUCCGCACGAACAAAAAGGCUCAUCAACAUGUACAUGUCUUACAUACACAAUGAAAUGAUGAGCAGUACUGUAAGUACCUUCUCUUCCAUGCCAGUGGACGCACUCUUUGCGAAGGCCUCUGUCCAGUAGCGAGCCGUAGCAGCGAAUGUUGGAUAAUCACGCAGGUACUGCAGAAACAGAAUCAACACAUAGAAAUUAUGGGAGAAGGUUGGCAAUAGUAAUUCAGUUAAGAAUCUCACAAGUUCUUGUACAGCUUUAUGGGUCCACACUGUUCCAUUCGUUCUUGCAGUGAAUUUUCAGAGCUUAUGCUUACACUCUGCAUCACUGGACUAAUUCUUGCAGUACAAAUUCCAGAAUGAAGUUACUAAGCCCAUCCUGUAGGCUAUAUAAUGCCUCCUCUGGGACUGGCUAGUGGCCUAGUCUGUUAUCAAAGUAACAACCACAACAUCACUAGCACACUCCAACAAAGCACCUAGCUGUGUUGCUGGACAAAUAUAUCAAAGAGGUAUUUCCUUGGAAUUUGCUAUCCUUCAUUUCGGCUGAGGACAUGGUCAUACGUCAUAGUAAAAACGGUUCAUUAGAAACUUCUUACACCCAGCUUUCCAUACAGCGUUAUAUAUCCUUGUGGGCCAUACUAAAUGCAUACGAGCUUGCUGAAAACCAAAUAAAACUACCUUACGCCCUAUCUUGCAGUCUAGCAUCUGCAUUAGCACAUGGAGAACAUGCAGGACUAAUUGCACUAGUGGAAAAAUUCUAUAGCGGAAAAAUAAAACAUACAGGACUACCACAAACAUAUUCACCUGUGUAACAUUACAACUGUAAAAUUGCCAAGUGCGCUGCAGGCACAAGCUCAUGUGAUGGAUGCAACAAAGUUCACAUAGAAUCUCAUGCUUAAUUUGCUGCGAAAAUGUAUGACGCUAUUCAACCAACAGCAUGACGAGGCAAUUAUGCAGCAUAAACAUAUUUUCUGGAUAAACAGUCAUUCUGACUCAUUUCAUGGGAAUCCACCAAUGACAGGCUAUGGCAAUUUAACUCUCAACCAACUUUAGCUUAAAUUGCAAAAAUUAAAUAUAUAGUGCACUAAAAAUAGAUCCACAACAGGAAACAACCAGUUCAGACCUGUUGUGCAACAACAGCAUCCUGAGGAUCAUCAGGUGCAGGAGAAGAAAGCAGAGCUUGAAGGGAAAGCAGUGCUGUCUUCAAAGUAAGGGCUGGGCUCCACUGAUCUUUCAGAAUGUCCAAGCAAAUUGCUCCAUUUUGGCUACUGAUGUUAGGGUGCCUUCAAGAUAGGUUGGAGGAGAAGUCAGAGCUGAACUGAAAAAAAAAACUAAGAGAGGGCAGCAGAACUUAGGAACACAAGGGGAGACAUGUAACAAAAUGGCAAGAUAAUAAUCACUAAAUCAAAAGGCUGAAGAAAUGGAUGUAAGGAAUCUGUCAGUGCUAGUUGUUCAUGAUCAGAGAAAACAUAACAACACAUAUAUGUAGGAGCAUUGUGUAACGAGAAUAAAAAGUCAUCAAUAAAAACAGAGGGGGUUAACCUGCAUACCAUACUUUGGUGACGAACUGCAUCUUUGGAGGCUCAAAGGGAUAUCCACCUGCCAACCAAAGACAAAAAUCAGUUAGGAAAUAACAUUUGCCACACCGUACUCUCUUACUUCUGAAUUCCAGUUAUUAGCAGAUGGCGGUGCACAAGACAUUUAACUCUGUGAGUUCUUAAUAAGUGAAUACAAAAGCACCACAAACACGACACCACAGAGGCACAGAUUAUUUACAACAGAACAGAUAAAAGUGAAAUGCACACUGAAGUGGUGCAUAUUAACACGUGUAAACAUGGAACAGACACAUCUGCCUGUUCAGAUGCGAUGCUUCAUUGCACAGGUUAGCAAAGGCGAAUCCACAAUUCCACAUGCAGCGACGCACCCACCGACGUCUGCCCUCCCAUACCCUAAUCCGGAAUUGCAACCAGCCAAGGAGCGCGCCAAGUUCGCAGGCAGCAAACCCUAAUCGACCCUAAACCCCUUCCGCGGGAGAGGCAAUCGCGCGUCGCGGCAAUCUAUUCGGCCGACGAAUCGCCCGGGGGAAGCGGAAUCUGCAAUUCCAGGCGCGCGAGGGCGAGGCCGACGAGUGGAUGGGGGAUCCGAUGGAAGGAAGGCGCGAGGUGGGGGAAGGGAUCGGAAGAGGAGGGGCGGCUCACCGGGGAGGCGGAUGUCGAUGGUGAAGGUGCCGCCCUCGUAGGGGCUAUCGGCGGGGCCGGCGAUGGUGCCGGUGAGGUGGGAGAUGUUGGCGCCGUCGUGCAGCGUGAUGGAGACGCCCGAGACCUCCCGGUCGCGGUUGCACUCGGUGAGCUCCUUCUGCACGCGCGAGACGUCCACCAUCGUCGCCGCCCCGCCCCCCGCUCCCUCCCCUCGCGCCCCGCCCGCGGCACCGACCCGCCGUCGCCUCCUGGAGAGCGGCGCGAGAUGGGAAGAAGGGCAGGAAGGGGGCGGAAGGAGAGAGAUCAGGAAAUGGCAGCCCCCACGCUACUAAUAAUACGGCCACUAAUGAUAUGAUAUACUUAAUUACCCUGCUAAUAAUCAUCCUCCACGGUAAUCUUGUUUAGUGAACUGCUACUAAUUUUAAAUGUAGUGCGUAGGAAUUUGCGUGCUGGAUGAGCGGAGAUUCUUCUUUUGGGCUUGGUUGCUUGCCUUGAGGUGUGGGGAAUUCCGAAUCCCUUCACUUGUAGUUUGUUUGUUCUGCCGAAUUCCUUCACUUGUGUUGAUUGUUUAGCCUACUCCGUUUGGAAUCUUACAAGUUUAAAUCCAUGUAAAGCCCAUUGACAUCGAUCUGGCGAUCUGCUCAUCACAAGUAGUCGUAGGCUAAUCAGAUCAAAAACUCCAGCCAGCUUGUGGCAGGAGUGAAAAUUGAAAAACAACUCCAUCAGUUGCCACAUUUGGAAGUGAAAUGUUUUCUAUGGGCUUAUUUGGGCUGCAAUAUUUCAGGUUGCUUUGGGCUCAGUUUCACCGGCCCGCAAUUUCUUCCGCCCCCGCCCCCGCCCCCGCCGACCGGCGGAAAGUAGUAGGCCCAGCCUGUGCUUGCUGUAUAGGCCGCGGAAAAUCGGAAAUGUCACGAUCAAAAUUAGGUAACAACAAGUUAACCUUCCCGAUUGCAUGUGCAGAAUCUGAGUUCAUGCAUGUCCACUGCAUUCUGUGUAUAAAUUGGCUCGUACUCCUUUCGUUUCAAAUUGUAUAUCCUUUUAACUUACUGGCUCGUACUCAUUUCGUUCCAAAUUAUAGAUCCUUUUAACUUUUUAAUGUGCAGAUGCUUAAAAAGAUAAAAUGACCUAUAAUUUAGAACGGAGGAAGCAUGUGUUAGAUGACCAACAUCAUAGCAACUUUUCUUAUCUCCCGAUGCACUCACGGCCGGGCCACGGGGCGCCUUGAAAUAAACAAGCAGAGCAAGCUCGAUUCUUCAAUUUCCGAGAAUCAGUGUAAAAAAAAAGAUUGAGACUGCUUCAGAAUAUUUUGGCCAAUUCAAAAGUGCUUCACGCCACAGCCACUCCGGGGCUUUCACUAGGAUCCAUCCAUCUCUCUAUCGACGACGCUGAUUCCGGUUCCGCUUUGCCAAUUCCGCUUCCUUUUUCAAACUCUAUUGUUUUCGUAUGGCAAUCCCUAACCAAAGAGAUAACAACUAUAUUCGUUUCGUAACAUUAUUUACAAUGGGUUCCACUUUUUUUUUGAAAAAGAAGGAUUCCACUUGCUGAUGGUUAAAAAAAAACCUAGAAUGCAUUCAACCCGUUUAUACCGUGAGCUCCUCGACGGCAUGCCUAGGUCCAUGGAUGCCCGGCAAGCUACAUACCAUUAGGGAUCUUUUGUAACUCCAGGUACGCACGGCUUACCUUAGCAUAAUCACUGGAUUUUGACAAAAAGAGAAAAAAAACGAAGGGAACACGAAAAGGAACAUAGUGGUUACAGUAAGACGUAAUGUGCCAAUCCCACUGUGAAAAAGGUUGCUCUUACUUUCUAGUAUGCGUCGAGAGAGACUGCCAUGCCGAUAAGAGUACGUAGGAUUCAGUUCAAGCGUGGUCUGGUCCGGACUUGAGCUCCUGGAGGCUGGAAGCAGCCAAGAGCCAUAUGCGUGCGCGCCAACUUUAAAUUAUGUGUCGUCUACGCAUUCCCUUCUCCGGGGCGGUGGUUCGUGGCUUCGUGCUGGGCCGCUGGCUGACGAGCUGUCGCAAUCCGAACCAAUGGAAGAUGGACAGAGUGAAGGGUCUCUGGGCGACUGGGCGUAGUAGCUGGAUGGCCCGAGCAGGGAGGAGUAGGACGAGACGCAACGGGCAGGCACAUGCACGACAAGACCCGUCGACGAGACCCCCAGGGCGAAGUCGUUGGCUGGAUAUAGGCAGUGACGCGAUCAUACUAGUACACACGCGUGCUGAAAUGGACUUGGUGCACAGUGCUUUUUCCCCUUUUCUUCGCAAGCGAUGAGGAAUCCUACUGUGCUGUGUGUGAUAUUCGUAGCAUGCAGUUUCUGGCUUUUUCUCUGAAGAAAGAAACCAUGGCAAGAUGGCAUUUGUAUAUCCGUCGCAGCACCCGGCGCUGGAGGACUGCCGGCCGGUACGAGGCGAGGCGCAGUCCGGCGAUCGCCGGACUCUAGCUGUCGUGCAUAUGCCUGUUUCGUUCUUGUUCAUAGGCGCCACUGUAUCCUGCUCCUCUUUAUUAUGCUCGCCCUGUGUGGCUGUGUGGCCGGUGGCUACCAUAUUUUACACGUGCUCUUAUUUAGCAUACGCUUAUUAAAUCUCUUUCAAUUCAGAAUGCAAACCGGGUUAUUCGACAGAGUACCCCAAAAGCAGUUCUUUGUUUAUCCAUUCAAGUGUCUGCCUCUCCCAAGCAAGCGCCCAGCCUGUCCCUGUAUCCGUCUCCUCCUCUCUUUGUGUAGCUCGUGCCUGCUCUCCAAGGGGCAGCUCGUACUAUACUUAGCUGACAUCGACAGACGGGCGACCGAGCAGGAGUCCGAUCGAUAUGGCCAAGCACGGGCACCCAUCAGCUGACCACCCGCUGAUGCGCAACCCCAACUCCUCUUCACCUCAAGGUAGAUGUCUCGAUCCAUCGGAUCAUAUAAGCAUAGUUCAGGUCGAUUCGCCUUUCUGUGUGAUCUCACGCCGGUCGGGCUGGAACUGUACUGAUUGCUCAUGUCAAUUUGUCUGUGUAUAUAUUGAUCAUUCUCUAUGUACCUCAUCAACUGAUUGACGUUGCGGGUAGUGUUCGUCGUGGGAUCCUCGCUGCCGCCGCCGCCGCCGCCGCCGCCACCGCUGCAGACGAAGAUGGCGAGCUUCUCCGGCGACUUCCUGACCAGGUAAAUCGUCUCAAUCCGAUGAUCGCAGUAGCAGGACCCUGCGUCUGCAUGCCGCUGUUUAUAUAUCUUUAUUAUCACAUCAGUGUCGAUCUUAUUCUUCCUUGUUCGUGGCGGCGAUGCAGCGGCGCCACCGCCAGCACCACGACUGCGGCGAAAACGAAGCCUCUGACGAUGUUCUACAACGGCGGCGUCGCCGUGUUCCAUCUCCCACAAGAUAAGGUCCAUGGACUAUGUAUAUCCGUCGAUCUAUGGUUCUUCUGUACAACUGAAUCCGAUCACUCUAGUUCAGCAUGUAUCAUCAAUCUUGCCUAGUUCUCGUUGCUCAUGCCUUUUAGCGCGCGUGCCCUAUGUGCCAUGGCGGCAGGCGGAGGAUCUCAUGAAGAUGGCGGCGGGUGAGAAGGGUGGGGACGGCCGCGCCGGUCCUCGCCGGGCAAACCACGGCGAGGAGUUGCUGGCCAAGUUGAGAAAAGGUAUGUAAUUUCUUGGUAAAAUGAUUUUUCUAGUACUACUCUUCAGUAGUCCGAUCCUCUCUGUGUAUCCGGCCGGGGCAAAAAUGCAAGUUCAGUGUAUCAUAUCCGGCCAAAAUUGGUGAUCGAUUACAUCCUUAUUUUUUGCACUAUAAAGUUUACAUGCCAUGAUGCCAUUGCCAUGCAUGCAAUGCUUUGGAAACUAGAAUAGGGAAGGGAAUAAUGCCCUUUCUUGUUCCGUUGCACACGCAGAGAUGCCUAUUUCGAGCAAGAGAUCUUUGCAGCGUUUCUUCCAGAAGCGCAAGGAGAGGUACGCAUGCAUCUCUCUCUCCCCCCUCCCUUUGUGUUUGUUUAGUUUUGCUUCACGAGUUUGUUUGAAUUUUGAAACAAAAGAGUUUUGUUUGUUGCUUCUACUAAUAGUGCAAGCAACGAUAGAUUAUUAAAACCCUCGAAUAGCAGUACUAUAUAUAAUUAUAUAGGCGGCGUGAAGCACGUUUGGAUUGACGAAACACUACUCGUAGUUCUCUUGUUCUGUCCAUAUGUCGGUUCUCGGAAUUGACGAACCGAGCUGUGCUAACUAAAGGUUGUUUAUUCCAUGGGCGCCCCCGUGACCCGGCCGCGAGCCAAGAAAAAGCUGUGGAUGCUGUCGUCGUCCAACUGCGACCCGACUCCCUUCAAUUCGUCACAAGAGAAUUCCAUUUUGACGUGAACUUGCCGUUUCCUUUCUUUUUUUUUUGUUGUUGUCAAUUAUUCGUUGGUUUGUAGGUAGCUGGAUAGGUUUGUCCUCUGCUAAAAGAAACACUAGCUAGGGUCAAUUACUAACGCCACUUUUAAAAAAAAAAUAUCGGGUCAUUUGGAAGGGCUUCUCCCAAAAGGUUUCACCGACGAAGUCAAAGAAACUGAUCUCAUGUGGCAGAACCGUCCAAAUUAAACUGGUUUAAGUGCGCUAACCAUCCUCUUAAUAGUUAACCCGGUCAAUACGCACUUAAAACGGUGUAAUCUCGUAGUCUGUCGGGUCAAGCCCGAUUGAACCACUGAAUAUCUUGAUCGAAACAAUAUGCAACAAGUCUCACACGAAGGUGAGCGCAGACGAUAUAACAUGACAUUUCAAUUUACAAAUAUGGAGUACACAGAUUUAAUUUACAAACCGAGUUUGAAAUACUUAAAUAGAUUACGAACCAUAGAUUACAAACCAGAGUUCUUAAAUAAACACAUCAGAAGACUAAUACGAGAAGUUCGAACAAAGAUACAUGAUAACAUGAGUAACCCGACAACAUGUAAUCUAAACACAAGACCAUCUCAAAGUGAGGCCACGUUCUAGCAGAGGACAGCCAUCCCAAGGUAGACUAGAACUCAUCUCAAGAAAGGUUUCUUCACUAGCAUAUGAAAGUAAUCAACAAGCAAGGAUGAGGAUACUAAUACUUUGCAAGACUUACCCGACUAUGGUAUUAUACUUAGCCGACUCCUAAUAUGCAAGGUUUUUGGCUGAGGUGUUUAUUUUGCCAAAAAGCAACAAAGAGUGGAUCCUUACUUUCAAGUUUUAGCAUCCACUUUAAAGUUGAACUUAACCAUUCUAAAUGAGCAAGUUGUCAAAAACUUUUCAGUGUAGAAAAACAUUUGAUUAAACAAUAACUGCAUCAUCAUUCACAUUUCAUUCCAUUCCACUUCUUACUACGAUGUGACUCAGCGAUCGAGGUUCUCUUAACCGAGAGCGGUGGCGAAUCGAUUCGAUUUAUAACAUUGUAAGGUGGACCUAGACACACGAUUUAUUCAUACCCCGUCGAACUGCAUAUGGCAAACGGUUCCCUUAAAGAGCGAUAGCAUUUGAGAACUCCUGCGACCCUCGAGUACUAAUCACCACCAGUACCUCCCCAGACCAGAUGUGAGUUACUGACUAGCGCACGAAUAGAAAACAGGACCAACUCAAUCUACUAUCGUGCAAUAAGGUACUAGAUUUUACCGGUUUCAACUACCUCUUACUUCUGCCAUGUGGAUAGUACAGUUCAAACUCAAUCACAGGGGCCAAAACGAACGGGCCUUAAGCAACACUGGCGGAGCGCAACCAACAACAAUAUCAUCAAUUUCAUUUCUAUCUCCACCCGACCUCCAACUUUUCUCAUAUGCACCAUUUACUUUAGAUUUAACCCAUAACUAGUAGAGGAACCUAUAUUUCGCGAGUGACAGACACACUUGACUUUGAAAGGAUCUUGAUGUCACCUACAUGAGGGAAUAGGCAUACCCUAAAAUUAUCGCAACUUAAAAAUAAGUUUAUCAGCGACUUCCGGUAUUUCCGAAGAUGUUUCUGGAAAUUCCGUAACCUACGAAAUUUCCAAAGAAAUCUACGGAAAUUUUUGAAGCUAGGAGAGUAAGCACUUUUGAAGCGGAAUAAAACUCUCUCUACCAGAAAUUGGAACCUCCGGUUUUGGCUUGGAUAGAGAGAACCCCCAACACACAUAGUGGCAAAUGAACUCGAGGUCCAACUAGACUUGGUGUAGAGGCUCAGUAGGUGUUUCUCAUCAGGCUCACAAAGUUGCUGCACUUUACAAACACAAACACCCGAGUAGAUCAACCAAAUUCACAAGUUCAAUAAUGAACGAAAAUGAGAGCAAAUCAGCGAGGAGACACAAUGAUUUGUUUCACCGAAGUUCAGAUUCACCACUAUGAAUCCUACAUCUCCUUUGAGGAGCCCAUUGGAAUACGAGUCUACUCAACUUCCUUCCAAUGUGUCGGGUCUAAUUCAACCACUUUCCUCGUUUCCACUAGAUGACCUUUUUUGCUUGUGAAGGCAAGAUCGCAGCCUUCGCAAACUUGCCGCUACUCACCACACCUUUGGGAGCUAGCCGGCAACGCCUAGCCGUCUAGGAGGCAUACAUCCAAGAGUAACAAAUGCUUCACUUGAAACUUGACAAGGCAAACCAGUAGGAGCUAGCCGGUGAUGCCUAGCCGUCUAGGAGGUACACCUCCAAGAGUAACAAUUGCUUCACUUGAAACUUGACAAGACAAACUAGUGCUCAAGGAACUGAGUGCUCUACUUAUGCUCACGAAUGGCUCCUCUCUUCUACCCAACUCACAAGAUCUAAUAAAGAUCACACAACGUCACAAAGAGGGGUUGUGGAGAGCUAUUUUGGCUUUAGUUUAGUUUAGAAUAGGCAGAAAAUACACUAGUAUUUGAACUUGGGAGUCCUAGGGAUCAUGCAGCUAAGGUUUCAUUCAACUCCUAGGAACUUAAUGAAUAAAAGUAAAAUAUGUAAGUAAGAUAAUUGCAUAGUUUUGGAAUUAGUGGUCAUGCUCCGGUGCUUGCCUUCCAUGGUAGCUUUGAGAUCUCCUAAACUUUUGUUCAGGUCUUGUGACGCUUCAACUAGAGAGGCUUCACGCGACUCACUCUUGGACUCGGCAAUCAAUUCAUACAAUCCAUCAGCUAGCAGGUUAUCUACAUAACAAUGCAUAUGUAUGAGUUGAUUGAAAGGUGGUGACACAUGCACAACAUCAAGUUUAAGGAGUGCAGCAACUCAAUCAUACAUGGUUUAAAGAUCCAAGUAAAUCAUAAAACAUAAUCCUAUCUACACAAAGAAACAUGGUUGGCGCAAUAGAGUUAACUAGAGCUUUUCAUGUGAAACACAACUACCAAGCUAAGUCAACAAUAUUUCAGUAACCUUGGGUUGCAGCAUGGCAUGAACAUCAGGCUCUAACCAAGUGAUUAACAUGCCAUGAUGAUGGCAAGAUCUAAGUAAACACGUGUAUGAAUGGAACUAUGGUGACAACAUGCUAAAGACCAUAAAGAUUUUGGUAGCAACUUUUUCAGGGAUGAAUAUACUGCUGAUGAAGAGCAUAAGAAUAAUUUGUGGGGUCACAAUUUUAGCAUUAAGUAUUUUUAAUAAAAUAAACUAGCUCACAACAAGAAUAAUUAUUCAGUAAGCAUUCGUUCCUAUAUGAACAUGAAUCAUUUACAGGAGCUCAAUCAUCAUACAAACACCUUGCUAUAAAAAUUGUAGCAUGAUUGGAGUACCACAGAAUUUACUAAAAAUCAAACAUGUUAUAACUGUAGAUAUGAAGAAUAAAUUAUAAAUACAGUUUUAUCCGACAUUUAGUGCUACAAACUUCCUAGAAUAGUUUUCAACACUAAUAGAUUACUGUGAAUUUAUCAGGAUUUUAGGAGUACUGGAGCUAUUUAUUCUAAAUUAAGAAGGUCAAACAACAUGCAUUUUAAUCAGCAACAGAAUCAUAUGUGCAUAUAUUUCACAUGAGCAAGUAUUUUACUAGGUAGAAAUGAGCAUAAUGAAACCGACAAAAUUUAGUUUGCAUUUUUAUCAAUUUUUUCUAUGAUUUUAUAAGAAUUUCACAAGUUUAAGCCCCUUUCAACAAAACUAAGGACGAAAAAAGAAGAAGUACUUCUACAGUUACACUCUUGAAAACAAACUUUACCAUCAGCUCUACCCUUCCCUUUACAAAACCGCCCUUAGAUCUAGCUCUUAGGCCCCUUGAAGAGUUCGCACUUAGCACUUAAAUCCUGCACUCUUACACAAAACUCCCCGAGCUUCUAUUUCCUUCACACACAACACCCCAUCCCCUUCCUCCUCCUCAGGUCACCCGUGCGCGCACGGCCAGCGGCGGCGGCGCAACCACGCCGGCACGGAGAUGGCUUUCCCCACCACAUCGACUACCCGAUAACCUUAUUUUCACCCUAGCUCACCUUAUCCCCUACUUAUUGCCUCAAAAACCUAGCCCUAAGGCUACAUAUGAUGAGCGGCGGCGGCACUCCGGCGGUGAGCGCGAAAUCAAGCGUGGCAACUAGCCUAACUCCAAAAAAUAGCAAGAGCAUCACGACCGUGGGCUCACCAAAGCUCGUUUUGUGUAGUUUUUUUGGAGAAGAGAGGAGCGGGAGGAUGGGAUUCGACGGUGAGGUGUGCCGGCAGCAAUGGCGGCCACUGGAGCUUCAAUCCCCAGCGCCUGGAGCUUCAAUCCCCAGCGCUUGGGACCAUGGAGCAGGGCAAGGAGAGGUGGAGGAGGUAUCCGAGCAGGUGAGGCAGGUGUGGGCGGUGGUGAUUUGAGAAUGGUGGGGUGGAGCUCGGAGAUUUUUGCCGGCAGAUAGAGCUUGCUCUGUUCGUCGAGUUUUCUUAGGCUGGAGGAAGAAGAAGACUGAGAGAGGGAGAAAAAGAGCCGGCUGGUUUGGAGAGGAUAAGGCCGGGCGAGCGACGGUUGGGCGCGUCGAGUAAUGUCGGGAGGACGGCGAGCAGUGGAGCAAGGACGAUGCGAGGACGGCGCGGCAGUGGUGAGCGCAGUGCUGGCGCGGACGUCAGCGGUAUGGCGCGGUGGAGCAAGUGGGCAGGGGCGUCGCAUCGGCUUGACCGACCCGCAGGGCCGUGCAGCGAUGGCCACGGAAGCCGACGCGUGGCGACGGCACCGCUCGCCGGCGACGCGAUGGCCGACGCGCGUCGUGCACAGGCAGGGGCAAUUGUGGUGCUCGUGACCAAGGACAGUGCAAGUCAACGACUUAAGCACGACUAUUGCUCUAACUUUUGCAUCCAUUGUGUCUGGAAUUUCAGUGUUUGACCAUUUGAAUACUUAAACAUAGUUUUCAUGCUCCAAUAUCAUACUCCUUUGGGAGUAUAAAGAAAUAACUCAAAGUUUUAUAUUGGACCAAGUUAAGCGUUUAGGUAAAAUUAAUUUUAAUCAUCACCAAACAAAGCUACUUUUAGAACUUCCAACACUUAGGAUUUUCUUAACAUUUCAUGGGUUUAAGCAAAUUUAAACGGGAAAAUUGUGUUUAUUUCUUGUUGAAAACGUAUUCAUGGAUCAAAAAUGAUUCAUUUGUCAUUAUGAACAAUGUUUGGCAUAAUUAUCAUAUUUUUCAUAUUUAUGCUUUUCAUUAAUAUUUAAAAGUAAAUCUAGCCUAAACUCUUCUAAGAAUGUAUUUUCAAAAGAGAACGAGCAUCUUAAGUGCUCAAGUGCUAACAACAAAUUUUAAAUGCAUUUUUGCAUGCAUGAUUAAUGUUACUACCAUGUUAAUUGCUAAGUGAGUGUCAUUAACACCAGGGGUGUUACACCUCACCCGAUUUCUAAUUUAUUUUAGCCCCGACUUACAAAAUAGUUUCACACUAUAGUGCGAGGUGAAGUUGAAGCCGAAAUAAACCCUGCCAAACAGGACGUUAGAUAGAUGUGCAUAUCUAGAUUUUGAAAAUCUAGUUCAAUUAAUCAAGCUACGUAUUGAAAAAAAAAUAGUUCGAUUAAAGAGGAUCGGUGGUGACUAAGGAUUGGACUAAGAAUAGAGUUUAAACUAUUCUUUUAAAGGAACUAGAUAUUGAAAAGCUAAAUUUUGAAGGAGCCAUUUUAAAAAAUUACAACUAAGAAUUGAACUAAAGAGGGAAAGUCUCGGCUACUAUAUAUACGGUGACGCCAUUAGAUAGAGUUUAGCACUAAUAACUGAACUAAAGAGGAGGGUACAUAUUUUGACCUCAAUGCAUUGAGGGCAUUCUACUGAAUAUGGUGGUCAAAAUAGGACCAGUCUGGACUUUACCUUUUUUCAAUAGAAUCGGCAUCUCUUGUAUCUGUUUUUUUUUCUAAAGGAUGAGUUAACGUUAAAGUUCAUUUACAAAGAUUAGUUUAUUUUUCUACGCAGGCUGUACAGGCCCUGAUCAAUGGCAGAUGGAUGAUUGAUGGAGCUGCUAGUUUGCACUAUCAGGGUCCCGACGAAGACGAAUUGAAGAAGGGCGUUUUGUUACGACUUCAUCAGUAAUAUGAUGUUCCAUCUUGUUGGUCUUGUAUAUACCAGCAGAGUAACCAUUUGUUCAUCCGUUUCAUGUUUCCGCAAAACAAAAAUGUUAAUCCGUUUUAUGGACUGAAUGUUAAUCCGUCUGGAACUGGGAUCAUCGGUGUUGCCGUGGAUAGUGGGUACGCAAACUGCCCCAAGGAGAUUCUGCUGUACAGUACUGUUGUAGUCGUGUACCUUCUCUCGUGUUGGGCCUUGUAGUGUGAGUUCUUCCAUCUUGGGCCUUUGCGGCACGGAUGCCCAGCCGGCCGUUUGCUCUCGUUUCUGGUCCUGGCUGGGCUGCUGGCUGGAUCCACCCACCCUAGCUUUGUUGUUUCUUGGGCGGCAGUUGCCAGCGCAGGUACACGGCGGCGCGGGGAGGCAUGUGGCCGCCAACUCACUAAGCUCGCCAGAUCGGAGGUUCCGCUUCCGAUGGCAACCAGCAACAUCCCUCGAGCAUACCUGCAGGAAGACAAGGCACUUGAAGUUCAAAGCCUAAAACGCGGAUUCCAGAACUGGCAGAUCUGAGAAAAGCUAACAACUACACGCCAGUAACUACCAACUCGCCGGCGCCCUAUGGCCAGCUAAACGCCACGGCUUGGAUCUUGCUGCCAUUCCAUGCAAGAAAUCCGGCUACUUUAGCAUACAAUUACACAUGAUGAGUGGAGUGGUUACGCUACCAAGCUACUAUGUGUGUAUGGGUGGUUACAAUUUAGAAGAAGAUUUUAACUUAGGGAAAAAAAAAAGUCUAACGACGAGGGAUCUAUAUGUAUUGUAUCGUGACGUUUUAGGUCGGUCCGUGGCGGUGUGGAGUUUAUGGUAGCAAUUGGUUGCUUGGCUUAAUCUAGCCUGGCUAGAAUCUGGAGCCAGGCUAGUCCAAACUUGUCUAAUGCAGUACAAUCUGUUUGUGUUUGGUUGAUUGCUUAGUCUAAGCCUGGCUAGCCUAAGAUUAUGUUUGGUUGUCUGUCCAAUUUAUUAAGAUGAUCCUAUACAAGCUAUAGGUGAAGUUACCAUCAUAUUUCCCCUUCUCUUCUCCACCACCUCCGGCCAACCCUUCUCCUCACCGCCGGCCUCACCCUUCACUCCCCUGCAUGCUCCUCUCUCUCCUAAUGCCUCCGCCUCCUACUCUGCUCCCCUCGCCGCAGGUACCUAAGAAGUAGUGCUGCCACUCCCUCCUCUCCUCAUGCUGUAAGGUGAAAGAUGAUGAGCUUAAUCGAGAUCGUUGACUUCCAAAUCAAGCUCAACACCGUCCAAUUUCAGCUAGUGAACUUCUAAAUUGCGGUCACCACAGUCUAAUUCGAGCUCCUCCGUGGCAAGAAUAGCAGACAACAAGGAGCGAAGGAGUACUACGGGACUGCGGUGAGCUCACGGAGUCACGGCAGCGGGUCUACUUGUGCGGCAGGCAAGGCGUGAGAACAUCCGGAUCCAUGACAAGCAGCCGCCGUGGCACCCGCGCACGAACACCAAGGCGACGUCCAAGAAGCUAGGCUAACACGCUGCCACCAGCACCAUCAAUACGGGAGGGGCAGAGUCCACCGUGCUUAGAUCCGGUGCGAAUCAAGGUUUGGCCGAUCGCACGGGACGGGGAAGGUCGGUCGUGGUGGGCUUGGCAUGAAGUUAGCGACGCGGGACAGUGGAGGAAGGCGAGACACGAGAUGGCGGAGGAGGUACCCGACGCGGGAGGUGAGCAAAUACGCAAGUUCGAGCUAGACGAAGCCCAGCUCAGUGAAUGCGACUUCCUCUCUCGUUUCCAGCUGGCCAGGCUAAGAGGGCUAUGGUGCAUAAGUUAGAUCCGACUAGGGAGCUCAUGCACCCAACCAAUCAGACUAAAAUGCAUAAGUGAAGCCUGGUGGAAGCUCACUACCACCUGGCGUGACCAUACAGCGACACCCCACCGCACCGCGAGCCACUCCGCACGCGCACCAACCCUCUCGGCCUCUCCGCUCCGCUCCCCACGGCCUCCACCCCCCCGACUCCUCCGCGGUCCAGUGCUCCAGUCACCUCCGCUUCUCGCUCCCCGUCUCGUCGCUUUCCCCUCUCCCCCGCCCGGGCGCCGCGGCCGCCCGACCAGGCCUCGGGAGGCCCCUUCCGAUCCCACUUCCGCCGCCGACGUCGGAGCCGGCGGGCCGUAGGAGAGGUGCGCCCCUUCCUCCUUUCAUCAGUCGCUCUCAGUUGGUGCUCGGUCCCUGAACCCAGCAGUCUGUCGGCGCUGCUCAGCUCUUCCCUUACCCUCGCUCCGGUGCUCCCCUCCGACUCCGAGCGCGCUUCUAGGGUGCCCGCGUGCCGGCGCGAUUCGGUGCGUCGCUUCUUAUACGCUUAUUUAGGAGAUGCAGAUCGGCCGCUGGUACAAUUGUAUGUGUGUUCGGACUUCGGAGAUGCCAAUGCUCUGAGCAAGCGCCUCGCUCUACUCCUAGUACUUAGUUCCCUUGAUAGGUGCAAGGAUCUAGCAGCGUUACCUAGGAUGCUUUAGCCGGCCUAGUGCUGCCCGGGCACAUCACUUGUAUGUAUUUCCAGGGCAAUGGUUUCAUUCUCUGGAUUACCUCGAAUAUGCAUACUUUUUUUAAGAAAUCAAGUGUGGCAUUUCGGGUUACAGUUGUGAUCCCUAUGCAUCAAACCGUCAAUGCAAGUAUAAUGCGUCUAUGAACUGAUGUAAUACCUGGAACAUACACAAUGGAAGAAUCUAUCUUGCAGCUAGAAAGGCGUAUACAAAAAACAGGGCGUAUGAACUUGGCUUAAGACAUUUUUUGCAGUUUUACUCUUCUGCCUGGUUACACACAUGUUUGAUCUUUUUUUUUCCUCAAUGCAGUAACCUAAAGAUCACACCUUUCGUUGUUUGGUUGCAGCUUGGAGAAUGCUUUACUGCUAUCGUUGAUGGUAGGCUUGGUUUUCCACGACCACCUGGAAAUUUUGUUCAAGCUCCGUAGCUAGUAGCAACCAUUUUUUUUUUGUCCAGGGGGACUACUGGACAACUUUCUGAGGUAUUUUUUUUAUCUCAUACCUUAUUUUAUUUCCUUUUAUUUGUCUGCAUAUGAUAAUGUUGUGGAUGUGGGAGUUUCAGAACUAGUCCUAUUUACGUCUGCUUACUCGGAUUCUGAUACUUCUAAACUGUGCAGUUUCCAGUGAAUUAUGGGUGGAUUCUGCUGUUGCUUCAGUACUGAAGAUUUUGAGGAAUAUGUCCAUCCAAGCAACCCUAUCUAUAGGCAAUGCAUAUCCUUGAGGCAUUUUUUCCACAACAUUUUUGGCGGGGUAAUAUGCAUAACCGAUUCUUUGUAUUUUAUAGGCUCUAGUCAAAUAUCACAUAGUGUCACCGCUUACAUUUACAUGCGGGUUUGCUACUUAUGUUGUCUAUAGAACUGAUGAUAUGCUAGGAUUUUGUUCUCAUAAUCGAGAAUAGCGUGUUGAUAUGAUCCAGUUCUUUGACUAUGCUUGCGAAGAGUUAGAUAUUAACCUAUAAUUUCCAACAGUCAUGUCCGCUUUUCUUGUUUCUGUCAAGGGGUCAUGUACGCUGGCCAUGGCCUGGAUGCAUUAGCUUUAUUGAUCGCAUGAUGUUCAAAGCUAACCUAUAUUGCAUUUUCUCAAGUAUAUUAGAUAGCCCAUAUUGCGUUUUCUCAAGUAUUAGAUGGCACCGUUGAUGGAUAUUGGGUAAAAAGGAUACAAAAUUGUAGUGAACAUGCAAUAACUUUCAGAAGAUGACUAAAACUAGCUGAAAAGGUGAAACAUGGUCAAGGUAGAGAUUGAGGAACAUAUACACUUGGCUAGAUAGAUACAUCGUAUACUUGUUAGUUAUGUUGUAGAUAAAUCAUAUACUUGUAAUGAAGCAAGUCCAUCUAGUUACAUUUUUGCCAGUCAAUUACCAGAGUUUGAUCUGUCCAUUAUCAUAUCUUUGGACUAUUACUUGUUAUAACUGUAGCAUUUCUAUUUCCUUGUUCUAUGUAGUAUACUGCAACAUUCCAGAGGCUUGAGUCUAGGCCGAGCAACCCAGCCCAAGGGGCUGCUUCAUUGGGAUCCACUAAUCCAAGUGCCAGCCUAAAUGACAAUUCACUGGAUGAAACUUAUCGCCUUGUUUCUAGACCACCCCCAUAUGAUACUGAUCCUAGAUAUGCCCGUGUUCAAAGAGAAGGCUUGGUAUCAAGGCGUGAGAAAUCCAUAAAUCUCGCACAGGAAGAGUCACUAGCCCUUAGACGCAACGCAAGCAGCUCAGGUAUUGAGCAUUUAGCUGCUCAGAAGAAACGGAGCAGCACUGAAAAUGAGGGUGAAUAUAAGGUCCAUCGUUCUGAAUCAACCAAGAGUUUGUCUGCAAAAGCUUAUAACAGCAGCUAUGCAGCUGUCGGUUCAGAAGAUGAGGAUGUCUGCCCUACUUGUCUGGAAGGUUUGUAUUCAUAUAGCUUUGUGUAAAUACAUAACAGUUUAUCUUGGUCUCUGAACAUAUUUUCCACCGAUUCAUUACGAUAAUUCCCUGUGCAGAAUAUACCCCGGACAAUCCGAAAAUUAUAACAAAAUGUUGUCACCAUUUUCAUCUUGGUUGUAUUUAUGAAUGGAUGGAGAGAAGUGAUACAUGUCCAAUGUGUGGAAAGGUAUGAUACUGAUAGUUCGGCAUUUAUAGUUUUCAAAUCUCAAUCGAAGAUCAUAAUUGCUAAUCACUCAUCAUCAGUUUCUAAGGAGUAAUUUUAUGAUACCGAGCUGACAAUUUAUCCCUCAAUCUGAUAACACUGCAGGAAAUGGAGUUUUGCGAGAGCCCAUGAUAGACAUUUGUUUUACAUGAUCUCACAUCAGAGGAAGGGAAAUGGUCUACAGUAUGGAAUGCUGGGGAAUUGUAAAUAAUAGUAAUGAGCCGUCCAAAUAGAUCUCUUUCGCGAGAUCAGUUUCUUACAUGUACUGAAAUGAUGAUCUAUAUCUUACUAAAAUUCGUGCUGGAAUUUGCUUGCCCAAUCUUUGGUUAUAUUUUCAAAUGGUAGUUCAAGAAUGGAAGCACAGAUUAACCUGAUCUUAAUAGUGAUUGCCUGGUGGGUUCUGUAGCCUAUCUGAUGGUGCCUCCUACUGAAGUGCGUAAAAUGCUCUAAGCUCAUCUUGCUGCAAAGCAUUCGAUGGUUGCCUAAAGCGUCUUUCCUAAAGACAAUUGGUCGCAGAAUAUAAUCGCAAGCCAUGAACUUAAGUGUUUCGCAAUGGCAAUUUGCAAGAGUAGCAGCCAUCAGGCCUUCAGGCACCGUUUUUAGCCCUUUUUUAAUCUAAAUCUUAAUAACAACACUUAUAAAGCUAGAUUUUAAGAAGAUUCAAGAGGCCAGCUGUCACGAGGAGAUUGUGUGACCCUAAAUUAUCACAAGCAGUUUGGCACGACUCACCUCUUGAGUCUUGUCAAGUUGAUUAGCAUAAAUAAUAGUUUUGUUAUUAUUGAAAUUUUAUUAGGUUAAAAAUGGAUAAAAUUUAAAAUUAUCCACUGCCUCAUCAGAGAUUCAAGAAUCGCAGUGUCAUGGGUAAAACAAAAUGUAUCUUAGACAAACAUUCUAUAAAACAAACAUGAUAUAUCCAGACAAAUAAUCUGCUCAAAAAUUAUUUAUCGAAUAGCGCAUAGCAGUUACAAGCCAUGAACAUUGGUUACACAAUGACAGCCAGGCAAGCCUAGAAUACAAAGCCGAUUCAGAAAAUUGAGCGCAACCGUACACUCACAAAACUAAGAGGAGAACCAGCAAGCUAGCAUUUUAUUUUGUAAUCGUUCACCGGCGGGUACCAAUUCAUUUCAGUUUUACACACUUGCCGUCUUGAGGCUAUUGCCCUUCUCCUGCAGGCUCACAAGUAGGCUGUCAAAGCUCUUUUUGAACGAGUCUACGCCUUCCAGCUCAAGCUGCUUCCCGACCUCAUCCCAGUCGAUGCCAAGCUUCUCCAGGGCACUGUACACACCUUCCGCCUCAGACACAUUCGCAUCAACUGUCCUAGAAACAGUGCCAUGGUCAAUGAAUGCCUGCAGCGCUUGGUCGGGCAUUGUGUUGACCUGAAAGCAGAAGGGAAUAACUCAUGUUUAGCAUCACUCUAAGGCCACACUUUGCAUGAUGAUAGAAAGAGAACCUAUCUACGAUUCAAACAAAUUCGAUCUAGGAUGCUCAUCGUGCAAACACACCGUGUCGGGUCCAAUCAGACUGUCCACAUAAAGGGUGUCAGGAUAAGCAGGGUUCUUGACGCCAGUGGAUGCCCACAACAACCUCUGUUUCUUGGCACCUUUCUUGGCCAAAGCCUCCCAUCUUGGUCCAGAGAAUUUCUUCUGGUAGAGCUGAUUUGCUAGUUUCGCCUGUGCUACAGCAGCCUGGCAGAAAAUAGGGAAGUCAUAUUACAGAAAUUCAUGGACAAUUUAGUAAGUCCUAAUAUUACGAGGCAGGCAACUUUUAUUUUAUUUACCUUUCCUCUAAGGGCAAGCGCCUCAGGUGUUCCAAUCUUCUCUAGCAUUUUGUCAAUAAGGCUGUCAACUCGGCUGACAAAGAAGGAUGCAACACUGGUAACUCGAGAUAAGUCACUCAAACCAGAAGCCUCUAGCCCAUCAAGGUAAGCAUCAAUCACGGCCUCAUAUCUUGCAAUAGAGAAAAUAAGCUGCAGUGACAGCAAUGAACAUGUCAUCAAUAAGCUUAUGAAAGCAGUUCUGCAAGACGUAGUUUUACCACAACAAUACCAUAAGAAGGCAAUGUCAAGACAACUCGAUACUUACUGUGACAUUGACACUAAUGCCAUUAGAGAUGACUUCCCGGAUAGAAGGAACACAUUCCGCGGUAGCAGGUAUCUUUAUGUAGACAUUGGGGCGGUUGACCACUUUGUGCAACCACUUUGCGGCCUCAACUGUUCCCUGAGUGUCAUUUGCCAACCUAGGAGACACUUCCACAGAGACAUACCCAUCAGCUCCAUCUGUCUCGUUGUAGAUAGGCUCAAAAAGUUUACAUGCGUCUUGUAUGUCCUUUAUAACGAGUUCCCAGUAAGCACUCUCUGCAUCCUUUCCAGCUGAAAUGAGCUGCUUGAACUGAUCAUCAUAUGCGCUUGAUGACGAAAUGGCUUUCUGGAAAAUCUGCAUCGUGUCGAGACAGGGUUAGGAGUGAAGAUGCAAAUAUGCAAGUGAUCAUACAAUAUGCACCAAAAAAAGGUGGAAAUGGAGUAUUACCGUAGGGUUGCUGGUGACUCCACGAACACCACUGGCGAUAAAGGGCAGCAAGUCGGUGACAGGCCGGCAGAGGUUGUCGUACCAUGGGGACAGGCCCUGGAGCUCAUAGAGAUCAUGAAGUGAGGUCCUCUUGGUCGGAGCACCAUUCCCUUCCUCGGCAGAAGCCAUCGCACUGAAAAUUGCAUUUCACCAAGUAAGGUCAUGUCCACAAGCUAGUUGAAUUGCAAAAAUGAUGAUGAUGAUGAUAUGUGUGAUGAAUUGUUCUAAGUUCAUAUGAGAAGACCACAAUACAAUCAAUUCAGGGAGCUCAUAAAGCUUAUAUCACUGCUAGUAGGUAGUAAAUAUGCAUCCAAGUGACAUAGUAGACCUAUAUAUCUUUUUUUUUAGAGUUCCAGGGCAACCACCCCAGGAACUCUAUCAAGAGACCCAUAUAUAAAUAUAUAUAUAUAUAUAUAUAUAUAUAUAUAUAUAUCAGUUUCUUUUCUGAAAAGAAAAUAUCUAUCAGUUUCAUACUACCACUCUCUACCACAUACCCAAAAGGCAUUUCUGUUGAAGGCAGAAAGAGGUAUGAAAACUAAAAUUCUUUUGACGCUAAUAGAAAGCGUUGCUACUUUUUGGCUGGCGUGUGGCUGCUAUCAAGAGGUCUACAGAAGCAGCAAGUCAGCGACUCAGGUGUGCAGCCGUGAUGCAGCAUGCAACCAGCUCCCGGCACGGCACCUAAAUAGGAGCGCUUGGCCACCCCCAACUCCACACGGAUUCUGCACCAGCCCGGCGACUCGAGAAGCUGGUAUGCCAGAAGCCUCUCCACCGUCCAUUUCCCGAUCGAACGGCCGCAGAAACGGACAGGCUUCAGAACCGGAUCCGAGCGUCUCUAUCGCCACAUCUGGCGGCGUGGCGGGCUACGCCACGCAUCGACGCGGCGGAGCAUCAACCCGCGACCCAACCUUCGAUGCUACCGAUCUCCCAUCCAAAGCACGCAGAGACGAACAGCUCGAAUCUAAUCAAACCUCGCCAAUAUCAAUCACCCACUCAAGCACGCACGCGGAUGCAAAGGCUACUUCAAUCAAACCGCAAAUCUAAUCUCACUGAUGCGGCACGGGCGAGGAAGAGGAGAGGGGAAGGAAGGUGGCGUUACGCACAUGAUGGGGCUCCUGGCGCGGCCGGCGAUGGAGACGCGGAACCGGCGGGCGGAGGGGGCAAACCCGAGGGCGGCUGGGCGGAGGGACGCCGGGGGGAGCAGCGCCGCCGCCGGCCGGGGCGCCGCCAGCUUGGACACCGUGCCGCUCAUCGCCGCCGGGGUUGGUGAGAACUGCAAGGAAGGGAAGUGGGGAUGGAUGGGUGGGGUUGGUCGCUCACGGGGGUUGUUGCGAGGUUUUGGAGCUGAGAUUGAGACGAGGUCCUCUAUUGCUCGUCAGCAUCAAUUUAAGUAGGCGCAUUAUCUGUUUUCGCCUGCCGUUUUUGCGCUUAGACCCCUUGAUAUUUGUGUAUUCGUUCUUUACUACGUUCACAUAUUGUUCUUUUUUCCAAACAUGAAAAAUCAACAUGAUGCCUAUUUAGAACGCACACAUUUUUCACAUGAAUAUUUUUAGGAAAAGUAGUACCAUUGUACCAAUAGAAAAAAACCAUUGGGGGGUCCUUGCUAAUCGUUAUUGUGCAUCUUAUAUUCUUCAUCCCCCAUUAAAAUGCUCAGCUUAGCAUUUUCUAUAUCCAUUUGUACAUUUUUUACGAACUUGAAUGCACAGCUCAUCCCAGGCGCAACAAUGUAAGAAAGAUUAAUAUUUGAUGUGUUCUAUAAAAUGCAACCAAUGUAAAUGCACUUACACAGCUGUCAAGCCGUCUUCGACACCCUUGAAAACGACAUCAGGUUGGAGGUAGCUCCUCUUUGACAAUGAUAGGAGGAAAUGGCGAAAUAGUUGAGCUAGAUCCACCUGGUAAAGGUCAGAUGUGUCUUUUGCUUUGAAAGGGAAAAAAAAAGCGGAGAGUGUGAACCAAAUGAGAAGAGGAAUCGGUUGGUCAUUGGUCGUGUUUUUGAUACAUGGGUUGUUGAAGAUAUUUUUGCCAUUUCACAUCGGCCAAAGUAUCCAGAAAACAGAAAUGAAAGGAAGGCACGAUGCAUGCCGGUCCCUAGGUUUCCUCGUAUUGACGCGCCGGGUUGUGCCAUCGCAAUGACGGAAGAAAAGCGCCCCUUGGACCGUGGAAAAGUCCAAACGAUCCUGGCUGCUACGCAUGCUUAGCAGUCAGCCCCCAGCGAUGAACGCAGGGCGUCAGCUGGCUGGUGGGACGUUGGAGGCGGCUACCAUACUUGCUACGAUCCUACCCUAAACCCUAAGUUCACAAAUCGUCAAGUUCUCUUCCUCUUUUAUUUUUUCUUUUAUUUUCUGUUUUGCUUUUCAGAAAGUGUUUUCAGUGCGUUAACGCGAAAUGCAGAUGAUGGAAUUUGAAGAGGAGAAACCCUGGCAGAGGUGCAGAAACAGAAACUAGUAAAUGGACGGACUCAAAACUCUCGUCCACCUGAGCGCAGGCGGGGACAGACCCUUCGCUGUGCUUGAGCUGUGAAGCAGGGCAAGCUCCAUCCAUGGGGCGUGGUGAGUGAAACUUGACCCAUCCCAAGGGCCAACUUGCCCUUUGGCCGCUCUGCAGUGGCCGUGCUUCUCGUGCUCCUGACCCGGGGCGCGCAAGCUGCGGCGACCUGCCUCCGAUCGGGCUCUUCAGAGUCCUACUCCAUCUCCUCCUCUCCAAAUCUGAACAGUUGCCGGCAGAGGCGUUUGCCGGUGCCCCAACUGGCAACUGAAAGAACAUCCACGUCUUCAGCUGUUCAGAGUUUGUCCAGUCUUUCCCUUUUUCUCCUUUGCUUGCAAAGAUCCUCCUUUUUCCUCUGUUGCAGAGCUGCUCUUCGGAUUGACCAACUUCUAGUUCUACCCCACACAAUCAUCCUCUGAACCUGAAACUGCUUUUCAGGUGCACCGGAAUUCAGAGCGCAGGAGCAACUGAAACUGUCAGUUUGACAGAUGAGUUCAGAGGGGAGAGGGAAAACAAACGUCAAGCAAAGUAGAACAGGUUAGAGGUGUUUGGAUCCUUGAGCUAAAGUUUAAUCCGUAUCACAUUGAAUCUUCGGAGGCUAAUUAGGAGAACUAAAUAUGAGUUAAUUAUAAAACUAAUUAUACAGAUGGAGGUUGAUUCGCGAGACGAAUCUAUUAAGCCUAAUUAAUCCAUCAUUAGCAAAUGGUUAUUGUAGCAGCACAUUGUCAAAUCAUGACUAAUUAGGCUUAAAAGAUUCGUCUCGCGAAUUAACCUCCAUCUGUACAAUGAGUUUUGUAAUUAGUCUAUAUUUAAUACUUCUAAUUAAUAUCUAAACAUUUAAUGUGACAUGGACUAAACUUUAGUCCUGGAACUUUAGUUAGCUCGAUUUACAAACACUAAAUCACAUUGCAACCAUCGAUGCAGUGACCACUAAAUCUAAAUCACACAAGGCUGCCUCUCGUACCUCCUGACAAAUCUCGCUCUAUAUUGCUGCUGCAUGUAAACUGGUCGUGCAAAAACUAAUGCGUGAUCCAUCCAUCCAUGGAUCGAUGUAAAAGAAAACAAAAAAGAACAUGAACAAAUGCAGACGCAACAAACGCAAACGGCUCUGUGUCGUCUACCACGGCUUGAGGUCGUUCUCGAGCCCGGCGUCCCAGUCCAGCACCUUCUCCCCGGGCUCCAGGAACACGCCCUUGCCGUGCGGCAGCUUGCGCGCCAGCCCGUUGAGUAUCUGGUCGAAGGCGUCCCCGGGCCUGGCGGGCUGGUGGAAGAGCAGCGCCUGCUUCACGGACGCGCCGGCGAGCAGCCGCUGCUUCCGGAGGAUGUCCUCCAGCGGGAUGGAGGUGAGGAUGUUGUCGAGCCGCGGCACGUCGCGCUCCGCCACGAACACGCUGAUCUCCUCCCAGGGGAUGGCGUCCGCGAACGGCAGCACGAUGUCGUCGGCGAUGAUCACCGGGAUGCAGCCGAACACCACCGCCUCCACCAGCCGGGGGCUCCAUGGCGCCCAACCCAGCGGGCACAGGCAGAAGAUGGCGCGCUGCAUGUCCUCGUAGUACGUCGACGGGUGCUCCGUCGAGAUGUCGAACAGCGGGUUGUCCUUGAAGUUCUCCCACACCGACGCGCGCGCGCCCCUGCAUCAUCAGGUAAGGCCAUGGUCAAUCACGUUAUCUACAAGCAGCUUAACUAUUUGCAUCAAUGUUGGAACGGCAAGAAAUUAAGCAUGAAAAAACGUGGAUUACCUGGCGUAGUAGCCGCCCUCGGGGUCGUUGCCCAUGUCGUAGAAGAGGCCGCGGAAGUAGACGAAGAUGGAGCGCGGCGUGCCGGGGUUGAUCAGGUGCGCCUGCAUCUUGUGCGGGUUGGCGUAGGGCGGGAUGGUGAUGGACCCGUCCUGCAGGCACACGUGGUUCCGCUGCCCGAACGUCUGCACCAGCGUCGCGCGCCGGAGCAGCGGCAGGAUGCCCCUCUCCAUCGCCCUCUCCUCCUGAAACCACAAGCCAAGUGCCAAUCAGUUCACUAUUUCUUUUCAGCUCUGCAGCCUGUCUCCGGCAACGCACACACACCUGGUAGUGGAAGCAUGCGCCGAAGUCGUGGGGCGUGAGGAAGAAGUGGUCGGCGCCCUCGGUCCUGUUCCAGUAGGGCCACGUCGUGGCGACGUACUUGAUGGCGCUGCGCAUGAUCCGCGGCGCCCGGAACGGGAGGGGGAACCCCUGCGGCGUGAGGUCGCAGGUGGUGUACGCGGGGGUGUAGAACCAGUCGGCCUCCUCGGGGUCCAGCGUACGCACCGCGCUGUUCAGCAAGAACUGGUGCAUGAAGAUCUCGGCGGCGAACAUGUGGUGCAGGCACCGGCUGUCCUUGGCCAGCAGCAUCAGGUUGUACUUGCGAGGCAUCUCGUACACGAACACCUUCAGCUUCCCCACCGGGUUGUCGUCAAGCACGCCGCCGGCGGCCCCUGCUCACAUCGUUCGUUCAUUCAGGUUAGUAAAUCGUCUCGCAUGCAGUUCUUUCUACACAAGUACUGUUUGAAUGUUAAGCUUUUAUAACAUGCUGUAAUGAUUUGAACUGUCUUGAGCAAUGCAAUGAUCAGGGAAUUCGCCCUAGUACCCUACAUACUCUGAAAAGGUUCUUUCUUCAGGAAUAAACGAAUUCAUGUAGCUGAUAUUAUCAAUAUUCAAUGCACUGUGCUAAAAUAUGCAGAGUGGUCAGAUCUUUACAGAACAAGUUUCAGUACUAACAGGGUUUCAGAUUUCAGAAAAGGCAAACACAGAGAUGUUUCAGUUAAUGAUGCAAGAAAUCACUAGUGAUGGGUACAAUUGUUGGUGGAGUCGUUGCUUUCGGCAGUCCACCAACCACGAAAUUUGAACUUUAAUCAAUAAAAUACCGAUCCCUUUCAAGUGGUCUCUACUUUAACGAUACGUUGUUCUUAUCCCUUUCUUUAUCGGUACUAAUCUGGUCGUUAGCAUGUCCGGUUCAAGGGAAAAAAAAUCGUUUGAAAGCGCCAGUGGUCAGUUGAGUGAGUGGAUGGCCACCGCUCGAUCUAGCUGCCACUUAUCCUUUCUUUAUAGUUAUACCACUUCAAGCUCUUGCAUAGUUGCAUUGCAGGCCCUAAAAUGCAGCUAAUUAAAUUAAACCCAAUCUUGCUGGUGCCGCGCCACACUACAGUAGUCCUCCCCGCAAGAGAUGCCUAUUCUGGAAGCUGUUGCUUCGUGGACGCGUGACUGCGAAGAAGAUGGUACAGAGCUAGAGAUCUGAACCAUCAUCCACACUGAUGAUGAUGCGAUGCAAUGUAGGAUCAGGGAAGCUACGAAGCAAAGCAAUGAAGCAUGAUGCAAUGCAAUGGCCGCUUCAAAACAACUGAUGCAAUGCAAUGGUUUAAGCUUCACUUCAGCAACCAAUUAAUCUGUUGCAGAAAGCAAUGCUAAGCAAGCACUGCUUGAUCCAUUGCAGACGCAGGCAUUUUACUCCUACAGUAAUGCUAGUGGUUACUAGUUGCUGGCUUGCUGCUACCAGAGCAGGUACAGCUCUGUACAGUUGGUGUGAGGGCAGCGGCCACAUGGUGGAUCACAGGGGCGCGAGCCGCACACGGCAGCCGGUUAGAGACAGCCACCACGAUUGAUUGAUCCCAGAAGAGGCUGUUGAUUCCCAGCUGCGUGCGCGGCGGUGGAAGCCAGAGCCAAGCGGCGUCCGCCGGGGGUAGGGAGGGACCAUCGGAAUGCGGUGGCAGCGAGCACGAAACCCGGAUCAAAAUCGAAGCGUGAGCUGUCGGGCGCACGGAUCACAACCUCACAGGGCGGCGAGCCGCGAGCCAGCGCAACCAAUUCCGUCCAAACCAGGCAGCGGCGGCGGCGGCAUUGCAGUUUGGAGGCGGCGGGACUGCCAAAUCUGAAUCUCGAGGGGGGCACCCUCGCGCGCCCGCCGGCCGCGAGCGAAUUCAAAAUCUAGGAGGAGGAUGCGAAGCGGGCGGCGCGUACCUGAGAUCCUUGCGCGCUCGUGCUGCUGCCGCUGCGGCGGCGCCGCCGCGGCGACGCAGGAGACGACGAGCAGAACCGCGGCGGCCGCCGCCGCGGCGGGCCACGGCCUCCGGUCCCGCCCCAUUGGCCUUGAUCCUGCCGCGGGCGCCGCCCCGGAGUUGACCGAAUCAAGCAGCUAGCGGCUAACGCUCUCCCCUCCUGCUCGUGCUGCCGCUGCGGCCGUGCGUGUGGAGCUCGAGCGCCGGGCGGCAGCGAAGUGGUGCCGGGAUACUUGUCGCUGGGGAGCGCUUUGUCGUCGUCCUCCGCUGUGCCUGUGCUGGUAGGCUGUCGUUGUCAGGCCCCGAUGGCGCGGCCCGUGGAGGGGAGGGGGAGUAGUAGAAUAGGAGGUGAGGAGGCGGGGUAGUCAAGGUCGCGGCGACGGCGAGCCAAUGGAGGGGGUGCAGCUGCGGAAUUGGAAGCGGAAUCUGCUGCUGGUGCUCUCGCACGCACGCAGGCACGCAGGGAGAGAGCGAGCUGGCGGGGGAGGAAGAGGAGAAAAGAAAAAGGAAAAGGAGGAGAGGGUGCAGCGCAGCAGCUACAUGGCUCGCACGCGGCGGGUGGCGUAAUACGAAAACAAGGGGGGCGCGGGGCGACCCGACCGACCGGGUCCGCGUCCGAGGCCAAACCAAUUGCUUCUUGCAAAGGCUUAUCGGCUCGGCAUGUGCUCGUGCUACGCAGUUGCUAGGAGCAGCAGGCAGGCCCAACUUGCGUCGCUAAUCAUGUGGCCAGGGCCAGGCUUGAGUAACCAAGUCACCCUACGCACCUGCGCUAAUCAUGUUUGCUUGCUACAGCGAUGCAGCCUCCUUUUGGGUACCGUUCCUGCUGUAUUUUUUUAAUUGUAAAGUCUGAUGAAUAAAAGCGAUAAUGUUAGAGAUGGGCUAACAAUUUUUUUUUAUACGUUCGUAGAAAUGAGCUGCACGCGUUGGAGCUGGACACACGACGCCCCUCGAGAGCCAAACCUUUGCUGUAAACACGAAUCAGUGCAGCAAACCCUUGGCUCCCUGAGUAAUCGAGUCAGCAGCCAGCACAGGCUACGGCGAUCAUGUUUAGAUUCCAUGGCCGCUAAGACAGGAACGUAUUUUGAACGUAGUGCUGGACUGAAGCAUCUUUGGAAAUGGCUUUUAGAUUCCAUGUUUGUACAUAUACACAUAUCCAAACUAGAUUGGCUACACGUGGUGGAAACAGCUCCUUUUCUUUUCUUUUCUUUUCCUUUCUUUCUUUGGAAAAGCGCGCUUGAUUGGAUUUGAUCAGCAACCUUGGCCGGCCGCCUCCAAUCACGGAGAGGCGUGCCUGCGCGGUCACCUGCUCGAUCGGCUUCUCCUGCCGCGAGCGUGAGGCCGAGGUGUAAAGAGGAGAGACCAACUGACCGAGCAAAAGCUCACCACAAAACAAAGAGAGAAAUCACAAGAGUAGAGGAGAAGAAAAAGGUGUGCGCCUGGUUGGCCCGCCGUGCCGUUAGGUCGCGGUGGUUGGCCUGCUCACUCCAACGAACGACGAAUAGCCUGCCGCCUCCGCCUCCGUGAUUACGGGCUUGCUAGUUUAUGCGAGGAGCCACGGCAACCCAUCGUCUCGCCAGCCGCAGGUAAUGGAUUACGGUCCUCACGACUCCUUCACAAUCCAACUUAACCAUAUUUAUUUUUAAUUUAAAAUUAUAUAUUUCACAAUUCAACUCAGUUCUAUCUAUUUUUAGUUUAAAAUUAUAUAUUAUUUUCUAAUAUGUAACGUUGGUUAGUUCAUUUUUGAGCUAGCCAACGUCAUGUAUUAGAGGAUGGAGAGAGUUCGAUCCUUAUUAAACCUUAAAUUUACUAGAUUAAAUUAAAAUUUGUUAGGUUAAAUUAAAGUACCCCACAUGUGACGCCGAUGGUGACGCGCUGCGGCGACGACCUGCUUGCACAGCACGGGAGCUGCAGCUACGACAGCGGGGAAGACGAGGAAUCUUCACCCACGUUGCCCGCAUGCAGAUGCAGCGCGCGGCCGGCCGCUCCCUUCCGGCGCCUGCGGGGACGACUAAUUUUUCUCUCUCGUUUUUUACCGUCCCCUGCGCCUGUGCAACGCGCACGGGCACGGCGCGGCGCCAUUAACACCCUGUGCGUCGUGUCGGUGCAUCCGGACUCUGGCCGUUAACGAACCCAUCAACUCCAUUCAUGUAGUGGUACAACACGCGCGGCAGUUUUAAAACCAACAGGAAAAAAAAAAGUUUAUGUACGGAUCAGCAUCACCCCACCUUAUUCCACCACUCGUUGUCCUAUAUCCUUUCAGUUUUUAAAGCCUCUUUUCAUUUCCUUUUUCUCUGCUUUAUGUCAUGCGCACCUACCUUUUCUUUUUUCUAAAAAAAAAAGUUUGCUGGCUUUCCGUCGGCUGGAAAUUUUGUUACACGGAACUGAAGUUACAGCGGUUACAGCUGCAGUGACGUGCUAGUGUUUGGAUAUCAGCUAGUCGCAAACAAAUGGCUAAAAAAAGCAACGCAAGUAUCAAUCUCUUGAAUAUUGGAUGCUCGUUUGAUUUCCUCAAUGAACAAUGGGGCACACUGGCUCUGUAUUUUGUUCCGCUGGUGUGGACAGCGUGCCGGAACACACAAGGGCUGAUGGAAUGUCCUAAUGUCAACAGCAGAGUCUAAUUGUCAUGUUUCGCAUUAAAAGGAAGAGUAUGAUCUCUUUAUUACGAAAGUAUUUUUUUUGGGACGCCAUAAAGCAUAGUUAAUUACUUAAAAAAAUAAAAAAAGAAAACUAGGUAACGGUGAAGGCAUGCUCAUAUAGUCUUAUGAAGUGAUGCUAUGACAUGAAGGUCUCUGCAGUCUACAUACAACAACGACAUUAGGCUAAAAAACAUCCAUCACGAUUAAGAUUGAUAGGUGACGAUGCAUUGAUCUAGGAGUUCUCGUAACCAUUCAGAACUCGUCAGGAUUGUGACCGGGUAACAAGCGGAACUGACGCAUGAAAUGGGCUGGGAAUAGCGUGUAUAUAGCCUCGCGCAAGUCAAGAGAGCAGGUGUAGGAUAUAUUGUUUAUGAUUUGUUUUGGUUAUCGAUCAAGUUCUAAACAAAUAAUUAGUAAAAGCAUUAUUACAUUGGAAGCACGCAAUCAUCACUUAAUAUAGACAGUAUAUGACAGAAAAUAUACUAUCUUCCGGGAAAAUUAGGCGAGGAUGAGGGAAUACUCGUACGAAAUGACGACGCUAUCACAGCAACAACUCUUAACAUCGAUAGGUGUCAGUCUAUUGAUCCAUUGGUAACCGCUUGUCAAGACUCAAGACCGUGACCGGGCAACAAGCACAAAAGUAUGACACAAUUUCAAGAACAUAAUGCGGACUUGGAAUAGCUUAGCUUCGUGCAAGUCAAGGACAGGUUCAGGAUGGAUUGGUCUUGAUCCGUGCAGCCUAGUUACAAAAAAAAAGAGAGAGGUGAGAAAGAGCCAAGAAGUUGGCCAAAAGAAGCGAAGUGAUUGCGAGACAAUGGGUAUGAAAUUAAAAGUUAAAAAAAAAUCAAGUGCGGUGAGCGUGGAUCGAACACGCGACCUUCAGAUCUUCAGUCUGACGCUCUCCCAACUGAGCUAUCCCCGCUAUUGUUUAAUUUUUCUGAAAGUAUAUUUAUAUUAAUGUUUUAAUCUCACGCUUGGCGGACUAGGAUAAUGCACGUGGGCCGUUGUAAGAUGUGCGCCCCUAGUUAUGUUGUGGCCCAUCGAGUCCAUUGCUGCCACUUCUGCUGUCAUUAGGCGGCCCAGUCCUUGGCAAUCCGGGACCGUGACGGCUUCCUGGUUCCUGCAACUGAGAGAAGGAAGUAAAAACCAUGGCAGGUAUCGAUCAAACCGCUUUUCUGAUUUUGCCUGCCGCCAGACGGCCGGCCAGGUUUCUCCAGCGCCGGCGCCGACGCCGACGCCGGAGCCCAGGAAGCAAGGAACGUCGCCGAUGACCCCGUGGACCGUGGUUACUGGUACGCAUCGCAUCGACUCUCUCCUCGGCUAUUCUGCACGCGCCGCCUCUGUUUCCAGGCUCCAGUCCUCGGCACAGGCCGCGUUGCCGUUGCUGUUGCGAAUUGGGAAUUUGUGAUCCCCUUCCUUCCCUCCGGGUAUGUAGCAUCUCACCUACCCCCGGUCUGCGUCGGUGCACCAUCAUCAACGUGAAUCGUCGUAGGCCCGUAGCACGUCUCACCAGUUUCUUCGUCAUGAUAAACCUUGGACAACGGCCCCCUGUUGCGUCCUUCUCUCUCACCAAAAGCCUCGAAUAUGUCCAUGCCUCUUUUGCCCUGCACAAAUCUCUCUUUUGAUUUGGAUCUAUGGACUGGCAACAGAUUGAUAUGGAUGUUUAAUCCUUGCUUAUCACUGCACCAAUAACACUCAGAAUUCAGUACUGAAAAGCACAGCAUUUUGCAGGUUCCUGGAUUGGAGUUAACUUUAUUUUCCCCUAUGGUAAACCGGUAACAGCAUAUAAUAUAAUACAUACAGUAUACUACAACAGCCAUACAUUACAUUUGCCACCAUCUAGGCUAACACUAAAUAAAGGUCAAAAUAGGCACUGUCAUACAGGGAAAGCAGGCCACAUUGCCUCAGAAAGAAGCAUGAAGGAGCUUUACAUUUAGCGGCUAUGGCUUGGUUCACUCACCAGCAUCAUUGGCACUGAUGCCUCUCUUGGUUCACUGGUAUGGUCUACACAAGAACACUAGCCAUGGGGAUGAUGCCAUGCCACUAUGCCUACCAUGGCUUCAGAUCACCCCGGGGGCCCUCGGUCCAGUUCAGCACCUUCUGCCCGGGCUUCAGGAACACGUCCUUGCCGUGCGGCAGCUUCCGCGCCAGUCCGUUCAGGAUCUGGUGGAAGGCGUCACCGGGCUGGGCGGGCUGCGGGAACAGCAUGGCCUGCUUCAUUGAUGGGUUCGCGAGCAACCUCUGCUUGCGAAGGAUCACCUCCAUCGGUAUGGAGGUCAGGAUGGUGUCCAGCUUGGGGACGUCAUCCUCAGCCACAAAGACGCCGAUUUCCUCCCAUGGGAUCGCGUCCGCAAAGGGAAGGACAAUGUCGUCAGCAAUGAUCACCGGGAUGCAGCCAAAGACCACAGCCUCCACCAAACGGGGGCUCCAUGGGGCCCAGCCCAGUGGGCACAAGCAGAAGACGGCACGUUGCAUGUCCUCAUAAUAAGUUGGUGGGUGGUCUGUCGAGAUGUCGAAUAGUGGGUUGUUCUUGAAGUUCUCCCAUACUGAUGCACGGGCGCCCCUGUGUUGCACAUGGUAGGUUCAUCAGGAUGUCUUAUUCACUGAUUCAUUAAGACUACUUGUCAGCUAUAUAAUUUAGAUGUGUACCUCGCAUAGUAACCACCCUCAGGAUCAUUUGCAGUAUCGUAGAAUAAACCACGGAAAUAGACAAAGAUUGAACGAGGGGUUUCUGGGGGGACAAGGUGAGUUUUCAUCUUCUGAGGAGGAGCAAAUGGUGGGAUGGUGAUGGAGCCUUCCUUUAGGCAGACAUGAUCUUUCUGCCCAAAAGUUUGGACUAGAGUAGCACGGCGAAGCAAUGGAAGGACUCCUCGCUCGAUAGCCUUCUCUUCCUGAACAAUGGGAACAUUUGAAUGCAUAUUAGAAGAAUGGUCCUAGAAUCAAACACGAAUAGAAUGAUAAAACAUUGUGUGUCUGCGCGCGCGCGCAGUUAGCGAGUUGCAUUGGUCAAACAUAUGAGGAUUCAUGGUUUAUUGUUCCACAACUCACCUGGUAAUGGAAGCAUGCACCAAAGUCAUGAGGCACAACAAAGAAAUGAUCUGCUCCCUCUGUCCUGUUCCAGUAUGGCCAACGCUUGGAAAUGAACUGAAUUGCACUUCUCAUUAUCCUUGGAGACUUGAAGGGUAAGGGAUGACCCCAUGGGGUAAGGUCGCAAGUUGUAUAUACUGGAGUAUAGAACCAAUCAGCUUCUUCUGGAUUUAAAGUCCGGAUUGCACUAGACAAUAGGAACCGGUGCAUGAAGAUCUCUGCAGCGAACAUGUGGCUGAGGCAUCUAGAAUCCUUGGCCACCAUCUUCUUGUUGUACUUGGUGGGCAACUCGUACACAUAUACCUUGAGCCUCCCAACAGGAUCAUCUUCUAGCACAUCACCAGCACUUCCUGAAUUUUGAUCAUGAUUGCAAUGAAAAUGUGAGAAUCAUGUACUGUAAUACCACAAUCCUAAUUCAAUGGGACUCAAACAGGCAUUCAAAAGCCAUUCUUCUUUCCCAUCAAAGCAUAAUCCAAGCUACACUAACCAAUAGCCACAGCAUACAAGUUACAAAUUUUGAUGAGCUACUGCCAAAGCAUAACGAGUACUCUGCUAACCAGCAAACAUAAUUCUCUUGGUAAGAUGCAGCUAAAUAUAUAUCACAUAAAGUAAAGAUUUUGAGAAUCCCUGGUUGUUGUAUCAAGGGUCCUGUAGUUCGAUGUGCAUAAUUAGUGGAGUCCAAUCCAAAGGGACCAUUAAAUUUGCUAAUUUCUACAACCUGAAGUGCCCUUGCUGAUCUAGUAAUGCACAAUGCCAGACUAGCCGCUACAGAAGUUUGCUACUUGACAGUGUAUCUAGUUUGGCUAUACUUGGAGAAAGAAUUCCAACUUCAUUUAUGCUCAGCCGCUCUGCAUAGGCUAGUUCAGGAUCAUAAUCCACUACAGAGCACGCAACCCAGAGUUCUUGCAGUGUGCACUGUUGAGCAGUGAGCUGAGCGCAGGAGCUAGUUCAUUCAAUCAUGGAAUAAAAAAAAAAUGGGGAAAGCGUAGAGCCACUCGUGCCAGGAGGUAAUGUAGCGGGAGAUCUCGCCAACUACCCGCCCGCUCGCCUUCCCAAGUCCGCUUCAUCGGAUUCCCCUCACACUCACUAGCAGAUCCACUGGAAGCACCAAAACGCGUUGACAAGCAUGGAUUCCCGGGAUCAACAACCGACGGGCGCAGGCAAUGCAUAACUGCACAAUCCAGGCAUGGCGCGGGCAAGACGGAAGGGAGGGGAAAGGGAGCAGCUCCGCGCCGCGUACCUUCGAUCCGCUCGGUGUCCUGCGCCGCGACGACGGCGACGUGAGCGAAGGCGAGAAGCAAGGCGAGCGCCAGUGCCGGCGCCCGCGCGCCCCCCGUACCCAUUAGCCGUCCGUCCGCCCGACACCCGCGGUGGCCGCCGCCCGCCGCACCUUCUCUCCACGCCCGGCGCCUCGGUCAGGAAGGACGGGGAGAGAUCGAGAGAGACUCGAGAGGGUCGGGGAAGUGGCAGCAAGCUGCUAGUGGGAUCGAUGAGGGAGGCGGCGAUGGUGGCUUGGCUUGCGGGGCGUCGCCGUCAGUGAUGAGCUGUCGGUGGACAGCAGGUGGUGGGUGCCAGGUUCCCCUCAGCAGCGUAUACGCACACGUACGGUGUACAGGCACGCGUCGUUUCGUUUUGACCUGUCACUGCCAGUCGCUGUUCUUUUUUUUCCCCCAACCUAGCCCUACACUACCACUACUACAGGAGGAGUGAUCGCGAUUUGGCCUCUCUGUCACUAUACGAAUUUGCGACCCUGAAUUUGCAUCCGCAAUACAAAGCCAAAGCGAAGCAAAGCAGGGCGUUCCAGCAACAAAUCACACCUCCGAAUGGCUCUGCUGCGAGUCAGUGAGCCAGGUUUUGGCAACUGACGGGACGGAGCGAUCAAAAUCAGGCCGCGGGAGACGCGGGGCCGGAACCAGGGUUAUUAUCACUAAUCUCUCCUUUUUCCCUCUGCUAAUCUAAUCUGAAUGACUAAAUCCAGUCCAAAUCCAGCCUUAUUAACGACCGGCUGCAGCUGCGUCUCAUUUCCUUCCUUUCUUUCUUCUUCCAUUUGGCGCCAACUACUCGCAGCUCGUGCCAUUAAGAGGCUGUCGGUGUGGGGCAGCAGCUCCCGGUAGUUAGGCUAGGUUGUCCCCCUCGUCGUCUUCCCCAACUCGCUAGGGUUAGGCCACGCACCGCACGGCGGGGCAGGACUGCAGGAGAAUGCAUCUCCUUCUUCAUCUUCUUCCACGUUCGUUGACCCCACGGACCAUUGACGCCUCACCGGAUUUUUUUUUUGUCGCCGCCGAGUACUGUUUGCACCUGGAAAACAAGCUUGGAAUAGGUGACGCGUACAAACACAGCCCCAUGGAUUACCUAUCUUUCUGGUGUUCGUCGACAUCUCUCGAUCAAAUGCAGGUGCAGGGUAAUGAUACUGUUCCAUUAUUUCUUCUUCUUUCUCUUUCUGUAUGACGUGUUAUGAUUUCAAAUGGUCAAAAAAAAAUUUAACUAUACCAACAGUUAGUUUUGAGUCAAACUAUAUGCAUGUUUAGUGCAGUGCAUAGAGGUUGAUUCAUAUUUCAUAAAUAUUUUAGUACAAUCUAACGAUUUUGCAGCAAUUGAUAACAGCUGAUGACAUCUUGGUCCGAAAAAAAAAGCGCUGAUGUUGACUCUUUCUAAUCCAUCUAGUCUAGCCUCCUGUUUGAGGCCUUGUUUGAGGCCUUGUUUAGUUCCCAAAUUGGGAGUGGCAAAGUUUGCAUUUUGCCAUAAAUGUGCAACUGUAGCAUUUCGUUUGUAUUUGUGAAUUAUUAUCCAAACAUUGACUAAUUAGGCUCAAAAGAUUCGUCUCGCAAAGUACAACAAAACUGUGCAAUUAGUUUUUGAUUUCGUCUACAUUUAGUACUCCAUGCAUGUACCGCAAGUUUGAUGUGAUGAGGAAUCUUCUUUUUGAAUAGUGCUAAAGUUGGGAAAAAGGGAACUAAACAAGGCCUGAAGUUACAGUACCAACCAACAAUCUUUCUCUAGGUUACUGUACUCACAUCACAACUUGCUGGAACAUUCCUUGGGAACUCAGCAACAUUCAGACAAAGACCACAACAGCGACAUGAUCUUUCUUAUCACUGAUCCGCAAAUCAGACAGGCUUCCAGAUGAUCUUUGCUUCAAACAGCAGUUUCACGUUUAUCACCCGAUUUGCUUAGAGACAAAUAAAAAUGGAACCAGAAUCAACCGGGUCAUGCAGCACAAACACGAUGGAGGAUGGGCAAGACGAGGCGAUUGCAUCUGCAGUAUGGCUAUUGGCAGUGCAGGAGGAUAUUGAAAUGAGAUCAAGCAUUCAGCAUGAGUAAAAUCUUGUAAAUUUCGAUUAUGAUAUCCACAUAUGAUUGACAAGGCUGACAUUCUCAUCACCUAAUAAAAGAGGGAAAAAGAAGAAGAAGAAGAAAUGAAGAUAUAUAGUAUAGCAGCUAUAGGUAAAGAACAUACAAAAAUGUACAUUUGGCUUCAGGUCAGCACUAUGCAGCCAUGGUAAUUCAAAGGCGCAUGUAUAUUAUCAUGUCCUCAAAUCUUGCUUUUUCCAAAAAGUUCUAGAAUUAUGCCAGAUGCUACCAAGGCUUCAGGUCACCCGGUGGUCCAGCGGUCCAGUUCAGGACCCUCUGCCCGGGCUUGAGGAAGACGUUGUCACCGUGCGGGAGCUUGCGCGCGAGCCCGUUCAGGAUCUGGUGGAAUGCAUCUCCCGCCUGAGCAGGCUGGGGGAACAGCAUGGCCUGCUUCAUCGACGGGUUGGCGAGAAGUCUUUGCUUCCUCAGUAUAACAUCUGUGGGAAUGGACGUUAGGAUGCUGUCCAGCUUCGGAACAUCCUCCUCGGCAACAAACACACCGAUCUCCUCCCAAGGGAUGGCGUCCGCGAAGGGCAGAACAAUGUCAUCAGCAAUGAUCACCGGGAUGCAGCCGAAGACCACGGCUUCCACCAGCCUCGGACUCCAUGGUGCCCAGCCCAAUGGGCAUAAGCAGAACACGGAACGCUGCAUAUCUUCAUAGUAGGUCGGCGGGUGAUCCGUCGAGAUGUCAAAGAGCGGGUUGUUCUUGAAGUUCUCCCAGACAGACGCACGAGCACCUCUGUAAAGAAAAUGCAUAUCAUCAGAGGUCAAAUCCAGGAUGCAAUGGGAUGGAAGAAGAACAAGAGGCAGAUAUAGAGGUGUUGACUCUAUCACUUGUAGACAUAGAGAUGAUUUACCUUGCAUAGUAACCACCCUCCGGAUCGUUGCUGGUGUCGUAGAACAGACCACGGAAGUACACAAAGAUGGAUCGAGGCGUGUCUGGGGGGAUAAGGUGAGCCUGCAUUUUCUGGGGAGGCGCAAAUGGUGGGAUUGUGAUGGAUCCGUCCUUCAGGCAGACAUGGUUCUUCUGUCCAAACGUCUGAACCAGUGUCGCACGCUGAAGCAAGGGAAGGAUCCCCCGUCCAAUUGCUUUCUCUUCCUGAAACAAUGGAGGUAUGCUCGUUACAGAAAGAUCAAGACAAUGAAACAGCCAGUAACAGAAGGCAUCAAUCAGAAGUAUGGCAAGUGGUUACUAUUAGGUGGUUAGUUUACCAUGAAUCUGAAUAUAAACAUGACAUCUUACAGUAAAUCACAAUAUGGGACAUGUUUCGUUCACAAGGGACGAAGAACAUGUGGAGCCUGAAUUAAUUUAUUCGAGAGUAGUUUAUCAACUAGAAUGAAUACUGGAACAAGCAUCUAGAUAUCCCAUUGCCCCCAUGUUCUGUGCCGCAAUUAGAUAUGUCCCAGUUGUUCCCAACGCUGGAAUUUUGUACUAAACUAUUAUAGCUUUACAUCUAAUCUUCAUUAGUACAAGGAUAAAUUAAUGCAUGCGACAGCUACUUAAUGUACUAGUGAUUGUACCUGAUAGUGGAAGCAAGCACCAAAGUCAUGUGGUGUGACAAAGAAAUGGUCUGCGCCCUCUGAUCUAUUCCAGUAAGGCCAGUUCGUGGCAAUCAGCUCAAUUGCGCUGCGCAUCAUUCGAGGAGACUUGAAGGGCAAAGGAAGACCCGAAGGAGUCAGAUCACAUGUUGUGUAUACAGGCGUGUAGAACCAAUCUGCUUCCUCAGGAUUAAAAGUUCGAACAGCGCUUGACAACAGGAACCGAUGCAUAAAGAUCUCAGCGGCAAACAUGUGGUUCAGGCACCUGGGAUCCUUCUUCAGGAGUUUCUUGUUGUAUUUGCUGGGGAGAUCAUAGACAUAGACCUUGAGCCUCCCAACAGGGUUAUCUUCUAACACAUCACCAGCACUUCCUGCAUUUUUAUCGGACACAGCAUUAGGACUUGCACAGAAGUGGGGAAAAGAAUACACUUGGUUUUAGAACCAUGCUAGGAAUGACAGGAUCAUAUAGCACAUUGAUCCGAAGCAAACUAUGCUAGCUAAGCCAUCAAUAGGUCUAAAGUGAAUUUUGCGCCUUUGCAAAACUGAAUGAAGGAUGACAUUUGACUGCUCUGUGAGUACGAUCCUGUUUGUCUAAGCUUGAGGAACGAGCUGCCAUGAGAAACCACUGAAAGAGGUAAACUAAGCAUCAAACUGAAUUCUACAUUUUCCACAGCAGACAAAUACAAAGUGCAUCAGUCAAGCACAAAAUCUAAAGCCCUUUUAGUGAGUGGUAGUGGAUGUUCAAGAAAUGUAAUUUUUAACUGAAUAAGCCAGAACCAGAUCAAAUAACCAUGAACCUAAAGCCAAAGGAUACACCUGCAUCUGCAUUCAAUCUAUCUGUAACCUAUUACUCCAUUAGCAUAUCAGAUGGGGAUCAAACUUGGGAUUCAGAGACCUGAUAGAGUGAUAGAUAAAGCUGACAUACUUAUAAUUAGUAGCAGAUGUAUUACAGACAACCAGCUAGGUAAAACAAGCAGCUUGAGUUCGACAAACUGACAAGAAUGUGCCUAUCAAGAUCAGAAGCGAGACGGAAACGAGCACAAGAAAAGGAAUGGUCCCUCACCUGAGAUCCUCUCUGUCUGGUGGCCCUGCUGCACCGCCUGGGCCUCAGCUCCAAGGAAGAGCGCUGCAACAAGAAUGGCGAUGGCCAAGGCCCGCCGCCUCAUCUUCUUCUCGAUCCCUCCCCACAAGCCUCCUCCCAGCGAGCACCCGAUGUGUGUGUCUCUAGUCUCUACUCUCCUCUCCUUCUUCGGCGACCCUCUCCCUGUCCGCUCUUAUGAGCCAGCCAAUCCCCAGGGGUAAUUAAAGAAGAGAUCCCGGCCAAGGGGAAGCUUUUCCGCCAAUUUUUCUCCUACCAAGCAGCGUUUGGUGGGGAGCCGAGAAGGUGAGCGGUGGCUUUCCUAGGCUUCCUUCCUCCUUCCUCCAACACACACCAGCUUCAGGAAGAAAUAGAGGUCAUGUUCUCUCCUUACUUGGAAGGAAGAAAGGGAUGACUGAGAAAGGAGGGUAGGAAGGCUGUCCGCGGCUGAUUCUUCUUUCUUUUGCUACUCCCCUACUACUAUAUGCUAAUGCAUCUCCCGGCCCCUUUUCCUCCUGCUUUCCUAAUCUUUUUCCUCACACCAAUGAUGAGCUGUAAUCCUGCCCCCUCUAAUAACUAAUUAGAUUAGUGUAAUAAACUAAUGUAAUUGUGGUACAUGAAUGGAUGUUUGGUGAGGGGUUUACCUCGGCAUCAGAUGUCAGGUUUCUUUCUCUUUCCUUUCACCAAACUUGGACUGGACCUCUCACUUGUCUUAUACCUUAAUAAAACGUCAAACCUUGGUUUCUUCACUCCUUUUUAACUAGUUACCGAUAGAACCUCGCGUCUGUGUCAUGGUGUUUAGUAUUCUGCCCCUGAGUCCUGUUCUUUUUCUUCCUUUUCUCCCCCCACUGGCAAUCAUUUUUUUCCGUAUUAUAAAUUGUGCUGAUUGGGAUUGUUCCUUUGCACAUGGGGCACCCAUGAUCAUUCACUGUCAUGGGCUCAUGUCUCAUGAGGGUUUUUUUUGGACAAACAAUUCGAGCCAAGGAAUCUGGUUCAAUGCUUUCCUUCUGUUUAUUGAGGGAAAUUAAUUUUUUUAAAAAGAAAACAGAAAGCAUUGGUGCUUGUUGACGGCAUUGCGGAUUUGGGGGAAAAGAGAUUAGCAAGCUACUUACUGGUACUAUCUGGAGGGGCCAGGGGUUUGGUACACGUUUAUCAGUAGGGUUCAAUAAUUUCUAAGCAAGAUCCAAUCGGGACCCAACAUACCAGAAAUUGUACCACGCCUCGUGUUCUUCAACAGCAUACCUAUGCGAUCAAAGGAAAAUGCCCUCUUCUUGUUAGGGCACCCGCAAUGGAUGUCGUUAGGCUCUCUACAAGGUUCCACGUAGGAGAAAGAAGGUAGGAGAGAAGGUGCUCUCGCUUAAGCCAACGACGUUCUAUAACACACAAUUCAACACUCGUGGGCCCAACAAUGCUGUCAUCAUCCCUUUCCUCUCUCCCUGCCUCGAUCGCCAGGAUAUCGUCACCAUGGCAAUCGGCUGGUGAGUCAGGGUGGGCAGGUGCUACGACCGGUGAGAGGGAGGAUGGCACCUGGGGCAUCGCUCGGCCACCGCCUACUGUCCGAGCCAGCCUGCCGGCGUCAGCGCUAUAGGUCACCACUUCACUGACUGGGGCGGAGCUCGGCAUCCCGGCCAACCGGGGAGAACGUGCAGCGAGGAGAGGGUUUCCAAUGCCGGCGAGGUGGCCGAGGCACGGAACCGGGCUGCCGGAGCAUGGCCGAUGCCGCGGGCAGCCUCCGUCGGGGGCGGCGCGCGACUCCCCCUCCCUCCAAUCCAGCACCGGCUCUGCAGCGCACGGGGCUGGCUUGCUAGCGGCGUGCUCCGGAGCUCAAGUUCGCGCGUCGAGCCGCACGCCUUUCAUGCCACGGCCGCGGCGAGGGGCAUGAAGGGCGGGCUGCGGCUACCGCUGUGGGGCGACACCGGCAGGGGGAGAGAGGAGAGGGCGGGCCGCGGCCGCUGGCGUGGGGCAAGGCGGCACAAGGCUGGAGCGGGGAGAAUGGGAGGCGGUAGCCCGUGCUGCAGAGCGCGCUGGCGGCGGGGUGACGGGAGGUAGCGGCCUGUGAAGCAGAGGGAGUUGGCCCGCUGGCUUGGGGAAUGGGCGGUCGGAGGUGCGUGCGUGUGCUGGCUACCGGCGUGGUGGGGAAGAUGGAGAAGAGGGGAAGAGAGAGAGGAAGAGGAGGAGAGGACAAGGAUGAUUAAAAAUAUCGUGACACUUGGGUCCUAGUACAGUUAGAAAUAAAUGUUAUAGUGUGUCCGUUGACAUGUCAACGGUCUCACAGGUCGUCUCAUGCAAUACCACGUAGGAUUUUUGAUAAUGUGGAGGAGAGAGCGAGGAGAGAGAAAGAGGUCGUUGUUUCGUGAAAUAACUGUCUCAUAAGCUAAAUUGUAGGACUACGAGAUAACUCAACAACCAUUGUACGAGUUAUUGUUGCUAUGCAACUUAUAAUAUUUAUUUUUUCAUAUGCACAAAUUAAAGAAUUAUAUAGUUCUACCAGACAACUUAUAAAACAACCCAUUGUACGGGUUGCCUGUUGAGUCGUCUCAAAAUUACGUAUCAAUGCAUAAGAUCGACUAUUAGACAACACCAAUGUACUCGUCCUUAUAAGGAGACUCUAGUAGAGAGCUGACAAGUUAUACCUAUACCUAAUCUAAUAUGGACAAGUUAUAGAGAGCAGACUCUCCGUAACUCUUGCGGGUGCCCUUAACUGCUCCGAAUUGUCCCAAAGAAAAAAAGAUAAAGCUGGGCGCGCAGUGCCGGGGAUCGUUUCGCUCGUUGGCAGCGUUUCUUGGAUUUGCGAUCCUCCCGUUCGAGCAGAAUCGCGGUUUUGUCUGCAUGAUGAGGAAAUCGGGUUCUGUCAUGGUGACAGGAUCGAAGAGCCCAUGGUAGGGUAGGAGCACGACGCGAUCGAAAUGGACGUGUGCAUGUGCUCCUCCGAUCUCCACAUGCUCCGAUGAUCUAGCUUUGACUUUCCGGCGAACAUUGGUAGGGUAGGUCGCUGCGGCAGACAACGACAUGCCCUGCACUACGCGGCUAGCGUCGGUGGCGUAUGAACAGGCCGUCGUUGCCUCGUUGGCUCCUCCCCAACCCUCUUCUCGGAACACGGGAUUGCACGCAUCAAUUUUUGAGCCUGUUCCUCCAAAAUCUCAACUUUAGCACUAUGCAAAAAGAAGAUUCUUCAUUACAUCAAACUUGCGGUACAUGCAUGGAGUACUGAAUGUAGAUGAAAUAAAAAACUAAUUGCACAGUUUGAUUGUACUUUACGAGACGAAUCUUUUAAGCCUAAUUAGUCAAUAUUUGGACAAUAAUUUACAAAUACAAACGAAAUACUACAGUAUGCUACAGAACUGGCGCGGUGAUAAGACCUGAGGCAUCGGUCAACUGCGACCCGCGUCAGUUGAGGAUGGCGACAAAGUUCAUCCGCCGCCGGUAAGUCAACUCCACGGCGCCAGGGGGGUGUCGCCGUGUCGGAAUGUGAUGUUCAGAACCUGAAAACAAAGGGAUCUGCGCAGACCGUGAGAUUUUUUGCUCGCGCAGAGGGAGACCGGCCGCGGUCGGGCAGAGCGCCGCCAACCCAACGCCCGGCCGCGCCGUACCAAACGCGGCGGCGGCGGCGCGUCGGUACGGGCGGCGGUGGGAACUGGCGGACGCGUCUUGCGAUCCGGGGUGAUCUAGCACGCACGGUGACCACGUGAUGGCCAGCGCGGCGGUCUGGCGGACGCGGACUCGCUCGGGACGCGUCGGUCCGGCCGGAGCGGAGACCCCACCUAAAAGCACCGACGCGGCGCGGCCGUUGUUAAUUAUAGGAUUGCGCCGCCGGCGAUGGAUAGUUAAGCUAAUCCUCGGGACUCGGAUUGGCCGGCAGCCCUUGACUUGGUCGACGGGGAGGAACGGACAAGGGAGGAAGACGAGUACCAGUAGAUGUUCCGUUCCGUUCCGAGCUACUGCCAGCAACGACUCGUUUUCGUCGUGCUUGCGUGUUCCCGUGCCUCUGACUCGGAUGGAUGCAGGAGCAUACUGCCCGUGUCGUUUCCGCUGCCUGUUUCGUUUUGGCUAUCGCAAGGUUUUUCUAGCAUUUGACGCGCCAUUUUCAGUUGGUGAAACAAUGCAUCAGUGUACAGCUGCGAAGUAUGAGAGAGAGAGAGAGAGAGAGAGAGAGAGAGAGAGAGAGAGAGAGAGAGAGAGAGAGAGAGAGAGAGAGAAGAGAGGACCGAAACGAUCGCUGGAUGUAUCAAUCCUCUUGGGCCUGUGUGGCGUACGGUCCAGUAAUCCUGGCCUGUUACUCAAAUGGGCCUUAAUCUACAUCGGUGUCGAGAUGGGCUUGGCGACGUUGUCUCCAUUUCCCCGGCCCCGGGCCAUGCCGUCACGUCGACUCGAAGUUGUCAACAAAAGGCAGCGGGGCCUCACGCCCAAGAUAUUUGUUAUUCAUCGCGCGGCUCAUUACUGCAAUUGCCCAUCCGAUUGUUGACGGCAGUUCGCGGUUGGAGGAAAUGAACGAUUGGGACCUGACCCCAAUCGUCUUGACGGCGGCCGCGACCUGACCCCAAUCGUCUUGGCGAAAUGGCAAAGCACAUGGCCCGGACUUCCUCGGGUCCGCGCGCGCAGCUCGUGAUCACGCACCUUGUGAUUGGUCGAGCUGGAAACCCGGAGCGACGGUACGGCGACGUGUCCUGUGAUCCUGUCCUGCGCACGCAGGAGCAGGACCCCCCGCCGGGCCGGCGAGCUCCGAGGCACGGCACGGCACGGCCAUCAAUGAUCGACGGGCGGACGGAUGGUCCCUGCGAGACGUGCUGCCACCGCCAGUGAGCGGGCGACACGACACCGCGCGCGCCGCAGCGGUGUGCUCCUCCUCCCCCCUCCGGGUCCCCGUCCCGGGGGGGAAGAGGGGAACAACACGACAGCCAUGUCGCCAUCCAAUGUCUCGGGCGCCAGGAAAAACGCGCGCAAGAGAACAAAGCCGCGGCUCCAGCCUCCAGCCCUCCCUUCCUCCCUCCCUCCCAGGUGAGCGAGUCGAGUCGUCGGUCGCUCCAGCCCCAUCGUCCUCGUCCACACAAGCUGCUGCUAGCAGCCCGCUUCAUUAGCUUCCCCGUCCGCCCUCGAGUACUCGUAUGCGGCGGCGCCACGCCACUGGCUCUCGCUGCUGCUAGAUCGAGGAGGAGGGAGGAGGGAGGAGGGAGGAGAUCGACAUGGCGAGCGCGGGAGGUGGGGCUGCGGGGGAAGGGGAGUGGCUCAAGGUCGCCGAGCUCAGGGCCGUGGUCCAGGCGCAGGACCCCCGCGCCAAGGUCAGUGACGACGACCUCCUCAAUCUCUGAUUCCUAACGAUAAUAGGUCGAGGCACCGCAUGGGUCGCCAAGGAUUGCAAGCAGCUCGUAGCACCAGUCGGCAACCCCGGCCUCUCGUCUGCCCGAUUCGUGCUCGCCAGUAUCUACUCCGUAGUUCCUUAGCCUGCUGCUUGCUCCGUCCUGUCUGGAUGCAUAAUUUGCUGGCAUAAUUUACUCCCAGAGAAUCAUCACUUGCCAAGCUGCCCAUGGUUGUCUACCGGCACUCCAGCUGGGGGUUGGGAGACACAUGGACUGCCCCUUCUCUCUUCUGCGCACCGUUUAGGAACUAUGCUGUAUGCUUAAACCGUUUUGAUCCUGCGUAAACAAACGUCAAAAGUGGCGUAAUCUUACCACGAUUUUUAUAUGGUUUCUGUCGACAUCAACGUGAUGAAACUGCAAAGUUUGACGGCCAGGCGUGUGUGUCUUGGUGACCGCAUCCAUAUGGCAAGUAAAGAAAGACCAGAGAUCAUUUUCUCAGCGUCUCCUGGUAGAUCUCCUUUUUGCAACUGCAGCAGUUCCGGCAGCCACAUCUUUUGAAGCCAGUGGUAAUGAAUUCAUUCACUGAAGCGAAUCUGCUGCAUCUGAAUGUAUCCACCAGGAGGUGGACAACCUGACGCUGCGGAGGUUCCUGCGCGCGCGCGACCACAGCGUGGACAAGGCCGCCGCCAUGUUCAUCAAGUUCCUCAAGUGGCGUAGGGAGGCGGUGCCCGACGGCUUCGUGCCGGAGGAGCGGGUGCGGAGGGAGCUCGCGCAGGAUAAGGCCUGGAUGGGCGGCGUCGACAGGGCCGGCCGCCCCAUCCUCGUCGGCUUCCUGGCAAGGCACUACUCCGCCGAACGCGACAUGGCAGAGUACAAGAGUAUGCGAUCUCAUCUGGAGUUGGCUUGGAAAUGCAGCGCAUUCGAUUCGAUUGAAACCAUUGACUGUAGAGUCACGCUUGUUGUUGUUCUUCUUCUCCGCCUGCAGGUUUUGUUGUCUACUUCUUCGACAAGAUCUGUGCCAGGUAAUGACUUGUGCUCAGCUGAUUGUGUAAACACACUCCAUCUCUGCCCGGCAAUGGAAAUUUACACGCACUUCAUCAGCUGAUUGCCAGCAGAUGUUGUAUAACAUGCUCACACUGUAUGUCUUGCACUAGAUUAUCUUAACCUGUGGAGCAAAUUAAUGAACACGCAGGAUCCCCAGAGGUCAGGAGAAGUUCCUGGCCAUCAUCGAUCUUAAGGGCUGGGGGUACGCGAACUGCGACGUCAGGGCGUACAUUGCUUCCAUAGAGAUUAUGCAGGUCCGUUGUUUCUUCUGCCUACGCUCAAUCGGACGUCCACUCAAAACCUGUCCUGCACGAUCAGAUAAUCGACAUGAUACAAGCAACUGCGCAAUGACCACAUAGAUUCUCCUGGAUCAUGCAGAACUACUACCCGGAGCGGCUCGGCAAGGCGCUGAUGAUCAAUGUGCCCUACAUCUUCAUGAAGGUGUGGAAGACGAUGAUCUACCCGUUCAUCGACACCAACACCAGGGACAAGGUGAGCCGGCCUUCCCCGAUUCAGCCAUCGAUAUGACGGCACUAGCUGCUUCUAUGAAGAGGAGGAAACUGUAACUCAUUUGCGCCGCGAUGUGGUUGCAGUUCGUUUUCGUGGAGGACAAGGACCAGCACGAGACGCUGCGCAAGGAGAUCGACGAGAGCCAGCUCCCGGAGUUCCUUGGCGGGAAGAUGCCUCUGGUCUCCCUCAAGGACUAUGUCCAGCAGCCUGAAUCCGUUUAGGCGCACACGUCGGUAAUAAUCUCCAUUAGCGGUUUGGUGCGCAAAGGAUGAACCUCUCUCUGGGUACAGAAGGGAGGAAGAUGGCCUCUAACUACUAGCCCUGCAACUGCAAUGCAACAAUGGCGUACCUGUAAAGUGCGGCUCUGACUGCUAGCGUUGUGUACAGCUGCUCCAAUCAGCGUUGACCGAGGUCAGUGAUCAGCAUAACUGCAGCUGACAUUGUCUGUACCCUAUGGCUGGGCGCCUGGGCUAUAAGAAAAUGAAAUGAAACUAUCAGGGGUGUUUGGGAGGAGGGGACUAAAUUUUAGCUCCCGUCAUAUCGAAUGUUUGGACACUAAUUAGGAGUAUUAAAUCUAAACUAAUUACAAAACUAAUUACACAACAUCUAGGCUAAAUUGCGAGAUGAAUCUAUUAAGCCUAAUUAGUCCAUGAUUUGACAAUGUGGUGCUACAAUAACCAUUCGCUAAUGAUGGAUUAAUUAGGCUUAAUAGAUUCGUUUCGUGAUUUAGCCUAGGGGUUCUGCAAUUAGUUUUGUAAUAAGCUUAUGUUUAGUCCUCCUAAUUAGUAUCCGAACAUCCGAUGUGACAGGGCUAAUUCGCGAGACGAAUCUAUUAAGCCUAAUUAAUCUAUCAUUAACACAUGUUACUGUAGCAUCACAUUGUCAAAUCAUGAACUAAUUAGAUUUAAUAGAUUCAUCUUGUGAAUUAGACUCCAUCUGUACAAUUGGUUUUGUAAUUCUAAUUAGUAUCUAAAUAUUAGAUGUGAUAGGAAAUUUUAGGAGGUCGUAGAAAACCAAACACCCCAUUAAGGCAAAACCACUCAUCGCUGAACUGCUGGCUGCGUUUUCUGUUCUUCUUCAGUCCGGAAGAAUAGGCAGCUGGCAGGCACGGACACGGACUCGUUUGAGAUGCUAAAUUCGGCAGAAUCAACCACUAUCUAUAAUAAAAAUAUAGAGCUCACAAUACUAUGCAAUACUCUAAUAUAAAAACACAGUUAAGAUUAAUUAUAUACUACUGAAAACUUCAUCUUUUGUACGAGUAGUAUACAUCAUGAGUAGUAUAAGUAGCAUAAUGUUAUCAUGGUAAAAAAAAACACAAAUAGCAUCACUAUAAUCUUUUUUGACACUAGCAUAAAGUCUAAAGGAACAUUCUAUUUGAAAUAUCAUAUUUUACAAUAUAAUAAUUACUAAAUUGUUCAUAAUAAUGAACAGUUAGAUCUUAUAUAUACUAUAUACCACUAAAUAGUAGUAUUGUGUAUCGUAAAAAAGCUCAAAAUAUAUCAUUAUCUAAAUAUAGUAUAAUAGAUGGCAUGCAAACGGGACCACAUAUAUUUAAAAAAAAUCACAUUCAAUAUGACCUCGGAUAGGGACAAAAGAUUAUUAAAAAUUACAAUGCUCGAUGACAUCUACAAACUCUGCAACCCAUCCUUUUGUUGAAAUAAUCAAUAUAGUAUUUAAGUAGACAAAUAUAGAUCUGAACUUGUAUGGACUAUUUGGCGAUUGGCACCAAGAUGGCUUUAAACAAAAACUCAGUAGACUAAACUUGUAGAUGUCGUUGUGCUCUAUAAUUUCGGUAUAAAUUUUUAUCUCUAUCAAGCUCAUAUAAAAAAGUACUAAAAGUUUUUUUAAGAGGUGCUAUAGAAUGUAAUAAUUUAACUUUUUUUUACCUUCAUGUCAAAAAAAUGCAGCUGCACUUGCUUCUUUUUCUUUAUGUAGGGCAUAUUGUAUUUGAAAAGGUCAAAUUUAGGGGAUGUUUGGAUAGAGGUGCUAAACUUUAGCAGGUCACAUCGGACGUUCGGAUGUUAAUUAGAAGGACUAAACAUGAGCUAAUUAUAAAACUAAUUGCAUAGAUGGAAUUUAAUUCGCGAGACGAAUCUAUUAAGGCUAAUUAAUCCAUCAUUAGCAAAUCAUGGACUAAUUAGGUUUAAUAGAUUCGUCUCGCGAAUUAGACUCCAUCGGUGCAAUUAGUUUUGUAAUUAGACUAUGUUUAAUACUCCUAAUUAGUAUCUAAACAUUCAAUUUGACCGCUGCUAAAGUUUAGCAUGGUGUUCCAAACACCCCCUAAGUAAGUUUGAUCAACAAUUAGCUAAAUUCUAUGCAUAUGCAUGUAUAGUGUCCAAUAGUUGCACUAACAAAGUUUAGUUUAUUUCGCAUCAUAUACUAUUUAAUAUGAUAUUUUGUAUUAAAAGCAGAUGUUGUACUAUGAAACUAGUUAAUGGUCAAAGUUUGACCUUUUAAAACGCUAUAACGUCUCAGGGUGUUUGGAUACUAUGUGCUAAACUUUAGCAGUGUCACAUCGAAUAUUCGGAUGCUAAUUAGGAGGACUAAAUAUAGGCUAAUUAUAAAACUAAUUGCAGACCCUGUGCUAAUUCGCGAGAUGAAUCUAUUAAGCCUAAUUAAUCCAUCCUUAGCAAAUGGUUACUGUAGCACCACAUUAUCAAAUCAUGGACUAAUUAGGCUUAAUAGAUUCGUCUCGUGAAUUAGACUUCAUCUGUGCAAUUAGUCUAUAUUUAAUAUUUCUAAUUAAUAUCAAACAUCUGACAUGAUAGGUGCUAAACUUUAGCGGGUAUCCGAACGGGGCCUUAUGCUAGUACCAUACAACAGAGCGGCAUCCGGGCCGGAUAUAUUCCCUCCCCGCCCCCCGUCGUCGCGGAGCAGGACUCAACAGAGCGGUCACGUCACAUCAUCGUCGUCGACUUCGCCGAGCCGAGCUCGCUCGCAGGGAGAAAAGUCGAAGAGAACGCCGCGGGAGAAAACAAGUCCAGCGCACGCCAUGCGACCCGCGCUUGCUCGCUUAUUAUAGCAAGCAAGUAGCAAGGGCCAAGGGAGCAGCCAGAGUCCACAGGCAGGCUCCCUCGAUCCGCCGUCGUCUUCACCGCUUGAGCACCCCACUUUCUGCCCAACCUCCUGCUCCUCCUCAUCUCGAGAUCACCACCGCUACUGGGUCGAGGAGGAGGGGAGAUGGCGAGCGCCGCUGGAGGUGGGCCGGCGGGUGAAGGGGAGUGGCUCAAGGUCGCCGAGCUCAGGGCCAUGGUCCAGGCGCAGGACCCCCACGCCAAGGUCAGUGAGAGCUCAUCGAUCCAACCCAUGAUUAACUUGCUCCAUCUCUUGUUAUCGGUCAAUCGUAGUAUCGUCUGUUGCAGUCGCCAUAAGACAGACGUCCUCCUAGCUAUCUAGCGUCGGCUCUCCGGCCGGUUGCUCUUGAUCCAUCGCGCUACGCGAUUCCACCUGCUGCCUCAGGGUGUUUGGAUAAUUAGUUAAAGUUUAAUCCAUGUCAUAUUGAAUUUUUGGAAGCUAAUUAGGAGAACUAAACAUGAGUUAAUUAUAAAACUAGGCUAAUUCGCGAGACGAAUCUAUUAAACCUAAUUAGUUCAUGAUUUGACAAUGUGAUUUGACAAUGUAAUUAAUCAAUUAUCAAAUCAUGGACUAAUUAGGUUUAAUAGAUUCGUCUCACGAAUUUACUUCCAUCUGAAUUAAUAUCUAAAUAUUCGAUGUGACAAUUACUAAACUUUACGACCAAACAGCACCAAAUUUUUUGUUCUUGCGUGCGCAGGUGCGCUCCUGUGUCGUCUCUCUCUAUCACCUCGUAGUUCAUCGGCACUCGUUCUUUUCUUAUCCUGUACAGCUGUACUACGUGCAGCUCUGCUGCUGGUCGUCUUCCCGGGCUUCGGGAGACUCCGGCCGGCUCUUUCUGGCGGAACACUGUUCUAGGACGAUGCAAUUUGCUAUUUCCUUUUAUCUUAACACUUUUGCCAUUGCGCAGUUUAUUGUAUUGGAAUUGGAUUCCUCCUAGCACAAUAAAUAUAACACGAGUCCCCGAUGCUCGUCUAUUUCAUCUUAAAAGGCGCUAGAGAGUAGAAUAUUAUGAAUCGACAUCAAAAGUACCAAUCUAUCGUUAUGCUUCCUGUCGUUAAAAUAAAAGUUCAAAAUGAAAAACUCUAAGAUUGUGCGCAUACUGAAAAUGGAAGAUAAUGGAACAUUCAUUUUAUAUUAUCUCGUGCUAGGUUUAAUUGCCUUUACAACUGUUGACAGUAGCAGCACCAUAUCUUUGGUAGUUGCUCGAUGAGAUCAAGCCAUGGAUAAUUUAAGCCAUCUCGCACGAAGGAUUCAUCAGCAUAUGAGUUGUCAGUUGUCACCUUAUCAUUAGGUGUGCUCAACCAAUUCACAUUGGGGAAUGGGAGCCUACUGUAUACUUUUCUAAGCAGAAAUCAAUGCAUUUUUGCAAUAGUAAAAUGUACAAUGAUAGAAUAACCUCAAAGUCAAAUACAUCACUUUCAAAAAAAGAAAAAAGAAAAAACAUUAGAGACACAGGCAUGCCGGCCAUUCUACCCGUCAUUCUCUCUAGCCUCAACGCUCCAGCUGAUCCGAUCUAUCGACAUCCAUCCGUGCUUGUUCAAGGACCUAAAAUUAAUCACAGUUUACUAGCACUAAACAUCAACAUCUCACUAGUUACUGGUACAUUUCUUUUCGAAAGACCUUUCACUGACUGCGCUAUCAGAAACUAACUGUAAGUUCAUCUGCCAUCGUCGUCGUCAUACGCACGCACGCAAGCAGGAGGUGGACAACCUGACGCUGCGGAGGUUCCUUCGCGCGCGCGACCACAACGUCGACAAGGCCUCGGCCAUGUUCCUCAAGUUCCUCCAGUGGCGGAGGGAGGCGGCGCCCGGCGGCUUCGUGCCGGAGGAGCAGGUGCGGAGGGAGCUCUCGCAGGACAAGAUCUGCAUGGGCGGCGUCGACAGGACCGGCCGACCCAUCCUCGUCGGCUUACCGGCCAGGCACUACUCCGCCAGCCGCGACAUGCCAGAGUUCAAGAGUAUGCAUCUAAUGACGACCAUGCUAAUCCUUGACCCCCACGAGAUGAUGAGUUUCUGAGUUGCAGUUCUUCUUCUGCAGGUUUUGUUGUCUACUUCUUCGACAAGAUCUGUGCCAGGUAACCAUCGAUCAAGCACAUCAGUUCCUGAACUUCUGAUUGUGCCAUGCCUUGCAAAAGACUGUCCUGUAAUUCACGAAGCAAUAUGCAAAAUGCAGAAUCCCCAGAGGCCAGGAGAAAUUCCUCUGCAUCGUUGAUCUUAAGGGCUGGGGGUACUCGAACUGCGACAUCCGGGCCUAUAUCGCAGCCAUAGAGAUCAUGCAGGUCUGUCAUUUCUGCCUUCACUCAGUUAAGCUACUUUCCUUGCACGCAAUUGAGCAGCAGGAGCAAUUGGCUGAUGAUUCUCCUGAUUCUCUGCAUCAGAACUACUACCCGGAGCGGCUCGGCAAGGCGCUGCUGAUCCACGUGCCCUACAUGUUCAUGAAGGCCUGGAAGAUGAUCUACCCGUUCAUCGACAACAACACCAGGGACAAGGUAACCCAUCUCCCAAAAAUCCCACCAACCGCUGCAUUGGGAAACUGCUAGCGCAGGUCGAUCAUUUCCUCCUCCUCUUCUCCUGACUGUGUUUUGUGCAAUGCGUUUGCAGUUUGUUUUCGUGGACGACAAGAGCCUGCAGGAGACACUGCGCCGUGAGAUCGACGAGAACCAGCUCCCAGAGUUCCUUGGCGGCAAGAUGCCCCUGAUCCCCCUCAAGGACUAUGUCCAGCAUCCUCAGGCCGUUUAACCACAUUGUGAGUCAUAUUUAGAGGCUAGGAGCACAGUACGAUCCGUGAUUACAACAAAGAUGCAUCUAUUGGUCCCGAAAUAGUGGCGUAACAUCUUCGCAGGAAAAAAGAAGAAGAAAAAAUAAAUGGUGUAAGUGUACCUGUAAAAUGCAGCUUUGUCCGCUUGCAGCGGGCGGGGUCAAUUGACCAGCGACUGCAAACCAAAUCCCUGAAUAUGUUAUGUGCACGUGCAUAUGAAAACUAUGAACAGGAAGGCACCCUGAAGACAAACACGAUCAUUCCUUCUCGCAUCAGUUCUCCUUUUGACUCAGGUGGUCACAAGUGUUUCCUCUGUGGAACUAAUAACACCAUUCUAAUAAGACUUUUAAAGAGAUUGAGCGUGCUAGCCGUCCUAGCUCAGUGGUAGAGCGUGUGGCUUUUAACCACGUGGUCGUGGGUUCGAUCCCCACGGACGGCGGUCGAUUUUUUAUUUGCCUCUGCCCGCUGUAAUCCCCCCCCCCCCCCCCCCCCCCCUUCUGCCCGCUGUAAUUUUCAGUAUCCUUUUUCAAGCGAAUUUACCUUUGUAUACUGAACGAAGUCACGUUUUUUCCCCCCUGUAAAGCGUGUGUUGGCUACCUGCACGUCCCGGCAAAAAGGAGGCAUACAGAUUUGAUUGCGAAUAUGGAGCCAAACAAAUAACAAUGGUAACAAAAAAAAUUUACUUGAAUAAAAGUAAAUGAUAAGGACCUCAGCAUAAUAACAUACAUACGACUUAAAACAAAAAUAUAUCUAUUCUGCACGAAAUAAAUUAUCGCCAAUGACAAUACCUUUCUUGCAAAUUGAGGAUAUGUGUGAACAUCUUCUCCUCUUGAGUUUAUGUUUCCAUAGUGAUGGCACGAAAGCAACGACCCAUUCCUCUAGCCCAACUUAUUACAACUAUCGUGAAUAAAUGGUUCUUAAUCUUAUAGAAAAAAAAGGCUCCAAUACUUGCAAACACGCAAGACAUGAUAAUAGUGUGGUGAGGGUACACAGUAGAUAUUUUUUUAGAGCUAGAUAUGCUGCCAGCUUUUGUGUGUAACAUUGCCAAGUAUGUUUGGUUUAUAUCUAAUAUUGUCAUAACUAGCAUUUGGUAAAUAUGGUGUAGAUAGGCUAAAAGCAAGAGCUUAUGACAUGCGCCAUCGCGAAUAAAAAAAGAUUAACAAGAGACAUGUUGUGCCAACUGCAAAAGAAAAAAAAAACUACAUCUUAAUUGAAUUUUACAUCUAGGUAAUGUAAGGCAUCCAACCUAACAACUCAUACUAAAUGUCAAGCCAAAAGAUUGUAUAACAGAAAUCCAGAUAAUUUUUCUUUUAAAGAAGGAGACAUAUGCCCCACCCCACCCACAAGUUGUAGGAUAAAAGAAAAGCUAUGGCCGCACCAGCAAUUAUAACAUUUCAUAUUCCAGUUGCGCCCUUGCUGGUGAAACCCUAACUCCACGUGCUUAAAAGUUCACAAACUAGCCCCAUAUAUUAGACUCGAUUUGAAAAUACCCUUCAUAAAACGAUUUGUUACAUUGAAACUUGAGCGCAAGAACCAUCAUAUCAUGCACACAUUUGAUAAGUUGUCGAAUAAGAGUAACUGUUGUAGGUUGGUAUAUGGUGGGGCUAGGGGUAGGUGGGAAACUUACAAACUUAAAUUUAAAUGUGUUUUCAUUGAUGAAGGUUACUAGUCAAAGUUUAACAUGAAAGAUCGUGCACACGCUUGACAAGUUGCAGAAUAAGAAUAACAGUUGUAGGUUGGUAUAAAGUGGGACUAGGGGUAGGUGGGAAACUUACGAUCUUAAUUCUGUUGUCGUUGAUGAAGAUUCCUAAUCAAAGCUCAGCAUGGGAGACCGAGCCCUCUUCACACGUCAUAUUGCACUCCAGGUUGGUAUUUUUAUCAUCUGACCUGUCUUCUGGCUACACGCCGACAAAAGAUUUUAAAGUUUGAAAGAGCACAACAGUUGUAUUGCUCGGAAAAUGAUGAAACAUAGUGAUAGCGCGUCAAAUCGUACUAUGUGACCUGAUAUGGAUGUACACCCUGUCUACCUGUCACACCCAAACAGCCAUUUCAAAAUUCAAAAUUUGAAAGCACACAACACCUGCAUUGUCUGGGAAUUGAUGAAGCAUGCAAAUGGAAACUCCAAUCCCCCAGCUAGCUUCCCCUCUUUUUAGCCCCUCCCCUGCGUACGGUACGAAAGGUAUGGAAGGAAAUCACCGCGUUGGGCUGUUGCCCGUUGGUGAUCCUUUCAUGCGCGCGACUGGCGCAGCGAUUUGACGCAUCGGGUUCAAAGACGCGUCACCCCAAUCGGACGGUGACGCGGGUGCCUGCAAUUCGAACGGCCAAUCCUCAGCCGCCCAAUGUGCGCCUCGCCUAAAAUUCAAACUCGCCCGGGCAAACGCCGCCCAACCCAGCAGGCCAGCACGCCGUGGGACGGUGGCAGUGCCGGUAAAUAAACAACAAAAUCCGGGGGCAUUAUUGUCAUCUCUCCCUUGCAGCAAAAAGGAGGCGAGGGCCGAGGAGGCGCAGCCGUGCUCCUAUUUUGCUGUGUUCUGGACGCUUCGCUCUCCUCCCCCUUCCCUUCGCCUUCCGCCAUUCCCGCUAUCGCGGAGCGCAAGGGGAGGAGUAGCUGCAUCGUCUUCUCCGGCUGCACCGGAAGGGUGAGCUCCUCCUCUCUCUUGCCUUCUUUGAUGCCGCGAUCUGGGCGGCGGCGGUGUGAAUUCGGUCGGCUUCAUCGCUUCAGUCAGGAAAUGGGGUUUUCUGUUCCUCUGUUUUUUGUAACUUUUUUCUCGGGUUUUUGUUGGGGUUUCCAUUCGGUGAAGUUGGUGGCGUCCGGUGGAUGGCGAAGAUGGAUUCGGUGGCUGUGAUGGAGGUGGCGCCGGUGCCGGACCCGCCUUUCAUCGACGCCACUCCCCUGCAGGCGCCGCCGCCGCCCGCGCCGCUGGCGGCGCUUGUGCUGCGCCGCAGCGCUCGUUGCCUUAACAGACCAACCCGGCCCAGCUACGCGGAGCAGGAGCCGCCCAAGCAGCCCAGCGGCCGCGGCCGUGGCAAGAGGAAGAGGGACGAGGAGAAGCAGGAGCCGGCAGCGGAGCAGGGUGCUAAGAGCCCGGGCAGGAAGGCCUCCAAGGCGGAGGCAGGGGAGAGGAAGCCGAUGCCGGUGAUUGCGGCGGUGCCAGUUUCUUGCGCUGGUGUUGCUCCAGCUGCUGUAGAAGAUGAUAGGAUGGGGACUGGGAAGAGCGCCAAGCUGAGGGUGAAGGAGACAUUGAGGGCGUUCAACAGCCACUACCUACAUUUUGUGCAGGUAGCCUUGUGUGUCUGAAUGCACGGAUUUUUGUUAAGUUUAUAGCGUGUUUUCAACUGACGUUUUAUGUAUGUUGCUGUGUAGGAGGAGCAGAAAAGAGCGCAGGCUGCGCUACAAGAAAUUGAGGCAAAGGGUAGCCUAAAACGUCAGGCAAAGGGUGGCAAAAAGGUAUGAAUCUUCGUGAUCUUGAAUUCCUCGUAGCACAUGUUCUUGUAUCCCUUUAGUUGCCUGUAUAUUUGUUCGAUUGUGCUAAGAUUGUGAUAAAUAUCGGGUAAAUGUAUAUGCUCAUUUGCCCUAUAAAUGCAGAAGGGCGGUAAACAGGAGGUUGAAGGUGAGGAGAAAGAGAAACGCCCAUCAAAACGGCCUGACCUGAAGGCAAUCACGAAGGUACUAUAUAAUCUUUGCCAUUCUUCUCAGUGCUAUUUUACCAAAGUGUAUCACUGUCUGAGUUUGCUCUACUUUCUGGCCUUCUUGUUAUUGUAUCCUAGAUGCAAGAAACCAAUGCCGUGCUUUAUCCGGAGAAGAGGAUAGGACAUCUACCAGGUUAGUCUGUUUUUCCUCUAAGGAACGAAUAGUCGUAUUCUAAAGUUUAAGCUGCAUGAGCUCACUGGAGUUUUUUCUUUUUACAUAUUUGCAUUUUACUUUAUGGAUGUGCAAUGUGAUAUUUUUUUUCUUUUCCUCCUCAGGGAUCGAUGUUGGAGAUCAAUUUUAUUCUCGUGCAGAAAUGGUUGUGUUAGGCGUCCACAGCCAUUGGCUUAAUGGGAUUGAUUACAUGGGAAUGAAAUACCAAGGAAAGGUACUCAACAAGCAUUUCUGUAAAAACUUAAUUCUGUUUUUAAAAUUGAAGUGCAGGUUUUGAACUUGGAAUUUCUUUCUUUCUGAUCUUUCCUGCAAUUUCUCUAUUCAAAACAUGCCAGAACACAUCUCUUACUGUAACUGAGUUGUUCAUUUGACGUUGGAACUACAGUUUGGUCCAACAUGCUUAUGCCGCUACCAUUAGUUAUUUAGUCCUAGUGCUUCCCUUAUAUAAUUCCCAAGUAUCUAAUUCUUUGUUGCUGCAUCUAGUAGCUAUUUCUCUGUAUUUUUUAGUAGUUGAGCAAGUUACCUGUUAUGCCAUUUCCAGCUUCCGAAUCAGAGCAGAAGCUGACAUUGAAGGAAUCAUCAUGUAUCUUAACUAAUACUUUUGAAUUUAAUUACGCAGAAGGAGUAUGAGAACUUAAUUUUCCCACUGGCCACCUGUAUUGUAAUGUCUGGGAUAUAUGAAGAUGAUCUAGACAAAGCUGAUGAAAUUAUUUAUACGGGUCAAGGAGGAAAUGAUUUACUUGGAAACCAUCGCCAAAUUGGCUCUCAACAGUUGAAACGUGGAAAUUUGGCGCUGAAGGUUUGUUUUGGUGGUUUUUCUAUACAUAUUUUUUUUAACUUUGAAGAAUGCUGAGUAUUUUUGUUUUGCUAUUUAUAAUGUGUUAGUGUGACAUCCCAGCCUGAUUUCAAUUGGGCCUAUGGUGGCUCAUGUGCAUAUAUGUAUAUGUAUUAUACGUUCGGUUAGUCUCAUCAUGCUAGUAUAGGGUGAGAAACACCAAAAUAUAAGCUUGGCCUUGUUUGUUUCCUCCACAACUUAUAUAAGCUAGCUUAUGAGUCCUGGGUAUGAUUUCAAUUGGGCCUAUGGUGGCUCAUGUGCAUAUAUGUAUGAUACGUUCGGUUAGUUUCACCAUGCUAGUAUAGGGUGAGAAACACCAAAAUAUAAGCUUGGCCUUGUUUGUUUCCUCCACAACUUAUAUAAGCUAGCUUAUGAGUCCCGGGUAGUAUGGUAAAAUAUCACCAAAGAUUCCAAAGUAAGCUGGAAUAAGCUGCCCAAGGGAUGUUUAUUUCAGCUUAUUUUGGAAUCUUGGGUAGCUUAUUUUGGAAUCUUGGGUAGCUUAUUUUGGAAUCUUUUGUAGUAUUUUACCAUACUACCCAUGACUUAUAAGCUAGCUUAGAGCAACUCCAGCAGACCUUCUAAACAGCCUUCAAUCCCAAAUUUAGAGGGCCAAGCAAAAAAAGAGCACUCCAGUAGGCCCUCUAUUAUACCCUCCAUUUUAGGGAGGCCUCCAAAAUUUUCCCCACACCCUCCAUUCUUGAGGGGUCUUUAGGGAGCCCUCUAUCCGUGGAGGCUGCUUAGAAGGUACUGCUGGAGUUGAGAGGAAAAAUCAACCCCCUAGAAAGUAGGGGCAGCCCCUACUCAAAAAAAAUAGAGGGCUUGUUUAGAGGGUAUUGUUGGAUAGGAAACAAAAAGGCCGCUGGUCCAAAAUCCCAUAUUAACAAUACCAGAUUAAUCCUUUAUGUUUAUAAACAAGGAUGAAAGCAUAAGUUGGUUGGUGCGAGCGUGAUGUGCAGGAAGGCCUAAUCCUAGUUGGAUCUAGGGUGUUGCAAUAUUUGAGUUCAUUCAAGCCAUGACAUGUUGAAUACAUUUCUGCAUCGGAGUUUAGUUUGUACUCAACAUUUUAGUUUUCUUAUCGAUCACAAGCGUUGUGCCUUAUGGUUUCGAAUAAAUUGUUGAUCUCAUGCAUAUAUACUAAGCUCUUGAUAACCAUUUAGCAUUUCUUGACCUCAUUUUCUUUUACUCUUGCAGAAUAGCAGGGAUAAUGGAAAUCCUAUCCGAGUUAUCCGGGGUCAUAUUUCAAAGACUAGCUAUACUGGCAAAGUCUACACCUACGAUGGGCUUUACAAGGUCUUUGUAUUUCUUUGUUCUCUUACGAAUAAUGUAGACUGGAUCUUCACUUAAUCUUGUGAUAGGAGCUCGGGGCUUUUGACCUGCACUAACAUGGAUACACAUUUCUGUUUCUAGCUUCUAUUGGCUACAUUAUUCAGAUUGUUCCAUGGGAACACAACAGAAAUAGCUUCGCUAGUAUCUGGUUUGAUUGCGUUCUGUCUGACUAUUUUUUCUUUUUGUCUCAUUUCAUGUCAAUAUUCUAUAGGUUGUGGAUGACUGGGUGCAGAAUGGAGUGCAAGGUCAUGUUGUUUUCAAGUAUAAACUGAAGCGGCUUGAGGGUCAGCCAUCAUUGACAACUUCUGAGGUAUGCCUGAACAAAGUUAACACGCUGUAUUUGUUGUGCUGUGCUGAUGCCACCCACUGUCCUGUUAUUCCUUGGACUGUUGGACUCCUCUAGUUUUUAUGCUACCUCGUUAAUUGUGUAGAGAAGAAAUGCAAAAAUAACAUAACACUCCUGAGGUUUGCUAGUUGAAUGGCUAAAAUACAUGCUAAUUGUUAGUGUUGGUAGCAUUUUCUUUCAUAUAUGCUGGUGUUUAUCUAGCAUUUUUAACUUUUUAAUAUAUUAUGUGUUCUUUACACAACUUCUUGUGCCUUAUCCCAUACAUCAGGUGCGAUUUACUCGUGCAGAAGCGCCCACAACUAUUUCUGAAUUACCUGGGUAAAUGAUCCAAACCCUGAACUUCCUAUGUUACCAUUCACAAUUAAUUUUUUUCGUGCAUGAGUUAUGUGCUGUAACGUAAAGUAGCUCAUAUUGCUUAGAGGGUAGAAUAGCGAGACACAAUUUUUGGCUGUAUUGCCUCAUUCCGGAGGUCAAAUAUAUAUAGUUUAUGGUACAAGUGAAUUGGGAAUCAUGGCAGUCUACUAGAGAUGAUGUAGGAUCUUUUUUAAGAAAAAAAAUAUAUGACAUAGGAUCUAUACAAAAAUAUAAAUGCUACCUAAUCUAGUUUUAAAGAUUCUUCUCAUAAGAUGGUUCUUUAACAACAUUGAUGAUUGUUGUAGUUUCACAACUGUGCUGUAGCUGUACUACCAUCCAUGAACGUAUUGUUUUAUUAUGUUAGGGAUAUAGUGUUUAUGCUUUCCUAAUGAAUGGCACUAAUCAUAUGUUGCGUUUUACUUUGGUAGAUUGGUUUGUGAUGACAUUUCUGGAGGGCAAGAAAAUCUUCCAAUUCCUGCUACUAACUUAGUUGAUGAUCCGCCUGUCCCUCCAUCUGGUAUGUUCGGUUAUCAGUUUUCCAUUUCAUAUUUUCAUUGUUGGACACCUCUUUGCAUUGUUCCUUUAAACUGGAGCAGUUGUUCAGAGUGAUAUUAAGAUUUAAAUAAGCAACAUCCUGGAAUACAUCAAAUGGCUGUGGUUUAGGGUUAGUUGUGUUUAUGUGGUGGUUGUGUUUUAAAUUUUUAAAGCUGCUAAUUUCUGUGGAAAAGCAGCUUAGAAAAAACUACAGUUUAUUGGAUUAAACUCGUUUCUGUUAACUACUCCUUUGGUUUCAAGUAAGUGAUGUUUUGAGUUGCGUGCACUCAAUCAUUCCAAACUUUGAUUACAAUUUACUUUUAAUAUGUUGAGUUUGGGUGUUUAAAAUGGUACGUGUAGAUUUGAAAUUUUGAAUUAAAAUGUACUUUCAUAAUACUAUACUUUUGCUAUGUUUUGUAAAUUUAUUAGAACGAAGUUUAGCUGUCAAAGUUUUAUUGUAGGAACAAUGUCUAUGCCCAAACAUCACUUAUUUGUAGGAUACAACAAAACAAUACCUCCAUUUGCAGUUUGGUUUAUACCUCACAAACAGUAGUUAGCCAAAGUGCCAAACGACAAUAACUGAGAGUAAUACUAAUACUUCCAAACAAGAUAAUCAUAAUUCAAUAAAAAUUCUAAAUGGAACUUCCGAAAUUUAAUCGCAACUAAGUUGCCUAAAUUUAGUGCCAAAUCUUUCUUAUUUCCAUGAGAAUUUCACCAUUGACAUAUGUCAAGUUAAUGUAUAGUUGCUCAUCUUUCUUAUUUCCAUGAGAAUUUCACCAUUGACAUAUGUCAAGUUAAUGUAUAGUUGCUCCUAACAGAUCUGCUAUGUUCUACUGUUGUUUUUAGCCUUUGUUCCUGUUUCUUUUUCAUAUUAUGUAGUAAUGUUAGUGACUAAUUAAUAUGUGUGUUACUUUUGGCAACAUUCUAGGUUUCACGUACUUGAAAUCGCUAAAAAUUACAAAGGGCAUCAAGAUGCCGUCUAAUAUUAUUGGCUGCGAUUGUGAAGGAGAUUGCGCUAGCAACAAAAACUGUUCAUGUGCUCAGCGCAACGGUUCUGAUCUUCCUUACGUAUCAUAUAAGAACAUUGGCAGGUAAAGUGCAUGGUUAAAAUGCUCCAACUAAGAGGAAGUGUCAGAUGUACAAGAGUAUAUUGGUGCGCAUAUGCACAAAUUCAAUAUCAUUCCCUUGGAUCCGAUCUGAAUGAUCCAAGUGAUACGUGUCAAUUCUCUCAUCCCCAUGUCCACCUUUUAAAUGGACUCAAUCCAUUUGGGGCUACGUUAGUCGAAGAGGGAUGGGAGAACUCCCACCCCAAUAUGCGCCACUCGGAUUGUAAAUGAGGGACGGGAUUGAAUUUGUGCAUAGGUUCACCAAUAUACUCUUGUGAACAUGAUAUUUCCUGUAUACUACAAUCAUUACUUAUCUGUGCAAUUUUACAUUAAGGAAAGUAUACUGUGUCUUGAAUGUCAUACGAGCAGCAUGUAUAUUUCUUCUAUAAGCAUUUCAGCUGAAAUUUUUAACUCUUGGUUAAUUACUAGGUUGGUGGAGCCCAAAGCAGUAGUAUUUGAAUGUGGGGCUAACUGCAGCUGCAACCACAACUGUGUGAACAGAACAUCUCAACAGGGUUUGCAGUAUCGCCUGGAGGUUGGUAUUUCCUUUUGCUUCUAUAUGUACACUUCCCAUUUGCACUCAAUUACAACUAGGAGAUCAAAGGGCUCAAAUCAUUUGGGUGAAUGCUCGUUGGUCAGAUCACUUGGUUCUAAUGAAGUUGUAUGAAUAGGUCACAUAUGAAGUUAUUUCCCUUUUCCUAAUAUUACCACCUGCCUCUGUUACUGUGUCGUACAUGAAGGUUUCCAACAAAAAACACCGCCAUCGUUUGUUGUUGUAUGUACACGUGCUUCUAAAUACAGCUCUUUUCACUCUUAUGGGGUGGAUGCUUAGUGACAAUGACCUUUUUCUCUCUUCACAUCAUCAAAAUUUGUAUGUGGCAUUGCUUAGGAUGACCUAUGAAACCACUCGUUUACCAAUGCACUUGCCAUGACAAGCUGAACUAUGCAGGUAUUCAAGACAGCUUCAAAAGGUUGGGGUGUCAGGACUUGGGACACUAUCCUCCCCGGGGCUCCCAUCUGUGAGUACACCGGGGUGUUGAGGAGGACUGAGGAUUUGGAUGGUUCGCAGAACAACUAUUGCUUCGACAUUGACUGUCUUCAAACCAUGAAGGGUUUGGAUGGAAGGGAGGUAAUGGUUUUCUCGUUUACAGUAACACGAAAUAUUAACUUAUGCUAUGUGCUUGAUUGGCAAAGCUCCAACUUUGAUGCGCCUACAGCUCCAGCUCCAAGAAUUUCUGGAGCUAGGGAUGGCCAGCUCAAAAAAUUCUUUGAGCUGGAGCUAUGCCAAACAUUAGCCUGUUUACUGUACAAUAGAUAUUUAAUGUUAAGGUGUGUUAAAAUGUCAUCAGAUGCUUUUUAGGUACCAAUUAUGGAGCCCUUAUGUAUACUCUGUUCCUGCAGAAAAGGGCUGGGUCUGAAAUGCACCUGCCCAAUCUUCAUCCUGAUAAUGAUUCAGAGGCACCACCUGCGCCAGAGUACUGCAUAGAUGCUAGUUCUAUUGGUAAUUUUGCGAGGUUCAUAAACCACAGUUGCCAACCUAACCUUUUCGUCCAGUGCGUCUUGAGCUCGCACAAUGACGUUAAGCUGGCAAAAGUCACACUUUUUGCUGCUGACACUAUACUUCCCCUUCAGGUGAAAUGGGUUUGACUUUUCUUUACCAAAAUUUUAAAUUCCAUCCAAAAAAUAAAGUACUGACGACCGUGUGCUUUUCAGGAGCUAUCCUAUGACUAUGGUUAUCGCUUGGACAGUGUUGUUGGGCCUGAUGGAGAAAUUGUGAAGCUGCCAUGCCACUGUGGUGCUCCUGAUUGCCGGAAGCGUCUCUACUAGACCUGCUGUGUGUUUCCAUUUAGAUUUUGGAGGAAACAAAUUAUUUUGUAGGAAUGCAGCCUUAGCAUGUGCUUCAUAGUUAGACAUGCUCUGAUAUAUAGCAAAAGAGGAGCAACUUGAUCUCCUUUUAGAGCAUUCUUAUUUUGUCAUAUGUGAUAUGUGGAGGGCAUGCCAGACAUGGUAGCCUAUUUUGCAGACUAUCAAUUAACCGAUAUAUCUAAUGGUGGAACAUUUAACCUAUAAAUAUAUAUAUGUUACACAUCCUUCAAGUCAUGGUUUGAAUCUAUGUGUUUAUUAAAAUGUGCUGCUGCUGCUGCGCAUUUGUAUAUAUGGAUGAUGCUGCCGAUUGUUAAAUUAUAGCAAAAACAAAAGUUUUCUGAUGCAUAAUUUUUCUACUGCACAUUUCUUAGGUUACUACAAUUGCCUGUAUACUGACUGGCAUCUCAGAUGUCAUGGCCUCAGCUGCCAUUUCUUAGGUUAAAAUUUGACGUCAAUUUACUGGAAUGACCUUCAUGGUGGUAUUCUAAGCUUAGGAUAUAGAUGUUGCUGCAGGUGAUUCUCAAUAUGUCAUGUACUCAUUCUCUUAUUCAUAGUUUCUAUCACGGCACUAAUUUGCAUAUCUGCCUGACUGUAAGCAGUGAGAUUUCAUUUGAUCAACCCGUUUAAUCCUUACUAAUUGUUGCUCGUUGCUAAUUGCCAGCAAUUAUACACUGAUGUCUGCUGGAUAUGUACGAUCAGAUGGCAUUUGCUGUACUGGAUUCAAUCCUCGCAGUUUUUUGCUCACCGCUGAAAAAUGCAAGCUUUGAUGCUGGUGUAAUGGCCAUGAAAAUUCUGGUGAUAAAUCCCUGCUGAAGCUGGGCCAAGGCCUCACAGUGCGGCGCUGAUCCUCAUUGCCUCGGCGGCGCGCAUGAUGUCUGCCAACGACAACUCGCCGCCGGCGGUGGAGGCUGCGGCGGCCACCGCCUCCACGCCGCGGUCGCGGCUGCCCCGGUGGACGCGGCACGAGACGCUGGUCCUGAUCCAGGCGAGGCGCGCCAUGGAGCGGCGCGGCCUGCAGCUUCCCGUGCGACCGCGGCCCAAGUGGGCGGCGGUGUCGGCCUACUGCCGGCGCCACGGCGUGGAGCGCGGGCCCAUGCAGUGCCGGAAGCGCUGGGGCAACCUGUCCUGGGACCUCAAGAAGAUCGUCGCUUGGGAGGGGAAGGCCGCCGCCGGCGACGGCGCUGGCGCCGCGCUGCCGCCGCCGCAGCAGCAUGAGUCGUUCUGGGACAUGCGCGGCGAGCAGCGGCGCGCCAGGCAGCUGCCGUCGUCGUUCGACCGCGAGGUGUACGACGCGCUCGUCUGCGGCACGCCCGCCGUCGCCGAGGACGCCGCCGCCGCGCUACCGAACUUCGGCGACGGCGAGCUGGAGGGCGUGUACCGGCAGCCGCCCAUCAUGGUCAUGCCCAUAUCAGGUAUGCAUCAGUAGUCGCUCAUCCUGUCACGUUCGUGCAGUGCUUGUGAUUUGUCGUGCAUCAGCAGCCGUACACAACGUAACACGUUUCAUGUUUUGGUUGUGUUCCAUGCAGCAAGGAAGUAUGAGCCACCACCUGCCUCCUCUGAACACGAAUGCUCUGGUCCAGGUGCGCAGGAAUUGUGUCAUCAAAAUUACACGAGUUAUAUCACGUGAUUUAUGAAGAAAUUCAUGUGAUCCAAUGAAUUUGCACGAUAAGUUGUUUUCUACGUACAUCUGACACUGACAGCUACUUUGGUGCACAUUUUUGUCAGUGACGGAGAGCGACAAGAAGGCCGGCGCGGCGGCGUCGGACAAGAACUCGACGUCGCAGCACGACGGCGGCGGCGGGUACAAGGACAGCGACGCGACGUUCGUGGCCGGCGAAGCAGAGGGCACCACGACGGCGACGCCGGCGGCGACGGUGAGCAUCGGGAAGCAGGUGAUCGAGGCCCUGGAGCGGGGCAACCGGGCGCUGGAGCAGCAGCUGGAGGCGCAGAAGUGCAGCUGGCGCGCGGACAGGGAGCAGAGGGCGGCCCUCCUCGGCGCGCUGGACAGGCUCGCCGGCGCCGUCGGCAGGAUCGCCGACAAGCUCUGAGGAAUGCCAGUGUGAUCUGACGCCUCUGCUGCGCCGGUCGUGAAAAAACUAAGACCUUUGGCGUAUGUUACCGGAUUAUUGGAGCUGUGAAUCACGAACUGGCAACUCUUGGAUCUUGAUGAUGAAAUAACGUGACCUUCACCCACAUCUAUCAUGUGUCUGCUGAAAUUUGCGCCCUGGCGUGGCCGCAGGCUCGGUCGGCACUGACAGCCGGGCCUCCAUUUUCCGCCACUGACAGCUCCACCCCACCGCCAGUGAACAUCUCAUGGCUGGGGCCGCCACCGACGGGAAGAUCACCGCCGCCUACGCGUUGGCGGAGAGCCGCGCCCACCGCCCACCACUCCGUGCCUCAUCUCACCAGUAGUCGUCGCUAAACAACAUGAAGUCUGGUCUUCCUCACCAUAGCACACCCCGUAAUGGUGUCCAUUCAAGUUCAGUUGGUUCAGAAACUCAUUUUUCUGACAGAGUGUACACCAACACCAGCGAAGCCCAUCUGAUGCAGCACGGUUGGAUCGUGCUUCUGCACGCGUGGAGCAUUUCGUCGUCCGGUCCCCAUCACCGGAUCUCUGGGCAUCUCAUCCUCCGUUUCUGUUCGUGUUUGGACCCUGGGAAGGAAUGAUCGCACUCCUGCUGCUGCUGGUGCGUUCAGCUUUUCUCUUUUCGAAAGGCAGCCGCACCGAUCCGAUCUUGCCAUCUUUGAUCCCUCUCCCUCUUAUGAUUAGCAGCAGUGCGUGCUUUACCGACUGAAUCCAAUCCACCCCGAUGCCUUUUUUGUUUAUCCAAAACAAAAUCCAUCAUUUUCUUUUUCUCGCAGCUCAAACACUCAACCAGUCAGUGUUCGUUCAUGUUACUGACCAGCGACUACGGCUCAGCGACUGUGACACUGAAUCACCGAUGCAAGUUCGCGAUUCCAUGUCUUUUCUUGUGCUCAGCUCAGCUCAGGCCUCUCAGUUCCGACAGUUGGUUAACUCUCGCGAGCAUCCGCACGUGAAGAAUAUUCAGGCGACGCGACAGACACAGGUGCCAGCCGCCGGUCGACACGGCCGGACCAAGCAGCGCCAGUUCCCUAACGCUUCCCCUGUCUUUCCUCGUCAUCUCAGCCUCCGCGAUCGCAACGCCCAUGAAAUUCUCUGCAGCAUGACACCGACGCCCGUUGAGCCCCGGCACGGAUCCGGUUCUCCGGGCAGGAGGGGUCGUGGUGGGCUGCACUGAUCUGAACGUUACGUUGCCGGACGACGAGACUGCUGGCAGGUGCUCGGCAGACGGCGACGCCAAAGGGGAUUUUUGUUCGGCAACUAUACGUCUAUACGUGAGAUGACAACGCAACAGUGAGGAGGCAGGAUAAUGCCUGAAUGAGAAUGAAUAUGCAGAGAUGUGGAGGAUCGGGGAGCACGCGCACGUGCAUAGCAUUUACAAUGGCAGCCGCAUUACAAUUACUACAGCUACAUUAUUUUUCUGAAUACAGUAAAAAAAUAAUGGCAAAAGGAAAAAAAAAGCAAGGAAAGAAUUACAAGAGGAUAACAAAAGGUUACAAUUAAUAUUUAUAUAACACAUACUCCUAUAGGUGUGGUAGUAUAGACUAGUAUACUGCUAGCUACUACGAGGCGUAGCAUCCCAAGAACCAGGAGAGCGUCGUCCUGCCAUGACCGGGCGACGCCGACGACUUGGUCUCCCAGCCUGCCGCGAAGGGAUUCUUGUGCUUCCUCCUCUUCUUGGUGUGCGCCACCUUCCCCCUCACCGUCACCUCCUUCUUCCCGAAAUCCACCAUGUAAUCCAGCAGCCCUGCUAACCACACAAAGCAAGCUCGUGAUGAGCAAGAAAGCGCGCGGCUGUACAUCGGUGAUGCGUAAAGAACGAUGCUUUAGCAGCCUACUUAAACGAUACGUGUCCUAACAAGUGGUGCUGAUUGAUGGUGCACUACCUGCAUUGACGAGCUGCGUCCUCUUGUUUUUUCUUUUACAAUGCGUAUUUCAUUUUUGUUAGAAUGAAGCUUUGAGAAAAAAAAUACACUUUAUGUGAUAUAAACGUAUAAAGGUGUACUUAUAAAAAGAUAUUUUUUAAAAAAAAACACAAAUUUGUGUAAAAAUUUUUGUUGGUCAAUAGGUGUUGUAAUUUCAAACGAGGUGAGUAUCUCAGGUCAGGUCAGGGCAGUGAUUGAGAUGCUCACCGUUCAUCUUGGAGACGACGUUGGCGACGCGCUGUCGGCAGUGCGAGCACCCCAUGUUGGCGCUCAUCACCACAACCUGCACCUGCAUUCCCACCAGUUUAAUUUGUUUAUCAAUCGCUCGUACUUUCUCCAUCAACACUAAGUACGUAGCAUUCACUCUCCAUGUCGAGCGUCAUUAUAUUGCCAAUGCCAGCCAUCACCGCCACCCCCAACUCAUCACCCAGCCGUAUUUGCAUUUGCAUUGCUUCUACGCAACUAAGCCAUGGACCAGCCGUGGCCACUGAUCCACUCAGCUUGCACGGACGCUUGUUAAAAACGCCGGCCAAGUUGGGUUAGCCUUCGCCGUAGCUGUUGAUGAUGAUCAAUUAUGUGAGGGCCGGGGUUAAGUGCUAGCAGUCCUACCCUAAUUAAAAAGGGUAGGUGACUAAUGCCGCCUCUCUCACCUACCCUUUCCAUCAUCCAUACUGGAAUUUACUCCAUCCGUUUCAUGUUUACAAGGCGCGCGAGUAUAUCAAGAUUUAAACUUCACAAUCUUUGACCAAUAAUUUAACCAACAAUUUUUUUCAUCUUUAAUAUAAACUUGACAUGGUUACUUUCCGAUGAUUAUAAGUCUAUAACCAUAACUAAGAUAAUAUUAGAUAAAUGAAUGGUCAAAGUUUAAUUUAGAAGACCGUGCCAUGUCAUAUAGCGGCUUGUAAACAGGAAUGGAAGGAGUACUUAGGUAAUCACCCAUAAUUAAACUAUCUGUGAGGAAUAUACCAUACAAAGGAGGGAAAAAAACAUGAUACAGUAUAACCGUUCUGUUUCUCUCUCUGAAGUCUCGAGUCACAUGGCUGCCACUUUUGAACCCUAUUGUUAAAUUGUACUCCUCCUAUCAGGCAAGCAGCAAUAGGAUAGCACAUUGCUGAUUUGCUGUCCCUGACUCUGCAUGCAUGGCUCCAUGGCAGCAGAACAUAACAAUGUAAACACAUGCUAAUCUAUGGCCUAUUCAAGCCACUUGCAUUAUAGUACGGAUACUGUAUCACGUGCAGUGCCCGGGCUGGGUCUGGUCGCAUGCGUAUAUGCACGCCUACCGUUUGUGUUUGUGAUCUUCUUGACUUCUCUUCGUUCUAGCGAUCAGGCCAAGGACUCUAUCAGAUACCAUUACCAGCAGCUGCUGCUGCAGGGCAAGUGCAUGCGGCCGUGUGGUGCCUCUCAUCAUCCCUUGCUGUCGGCUUAUUAAAAUUACUGGGAGGAUGUGUGGAUGGCUGUGAUGGCAUUAACGUCUCUCCAAGAAUCUUGAGCAGAAGGAAUUUUUUUUUAAGCAGAAGCAGUGCCUGAAUUGUGAAAGAUCUUAGCGGCUUUGUUGUUUAUUCUUCCACAAAUCUAUCUUAGCAAUGAGGGAAUUCUAUUUGAUAUCCAAAUCCCCUCGUCCAAAGCAUGUUUGCAGGAUGCUGAAGGUCCAUAAGUGCGCAUUUUUAAUUCAGAAGAUGCGAAGAAAUGUCCAGUCAGAGCUAAAGCUAAUAGAUUACUGCCCCGGCGAACUGAUGGCGAAGUGGUGGACGGGAUCAAAUGGCAGGAGAUAUAUAUUUUAUAUAUAUUUGCACUCACGGUCAAAAUUAACGGGGUGCACGCACGUGUGUCAGUUUGUCACCCGAGACGCGUUGCUGGCAGGCAGAAGGUUUGCUGGGAUGAGAACGAAUGAACGAAGGGGAUGUUUCUCUGACUGACUGACCGACUGAUGAUUCCGUGUACGUAUCGUAUAGCAUUUGACUGCAUUUAUAAGAUGCAGAGUGUAUCCGAAUGGGCAUAGGAAAAGAGAAAACGACUCUGGGUUCAUCUAUUGACCUGCAGAAUGUUAACAUCCAAAACGACUCUGGGUUCAAGCUCUGAUCCAAUGGUCGAGAGGAGGAGAGAUGAACAGCUAAUGUUCAGGUCCAACGGCUAAGAGACCGACAAGUUCGUCAGGAGGAGCAUUCAGGCAUGGCGGCUACAGUGUCCGCUCCGACCCUCGCGAGGAUCGGGGACGACGCUGCCUGCCACGCACGUGAUGCUCGCUCAUGCCGAGUUGUCCACCGCACGCCCAUGCCGCCCGCCAUGGUCAAAGCUGGAAACACUACUCCACGGGAAGGCGCCGAGAUCAGUGACGCCUUCACCUUCGUGGCCAGACAAGCAGCUCGACCUCCCAGCAGCUGCUCUGCAGCUGGAGCUGCGACCAAGCCAAGCCCAGCACACAACACGGUAGCACACACCAAGCAUGGAAGCAUGGUCCAACUCCUAGUCUCAUACAGGCUACAGCUUCUGCAUGCGCGCCCGGUGUCCGCUGCCAGAUUCUUGCCACCGCUCUCCAUUUCCAAUUUCCAGUUUCCAUGUGAAGAAAUGGAAUUGGAUGGAUCAUCCUGAUUUCCAGCCUGAGAUGAGAAGUUUGCUUCUAUUCCCAUCCAGUGCAGAGGCUAGAAAGCCUGAGGAAGGAAUUGUCCUCCUGCUGCUGCUGCGGCAGUGGAGUUGUUUGGCGGAUUGGCACUAGGCCACUAGCGAGACUUUUCACCUUUCCGCUAAAAGCCGGGCUGGAGGGCAAUAGCGAUGGCAAAUGGGGUCUCCUGUGCCUUGAGAAUCCAAGGAUGCACCUGCAUGCGUUCCUCUCUCGAUUUGCGGGGGGCAGUGGGGCACAGAAUAUGUGGAUACUGUCUGUCUAAAUGCAGUGAGGGAUAGAGUAAUUUAAUAUAGCACCGAUGAAGGAUUCCACUGAGAAAAAGGUGAAGGAAGAGGUUCUGAUGGCUCUGUUGUUCAGGGUUCAGAGAACUGGGUUGGGGAAGAGCAAAUGGCUGAAUGAGCAAUGGCGUCAAGAAACGGCCAGUUGUUUGAGGAGCGGAGCCUAAUGGCUUCUGGAAUGGCAGGGUUUGGAUCCUCCUCGAAGCAAAAAGAACAGAGUACUUCAGAGGACGGCUCUAAUUUGGCAGAUAAACUAAUGGCACCUGGGAUUUCACGAACUCUGACGAGAAGUCAUUGCAGAUUUCUAGAUGCUGAUUAGGCGAUCAGCUAACUGACCAUUGACGAAAAAGAGGGGGAGAGGGAGAGCGUACCGAUGGCAGGGAGAGGUCCUCUGCAAAUCUCAGAGCUUGCAGCUUGCUUGCUGUGCUGCUAACGGUAGCAUCCGACGAAGCACCCAAGCUCCUCUUGGACGAUUCGCUCCGUGUCUCCUCCUCAUCCCCUCCAUGCUCAAGCUCCAUGUCCAUGGCGGCCUGUGGCUCCCGUUAGGGAACACCACCCCCUCUGUCCUCUUGAGCUCCCCUUUUUCUUGCAGAAUGACAGCACCAAGAGCUUCUCCUUUUUAUACUAGCAGUCCUCGGAGAAGAAGAAGAGAGAGAGAGAAAGAUAUGAACAGUUACUUGCCGAGGCCACCCACUGAAGAAAGGCCUACUAUUUUAAGCACCUGUGAAUGAAAUUAGGCGCAGGAUGAAUUGAAGGUGAACUACAGAAACCAUACUUAAUUUGAUGAUGGAUUCCCUUUGCAAAGACCCACCCGGUCCGGUCCACUGUAUCAUGGUCAUUCACUUUCAUUGGAUGACUAAGAUUAUAUGAUGUCACUUGUCAGGGAGUCUGGUGGCGAUUUCCAACUGAAGGUGGCCCACUUUGUAUCGGAUUCCUGCCUCUUCUGUGUGCCUGUUUUUUUUCCCCCACUCUGUCGGUUUACAGUGAGAAAUUAAGAAGUCACCACAUCAGAGAGGUUACUUGCAAAGGUAAAUAACUCAAAAGUAAAAAAAGAAAGGCCUCCAAAGUCUAAAAUGGCCGUCAUGGAAGGUGAAAUGUGACAUUAGAACAACAGAGUACACAAUCAGGAAGAAUCAUCCAGAAUCCAUAUGCUAAUCUAUUGUUUUUUAGUUAGAAAUUUAGGAUCUUGUAAAGUUUUCUUCCUGAAACUGCUAGUGCUAUGUGUAUUUUUACCUUGUAUAGGUAGGGUUUACAGAGAAAAAGGGGUUCCAGUUCUUAACACCUUAUAGCGUGAUGGUUAUAUAUUGUACUAGGUAGAGUUGAUAAUGAAAAAUAAGGGGCAGAGGAACAAAAGUUGCAGUGACAUAAAGGUAGAAUCAAAGUGCUCUUUAGGUACACUAUCUCUGGGCAUCUUUAAGUUUAAUACACUGUUAGCACGAAAUGAUUAGCAUACACUGUAGUACUGCUUCACCCUUAAAACGUACAACAAAAAGGCCAGGAUAAGAGACACCAAGCUACUGCUAUUUAAGUGGUAGGCAAAGAGGAACUAUCAAUCUCCGAAACCCCAAGAUCAUCGCUGGCAUGCAUUCAGUGUUCACCUAUACUGAAAGUACGAUGGGUUUGAACCAAGAAGUAAGAUAUGACAAGGAGGGAGACAUACUCCAUAGAACCACUGAAUGAAAUUCCAUCUUCAUGUCUCAGUGCUAUCAAGUGGAGACUUUAUUUCAGAAACAUAAAUGAAAACUUAAAAAUCAAAUGGUCCAGGAUCUCCAAAAAUAAAAUGACUGAAAACUCAUUGACCCUGAUUGAUGUCGUAUGCAAGACUAACCUAUAAAUUUGGAUGAGCCACUUUCAUUUUCUUGAUGCACGUAGCAUGCAUUGUUAAGGCCAAACCGACACGCUACCUAAUAACCUUGAAAACUGUUAGCAGCUAAAUAGUUAAAAACAUAGGGUGCCAAAUCGCCAUUGAUAGCUGAAUGCAUGAAGUACCCAAAGGAAUUUCAGAACAACGCUGCAAAUUCAAUGUAAAGAAUAAGGGGAGUGCCUCUGCCCACCUACAACCCUUUCUGAGCACGCUACUGACCAAAGAUUGCGCUUUCAAGUUUGUUUCCAUGUCAGCGAGGACAAAAACCUCCACUUCGAGCAUAGGUCUGAUUUGGUUCCUCUGACUUAUUUUUAGCACACGUCACAUCGAAUGUUUAGAUACUAAUUAGGAGUAUUAAACGUAGACUAUUUACAAAACCCAUUACAUAAGUGGAGGCUAAGCGGCGAGACGAAUCUAUUAAGCCUAAUUAGUCCAUGAUUUGACAAAGAUUCGUCUCACCGCUUAGCCUCCACUUAUGUAAUGGAUUUUGUAAAUAGUUUACGUUUAAUACUCCUAAUUAGUAUCUAAACAUUCGAUGUGACACGUGCUAAAAAUAAGCAAAGGAACCGAAACGUCCCCUAACAACGUGUAGCUUACAGAGUAAUAUGCGCUCUCAGCAUAUUUGUAGGUGUGAUGAUGUUGACAUCUGGAUGGUGGACGAAAUAAUCUCCAGAAUGAGCAACACAGAAUGCUUCACGUCUCUUGCUGAAUCAUGAAUAUAACUGUCUCUGUAGUUUCUUGAAAGUUUUUUAAAGCCACUUGGAAAGCAGGAAACUUCAUAUUUGAAUGCAAAAACACUUAAAAACGUUGCACUUGAGCACAAGAAAAACGCAUAGACUAUGCUCGUGCAACAAGCAAAGAGCUGGUGACGACUUGUCAAGAAAAAAGGGCUUACUGGAAACUAGUUGCGUACCACAAUUGACAAUACGAUACAGUGCAGAUUAUUAAGACAGAUGAAAAAGUUACAUUUAUACCAAGAUGCCGUCUAAUUUUAUUGUAAGUUGCCUAUAUAUGAUGUAUACAUGUCAGUUCACCAAAAGGUUUGGACAGAUCCGGGCUGCACACCGAGACGUAUCAAACAUUUGGAUAGAUUCGGGUUGCACACCAAGACGUAUCAGAUACGGAGACUACGGUGCAGGAUGGCGUAGUCUACAUGGAGUCCAAGGGACUAGUCGAGGACAAAGAAACUAUUCUUCCUAGUCGGAAUAGAAUUCUCUGGUCGAAUCCGACUACUACUCUUGUCCGCUCCCCCGGUAUACAGGGGGUCAGGGACCCCCUCCAGAUAAGUUCAAUCCAAUACGAGCAAGCUACACACAGGACGUAGGGUAUUACACGAUCUAACGGCCCGAACCUGUCUAAAUCGCGUGCCUACAUACACCAUCGAAUUCCUGAUUUCGGCGACACCCACGAACCAAAAAACUCUACCUCGGGUACUCCGACAAGGACCAAAAUAUGCUACUUAUAAUCUAACAUUUCCUUUGAAUGUAGCAAUUUACAAGGCUGAACUGAGCAGAAAGAUAUCCAGCACACAAGAAUUGGACCAAAUUCAGUCUCUGGUUGGAGAUUUUUAUCAAAAUCCAAUUGUUGUGUUGGAACUGUAAAUAUCACAGUGCUGACAUUUGAAUGAAUGUAUACGUUUAGCUGCUAGUAAAGACAGAAAUUAAUUACCUAACAAGCCUUACAAGAUACCCAAAUAACAAGAAAAAGGAAUCUUUAGUGUAUCCACAAAGUCAGUAGCACUUAAUUGAUACUGUGCUGAUAUGGACCUUCAAACAGCUUAAGAGGGUGACUACAGAAGACAUCAUUCUCUUGUUUCUACGUCUGCAAACAUCAUUCUGAUAUCGAGACAAAUCAUCUCAAUAGAAUUAUCUAGCACUGACAACGAUAUUUUGGACACCCUGUCACAAGGAAACACAUAUUAUUGGUUGACGAAAAUGUAUUUCCUUUCUUUGACAAUAAUGCAGUGUCGGCAGAAUCACCCAAGAGAGAUCAUUUACUCAACGCUCCAUUAGACCAAAUGGAUCAAAGUAGAUGGUGAUUGCAUACAAUGCUCAUCAAGAAGCAACUAAAAGAACAGAAGGACUGAUCAACAGAUAACCCAACUGGAGUGCAUGUGGCAGUGUAAAUGGGCAGUUGAUAGCAAAGUAAAAUAAUCAUAUGGUAAACCUUGAUUUCAGUUACAUUAAUUUCUCAUUUGGCCUUGUAUCAUCAUUUCAUGGUGAAAAAACUCAUUUUUUUAACACCUGACAGUCUUAAUUUUCAAUUGGUAAAGCAUUAUAAUUAGGAAGCGGUGAUCAAACAAAUCUCUUCACAAAAGACAAUGAAUGGAAGAUCAUUAACCGAGGUAGGAAAAGUACUUAAAAUGGGGUGAUAAAGACGGGUGGAGUCAUUACAAUUGGGCUAUUGACUACAUCUGCUACUAUACAUGCGUUAGUGUAUGAUCCUUGUAGGAAGGGCACUUGGUUCCAAAUGCCAGGACCCUUUUGGUAUAGCAAGAUCUUUGAUUUCAACAACAAUGAAAGCAGGAACACGAUGGGAAAAGCUGAGCAUUUCAGACCUUGGAAUCCACCUUGUCAAAUGGAAAUCUUCCAUUACUACCCUAUGAAAAAAGGUUAAGCAACCUUUUACCCGAACCAAGCUGCAAACAUUGACUCCAUUUUCAUCAGAGUAGUCUGAGAGGAUCUCAACCAUGCGAGGUUCACAUUUGUCAAUAUCAGUGCUAUUCAAGGUGAUCUUCCAAUUUUUGUACAUUGCCCAUAUUUCCCCUUUCUUUGGGAAAAUACGGUAGAAAGAUCUCUUUGCACUCCAAUCACACUCUACAGGGUGAGAGAAUUCCCAGACAUCCUUGUAAGUGGUUUCAGUACCAGCCCGAAAUACCCCAGAAGCAACGGGUAGACUAUCUUCAACCCACCGUAUCUCUUCAUUAAGCAUAGGGUGAGGCUCCAACUUCAACACAAAAACUGAAGUUGAUGAAACCACACGGAUUAUUCUGACAUAAGACCUAGGCAUUCGAUCUCGAGAAUCAAAUACAGCCCAUAUCUGGCCCUCCAGAAAAUUCUUGGGUGACAACUUGUUAUCGCAGCUCAUCAUGGCUUGCAAUGGAGCACCUGAAUCCAUUUUGCUUGUUGAAGGAUUUGAGGAUUGUGCAACAGCAGCUUCAUGAAAGCUGUUUGUGUCAUCAUGUAAACCGGAAAGCAACAAAGGAGAAAUACAUGCCAAUGCAGUUUCUUGGCGCAGGUUUUCCGGAACUGCAGAAUGUUCAAGCUCGAACAUAAUUCCAACCUCAGGAGUAAAUCUGAAAGAAGGGAUCAUGUGAGAAAACAUGAGCAGAUUGUCGCUGUGUAUUUGCAGUAGACGCUCUGUUCCACUCUUCAAAUGCCUUUGGAAAAUGCUUCCAUGUCCAUCUACCUUUACCAAGUGUGCAACGGUGCAACCUGAUUCUUUUGAAUAACUAGUAAGAAUUUCAACAAUAUAGAAGGCGCUCUUCUUCCACAUCCCAGGAUCAGUGUACCACUCAAUAUCCCAGUCACUGUAUAUGGCCCAUACCUCACCUUCCUGGGGAUAUACUUCAAGAUGUUGAUUCAGAUUAUCACUGGAAAUUUGAUGGCAGAAAAUAGUUGGACAAGUUAAAGAGAUUCGACGUUCUUCUGUGGCAAAAGUUCCACAAACCAACGGCAAGCCUGCACGCGACCAUUUCUUCUCUUCAUGAGAUUGCAGGCAGGGCUCAAACCAUGAGACAUAUAACUGCAUCUUAUCCAUCAAUACUUUAACUAUCAGUGCAUAUCUGCGAGGAAACCUCUCCCAGUCAUAUGCUGCCCAAACCUGGCCAGUAGAAAAAUUCUCUAUCGCCCUGUCUUCUUCGAAGUUAUGGUAUUCAUACUGUUUUCUAGAGCAGUGUUCAUCUUCCUUGGCAUCUGACGGAUCAUCAAAGCGGACACCCAAAUCUUCCUGUGAGGGCAACGCGCAAUAAAGAUCAUCUUCACAGACACUCUUUUGCUUCUUGUCAAUAUGGCCAUCGUCAGGUGACUGCAAGUCACCAUCAUCACCUAAGCAAGGAUCCACCCUCUUAGUUCUGGAAGAACUAGCCACAUUUGAAAGAUGGGAAUUCCUCUCUUCAAAACAUGACUUGUCGGUGGUGCGCUGAACAUGUGAGACUGCAUUGCUUGUAAAAUCCGCUGUCCUAGUAUCCUUUGUGUGAAGACUGUUUAGCUUGUCAGAAUGGACCAUUGUACUAUCAGGAGUUGGUGCGACAACAACACCAGAACGAACAAACCGAGCAAAAAUGUCCCUGGAAUCGAGCCCCUCUCUCUUCUCCGGAUCAGACAGCACCGCGUACGCCUCCCUGACAAGCCUGAGAGCCAAUUCAGCACCGGGCAGGUCGGCCCCGAUCGGCUCCAACUGAGCCACAAUGCUCCUGUACCGCGCCUCGAUCCUGGCAGCAUCGUCGCCGGGCAGGACCUGGAGGACCCUGUACCAGUCCACACCACGGCCGCGGCCGGCGAGCGUCUCCCCGGCGGCGCAGAGGACCUCGAGGACGGGGAGCAUCUCCAGUGCGCCCUCCAGCCUGGGGUUGGUCUGCAGCGUCUGCAGUAGCAGCGCCCUCGCGCCGGCGUAGUCCUGGCUCCGCAUCCUCGCGGUGAUCGCGUCCCGCUGGGCCGCCUCCGCGUCCCCGCCCUCCAUCCUGCAUCGAAAUCAAGCUCAGAACCAGCGGGUAGAGGCGGAAUCCGAUCAGAACGAAAGCGUUCCACCGCAGAUUCGAAUGUGAAAACCAAAUUAGCCGCGUUUGAGCCUGUGCAUUGGAUUAAUCCGCCCCCGAAAUCGGGGAACCUGAUCGAGCGGAAAUGGGGAUCGGUGGUUGGUUGGUUCUUACCGAACCGAUCGAUCCUGCUCCGCGUGUGUGCGGCUCCGAGGGGCGGAUGGAAUUGGGCGAGGAAGCCCUAAACCCUAGCACCACCGAGCCAUGGAUUAUCUCGCCGGAUGAACACAGCCGAGCGAUCUCGGUGGAUGCAACUGCUAACGAAGGAAUUUCAGUGGCCAGUUGGUUGACACUCUACAGUCUACACUCUUCAACUAUAAAUAUGGGCCUCGAAGGAUAACGAACGCUGGCUUCGCGGGCUGGCCCAGGACUCAUAUGGGGAAGCUAUUAAGGAUCACACCUAACGGCAGCCCAUCGUCCUCAUGGGCUAAAGAGCGUAGCUCCUGACAGGUCGGCCCACCGCACCCAAACAAGCCGCCGCGCGCCGGCGACCGCGAGAGCGGCGCGGCGCGCGGCCCGCUUCGCGGGACGUGGAUGACGGGGUGCAUAGGGUCCCCACAUGUCAGGGUCACGUCGCGGCAGCCGAAAAGAGGCCCGAACACAAGCGGCGGGAAAAGGGAAAGGGCAUCUCAAAGUACGGGCCCGGGUAUAAUUACCCGCUCCAUUCCGUUUUUUAUUCUCCCUUUCCCCCCCCCCCCCCCCCCCCCCGAAAGCAAGCAGCCAAAAGAAAGUUUUUAGUCCUUGCUGUUCGUCAGAUUACGGAGCAGUAAUUGUAGAUUUGUAAUUCUACUAGGGCCACUUGAAAGCAGUCUCAUUCGGUCAUUCCUACCAGACAGUGAUCAAAGAAGUACUGCUGGACACCAGAGAGUUUGAUGAAACUCCAUUAACCAGGUGCUGCUGUUUGGGCGAGUCAAGUUUUGGAUUAAGCAGUCAACUCCUUGCAGGAUUACAGUGACAUCAUUUCAGCAAGCUUGUGUGUUUUGACCAUUGUUUCCCACGCGGCAGUAAUGGCAGUACCGAAUCUGGAAAGGAAAAUUUUACUGGAGUGCUGCCGGUAUUCCAGGCGAAGAACGAAAGGAAAAAUCACCAGCAAGACUGUGGGGAGAAGCGACAGUUCUCACUUUGAGGAAGGACAGGUUAAAAAAAGAGAUUCGAAACAGUGUGGGCAAUUGUGCACGGGCAUCAAAGCAUCUCUGCUCCGUCUCGGGCUUCUCUCUCCGCGCCCUCCGCCGCUACAGCCACGCGACGCGAUGCACCCCCCGCGCCCGGAGGGGAUAUGAGAGAGGUGAGGGGUACGGGAGAAUUCAGAGAGAGAGAGAGAGAGAGAGAGAGAGAGAGAGAGCGGUCGAGUCGCGGCGGGGGAGAAUGUUUGGCUGGUCCGGUCGCUGUGCCUGUGCAUGGUGGAUGCGAAGCCAAGCCGCCUGAGGCUGAAGAAGAGGGAGGGGUGCGCCGAGAAAAGUCUUGGCUUUUAGCUUUAGGCGCCCACACCAAUGCCACACUGCUCUGCUCUCCGAGUAACUUAUUGCAAGCAGUCACCCAGGUGAGCGAGCCGGCGAGGGGCUCAGCUUUGGAUAAUUCUUGCUCCCUGUCGUUUCGGUUUGAAGCUUUCUGGAGGGAGCACACGGCUCGGUAUCAGUGAGAGCCUGAGAGUUGAUAGUGAGCGAGAGCAAAGGGGGGAGUUGGGAUUUCUCUCGCGGAGAUCACGCUUGCGGAGUGUGCUCUCCGUGCUGCGGCGAGUCCCGCUAAUCUCGCUUGAUUUCUUGGUGGUGGGAGGCGACAGGUGCGUGAGCCGCCUGCUUGGGUGCUUGUGGGAGGUGAAAGGAGGAGGGGGUUUCUUCGCUGUUGUCUCUGUCCUGGUUCUUUUCGUCAGGUACUUUUCAUUCCAUGUUCCACGCCGCUCUCGCCUUGGGCAGCUGCCUUUCCGUCUUGUUUCUUGCCAAAUUUCUGUUCUUAAGAUCACGAGGACCAUGCACAAGUUGAAGGUAUGCCAGUUCCUCGCUUGUGUUAUCCUUUGCAACUCCAGUUCUCCUUUGAUUUCCAUGGAGGAAAACUGUAGGGGGGUAUGAGUGACGGUGGGCGAGAAGUAAGCGAAAACUAGCAUCUUGAACCUCCUUUGAUCCUGCGCAUUGAUCGUUUUCCCCCCUAUCUAUCCCAAGUAAUUUUGUUUGUUUUUCCUAGCAAGUUUUGUUCUUGUUUCAUGGAGCAACAAUUUAAGAUGACGAGCAAGAACCCUACCAAAACCCCGCCGCUCCUGGCCACCCUUCUCCUCCUGCUCGCCUUCCUCGCCCUGUGCGCGCCCGCCGCCUCCCAGCCGCUCCACUCGGAGCCCAUGGCCACCCAGUCCCCUCCGCCCUCACCCGCGCCGCCGCAAUCCAGGAUUCCCCGCGCGCAGGUCGGCGGCGCCGCGCGCCUCCGCCGCAUCGCGCUCGGCGUCCUCUUCGGUUCCCUCUCCGGCUUCCUCCUUGCGCUCGCCUUCCUCUAUGCCAUCCGCGUCGCCAUCCUCCACGCCAAGAGUGCGCCCGCGAUCGUCAAGGGCCCUGUCUCCUUCACCCCUCAAAUCUCCCCCAAGAACCUCCUGGCCGCGCUCCCCUCCGCGCAGCCGCUCGCCCAUGGUCCCCAUGGCAAGUAUUACAAGCUGACCCUUGACAAUGACCUCACCGUUGCCGUCAAGCGGCUUGAGGCGGCCAGCCGCCCCGAGGCCUCGCCGUCAAUGUCCCCGAGCACAUCGAAAUCUGACAUGAGAAGGGUGCAGAGGCAGCUUGAGGCCCUUGCCCGGGUGAGGCACCAGAAUGUAAUGACCUUGAAGGCGUAUGUUCGUGAGGCUGACCGCCUUUCGCUCGUGUAUGACUUCAUUCCUGGGGGCAGCCUCGAGGAUGUGAUGAAGAGGGUGAGAUCGCAGCAGGUCAGCCUUAAUUGGGAUGCCAGGAGCAGGAUUGCUGUUGGGAUCGCCAAGGGGUUGAGGCACUUGCAUUUUGAUUGCAGUCCAAGGAUACUCCAUUGCAACCUCAAACCUUCAAACGUUAUGCUGGAUGAAGGCUUUGAACCAAUAUUGGCAGAUUGUGGUGUUGCAAGGCUGAUUGCAGCAGGUUCAGGUGAUCCAGAAUUAUGCAGUGGCCUCUAUGCAGCUCCAGAGUGCUACCAGAGCAGCAGGUAAACAUACAUGCAUUACUACUUCAGUUUUUUUUGUUGAUUUGUUACCAGUUAAAUCCCUGAAUAAAUAUUCUUAGCCCCCUCUUGGAAAGCAUGAAUUUCAGAGCAAAGAGUAGAAUUCUUGCAGGAAGGUUGAAAAUGAAAUCCCACAUUCUAAGGGCCCUUAGCUUAUUGUUGAUGCUUUAUGAUACAAAUCAAUAUGCUUUCAGAUUUAUCAAUGCCUUCACCCUUGUAUUGAAUUUUGAACCAAAGAAGGAAAUUUAAAUCGAAGUGAUAAUCUUUUAGAAUAUCAGCUCAAUCUUACCUAUGUAGCAUUCUUGAAUGCGUUCUCAUCAUCUAACAUUCUCACUGAAUAGAAGGUUACCCAAGAAAACAUAUGUUGUAGAUUUGAGCAGUCUGGUGUUGGCUAUCAGAUGUCAACUGUUCUAGUAAAAAUCUCGGACCAUGCAAAUAACUGAAGGUGUUUCAUUGUAGAAAUAUGAAGAUAAAAAAGGCCUUGUUGAAAGCUGUGAUGUAUGCGGUGGUGUUUAGUGUUUUCUUUUCGCAUUGUCUAGUCUAGUUGACAUUGUAGAUUUAAAAUAUAAUACUGUAAUGAUUUUAUCAGAUCAUACUUCACAUCUGAGUGACACCAAAAGCAUCCUAGCAUCAUCUUUGAAAACCUAGUGGCAGUUUAACAGAUCUCCUGUUUGGCAAAACAAAUGUUAAGACCCUUUAUUUGCUUACUCUUCCAUGUUGCAUCAACAGAUUCCUUCAAUAAAAUUACUAAUUCUCUUAUCCCCACUAGACUCAAUUGACUUGUGGAUGCUACCAUUAAGUUUUCCUAAUUACUAUUGUUAGUCUUCUUUAUCAUGAAAUGGUGAGAAGAGUAACAGAGAAGGUAUAAAGCAUAAAAAUGAUGAUUAUCCCUAGGGAUUAGUGAAGGUAUCCAACUUUUGCUUUUUGCGACAUGAGAAUCUUUACUUUGCUAGAGGACCUCCAUUUGCCUGCCCCUGCCUUUGAUACUUAUGCUUUUCAUAUAUUCCUGCGUGAGGGCAUACUGAAUACGGUCUGCUCCCCUUUUUCCUCUUAAAAAUUAUAACUAUCCUUUUUCAUUCAGACCUUCCACAUCUCCAUCAGAGAAUAAAUCCUUUGAGGAUUGGCAUUCUGAUUCCGUAGUUCAUAUUCCAUCGACUUUUAUGGAAUGCCUAGCUAUGCUAGUAAAUUUUCGACGGUUAAUUCCUAAGCAGGUACUUUUACGAGACUCAAAUAUCUUUCUCAGAAAAAAGCAGGCUCAUUUAUCUCAAAUAAAUAGAAGGGUCUGAAUGAUGCGUUGUUUCAGCCAUGGUGGAUUUAAAAUUUACGCCCCUUGAGUUGGAAGUAUACUGAUUUUUUUAAUAUAACUGAUCUUCUUUCCUGUACAAGUACUGUGGUCGACUUUGUUUAUAUAUUUCCUUUGUGAUUAUCUAAUACCAUAAUGACUUGCUCGUGUAGGUGCCUUAUCUCAUAUAAAUUCAACUAAUUGAUGGUGCAGGUACACAGAUAAGAGUGAUGUCUACGCCCUUGGCAUGAUCCUGGGUGUGCUGCUCACCGGGAGAGACCCAACAGAUCCUUUCUUCUCCGGCGAAACUGGGCAGGGUGGCCUCGCCAGAUGGCUCCGGCAUAUUCAGCAAUCUUCGGAUCCAAAAGAAGCACUGGAUAGUAGCGUCGUAGGAGAUGAAGGGGAAGAAGAGGAGAUGCUUAUGGCUAUUAGGGUUGCCAUUGUCUGCCUGUCGGAUUCGCCAGUGGAUCGGCCAUCCAGCGAUGAGCUCGUCGCGAUGCUAACGCAGCUCCACAGCUUAUAAUCAUCAUCAAUCAUUUCUUGAGAGCUGCAUAUGUUCUUCCAUCAUGGCACUGGCACAGCGCUAAAUCAUGUUGGAUCAAUGCUUAUUGCUUACUGCUGCACAAGUGAGUGUGUGGUAGUAGCUUUCAGUGUCUUGGGCUGGAGUGUCCAAGCCAAAUGGUCCACAAGGGAAGCAACAGUUUCAGAAUUACAAACAUGCAGCAGCUGCUCCCUGUGAUUUGAUUCAAAAUGUAGCCACAUGCUGGUGGCUGAGCUUCCUGGGUUGUUCUGCCCAUGGAGUUGUGAAUAUGUCUUUGUAGAAAGCUCUGUGGCAUGGAUCUGUUGCUGUAAGCUGUAGAAGGAUGAUGUGCUUGUGAAUUGAGAUCCAUUCAUGUACACCGGCUCCUCCACUCUGCCUGUGACUAUGAUGCCUAGUAUUUAACAGGCUGUUGGGCCCAAGUGCUCAACUGUUUCCACGGCAUUUCUCUGCAUCUCACGUGUUUGCAAGGGCCAAGGGAGAGCACUGCUGUGCUCAUGAACUGCUGGCCACUGUGCUUGACUCCAUGUGCAACUUGUUCAUGUAGACUCUGAUAGGCUCUUUGACUCUGUCUGACACUGAAAAAUAAUAAGAAUCCUAUGUGAGGCCGGACCGUUGGUAAAAUUAUCUUCUUGUCCCUGGCUCUGGACUGGAGAGCUGCAAGCACCAUUUCAGAAGGCUUUAUUGCCACCCAGCCUCCUUGUUUCGCAACCUCCUGCCUGGCUCCCUCCCUGUGAGGCUGUCUGUGACUGGACUGCAAAGGCCUGAAUGGCAUGCAUGGGCCUUGUGAAAAUUCUGAGUCCUGCACAGUGCAGGCAGGAUCAGGAUGGCAAGGCCUGCAGCGAUGCAGUGCACCAAGGCCUAUUGCCUGGACCGUGUGUCGAGCAAAGCAAGGUGCUGGUGGUACAAUGCAAUGCAUGCCAGUGGGCCACGCGUGCAACACGAGAAGGGGCCCAGUGGCAGGACGAGAGAGAGAGGAGAGCAUCCAGCAUCGCACAAGAGAGAGUACAGCAUGCAUGCCGCCUUGCAGGCUUUGCAUGUGGGCACUGAAAGGAGCAGCUGUUCCCGGUGGCCAACCUUUCCAUUUCUUUGGUAGCAGAAAGAUGAAAUAGGACCAUAGGAGAGGAACAUGUGCUAAAGAAGGGGCAUGCGGUAGGGGAAAAAAAGGGUACUAGGGGGACUAUGUCGAGCUUUUCUUUCUAUCUUUAUUUGAAGUUACAGGGGCUUCUCCUCUUUCAAAACAAAGCCAUGAACUACGUGAAUCGACUUUAUGUUUGGUGAAAUUAGCAUCAUUUGGGGAAAUGCUUGGCACACAAACUUUUGGUUCAUAUAAGGGAUGCUGCUCAAUGAUUCAAGGUACUACUCCCUCCGUUCCAAAUUAUAAGGUAUUUUAACGUGGUAUUUUAACGUUUCUACAUCCGUAGAUAUUAUUAUGCAUCUAAACAUAAGUUAUAUCUAAGUGCAUAAUAAAAUCUAUGAAUCUAAAUAAGUUAAAACGACCUAUAUUUAGAAAUCGAGGGAUAACAUUUUAAUGUCUUUGGUUGCAUAACAAAUGGGUUAUUAUGUAUGAACAUCGUGCCCUAGAGAAUUGGAUAUAUCGUACUCCUACCAUGGGGAAGCAUGAGAUGCGAAAGAGCGAGUAUAGAGCCCUUUUGGCAAGGCUCCAAAAACCGCUCCACUCCGGCUUCAUUUGAAGCUCUACCAAACACACAAAAAUAAAACAGCUUCACGGGAGAAGCUGGGCUGGAGCCGUUUGAGAAAUGAACUAUGCUGAAGGAGCUGAAAAAAAUAGCUCCUCCCGGCUCCUCCUCCACCUCGCAUCAGGGAAUACGAAACUACCCUGUAUUCAUCAAAAUCACACAUGAAUUACCACCCAAGUCCUAUGCUCCCUGUGCAGGCUUGGAGCAACGACGGCAGCCGGCAUAGGCGCGUGGGCCCGCUGGUCCUGCUUCGGCCGGCGCCAGCACGGCCAUAGCCAUGUCGCCCGCGGCUCCUCCGGGACUUGGGCAAGCAGUAGCAACGACAGCCGACAGGCGCGGGCAGCAGCAAUGGUAGAGCAGCAGCGACAAAGGAGCAUCAAUGGUGUUGGAGCAACAAGCUGGGAAGGCUGGGAAGGGGCGGUAGGGAGCAGCAGGCCGGAAAAAGGCCGGCGAGGAGAAGGGACACGAGGGGCCGUUGGCCUGUUACGAAUGGAUGAGGGGAAAAAAUGAGUGAGCAAGGGAGAGGCCGGAUAAGGAUAGAAAAAUAUGCGAAAAGAAAAGGGAAAAAAGAAAUCAUAAAUCGGUAUACAAGUAUAUUCAUUAAUCCUUCUUAUUCAUAUGAAAUCAUACUAUAUAUUGAGGAGAAAAGGAAAGUGCAAAUUGGACAUUUGACAUGUUUCAUCCAUCAAUGAAAAAUAGGAGAAGCUAUUCUGCCAAAUGAUUUUCAAAAAUGAUUUCAGCUUCGAUGAAGAAGUCGCUUCAUCGAAGGAGCUGGAACCGGAGCCGUUUUAGCAGGAACCACAGCUUUGCUAAACUAGCCCAUAAUUUGAGAGAUGGAGAGCAAUGUGAGCCUGCGUAGGCAGGCAUGAGGGCCCAAGCAAGGAAAUGACGGCGUGCAAGCAGCAGCAGGAGCAGCAGGCCGGCCAGCAGCGGCCAUCCAUGAUCCAUCGGCGGGGGCAUCGAGAGCGAGGCAGACCCGUGAGUGCCGUCCAGUGGGGGAUGUGUGGUUUAUCAGGCCACGGGCUGUACGGCCCACAGAGACGCAUCCCGGAGAAAGAACUCCCCGCCCGUCGGAUCCGCAGCUGGACGGCCCGGAUCAACCUCACCCCUCGGAUUCACCUCGGUAUAUAGAGAGCGCGCAUGGGGCAUCAUCAUCGGAUCCGCGAGGCCGAGCCUGUCGGGCCGUACGCCGGACGACGGCCCGCUUUUUACGGUCGCCGGAGUGACUGACUGAUAAAACUUGACAGGGAGAGAGAGAGAGAGAGAGACUGGAGAGACCACGUGUGUGCUUGGUACGCUCCUGGGCUCUCUCUCUCUCUCCACCCCAGAGCGAUCAUGGUGGGCCGUCUGCUUUGUUCUCUGACGGGGGGCCGUGCUUAGCCUACAGGCGAGUGGGCCGGCGCGUCCCCAAUCAGAGGAUCAGAUUGCAGCCGAGCAGACCAUAUCAGAUCGGGUGCACGCGUACCUGUUACGUACUCGCCAUUACUACGGUGACAACUAUCCGGCGUAUGUACCCACCGAUCGUUGUGGUAUGCGUGUACAUGUACGGUGUGUAUACUGGGGUGGUCCUGGCCCGGCGACGCGGAGGGAGGGCACUCGCUCAGGCACAGUACUCGGCUACUCGCACACGUCUCCAUCGGCCUGUAGCAACAAGGCCGGGAGGGGGCCGGCACGGGCACGGCCUCGGGCAGGCGUGCGACACGGCGCCACGACCUGUCGGCGUCUGUCCCUCCGCGCACCGUCCUCCUUGCCUCCUCCCCGUCUCCGGAAAGCAGCAGCUUUGACGACGCACGUCCUACUCUGGCUUGCUGCUCCGGCCACACGACAAUUGUAUCGCGAAUCGCAUCAAAAUCUUUGUACUGCUACAGUAUAUUUCACAGCUCCUCUCUUUUUUUUGGGGGAGGUUUCAGGCACGGCUAAUUUCAAGAUAAUUUGUCUAGGUUUGUGCUUAUUACGCGUUAACCUCUUGCUUUGGGGAAGUGGUUCCCGUGUUAGGGGGUGUUUGGCAGGAUCACAUCGGAUAUUCAGAUAUUAAUUAGGAGGACUAAAUAUGAGCUAAUUACAAAACUAAUUGCACAGGUGAAGUCUAAUUCGCGAGACGAAUCUAUUAAGGCUAAUUAAUCCAUCAUUAGCAAAUGGUUACUGUAGCAUCACAUUGUCAAAUCAUGGACUAAUUAGGCUUAAUAGAUUCAUCUCGCGAAUUAGACUCCAUCUGUGCAAUUAGUUUUGUAAUUAGACUAUGUUUAAUACUCCUAAUUAGUAUCCAAACAUCCGAUGUAACAGGUGCUAAAGUUUAGCACGGUGUUCCCAAACACCCCUUAGUAGUAGUAGGAGGAGGAGCGGCAGGGGGCGUUUUCCUUUUUUGUUUUGUUUGGAGGUGACUUUUGUUCCUCUGGACGGGAAGCACACGGGGACAGCGACCACCACCAGCACGCGCGUGGGUUGAAUGUUCCUUGCCCUUCCCUGUGCGUUUGCGUGUGCAUUUCGGAGGGUUUUUCACCGGGAUGCAAUGCAAUUCGGUGGGGAGUCAACUCUCACCCCCUCAGCAUUCCUCACGGUCACACCCUGAUUAAACCUUUGCACGCGAUAUAAUUCCUCGGCAGAAUUUGACGAUGGCUAUUCACGUUGCUGUCAUGCAUAAUAGUAGCGUUUUCUGAACCAUACCAGGUACUCCUAGUUAGUAGCCUUUUCGUCCAGAAUGACUAGGCAGCCUAGCCCUAGACUUGGUUUGGACUUCUUCACAGACACGGGGAAAUAUCAAAUAUCUGGUUCAGAAAACUCUCCAAAUUCCAGCGUGUUCGGAUGUAACGUGAGACUCGGAUGCUGCGGAUUCGCCCUGAAGAAUGUUAGGCCAUGUUUAGUUACUCCCAACUUCCAACUUUGACACUAUGCAAAAAGAAGAUUCCCCAUCACAUCAAACUUGCGGUACAUGCAUGGAGUACUAAAUGUAGAUGAAAUUAAAAACUAAUUGCACAGUUUUGUUGUACUUUGCGAGACGAAUCUUUUGAGCCUAAUUAGUCAAUAUUUGGAUAAUAAUUCACAAAUACAAACGAAACGCUACAGUGUGCUACAGUGCUGUAACAGUAAUUUGGCACCUCCCAAAUUCCCCAACUAAACAAGGCCUUAGCCCAAGCCAUGGACGAGCGACCAUCCACAUCGAAAACCUGGGAUUUGGGAAAAGAAGAGGUCAAAUGGAGAAGAGGUGUGGAAAAACCGAUGCGCUGCCAAUCGCAAAGAGUUCGUCGACAGACGGAGAUGGCACCGAAACGAAACGAGGCCUAGCAAACUACAGGCGCUCCCAACCACGACCCCCCACUAGGAUCCACUGGCAGCGACAAGGCGGUCGCCAUUCCCGGCCUGCCCAUCCCCAACUCCUCCAGUUCCAAAAAAAGAAGAAAAAGAAAGAAAAACAAGUCCUCCGUGCGGAGCAGAGGAAUUAUUAGCCAAUCGAGUCAAAGCUAAUCGAUCGCCACCAAACUCCAUCGCCGAUGCUAAUUUCCUCCGGAAAUAAAUGCGGAUCGGGCCAGAUCGCGGGUACAAUUUUCUAGCGUUUUCCUUUAUUUUUUGCAAAGAAGAAGGAAAAAAACAUGCCUGCUCUACAUGGGGAUUAUAGUUUGUCGGGGCGUCUCCAUUAUCAUUUUGUCAGCAUCGGUUCCGGCUUAAUUAAUUACGAGAUUGCCGGCACUGGAUUUAGCAGCGUGUGGUCGACGAGUCCAAAUCCACGCAGUGUGGUGGGCUGGUGGCGGAGGUUAACAUGGCUGGCUGGCUGGGCUUAACUUGAGGCAGCGUACAAAUUACGGAGACCAAUCUCCGGUCCAUCCAAUGGCCGAGCUACGUGUGUACAGACGCAGCACAAAAAGGCAUGGAAAAUGCUACUACCAGUAGUGAUGGUGUUAACCCCGGCUCGGUCUACGCGUCCGUGUCCCUGUCCGACGUGGCCCUGUCGGCUGAGCUGGAAGGACAGCUCAAGCCAUGACUCUCCACUAAACUUCACCGCUGGCGACGACGUAGGACGACGAGCAAAACAUGUGGAGGAACUCGGUCCUGGGCGUGUGCUUUGCUCGAUCCGAUCUCGUGCCGUGCCGACCGGCAACAGGAGUGGGCGAGGGAGGUGGGGGGAAAAAAAAAGUAAAAAGGCGGGCAGGGGCAGCGAUGAUAUGGUAGUACGCUAAUCAAGGGACCAGACGGAUUAAUCAACAAACCAUCCAUCCAAUUAAUUGAUUAAUUAAUCAAUCCAUCCGGCUGGAUUCCUUGGAUGCAGCAGUGCAGGAGCAGUAGCGCCUGGUGGUGGUGGUAGGCUAGGCGGCAGGUUAGGUCUUCACGUCAGGGUACGAUAAACUAAACAAAUCCUGGAGGGAGGAGGAGUAAUUAUCGUCGCUAAUGACCCGGUAAUGAUGACGGCGACGAGACCGGCUGCGCUGCGAGGCAACAGGAGACAGCGCCCUCCUCCUCCUCCUCGCAACCUAGGAUUAUCGCCGCGGCGUCCAUCCAUGCGCGCGCCCGCGGAGCACGUCAAAGGUGGGGGCCCGGGCGCCACACCGCCGCGGGAUUAGUUUAAUCCACCGCGAUGAGGCAGCGGGAUUAGCCGAUGGGAUUAGAUUAAUCGGCUGAUCGGGGUGUGGUGGAGAUGCCGAGACGAUGCUGCUGCCGCUGCUGCUGUCACUGUUGCCUUUGCGAUUAGUUUAUUGGGAGGCCCCCGGCGACGGGAACAGGAGCGCCCCCCCGCCCCGCGUGCCGUCCGAUGCCGCGACACCGCCGCGCCUGCCCCCCUCGCCCCCGGCGCGCCAACCCCGUCGCCGUCAGCCGCGGCCGGCCCGAGCCCAAAAACCCCCCUCCGCCACUUUCUGUUCCUUUCACACCGCAAUUAUUGGCCCCUCUUUCUUCCUUUCUUUCGUCGGGACGGACAUCCAAAUCCUUCCAUCCUGAUUAAACUACUAAACCCUCGCGAUGAGGUUGUUAAUCUCUCUGGCUCUCUGCGCUGUUGCGUUGGUGAUGGUGUGCUCGCACGCGAGCUGAGCUGCCUUUUCCUUUGGCCUCCCCACUUUAUUAUGCGCUAAUAAUAUUCAGAACCAGAAAGAAAGAAGGGAAGAAAAAGCGCUGGCCACGUAUCAUUUGUCGCCAUUGCUCGCUGAUAGAGUAAUUUGCAGGCAUAAAGCUGUGCGUGUUUAUCUUCUUCUUCUUCUCUAAACACUGGGCCCCACCAGCCUAGAUUAGGGGAACAGUACCAUCACCAAGUUGAGGGUGGACGCCCUCGUUAAUGCCCCCAUUUAUGCCAUCAGCGUAGGUGAGCUCCGGCGCCCCCUCUUUUCGCCCCGGAAAAAGAAAUCUGCGCGUACGUGUAGGACGUUGGUUGGCUGCCAGGGCAGGGACAGGGGUUUUCUAUUGAUUUCCGUUUAGGGGCUUCCUCUGCCUUGCCUUUUAUGGGCCGCGAUAAAAUACUCUUGACCUUGCUUAACACUUCCAGUUCAAGCUCUGCUUUGCUUCGCCGAAAAUCCAACCCCCCCUUCCUUUUUUAUUUCUUGGGUACCUGCAUCCAUCGCUUGCCGGAAUUCCACACCUGGGCGUGGAAAAGAAAACCAUGGCUGAACUAACCCAUCGUAGUGUGGAAAAGAGAGGCUUAUCACAUUAGCUGCUAGUCCAUUCGUGGGAUAAAAAUGCAACGAAAGGGAGUGCCACUGGUCGCAAAAAUAGAACGGCUAAGACCUCUCAAGUCUUUCCUGUCCAUUUCCGCCACCGAAAAAUAUCUCGUAUUUUUCAGAAAAAGAGUAAUAUUAAUGUGGACUAAUAAUUGGAAGUGUGACGUGUCAGUUGGACUUCAACACGUUAAUUCUCUGCAAACACAUUCAACAAUUGCCCGUCACUUUAGGAUUUGCCACCACGAUCAAACAAAAAAACCAAAACAGCAGUGCAAUUCCAGGAACCAUUCAUGUUUACUGUACUGUUAAUUCCACGUCUAGCCUGCUGGCAUACUACUCGUAAUGUUUAGCAGUAAGACACGCCAUUAACGAGGCCUUCUUGCUAGUACGAGUCACGACUCACGCGUGGACCUGAAAAGCCACACGGAAAUGAAUGGCAGCCAGCGCUUCAUGUUCGUUGCGGUGAAUUUUUCGGUAUCAAAAAACAACCUCGGCCAUUUUUCUUAUGAAAAAAGAAAACCUCGGCCAUGUUCACAUUUUAUUCGGAGGAAAAAAAAGAAAAAGAACAGCAUAGCAGGGCGGUGCAGUGCAGCAGAGAGAGAGAGGGCACUGUUGUGGCGUAGGUGUCCAUUCUCCAAUGAAUUGCGCCCCCUAUAAAGCCGUGUGCGUCCGUAGGUGUGGUGGUGAGGUGCGCGGCAGCGGCCGUCGUCAGUGCUCUGCUGCACAGCACUGCACCCACCAGCCAGCCCCCCCCCCAACCCAUCGCUCGCUGCUGCAGGCCGGUAAAAGACCAGACAGCCCCGCACACGCAAGCACAGGCCCGGACCCACCAGACGAACCGGGCCGAGCCGGCCGCCCGGACCGAACCGGUGGUCCUCGCUGAGAACGAGAAGGGCGUGAGGGGAAGGAAAGCCAACGCGGUCGGUCGGGUCACCACCGGCUCUCGGCUUUCUUUUUGUCCGAACGCCACCGCGCCUGCCUUGCACUGCCCGCCUCCCUCUCCCUCUCUCUCCUCUUGUUCCUAUCUCUCUCUAGGAUUGAGGAGGGGGCUCGUGGGUGUGUCUCUCUCUACUCCCUACAAAGAGACCACACCAAAUCCCCCUACCCCAUCUCCUUCCUCCCCCCCACAAAAACAUUUCUCCCCCUUCGACUGCUGCUGCCGCUGCCUCCCCCUUUCCGCCUGCCUUCCCCUUUCCCUCCCCACCUCCCUCCUUCUAGGGUUUCCCCCGCCGCCGCCGCCGCCGCCACCCGAUCCGAGGCAGAUGCCGCCCGCCAUCAUGGCGCCGCCGCCGACGCCCCAGGCACCGUCGAACUCAGGUACGCGCGCCGCUCCGGCGGCCAGAUCCGGUCAGCUUCGGCGGGCUGCUGGGUUUUUCUCUCCCUUCCGCUCGCCGGCUCUCCCGGCUGGGCUACCCGUGCUCUCGUGCUCAUGGGUGGCUGUGUUCCGGCAGGGGAUCCGCUGUACCCGGAGCUCUGGCGCGCCUGCGCCGGCCCGCUCGUCACCGUCCCGCGCCCCGGUGACCUCGUCUUCUACUUCCCGCAGGGACACAUCGAGCAGGUACCUUCUCCAGCUACAACCGCUUCCCCUGCUUCCGCUGGACCUGGUUUCCUCUGUUCCUGGCGCUGAUUUUGUGCUGCUUGGGGUCUUUUCAGGUGGAGGCGUCCAUGAACCAGGUCGCCGGAAACCAGAUGCGACUCUACGAUCUGCCCUCCAAGCUGCUCUGCCGCGUGCUCAACGUCGAGCUCAAGGUUCCUCCUCUUCCCGCUGUGCCCCCCCCCCCCCCCAAAUUUUGCUGCCAAUUCGCGUCUCUUUUCUCUGCGGCCAGCAAUUUCAGUCUUGAUGCUUACGAGCUUUCCCAAUUUUAACAGGCGGAGACGGAUACCGACGAGGUCUACGCACAGAUCAUGCUGAUGCCAGAGCCCGAGGUAGUCUAUUGACUCCAGAGGGUUCAUUUUGGGCGUGUAUUUGGGGAUUUUUUUUCCGGUAUGAGCAGAUGCUUACUUGCGCGCUGCUCGCUCGUGCAGCAGAACGAGGUAGCGGCUGAGAAGGCGAGUUCUGGGUCUGCCGCCACGCCGAGGCCAGCAGUCAGGUCCUUCUGCAAGACUCUCACCGCGUCCGACACCAGCACACACGGUGGCUUCUCUGUGCUGCGCCGCCACGCUGACGAGUGCCUCCCUCCCCUGGUGUGUGUUCUCCAUCCCUUGUGGAUUUUCUACUAAUAAUAGAACAGAGACGCAUGUACUUCUGCUUAAGAUGUCCGUCUUCGGGUGAGCUUAUCUCCUUUGUUUUGUCGGCAGGAUAUGACCCAGUCGCCUCCCACACAGGAGCUUGUGGCGAAGGAUCUGCAUGGCAUGGAGUGGCGCUUCCGCCACAUCUUUCGUGGUAAGUUGUGUUCCUCUCUUCCCUGGGAUUUAUUGCAUCCUUUUCACUGGUCGUCUAUGCUUUGGGUUUGUUCGAUCUGUUGCACCAUUACUGUAAUUGUCUUGUGCGAUGCCGAUUUGGGCAGUAAUUGUAAUUUAUCAUAGCCAAAUUUUCACUAUGAUAUAUUGCAUCUGUCUACUGAAAACCUUGUUUAUGUACUUGAUGUGGAUCAUUGAUGGGUUUAUGCAAAAUCGUCAGGGCAACCUAGGAGGCAUCUCCUUCAGAGUGGCUGGAGUGUGUUUGUUAGUUCUAAAAGGCUUGUUGCUGGCGACGCCUUCAUUUUCCUCAGGUCUGUUGAUGUUCCCUGCCCACCAAGCAUGAUAGCAAUUUCCGAAUCCAGUGCUAAGUUUCUGUUGUGCCUUCUGCAGAGGAGAAAAUGGUGAACUUCGAGUUGGUGUUAGGCGGGCUAUGAGGCAGCUGUCGAACAUACCUUCUUCAGUCAUAUCUAGCCAAAGCAUGCACCUCGGAGUCCUUGCAACUGCUUGGCAUGCCAUCAACACUAAAUCCAUGUUCACUGUGUACUACAAACCUCGGUAUGUUGAAAUGUCUGCAAAAAAGCCGAUUACAUUUUUGAGACAAAUAUACUGAUUUGUCUUGGUUAUCUUGCAUGAGAUUGUGACCUGCAAUCUGUUCUAACUAAAGAUAGUGUACCCUGUGUCUGAUCUCUAAAUACCAAUGUUAGGACGAGCCCCUCAGAGUUCAUCAUACCAUAUGAUCAGUAUAUGGAGUCAUUAAAAAACAAUUAUUCUAUUGGGAUGAGAUUUAGGAUGCGGUUUGAAGGUGAAGAGGCACCAGAGCAGAGGUAAUUAUCUUAUUGGCCUUCUGUACUCGCCUUGUUUCUUGUCACCUCGUCGCAGCAUUCUCUCUGGUGGUUAUUUGCCGUUACUCAAAGUAAUUAUUGUGAUAUAUCGUUAUCUUGUCCUGUAGGUUUACUGGUACUAUAGUUGGUUGUGAAAAUCUUGACCCACUAUGGCCUGAUUCAAGUUGGAGAUACUUGAAGGUAACUGCUUGUUUAAUGUUUACUACUGCCAUUAUGAUCGAAAAUUUUGUGCUUAUGGAGGAUUGGUUUUUUUAUUAUUAUUGUAGGUGCGUUGGGAUGAGCCUUCAACUAUCCCACGUCCAGAAAGGGUCUCUCCUUGGAAGAUAGAGCCUGCCUCAUCACCUCCUGUCAAUCCCCUUCCAGUUUCUUCUAGAGUCAAGAGACCUAGACAAAAUGCUCCCCAGCCUUCACCUGAAUCAUCUGUUCUUACAAAAGAAGGCAAGUUUGAGAUCAUUUCAGUUUCAAGCGUAAGGGUGAUGAAAAAUACAACCUUGCUAAUGCUGUUCAAAUUAUCUGUGCAAUUUGCAGGUGCAUCUAAGGUUGAUAUUGGUUCUGCUCAAACACAACAUCAAAACUCGGUCUUGCAAGGUCAAGAGCAGAUGACCUUGAGAAACAACAUGAAUGAAAGUACCGACUCUGAUGCCACUGUUCAGAAACCUAUGAUGUGGUCCCCAUCACCCAAUGGGAAAACCCACACUAGUUUUCAGCAGAGACCCUCUAUGGAUAAUUGGAUGCCAUUGGGAAGGCGUGAAACUGAUUUCAAGGACAACCGUUCUGCAUUCAAGGAUGCCCGUACAUCCUCUCAAUCAUUUGGAGAUACCCAGGGGUUCUUUAUGCAAACUUUUGAUGACAAUCAGCACCGUCUUUCUUUCAACAAUCAGUUUCAAGAUCAAGGCUCAGCUCAUCGCUUUGCGGACCCAUACUUCUUUAUGCCUCAGCAACCUUCUCUGACUGUUGAAUCAAGCACAAGGACGCAAACAGCAAACAACGAGUUGCGAUUCUGGAGCGAUCAGAAUACGGUCUAUGGUAACACAACUGAUCAGCAGGGUUUCAGAUAUGGACAGAAUCCAUCAAAUUGGUUGAAUCAGCCAUUCCCCCUGGUUGAACAGCCACGAGUUGUCAGACCUCACGCAUCGGUUGCUCCAUUUGAUUUAGAGAAGACAAGAGAAGGCAGCGGGUUUAAGAUUUUUGGGUUCAAAGUUGAUACCGCGAGUGCAUCUCCUAUUCAGUUGAGCUCUCCGAUGUCUGCAAUGCGGGAGCAUGUGGUACAAACUCAACCAUCAGCAUCGGUGAAUGAAUUGCAACCCGUGCAAACUGAAUGCUUGCCUGAGGGGUCUGUAAGCACAGCUGGAACAUCAACUGAGAAUGAGAAAAGCAUUCAGCAAGCUACACAAAGUUCAAAAGAUAUUCAAAGCAAGUCCCAGGGUGCUUCAACAAGGAGUUGCACGAAGGUACCGUUGUUUUACCUGUUCAUGGACAUAACUUGUCUGUACUUAUGUUAUCCUGUCUGUGCAAAUGAAUAGGAAUGUCCUAGCAGUUAUUGGCACAUUCAUUUAUCGAAGCAAAAUCGAUUUAUAGCCUUGUUUAGGUAGUGAGUAUUGCUCAAGAAUUGUUUAAAUCCUAGGGAUUUGGAUCCUGAACCUCCCUUAUCCAAACAGACCACUUGACUGUCCCUUAACUGAAAAUUGUUCUUUUGGCUGACACUAAUAAAACCAGACAGUGAUUGCUUGAUGUGCCUCCUAGGUUGCCUAAUUUUAGGUUUGUCCAUGUGAUAUAAGCUUCAAUGGUUUUGUGGUUACAUUAGUGCUGCUGAUUGUUAUUAUUUGGGGGGGGGAAAGACAGCACUUAAACGUGAUCUGCUUGAUGAUACAUAGAUCCUUUCCUGUUCUGCAUGGAUUUAUUUUGGUGUUCAUUUAUGUUUUCAUGAUUAAAUAAUGGAUUAUUCAGUCCCGUGUAGAGUGCCUUGUUUUUACUUUUUACAGAUUACAACAUUGCAUAUUUGUAGUGCCUACAUUUUUCUGGAGGUCUAUCCUCUUCAAUUUACGCUUCUCUUUCAACAUUCUCCAGGUUCAUAAGCAAGGAGUUGCACUUGGCAGAUCUGUGGACCUCUCAAAGUUCAGUGACUAUGAUGAGCUCAAAGCAGAACUAGACAAAAUGUUUGAAUUUGAGGGUGAAUUGGUAUCUGCUAACAAGAACUGGCAGAUUGUUUAUACCGACAAUGAGGGUGAUAUGAUGCUUGUGGGAGAUGACCCGUGGGAGUAUGUCCUUAUCUUAGUGCUCGCUCGAUAAGUGUAUGAGCUUUCAUUCCAAUAUUGACACAGUGCAUUAUUUUAUUGAGCAGAGAGUUCUGCAGCAUAGUGCGCAAGAUCUACAUUUACACGAAGGAGGAGGUCCAGAAGAUGAACUCAAAAUCAUCUGCCCCAAGAAAGGAGGAACCUCCAGCUGCUGGUGAAGUAUGUGCAGCCACAAAUGAGUAGGGCUUGUCUGCCUGCAGCAAGCAUUUUAGAUAACUAGGUAAGUCCACCAAAUUGGUCCUUAGUAUUUUGUUCUGUAUAAUUUAUGGAAAAUGAGUUUUUAAAUAAACUAAAGAAACAUCUAUAUGGAAAGAAAGAUGGCAUGUUACGUAAGCAAAGCUAAAGUUUAGGGAUGGUAAUAUUAAUAUCUGUAAAUGCAUUGUAAUAUUCAGCAUGCAGUAGGCUUUUGUCACAUGGUGCUGCUGUUUGCCAUGAUAAGCUGCACCGAAGGGGACUAAUCUUCCUGCUAUCGCUUUUUGGCAUGUGUAUGUAGGUUGUGUGAAGGAAGCUGACGAUGCAUGAAGAGGAACUUGCAUUGUGCCGGGUCCCAGCCAAGUAACACCUCAAAUCUUUUGCUUGUCUGUUGCAGCCCAUCCCAUCCCAUCCCAUCCGUCUGGGUUUAGUAGGGAAGUGUAGACCUGUCAAUUUACUUCUCCGCGGUUUGCUCUUGGCAGAAAGUUGAAGGGCCGAGGUUCUUAUUGUUAUUUUUAUUGCUGAUUUGCCUCUCUCACCCUUUUGGAUGUAAAUAUUUAUCUACCCAGUCCAGUAGUAGCAAGCAGUAGCAGUACCUUUGUAUUAACCAGCUAUUCGCGGCUUUUUAAUCCCUGUAAGCUAGCUCUGUAGCGUGAGAUAAAUGACAAACACUGGUAUAUGUAUGUCUGAUCUUCUCGCUGAAUGUAUUAUAGUAAGAGAGUUAAUAGAGGACCCCAGGCACCUCCCCUUGCUGCCCUCAGAUGCUUUAUUGGUGUAAACAAAUUCAUGUCGCUUGCAAUCCCUGUGAUGGCGACGGUGACCUAAAGGCAAGGCACACCCUCUAUUUUUGUCAUGCAUGAUUGGCGAUGGGAAUGCCGGAGCGAGCGGCAAUUGUCUGGCGGGGCCCUUCUCCUCCUUAUCUCCUUCUCCCUGCCGGGUGAUGCAACGCGAUUGCGCAGAGCAAGGCAAGUCGAGCUGGGACUCUUGAGUUGUGGACACGAAUCCUUGUCCGCUUUUGGUGUGUUUUGGUAAUGAGGGAGACCACGGAAGCGUUGGUGGUGCCGAGCAAUUCCAGGGAAAGUGAGCCGGGACAUCCAACCAACCAACCAACGGAAGGGUGUGGUUGACGGACGCUGAUCCUGCCUGCCUGCCUCCCCCAGUGCUGCGCCGUUGGCCCCUUGCCUCCCCUCCCCGUGGAAAAAAACAGCGUGCGGCGAGGCAGGUGGGCACUGGGCAGGUCGUGAAAGGCCUAGUGUAUUUCUUUCCUUCCCCACUUGGCGCCAUCAGUAUCUUGUUUGACCCGUCCACGUAGUUGCUUCCCCGGCUUGCAAUUACAGUGGCAGUUGCGCUGGCUCGGACUCGAAGGAAGCGUGCGUGCACCGGCGCCGCCUCGGCCGGUCAACAUGGUUUUGCCUCCGAUCCGGCGAGGACACCGGAACACGAGCGUACACAGCCGUGUAAAGUGACCUCGCUUUUGCGAUGUGCGCGAGGCCGGAUGGGGUCGAAACGUGGCGAGGCGAUGAGAUUCGCUGCACCCGGUCUCGUGCGCUGCCUGCCUCCUGCCUCCAUCUCCAUGGGUCCGGCGCGGGAACGUGCCAAUCCUUCCUACGAGCGCCGGUCAGUCACUGCUGCGGCGGCCGCUGUCGUGGCUGUCGUGGCACCGCCUGCUCCCACCAUGGCCUACCACGGAUGCAGCAGCAGUGGAGUGCGCCACGCCCAAGCCGGGUCGAAGCUUUGACUAGGUGCUGGGCCCCGGCCGGUCGAAUUUCCUUUUCCUUUUUUUUGGCAAAAAAAGAAGGAAUUAAAGACGUCGAUCUCGAUCCUCAUCUACGAGCAGUUUGACUGGAUCUGGACACGGCGGGUGACGACGGGGCGGCGAUCUGGUAGGGUUCGCGCUCGGUUCUCCCUGUCGAGGACGCAGGGGGAAUCAUCAUGGCCUCGCGUACCGGCGCUACUGCCCCCCCGGCGGCCCGGCCAGCCUCCGCCUGCGUUCUGCCUGUUGCAGCAGCAGGCAGCAGAGGUCAGAUUGCACUGAAGCGAGAUGCAGUAGCAGCAGUACAACGGGAUGACGAAACUGACAUGCCGGGCCCACCGUGCAGUCGAGGGCCCCACUCCGAGGCGCAUUUAUACCGUAUUCAUUACGCCGUGGGCUGCUGUGCUACUGACCUGCUGAGUGCUGACUACUGUAGUAGCGUCGUCCUCAGCGGCUGGGACUACUUCAAACUGCAGCGGCAGCUAUCACUGACUAGUUUGGGCGGUUGGAUGGAUCCGCGUCGUCGUUUGGUACAGCAGCAGUGCAGAGGCAAGCGAGCCCAGCAGCCCAGCCCACCAAGAGAGAGGCAGGUGGGGCCGCCGCGCGCUGCACCGCACCGGGCUGGGGCCCAACCAAUGACGCGGACGGGAAAUGGAUCUUGGCAGGCCGCAGGCCAGUCCAAGCGCGUGGCGACAAGGCCGGCUUUACUCGUGGCCGCAGCGCCUGGGCCCCAGCCUCCGCCUACCUCAGCACGCCCACGCCUCGUCGUCUCUGACAGUCUGACCUCGUUUUUCUCACGCUACGGGGCUGUUUGAUAAAGGUGUUAGACUUUAAUCUUAUCACGUUCGGAUAGUAAUUAGAACUAAACACGAACUAAUUAUAAAACUAGUUGUAGAACCUCUAAACUAAUUCACGAGAUGAAUCUAUCAAGCCUACAUAAUUUAUCAUUAGCAAAUGAUUACUGUAGUAUCACAUUUUCAAAUUGUGAACUAAUUAAGUCUAAUGGAUUCAUCUCACGAAUUAGCCUUUAUCUGUGUAAUUAAUUUUAUAAUUAGACUAUGUUUAGGAGCCGUUUGGUUCCCGAGGCUAAACUUUAGCCCGUGUCACAUCGAAUGUUUAGAUAUUAGGAGUAUUAAAUAUAGACUAUUUACAAAAUCCAUUACACAGAUGGAGGCUAAACAUCGAGACGAAUCUAUUAAGCCUAAUUAGUCCAUGAUUUGACCAGUGCUGCUACAGUAACCAUUUGCUAAUGAUGGAUUAAUUAGGCUUAAUAGAUUUGUCUCGCCGUUUAGCCUCCAUCUGUGUAAUUAAUUUUAUAAUUAACUCAUAUUUAGUUCUGCUAAUUAGCCUUCGAAUAUUCGAUGUGACACGGACUAAACUUUAACUCCAGGAACCGAAUACCCUCUUAAUACUCCCCUCUUAAUCCUCCUAAUUAGUUUGUAAACAUCCGAUGUGAUUUAGCCUCCUCAGUCGAACACCCCUUGCGUCGACGUCGGAGCAGCAGAAAUGGUGUGCUCGGACUCGCCCGGUCUUCGUCUUCCCGUAUGGUCUGAGUAUGCAGGCCGGGCGCGGGCACCGACGCUUCCGUUGAAAAACACACCAGCAUUGGGUUUACCGAUCGACGCUGUAGCGAAGUGAAUGCUCGUAGUAGCUACUCCGGCCAGCUCCGGCCGGCCCGCCGCCGCGUCCUGGGGAGACGCCGACGGGGAACGUCCAGGAACCCGUGUCAGCGCUGCAUCUUUGACGUGGUUGCACUGCACGCAGGAGACGACCAGACCGGCAGUCGUUUUCGUGGAACACGCAAAACAACACGACCCCUCCAACUGUCAAGACACCGUGUUUACUCUCGCUGGUGGUGUCGUCCUCUGGUCUACAGACUACAGGUCUAGUACGCGCACGUACGUGUGAUCACAGCUGGCACAGUAGCACUCUUGUAGACUGUAGACCUGUAGUAGCGAACCCAGCCACAGCUUGACCGGAUCAUACUCGCUCUCGCUCGUACUUGCAUAGUUCAUACAUGCUCCACAUCCUUGCCAUUAUAGCGAAGCCAUGGCGAGUACACACUGUGUUCAUUGAUGUGUGCACAACUGUGCAUUCAAAUGCUGUUCAACUGCUCAUUGUUAUCUCUCUCAAAAACAUCCAUUCAGUGUUCAUGCACAAGCGGUGUUCGUUGUGUUCACCCGAGUUGGGAACAAUAAAAAGCCAUGUCUUUUUUCAGCCAUUCAGUGGGAAGCAGACUGACAAAUUAAAUACACAAUGCUGUUCACGCAAAGCGGAUUAAGCCACUGAUGAUGGAGAUAGAUGACAAGGUGGAGCUGAUGCUGGAUAACAUGCUGGAGACGGCGACCUGUAUCGGUCAACCCACCAGCAGGUUCUCCGUUUCAACUUGUGUGAGAACAUCCUCGUCCUCGAAGAAUGCCUGAUGGAGGGCUUUGAUGCAGGCCUUCGCCUCGCUGUCAUGAACUAUCAGCGACAUGUUAACCUGCGCAGGAUGAAGGCAUGGGUAACGUUGGAGCCAGAUCAUGCAUACAUGAGGCACUCAGUUUCGUUUGCUAUGAUAACUCUGGGUACAGCGAAUUAGUACCUUGGAUGCCCCUUGUGAGAUCAUCUGAAUAUUGACACCGCAUUUCCUCAGCACCUGGAAGGUCUGAAGAUUUAUAAGAUGGUUAGCGUGUGGUUCGCAUAUCAAAAGAGCAAAGACAGGAAAAUCUAGAAACAUUUCUGUUCAAAAUGUGCAAAGUACUGUACCUUUUCUAGUAUAAGAGAUGAUCGUUUCACGUUUCCGAUGAGCGAAAUUAUUGCCCUCUGCUGAAGUAGAUGAACAAUUGCUAUUUUCUCAAGCUCUUCGACUACAUUGUCAAGUUCCUACAAGAUUGGUAACAAUAUUGAAGCACAGAGAAUUAGUAACAGAUAUAGUGUCAAACUCAUGUACUUCUACUUGCUAAUUUUCCUUAUGACCGAAUGAAAUUCAGUAAGAGUACAACUAGUUGUCAUUAGGCAUUCAGAUAGAAGCACUUGCCUGCUGAAUAAGUUCCCUACUCCAGAUCUUUGAUGGAUCAAGUGACACAGAAAUGCUAACUUCACUAGUGGCAACACAAUCCACAGAUAUGCCUAGAUCUUCAAAUAUAGAAAAUACCUGCUCAAGCUCAUACAUACAGAGAUAAGAAUACAAUGAAAUAUAAGUAAACAAAAUGGCUCAGUGGUCAACGUACCCUUGCCAGAAAACCAAACUGACCAAGCAUCCGAGUGCUCACUAUGUCCAACAUAGUGACAUUUGACUUCAGCACUAUACUAGUAAGUACAACCUAAUAGUGAAAAAGAGGGGGGGGCAAAAUCAAUGCCACGAGAGCCAAAACACAUGUUGUGAGAAUACACCUUGAAUAUUCUGACACACACCUUAUCCAUCUCUCUUUGUUUAGUGAUAAGGGUGCCUGGAGCUUUAGGGUUGUAUGAAUUCUUAACCCUAACUGGUAUAUCACCUUCUCUAGCAGGUCUCAUUGAUUGUGGAUGCAAAACCUGCAUCGGAGCGGAACAAUCCAUUGUAAUGAAUCUAAGUUAUAUUGAGUAAAGGAGUAUCUAAGGCUGACAUCGUGAGCUUCAUCUACAAUUCAUUAUGAUUACAAAUGCAAAUGCCCACCAACACACCAUAUUUCGGAUAAACAACAGAGGGCAUUCAGUUUAUCUUCUGAACUCUUAAUAAUGCACUAAAGAGUGUAGGUAUAAAAUGCGUUUGGCAGUGUUUGAUUUUUCAAAAGCGUGCAACUGAACGAUGUAUUUAUUCAUUGUGUUGAGAAGGAUGUUACAUAUAAUACAUAAAGUCCUGAAAAACUGCAACGAACAUGAAUUAUCUUGUGCCUACCAUCAUUGUAAUCUAGUUAAGAAUACUCUUCUUGAACAAUCUUAGACACUCAAAAUAUUUUUUUAGAAAGAAUCAGUAGUGCUCAAAAUGAAUUAUCAAUUGCCAUUGCCAGGUAUAAUCACAAUUCCACUUUAGAAUCUUCUUUAACAAUCUUAGAUACAUAAACAUUUCUUGGAAAAAAAAGUUUCUGAUCUUCGCUCAAAAUGAAUGCAUACCUGGGCACCAAAAUAAGCAAGUUCUGUAGCCUCUUCAAAUGUUAAGUACGGAACAGUCUUUGCAUGUGGGUAGAUAUUUGGAUCACAAGUGAGUACACCAUCAACAUCCUUCCAUACCUAUCAUAGGCACAGUCUGCUUUCAGACCAAACAUGCAGUGAAUGGGGAUAAGCAACAAUUUUCUUGAAAGUACAUGCUAGCUUAAUUAUUAGCAUGAAUCAAAUGUUGGCUCAACAUUUUGUCGUUAGAAAGAAAAAUAUGGUUUAUUUGAUAUCUAUUCAGACUUAACAUAGACCUGAAUUUCUCUCAGUCCCAAGGCUUUACCAAUGGUUGUAGCAGUCAAGUCACUACCACCUCGGCCUAAAGUAGUAACAGCUCCUGAUUUCCAGCCCUGCAAGUGCAAGUGAUGGAAGUUGUGAUAGAUAAUAAGUUGCUUCGUUAAUGAAUAGAUUGUUUGUGAUGAGAUACCUUCCCAAGGAAUCCAGUUACUACGGGUAUUGCUGGAUCCCGUAUCCAGUCUCCAUGAAGUCUCUUAGCAACAGCAGGAUAAGUUGCUUCCAAGACAUCAGCGUUACCGAAAUCGUCUGUUGUUAUGAAACCAAUAUCAAAUGCGUCAUACUGCACAAGAGUUUGAAAAUAGAAUUAGCCAACAUGAGUUUACAUCAGGGCAUAACGCUGAAGAAGUUGGAUACAUAUGGAUAUACAUAGGGGGUUUUCAGCCUGUCUGGUUAAAUUUAUGGGUCCCUGUAUCAAAGUGAGACAUCUGAGAAAGGAAAAUCAAGCAACAACCUAUCUUCAAAUUACAAUGUUCAGUUCAGAUUGUAAUCAAGCACUUGAUUGUAUGUUUAUGGCAAUUCCGAAUCAGUCACACAAGUGUACAUUUCCAGCAACAAUGAAGCAUAGUCCCAAGCAGGUUGGGCUAGUCUAGAGAUUUAAACCAACAAGUUUACAUUUCUAAAUAUCAUAAAAAUAAUCAAAGAAUCUUUUCCACCAAUGAAAGAAAUCAAUGAACGAAUCAGUAUUGAAAUGUGAAAUUUCUGCAGAAUACUAGUGGAAUGCAACUAACAAAAUGAGCUGAGACUUGAGAACAUGAAAUGAUUAAGCAGUAAAAGAUUCAGUGACUAAUCAAAUUUUCAGGGUAUCCCACAAUAGGAGAGGAAUAUUACAACAAAUUCAUGAAGGUUGGUGCACUCGUAACCUGAGAAGAACACUGAUUUAAGGUGAUUGAAGGAAAUGUCAAGCAGUACCUGCCGUGCUUUGACACCAAUUUUGUUCAAAUAAGCAGCAAAGAUCCGUGUGGACAUGCAUUCUCCAAAUGAAACAAGGUAGUCUCUGGUUCGAAGUGUCAGCUCUUUCAUCAUUGCGAUACCUUUCAAGAGUUGCUCCAGUUCAUCCAGCAUGUCUAGAAGUUCAGAGUGCAGCAAAAGGUAAUUUUGUUAUGUAAAGGUCAGAAAAUCCAGAAGAAAAGGUUAUUAAUGUUGUAACCUUUACCAUGUAUUUCGGAUCUUGGCAGUCCAAGUUCAUCAACAGUUCUGGAUUGACAGUAAACAGACUAACAUCAAUUGAAAUUGUUGCAAGUAUUCCAAUAGUAAACCGUCCGAAAAGUAAGCAUACUUAAUAUGCAGGUCUUUGAUUGUGUUCCACUCUUCGAUUUCAGAAACAUGGAUCACUCCACAACCCACUGCCUUCUCUCCAGCCUAAAAAAAACGCAUAUACUGCACUUGAGUGUAUCCAUUAAACAAUGCCCAAAAUGUCCUAGGAGUAGUUAACCCUGUUCUCGAGGAUCUAUGCAACAAUGCAAGAGUCAAUCCUGUAUAAAGGUUCAGUAUAGUUAACUGUACCUUUGUUUAUAGUUAUUGUUGAUGGGAAAAGAGACUAUUUAGCAUCUACAAAGGCCUACAGAUCCAUUAUUAGUCGCAAGGAAAAUAAUCACUGAUAAAGAUGAAAACUUUACUUUAGGUGAUUGAUGAAGAUUCUUCUUGAUGCAUUCAACCAGUGAAUUAUGCAGCCAAAGGGAAUAUUAAACUUUUGGUAAAGCAAAGAAAGAUUGCAGAGCUAGAGCCUAAUGUGGAAUCAAUCAAAAGCAGGGAGAUGCGAUCAGUACGAGGAGCAGGAGGUUGGUGGUUUUCCCCAUUGCAGAGAGGACGACGACGGGGCGCUCCUCGGGGAACGCCAGGAUGAGGUCGGCAACCUCCUCCAUCCUCGCGGCCGACGACACCGAGGAUCCCCCGAACUUCAUCACCACGCUCAACUGAUCCCCCAAUUCCGCCCCGGGCCCUCCAAGGACGGGAGCCCCGAGGACGCUGUCCCCGCUGCCAAACUUGGCCCGACGGCGGGUGGAGUCGGCAACCACCAUUGACAAUCCUCGGGCACCGAGGGGCCCGGUUCGAUUACCGAAGCGCGCCAAUCCUCGGACAUGCCCGGCGCUCGCCGGAGGUGCCGACGGAGCGAGGCGGCGCGGCGCUGCUGCCGAUCGCACUGAGGUCGCCAUUUCUUAGCACCUUCUAUACACUGCCAGGCUGUCAGCAGCCGAGAUUAGGGACCCCCGCGAGAAGGCGGGUUUUUGUGUUUACGUGUUAAGGCCAUCAAGACGGAAACCGAGUCGUAAGCUAUGGAAUCCAUUUCUGGACUAUUUCAGGACCAUAUAGGAACUUAAGAAAUUACAAUAGAUAAGUUUUUAUUUUUAUAAAAAGUUCAAAUAGUUGUGAUGGUGGUGUUAAUGGGGUGUCGCUAGUACAGUUGCGUCAUGCCGACGUGUAGUGCAAGUGCAAGAUAACAAAAGGAAAAUAGUAAAAGGAAGGGGAUGAUCGGGUAAAAUGUGGUACGUAUAUGGAUAACUCAAGUAUUACUCACCUAUAUAGAUUUUUAGAGAUAAAUAUGUCAUACCUUGUAUCAUAUUUCAAAAACGAGAAAAUUGCUAGUUUAGGGAAAAGUACAUUUAUGUUAUCUAAUAUACGGUUUCAUAUAUUGACAUGUAAUUUUGAGGUGACUUAUAUUUAACAAACAACCCAUACAAUGGAUUGUCUUCUAAGUUGUCUGAUAAAACUAUAUAAUUUCUUGAUUUGUGCAUACGAGUAAAGAAAUAUUAUGAGUUGCAUGGCAACAACUACUUGUACAAUAGUGAAGUUGUCUUGUGGUCCUGAAAUUUAGCUUAUGAGGUAGUUGUUUCGCGAAACAACGACCUCUUUCUCCCACCUUGCUCUUUCUCCUCCACACCAAUUGCAUGAGACGAACUAUGAGAUCGCUUAUGUGUAACAAUGUACUUGCUUGAAGAAAAUAAUCAAUCUUUGUAUAGACAAAGUGACACCCCAAAUCACAAUAUCCAUAAAAAGUUUCUCUUCUGCUGGACUGGAGUUUUGAUUUUGGCCAGUUUCAUAUCUCGAGCGUUGAUCUGCGAUCACAGAGGUCAAACUACAUGUUAUAUCAGACAUUUUAAUGGGAAUAUUGAUUAUCACACCUAACCCCGCUAGAUUGGACAAAUGUGUUUAAAGUUAGAGCCGUUAGCCCUGCAGCUGCACUGCAGAUCUCGCAGUGGUCUAGGAGGGACAUGGCUCAAGGCAAGAACUGCAUCCUGCAGGUAGGAGGCAGGCAGGGAUCACGGAAUCAGAGCAGUGACGCAACCAAUCCCAUUCCCAACAAAUCCUUCACUAUUUAUCAGCUAUCAGCCGAUUCAUCUAGUAGCCUCACACUCCCAGUCUUCACAUGGGGCAGGAUUCAUUCAACAGGCAGGCUUCACUGACUGCAAAACAGUUAGCAUAAAUACUACCAAGAACCCAGAGGAUUCAAUUCAUUUGGAUCAAGGACCAUAUCCCAGCUUGCCUGCCACACUGCCAGUGACAAUCAUUGCUGGAGUCUAUGUGCAUCAUCUCUGACCGACAUGGCACUGAAUCUGAUUAUAUCUCAUCACCAUUCACCAGAUUGUUUAACACACGACAUAGAUUCUAUUACAUCACAGUACCAAAGAGAAAAUUCGACAUUAAACGAAAGAGAAUCCAUAGUUACAUCAUCACUUCAUAUCCCUAGAUGGCGAGCAUCAUCUCAUCUCUUGACCAAGAAACCGAUGAACAGCACAGCUUAACUUCCGAAUCGAAGCACUUUGUUUUCAGACCAGCUACAUUGCGUUUUGAAGACCAGCAGUGUGCAGCAGCACCGCCUUAAUUUCUUCAGGCACGAGUCCAGGACCAUCCCCGCAUUGCUGGAGCAGACAACAGAGAUAUGAAGAGGGCGAGUAACGUUGGGUUUGGUUGAAUUGAAUCCAUAAGAAGCAGAAAUGGUUAUGAUGUGGUGAGCACAGACCUCAGCUCGGAAGACAUCCAUUGCAAACCCAUUGAAGCAGCUGAUGACUGCCUGCUCGAUGUCGAGACCCAGGCCGUCCAGAGCUGUCAUUGUGGACAGCAGGAUGCCUGGCCUACGCGCGCAGAACAUGUGGAUAUUGACUGCAUGCCCUUCCCUCAUCCUGACUUCAACCUGAGGCCAACAAGAUUGGUGUAUCUCAUUCAGUAUCAUGCACAAUUCUCAAAAAAGAAGUAAAGGAUGAAGAACCUGCACAAAUAACGUACUGGUACUAAUAUGAACUGUAAAACAUUCAGUAUAUGAAUGUUGAGCAUAAAACAGACUUAGGUUGUGACUCCCAACUUAGAAUUAGUUCAUAAUCAAACUAACCGUGGCUUGCUGCCCAUUAGGGCUAGGGAAUGCGGCUGGGCAAAGCUCCUCUUUGACAUGUCCAGGAAAUGUUUGCAAUGUGGGCGUCGACGGAUGGAAGCUAGCUGAUGUUGGCCCAACAACCGAAGAGCUUGGAGCAGACUCAAUUUCAUUGUGAAGAUCGUUGAUCCUCUGCAGGAGUUCCUUCAAAUACUCAAUUGCAUCACCAAGGAUGGAAGCCCUAUCCAUCUGUCACAUGAGAAGAAAACUGUUGAUGAGCUAAUCAACUACUAUAUCGUUAAACAUGAAUGAGCUGUCCUGCUGCAUUAAAAAUGUGUUACUUGUAAAUGGCGUUGCAUUGAUACACUGCAACUUGUCAUGUAUCUUAAUAGUUGUACUUGAAGUCUUCUUUUAUUGUUCAAAACAAUCUUGAUCAUUGGGAUGAACUAGAAAAAUAAGUUGAUUACAAUCAAACAUGUACCAUCAUGGUUAAAUUUCCAAGUGCACAUAUUGUUUAGGAUAAAACAGCAAUACGUAGAAAAAAAGCCCGCAAAACCGAGAAUCAUCAUUAACAGAAAUCAGAAAGAAAGAAAAACAAACAAUUCAUUAUCUCACAAGCUAUGGGUUGAUGGAUCGCUUUCAGCGACAUGUCGUGCAUGGGACUGUGUUAACCUUGCAUCAAUGAAUCUGGGCAUGUCUCAGAACUGAAGGCCCCAAUAAGUAAGAAUUAAACAAUACGGGAAAACAUUUCAAGUACGUAACUGAAAUUACCAUGGGUGGACAGUAAACCAAUCAUCAAGGAAAUGAAAAGUAACAGUAAUUCCAUUUGGUGCUCAAAAUUACAUGAUAAAAAUUUACAGUCUAACAUAAGGAGUAAUCAAAAGCAUACAUAUAUACUUCUGUAUAUGAUUUACCAUGAAAGAAAGAAGACCGCUUUCAACGUAUGAAGGCGCUAUCCGCUGCUAGCUAAAGCAAUGAACAUAGGCACAUAUAGCUACUAGGCGUGCCAUAGAUCUACCAAAGAGAGUAGCUUUUGGAUCUAAACAUAGACAAUUCAAGAAUUCAUCGCCAAAAUUCACACAUAGUAAAGUGACAUGAUCGUAAUAAAAUCCUACCAUAAUGCUAGAACACCACCAUUAUCACAAACAUCAGUGUAAGGAUAAACUAAAACAUGCAGCACAGAUGGGAAGCGAUAGAUACAAGAGACGAAUAUGGAGAGGCCACGGUGGAUCACCUUGCUGAUCUUGGGCACCACCGAGCGCAGCAUGUAGAGGCGGUCAUUGAGCUUCUUCCGGCGGCGGCGCUCCGCCAUGAGGUUCUUGGCCGGCAGCCCCUUCUUGUUCUUGCCCCUCCCGCUGCCGCCGCCACCGCCACCUCCACCCGUGGCCGCGCCCGCAGCAUUCUCCAUGGAGGCUGAGAUGGCCAUGGAUGACGCGUCGACGCUGUGCUCGAUCUCCUCGUCGUCGUCCCAGUCCAUCCCGCCGUGGACGAAGGCCGGGGCCGCCGCCGGCGCCAAGAACCCACCUUUCUGCACCUGCUGGUGCUCCGCCUGCGCCGGCGGGGGCGCGGCGAGGAACUGCCCGGCGUCGUCGAAGGGGUUGUUGGAGGUGAAGUCGUGGAAGGCAGGCAGCGCGGAGCCGCCGCCACCGCCGGGGGUGGAGGAGGAGGGCGGGGCGAAGGCGCCGUGGAGGUCGAAGAGCGCCGCGGGGUCCAUGGAGAGGAGCAGCGAGGCGGGCGUCGGCGUGGAGAGGGCGUCCCUGGGGAAGGGGAAGAGCGGGAAGGAGCCGGAGGCCAUCCCGUCCGACGAGAGGUAGGCCCAGUCCCCGGCCGCCCCUCCCCCUCCCUCGAUCUCGUCCAGCUUCCCCGGCGCCGAGUUGUCCAUGGCUACCGCCACGCCCCUCCUCCGCUCCUUGUCGAUCGGUCUCCUCACUAAUUAUCCUUCUCUUCUGCGGCUCAGUAGUGGCAACUCUCUCUCUCUCUCUCUCUUUCUCUCUUCUCUCCGCCCAGAGCGCCGAAGCCUUGGUUGCCCUCUUAUAGGGGGAGGAGAGAGAGGGAUGUAGAGAGAGAAAGGAGUUAGAGACUAGAGAGAGAGAGCCGUUUUCUUUUUUAGAGAGAGAGCCGUUUUCUUUUUUAGAGAGAGAGGAGAGAAGAAGAGAGACGUUUGUGUGCAAGCCUUGCUUCGUUCACCCAUGCAAGGUCCAUUUGUUUGGUUGCUGCAUGGCUCUUGUGUCACGUUACAAAAUUACAAAUCUUGGCACAAUUUUGUUCCCUUCUCACCACCUUUCAAAAAAGCCAGCCGGAUCAAAUUACCUCCAAUCCAAGAAGAAAAAGCUUAAUAGAAUUUCUUGGAACGAACACCACAAUUCACAGUUUGGUGGCUAGGAUGUAAUGACGUGCCAUGCCAAUGUUGCAACAAAAACCGUUGCAGCGACUAGUUGCCGAUCGAUGUGAUUUGGACUCGGUAGUGAUGUGGAAUCCAUGGAUGAUUUACCAAAGCUGACAAUAUGGAUCAAAGCAAAACAAAGUUUGCAGCUUGGAAGGAAGGAAGUGUUCAGCUUGGAAGGAAGGAAGCGUUCGGCGGCCGCCAGACGACAUGUGUAGGGUCGGUCAGGCGUCACUGUCGGUUUCCACUAGUUUCUUUGGCAGUACCAUUGUAGUCUGCAUGCCAAAAGGCUGCUCUGAUCUGUUGCUCGGCUUUGGAGGGUUCUGCCAAAAUGCCGCUACCGGGUCGCUUAAGUGAAUCGAUCCGGUUUAUUUUUGAUAGAAAUGAACUUUUUUCAAGUUUCAAUACUCUCAUCUCUGUCACAGAAUGGUGUACCGCAUUUAGAACUUUGAAAGAUCAUGUGUCAGGGUGAGUUUGUUAUGUUCCUCCUAUAUUCAAUCUCUAGAACAUGAUUUUAUGGGUUUAGACCUAAAUAUCUAACGUCUAAUUUUUCCCCUCCCACUGAUUUCUUUUGCUGGACCAUAGACAAUGUGGCCUUGCCCUCCUCCUCCAGUCUUCCUCCACUCACCUUCACAUUCUUAUCAUCUCGAACGCAUUGGUAGCUCAAGCGAUAAAGUGACCCUUACAAGAGGAGACUUAUUGUACAUCUGUAAAUCGUGGACCUAUUAAUGCUAUCUCGUAAACUAGUUAUUUAUUGUCAUAUUUGUUGCAGUUACAUCAUGUUGCAAACGCUUCAAAAAGCGAUAUAUCUGAAGAUGGAUUGCCGAGCUGUAUAGAUCGAAAACUGUUGACCUACGUAGAUAGCGUAAAUAACGGACCUACAAGUGCGUGUUGGUAUCGUAAAAUCCGACAUAAUAAACAAUCAACCAAUAGGAAUCUACAUUUUGCAGUUGCCUCCGCAAAUCAUGCGGGCACGUGCGGUUUGCACUGAUGUUGCUUGGAUCAUCCAACUCAUAUUUUUCACUUACUAUAUGCUUCCCACAUGCCACGCGUGUAUGCACACAUAUUCAAUUUCUCAUGCCCUUGAUUUGCUAAACUUUCUAGUCAUACAGAUGCUUAUAUGCUUAUAUGCACGCACACAUAUUCACCGUCACGUGUAUUAUAUUCCUAGUAUCUAGUUUCUUUUAUAAGAUAUAUUUUUGCAUGUAGCUUCUAUGUUGCGCGUUUAAUUGUACAAGAUUUGCUUCACACAUGCGCUUGUGUCACGCCACAUAGUUUUGUUCCCUUCUUACAGCCUUCCAAAAAAGUUUAUUUGUCAAGACGAUUGCACGACAUUACAAAAGUUUACUGUCAAGACGAUUGCACGACAUUACAAUUAGGUGUACAAUACCACCACCACUUUUUUCUAAAGAAAAAAUAGAUGUUUAUACGCAACGCAACGCUGUGCCAUGCUGCAACAAAAACUGUUGCAUCCCAACAACCUGAUCAGGACUCAGCAGUGAGUGAUGUCUGAUGUGGAAAUGUGUAGUGCGUGGAGUGAGUACUCAUCAGAAGAACCAGGACUGGCAGAUUGGAAGGAAGCGCUGCAGCCCGGCGAGAGAAAAGCUGGUCUCUCGCACGGUUUCUGCUGGGAUUCCCUUUUGCUCUGGCAGUGUAGCCACAGCCGGAAAAGCCGUUCCCGUCGCCAUCUGUUGCUCGUCUUUCACGGAGAAGCGAGAACGGAGAACGGACGCCGGCCGGACGCCCGGCUUUGCGUGUGACGGUUUGCUUUGCUUUGGUUAAUCGAUCGCCGGCUUGAUCCAUCCGCCUUGGGCUUUUGGUUGAUUGCCUAGCUUUGCUUCAUCUGAUUCAUUUGGUGAUCCCGUCCAAAAUUGGUCGGCAGGAUCAGCACGUACUCAUCUAGACACGUACGUAGAGGAGGUGUGUUGGAUUUAUAUAGUAGAAAAAAGAACAAGAAAAUUUGUGCAUCUCACACACAUAGGCUUAUUACCUCAUUUGGAAGCAAGAGUUUCAUAUAUGGCUUUAUUGUGCAAGGGAAAAGAUGCAUGGGCCACUGCUAAUCUAUGAACAAGGCGAAUACGAGUUGUGCAUCUUGUUAAUUCGUAUGUAAAUCCUAUUCGUCGAAUAAGUUAUUGUUGUUUUCGUGACGAUUGCCUCAUUUUGAAUGCCACUUUCUAAAUGUUUCAUGAAACGACAACGUGACCAAGAAUCCGAUAAAAAGGGAAAAAGAAAAAGAACACUACGCAAGGGAACUGACACGAUGAAACGAGCGCAAACUGUAAAUCAAUGUACGCAACUUGCAUGACGAACCCAUUGAGUGCAAUUUUGGUGUCCAAGAAACCGACUACAUCAAAAGUUAACCGUUAGAAAUCAUUUCCCCGGCCCACUGCACACUGCACGCAAGACGAGAGUCGCAUCGAAUUCUUUUCUUUUUAGUUUGGGGUAUCUUGAUAAUAUCUUAAUUUGUGCUCUGCCCUCAUGGUUAAACUCUCCUACCAAAUUUGUCUAUUGUGCUCCCUUCGAUCUCCCAUUCUCAUCAUCUCUAGCGAUUUUUUUUGCAAAGAUAAAAUCCGAGAAUGAAUGAGGGGUUGUUUCUUUGCAUGUUGAUCGGAAAACAGCUGCGCAUGAACUAUCCCUUUAUCUAAAAAAAUUUCAUUGGGCACAGGAUUGAAAAUCAUACGAAUUAGAAGAAUGGAGGAAUGGUGGAUAACAAUUAUCCUAUAGUGGUGUUAAAUUUCUUGGGAAUGAUUUUAUAGUGUUAAAUGCCAAUAACGGUUGGACAUUUACUCAGAAUGUUAAAAAUAGAUGGAAAAUUAAUAUAGAUGUAAAAAGAGACAAAACGUUAUAGAAACAACAUUAAUCCAUUCCUCGUAUUUUAAAUUAAGAUAUAGAAUAUUUGGAAAUGGAGGGGUAAUACAUGAUUUGGUGUGGUCAUCCCUUGUUGCCAAGUUAUCCACCGCAGCGGAGGAAGAGUAAAAUCUAUCAAUAAGAAAAAAAAAGAACGGGUAGAACCGAAGAAUGGGGAGGGAACAAAAGGGCGAGAUCAUUCUGUUCACGGUUUGGGGAUGAGGGGAAGGGUACAUGAUUGAAAUGAAUUCCUACUCAACCCCUCGAGUGUGCGCAACCCAAUUACAAGGUCUCUCAUGCAUCCUGUGACGCUGCCGGAGCCCAGCCAGCCAGAAGAAACCAUCGGACACACGCAGGGCAAGGGAAUGUAAACCCGCGGCAACACAACGCUAUGGAAAGAGAAGAGGAAAAAAAGAGGCCUGCUCUGCCUACCACGGUUCACACAUCACAUGAGCGUUUCUGCAAAGCGAGGUAGCAGAGAAUUCAGAGCUGUUCUUUCCGCGGCUCGACGGCACAGGUGACAAGUCAGGUCAAGCGGUCGAGGAAGAAGUUACGGUGUGUACUCUAAAGGCUACGGCCACAUGGAACAUGAAAUUUCAGGCCAAGCAGUUCAGACGGCUUCGGUGUUUAGAAGACUUGGAGAUCAGGGAGGGGCUAAUUGGGGAUUUUGUUUAGGGAGUUCUGUUUCUUUAUGAUGAUGUAGUAAUAAAUCCAAUUUGGUCAUGAUUGGCAGUACAACAGUUUCAGUAACGCAGGUGUUACCAGUGACGAACGUUACUAAUUCCUUGGGCAGAUUGAUGUUUACUGGCAGGUCAGUUGCAGCUUUCUGGAUUUGUUAUGAUUAAAAAAGACCUUCGAUUUGAGGGCCCACUUGUAGAUGAGAGGGUGCAUCAAGUACAAGUAGUAGACCUGUCCAUUUGCACGUUAAUGAUUGAUCAUCAUCGUCAGUAUUGGCAUCGAACCAACACUCCAGGGAGAGUGCAUGCACCUUCACGAAUCGUGGAUGCAAAACCAGUUCGUUCGAGAACCCAUCCAUAAACAACUCAUUGUUCAGUUAAUCUCUCGAUCGUUUUACGGUUUUUCGUUGAAACACUCUCCAUAACCAGGAUACAGUACUAAUUUUUCUACCAAAGCGCGGCGCGAUCAUAUCCCAGCUAGCACUAGCAGGCGCCAACCGUAGCCGACGGCGACGGCGCGACGACGAGGCCUCCCUCAAGAAGCCUUUAACGUGCCGGCGAGGGAAUGAGCAGGGCAACAUGUAAUGUCGCGGGUGAAUGCCCGGCGACGGAAGAUAUGAAAGGGAAGCGGGGAAUAAAUAAGCGGAAAGGCGAGCGGCACCACCCCAGGCUUCCCGUGACGGCUCUAAACCCGUUUUGACCCCCCCCUCCUCCUCCUCCCCUCACAGAAAAAAAAGGGCGAUUAAUUCUUUGCUAGCUAGCCGGAGCGUGUCUAAUCGAGGUACAAGGACGCCUCACCAAUCGCCGCCGGCCAGCCGGGGUCGCCGGCUUCCCUCCUCGCCAUGCAACCGAUCCGCCGCUGGAUUCCACAGAAACUUCAUGCCUACUCUCACCACGCUCAAUAGGGGUGUGAAUAGGAGUCGCCGCCCAUCAUUUUUACUCCCUCCGCUUCAAAUUGUAAGUCUAGUUGCGUGUUGCCUACUUGCAACGGAGACCCAGUGGCUGUUUCAUCUGGGUCAGUGAAACAGGAACAAGGAGUUGCUGUUCUGAAGGAUCGCACAGGUUCAACGCGUUUUUUGUCGUUAAAACUGGAUGCUGGCGGUAUAUUUUUGCACGUGGCGUCCGUGCAGGACAAGUCUGGGUUGGGUUCUGCUGGGCGUUUGGUAAGGAGGGCAUGUGACCAGAGAAAGGGACCUCGGCGUACCUGUCGACAUGUCGUGGCGUAGGACAGGAAGAUGAUGAGGAAUCAGCGAAUCGUAACAUUGUCUCGUGACCUGACGAUCAGUCAGGUGCAACAAUUCAGAAAACAAUGUGAUCAAAUGAGACUGCAGGUUCAUGACAAAUGAUUAUGACGAAGAUACAAACAACGUAACAUGUACAGCACAUGCACUGACCGGGAGUGCUAGCAAAUGGUAGAGCUUCUGCUUCAUGUGGAUCAACCAUAAACAGAGGAUCACAGGACUGAAGCACGACAGUAUAUCAAGCCUAAACUCGAAGGCCACCGACACAAAACAUGCAGGAGUAUGAUACAGAAAUUUCUUUUGUUCAUCUGUUGCAAACGUUCCUCGGCACUGGAUGAUUGAGCUUGAUACAGAGAAUAAACAGGGGCAAUAAUCACAAAAUUCACAAUUGCUCGAAGUGAGGCCGUCGUUGUUUCUCUUGCCGAGGCAAAACUAUUACACAUUUCACAAAGCUAUUUCAACAACAGAUGAAUCGCUUGCACAUGCACUACACAAACUUGUUGGAAAUUGGGCAAGUUCAUCGCUCGAUGCCCCAAGAUCGAAGCACUAUUCUGUGAUAUCUGAUGAUGCAAGGGCUCGAGACCGGUCGGGAACCAGAGUUCCCGUUUCUCCAAAAAUGGGAUAAUACACGGAGCAUAGACAACCAUGGCAAAUUCUUACUAGUUCUCCAUCGCCAAAGAAGCUUGAUCUAUAUCUGCUCGUGAACCCUCCCACAAUUGCUGUUCUAUGCCCAAUUUCCUGAGCUCUGUUAGACCUCUCUCCACUGCAGUCAUAAAAUUGACAGAAACCAGUCACAAGACAAUGGAAAAGAUGUCACCUUGAACCAGAAUAAUUGGAUCUAAUGCAAGAAGUCAUGCAAAAAUCAACUGAACAGCAUGCAUAAAAGGCAUCACUACUCAAAGGAACUGCAGAAAUUGAAGUCCACCCAAUGAGCAUCGUGCUAAUCAGUAAAAUUUACAGGGAUACCUGCCAAUGGUUACUUGUUUUAGUAACUAGUAGGAUGGAGCAAGCAUCUUACCAUCUAUAGCAUCAUGCGAAUUUGGAGCUUGUGCAUUGCGACCAAUCCAAAAUUGAAGCCGGUCAUCAGCAAUAUCUUCCUCGACACCAUGAGUUUUGGCUCUUCUCCAGAAGUAUAUAAGCCAUGCCUGAAUUUGGUGUGGAUUCCAUAAGUCAUGUGCAAUGAAUGGAAGAAUUGCAGAAUUCACAUAUCUGAAAGCUUACCUGCUUGAAGCUAACAUCUUCAGCUUCUUCUGGGCUAAGAUCUGCAAAAUGAAGAAAUAGUUUCAGCUCUGAGUUCAAGCCAUACAAACCUGACUAAAAUGUUUGUGCAUACAAGUAGUGAAAUAAAGUUAAAGCGGUAUUAAGUCCUAUUAGCCAAGGGGAGAAAGUAGUACCAAAUGCCUCCAGAUAUUUAGGUUCGCCAGGUGAUUUAAAAUCUGCAAAGGUAGAGAACAAAAUAAUUCACAACUUGAUCAGUUUCUAGCUUUCCAAGCAAGGACAAAGAAGUGAAUUUACACGUAAAAUCUCCCGCUGAAAAGAAAAAUCAAAUGCAUGCACUUGUAGAUGGCAUCACAGUACCCUACAGUCAGUAUUUGUACAAAUACUUUCAUGAGAUGGCCACUACCAUGUAGUAUUAGAGUGUUGGUGAGACAGCAUUUGGAAGAACAUCGAUGCAAGUAUGCAAAUGGAUUUGGAUGUUUCAAACACACAAUUAACAUUAUAGGGCCCAACUGUGAAUAGAGCAGAUGUGCAGACUCAAAACUUGCUAUGAGACAUGUGUGAUGGAUGAUGAUUGAUAUACCAAAUUUCAUUAGCCUCACACAAUAUAUGUUUUGCCAAAAUAGAUGAAAAUGAACUACAUUGCAAAUGGAGCAAACCUGAUGUGAACUGCCGAACUAUGCUAGGUCUGCGAUGUUGGCCAAGUGCAACUACAACAGCAUCUUCCACCUACAUGACAAUAACAGGAAUUCAGCUUUGACAUGUCAGAGAAGCCAGCCAGUAAUUACAUAUGGUAGAGAGACUGCAAUAGUAGAACGACAAAUUGCCCUUGUGGCCUUUGUGAUUCACUAAUUUGUCCAACUUUUAAAUAGUCUUUAUACAAAAUAAAUUGGUCACUCUGAGCACUUUAUUACUAUAGUAGGAAGUCCAACCAAGUCCUUCCAACUUUUGGCAGAAGCAAAAAAGAGUUAGCAUGUUAAGUUCUGCAUUUAGAUAUUAGGAGAACCUGCCAAAGGUUUUAGGAUAUUAAGACUUAAGAGAGCUUAUGUCUUCCCUCAUGUUUUUUUUAAUGCAGGUGCUUGCCUCUACAUGUGAGUAAGGUACCACAAUUUUGCCUUGGAGAAAUCUAUAAACAAAAGGAAGCGAAUUCAACACCUUCAAUGAAGAAAGCUCUCUAAGCCCCAUUUCAACUGAAAGCAUGCUCUCUAUAUUGCCUUCUCCCAUUACAUCACUCAUUUCUCGUGCAAGCUUAUUUCUCCCUUGAGCAUCAUCACCUGCAUGAAUAAAUUUCAAGCAUGCUUAAUUGGAGUGCAUGGAAUAAACUAUGAUCUACAACUUACACAUUAUAAUAAUGCAGGCUUGCCUUGUUUCCGAGGUUCCUCCUUAGCCUUUUGACCAGCAGAGAGAACAACCUCGAGGGGAAGAGGAGCCAACGAUGACCAAUGUUCAUGCUUUGAUACCGCGAUCUCGGGAUACACUCCUUGAAGUUAAUUAAUGGAUGGAUCAUCAGGUAAUCAAGAAUAAGGAGGAAAUAAAACAUUAGCAGUUUAGUGUCACUGAUGCAGGUGGACUAGACCUGCGCACUUUCAUACCAGGCCCAGAUCCCAUUUGGGUUGCCAAACCUUGACAUGGGUCAAGCCAUACAUGUACUAGGGCUAGCCAGGUUGGCUAUGGUUUAGGGUGAACACAAAGCACUAUCAUCCAGAGACAAACUAUAUCAUUAAAUUGCACAGUGAUUACAUAAAAAUGUUGUCUUACCAAACUAAAUAGCCUUUACGCUAUCGUCAGAACAUUUAUCUUUUGCUGACGACCAUAACCACAUGAUCAGUGGAUGAGUGACUAGAAGAGCCAUCGCAUGGUAUCUUAUUGAAAUUUAUCAAAUAAAGUAAAUUGAGGCAAUAAGUUAUCUAGCUGAAUUUCAAGAGAGAACAAUGGAUAGUGAAUGUGCAAAUGGAACUUUUUUAUCACGGAUACCAGACAACUUCUCCUUUUAAAAUUUCAAGUGACUAGUCAGUAUAAUCAGAAAAAAUGAUAAAGAGUUUUCCUUUGAAAAAAAGAUAUCAGGUAACUCACCAUACUGAACUGCUAAACCCCAAUAGCGUGCAAGCCAGCACCUUUUUAGAACAACCUCCUCCUAUAAAGUUGUAACUGGAUUAAAAUUCAUGCCGGCAAAACAAAAUGAGGAUUGGGCAAUAAUCAGACUAACCAUUUCUUCUUGAGUUAAGACCAUUCUCUGAGUCAUGGACCGGAGAGCCUUCGUUUCAGACUCUGCCUCCUUUAGCUGGUCAAAUGCUGAUGCAACUUCUUCUUUGGCAGACUAUUCAAAACAUGAUAAGUGAACAAUAGGAGUCAAAUAAAACAGCAUAUACAACAAAGAGUAGGACAUUUAAAUUCACUAAAAGUAUCUUUACCUCAAGUUCUUGCCUUAGUGUUGUUACUUCCUCUCUACCAUCCUUUGAUUCCCUUGCAGCUUUUAGUGCAGCCUGAGGACGAAUGAAGAAGAGUUGCAAAAUUAGCAGUGAAGUGUCGUUUAGUGGAUAAGCAAGUUUUUUUCAGCCAUUUAGUUGAUAGCAGCUUUUAAAAUCUGUAAUAAUGCAUUUUCAUUCAUCAUUUCAGCAAACCUUGAAAUAAGUACUUCAUAAUACUCCCUCCGUUCCUGUUUAUAAGGCGUGGUAUAACAUGGCACGGUCUCCUAAAUUAGACUUUGACCAUUCAUUUAGCUUAUAUUAUAUUUUUUGUGGUUAUAAACUUAUAAUCAUUGGAGAGUACAUUUGAUUAUAAAUCCAACCAUGUCAAAUUUACAUUAUAAAAAUAAAAAUUGUUGGCUAAAUUAUUGGUCAAAGAUUGUAAACUUUGGAUCUUGAUAUACGUGUGCGUCUUAUAAACAGGAAUGGAGGGAGUAUAUUUAGGGACCACCCAAAGUAGAAACUGGGAUGAAGUUCAGCACAGGGCUUAUCUUCUCAUUUGAACAUCAAACAACUGGCUAAAAAAGCAAUAUGAUAACAUAUAAAUGCCAGCAGCCUAUAGCAGAACACAAGAAGAAAACUAACCUCCCUCUGUUUAAGUGCUGCUUCCUUCCUGCCAGCAUUCAUGCACAUGUUAUGUCGUGACCAGUAGUGGAUUUAUAAAAUAUGUGUAUUUCAAACACAGAACAAACCUGCUCAAGAGGCGAGCUUCUAGUGACACUCCUUCUCCAAGAGCAGCUACCUGUGUAACAAGAAAUUAAGACCUAAGCAAUUGUGUAUAUAGUUCACUACAUAAGGAAAAAUCAUUUCAUGGCCAUAAAAACCCAACCUUGUAUUUCAAGGUUCAGAUUCAAUUGCAGUAGAGGAUAGAAUCAGACCAUGUCAUGUCAUACAAAUGACCAUAUCUGAUGCAUAGAGCAAAACAGCAAAAUUAAAUGUUUAUAGUAGAUGUUAUCUCACCUGUUUCUCAAGCUCCUUGGCUCUAGCUUCUGCUUCCUCACAUUUUUCUUCAGCAAGUCGCAACUGUAUCAGAUUAAGAAAUUUUUAUUGAAGCCCUGCAUAAAACCAAUAGAUACAUUGUUGUAUAAUGUCAUUUGCUGUUUCACCUUUUCUAGAACACUCUCAUUCUCCUCUUGUAGCAUGUCAAGCUGUAUGACAGUAUAGCGUUAGUCUUGAAAUAGUAGAUAUGCACUCUCAAGUAUUCAAGUUAUAGUAAGAACUCCUAACAGUUACACAAGAAAAAAUGAGCAGAAUCAAUAUAAAUGAGUAAUCUUCAGAGAAAAAGGAACACCUCAUCUUGAAGAGUGGAUGCCUCUCUUUUUAAUCCUGAUUCUCUGGAGCUAUGAAGCCCUGCAUCAAACCUAAAAGGAAUAAAAAGGGGUCAAUAACUAAGUUUCCCCUAUUUCUUUUGAAACGAAAAAAUAUAGAUGAAAAGAAAAUUCCAAGCUGUAAGAAGCAACCGAUAAUGCGACAAUGUCUAAUCCCAGUUUCCUAUUAAUAAAUGCAAUGCAGAACUCACAAUAAUAUACAGAAAAUCUGCAUGUUUGACAUGGUGGGGAUCUCAAAAGGCAUUUUUAUUUUAUUUUUUAGCAUUAGAUCAUUAGAUGUAUAAAAAAAUGAUUUACACCAGAAGAUCUAAUCUAGUAUCUUAUUCCCAAAUUUAGAUGCUACUGAUAUUGAUCGAUUUCAGUCACACUGUGACCAUUGUACCAAGCAUGCAAAUCGUUCUAUAAAUAGAACAUCAGGAGUUAUGUAUGUAUGGACACAAAACUUGUUCAUUCCACUUUAUGCUACUGUGUCACUCUACAAAACUGGAGCUCAGAAGUAAGAAGCACUGUAAUAUUUGUCUGCUUUUUUUUCAGGUUAAUUCAUGGGCAGUGAUGCUUGACCAUAUGUUAUUAGGGGCAACGCUUACCAUGCAGCAAUAUAUAAAUGCUAAGUCAGACUAAGUCCAUUGCAAGAGCUGAUUAAUGCAGUAAGCUAGUGGAAUCACUCCUUCCAAAGAAUGGUCCAAGAAGCAAAAUUCACUUAGUAUUGCUUCAUUUGGUGACACACUAGUACUAAUCAUUUAGUCUAUUUUUAGCAUGGAAGGUAUAUUCCACGUUUUUUAGGCAUGAGGAAAUGUAACAAAUGUACCUUUUCUGCCGAGUGCGAUCUGCUGGAGGCUCCACAGCCACGGGAGGUAUAGGGGACGGGGUUCGCAAUGUCGUGUUGGUUUUGAUCGGUGGCACCACUGUGGUGGUCGGUCGUGAUGCAACAGAUGGCCUGCCUGCUGAUGAUGAGCGGACGGUCGGAGGUGGUUCUACAAUGUUCCGACCUAACUAAUGAAAAUAUGAGGAGAUCAAAUUAGUGGAAGGCCACAGCCCAGCAGUAAACAAAUUGAGUAAACUGAGACACUAUACAAUGUACGGAUCAAUUUUCACCCAAUUCCCCUGAUUCUAAAGGAAUUAACAAGCAUUACUAAAAGUGAUCUAGCACUAGCAAGUGGGAACUAUCUACUUCCGCAAAUUCAUCCGAUCCUGGACGAUUUCAUAACAGUUGACCCCAGUUUGACCAAUUUGGACUAAUUCGCGCAUAGCAGCAGGCCGGAGCAGCCAAUUCCUAAGUAGAGAAGCAGCAUGGAGCGAGAGAUCCGGAAGUAAAGUACCGCAGGGGAGGGAGAUCUCGCGGUGCGGCCAAGCAGGGAGACGCCGUUGCUCCCGUGCGCUGUCCGGCCACCUCCGAACCUCAUGGGUGCCGGUGGCGGGUGGUCCGCGGCGUAGUCGUCGUCUUCAUCGUCGUCGCCGGUGGCCGCGGCGGCGUUCUGCGAGGCCAUGACCUGCGCCAGCCUCGCCGCCGCGGCGCGCGCGGCGACGUUCUGCGUGCGGCGCACGUUCGAGAUGCCAGCUGCGCCCGCGGCGGAGGCGGCGGAGGAGGUGGAGGAGGAGCGGUGGUGCGAGGGGGAGACGCCGCCCGGGGAGGAGGAGCCGGUGCUGCUCCCGCUCCGCUGCCGCCCGUAGACGGGGCUCCCGGCCCGGAGACGGUCCAUGGUGCGGCUCGCCGGUGGGAUCUGGGCCGCCGGGCGGCCGCGGCGCGGAGAUGGCGAGGCGGGGGAGUGGGAGGGAGGUGGGGGGGAGCACGCUCCCGACGCCGGUGGAGUUUUCAGUUUUUGCUUUCUUACAGUUUACCCCUCGCCUUUUGUUAAAUUUUAGUUAGUCCGGCUUGGUUACCAUUUUCUGUUUGUGCUGUUUCCGUGCUUUAUUUUUGCUCAAUUUGGGUGGUUCGCUUCAUUCCACGAAGUCCACUACAGAGAAACUAUGAUGAAUUUUCUAUUUAUAUAAAUAAACUUAAUUAUUGCUACAUUGUAUUUCUAUUGCUAUAUUACACUUAAGCGUAAUCCUCGUAUUUUGUGUUGUGUUGUAAAUGCUAGUAUUCGGUGUGUCACGUUCACUCAAACAUUUGCUAUGCUGAACAACAAUCAUGCGAUUAAAGUAAAUACAUUUCUAUUUAGUUUGCGAGGAUGGAAUGCAACGAAUAGCAUGCUGUGUUUCCUAAACAAUGGGGAAAAAAAGUUCUGAAUAAUGGCAACGAAUGAAGGAGAAGAUGGAAAGAAGUGAUAAUCAGGACAAGAGGAGGGUCCGUCACGCAAAAACGGAAUAUCAAACAUUUUUCUGAAAACUGAAAAGCAAAAUUCCACGCUGGUUUGCACAUCCCCGUAGCGAGAGCCGAGAGCGAUGUUCUCGGUGCCGUGCUGGCCUCACAUCCCAUGUGUACGGCUGCUACACCAAACGCCUCUCUUCCUCCGCAUCUACCGUUGAUGGACCUGAUCCGACGGACGUAACACAGCAUGUGCGGAUCGGCCUGGCAGGCUGGCGGCGUAGAGGAUCCGCAGGUGAUCAUGGGAGGCAAAUGCAGAUGCAGGUGGUUGGUGCGGAAUGUUGCUUGAGAGCUGGGAUUAAUUAGGCCUCUCGGAUGGUUCGAGCUCCUAAAAUUCUCAUCACAUCGAAUGUUUAAAUACUAAUUAGGAGUAUUAAACAUUGACUAAUUACAAAAUCAAAUUGCACAAAUGGAGGACAAUUUGCGAGAUGAAUCUAUUAAGCCUAAUUAGUUCAUGAUUUGACAAUGUGGUGCUACAGUAAACAUGUGCUAAUGAUGGAUUAAUUAGUCUUAAUAGAUUCGUCACGGGAAUUAGCCUCCAUCUGUGCAAUUGGUUUUAUAAUUAGCUCAUGUUUAGUCCUCCUAAUUAGCCUCCGAAUAUUUGAUGUGAUAUGAAUUUUAGUCCGAAGUAAAGAUAUAAACACCCCCUUACCCCUUCAUUCCAGGUUUAGAUCAAAGCCUGAAAAAAAAAAGCUUGGCGCUAUGAACAUGAUGUUAGUGAAAAUAAAAAGGCUUAGGAGCUCGUAGCGGUGCUUACUGCUGCUACAAGUACUGUACAACACUUGAUCUGGGGGACAAACUGCGAAGGAGCUGCUUCCGAUUUGGGCGACUGACUGCUGCCCGAAGUGAAAAUGAAUGUAAAUUGAAAUUCUUAGUUUAUCUUUAUAUGAAUAUAAAUUGAAAUUCAUGCGUUCCAAGCAGUGCAUUCGGACUAGCGUGUAUGUAGCUUCCAUAUCUGCAGGGUCGGAGCAUUAGCAGUAUAUGAUUGUAUAUUUUGUUUUAAAAAUUGCUCAAACUUGAAGCAUUUAACCCUUUGCAUUUGAUAGUUUGUAGGAAAUAACUUGCUUGGCCCUCCUAAUGCUAUGAUCCUGGUUAUAUCUCUGUAUGGUUUGAGGACGAGAUAGCUCUCAUCAUAACAGUUGACAUUCUCUCCCAUCCUAUCGCCACAAAACGAACUUACUUUAUCUGAAUAUCUGGUACCACAGUUUUUGUCAUCGACAUGCUAAUUAGAGUCUCGCUGUAUAAGCCGCUCCUCUUCUGAAACUAAAAAGGCAUCCAACAAGAGGUGCGGUUCUAAUUACAAUAAAUGAAUGAAUGCGGUCCAGGUUCCAGCUAUUUGGCUUGGCUUAGCAUCCACGCACUCCAAUGUUUGUCAAGCCCAUGAUUGCCAAGCUCUGGUCACUGACAGGAUGGUAUGAAGGAGAAGCUAGCUGGUGUGUAGGUUACACGUCUUGCAUCAUCAUCACUGUCACCUCCCCCCGUACGUUGACAAUGCAGUUGAAAACGAGGCCUCCCUGGUCGUUGCGCGCGCGUGCAGGGAGAGGCAUGGCAUCAGCAACCACCGUCGACUGUGUGGCCGACAGAAGCACGGCGAGAACGAUAGAAUGUGCCUUUGUAUUCUUUGAUGACGUCCAGGCCUUUUGCUCUCCUGCUGCUAAUUAAGGUAGCUUUGAGCAGUUGACGAUCGUGAUCAGAGAGACAAGACCGGAGCUAGCUAGGUAUGACGCCAUCAAUCCUGUACAGUCAGCAUACGCCUGCUAGCUUGGUAGAGAUCGCUGUAACUGCCAAUUGGUGUCACAGAUGUUGCUCAUCCAGACCAGGAGGGCAUGCGCAGGGCCGGGUCCGUCGGCACCGCCGGUUGGCUACGCAGGCAGCGAGAGCCCAUGCAUGACGCCGCCUGGAAGGUGUUCGUGGAGGCCGUGAAGGACUGAAGGUGUUCGUGGAGGGCAAGUGGCGCCAACCGCAAGGGAUCGGAGCGAAGGGACAGCCGAGCCAGCCAUGUGCGCGUGGUGCCCAUGAUGCCGCAUCAUGCAUACUACGUAUCUCAUAUCCUUGAGGCUUUGAGGCCUCAGCUCAGCUCGCUCCCCAAUCUACUAUACUAGUACUAGCUAAUUCUAACCGCGCGCGCGGCAGCAGCGUCCCGAUCGAUCGGCGAUCUAUCUACCUCAGACCAGACCAGGCAUACGUACGGAUGGGAGGUGGUUGGCGAGCCCCAUCGCCCGCAUCAACUCACAUGAGUACAUGACCACACCACACACACUCCUAUAGCUACCAAGGACCAUGCAUCGCACUACCUGUCUCCCCACCUAGCUACCCUGUCCUCCUCUGCAUCUGCACACCAUGUUCUCUUCUCUUCUCGGGUCACGCUGCAAUGCUGCAUGCAUGAGCCUGCUCCAUCCCAUUCCCCUCCCUGUACAAAGAACAUCGAUACAAUUCAGUGUCAUCAGCUCGCAGGAGUUUCUGAAUUGUUAGCUUCAGGUUUUACUCAUUCCCAGCCUGCUUAUUAUUAAUCGCUUUGUUCCAACACAGUACUGAAGGGUGCGCAAGCUGCCAAUCGUUAUUAUCUCGUUGCCGUUGCAUCUAUCGCGCUGCAUGCAGCCGGCAGGCAGCGGUGCCGGCGCGGAGAUCCAUCCGUCGGUACGCCACCGACAGACGACGACGACGCUGCAGUCGAUAUGUACAGACCAGGGAGGAUCAUAUCAGAGACGCCACCUGGGCUGUCACCCGGCCUCCGCACAGUUCAUCGUGUAAUAACCUAACCUCCCUCUUCACCAAAACCACUACUGCCUGCCUGCCCUGCGAUAUGCAGUAGCUAGGAUCACUUUCUUACUAUAAUCAGUUGAUGAUCUCCUGCUUAAUCCAGUAAUUAAGGAGUAGAUUCCUAGACUGCAACGGCAGCUGUCACAUCCACAGGGGAAAGACAAGCUGUUGAAGAACAGUAACGGCCAGCGCACAGGUGAAUGUCCGGCGGCAGAGCCAUGCACGCUCUAUGGAGCUGAGCUAGAGGCUAGUCAUCAGCUAGUGUGUGUCCACGGCUACCUUGGCUGGGCCAUGCGUCUAUCUCUCUCUCUCUCUCUCUGAAAGCAACCCCGCCAUUUGCAUUCCUUCGUUUUAAAAGGGAAUCCAAGCGUGCGUCGUCAAUGCAGCUGAGAGCCAGAUCAGAUAUCAGAUCAGAUCAAUACUUCUCAGGCUGCUUUAUUCUCUCCUGAAUGCUUAGGUGAGGGCAGGUGAUCGUCGAGACCCCUCCGGAAUUAAGGGAUCGGAGUCGGUAGAUCGUUGGGGAGACGCGGAGGAGAUCGAGAUCGGAGCUGAGAAGAUCGACGACAAGAAGGCAUGAAGCUCUUGUUCCAGUGCCCUUGCUGCUCCUGCUUCUGCUUCAUGAAGGCCAGCAACAAGACCCAAGGCAAGGGCAAUGCAGCAGGUCAGCCCAGCAAAAUGCAAGGGGGAGUGGUAGGCAAAACCAUAGAGAUGAUGUAGCUAGCUUGCCAUGUUUAAAUUUAAACACCAUGCAUGCUCAGCCUAGCUUUAUGCUUCCACAUGAUCAUCCCUCUUCUGUCUUUGGAUCGUUUCUUUCAGAUUUGUGAAGUAAGGUAGCGUUGUGCCUGUGUCCUCGAGCUGUCUCAUUCAAUGAGAGAGGAGAACCAAUUUCUUCAGUUAUCUAUAAAUCCACUAUGAUAAUCUCAUCCUGAAAUCCAAUUGUCGCAAAACCUUCAUCAAGUAGGCGCAUCAUACGGAUCCGAAUACCUUUUUUUUAUUCUGAAAAUAUUACAUUUUUUUAUUCCACGAAUACCUCGAAUGCCUUUGUAAUUUCAGAAACGGGAACAGUUUCUUGGCGUGGUACAUCCCUCACCAGAUUUUGGGUGUAUAAAUUUUAUGGAUACACUUGGAUUCCUUAGAAACAAAUCAUUAACAUAUAAACGAGUUGGGCGCAGCUUUCGCAAAAAGAAAAAAAAAAGAAAAAAAAGAAGAGCUGGGCGCAGCUUGGGUAUGAGCUUGACCACACUGUGAGCGAAAAACAAUGGCCCACUUGUUUUUAGGAAAAAGUGAAGCUAAUUGGCCUAUAUCCUUUUUGCCUCUGGCUUCUUUGGUAGGAGAGCUGUGUGAGCUGAAUUCAACAAGUCAAAUGCUGACUGAAAAAAGUGUUUUAGAUCUUUACAGGAGAUCAUCAUCUUUGAUUGUGGAACAACAUUCCUAAAUAUUUAUUUUGCCUAAGGGGAAAUAAAAAAUAAAAAUUCUGCUGGUGACUGAGCCGAUUCUCCGUCUGCCCGGGCUGGCUGCGUGCGUGCGGGCCACAAAUUGAAUCAGCGCAUGUGGACCCUUUUGGGCCAGCGAGACCCCUCGUUUUAUUGGGCCGCUCCUACGGUUCAGCCAGACGGAGUCCAACAAGUCACCACCGCUCCUCCCACCGGCGGCGGCGCUCGCCGCCUCCCCCGUUCCUUCUCAAGGUUCGCUCCCCGCCGCAUCCACUCCCAACCUCCAUCAACGACGCUGAGGCUUCCCCCAGGCUGACCAGUUAGAUUCAUCGCCUUCCGUAUCGCUGGCCUCAGCCUUCCUCUCUGCCAAGAAGGUGGGAGAAGCGACUCGCGCACGCGCUCGGCGCAGAAGGCGGGGCCAGGUACGCAGAGGCGAGCCCGACGGCCGGCGAGAAGGUUUCGAGGCUCACGAGGCUGCCGCCGUGCUGAAUUGCCAAACCCGGCUGUCGCUUGAGGGUUUUUGGUCGAGUGGUGGGGGAAGCGGAGGGUUAUGGCUGCGCCGAGGAAGGGAACAGCGACGCCGCUGGGCGCCGUUUUCUCGCCGGAGGAGACCAAGAGGGCCGUGGCGAGGGUGGCCGAGUCUAUCGCGGACCGCCGCGCCGAGCUCGGGCGACUGCAGGGCUUCGUCGCCGACAACGCCGCCCUCGUCUCCCUCGUCAACAGGCUCCCCGAUGAACUCUCGCACGAAAUCAUGGUAUUUCAUUCUCUCCUUAAAAUCUGAAUAGUAGAAAUCCGUGUCUUCUUCUCAAGAUGAAUUUGGUAGCUUACCUGGUACUGUAUUAUCGAUUUACUCUUUUUGAUGAGAUGAGUCUGAAAAGUAAGAAUUAGUAACUGGCACUAGUAAUUUAUCCCAUCAAUCGUCCAUUCCUUUGCAUUGUGCAAACUAUGGCUAAUUGGCUAUACAACAAUAAGUUGAAUUGGACUAAGUUUUCAAUCUCUGUAUGUGGAUGCUGGAUGGUAAUGAAUAGUUGAAUACAUGAUUGCAAUAUUGAAAAUUAAAAGGCUCUUAGUCUCACCAUACGUGCUUUAUAUAUUUUGCAACAUUUUUUUUAAAAAAAGAACUAUGCAUUGCAGGUUCCCUUUGGUGGUGCCGCAUUUUUCCCAGGGCGUUUAAUCCACACAAAUGAACUCAUGGUAUGGUUUCCACUGUGAAACAGUUUUGGUUUUCAGUCUACAUGGGCCUAUCAGCCUAUAUGCUCAUGAUUUGCAUUAUGUCUUAGGUGCUUCUAGGAGAGGGGUAUUAUGCAGAGAGAUCUGCUAAGCAGACAACUGAUAUUUUGCAUAGGAGGGGGAUGGAGUUGGAAGCUCAAGUGGAAGUGAUGAAGGCAACUAUCUCUGACCUUGAAGCUGAGGCAAAAUUCUUUGAGUCCACUGCUGCCGAGGCUUCUGUAAGGCUCCUUUCUCAAUUUUCUGUAAUAUAUGGGCAAUGGUAGACUAGUGAUUUACUUAGUGAAGGUAACCAUAAUAUCAGUUUCCUUUGAGGCCACUGGGGAGUGGGGAGUGAAAAACAAAUGGUUAAUGAAUUACAACAGGCUUUCAUUGACAUGUAGACCCAUCAGUUGCAGUUAUUGUGUCUCAGUAAUCAGUAUGCAGACAAACUUAACAACAUAGUCUUCUUUUAGAUUUUUGAUAUAUGGGUUUAGCUUGCCAGGUUUUGCUAAUAUGCUAAAUCACACCCUGGAAAAAAAAGCUAUUCUGUUUACAUAUGCUUAAUUUAAGUGAUGAUCUGAUUAUACAUGGUGUUUUAGAGCACAACAGUAUAGCCUUGUAGACCUGAUACUAACUGAGCUACUUUUAUGCUUGUUCAGUUCAAUGCAUUUCGUCUUAACAGAAGUCAAAACUGUUGUCAUCUCUUCAUUCUUUGUGUGCACAAUUACAUUGAAUUGGAUGCUUAACUAUGUUGAUGUGGACAGGAGGGUCUAGUUGAAAUCAGGGAAGAGUAUGAUGAAGACACAGAGAGUAAUUCAUCAAAAUCAGGUGACCAUUUGGACUUUUCUGUCUUUAUGAUUUGUUUUGCCUCCUUAUUAGUUCUUAAUAUAUUGAGAUCUUAAUAUUAGUGUAUUCCAAAUAUAUAUCAUUUCUCUUUUAAAUCCUCCUUGCAUGGUAGAAUAUCUAUUCAUUAAUCCUGGAUUGGCCAAGUUUUAAGUUAUCUUGCUGCAAGUUGUUCUGUCACUAUUUCAUUUUGCAAGCGAAUGGUUGGUUUGAGGGUGUAAUGGUGUAUAUUGUACUUUCUAUAUAUAAUAGGCAUGACACGGUGACUUGUUGCUCUGGUGAUAUUAUUAUCCCUCUCCAUCGCACAAAGAUGGCAGAUAACUUUUUGGAGCUUAUAUGCAUAGCAAGUAAUUGAAUCUUCUACUUCAACAUGACUGUUUUAGUAUUUUUUUUCUACUUGUCUACUUCAGAGGCUUCAGUUGCUACUGGGGGAAUGUCAGAUAAAGAAAAGGAACAUGCUCGGAUAAUGGCAAGGUUAGAUGAACUCGAGAUGGAAGAAAUGGAAGCUGGAAGUACUUCUGAAGAAGAAGAAGACGAUGACGAAGAUGAUGGGGGUGCUGUAACAAGUGAGGAUGGUGAGGAAAAUGAGGAAUCUGGAAAUGCUUUAAGUGAUGGCAAUGAGCACCACAGUUCCAGUUUUGGUGCUUCAUUUUCUGGAAAUGGUGGCAAUGAUAGGAGUCAUGGGAAUAUCCAGGUACCUGUUUCUCAAACAGAUCUGGCUUAAGGUAGAUUGGUUCAUGUGCUGGAAUUACUUAUUUUGAUCCUCUGAGUAAUAGCUGAAGAGUGCACUAAAGAAGCCUGGAGGAGAGGAACUGCUGAGAGGCAUUUCCCAUGCACCGUCAGCCCACACAUCUCAUUCAGUAUUUCCUGGCCAAAGUUCUGUAAGUUGUUUACCCUUCUCUGAAGACCUUCUGCAUUGUCUGUGAAUGAACAGCUUAUUAAUUUGUAUAUCUUCCUUCGGUCCUGACAUCGCAUUUCCCCCCUCAUUUGCAGAUAACAAAUUCUGAAGUCAGGGUUCGUAAAGGUUAGUUCUGCUCUAUGGUUGGAGGCAACUUGUAGCGUAGUACAAUUGCCACCUUGUUCUUGUUCAUGUAUUGUGGCUGGAGAUGGAACUAAACUUGAUUCUCUUGGCGCUUUAUCUGCUUGUUAUAUGUGUGGUGAAUUAUGUACCAUGCUGGUUUUGGUGUGACCCCACAUGUUCUACUUGCAGCUGUUUCUUUUGAAGAUGACAAACAUGUAGUUGGUUCGUCAAAGUCUCCUUCCUUGCCCCCAGAUCCAUCGCACCCUGCUCCAGGGUUCAAGGUACUGACUGUUUUACUCCUUACACAAUUUCUGCAUUCAUUCGUUUGCUUGCAUAAAUCUCUCAGUGAGGAUUUCUUCGGUGGACUUAUAAACUGACAUUAUUGAGCAUGGAAAUAUUCUCACGGAGGAUCUAGCAUAUGCUUUAGACAGAAUUACCCCAUGUUUUGGUCUUAUUUGAAUGUAUGCAGUUCUACAUACUUUUUUGUUAUUUGGGUGCAAACAGUUCUUCUGUCUAAAUAUGCCACGUCUCUGCAAACAUGUACCACAGUUUACUGUUACCUCCAUGUUUGAAUCAUGUUUUUCUUUUGUAAUAUAUAUUUGCAGGGUUCUUCAGACCCAGCUCCAUCUCGUGAGCGAAAGAUAAUAUCAAGUGGACGGCAGGUCUUUUUCUUGUCCUCUGUCAGAUGUACUUCUACGCCUUUUGAGCUUGCACCUGAGCUUAAUUUGUGACUUAUUCACCUAGCAGGCCUUUACGGGAUCCAUUAUUGAACGUGAUGACAAUCUUUUACCCAUUCAACCUCCAGUCGGUAGUUCUUCGGCGAAGGUAAGCUGGUUUUCCUCCUUGUUCUGAAUCUCUCACUGCUGCAAUAGAACUACUUAUUCUGAAUCUCUCACUGCCGCAAGAGAAAUUCACAUUGAUCUGUCCUCAUACUAUUUUCAUGAAUGUCUGGCAGCCCGGUACCUCUGCUUCUUCAAGGCCCAUGUCUAGAUUCAAGAUGCAGAAAGGAGAGCGGUGAUCGGACCGGGAUGGAUCUUUGAUACCUGCAUCUGCGACAAACACGAUAAUUGUUAUUGUCGUACGGACGAAUGAUACCCGACCAAGAUUCUUGAACACUGUAUCCGCUAGGUGAACACCUGAGGAAGCAUUUCCUUGAGCUAUUGACUUACGCAGACUGUGGAGCGUGUGUGCAGUGAAACUGUUUGUGGAUACAUGGCUUGUUCAGUUUAAGUUCAGUAAAGUCGUGUUGGCCAAUGGUGAUGUCUCUUUUAGAACCCUAUAGAUGUCCAAAGAUGAAGCACAGGACACUUAGAGCAACAAAUCAAUGUUGUGGAAGAUGAGGAAAAAUAAAUAUGAUUGAUUGAAAAGGUAAUCAUAGAAAAUUAAGCAAAAAAAUGGAGAAGGAUGACGGGUACGCUGGUUGGUUAAUCCGGGCCGUUCAGAAUCGUAUCAGUUAACCAUCAGAUUUAAUCAGAUCAGCAGGGGAAGUAGGUAAAAAAUAAAAUGACCAAACAACCUGUUGGGCAAUAAAUAAAUUAAUUACAGAUUGAUUACUAGCUUGGUGUUCCUAGUUGUGCUGUAACAGAGUGUCAUGACAUGGUCGGCAGUAGCCGCCGGUGAGCGCCGUGAAGCCGUGAGCUCCGCGAGCGUCUCUUCUUCCCUCGGCGCCGUCGAGCACCAGAUGCUAUCUCUCACGUGUUUCACCAGCAGGAAGGGAUGAAGAAGCUGCCCUCUGCAAGUCAGCUCCACCUGCCAUUAUACAUGCUCAGUCGUCAAUCGCCGCUAAGAACAAAAUGUUAAUCUGAGACCAAUUAAUAAGCACAAGAAUACUGCUACGUACUACCAGUCUGCCACUACUGAAAACCUGCAUUGAUUCUCCAUGCAUUACCAAAAUACACAUACAUCUCUCUGAAACUUUUCGUGAUGAGAUUAACCUUAUCAGCCAUUGUGUUUCUUGUGAUGUGAGUGUGACACGUACGCACAAACGUCGCUAGCACUCUCGACGUGUACGACGACCCUACGACGUAGUGACGUACCUAUCGCAACAUAAGCGUGAUGGCAUGUAGACGUAUGCACGCGGACGGAAGAAGGUUACAGAACAGUAGCUAGCUAGGCUAGACGACAUAGACCGUGGUGAUUUGAUGGGUAUAUUGCGUGUCGCCGUCACACUGCCUUUGUCGUGCAUCCAUCCGCCCGUCCAUUCUACACAUCCUCAUCAGCAUGCAACCUCUGCACCAUGGAGACUGGAGAGAGAUGAGCACGCGCUCCGGCCGGCCUUACCGUAGAAACCACUGCAAAGGCAACACAUAGCUAGGCAUGCAGCGGUGCAGGCAAAAGCUGCUUUCCUGAUACUCCCCUUCUCUCCGUCUCCAUGUGCUUAUUAUUACACACACACACACCAACUUAUAUAGUUACCUAUACAUCUAUUAUACAUAAAUGUGGUAAGUGGUCCUAAAUUAGUAGCGUCUGCUAAUUAAAAAAAAAGAAAAUAUAACCUUAUUUUUCUUAUUAAUGAAUCAAGAACGGUUGAGCGAACCAUAUCACACUACUAAAGAAUCGACAUUUAGCAUCAGCCAAACCCCUUCAGUACCGUUAAAACAUACUCCAUCCGUCUUAAAUUGUAGGUUAUUUUAGCUUUUCUAGGUUCAUAGAUAUUAUUAUACACCUAGGCAUACACUAUAUCUAAAUGCAUAAUAAUAUCUAUGAAUAAAAAAAACUAAAACGAUCUGCAAUUUUAAAAAAACUAAAACAACCUACAAUUUGCAACAGAUGGAGUAGCUACUAGUCAUUAUUACAUCGCCGACGACCUGGUCAUCAUCGAUCGUGGGCGCUGGAUCUAUAUGAUGUAUCCUCGGCGGCUAUCGUUGUCUCGCUGAUGGCUCGCCGUGUCGUACACGCAUGCGAUCAAGAGCGUUAAUCUUCCUCCAAUAGUAUCAGCUAGUAUCUAACUCUAAGCACUCUAAAAGACAACCAUUCCAAUAAUCUAGCUUUUAGCACAUAUCUCAUAGUAUGAAUGACGCCACAUGUCAUCCUCACGUAAUCUUGAAGUGUGUAUAUGAGACUACCUUUGAUCAAGAGAUAACUCUUUUCUCUCUCAUAUUAAAAUAUAAUUAAAAUAUAAUUGGAGGAGCUCUUAGCGCAGGCGCGUGCUACAACGCUACGAGGGUGCGUACGUGUACCCAUCAUCUGCAGUGGCUCCAUCCAGUGUGGGUUGCUGUCGCGCCGCAGGCCUGGCCAUCUGCGCGCGCUACCCUGACUGCGAAAUUUAGUUAUAAUAUAAUAUACUGUCCGCCUUCUCUUUCCCAGCAUCUUAUUCCUUUUGGAAAUUGAUUGUGUUAAUUAAGCACAUGGAAAUUAAUCUCAAUGGGCUAUAUAGCAUGUGAUCCUUGACUAUUGCACAAUGAUUUUCUCUUCAUGUAGAUCAUCACUUAGGUCUAUGCUGUUUUCGAUCUCGUCUUAGGUUAGUCACCUAUGCACGUAGCGACUAGCGUGGUUGCUUUUUAUGUGAUGUGAGUGACCGAGAUCUAUCCUUGAUGCUUUUCGCCUACAAAUAAAAUGGCAAGCAAGCUAAGGGCACCAUGUAGUCCAGCCUAUGCAGAAUGGACGACCAGCUAGACGACGCGUGCAGUGCCUUCUGUUAGGCUAGCUAGCUAUAGGCAUAGUAGCCACUAGUCGGUAUGGUCUCAGCUCUCCUGUCUUGUCCUAAGAGAGACGACGUAGCGUAACGUAAUUAACACCGUAACCAUAUACCCCUUACCUUACCUUAUGCGUACAUGCCCAUCCUAAAUUACUAUUUAUUAGUUAACAAAUAGUAAUUUAGAAUAAUAAAUAAUAAUUUGGGAUGGAGGAAGUACAUGCAUAAGAAAGCAUAUAUAGUGGUUGCAUACGGAAGCAUGACGACCAGGUGACGCGCGUCGCCACUCCGUCACCACGAUCGAUCGUCCCUCCGUGCGCAUGCUGCAUGCAUAUGAAAUUAAUGCACAGUCCUAAUAAUGUCCUGUCCCUCUGAUUCCGAUCCGGUCAAAAGCGAAAGCACGCACACGGCCGGUACGCUUGCAUCGGGUCGCAGAAAUUUCCGUAUAAUAUAGGAAAUUAAUUGAUCAAACGGCUCAGUACUAGCAAAAACCCGUACGUGUAUUGUUAUUGUGUCUAGCUUAAUGUUAUACUGACAGUACUUAAAACAGUAACCACAGACAAAAUCCUACUGAAAAUACUAAAUCCGAUCUCAGCUACCAUUACAACAAUUCUACCUACCCUUGCAUUCUCCAUUGUCGAUCUUGGAUGCAAAUAAAAGCAUGCAUGCGUGCGCAUCCAAAAGUGAGUGAGUAGUGCCAGCAUGCACGCACGAUCCAAGCAGAACUAUAGCCAUAUGCUCGAAUAAACAUGCAUGCGUAUGACUUGACCGCACAUGGUCACGCGUGCAUGCCCUUCAUGCUGUGGUGCCUGUAUUAUGCUCUGCAUACACCCAUAGAUAGAGGAGUACUCCUACAUGCUGUAGCCUAUAGCUACCUCUAGCUGUGUAUAUGCAAACCGUGCGUGCUGCCGCUGUAUAUGCGUCGUCAGGCAUGCAUCCACGACUAGCUACUGACCUACUCUCUGAUGAAGAGGAACGAACCAAAACCAACUGACGAUUAGUUUUAGGCCACUCAUUGCAUUGCAGUCAUAAUAUGUGUUUUAUUCGGGCUAGAAGAGCAUACCGUUGUCAAAUGAUAAUGGCUAGAAAAUUAGGAGUAAACGCAUACAAGAGGCCUAGUUAGCUCGGUUUAAAGACGAUGAUCAAGUUCAUCGAAAAUGAUCUGAACCGGCGGAUGGAUCGGAGUAGUUAAUCAGUUAUAAUUGGUGCAGAUAUAUGAAUGAGAGAAGUUGGCAGCAGGUCGUCGUUGGUGAGUUAUAUCAUCACAAGCACAUUUGCACUUCAACAGCUCUAGCUAAUGUACACACAUUAAUUGACAGUUCAACAGUUAGCCGCGCUCUGAUUAAAAGUUGACCCGAAUUAAAUGACUGGCUAAUUGUUUCUUUCACCCUCACGAAACCUCCCAAGUAUGUCUAACAUUAUAAUAUAACAAUGAGACAAUGCUUUCAAUGUUACCAAGUGCCACAAUUUUAUUUGGUUUAAUUUCUUGAACGUGCUACUAGCUAUAUGUCAUAUGUCCUAUUAUAUGUGCACGCACAUAUUUAUUUGCAACAAUAUAAAAGGUAUAUAACUACUUCUACAGGUCAUGAUGUGGGCCUCUGACCUAUUGCUUUGUCUAGUUGUUCCAGACCAAAGCUAACUAAGAGAUCCAGGCCACCUAGCUAUAUGUGGUACGCUUAGGUAUAAUGUUUCUUUCAUGCCUACUCGCAAGUGCCAAUUCACAUUUGCGGCCACAUUGCUGGAGCCGAUCGAUGCUGCAUAACUUGCAGUGCAAAUUCAACGAGUUCUUGCCACUGUUAGCUCACUAUAUUGAUCAUAUCGCUCCAUCGACACACAUUCUUCUCUGGGCCAUUCAACUUUGUCAAAAACUUCAUAAUUUGAUUCGACGAAAGACGUGCACGUACCUGAUGAGAUCGUGAGAUCCCCAGCUUCUCGGCCAAGUACUUCAUCACCACCUCCACCUUCAUGUUGCUGUCCCUGGGGAAAAAUUAGUUUGAAUGCAUAUCAUUUGAGACCGAUGUCUGUAGACCUUUCAAUUCAUAAUGGUCAUUGCAAAAUGGAAAGUUCACUUGAUGGGUACUACUCAUACUUAUAGCUUCCUGAUCGAUCUGUCUAGAAACUAAAAGGCUAGCUACUGGCUAGAUUGGUCUUUCUGACAAUGACAAAGCAAUGGGAGCUAUAUCAUUGCAGAUACACACAUAGUAUAACACUGUUAAGCAUGUAAUCUUUGGGAAUAUCAUCAGAACAGCGACUUGAUAUAGUUUUUUUUUUGUAUAAGCUAAGUUCCAAUUUUUAUCUAUUGGAUUAGCAUCCAAUCAAGCAGCAAGUCAACCUGUAUGCACACAUCCAAUAGUCACAAAGCUUGGCUUAUGCUAGCUUGGGGAGGAAAUAGUAAGCUUACAAAUACCAGAGCUGUUAAUCAUACAAUAGAAAACAAGAAGAAAGAGGAAAGGAAAUUACUUGAUUCUUAAGUAGCUCUUUGGUAUCUGAGGCAAAAUAGGUUCUCUAACUCUGCAAGCAUCAAAAGAAUAGUUAAGUAUUUUGCAGUUCCACGCCACAUGAACAAGGACAGCACUGAAAAUCUAAACAAUAAGCUCAUGUAUUGGCCUUGUAAUUUCAGUAUUAUCUGAUGCAUUCAUCUAGACAUCACCUACUAUGAUAGCAUAGAACAUAUGCUUAUGUCUUGUCUCUUGUGUAUAAUACGGAUGAUAUGAUCAGAGGUAUGCCGUAUGCACACAUAUGGAUGUACUGAUGUACAGAACUACAGAAGUUGUGGACAAGUAUGCACAUACUGGUUGGGAGCUGCUUGAAGUUUCAGCCACAGCCCCGCCGCCGUCUCCCUUCGUCGCGGCGGGCUAAUGACUCUCAUGGCAUCGCCGGAGGUCCUGAACGGAGGCGUAAACGUCAAGGACGGCGCCGACAAGGACCCGCUCGCUGCCGCCGGCCGAUACCGUCCUCGCCCGUAAGACUGGUAGCUCCUAAGGGGCAGCGGGAACAACGGCGGCCUCAUCCUCGCGUUUCUCUUGUCGUAGGUGAGCAAGUCCAGCUCCAUAGGAUGCGGGGCUGGAUCCAUACUGUUGGUGUCGCCGGAGGAGGAGGCGGAGGACGACGACGCCACGGCGACGCCUGCGAGGCUUAGCUGGAGCCAGUCUUCGUCGUCUCCUGCGGCGGCACCGCCCUGGGAGCUCGUGCCGGCCGCCGCUGCCGGCUCGUCGUCGGCCAUGGCGAGCCGAGUGGAUCUUGACGGCUUGCGGUGGUCUUGUUGCCGCGCGGCCGCCGCCGAGGCCUCCAAUUGGGCGGCGAUGCCGACGCAGUACUGGCCGGGGUGGUAGCACGGCUUGCCUCUGCUAUUGCCGUCAUGGUGCAACAGGUUCCUAGUUGUUGGGACCAUGGCGGCGACGACGUGACCUCGACCGUGUGGUACGUCUCAUGUCUCGGUCGAUCUCUCUCUCUAGCUACAGCUCAUCGUUCAUGGUGCAAAUCUCUCAUAUCUCAAUCCUUUCCGGCACCACGGCUGUGCUAGAUAAUUAAGUGCAAAAAAAGAGCUAGCUAGUUGUUUAUAUAUGCAUGUAUGGAUCAAGAAGAGAUGCAUAUACAUAUAUACAUCUAUGGAGGAGUCAGAUAGAAGCAAAGAUGAUGGAUCAAGAAGCUAGCUGAGAGAAAUGACUUGAAAGGGAGGAGGAAGAAGAGGAUUCUCCGAUUGGGAAGCUAAGGGGGGAGCUAUGCUAGAGGAGUACAGAGAGAUGAGGAGAGAUGAGGAGGGCCUCACUUUCCCUUUGGUCUCGAGCGAGCCUGGAAGCUUGUGGCCAAGAGAGAUGAAAUAGUUCCUUGCAGAGGCCAGAGGAGAGAGAAAGCAAAUUAAGAAAAGGAUGAUGCAUAAGUCUAUAAAUUAUUCACUUUAUGAUUUAGCACGUCAACUGAGCCUCUAACAUGCACAUACUUUUAACCAAUUUUACUUUUCAGGUGAUAGCUGGUUUCCUUAUUAAUUUAAAAAAAGGUGCUUUUACAACUCUUCGUACAUAUAUAACCAUUUUUCAGUAGUGGUCAAAAAAGUUGUUCACACUGAGGACACCCUUAUUAGCGUGUGUUUUGUGUCGCAAAUGAGUUAAUAUUACUUUAAGGUUGUGCAUGCCAUGAUCUUGCAGUAGAAUCGAUAGCUGUGGGAUUGGUGGACCAUGGGGGCUGCUAGUGCUAUGCAAACAGAGGUGUAGCUAUGCAUAGGCUUCACUGCUUCAUGGAGAGUAUUUCAGAAUAAAAACGGUAGGCAGAGUGGGAAACUGAAGUGUCUUGUACGUUGAGGACUUGAGGUGACAGCAUGGCAACUCCACUACCCUUACUAAUCUUUUGUUUUCUUUUUUGAAACGUAACUUACUAAUCUUUUGUUUGUUCCUAAAUCUGUCGCAAGUUAUUACUAUGUUUAGCACAGGUGUAGCUUUUCACCACUCUUAAGCAACUGCACCCUUCCCCCUUUAUUUAUCCUUUUUUUUUCCUAAUGUGUAAAUUAAUUAAUUAAUCAUAUCUACUUAAUCAACUCGAAAUAAAUGGCAUAUAAUUAAGAGAGGCGUUCGGUACCUUUCUGUGCAGGUUAUGUUGUUAUGAUCCUGUUAAGCUUAAUUAGACGUUGUCAUGUCCCUGUUCCUGCUGAUACCAGCUACUAGCUGGUCACUUCGCAAGAUUCCAAGUCUGAUCAGAAACCUUAAUCUUCUGAUGCUAAAGUCUGACAAGAACAUUUGCUCACAUCAGUCAUAUAACACAAAAGAUAUUGCAUAUAUAUGUGAACGGAAAUAGCACAUUUUUUUACGCAAAAGAGAAAUUAAACAAUGCAUUUUUGGGAAGCAUUCUAAAUAUGUUUUUUUUUAAAAAAAUAAUCACUCACCAACCCUCUAUUCCAUCAGUCUUAAUCUGAUUACAUAUAUGUGGAUUGGUGAACGAAAUAUAGUGCUGUCUGAUAAGUACACAAUCAUUUAAUUAUAGUGCACGCACUAGAAACGCGACAUCAACCACAUGCAUCUUAAGUGCCAAUGAUCAUGAGAAGAAUUCUUAUGCAUUAUUAAAUUGUUUAUUAACAAAAUGCCCAUGAUGUCACGUUUUCAACCAUUUUUAGCUGAUAACUGUAUUUGCUGCAGUAUGAGAAUGAUAUGUAGAAGGAAACUGAUUAAUAGACAAAAAUUACAGAAAUAUUUUACCCAACUUCCCACAAUUUCCUAAAAAAAAUUCACAAUUAACUGAUGGAAUUGUACUUAAUGAGUCAGAUAUAUUCUUGUAAAAAUAUAUAUUCGAUAUUAUUGCACCACCUGCAUGCAUUUUCCAACAUUAAGUUGACAGCUCUCAGUUUAUUCCAACUCUAAUCAUUUUAAAUUUGACUAAUGGCAGCUCAAUGCUGUAAGGUGAUGGGCAGUACUAUUAAUUCCGCGAAAUUAUUACAUCAACUUGAGCGUAGUAUAAGUAUCUUCAGGAAUCAAUGCUUGAUCUACAGCAGGCAAUCAGCUGGGUACUUAGUUGUCAAUCAUUGCAGGUGAGGCCAUCACGUAAUGCAGAACAGAUUAAAGAAAAAUACUUCAACUAAAUAAAGAUCAAGGGAUUGCAUGCAUUCAUGCAUGGGCCAUCUGAUCUUUCCAGCAUGUAGACGACAUAUCUGCUAUAGUAUCAGCCUCAUGGCUCAUGAUGAGGACAAAACUACUACUCUGUGGUACUAGACUACUGGAAGAGCAGCAGAACACAAUAGUCUAUCUACCACAUGAACAGAAAACAAAUGUGCAAUGUCAACGACAAUUGCAUUUGCUGUGCAUUUCAAUGAUUUCUUAUGGAGUCAUUGUACUGAGCAGCUAAGUUUGUGAGAUCAUUCUCCAAUCAUGUUUGUCGACGGUGCCCUCACGUCGUAUACGACACACACGCUUUGUAUUUCAGUAUUAUACAAUAUAGAGGACGUAUCAAUUCAAAACCAAGAACUUCUCAGCUGUUGAUUAGCUCGCUCCGAAUAAUCCAUAAUACCAAUUUUUUCUCAACGGGACAGCACAACCACGAAGGGGAAGAAGUUUUAGCUCAAUCACACUCGUGGACUAGUCGCAAAAUAUCAUUGCCUAUGAUAAUUGGAAUCACUGCAUCAUUAUGUUCAUGAUGUGAUUGAUAUGCAUGGCAUGAAGAAUCGGGAUACCUCCAUUGUUUUUGCCAAAUUAUCAAGGCCUUGAUCAUUUCCAUUAACAGAGUAGCUUAUGACUUUGUGCGGGCAGUAGAUUUUAAAUUGUUAAUACUUUCUCUGCUAGUGCUGCAAUACUCUGGUUCAGAGAAACAGAAUAUUGGCUACAGUGAUUUGUUUUGUUUUGUUAAAGUUAUCUUGGCUACAUUGUUGAUCUGCGUCAUAAGGGCAAUCCUGGCCACAAAACAUUCUUUGGGCCAGAAACAUCCAGCAAAUGGAUAUUAUGGCAUUAUAUUGUGUACACAGCCUUAUAGAAUGUCAACACUUUUAGAUCCAUAUAUACAUGCAUAUACUGAAUACGUGCUGGUCACUACCUGCACUAUGAAAUAGCUAAUGGUCUUAAUCUUCAUGCGUCGAGGUUGGAAUAAAGAAAUAUAUAGGGAGAAUAUGGUCUAUUAACUCACUAAUUCCUCCUUUUGCAUAAGAACAUGCCGAAUUCGCUCCUACGCAGAUUAUGAUAAAAGCUUGUCUGUUGAAUUCACUAACCAUUACCUUUCUUGACACCAUCAUCGAUCUCUGCCUAUCAAGAGGUUUCCAAUCCAAACUGAUUUCCUGUUCUACGGUUGUACAGCUGAUCUGCCUUUGGGCUUUGGUUAGUAAGACAAAUUCUUCAGCAGUCAGGAAAUGACAGUAAUCCAAUUAAAUUCAGGUGGCCCGUUUUGUUCUCUCAGAUAUGAUGCACUGUCAUCCAUACGUUAUACAGGCCGCAAAAACUGUAGAUCGAGAAGAAGCUGAGUAGCAUGAUGCUAACAGGAAACAGAUAAACACUGACUAAGUCUCCAUAGGAUGAUGCGAAGAUGACACCGACCAGUCGCACGUCGAAAGCACAACAAAGGCAGAUGAAAGGUCUCUGUAUAGAUUACCGUCUGUCCGGCAGACAAAACAGGGUCGGUAUCUUAGGGAUUGUUUUUAUUGAUUUCAAAUUUGAACUAAAAACAUCCCCAAACUAGAACAGUCCGUUAGGACCACACAAUUUCUGACUUCCUAAUUUUCUGAGUAUUAAUUCUUCACUAAUCAACAUGAUUUCUAAGAUUUAACUUUUUAAAUUUCAUUCUGAUAUAUUUUCACCUCACCACCAUUUGUCAGAAACUCAACAUCAUAAUGCAUCAAUUGUAUGCAGUAGCACACAUGUAUCUGCAUAUACAAACAAAGCUGGAUUCCGGUUUGCAAUUUUUUGUAGAUGAUCAGUCAAUCAGUCCAUCCCGGGAGAACAGACACACACACACCUUUUUUUCAUGAUAUGUUUCCUUUGUUUGGACGCUCAUGAUGGCAACCAAGAGUACUCGAGAAUUGAGAGAGAGACACUUGACGUGCAGCACUGUUUGGCUCCCUUCAGACUGGCAUUCUGAGAUGAAAUGUUGCACUGGAAUUGAAGCACCUCCCUACUUUCCAUUAGAUUUCAGUGUUUCACUUUCACUUGUGGUGCAGUGUGGAGGUGCAUGUCUCUCUUGACCAGCCCACACUUCUGCAUGCCUAUAAAGUGUGCACACACAUAUAAACACACCAAUACUUAAAGCCCUCAAUUUCCCCUCUCUCCAAUGUGCAUGCAGGAGCAGGACAUGGGAUGGGGGAGGAGGAAAAGAAAGAUUGUGCUGUGCAUGACAAGAUGUUUGGAUUGGUGAGGUCCGCGUUUUGAUCAUAGUUCCUCGUGAUAUGUCAAGGAAGAUCUUGUGGACCAUGCACAUCGAUCACACAUGCAUGCAUAAGGCUGGCUUGCAAUGCUGCGGCGGCAGCAGCAAGGCCUGCAGCCAUGCACUGAUGCCAUGGAAAGACACAUCACGGUGAAUCUUUGUGAACCGAACCAACCAUCUCAAAACCGCUAAACCAAACUAGGGUCCGGCCGGUCCUCUCCUCUGUGUUUCAGUGUCCCCUUAGUGUUUGUUCUCUACUCUGCUUUCCUUUGUCUCUAGCUGUCUCUGAAAAAAGGCUUUUGCAUUGCAGUGGUGCUCUGCUCACUGCUGGCUGGCUACCUCACUUGGCAGGCCACCACAAGCUUAUAAUGGCAGUAGGAACAGCCUUCAGUCUGUCUGGGUAGAGGGUAUCUUGCUGUUCAUGUUCUGCCUCUUUUUACUGUUUUUGUAUGCUUCUUUGGUAGGCUAGGGGUAGGAUGCUACUUCCACUACACCUAAAGCUAUAGUGCUCCUAGUACAUGUCCACUGCAUGAGUGCAUAUGCAUGCAUGCACGUCUCUGGAAAAAGAGCCAGUAAGCUGGCAUGCAUGUAAAAAGCAUAUGCACGCACACGUAUGUGCUUAACAGCUAUAACCAGUUCUGCAGCUCGAUCCUAUAAUGUAAAAUAUCUGUAGGGUGCUUCCUGGCUCGCAGACCAGGAGGCAGGCCUCAAUGACUCAGUAAUCUCAAUCAAGCUAUAGCACGAAUCAAGAAAAGCAGCUACUAGUAUGUACUCAGAAGCAGCAAAGGAGUUCAGAGAUGGCCAGGGAAUCACCUGUGGUAGCUCCAACAGAAAUCCUGAGUCACAUUGCUGAUUCCAAGUCCCUGAACAACAAGAAUAUAGCUACAAAUCAAUUCAAUUCAGGCCUUGUUUAGUUGGCGAAUUUGGGAGGUGCCAAAUUACUGUUACAGCACUGUAGCACACUGUAGCGUUUCGUUUGUAUUUGUGAAUUAUUGUCCAAAUAUUGACUAAUUAGGCUCAAAAGAUUCGUCUCGCAAAGUACAACAAAACUGUGCAAUUACUUUUUAAUUUCAUCUACAUUUAGUACUCCAUGCAUGUACCGCAAGUUUGAUGUGAUGGGGAAUCUUCUUUUUGCAUAGUGUCAAAGUUGGAAGUUGGGAGUAACUAAACAUGGCCUCAAUUCAAUUCAAUCCGAUCGAUCUGUAGCAGCUCUUGAUGCUUCUCUCAUUCUCUGCUUCUGCAUGCACCAGAUCAUACCACUUGCCACUGUUCUGCUGCUUCACAUCAAAGAUCAUACCACUUGCCACUGUUCUUCUGCUACAGUGCUGCUCCUAGAUUCAGUCCUUUUCCAUUGCCUAGCUAUAUAUAGUACAGCUACGGCAGCAUAAGUAGUCUGAAUCCCUGAUGCAUCCAAUGACCCAAGAGAGAAUCCACCCAGCAAGCUUUCCUUUAUGAAAAGAACCACAUCACAGACAUCUCACUCAUCCCCGUCAAGGCAAAGUGCUGCAUCCAUUCACCUGCAUAUUUAUAUAUAUAAUACCAGGACUAUAUAGUUUUGUGCUGCUGCAGGCCCCUGUUUGACUAGACAGAGAGAGAUCGAGGUCCUUUUGUGCCAUGCAAAGCAGGGAGCAGUACACUGCCAUCAGGCAUUUUGCAUCAUAACAGGCAUGACCACACCAGCCUCUCCUCUCAUGCUCUGGCCCUAGACAUGCUGCAGCUUCACACUCACGCACUACAUCUCUGAUUUCUCUUUUUUUCCCCCUGAUGGUAAUGCUACCAACCAAGGCAUAACAAGACAAACAAGAAAGACCGUGCUGCUCCAGUUCAAAUCAGUCUUAUGCUUGUGCACACCUAGCACCAUGUCACAGCAACUUCUCUCUCCAGCUGCCUCCUGAUGAUAGUAACACCUCAGUGACUGGUCUGGCCCACCCUAUCAUCUCCUGGCAAUCCUACUGGAGAAUAUCAGCACCUUCACAUCCACAUUCUGUCAAGGGCCCAAGGCCCAUCUAGUACUAGUUACUGCAAAAGAUUAGCUUCCUUUGAACACCAUGAAAAUAUAUCACCAUCUCCAAGUCCCUUGCAGUGAAGCAUACUGACUGCACCUUAUGGGCACUUUUGUGAGAUCACUCAGUCAGAUGAAUCAACACUAAGCACUGGUCGCUAACUCACUAAAAGAUUCAGACUCAACUCUGCUGCUCUUGCAUUUCUGUACUCUGGGUUUAUUAGUUGGUCACACAAACUUGGAGCCAAGAGUCAUCUAAUCUAAUUCAAAACAAGCUGUAUUUAUUGAUAAUAGAACUGCAUAUAUCUACAUGGUUUCGCUCAUAGUCUCACCUCACAAGGAUUCAGCUGAACUACGGUGGAUGCUCAUAUAUCUAUUUGAACCAGGAAAAUUGCUUUUUUUCCGAAUUUGAUAAAACAAUGUCUAUUUGUGUGUCAUGUGUUAAACUACGGUGGAUGAUACAUACUGUACAAAAUCAUCUAAAUUGCUUCAGAAACAAAAGGGCAAGAAAAAGGGGCCCUGAGGUGCACAGAGAGGCCAAACAAAGCUAUACGGACGCACACCAAAAUGACCCAGUAAACCUAGAACAACAGCAGCAGAUUGUUUGCACCUGCCACUGUUCAUUGGAUCUUCUUCAGUUUCUCAACAGCUGCGGUCUUUUCUUGCUCAACUGGGAAGUAUUUGAUACCCACGAGAUCACCAACUUUGCUGAUAACCUGACAAAUUGGCAUGAAAUUUAGUUAUAUCUAGCAUAGCAAUCAAUAACAACAGCAUACAUGGUCUGAUCGAUACAACAAAAAGAGUUAGAUCAACAAUUAUGGUUUGCAACAAAAGCACCAUUGUUGCACCAACCACCAUCUUGUUAGUAACACAGAUAAGAUUGUGUGCUUUACCCCUAAUCCUUUAAUGAGAUCUUCCCUGGAGUGGGAAGCUGAGAUACAUAUCCUAGCUCUCGCAAGUAGAAGUGGCGUGGCAGGAAAUGCAACAGUAACAACAGCAACCUAGCAAUAUGGAGUGGGCCACAUUAGUAAACUAACAAAAAACUUUCAUAUGGAAAAAUCUCCUUAACCAGUUAAAACAUAAAAGAUGGUUUGCUUUGAGACAAAGGUCCAUUAAGAAAUAUCAGCAUCAUAUAUUCAUGUAUACUCACAUUUUGCCUCAGGCACUCCCUUGAAAAUGCAGGAAUUUUAGCAGGAUUGUAAAGCAUGAUAGGCAUGACAGGUGAGUCAUUAUCUCCAAGAACCUCAAAACCCAUUUUCUGAAGCUCUGAGCGGAAGAAAUUGCUGUUCUCUCGAAUCUGAGCAAGUUUCUUGGCCCCUAAUUAGAACAGUUAGUACAUUAGGACUUCCCGCGAGACAGGAGAUGUAAGAAACUGUUAAGAUGUAAGAAUGUUGAAAUUCUUUAUGAUAUACCUCUGUUAGUUCCAUCUUCUCCCAGGAUAACCUUUAUAGCUGAAAUGACUUGCUGGACUGCUGGAGGUGACAUGGAUGUUGCAUAAAUAUGAGCUGGGCAUGUAUGCUUUAGAUGAUGAAUAAUCUCCUGAAAAGAAUAUAUAGAAUGUUUGGUGGGGUCAGAUUUGUCAACCUAAAAAUUUUUCAAUCAAGAAAAGCUACCUGACUAUAUACUUCAUACCUUUGAUGCUGCGAUGUAACCUCCGCACGAUCCAAAUGAUUUCGUAAAUGUACCCAUCAUAAUGUCAACAUCAGCUGGAUCCACUCCUAGUAGCUCGCAUACACCUCUCCCUGUUUUCCCAACAGCUCCAAUACUGUGUGCCUCGUCUAAAUAUGUGUAAGCCUGUUCAGAUGUGAAAAAUACUUCAGCCUACCCAGUACAACACUGCCGGUUCAAAACACUAGUUAAAGCUGCAACAAUAUCUAUGACAUUAAUCACAUGCUGGCUCACAUCCAAUAUGCAGGAAAUUAUUUGUCACCAUUAAAAAGAUGCACAAGUAUCCUAAUACAAAGCACAAGUCAUCAUGCAAAAUCACCGAACCUUGUAUUUCUUGCAGACAGAAAUAACCUCUGGGAGUUUGCAUAGCUCCCCCUCCAUGCUAUAAAUUCCCUCAACAAUCACAAUGAUCUUCUUCCAUGGCCUGUGUGUACGAGGCUGCCCUCCCGCAAUCUGCUCUCUCAAUACCUCUUCCAAGUGAGCAGGAUCUGGAAGAGAAAUAAGGAAAGCAUUAAACUUCACAGUGCGCAAUUGGUCUUAGUACUUGCAAUGCAAUUGUUAGUCGCUUACUGUUAUGUUGAAAAACCCGAACGGUGGCCCCUGAACCCCUAGCUCCAUUGACUAUAGAAUUGUGGUUCAGUGAAUCACUUAUUAUCAAGCCUCCCUGCAAUUAUCAGAAAAGUCUUAGCUGCAGCUCCUAUAAAAGAACAUAACAGAGAGAGCGUGAGCAUAUUUUCACAACAAACCUUCCCAACCAGAGCAGGAAUGAUAGCAGAGUUUGUCACAUAGCCCAUGCCAAAAAGAAUUGCUGCAGGCUUGCCAACAAAUCUUGCAACCAGUUCUUCAAGCUCAUUGUGCAGCUUAGUGUUACCUAAUGUCAUAUAAACAUCAAUUAAGCUUACAAAUUUCGAUAUAUUAUUUGAUGUGCUCAACAAAGCAAACUAUGGCAUAGUUUGAUAAACAUAAGGAUCAACCUCCAUCAACUCGAACACUGCACGUGCUUGCAGAGUAUUUCUUCAGCGACUCAAUAACACGAGGGGUGCAGUACUCAUCAGCCGCAGCAAAACCAAGGUAGUUGUAGGAACCCAAAUUAAGGCAUUUGGAUGUUUUUGUGGUACGGCUGCAUCAAAGAUGCGCUGAAUGAGAUGUUGACACCCAUUCUGAGACAUUGUCAUGCAGAGACAAUGCUAAAUAGCUACAGGAUGGAAUGUAAGUAACAUACUGGAGUGUCUUGUUGCAGUCGUUUGAGUAACGCUCAACCACAUCAAACCAAGCAUCUGGUGCACUGGCAAUUGGCCUGCCAAAGCAGUCCUGCCAUGACAAUUGAGACUAGAAGUCAAUAAGGAAACCUAAAUAAAUACAGCAGCAGCAAGAGCAUGUCAUUCUAGUAGGUGAAUGGUGAAAUGUCAUCCCUCACACCCCGGCCAUAAAAAAAAGUUAGGUUUUAUUUAUAUAGCAGAAGUGAUAUAUACUUUACAUUGUUCAUACACACCUACUCAGACUAAAGGCUAGUUCCUAUACUGAUGAAAACUCAGUAACUGGAGCACUUGAAAUUUGGAAUAGCACACAAAAUGAGGCAAUCUUUCCAGUUCAUUCAGCCAUGACCCAUCCAUUGAAGAAAAGGAGCUUUCCUUUAUUCGGUUCUUCAACUUAUUCCGUUUUAAAGUUACAGUUCAAUACUUUACGGUUCUUCUACUUAUUUCGUUUUCAAAACUCUAUAGCUUGCUCGGUCUAAUCACAAAAGGAAUGUAUCAGCAACAACAGUAAGAAAUAAUUGAGCCAGAGCUAGAUGAUCCCGUGCCCAUGAGCAUUGCAACCAAGGGUGGGGGAAACGAUUAUUAUUCUGGAAACCGUGGCAAUCACCUCACCUGGAUGCGGAGAUAGAGGCGGCGCGUGUAGAAAUCCUCGAGGCCCAAGCAAAUCGGCGCGUAACCCUGCGACGAAACCAACAGUAAGGCACGGCCUGCCGCGAGACGGAGCAGCGAGCGAGACGAAUCCGGAGCGUAGCUCCCCGCGCGGGGGCCGGUCAGGCAGGAGCAAGGGCGAGGGCAGCGCACCUUGAGGUUGCUGGGCUUGCGGGCGUCGAGGAUCCUGCGGAAGAAGUCGCGGAGCUGGCCGAAGGCGAAGAGGAGGCCGUAGCUGAAGAGCGUGGUGAGCGCGGUCACGUACGGGAGCCGUACCAUCGUUCCCCCCUUGGUCCGUCGGCAGCACGCGGCGGUGGCGGAUGCGGAUGCCCCGGCGGUGGGGGCGGGGGGAGCCGGAUUUGUAGCCGCGAAUCCACGCGGUGGCGGGCGGGCGAGCCGCCGAGGAAGGGAGCGGAGGGGGGAGUGGAAGCGGUCGUUAAUGGCGACGAGAGAGGAGCGCGUGGCGGCUGGUUAUUGGUAGUUACUCAUAAAUCAAAUUAAUGUACUGCAACUAGUGACGAAUCUGAGACGCCGAUCGAGUUGGAAUAGUGUGAUUGGUGGAAUCGGGAUCGAGGGGCAGCGGUCGUGGGUUUGAACGUGGACGACGGCGGCGACGACGACGAAGAGGGGUAUGCCUCACCGGCGCCGUGCCCUCACCGGCGGAGCACCGCAUCUCCGAAUCAGUUAUGCUUGCAUUUACCCCCACCCACCUCUUCAUAUUUUAUUUUUAUUAUUACCUACGCCUCCUGAAAUUUAUAUUCUUUUUUGGACCAAAAUGUAUAUUCAGGGGAAAAUAUACGGCACCGACUGAUCAGUGUAGAGUGAUGUGAAUCUAUAGGGUUGCUGCGCCUGCAUCUUCAUGGUUGCUUUCGGAUUCUGAGUUCAUGUCCGUCACCUCGCUGUUUGCAGCUCUUGCGGUGACUUGGUCAGGAUUGGGAUUCGAUUGACCACGACGAUCUCCGCUUCAGGGUCAAGAACGGCACCCAUUUAACAGCUCAAUUCAGUUAUACGAGCACGAAUUCAGUGCACGCGUGACCUGAUCAUACAGGCGUUAUCCAGCUGCUCUUUGUGGAAAAUGUUUCUGUUGUAUUUUGUUUCAGACUUUUCUAGAACUGUGGGCGAUGUUGCCUCCUCAAAAUGAAGCGUUGCAUUGACUGGUUGCAAUCGCAACUUCAACGAAAGUCCAACGGUCUCCCUCUCCCAAAUCCAAUUACCAUAGGAGAGUUAAUAAGAAAAUAGUACUCCAAUAGUCUUUUUCUUUCCUUUUCCCAAUAAUUAUUGGGACAACUUAAUAAUUCACCCCAACUCUCUCUAAAUAAAGGAGGAGUUGUGACUCUCCCAAUAUGGUAGUUGGAUUGGGAUGAGAUUAUUAGGAGGCUGCAAAAGCAACUCUCCCACUAAAGAUGAAAAUGAUAUUGGAAUAUCUCUAUUAACUAGUAAUUGUUAACAUUUAUUGAAAGGCUGCUGGAGACACUCUAAAAAACGGCUUAACUACGUCGACUGACUUUUCAGAAAAAAGACAAAACAGCUCGUGAGUGGAAACUGGCCUCAAAAUCAUGUGCUCUUGAGGAUGGCCUCAGCUCGAACCACCAAUUUUGAGUUGAAAACGGCUCAAAUCAAACCACAUCGUUGUAACGUGUAAGUAUUUUUAGACCAUUUUUCUGGCAUGACGAUAGCAAGGCCCAUACGUAAAGCUCUAUUCAAGCCGCCACAACUAUGGCUAAACACGAAGGUUGUAAUCCUAUGGAGUGAGCUCCCUCUUCGGUUGCUUGAUCGCUCCAUGGUUUUUUUUUUUCGUCAUGAUAGCGAUCCAUUUCUGCUGUGCCUACAAAUGUUCCUCAUCAUCGUUGCCGUGGAUUACUCGCUGUCAUCCCAUCGCUUUGGCUAUCAUCCAGAUCUCGGUGGUCUAUUAUGCGGAGUUGGUUUGGGGACUUUGACGAAAGCCUAACCGGGCAUUCGCCUGGGUCGACCAUGGUUGUGUCUUUGGACGUAGCUCAUCUCAUUGGGAGCAUUGUUGCGGCCACCAAAUUCAGUAGUUUUUGCCAGGUGAAGACUUGGUCUGCUCCCUGGGGACAGAUGGACAAUGGCGGCGUUAGCGUCGCUUCCUCUCUGGAGGCAUUGUCUUGCAAGACCUUCUCACUCUACCUCCGCUGGCUUCUGGUUGUUAGGCAGGUGGUGACGUGCGUGUGUUCUUGAUAUCUUUGUCUCUCCUGCAGGUAUCGGUUGUCUUAGGUCGUGUUGGGUGUGUUGGUGGUGUCGUAGUUUUCUUUUCUGUUGUUGUGACUGUGUUGUUUCUCACCGGUAGUGGCUCUUGUACCUCUACGCUAUAGAGUCUCUACUAAAGUUGCAUUAUUGUAAUUCUUUUCUUUUUUAAUGAAAAACGUACAAUGGACCUCUUAAAAAAUACUACAGCGUGCAUGCGAUUUGUUUAUUCCGGAAAGAGAAAAAAAUGAAAAUGGAAGGGUGAGAGUGGAUCAUUUCUAAUGCAGUUCGUUUUUUGGCCCAUCAUAGAAGAUAGCGAUUCCGUUACAUCGUAUACUAGGCCAUCUGGCCCACAGUCAGUUUCCAGAAGCUCGGCCCAAUUAUGGCCCUGUUUGUAUACGCUUUUCUGGAACUCGCUUAUCUGGCAAGCAGGCUUAUCAGAUAAGCCUGCUGUCUGGAGAAUCCGGGUGUUUGACAAUCCUGAUUAUUUUGUGUCGAUUGUCUAUCCUGACUGGUAAAUUGACCUGAAUGCCCCUGAGGCUGAUAAUAGCUCAUUUUUGUUUUGAAUAUGAGGAGAAGAUAAUAAUUCUAAUGCCUUUGGAGUUUGUUAAAUAGAAAUUACAUUACAAUAAUAUUAUUAAGUCUGGUUCUACCCACAGCUAACAAGGGCAAAGAAGUAUUAGAAUGUCCUUUUGGCAGAUAAGUCUGCUUCAUUUCUACCAUAAUUAAGUGAUGAGCAAACUCUGCUCGAAGCAAAUCUUAAAAGCAUUAAGUGGUCAGGUUACCUAAACAAUGGUAACUAUUUUUCACUGAGAAUAAGCUCUUUAGUCUUCCUCCAAACAUGCCAAAUUAUUGACACAUAUAGCACUAGAACUUGACAAAAUUUUAGGAAAAAGGUCAUCUCCAGCACAAAUUCCUCUCUAACCGGCGGCACAGGUAAAGGCACCACCUUCUCAACUGGCGGAGGCAGGGAGGAAGGGCAGGGGCGGCCGGCGGCGGGGGCCAAGCCUAGGGGCGGUGACAGAGGCAGGGAGGCGGACGGAGCCGGUGGCGGUCGGAGGGCGGCGGACGGCGGACGCACCCGGAUCGGAGGAGCCCUGCAGCCCAACGGAGAGCAGGAGGCGACAGCCGUGGAGGGAGGCGAAGGGCGUUGAGAAGGCGCGGGAGGUGGCGACACCGGUGGAGGGCAGGAGGUGGUGGCCAUGGAGGGAAGUGGAGGGCGAUGAGGGAGGUGCGGGAGGCGGCGGCACCGGCGGAGGGCAGGAAGCGGCGGCGGCGGCGGAGGGUAGGAAGCGGCAUCGGCGGAGGGCAGGAGGCGGAAGGCAUCGAGGGAGGUGCGGGAGGCGGCGGUUGUGGAGGGAGGCGCCGACGGAGCGCGGGAGAUGGCGGCCGUGGAGGGAGGCGCCGGCGGAGGGUAUCGGGGGAAAGGGAGUUCGCUUACGCGAUAAGCGUCUCCCGAGCUACUUACCAGAAAAUCGAAGCUCCAAUUAUUUUGUGGAUUCUGGGCUAAGCCGCUUGUGUGCUAAGCGAAAAAAAAGCGAGAUGUUUGGGUGGGAUUUUCGCUUAUUUCCACCCGUAAGCCGCUUAUAAGCGGAUACAAACAUGUCUAUGUUUGUCUUCUUGUUUGACUACAACACAACACAACAGGACAAGGUUUUUGAUUUUUUGAAUGUGGUAAAUACGCCUUCUUACUGGGUAAGCGUACUACGACUUGAUCUUGCUUUCGCCGUACCGCCGGCUGGAGGAAGAAGACACGAACACUGUGUGGAUCUGUAACCGUAGUGCGUUUCCACUCCUUCCGAGUUCGUCCACGACAGAGCAAUUAUUCAAUUGCACGGCGGCAGUACUCACCCCCUCGUCUUCCGUUCGAAACUGCAUUUCCUCCGCCGCCUUCAGGAAGGGAUCUUGAAGGCUUGAAGGAGUGGGAGCUGAACCUUGCUGGAUAGGUAAGAACAGGCGAUGGCGGAGGAAAAGGCAGGGAAGGAGAAGGAUGUGGUGCGGCUGGAGCGCGAGUCCGUGAUCCCCAUCAUGAAGCCCAAGCUCAUAAUGAAGCUUGCCUACCUCAUUGGUAUCUCUUUCUCUCCCUGCCUCUCCUUUUGCCUGAUCCGUUUAGGGGCAUUCAGCCAUCCACCAUAGGCGAUGCACGUUUCUUGGUCGGUCGAGCUCGGGAUGGUUGGGCUCUUAAACUUAAAGGGAGGCUCCGGUAUCGUGACUAUCCUAUUUCUACUGUGAAGUUAUUAUCUUGCGAGAUUCUUAUCGCUUUUGAGGGAAAGGCUAGAAUCUUUUCUUUGAUUAAUUCGCCUGGAUCAUGUAAAGUGGAAUCUGUAUAGAGAAGUCUGUGUAGGCAUUGUGACUGCAAUACAUUAUUCAUUCCAGAUCACUAGUGUGCUACUUGUCAUGUUGGGCUACUGAAGCCCGAGUAUCAAACUGCUGAAAGCGGCCAUCAAAUAUGUUCUUUUCAAUAUUGCCUUGUCUUGUUUUCGACAAGCUGAAGCAAGAAUCUUGCUUUGGAUACAAGACCGUGCAACCCAUUUAACUGUACCUUGUAUUUUUGAAGAACAUCAAUCCGACAGAGAAGAAUUCUUGAAGCUGUGUAAGAGGGUUGAAUACACCAUAAGGGCUUGGUACCAUCUCCAGUUUGAUGAUAUGAUGGUGAGGAAAGUUUAGUAAUUACACAUACACAGCGUUUGUUGGUUUGAAUUGAUGCUUACAACCAUCUCUAGGGUCUUUGGUGUUUGAAUGAUAUCUGAUCUAUGGUACUUUUGCAGGAACUGUUCGCUCUCUUUGAUCCUGUGCACGGUGCUAAAAAACUGCAGCAGCAGAACUUCUCAUCUGAGGAAAUCGAUACGCUUGAGCAGAACUUCCUGUCCUAUUUCUUUCAGGUAAAGAACCUAUUCUGGGAGAAAUAACUGUUGAUAGAUUUAGUGUCCAAGUGAAGGAUGGAGGCAUGGAGCAGUUUCUUAUAGUGUUGCAAUGCAUCAAAACAUUUCUGUAAAUGUGCUCUUUAAAGUGUCUUUAAUUAAAGUGCAGGUGAUGGAAAAAAGCAAUUUUAACAUAGUAAACGAUGAUGAGGUUGAACUUGCUCAUUCUGGACAAUACCUGUUGAAUCUUCCCAUCAAAGUUGAUGAAUCAAAGGUUAAUCCCCUUUCCCUGCAAACUAUGUCUCCUUAUCUAAAUUUCACUAAAUGUCAGUGUGAAAUUCCUUUUUUUUUUUGCUUGUGCAGUUAGAUAACAAACUUUUGUCAAAGUAUUUUAAGGAGCACCAUCAUGAAAACCUACCUGACUUCUCAGAUAAGGUGAUGUUUUUUACUGUGACAUAGAUGGACUUCUCUUUUUUCUUUGGGUUACAUGAGGUCAAUGUUAUUUCAUAAGCAAUGCGUUGAAAUUCUAGGUUUUUUUGACCAGCCAAGUAGGCAAAGGUGCAAAUUGGGGAACUCGAAUUUAGCUAUCAGCUAAUCCUUCUUAAACUUUCAUGUAUUAUGUAUUGUAUAAUUAUGUUUUUGUUUAGUGUUGCCCUCCAGAGUCCGGACCCCUUCUCUCCUAGUGGCAUUGACUUCUUGCUUAGUACUCCCUCCGUCCAAAUUAUAGGUCGUUAUUCAUAGAUAUUAUUAUGCAUCUAGACAUAGGAUAUAUCUAAGUACAUAACAAAAUCUAUGAAUCUAAAAAUGCUAAAACAACCUAUAAUUUGGGACAGAGGGAGUAUUCCUCACAUAUUGUUCAUGAACAACUACUUGUUUAGCUGACAUGAUCCUUUUAUUUGCCAGUAUGUUAUAUUUCGUAGGGGCAUUGGAUUGGACCGCACUAGCAACUUUUUCUUCAUGGAGAAAGUGGACAUGAUCAUAGCUCGUGCAUGGCGAAAGUUUCUUGAGAAGACGAGGUAUGUUAUCCACUGCACAUUUAAUGCCCUUUGCAUUUUAUCUUUCUCAUUGAAAGGGUUACCUUUUUUCAUACUGGAAUUUCAGAUUGCAAAAGCUCUUCUCCAGAAAGAAAAAUGGUAAGCAAAAGAUGGAUUCCAAGAAGAAUGAUGAUCUAGCCAGUGAAGUAGAGGACAAGGAGCUAUAUGUUGAACGCAUACGGCUUGAAACAAUGGAGUUAAGGUUUGCCUCUUCUUUGACCUGUUAAGCCAUCACAAUCCCUAUAUCUCUCUCUCAUGGUCUCACAGUUUGCACUUUGCAGCUUGCGAAAUUUAAUUGGCAAGGUCGCAAUUCAAGAGCCUACAUUUGAAGAGGUUAUUGUCUUGUACAGGUAAAAGUUAUAAAACGAUUUGAGGUUGCUGACAAAACUUUCUUGUCUUGUUUCUGAAAUGGUUGCUUGCAUGAUUUUUUUUUUAUUACAGCAUUAACUGAUUUUUUUAAGAGUACCAGGGAGACCCCCUGUCCAUUGCAUUGCUCAGGACAAUAAACUGAACUGAUUUUUUUAUGUAUUCCUUCAGGAGGAAAAGUCCAAAGGGCCAGGAUGAUAGAGCAAUUCAUGUAAAACACUUCAAAAAUAUUCCAAUGGCAGAUAUGGAGUUGGUUCUGGUUAGCACUGAGUUGCCUUUUCUGGAGAAAAUUUUCACAUUCAUAUUUAUUUAUGCUGAAGAAAAAUUGUAACCACUGCAGCCUGAGAAGAAAAACCCAAGCCUCACACCAAUGGACUGGGUUCAAUUUAUUGUUUCUGUUGUCAUUGGACUCGUAAGUGGAAUUGAAUCGUUUUCAUUUGAUUCUUUUGUGAUACUUCACCUUCUAAUUUACUUGUGUCACAUCACUCAGGUUACACUUAUCAGUUCACUCGAAAUGCCUAAAGCCGAUUUCUGGGUUGUAAUCGCCAUCCUUUCUGCUCUGGCUGGAUAUUGUGCUAAGAUCUAUUUCUCGUGAGUAUCUUAGUUGAUUUUUUUAUUUUAUUCAUUCUAUAGGUAUUUUUUAUUAUGAAGACAAUAGAGAACAGUGGAAGAUUUUUGGGCGUGAUUGGAUGAUUGCAUAUGGGUGAGACAGGCUCGCGGGGUGCAACAUAUCGAUGAUUGGUUUCCUGCACAGCAGUCUGAGCCUGUCCCCGUAGAUGCAAAAGGUCCCUCGGAGCCUGGCUCCGCAUCGUGGGCCUGGCUCGCUCGAUACGAGAGUGCAUGCGAAGGACAUCCCAGCGCGUUGUGUCCGUGACUAGCAGCGAUAGAAUUUAUAUGCAACCAAUCAGCAUCCCUGCUGCACCUGGCUCAAUGUGAUCAGCAGACCAAACAAGCGCAUGCUGCACACACCAGACCUGGCUGUGGCUGGCCUGGCUCUGAUGUUCAGCCAGGCCCGAGGCGUCUGACCAACCAAUCACGCCCUUUGUUUCUGUGACCUCGUAGACAUGCUACAGAAUACCUUCAUGCUUCAGCCUUUCUUCAUUAGGAUGAUACUUGUUAGUGUUUAUGGUUGUGUCGGGCAGUAUAUUAAAUAGUUAUUUUUAGUGCUGGUUUGUUGUGUUGAGUAGUCUGUUAAAUAGUUUUUCUUUACGCAGGUUUCAACAGAACAUGGCAACCUACCAAAACCUAAUCACUCAAUCAAUGUAUGACAAACAACUAGAUAGUGGGAAAGGCACACUACUGCACCUCUGCGACGAUGUGAUUCAACAGGAGGUAGGUCUAGACUCGACCCGUAUUUCUUGAGAAUGAACCCCCAAAAGAAAAACAAUAGUUCAGAUAUUGGAAUUCGAAGCUGAACUGACAGUUCACUUUCAUCCUCGUGGUUCCGAAUGUUCAGGUCAAGGAGGUCAUAAUAGCCUAUUAUAUUCUGAUGGAAAAUGGAAAGGCUACCAGUGAUGUAUAUAUAUUGUUCUUCCAUUUUAAAAAUCUAUACUUGCUCUUGUGGAAGAAAUAUUAAAAUUAAAUAUUUGUGUGUUCCCAAUGUGCUAGGAUCUUGACUUGCAAUGCGAGGAGUUAAUCCAGGAAGAGUUUGGCUUGCAAUGCAAUUUUGAGGUGAUGGAUGCUGUUCAAAAGCUGGAGAGGCUUGGUAUCACCACAAGAGUGAGUUCUCACAUCUUUUUCUCUUAUCACCAAUUUGUCAAACAUAGGAAUAGUUUCUUACACACACAGUGCACAUAGUCAAGUUUUUGCAGGCACACAUGCUUCUAUUUGUUUGUUCUCUACUUUUUCCCACAUAAUACUGAAGUCUGUUUUGCAUCCAGGAUUCUAUUGGAAGAAUUUGUUGCGUUCCUCUAAAGCGUGCCAAUGAGAUCAUCGGCGCUACCACGGAAGAGCUGGUUAUGAAAGCAAGGCAAAGCUUGCGAGGUUGAUUUGAACAAGGUAAUCCUGUUGUAAAUUCUUGCCUGAUGGCAUUACAACAUUUAUGGUACUCCAGGAAUGCCUAACACUAAAUUCUUGCAUAUCAGGUGGGGUAAAUAAUUCUGGCCAUCUCCAGGAUAGUUCUCCAGUGAAAGUUAUGAUAAAUGGGGUUGUAAUUUUUCUUUGGGUAGGAUCUGCUGUGUAUUCUGGAAUGUCUGAAGUGUGUUGUAAGCAUGUAGCAUUUUUUCCAUAGCAAACGAGGUAGUAGGAUGUUUCCUGCUAACGCAACACAGGGUACAAGAGCGAUGUUGUACAUGUCGUGAACUGUGCAUUUAUUUGUCAGAAACCUUCCCUGUACAAGUAACGAUGAAGGUUCACUGCAGCGUGCACACUGAGCCGGUGACGCAAUGACACUGGCAGCUUGAUCUGUCUCUGCUCUUUUGCUGUUCCUUACCUGUGGCUGUGAACCGGAAGCUCCGCAUUCCCUGAAAAUUUAGGAUGCAGUGAUGUAAACAAAUUGUCUGUUAAUCACAGAUCAGCCAGAGUACAGGGGCAUCAUGUUGAGUUCUUGUGAGUCGCUUACUAUUGAUUCAACACUCAAUUUGCAAACUGAGCAUUGCUCAGCUGGUAAAACUCCUUGUGGUGGUAAAACUCCCGUAGUGGAACCUACUAUCAGAUUUCGAGUACUUGACUCGGUACUGCUCGCCUUUUUCUUACAUUUAUUUUAGGAUUUAAUUGGCGCUAUUCUUUCGGUAAUAAGCGAUGUGUUCAUCGACGGCGAGACACCAGUGGUGAUUUCGUUAAUAUCAAAGAUUUGUCAGCUCAGUCUUUCGGAGGUGUUUAUAGAGGUAGGGUUACGUGUGUUGUGUUCAUGGGGCCGAGCGUGUGUAAGUGUAUGUGAGCCCGUCUCUACUGUGUGAUUUGAAAAAAAAAUCAACACCCGAUUUAUUUCCAUACAUGAAAAAUGGAUAAGGAAAAACGCAGCGAAAUUCCUGGACGGUACAUGUCCAAUACCCUUAUCCAGUGUGCUUUUUUCUCUUAGCAGGGAGAUAUAAAGUGCAGAGUCCAGUGGGGAUGGAGCAGAGAGAGCCAAGCUCAGCGCUUGGAGUGAGAUAAUGAGCAGCAGCAACGUGGUGUCCGGCAUCUCCGCGUCACCGUCUGCCGCCGCCGGUGCUCGCCAUCGCCAUGGCGCGGUGAAGCAGCUGAGGAUAAAGGUAGCGCAGCCACAGCAGCAGCGGCUGCACGGCCGCCGCCGGCAAAGCGGCGGCAGGGGCGGCGCGGUGGUGGCGAGAGCCGGGCCCGGGGCGCUGUCGGAGAUCGAGCCGGACCUGAACGAGGACCCCAUCGACCGGUGGGCCACCCCCGGCAUCAGCCCGGUCCGUCCCUCCUCUCAAUUCACUCGCUUUAGAAUUUUGGCUGUGCUAUCUGAACUCUCUGAAGAAAGAAAUGGAUUGCCUUUGCUCAUGGGAUAACACUGGAGUGGACAAUAAUGGAUUGCCUUUGUUCAUGGGAUAACACUGGAGUGGACAAUAAUCUGUGUGUUGCAGGAGGACUUUGAGUUCGGAGUGUACGAUGGACACCACACCUAUCACGAAGGCCAAGGUCUUGUCCUAAAAACUUCACUGUCAUUGUAUCCAUGUUGUACUGAUAUCCUUGCAAGAAGGAGCACUGAUUGUUAUGCUAUGUGAUGUGGUGUAACAAAUCCUGCAAACAAUUGCGAUGACGAUGCCCUAUCUGAAGACAAGAAGGGAUUUUGGGAGGAUGUCUCCGAAUGGUACCAAGAAGCUGAGCCUCCUCAGGGCUUUCAAGGUACUCUUUAGCUCCUCGGAUAUCUUUCUGCUUUCAGUGGCAGUGAAAAAAAAAACUUUCCUCAUCAGCAUAUCAAUGGCAAUUUCUUGCUGUGCAGCACUCAUCUCCUGGGCAUUUCCUCCUGCAAUCAUCCUUGGCAUGGCUUUCAAUGUACCGGUAUGGACUGAAUAUUUACAUCAGGCUCUGUUUCAAACAUAUUGGAUUCUUUUUUCUGAUCUUCUAUGAGGAUUGAACUGGACUAGUGCGAAAUUCCCGCGCUCCAAACGUUCGCCCAAGCCUUUCACCCUACGUUCAUGUAACUCUCUACUGACUGGAGAUGUGCCUGCUUGUACCACCACCAGGGCGAGUACCUCUACAUCGGGGCAGCUCUCUGGAUCGUCGUGUUCUGCAUCAUCGAGAUGCAAAAGCCGGACAAGCCGCACAACUUCGAGCCGGAGAUCUACAUGAUGGAGAGGUCGGCUCGUGACAAGCUCAUCGCCGAUUACAACUCCAUGGACAUCUGGGACUUCAACGAGAAGUAUGGCGAGCUCUGGGACUUCACCGUCAACACCAGCAGGGAAGACAUCGUCAAAUCAAGCUAGAUGGUUACCUACUGCACAAGCCUUUCCGUGCAAAACAAAUCAAGUAUAGCAUAGCUGCUAGGAAAAAGCUCUUGAAUGAAAGGAAUAACAAUGUGUGUAUCUUCAUGCCUGAGGUUCUCAGCCCUGUAAAAACUGAGAGCCUGAAAAUCUGCUUUAUCCUCACAUAAUGGAUGUAUGUCGGGCGUCUCACAAAAGAAAUUCUGCAGAAUAGCGAGCACGCUGUUGCUUCAACUUUCUGCGUGGUUUCUUCAUGUUUUCUCUUAUGUUUUGAGAAAACACAUGCAGGACUGAUUCACCGAAGUAACUGAACAUUUAGAACUGCCUGUUUGCCACCACCCACCCAAUCUUAUUAUUAUUCAACAAAAAGAAAUGUCAUUCUUCCUUAAAACCUUUGCAGGAGAAAAAAAGGGAAGAACGAAAAAGAAACCACCAGGGUAAGAAAAAAAAAAGGUAAGCCUUGCAGCUGUUCCUUUUUUGUACACUUGAGAUGCAGCUGACUCGCUAUGAAGACAAGGGAAAUCUUUUGGAAGAGAACAAGGCUAAUCUACUGCCCUGGUGAGAGAACUAGCUUUGCUACAAGAUGCUAGGCAUUCCGUUCCUUCACCUUGAUGUUCUGAAGAGCUGACUGCCUAGAGUCACAGUUGGGGUGCGUCCUGUCAUGACUGUCGUCAAGCUGAUCUCCUGCUCCCGAAUCCGGUGUAUUUCAGCCUCCACCAGGCUCAUCGACGGACGCUGCUCACUCAUUGGGUUCACGCACCACGAUGCCAAGCGCAGCAAUUCUUUCAUGCUUUCAGAGGUGAAACUACUGGUCAUUCUGUUGUCUGCAAUUGCAGAGAUAUCACUUGAUUCCUGGAAGUUCUGCACCUGCAUAUCGAGGUACAAAGUGAGCAGGCCUAUACUUCAGUGCAGAUAUGAUGAUUAAGAGGAGUAAAUGAUGCCACUAUAGUAGGGAGAAAUUGGUGAGCAGUGUUGGAAUAUACCCAUUGAAUGAUGUUUUGAUCAGACACGGCUCUCCGUCCGCUCACCAACUCCACAAGGAACACACCAAAACUGUAAACAUCGCUUUGUAUGGAAAAGUUCAAGUUCAUGGAUUCCCUCAUUCUGAUCAUGCAACAGGAAGUUCCAUCAAACUCAAGUGAUGAAUUGUACACUGGACACAACACACUGAAAGCAGAUGAUUUUAUCGUAUCCAUCUGAUGUAAUCAAUGAAUGCAAGAAGUACAACAAAUAUGUGUGCCUGUUGUUACCGAGGAUCAACAAAUGGAUCAUUAGGUGUUCUGGAAGAUAGUCCUGUAACACCGAGUCGAUCAAGCAAGCCUGGAAUCCCAGUAUCCGCAACUUUUGGUAUGAAAUCCUCAUCCACAAGUACAUUAGAAGUUUUGAAGUUCAUAUGGAUCGCAGGGGGCGUCAGCGAAUGCAGGUGGCUCAGGCCUGAGUAACAAGAAAAGAUCGCCAUGUUAAGAUUGUUGAUGUAGUUUCCAUAAGAUCAUUGUUACAGCAGAAUGAGUUUUAGUCGAUACGAAGUUAUGAGCCUCUAAAUUAUAUUUCUGACAAUAAGGGAAAGUGUAGAGUUGGUUUAUAUGUAUAGGCUUACCUUUAGCAGCUCCAUGAGCUAUAGAAAGUCUAUGCUUGAAUUCUAGCCUUACACCUGGAGCGUGGCUGUAACCUACAAAAGGACAGCAGAAGAAUUACCAACCUACGACACCGCUCUUUGUACAUUAGAGUAAUAUAAAGAAAACACGAUGAAAUCACCAUGCAAAUGUGUUGAGACACUGCCAUUGGGGAUAUACUCAUAAACAAGCAUCUGCACAACAUUCUCCUGGCAGUACCCCAAAAGUUUUACAAGGUUCCGAUGCUGGAGAGAUGAUAGGUAAUUAACCUGAGAAGAAAACAGCACGGAUGCUUGAGCUUGGAACAAUCUAAGAAGGGUGUGGAGCAAGCUGUGCUAUAUUUUAAAUCAUAUUAGAAAAUAGUGGGUUUAGUCCUUUGCUAGAAAACAGGAUCAUUCCUUCAAGAGGGAAAAAAUAGAGCUAAAACACAGCACAUUCCAUAAAUUCAGGACCAUAAAUUGCUCAAGAGAACGUAUGGAUAAGUAAAAUUAUGUUACCUCUUGAACGAAUUCCUGGCUAGGAGGAGCAUGCCGUCUUUUAACAGCUACAAUCGUGCCAUCCUGGAGCAAACCCUUGUAUACCUCUCCAAACAUUCCCUGUCCAAUAAGAUUUGCAUUGCUGAAAUUCCUUGUAGCCAAAUUUAGUUCCUCCAAAGUCAGACAUCUUGCUCCCUGCAACUCUGAAAGAUGGAAGGCAAAGCUAUUACUUAUCAAAAUAGAAAAAUAUAGAUCUUUAGAUGAACAAGUUUUAUAGUCUUAUGAAAAGUAACUUAAGCAGUACCUGGUAGAGCUUGACCUGAUGAGCCACUUUCUGAAGAGUCUGAAGUUCUUCUGCGAUACUGCAGGCAAAGUACAAUUACAACUGUGACAAUACAUAGUAGUGUCAAGCCUCCUACAGCACCUCCUAGAGCUGCUGCAAGAAGUCCUGACAUCUAUUACUGGAUAUCCUCCCAGAAUAGGGCAAUAAUCUUUGUAGCCGCAGUGAUGAAGUCUGCAGAUCGGAAACCUAAAGAGUAGUACAUUAAAUUUGGCUGAGUUUAUAUUUGAAUCCAUAAGGAAGAGCAUGGAUGUACAGAUUGCUGGUUGUGACGACCAGUGAGCUACAGAAUAAUUCAGAUAGUGAAUAGAUAUACGCAAACAUGUAUGCAUGGAUUGGGUGAACAAUAGAUAAAGUUAAACCACUAAUAUAAUAUUGACACUGAAACCAUGGAUAAAGUUAAAUCAGCAAGUGCAUAAUUUUUUUGUCAACUUUAGUUUUGUCUCAGUAUGAAAUGUCUGUCUCUCAGAUUUGUCGCUGUGCAGUGGCAAAAUUAGGGAUUUUGAUCAUGAUACAAGUGAACUACUAGUAACGUAUAAAUCUAGCAAUAAAGACUAUUGUAUUAUCAAAUGGAAAAAUAAGGAAUUGUCAGAUAUUCAAAAUUACGCAUAUGUGGUGAUGUGCCGUGGCAGAAUCAGGAAAGCACAUUUUGAUCAUAACAUUAGCAUCAUGGAUGAAGCUACUAGUAACACAUAAUCUGGCGAAAAAGACAACUAUAUUAUCAAAUGGAAAAGCAGGGAGUUGUUGGAUAUCUGAAAUUGGACAUUAUGUGGCAAUGUGCAGUGGCAAAAUUCGGAAAGCGCAGUUUGAUCAUGACAUCAGCGGUAUGGACGAAGCUACUAGUAUCGCAUAAAUUUGGCAAAAAGGGCACUUAUAUUAUCACACGGAAAACAGGGAAUUGUCAGAUAUCCAAAAUUGGACGUUAUGUGGCAGCAUGGUUUGCACUUUGAACUUUUUUCCUUUCCUUUUCUUUCCUUUUCCUGGUAAACGUUUCCAGACAAUCAUUCAAAUUUUUUCGUGCCAUAAACGGAUCAGAAGAAACUUUGCCACAGUAGGUAAAAUGGCAUGUUAGAUGUUACAGAAAGUGACUCCAAAUGUGUAACAAAAUAUCUUUUGCUAUGACAUUCUGCACUGAAACAGAUAUGAAUAAGCUACAGUGUACAUCAAAACAUGAAUGCAUUCUUGCUUGAACUGCUUGCCUCUUGAAGCUUUGCUCAUACAUGUUGGGUUGAUUUUAUUUAUAAACAGUCAAAUUUAGCAAUCUAGCAAUGUGCCAUUGGCUACUAUCUGAAUUCUGCUCAGUAACAGUAACCAAUAGAAGUACUCAUCAGAGGAUUGCUGAUUGUUGAUCUUCCCUAUCUAUCUAUCUAUCUAUAUAUAUGAUCACCAAAAAAUUAUCACUCCUGAACAGAGCACAAAUCAUGGUAUGUGAAAAAAAAAUCCACAUGAUUCAGACUCCAUCCGAAAAAUACACAGCGAUUCCACCCUUGUAUGCAAAAAAGUUGCAAAUUUUGGUGAAGAGAAAUGAAGGCUACACCAUACCUGCAGAUCGCCCAGGCCUCGUGGCAUCAUUCCCGUCCAAGCGCAGCACCAGCAUCAAAUGCUGAAUCCAUUCUGCAGACAGCAAAACUUGUUCCACCGAUUCUUGACUCUGCCCCGUCUUUUUCCUCCUACCAUCACAAGAAAAGACUUCAAGCCAAUCAAGAAAUGCAAGAAGAAGGCAAAUUACGGAAGAAAUAUCUAGCGCGUAUAGGUUCUCCACAGCUAGAGAGAAUCCAUGAAAAAGAGUGAAAAGUGAGAGAAGCAGCAAGCAGGCAAGAACACCUCUGCGUCCUCCUCCUACUCUCCUCAGGUGGGUCUAUCGCUGUACUGGCAAGUGAUUGUGGGCGAGAUGAGCUGUGAGGUUUUGGGGAGGGAGGAAUGGGGAGGGGAGCGCCCACAAGAAAAGUGAAGGAGAAUACACUCACCGGUGGGGCGGAUCGGAAUUGGAAACCCGCAGCAAAUAAACAUUGCCUGUAUAUAUACAUAAACUGGCCGGGUUGAGCUGUAGGCAUCAGCGGAAAGCGGAGCGGAGGAUGCUAAAAAACGCGGGCUUGGCGCGGCCGUUGCAGGUGAAAACAAAACAGCCAAGAAAAUCCCCAGCUUUAUCCGGCGGCUCUUGAGUGUGGGCUUGUGUGACCCCAGAACUAGAACCGGAUGGAUCUCCCAAUGAUUGAACCGGAGGCGACAAUUCGUUGGGAUAGCGACACUGCGCCGACGCAGCAGAUUUCCCCCCAUUUUAUCUUAUUAGUUCUUCGAUUCUUUCCCCUUCGUCUACAUUCAUGAAUCUAUCUUUGCCGCAAUGCGCCGCCGUUCGAUCAAAGCGGGCAACAAAAACAAAUGGAAUUGAAUAGGGAAACCGGUGGGAUUGAAAAUGGGGACGGGCCGAGGGGAGCCAAGCCAAUGAUUGCCGGGGGGGAGAAGAACAUGAUGGGGGCUCAUUGAGCUGGAAGACAGACGGACAGACAGGCAGGAGCUGCCGUGCUUGCUCAUCAGAUAAAAAGGACUCCUCUUCUUUUUUCACCUGCUGGUCAGCUGGUGUUGGAUUUUUCACUUUAUGAUGAGGCUCUGAAGUGGCAGGGCAUUGUCUGCUAAUCCCAAAUUAGCAUAUGUUUCCGAAGAACUUAAUCAAACUAAUUCGUCAUUUAUAUUGUUCUUCAAGCAUGCGGGCAGCUAGCGUCCAAGGAAGAGACGCUGGGGAACAAAGCACAGAUCGCUGGGCCGCGGCGUGUUGCUACCCCUCCAGAGUGGCCAUGAGCUGUGCAUUGCAUCUUUCUCAAUCCCCUUCUGCUGCUUCUGCAUUACCGACUCCAAGACGCCAUUGUCAAAGUGGAAAGCAUUGAUGAAUCGUCAGUCACCAACACCCACAAUAAGAAAUAAAAAUGGAUGAUGCUACGUGAAGGAUUGAGAUCGAUCGAGCAGAAGGAACGGCUGGCAGCACUGAUUUUUCACGACGUCGCAUCAGGAUCAGGAAGCCAUCCUGUGUUUGUUUGGUCCUCUGAACUUUUCUGGCUCACUUAUUAGGGCGAUGAUUAAUGGACUGUCUGACCACUGAUGUGAUGUUCAAUUCGUUUUUUCUCCUCUCCGAAACACUGGCACUUCUUUCAAGCAUAUCUCGCUGGCCUUGAGGUCUCUCUGACUCUUUGUUUGGGGGGGUGGUUGGUCAGUUGCUGGCGGCAAUGGCUUGGGCCGCCUGCGUGUCUUGCUCCAUUUCCUGCAGCUUCUUCAGUUCAGGCACGUCAGGGUCAAGGAAAACAUAUCUGCAAUCCCUGCGUGACCGCAUCAGCAGCGGCUACUGACUCCAUCGCUGUGCUUGCGAGUGCACUACAGCUGUGAGCUCUGAGCUCUGUGGCUUGACCUUGACGACGCCUCUGCAGCUGCAGCGGGAGGCUACAGAGCUUGUUGCCUUAUCCUCUCACUGCCGCCGGCCGCGGCGUCCAUCUGGCUGCCGCCUCGUCGCCGGCGCUGACACGUGAGCCGCCGCCGUUUGCCGAGUCAGACACGUUUUGCUAGCUGCAGGGUGGCUAGCUGGAUGACGUUGCCUGCCAUUGCGCCGGUUGGAUCAGUAUGUAGCAGGCAGAGUACCUGACCUGGCAUCCAUCAGGGGAUAUGAUUCUGCCACGCGUGCAUGAGUAAUUAAUUAAUUAAUCUAGUACAAGGUCGAUGAUCCUGCGACGCUAAUGAUUGCUGCGGAACUCUGAUGGGUGCAUGGCUUCGCUUACGUUGUUGCCUUCUCCUUUAACGUCACGGGCAGGCUGGGAUUCCAUUAUUCCAUGAGCCAUCGGGCUUUUGCUCUGGCGAGAACUUGCUGAGUUGACACCUAGCAAAAGGCACCCAGCAUGGUUGGGUUUGGGGCCCCAGGAACACGAAUGUGUGUUGAGCAUUGAGCUUGAGCAUGGAUCUCGUGGGACUUAAAAUUGGUCAGCAGAUGGAAACUAUAGAUCAGGUAUGCAUGGUGUGGUGUCAGUGCAUAAUACCAACGCUGUAAAGGAAUUGAUAAUUCCAGCCAUUGAUCUCCACCAUGAAUCUAUCUUUUUCCUUUUUGGUUUAAGCUUCUAACAUGUCGGUCGCAUGUUUUUUUUUUACUAGAUAGCAAAGUUAGCUGCUUUGAUGUCUAUAACUGAGAAUAUGUUUUUUUAUUAGACUAGAGGCUAGUACCUAGGAACAGCAAACUCUCCAUGCAAUAAGCUGGAAUACAAAAAAAAAGUCACGUGAAAAAUUAAAAAACUUAGUGUUGAGAGUGGGAUUUGAACCCACGCCCUUUCGGACCAGAACCUUAAUCUGGCGCCUUAGACCAACUCGGCCAUCUCAACCUGAUGCUUUUAGCGUAGGCAGUAUGAUUAAUAUUUGAACUAUUAGGCGAUUGAUCCAACUUAAUCAGAAACGAUGCAAUAAAUUUUUCGUAGCAACCGACCGUCCGGCAGCUCCGGUACACCAACUGUACCGCCAUGGCAUUCAACACAAACAAGACAAAGGAAACAAACAGACGGUCGCCCAGGUCUAAGCAGCUCCGGAUCAAGGGCGCCCAUCUCUACAUCCAUUAAGUUUUAAUAUUUAAUGACUAACAAUAAGCAGAAUAUUGCGAAUUAGUGCCCCUAGGACUAAGAGGCAUAUUACGAACCAUCUUUAGUUUUAAUUUAAUUAUCAAAUACUGGUUUUCCAAAUCUUAAGUGCUUUUCAAUUUAAACCAAAAGAGUCAGACUCCAUUUUGCACCUAUGGAAAUGGAUCUGAGAAUUCGUGAUCUAUAUGUGGCAUUAUGCCCCCCACCUGGCACUGCUGGGCCUGCAUUCCACGUUGACUUUCUACGCCGAACAGCUCACAAGAAUCAAUGGCUUAGUGUUGCUUAAUUAAUCGCUACUAGUAGUAUUUACAGGUCACCAGCAUACAUGUCUUGAAGGACAACCACGGUAGGGCAACGGUGCAGCACCAUGCUAGUGGAAUGAAAAACCCUGGUAGCUGACUGAUUGGUAGAGAUGAUGGAAACGGAACCUCCAUCCUUUCCAGAUCAAGAAGCAAAGAAAAACGCAUCGAUUGUUGGCCAGUUAAUGUCACAACCACUUGCACGAAAAGGACACUGCGAAUGCAGGAGCCCAAGCCUAUGUACCCACCCGAGAUCCAACAGGCAGAGAACUGAUCAUCCUUGCAUAGGAAAAGGAAAGGUAUGCUUGUCUGAUCAAUCAGGCGCUCGCUAGAUUGCCGGUGUUACAUCAGCUGAUUAAUGAGUCCAGCUUACAUGGUGAACAAGUUGGAGCUCAGCAGCACCUGCAUUGGAGAUUUGGAGGAUGCAAAUGGCAGGGUCCAGGCAGGCAACAAGUAGAGGUGCCCCAGAAUCCCUAGCAAGCACCACAUGUGAAGGCAGCGGCUGGCUGAUGCCGAAUUAAACGGACACCGUUGACGCCUGCCUACUGUUUCUACUUUCUACACCAACAAACCGAUGGCGCCCACAGGACCAUGAGGACGAUGACCCUCUGAAGACCAGCUAUGCAGCAUCAUGUUGCCUUGUUUUCCGGCCGGCAUGGCCCUGCUCUGGAUUUUUCAGGUUCGGAUGACUGGAAGCUGCAAUGGAUACAUAUGCAUGGUUCUGUGCAUCUUUAUCUGCAGUAGGGGAUAAGCUUGAUUGACACAGCCUGUUGAUUCGACCCUGACAUCUUCAGCGAGCUUACAGCCAAUUUGCUUCCCAUCUCGAAGUUCCAGAUAAUACACAAAUUCAGUCUGCAUGAGGGUACAGUAAUCCCACAGCUCAUCUCGACCGGAGCGCAAAUGUGAUGGUAAAACCAACCAGACGUGUACCACUGAAGAAGAGAAACUCGCUAGUCGCUAGUGAAGUAGCCAAAAACCCAACGCAACCCUUGGUGGUGCAGUGUGCACUUCGAUACAGGUCAUUGUUGCAAGCUUGUAGCGCAAGUAGGAGGCAGCCAGCUGGUCAUGCUUCCCUGUUGCCAUUCUAGUGGUCCUGAUGAACAUUCCGCUUUUAUCAUACUUCAUUCAUGAGCAAUAAACAUUUCGUAGAUCACCUUAAUUAACAGAAAUAGAGGUCAUGGGCUUUCCAUCAAUGUGACACAGUGGUACCCAUCAAUGAUCUUGACUAUCUGCUUGCCAUAUGAUUGCUCUUAAACAUGCCAGUCUUCAUGAGUCGCCUAUAGAGAUUACACGGGCAUGGUACUAAAUUAGUAAGUGCAAAAUCAAUCGUUUUGACAAAUAAACUAAUUACAGCACUAAGUAACAGAUCAAAGAGCACUCUCCACAAUCUGUUUGGUAACUUGCUUGCUGGCUCAUAUAAAUCUUAAUAGUUUCACAUAUCGGCAAGUGUGCAGCGAUCAAAGCAGUUUACACUAUGACAUAUUUGUCCUAAAUUUUUCUGCUUGCAGCUGAAAACAAGAAUAGGAAUAAGGUGGUCACUUUAGAAGCUUAUCUCACGUCUCUCAGCAAAGAACUUCCCAUUUGUACCUUGUUCACAGGGUAACAAGGCAAGCCAUACUCCUGUAUCAGCACCUUCUUCAGCAGAAAUAUUCCCUUCAAAACCAGUCAUGGCCGUUUUUACCCACCCUGGGCAGAAACAGUUAAUGUAGAUCUUUUGGCCUUCAGGCCGAUCUGAGAGCCUCCUUGACAUGAGUCGUGUAUAAGCAUUAACAGCAAGCUUCGAGACUGAAUAGUCUGUGUACAUCUGAGGCCAUUGAUUGGAGGACCAAGUACCUUGCCUUACUUGCUCAAGAAACUUCGUUAUCAUCUCAUCAAUUAACUGCUCUGAUAGAUAAUCAUCAUUCAAUAACUGAUCUCUGAGGAUUGCAUCACCAAUUCUCUGACAGCAUAUAAAAUAAAAAAGAUCAAUAAAUGGCAAGGUAAUGAUCAACACAAGGGUGCCUCAUAUUAAGAAGGUCGCAGCACAAUAGAGACAUUGGAAAAAUAGGGAUAUGUCAAGCAAACUUACAUUCCGUCUGCCAUUGACUCUACCAAGCCUUGAGCUGACAUUCACUAUCCGAGCACCAUAGGGAGAGGGUUUCAUUAACGGUAUCAUGGCAUCAGUCAUCUGUUUCAUGCCAUAAUAAUUUGUCUUGAUAACUUGCUCAGCGAACUCAACAGAAUUAUCUGGUCCUUUAUUGAAGUUUACACCUGCAUUGUUAACCUGUAAUCGGGUUACAGGACAUCAAUUAGUGACUUGACUUUCUGCCCAUUUUACUUUGUGCACAGCAAUACAGACACUAUUUCAUCUCAUUUCACGUGUAGGGAAUUGAAAACGCAACUCUUUCCGGUUUGUUUCUGACUUGGCCGUGGAUCCACCGCCCCAGUCCUUUUCUCCCUUUCUACCAAUCCAUUUUUAAUUACUAAUUACGGAGUAGAUUACAACUUCCAGAAACAAGUGUUGAGACGACUCUUGCUGGUCAAUUGAAAAUUUGAAAUGAUAUUCCUUCGUAUUGUUACAGCAAAGCAACUAAUCACGAAGUACAAGAGGUAGAAAGGUAAGACGAUGAGAAUGCGCUCACAAGGACAUGGAUGCCGCCGUGGGUCUCCAGCGCCCAGGCCGCGAAGGCCUCCACUGACGCGGCCUCCGCCACGUCGAGCUGCCGCCACUCCACGCUCACGGACGCCUCUCCGGGAGCCUCCGCCAUGAUCCUCCCGGCAGCGUCCUGGCCUUUGGCGGCGUCGCGGGAGGUGAGCACGACGUGGAGGCCGUGGAGCGCGAGCUGGCGGGCGGCUUCGAACCCCAUCCCGCGGUUGGCACCCGUGACCACCGCCACAGCCCGCGGCUCCAGGUGGUCCCACCAUCGCUGGUGGGGCUCGUAGGGGAGGGCGCGGAGCAGGGUGACCUCGCGGCGGCGCUGCUCGCGCCGCUCCCGCGCCGCCUCCUUCCCUUUCUUCCCCAUCUCUCUCUCUCUCUCUCUCUCUCUCUCUCAGGUCGUCGAAACUUUACACCCUCGCUGGGCCUUAGUGCCAACUUUACAAUCACUAUGGGCCUCACUUCGAUGUGUAGAGGAUGGAAGUAUGUGGGCCUCUUUUUUCUGGGCUUUGGUGGCAAUUUUACAACCACUAUGGGCCUCGGUGCGUUUCCCCAUUCAACAACUUCCAAGCUGAAGAAGGGAGAUUCGAAGUUGUCUCUUGCGACAAGUGAGGAAGCCUGAAACCUCAACGUCACAUCAGGAAUACACAUAAGAUUAAAAAAAUCAGGAAUACACAUAAGAUUAAAAAAAUCAGGAAUACACAUAAUAGUGUUCAAUCAAGAACAACUAAAUAUGUUAUAAAAAAGAAGAACAACCAAAUUUAAAAAUAUUAAGAGCAACUCCAGCAAUACCUUCUAAACAAAUCCUCUACUUUUUAGUAGGAGCUGCCUCUACUUUCUAAGAAUUUUUUCUUCUCAACUCUAGCAGUACCCUCUAAACAACUUCAACGGAUAGAGAGCUCUCUAAAAUCCGAAGGUGUGCAGGGAAUUUUGGAGGCUUCUCUAAAAUCUAGGGUCUAGUAGAGUACCAACUUAGAACGCGGUUUUUUUUCUUGAUACUCUAAAUUUAGGGUAUGGAGGUAUUUAUAGAGCCUGCUGGAGUUGCUCUGAGUCCGGCAUACUUGCCCAGUCCUCCCAACUCCCCCCCUCAGGUUCCACUUCCACCACACUCUCCUCCAGCUUGAGAGGCCCUGGGGUGAUGCGGGUGCCAUUACCAUGCUACAUAAAGGGAAAACGAAGAGCCUUGAACGAUUACCAUCAGGACAGCCAUAACUUGUAUUAUGUAGCCUUUAAUUUGAAGCUUCACUAUAUCGAAUUAUCGAUGAACCGGUAUGUAAUAAGUAGCCAUUGCAUUAUUCGUGGUAAGGACGGUUUUGCAACCCAUUGGUAGUAUGGGAUGCAUGAAUUACAAUCAUAGGUGUAUUUGGGACAUAUUCCCCUAGUGGUAUACUUCUGCAUUGCAUGGCACUAUGGCAUAGCAUUCGAUCGGUAGUUAGGUACAAGCGGUGGCAUGCAGGAUUAAUGCGUGACUGAACGACGUCUAGAGAUUGGUGGCGCAGCUGGAGCCGCAGACCAUGGCGUCGUUGGUGCACUUGAGGAGGCAGACGGGCAGCUGCAGGGGGUCGAAGCUGAUGGCCGGCUUGUAGCAGUCGAGCAUGCACUUGGUCACCCCGGACCCGCAGACGGUGACGCACUCCGUCAGCCCCGCCAGCGGGGAACGGUUGCCGCCGUGGUGAUCGCGCCAGGUGCGGCCGCCGACGUGGCCGUGGCCAUGGCCGAAGGUGCCCACCGUCGCGGAGUCGUCGGGCCUGGCCGCGCCGGAUGGGACCACGGUGACCGCCGCCGCGACCACCAGCGCCAUCAGAAGCGUCGCCGCGGCAGCCUUCAUGGUGCACGCACGUUCUUCCAAGUCGAUCGCUGAGAAGUGUGAAGGUGCAGAGCUGCUGUGUUGGGCUGAGCUCGAUAGCAUCGAUCUCUGCAUUAUAUAUAGCUCAUGCAAGGAGUUGACGUGUCGCUGGGGCGAAGGUGCAAGCAUGAGAGAUGUGUGACAAGGCAGCGCCCGAGACGGAACGUGCUCGAUUGCCGAGCAACAUGAUCUGUGUGAGCAAAACAGACAGGCCUGCAGGAUAUACUCACUUGAGGCCGAACUGCAUGUUCUCACUUUAUUUGCCAUGCAUCUAUGAGCUGCCGAAUCAGCCGUGGAUCGAUCGGGUUUUGACAGCGUCAAAAACUCAGACACCACCGAUGCCAACGCCGUAUCUAUGCAUUGCCCGCCGGCGGCCACGCGUGAGCUUGACCCGCCCCUGUUGUGUUGGGCCGCUCCCUUGCCGGCGACAUAUUAUUGUAUUAUUAAGCUUUGAUUCAGUCACAAACCAUCAGGUUGAGAUGGCCGAGUUGGUCUAAGGCGCCAGAUUAAGGUUCUGGUCCGAAAGGGCGUGGGUUCAAAUCCCACUCUCAACAUAAUUAUUUUGCACGAUUUUUUUUCAAUCAGCAUUUGUAAUUACAUCAAAAUUCGCAUUUUUUUAACGUUCAUCCGAGAGGGCCACUUGCAUACAGCUACAAAGAUCGACGCAAAAUGGUUGUCUCUCUUCUAGUCUUCUUCAAAAAGAAGACCAUCUAGCAGACGUCGAUGCAGCCAAGGUACUCGUUGUCGCACCCUCUGCCGCACGCCGCGCUCCCUUCUCCUCCUCCUCCGCCCCGCCGCGACGCGCUCGUGCUCACCCUCACGCUGGCGCACCCCGACGCCGCCGCGCAGGCCAGCAUGGCCCUCGCGCACCUGUGCACGCACCGCUCCGCCUCCCCGCCGCCCGCCGGCGCCGCGUCGACCGGGCGGCAGCUCCCACCGGGCACCAGGGCCGCGACGGCAACGGCGACCACCGUCAGCAACGCGACGGUUCUUCCGCCACCAACCUUACCGGUUGCCAUUGAUUCUCAAGAACCAAUGUCAAGUUACUGACUGGUUGGAUACGAGCUGUGUAUAAAGGAAGAGGGGGGGGGGGGGGGGGGGGUGGCGAGCAUGUUAGGUCGCUGUUUGGAGGAACGGGAGCGGCGGUACUGUGCAAGUUGUGGUUGCAUUGGUCAGGUCAGUGGUCGUUUAGUUGAGGCGUUCAAGCAUUAAUCGGCAAGUGUUGUGUCUAGGUGACAGACUGAGUGUGCGACUUGAACAAUGCACCACCGCAACCACCAGAUUCUCACCUGUUGAUUUGCGCCGUCACUCACACAAGCGACCGGCGGUAUCUUCCUGGUGCAGUUCUCUGAAAGCGAUGGACAGACUACUCAAGUUUCCCGUUGUCAGCAUUUUUACACUCAACUAGCCUCUUUUGCGUCCAAAUCCUCAAUUUUAGCAGUAGAAAAUCAUCAGCAUUCGGUACAACUGUACUUCUCAUUUUGGAUAAUUCCAAAAUCCAAACCCUUCUUGUCACACGUAGUGAAAAAGGCCAGGCAAUUCACAUUCCCAUAUGGGCCCCCAGCCCACACUGCAAAAGAGGUACAGGUGAAGUGGAUGAUGAUAAUGGUCUGUCUAUGGACAAAGGUAAAGGUAACCCAACAGCCUGCUCAACGCACAGGCCUAACCCAGCAACGACCAAUGAAUGGCCGAGCUGUUCGGACCACGAACGACCAGUCAGGAGACUAGCUCAGGUUAGGUUUAGGUUACUUAAGGUUAGGUCAGGCUCAAGCAAUGAUAAACCCGCACAGCAGCUCACUCGCAUGGUCCAGUCACAUGGGCGCCUCGUGCGCGAGGAGCGGCUUGCUUACGGAAACAGGAAAGCGAAAAGGGAAGUGGCAGCCUUCUUCUUCCUUCCAUUCAAUUCCCGGAUGGACCGGCCCCUCCGGCCCACAACGCCUCCUGCGUACCCGAGCGAGCCGCGGUGGCACGCCUCCCAACAACCACCGCAGCACGAGAUCGAGGCCGUCGAGCGCCGAUCCGACGGGCGCCGUCGUCUACGGCGGGCCGUAGUGGCGGCUGGUCGGCAGGGCGUAUUCAUACGUGGCCGGAGACGGCGACGAGGCCGGCAAGAGAGAGAGAGGGUGGGACCACGCAGCGCAGGGUCAAGCACUCAACUGACGGGUGGGGGCAGUUUGGUCAUUUGGCUGGAAGAGAGGAAAAAAUCUGGCUUGUGCAGUGGAGAGAGGGAAGAGGAGGGGAGGGGACAGGGCAUGGUCGGUGCGUCGUGCGUGUCAGGACGCUGCUGGCCAAGAUCUGGCUGUGCAUCGCUGGGCGUGAGAUCCAAGGCGCCCGCCUCGGGAACAAAGCUGCCAUUUUUAAUUGCGCCUACAAAACGGCAGAUCUUUCGUCGAACGCCUUAUUUUUCCUUUUCUUUUGCAUCGAUUUUCCAUUCGCUGAUAAGGUCGUUUGCAUUUUCGUGAUUUCAGCGGAGUUUUCCUACUUUUUUCGCAACAAUUUGCUGUGUCAGGAAUUUAGGAUAAUUCUGCACGUGAGCAACAAAAGGCAUCUACGUGAAAUUGUGGUCCGCCGCGAUGGUUUGGUUUUGUGGAUAAGAAAAUCAUGCUUACUCCUUUUGUGUUUUUACGCGUGGUGUUUGCGCGUGGAGGAUUAGAUGCUUGUGUCAUGAACUUAUCAAGAGGAGCCUCGAAUAGGCAAAUUUUAGCCACGAAUUUGUUUGGCGGUUCUUGUUGAUUCACGUGUACAUACAAGGUUUCACGAUGAGGAAGGUAUACCGUAUAAUAAACUAAAGUCUACAUUAAAAGAUCUUAUAACGCUAGUCCCAAAUUAUAGGUUUAUUUUAACUUUUUAGAUUAAUAGAUUCUGAUACGCAUCUAAAUAUGUAUUAUGUCUAGAUGCAUAAUAAAAUGUAUGGAUCUAGAAAAUUCGAAAUGAUGUACGGAGGGAGUACUACGUAGGAGAUUGGGUUAUCGAAAACGGGACCAUGAGCUAGCUGCAAAUCGAGUUGUUUGGAUUAGAUAGAAAUUUCUGUUAGCUCUAGAUUAAAUGGGGGCGUAAAGGUGACCGGAACUCACCAAUUAAGGCCUCCUAUAACAAAGGUAGGGUACAUCCUUGAUGGCUUUUAUCUAAGCUCAAAUGAGGACAAUAGAUCAUGCAUAAAAUGCACAAGAAAAUAAUUUACUUGGUUACAGCGAUAGUGGUCGACCACAAGGUCUGCAUCACCAUUGCUCCUCCGAUUGGAGACAGGGAAAGCAUAGGUGAAACCGAAACACACAAAAAGAUCGUGAAGCCUGAAGGUGAGCAAGGCAAUGUUUGAAAAUGGAGAUAGCUUAUGCAACCGAGAAAAACGGGGGGAGGAUAUUUCCGAGCCCUCACAAAGUUUCCCGUCGAACAUCUCCAGGCUAUGAAGUCAGAUACGAGUGGUGGAUGUGCAUGUGCUGCCAGCAACAACGAAGUCGUGACGGCCCGAACGGCAGAACCGAUGAUAUUUUUCCCCACGUACAGAACACAUUUGUUUAGCGAAGAGGCGGUGAGCAGGGAGAGAGAGAGAGAGAAAUAUAAUAUAAAAUGAAUAAAUAAAUAAAAACGGCAGGAAAAAAAAAGCAGGCAGCAGCUAAAAAAAGAUGGGCAGGGGGCACGAGAGACGUGGUCCACCUGCCCACCCGGCGCCAACUCGGCGGUUGGUAUAUUUGUGGUGGCCGGGGCGGGGUCAGCACUGCAUUGCCGCCUCCUUCCUUCCUUCCUUCCCACCAGCCUCAAGAAAAGGGCCGAGGCGAGGCAAGGCAAAGGCCAAGCCGUCCCCUCCCUCCUCCCUCCCCGUUGCUUCAGUUCGUCCACUCCCCGUUCCCCCAUAUCUAAUCCUGGACCGACCGACCUGCAAGCAGCAGCGAGAGGAGAGGAGGGAGAUAUAUACAUAGCCAAGGAGGGGAGACUCUUUCGAGACGACCAGGAAGGAGGAGGAGGAUGCCUUCCAGAGCGAUGAACCGGCUGUUCGUCGAGUCGUCGUCGUCGUCCUCCGGCAGCGGCGGAUGCAGGGAGGCCGCGCCGGCCGCGGCGGUGCUCUGCGCCCCGAGGCCGCGCAGGGCCCAGGUCCAUCCUUGCAGCGCCGACCUCAUCCUUGGCCCGCCGCCCUUCCUGCUCAGCAGCAAGAAGGUACUGGGUCAAAUCCACACCAACCAACCCCUGUUCUUCCUCCUACCUUGCAAAAAAAUCGCUUCUUUUCCCCCUUCGUGCUCGUGUUCUCUUGCAAAGAUCUCAUCUUUCCCUCUGUUGUUAUCGCAGAGCAAGGAGGGAGGCAAGACCAAGUCAGCGGAGGCGGAGGUGGACGGCGAUGAGGACGGGGGCUGGGCGCUGUUCGGCGGGUCGCCGCCGGCGCGCGCGGACAACCCGCUCGUGCACGACCCCCACUUCCUGCUCAACCAGCGCCACCCCGUGGACUCGUCGCCGUUGGAGCUCGGGAUUUUUGACCACCAGAGCCGCAGCAACUACAGCCACCACCGCCCCACGUAUAUUAGCAGCAGCAGCAGUAACAGCAGCAGCAGCAGUUUUGCCCCGUCGUUCGCGCCGACCGUGAGGAUCCAGGGGUUCGACGUCGCCGCGUGCCGGAGCUCCCACAGCAACGGCGGCGGCCGCGUGCUGUCCGCCCGCGCCUGAGCGCGAGGCGGUGACGGAGGAGCUCCGGUAAGCCGGGGCGCCGCCGGACCCAGGGGGGAAGACCUCGAAUCUUGUACAGUUUUCGCCGGCAGACCGUCUUGUUCGUUAGCUUACUACUACGCUACGUGUGUUUUGUGGUAUAUACAGCAACGGUUUUUAUUAACAGCAGAUCAGUCAGAAUAGGGAGCCGCGAGAGAGAUCUCGCUAAGAAGAAGAGUAGAUUGAUGAUCACCGAUACACAGCAGGGAGGGUCAAAGGGAGAGAGAGAUGAAUUUUUUUUCUUAUAUUUUUUUUUCCUCAGCAAGGUUUUCUCGUCUUGUGUUGUAAACUAGCAUCCUCUUGUUCGUCCUGUAGAUAUCAAUCAGUUCGUGUUCUAGUUGAGGAGUCCGUUCCUGGGAUGGUGAUGAAAAAAAGAUGCUUUUGCUUGCUUAAGCAAGCCGUGAAGCUACCUCCGCCAUGUAAACCAUGGUUGUAUGUAUAAAGAAACCGUGUACAUAACAUGAUGAAUAUGUAAUCAAGAAUUCCGCAUCCAUCAUCUCUGAGCUGUUCGUAUCUCCUUCCUUUUUUGUUCUUGUCUAAAAAAAUCCUCUCAUGUUCGUGCCAUGCCAAGCUCCAUGAUGAUGAUUCUGAGGGAGAGGAAAGAAAUGGUGGGUGGGUGGCUGCACUGGCCGUCCGUCCCACGGGAAAUACGGGAUCCGGCUGGCGGGUGGCGGAGCAAGCAAAGUCGUUCCGUCCUGGACAUGCUGAGCUGUUCCGGCCUCCAAUCCAACUGAGACCUCCCUGUACUCCGCAGUGUACGAGUGGUAACAGCCAGUGGGAUUGGGAAGGAAAUCAAAACCAGCGAGCGGCCGGCAAGUCGGCAACCCCCCGUCGCCGGUCGCCGCUGCCCGCACGCGCCGUUGACUGACCGCCUCGCCGAUCCCAUCCGAGGAGGAGGGAGUGGCGUGGCGGCCUCGGCUUCGACGGAGCUCCAUCCAUCCGUCCACCGGCGGACGGUGACCCGCUCCCGGCCCGCGACGCGCACGCAACCACGUCGCGCCGGCCGCGUCGCCGUCGGGGCGGCGCGGCGCGCACACGCGGACGGAUGGCACCAGCACACCGGAGCGUGCGUGGUGGUGGGGAGCCCCGGCCCAACCGCAACCGCCUUUCCUUUCCCCGCGCUACGCCUAUGAUUCACCGCGCGCGAGCGGCCGAUCACGUGCCGGCUCGCUCCGGGGCGCGGAAACCCCAAGCGUCGCUGUCGGCGCGGGGUGGGUCGGGUCCCUCCACCCGGGAUGCGCGACGAUUCGCGGGAUCCGAGGGUCGCAUCCGCCGCGCCCGCGGACGAAGCUUCCCAGGAAGAAAGCUGCCUCGUGCUGGAGUGAAGCCGGGCGCGGGCGGCAAGGCAAAGGCAGAGGCGACGCCGGGUGACGGUGACGGCCGCCUCUCGGCCUCUGUGUGUGUGUGUGACAAAAUCAACCAAGCUAGUCGUCUGGGCUUGCUUUGCUUGUCUCUACCUGGUCGCCUUGUUCUUUGUUGUUGGUUUACCAUCAUGUUCUUGUCUGUCUGUAGCGCUAGUUUUUCCUACUCCUACCAGGUGUUUCGUUUUCUUUACUCUAAGGUUAGUGAGUUUCCAAACUGUGAUUUUACUUACCUCUACACUAUGUCAGCAGUAUGUGUCUGCAACUUUUUUUUCUCCUCAGGGUGUUUUAAAAGAGUCACAUCGGAUGUUCGGAUGCUAAUUAGGAGGACUAAAUAUAAGAUAAUUACAAAACUAAUUGCACAGAUGAAGUCUAAUUCGAAUCUAUUAAGGCUAAUUAAUCCAUCAUUAGAAAAUGAUUACUGCAGCACAACAUUGUCAAAUCAUGGACUAAUUAGACUUAAUAGAUUUGUCUCGCGAAUAGGAUCCACCUGUGCAAUUAGUUUUGUAAUUAGACUAUGUUUAAUACUCCUAAUUAGUACCAACAUCCGAUGUGACAGGUGGCUAAAGUUUAGCCGGGUAUCCACCUAAGGAAGAGACAAAUAUAAAUUUCGGACAAAAUCUAAUCUGACAGUACAGAAUCUAUCAUAUGGAUUACAGCAGUCGUACUGAACUGUUCAAGUAUUCAAAGGUUGGGCCGGGGUGUCAACAGCUACGAUUAUCCCCAUUAGUUUGACCAGGCCAUGAGGGGGGCUUGACUACACAAUUUUGUCGCCGAUGAUUCAAAAGGGAGGAAAUAAAGGUGAGUUUGUGCUCGCGUGCACACUUGGGCCUUGUCCCACUAGUGCGCUGGACGGAUGCAUCCCCUGCUUCCGCUGUCCCCGAUCCCUGUCCCCGUCGCCUCCCAUUUCCUGAUUUUCUUUUUCUCUAGUAUUCGGCAGGCGAGAAACGAGGGCGUUCCAGGCAGGGACCAGGAUGUAGCCAGAUAGGUUAUCCAUCGCAAUUAAGUGCGGUGUGGCUGAUAAAUGAUUGAUGCUAUCCUCCAGACCUAAUGUUACUGUACCAGGAUCUCAUCAAUGAUUUUCCCCCUUUUGUUGUGCGUGUGAAAAGAAGAUGGGUUCAUGCACUGAAAACCUUGUCCUAGCUAGACACGAUCACUAAAGAUUAUGCUAACUCUUUUUUUCCAAAAAAGGGGACUGUACUACAAACUCUGCUACUAAUAAUUUCCUUGUUAGUAACCCUAAAAAAUGGACGGUAAGUUCAAUUUCAGCUGAAAGCCUAAUUCUACUUUGCCAAUAUGCGAUCGCGUAUUUCAGAAGUAACGCUGGCUCAGUUGAAGGUUAAAAAUAUUCUCCUUGUGUGUCUAUCAAUUAAGUUAAAGUUCGAAUUCAAUUUAAGGCAAGUAAAGCUGAAGAUUUGAAGCUCAAAUACGAUUACCAGGAUUUGGACUUUGACAUGUCGCCGGCGUUCCCUACCUCAACGUCCACACAACUGCUCCGUCAUCGUCCCUGUCAGCAUUGAACUGCUACCUGUGUCAUCAUAUAAGCAAAGCGUCUUCAAAUAAUAUCUUAUCAUGCAAGAAAUUGGUUGGAGGUAGCAAUGCUGCUUCUAUCUUGACUUUGACCUGCUUAUUUAUAAAGCAAAUGAAACAAACACUAAGGGUGCGUUUGGUUGCGAGGACGAAGUGGGACGGGACGGGACGAUCCCACUUCGUCCCGCGUUUGGUUGGAGGACAGGUGGGACGGGGACAUCCCUACGAGGGAAUAUACCCUCCAGAUGCGGGGAUGCCCCCGUCCCACCAAAACGAGCGGACGGGGGCAUCCCACUUCGCCCCCGUCACGCGCCGUCUGUCCACGCGGGCAGGAUAAUUGGUGAAAUACCGUCGCGGGUGGGCGCAGGCGAGCGCCGGCGGGCGCGGGCGGCGGCCGGCGGGCGAGCGGGCGGCGGCCGGCGGGCGAGCGGGCGCGGGCGGGCGAGCGGGCGGCGGCCGGCGGGCGAGCGGGCGCGGCCGGCGGGCGAGCGGGCGCGGGCGGGCGCGGGCGGCGGCCGGCGGGCGAGCGGGCGCGAGCGGCGGCUGGCGAGCGGGCGCGGGCGGCGGCCGGCGGGCGAGCGGGCGCGGCCGGCGGGCGCGGGCGGGCACCGGCGAGCGGGCGCGUCCGGCGGCCGGCGGGCGCGAGCUCCACCGCGGCCGGCCGGUGGAGGAAGAAAAUACCUGUUAGUAUGACAGGUGGGUCCCACGAACGGUGUUAACAGGAGAAGAAAACGGUGCUUGUCCCGUCUAUAGCGAUCUCUCCAACCAAACAAAAAAUAGGAUCAUCCCAUCCCAUUCAACCAAACAAGAAAUGGGAUCAUCCCAUCCCGAAAAACUGGAACGGGACCGUCCCGUUCUACAUUGUCUCCCAACCAAACGCACCCUAAGCUUAUCACUUUGGAUUGGAACUUCACAUAGAAAUUGCCUGCUUAUCCAACCAGCCUACAUAAACAUACGAUGUACUGAGGCGCAUGCAGUGCAGCAUCCAAAUAAGGCAGCAUCCACUAAGCUCAGAAUCGCCACGUCUGGGCUGGCAAAUGGCAAUGGCAGGUGGAAUUUCAUGUGGGACUUGUCAAAUGCAGUCAAGCACAGCUCAGAUGAUCUGGUUGCCAGCAUCUUUAGCGUGCCUGGAAUUGCCACGUGGGCGACCAGAGGAAGAGCGAUUCACCUAAAGCGAAAACGAAAUGGAAUUGCUUUGUACAAGGGGAAAGAACAAAGCAAGAAACGAGCCCACUUGUGAAAGACAAGACACGUCCUUCGGAAUUCCACUACCAAUUGCAGCAUAAUUCCUGAGGGGCCACUUGUGUACUACUAGUACUAGUAUAUAAAUUCCGUAGUGUGACACUGAGAGCGAUAUCCAUAGACAACAAGCAUAUCAAAUAAGAAGUAGAUCCAAAUUCUCUAAUCAGGGGAGUUCAGUCAUAAUUUACGGGGUCAGAACGUCCAAGUUCAGAUAUAUAAAAGUCAAGAUUAUUGUAUGCAGAAGAAAAUGUUUGAAAUUGGUUAUUUUCAUUAUUGCCAGCUAUUCUAGUCGAUUAAAACUGACUUUUCGCAGAUAAAUAAAUAACAUAUAAUAAAAUAGAGUUGUCCUAUACUCCUGUGUCAUACGGAAUUUAUAGAAUAUAUUGUUUUUGCCUGAAAAGCAACAAGAAUUUCAUAGUAUGUUAAGAUUCCACGAGUGAAGGCAUGAAAAAUUGGGGUAACUCAGCUGUCAGAAAUCAGCAAAGAUUGCAAUCACUGAGCAAUGAAAAAACUGGAGUAAAAUUAUGUACUAGCCAUUAGCCAAAGGAAGCAAAAGCUGAAGGCCCGGUAAGCUACUCAGAAAAUGGGCUUUCUAGCUCACUUGGAUUUCGUCAAACCAUCUAGCUAAACCAUGUGGGCAGUGGGCCUCAGGAAAUGGGCUUUCUAGCCCACUGGAUUUGUUAGUAGCUUUGUUGAUUAAUUCAGGCCAUGGCAUAAAUAUAUCAGGAGCAACAGGACUGCAACAAGUCCACAACUGCUAAUGGUCUUCUUUCAUAGGGAAACAGUUAUGUGAUUCAUCUUGGUAUAUCCCACGUUAAAAUCCCAGCACGUGUGUUCGUUCAAAAAAAAUCCCAGCACGUGUUAAUACUUGAUUUUAAUGUGAAGAACAAAUCUGACAGAAAAAACCUACUUUUUUAAUGUGAAGAACAAAUCUGACAGAAAAAACCUACUUUUCACCGGAGGAAAUAAAACCCCACUACUAUCUCCACAUACAGGUUGCGGCCAUGCCGUUGCUCCUUAAAGGAAAAGAAGAAUGAAAAUUGGUCAAGGUUCAAGAAGGAUGGCUGCAACUGGAUGGAAAGGGGACUGGAUAACAUAGAGCAUUUAUGGCAUCAUUCAUGCACACGACCAACAAACGAACAACCCGUCAAAAACAGGCGCCGAGCAUGUCUAGCUAGCCUACGCAGCACGCACCGGUUCUUGAUUUGUACCAACCAAAGUAGAUAUCUUAAACAGCAAGCAAGGCAGUCACUAAUUUUUCCAAGUGCAGCUUUAUUCCGGACCCAGAUUGGAAAAAUGAGGAGAAAGAUGCCAAGGCACUCUACUCAUCACCACAGAAGUCUUGUAGCAGAAUGCUGCAUAGGCUGCACCUACCAAGUCAUCACUAAAUCGUCAAUACGAGUUUUGACAGAGCUCAUCCAAGUACGUCUUUUCUAAUCCCUGACAUUGACAACAGGCACUAACCAGGACAAUUACCAUGGCAGAACUCACAAUGGAAUUAUAGUAAGUAGCUAACAGCACUAUAAUUAUGGCGUUUAUUAUUUCUUAAACCACUGGCCAUGCCACACGUAGUAAGAAAAGACUACAAACUUGGAAAGUUGAACCAACUCUAGAAGCAGCUUAGUUGCCAAGACUUAGAUUCCAAAUUGUGCACAUGGUCAAAGAUCUUGUCCCAUCAAGCGUUGGCUGUCAAUCCCUUCGAGGAAUCCAUAUGCUGGUGGUACAUUCCACAUGCCACCAUCACAAAGAGCUUUCCCCCAAGGCCCCAACCGAUACUGCUCGACAAAGAACAGUCAAGUCCACGGUGCAGUUCAGCACGAAAAACUACCAAGUUGCAAAAGAACACCUCAGCUCUGAUAAUUUUUCCAACUAUAGCUGCUCACGGUAUUGAAAAUUCCAAGUCAAUACUGUUGGCUGCCACUUUUGGGCCGUUACACACUGUUCCAAGAUCCCGUCUUCUUACGUAUUGGCAAUGAAAAUAGAAACUUGCCUAAAUGAACCUCUAAGUACCAACAAGUAGGAAAGCGAAGGUCAGAACACAUGAUAGGCAGCUGUGUAGGGUUUUAGAGACAAUUAGAAUUUCAAUUUCAGAGCUGUAGUAGAUAUGUCUAUAUGCAUUGAGACACAAUUGUUAUUGAUUUUUUUUAGAAAAAUUGCACUCAGAUGAUAACAGAAACUGAGGCAUUAGAACUCCAAAAUUCCAGUAUAGUGCAAUGAGCCAAUGACAACUGUUAAAGUAACACAAUUAACUCUUUUCCCUUUCAAACUGCUAUUGUUUGUGUUUACAAAUUAAGAAUUCCAGGCGAGUUUAGGUGCAACUCCACACUUACUCACGAGUGACGACAACUGCUGAUCAAGAAAAGUGACCGUGCCCUCCCACGUAGCCACGUUCCCAGCUUAUGUAAAGCACAUCACAAGAUUCACGGCCGCAGUGUUGAAGGAAGACCUUGGCAAGUGAAGCGAAUGAUAAUAGCAUCUGACUUCAACAGCACGCAAGGAGAAAUCCGUUUGUCGCACGAGCAUCCUGUCUAUCCCAGAAGAUGUUCAUACUGGUCUUUGAAAAAAGAGAGAGCUCACGUUCGUACUCCAUCAUCACAAGCCAGGCACCAACGGCUGCAAGGAAGUAACAGCCUGGUAUCAUGCUUGGCCCCUCGCAGCACGCCUAUAAAAGCCAAGUUAUGGAGAACAGAACAAAAGGUCGGCCAGAGCAAGACUCCAUACCUUGAAGAUGGCUGAACCUCAGCACACGAGCAGCAAUGGAGCUGCUCACAGUGAUGCGGACUCUGAAUAUGCAUCAGAGAAAAUGCCACCAAAGAGGUUACAGAGAUUUGAUUCACUGCAUAUGGAGGCUGGAAAGAUUCCUGGUGGAUCAACACAUGCAGCCAAGGUAUGAUCUCCAGUAACUCUUGUUCAAUUAGACAACAAUUCUUCCAUUGCUUGAAGUUGCAUAACUGCAUGGACAUAUUUUAAUUCUCAUCAGUUUAAGCAAAAAAUUUCAAAGUAAAUUUCACAUAAAGAUACCAUUGUGCACAAAACAAUCCAGAUCAUAUAUAUCUAGUUUUGUAAAGCACGGUUCUGCUACAACCUAAAAUAACAAUUGAAUUAUCAUAUCAGUCACCAUCUUAUGUGAAGGAACUAAGCAUAUCACUGUAACAGCUACUUUCAUCUAAGGAUUGCAUGAUUAAACGCAUAUGAUUCACAUUUUUGUGGCAAACACAAUCUGAUUCAAAGUUUGCACUUUAAUACUGAAGGUUGGCUGGGCAACCACACUACAUUUGGCAUUCCAAAGCAUAGGUGUGGUUUAUGGCGACAUGGGUACUUCUCCUCUCUAUGUUUUCUCCAGCACCUUUACAAACGGGAUUAACAACACAGAUGACCUUCUUGGAGUCAUGUCUCUAAUUAUCUACACUGUGAUUCUCCUUCCCUUGAUAAAAUAUUGUUUCAUUGUCCUGCGAGCUAACGACAAUGGUGAUGGUAAGUAAAUAUGCUCCAUAUGACCAUAAGUUUUCUCAACACAACUUCUAGUCAGUGCUUUAAAGGCGACAAGGAAGGCGAGCUGUGUACGCCUUAUCGCCUAGGCAUCAAUGCGGACCUGUUUCCCAAGGCGAGCUGUGUCCGCCCGCCUAGGCAAAAAGAGUUUUUAAUAACUUAAGAAGAAAAUGUUUUUUUACAACUUAGAAGCAAUGUCUUCCUUAAAGAGAAUGUUAAAAAAAUAGAAAAGAAUGGUCACAAAGGGCGACAGGAGUGAAAAUUUGAUAAAUCAACUAGACCUGAAGUCUCCCACCACAUUGGUUUCGACUGCAGUAUAUUUUAUUUUUUGAUUCUGAAAAAAAAAACACAAUAGGGUUACCUUUACUGAGGAUUAUUGAACAUAAGGAUAUAUACGUAUGUAUAGAGACUGUAGUAGCUUUUAACAAUAUAUUUCAAAAUCAUUAAAAUGCUACGUCUGAAAGCAUUAAGCACAUAAUUUGCUAAGAGAAAUUAAAAACCACAAAAGUCAAAUAUUAUUAUUUGUUUCAUGGGACAGUUGACAUGUAUUAUCAAUUUAUGAUAUUGUAGGAGGAACAUUUGCACUUUAUUCAUUGAUAUCACGGUAUGCUAGGAUUAGCUUGAUACCUAAUCAGCAGGCUGAAGAUGCAAUGGUCUCUCGGUAUAAGUUGGAAUCCCCCACAAAUCGUAUCAAGAGGGCUCAUUGGAUCAAGAACAAGAUGGAAAACAGUCCAAAAUUUAAGGUCAUGCUUUUCCUAGUGACAGUCCUGGCAACAUCCAUGGUGAUUGGUGAUGGUGUUCUAACCCCAUGUAUCUCAGGUCAGUUCAAUCUCCUUUCUGGUUUUGCUCAUAUCUGAUAAGAAAUAUUGCAUACAUCGGAUAGUCGAAACACAUGUUGAUUCUUCAAAUAAAUAAAUCAUGAUAUCACUUUUAUGAACUGAUUCGACACGCACUCACUCAUGCUAAAAACACCCGCUGAGUUCAAAUAUGAAAGAGGAAAACUGUCAAUCAGAAUAACAAAACAGAGAGCUAUCCUGCUAAUCUGCCAGGCAUUUUCAUUUGCCACUAUAAUAUAUUUAUAAGGAAAAAACCCACAAGUAUUUCUUUUGCAGUGCUUAGUGCAGUUGGAGGGAUCAAGCAAAAAGCAACAACAUUGACUCAAGGUACACCAAUCUAUGCAUCAUACCAACGAGAGUUACAGAAGUUUAAAUAAAAUUACUAUUUACGAUGAAAACAUCUGACAUUUUUUACCAAUCAACAGGACAGAUUGCUGGCAUCACAAUAGCCAUUUUGAUUGUCCUCUUUCUUGUUCAGCGGUUUGGCACAGACAAAGUUGGUUACACAUUUGCCCCUAUAAUCUUGACAUGGUUCAUCUUGAUUGCUGGUAUUGGAGUUUAUAAUUUGAGCAAACAUGAUACCAGUGUUUUGAAAGCAUUCAAUCCAAAAUAUAUUGUGGACUAUUUCAAAAGAAAUGGAAAGCAGGGAUGGAUUUCUCUUGGAGGGGUUAUUUUAUGCAUUACAGGUACUUUUGCUCCCAGAGUAUGUAACGGAGCUCCGAAAUAUACCUGGGUCUCUAUGAUAUCAGUAUUUUGCUAGCAACAAAAUAUGUACAAUCUUUAUCAACUUUUUUGUAAUGUGGGUUACAUUUUUAUAAAACAGGAACGGAGGCGAUGUUUGCCGACCUUGGUCACUUCAAUGUUAGAGCCGUUCAGGUAAUUGAGCACAUUUCCCAAUUCUGAGCCUUUAAUUUUCUGAAUGCAUGCACCCACUGACUGACCCGUGGAGGAAAGAUUCUGGAAAGCUGUGCUUGUGGAGAAACUCCUUGAGUGUAUGGAGAAAAUAGUCCUAAAAAGCAAAAGAUAUUUUUCAUCUUCUAAAAGAGAUAGUUUGAAGCUUAAACUUCAAAAAUUGCUUUCUGUGUUGCUUCAACUAGGCAUUUAUGAUAAAGUUUUAUUGCACUACAGAUUGGUUUUUCAGUAGUUCUGUUCCCUUCAGUACUGCUAGCAUACAUUGGACAAGCUGCAUAUCUUCGUAUCCACCCAGAAAAUGUUGCAAAUACAUUCUACAAAUCAAUUCCAGGUAUGAACAUAUAAUAAUCAACUAAAGAAUGACAUGGAUUAUCAAUUGAAAGAUUAAAUCUAAUGUAAACUCAUGAAUUUUGUUGUCAGGUCCAUUAUAUUGGCCAACAUUUGUGGUGGCUGUAGCUGCUGCUAUAAUUGCAAGUCAAGCUAUGAUAUCUGGUGCCUUUGCAAUCAUAGCUCAGUCCCAAGUUCUAGGUUGCUUUCCACGAGUUCGUGUGACCCACACGUCAACAAAGUAUGAAGGACAAGUCUACAUCCCAGAGAUCAACUACGCGUUGAUGAUUUUAUGUGUAGCUGUUACAGCUAUUUUCCAAACAACAGAAAAGAUCGGCAAUGCAUAUGGUAAAUUCUCAACUCUAGAUAAAUAUCCCUCCCAAGUCCCAACCCAAGACAUUAACUAAGAAAAAAACAUAAUACAGUACCUGAACAAUCGUUUUAAUUAUAUUAAAUUACUUGAAGUUAUUUAAAGUCACAUGGACUUCAUCAAUACUAAAAAGCUGCAGUAAAGUUGUUCCCAACUUGAUAAGCGCACUCAUGUCUGCCUAGAUUGCAAACAAGUUGGAUGAAUAAGUUACUUUACUCCUCGAAGAACAUUACUUCUCUGGAUGUUAAAUAAUUGAAAUAACCUUACAAGCUUUAAGUAAGCACUCUUACCCACACAGGAUUCGAAUGGAAGAUUGUAUCAAAGAAGUAAAAUGUUGUUGUAGGAAUUCUCAAAAUAAAGACGAAUUUGGAACCAUUGAGUCUUCCUGUAUAUUCCCCAAUUUAGAACUUCCUAUAAAAUGAUCUGACUGAAUGAAAAAAGUUUAUUGAAUCUUCCCAAAAUUCUUAUUCCAUAAGGACUAUUUUUUUAUUUGUGCCAAAAUAACUCUUUAAAGGUAGUGAAAUCGGCUCAUAAGCACCCGGUGGCACUAAUAUGUUAUCACCACAAGAAUCUCAAGAAAGAAGAACAAAUGAAACCAUCAUAGCCAACAUUGUGGAGAUUGUUAGUGAUCUAUAGCUCAUAAGUAAGCUUGUCUUAGUGUAUGGAUGGAGACAAUUUGAUUAAAUCUAAAAGAAUAGUGGAAUUUUCAGUGGCAUGGUGAUCUGUCGGCUUUUUGUUAGAGCAAGUAGGGUCAUAAUCUGCUAGCUUAUCCUGGUAAAAUAAGAUACCAUACAACAAUGAUCCACAUCCGUAAAUGCAUCAUCUUAUUCCAUCCAUGAAUUAUCAGUUACAUCUUAUAUGAUCAGAUAUUCAUACCAUCAUCACAUUAUGCAGGUAUUGCUGUUGUUUUUGUGAUGUUUAUAACAACGCUUCUAGUCACUUUAGUAAUGGUUAUGAUAUGGAAGACAAGUCUGUUAUGGAUCGCACUCUUUCCAGUAAUAUUUGGUGGAGCAGAGCUCAUAUACUUAUCCUCGGCAUUCUACAAGUUUACUCAAGGUGGCUACUUGCCGCUAGUUUUUGCAGCGAUCUUAAUGUUUAUAAUGGCCACAUGGCACUAUGUCCAUGUUCAUCGGUACAAUUAUGAGCUCCAAAACAAGGUGUCAAGUAACUAUGUGGCAGAGUUGGCGUCAAGGCGAAAUCUGGCUAGGUUGCCAGGAAUAGGGUUUUUGUACUCUGAGCUUGUGCAAGGCAUCCCACCCAUACUUCCUCACUUGGUCGAAAAAGUACCUUCCAUUCAUACAGUUCUUGUGAUUAUCUCAAUAAAGUACUUACCUAUCAGCAAAAUAGAAACAAGUGAGCGGUUCCUAUUCCGAUAUGUGGAGCCAACAGAUUACAGGGUAUUCCGAUGUGUGGUGCGUUAUGGAUACAAUGAUAAAGUAGAAGAUCCAAGAGAAUUCGAGGGAUUACUAAUUGAACAUUUGAAACAAUUCAUCCAUGAAGAAUCGUUCUACAGCCAAGGAGGAGAUCAUCUAACAGAAGAAUCAGGAGACGCGAUAGAGCCUUAUGCUGGAGUUCAAGAGGCAAGAUUGUCCAAAAGUUUUUCAGAUAGAAUUGCAACCUUCCCGCCAAAUGGAAGCAUUGAUGAGAUCCAAACAAUACAGAGAGAGAUGGAGGAUGGUGUUGUCCAUAUGCUAGGAGAAACUAACGUGGUGGCAGAGCCAAAUGCAGAUUUCUUUAAGAAGAUAAUAGUUGACUACGCCUACAAUUUCAUGAGGAAGAACUUCAGGCAACCAGAGAAGAUAACUUGUAUCCCUCAUAACAGACUGUUGCGGGUGGGAAUGACAUACGAGAUCUAGAGCAAUGCUAGACUUGGUAAAAUACCACAAUUUGAUCAAAACACCCAGACAGACAGUUAGAUACUGAGAGCAGAGUAUAUCUUUUUCAGUAUAAAGCAAGGAAAGACAAAUGCUAAAGUGAUACAGGCAAGUAACCAGCCUACCGGAGUGAAGUUAAAAGGGAUCGAAGGUUCUAUGCUUACAGAUGGAGAAACUAGAAGAAAGCAUGCAUAGUAGUUAUGCUUCUAGUGUUAUUGAUCAAUUGUCUUCUUUUGAAAAAGUAUGCAUAGUAGUUAUGCUUCUAGUGUUAUUGAUCAAUUGUCUUCUUUUGAAAAACUAGUGUAAAGUGCAUACCUAAAUAUUGUAGCAUACUGCCACAUAGUAAAAUGGAGAAUAACUGGUUCUUUUUUUAGUAUAAAAAAUCCAUAACAAUAUACUCCUAGAGGUUGUAUGUGGUGUUACAUUGUUACUUCGUUAGUCCUAGAAACAGAUGUGGGUAAAUUCUUCCUAAACCAGAGGGCCCAACUUGCUUCUAAAAGUUGAUGUGGACAAAAACACGCAUCAGCUAUUGCCACUGAUUCGAGGCUAAUAAUCAGCAAGCAAGGAGGAAAUUAAUUAUACCAACAGGACUAAACCGUCCUCACAACUCCCGAUCGAGCACAAACAAACAUUAUCACGGUGAUAAAACAGAGCAUCGAAACGGGCAUUUCAUCAAACAGUUGAAGGGGAACGGGCGAGAGAAGCCGGAAAACCACGAAAUUUGACGAGAAUGUACCUUGGCAUCCCAUCCCAGUCUGAUUCACUUGCUCGAGCGAACCAUUGCUGCCUCGACCGGUACCCAAUCCGGUACUUCGUUUCUGCGAUUCAGCAGAGUGCGUGCCCCCAGCGGAUGGUGUCAGAGUUCGGGGGGCGAAAAGGAAAUUGAAACGUGGGAAAAGCCGCGGUGAGAGACAAACGAGCUGACCAGCGGUGAUCAGAGAAAUCUGCGUCACUGCGUGAGGCUUCACCGAGACAUCGGAGGUGAUCGCCGCCGGUUGCCGCGGAAGCGAGGUGGAGAGAGAAAUUUCAAACUCGAGUCGCGCCUGCGGAAAAGCAACCGCGCGGCGGGCUGCAGGGGGUCACGGGCUCCUUCAAGCACAUUGAUGUGGGCUUGUCCCGGCCGGAGGAAAACCACGUACAUGGGGGCCCAAUAAAAACGUUGUUACUCGGCGUCCGCGCCUUCCGGCCUCUCUCAUGUGGGCCAUGGGCCCGGAGUUAACUACGGUUCCUUCUCUCUCUCUCUCUCUCUUGGAGUCAACUACUGCAGUUUCCCCUUGUUAUGCAAAGAUUAUGUAGUCGUAGACUCGUAGUCCUUCCGUGUAAUUUCUGCUUGACCUUCCAUGAAUUUUUUUUGCUUGACAUCAUAAUACGCGGUAGCGGCACGGCAACGUCGGCAAGUAUAAAAUGCUCAUGUAGAUUCUCACGGUCCUUGAUCUCCGUGUCCAGAAAUAAUGAACAAGUGAACAGCACAGCAUUGACUCCGACAGUCAAUCGGACAGAUGGGAGCCGGUUCGGACUUGAGACCGACAUGCGUGAGAUGCAUCGUCUGUUCGUGGCAAGUCAGUCGGAUUCCACCUCUUUGUUUGUUUCGUCGGACCGGGAGACCAUGGAGCCACGUUGGGCAGACAGCCGCAUCUAGCUGCGCACAGCGUGCAUGCCUACAGAUACAAGUAUUCCUACAAAAUUGGGCAGCUGAUGCAUUCAGAUUUGUUGCUCUGCUUUGUUUAAUACAGUACAUUUUUUUUUGUUUAGUGCUGAAUUGAUGACCCCAGACUCGAGAGUUUGUGCCGCAUUCGAGUGUGGAUUAGGUCGAGCAGCUGCUGUCAUGGUACACAUAAUUAGCAGAUAAAGCUGCAUUAAGCCAUUAAGGCAGGCAGGCAUGCAGGGGCAGUGGCACAGCUGGUGAGGGGUUUUGUAUAGAACUAGACCUGAUCAUUGCCCAGUGCUGUACAUGGUGCAGCGCUGCCGUGCACCAAACGACCGCGCUGUGCUGUCAGGCGGCCCAUCUUCCCUUGGCAUUGCUUUCCAGUUUCUUUAGGUGCGAGAAGCAGCUGUAAAGCACACUCGACCGAGUGUCGGGGAAGGACUCGCCAACGACGGCACUAGUGCAUCGGCCCGUCUCAAUUAUCCUUUCGAGUGAUUAAAGGGAGAGGGUUAUCCAUUAUCCACAUCAAGUGAUGACACAUGUCCUCCGUGAUUGGGGGUUCCAUGCAUGGAAAGAUUGAGCAGCUUCGAGCUUGUCUCUUGCUCUGCACAGCUUCACUCGCAGUUCCGGAAUGCGCGCCACGUGGCACUCCAGCUGAAAUUGCUAGGAAAAUAUUCAGAAACUUUCACAUGGAUGAUGGAUCGGAGUUCUCAGCUCUGAAGCCUAGCUGGAUAGUCACUGGCACUUGCCGAGCUAUUACGUGUCGACAUGAACAUAUAUCUAUUAAUAUUAGCUGUAUUAUUACACACUGUAUUAGUAUUACGUGCACGUCGCGUUUAAAUUGCUAAUAAUCAAUUCGUUAACUAGCCUGCUAGCCACUGCAACAAGGAUAGCUUUAUUUGACAUGGUGAUCGCUAGCUAGCUCCCCACCCACCAAACAAAUGAAAUCCAGACGAUGGCUUCUUGCAUUUCCAGUAGUAGCAGUACCACACCAUGUGAGACGACGAACUGGCUCGAUCGAGUCAUCGAUGUGCAAUUUUGAUGGUUGUUACAUUACGCAGCAGCCUGAAGCUGUUGCCUUCAGUACGUACUUGCUUGUCUCAAAGAUUAGCAAAGAACCAAAGAAAGAUAGUACGGAAAAGACACCAUACAGAUCAUGCGUGUCCGGAUGAUGAUGAACAAGACACUGAAAGUGGCAAAACCACCGUAUACUAAACAUACUUUAUUCCUUAUCUACAUACCAUAUUGUUACAAGGAACGAACAUACGUAAAGAACAAAGAUGGAGGGGGAAAAAAAGGAUGCGCAGCUUGCAUUGUAUCUGUAGUCGUUGUCCCAGCAACCAAAACCAUGGGGACUCAACAUCUUCGUUCCUUCAUCACAUUACAAUACGUACAUACACACACAUGCAAAACAUAGGCACGUACUACUAAAAGUAAACAGUAUAUGUACACAUGCAUUGCGCCGCUGUACAUCAUCCAUUCCUUGCAUGCUCGCCAAGCAAGCCACCCAUCCAAAGUUCUUCGAUCCGUGCCGCGGGCGAGCCCGUGGUGGAUGUUGUUGAUGAUCAUCAAGAUCAACUCGAUCGAUCGAUCACACGACCAUACAACUUGAUGAUCAGGCGGCGGACUCCUGCAUGUAGGGGAGCAGCGCGACGGUGUUCUGGCGGCGGAGCUGCUCGUAGAAGCGGCGGAUGAACUCCUCCGCCUCGUCGUCCACGGCCUCGCUCCCGCCGGUGGCAGCACCUUCGUCAUCGGACGAGUAGUUGGACACCCGCACCGAGAAUGCCCCGCUGCCGCUGGCGCCGCCCAGCUGCAGCGCGGGCGACGCGCAGCAUGACUCCUCCAGCUCCCCCGGCGCGAGCUCCCGCAGCAGGAGCCCCGGCGACGACGGCGCUGGCGAUGCGGCCGCGUAGUACUCGAUCCUGGCGAGUGGCGCGGGCGAUGCGUCGGCGUCGGCGAGGGGGAAGCCGCCGUAGCGACGAUCGUCGUCCUCGGCGACGGCGCCGAGGCAGGGGAAGUAGGCGAGGUGGUGGCGCCUGCUGGCGGAGGCCGGGUCCGGGCUGUUGCUGCAGGAGAACUCGUACUCGCGGCGGCGCAGCGCGUUGCUGCCGCUGCCGUGCCCGUGCCCGUGGCCGUUGUGGUGGGAGAGGAGUGCGGCGACGGUGCGGGAUACGGCCCUGUUGCGGCGCUUCAUGAGGAGGUGCAUGCCGAGGAGGAGCUUGCGCUUGUUGGAGAGCAGGCCCUUGCGCACCAUGAAGAACAGCGCGUGCAGGUAGCUCCACAUCCUCUUCCCCACCGCCGGCACCGAGUGCACCUCCAUUGUAUUGCCGCUAGCUGUAUCGGUAGCUCGAUCUGUGGUCCGAUGAGCAGCUGUAGGUGGUGGCAGGAGCGCCGCAGGAGGCUCGAUGGCAUGUACGAGUAGGAGGAGCACGUCGUGUGGGAUCGGAAGACGAUGGGACUACAAAGAGAGACAAGCAGCUGUUGAGGAUGUGGUGGUAGGGUCGUCUUGCGUUGUGUUGGGUUGCCGUGCUGGGUGGUGGAGGUAUUUAUAAACCGAACCCCGGCGCGCACGGCAGGAAGAAGAAAGCUGUAGCUCGCUUAGCCUGUAAGGCAGCAGGGCGAGGCGGCCGGGCCGCGAUGGUGUGGUGGUCCACGCGCCGGGGAGCGGCCGGGCGACAUGCGUUUGGGUGGAUGUUUCCAUUUGGUUCCUGGUGUUAUCGGUUGGUUGGUAGGUCUGGCGCUUUUGUUUGGCCCUGCCAUAGCUUUUUCUCGCCUGCUGCUUUGCGUGCGCCACCGGUUCCGACACUUGCUUGCUGCCCCGCCCGCCGGCCGAUGAGCCGUCCCGCCACAUUCCAUCUCGCGGCGAGCACGAGGGAGAUCCUUUUUAGACACAAGACACGGAGGAAGAAAAGGCAAGCCCACUCAAAGAAAUGUGAAGUUGACGACCCUGAUCCGGAGCCACGGUUUCGACAGGACGCUCACGCUCGUGACUUGGACUUGUGACCAAAGUAGCAUGUAAGUACUACAUGGGUUCCUCUUUUAGCCCCACCGGGGGUAUAGUACUGUAGAUGACCAGAUUAGAGGCCAACUAAUCCACAUACUUGUUGCAGGUGAGGUGAUUAUCUCCUCCCCGAUAACCUUGCAUUGGUCUCCCUGUCGGUCCAGUUUUGGCUUUGCCGAUUACUUAAUCAAAGUAGUGAUACUCCAUCCAGCUUCUGGGUUCAAAGGGAGGAAGAGUUCCAUGAGCAGUAUUCUACAUCAUUCCUACUAGCUGUUGAUUCUGUCCUCGUGGUGCCAAGAAUGGAAUUCUGCGUUUGCCAUCCUUGCUGCUGCACGGAAGGCACGUAGCUAGCUGCAGGGAGCUAGGGAGAUCAUCAAGCCAAAAAGCUUGCUCCGCACGUACUUGUACUGCACCGGAGAACGGUGCGGAAGAACAUGGACUGAAUCGUCGACACCGACAGACAUAGUGAUACUAGCACCUCAUCUUCUGAUCUCGGCCAGGAAAUGCGCUGCAUCUUCUCUGAAUAUUUUGGGUCAUUCAGAGGAGAGAAAGAGAGAGAGAGAGGCAACUCCAUCAAGUUGUGCAGGGAAAGCAUGCCAAGCAAUCGGAUGAUUCAAGGUCAGAGUGAUGUUUUCUCCUGGGCUGGCGGCAGCCACGUGUCGUUUGCAUCUUGUUUCCUUAGCAUGGUGACCUUUUGACAACACCGGAUCAACCUCAAAGCUAGCGGUAGCCGUGAGCCAUCUCCCCAGAUUUUAUCUCAUCAGAAAGCGUCCUUUUCACAAGACCCCAAGGGAAAGCAAGCACGGAAAACAACGUAAAGGCCUUCUUUUUGGCAACAAUAAUGCCUAGUGUGGGUUGGUUGUGUCUUCACGUGUUCAGAUAUCCCUGAUCUGAGCCACAAACUAAGGAGACACUCACGCCCGGGACUCUCACGGUUUGACAUGUCACGGAUCAGUGGAUCACCUAAGUGGCCAAGGGCUUUAUAAAGAGGUGAAAUUUGACCAGAUUAAGGCCUGAUUGGAUACUAAGGGCUAAAUUUUAGCCCCUGUCACAUCAGAUGUUUGAUACUAAUUAAGAGUAUUAAAUAUAAACUAGUUACACAGAUGGAGACUAAUUCACGAGACGAAUCUAUUAAACCUAAUUAGUCCAUGAUUUGACAAUGUGGUGCUACGGUAACCAUUUGCUAAUGAUGGAUUAAUUAGGCAAAAUAGAUUCGUCUCCUGAAUUAGCCCAGGGUUUUUGCAAUUAGUUUUAUAAUUAGCUCAUGUUUAGUCCUUCUAAUUUGCAUCCGAACAUUCGAUGUGAUAAGAACUAAACUUUAGCCCGAAGAUCCAAACACGCCCUAAAGCUAGCCUAAUUCCCAUAUACUUUGUGUAGUGCAGGUAAGCAUCGCCCUCUAAUCUAUGUGUUGCUACUACAAAAAGUUUUCAGAAGAACUCUCAGCUGGCUUGGUCCUGCCGGCUCCAAUAUGUCGGUCCCGUUUAGCUUUGUCCAUUGGUGGAAGUUUGCGAUACUUGAGCUAUUUCAUUCCUCUUCAUUCAAAGAGACCAAGAAUUUUUCGCGCAGGCAGCUGUCAGUGGUGCCCCCCAUAUGCGUCAAGAACACUGAAUUUUGUAUUAGCCAUCCUUGCCGCUGUACGGAACGCAGCAGAGACAAGCCUUCCAAGAAAAGGGCAUCGACCAUCCCCUCCUGGAGCAAGAGCUGCUUCCAGCAUUAGAACGGGUUGACACUAAAUAUCCAUGAUGAGACGGCAACGAAACCUCCACUUGCGCUGGCCUUUUGCGUUUUCUGUUCUGCAAAGCAUGAGAAAAGAUGGAUUCGAACCCAGGAAAGUCCAUGCGCGCCGAAAAGAAGAUUGCACCGCAUACACGCAAGUAUUGUUGUUUUUUGCAAAAUUGCUGCAAGGCUGCCUGCAUGGAAAGGGAAGCUGCUGGAAAAGGCUGGAAGGGCAAGUUUGGUUAGAUCUGUCCUCACUGCCGUACCAAUUUUCUUCCUAACAGUUUUUCACUGAAGAAAUGGGCUAUCAAGAGGAUAGAUAAAAUUAGGAGGAGCUUUUUAUGGAAGGGUUCUAAGAGUGCAAAUGGAAAUCAUUGCUUGGUCACUUGGAAGAAGGUUUUGCUACCAAAGAAAUUGGGGGGCUUGGGAAUUCUAAAUCUUGAGCUGUUUGGGAGAGCUUUGAGAUUAAGGUGGUUAUGGUUUGAAUGGACUGAUCCUCAAAGGCCAUCGGUUGGAACUGCUAUUCUAUGUGACAAAAUUGACAGGCAGUUGUUCAGGGUUAGCACUGUGGUAUGUGUUGGAAAUGGAACUAAAGCUAAAUUCUGGCAAAGUAGCUGGCUGGCAGGAAAGCAGAAAAGGCCCCUAUGGACUUUGCUCCAAAACUAUACAAGCUAGCUUGGAGGAAACAGAAAACAGAUCAAGAAGAGUUAACUAAUCACAAUUGGACUAGAGGCUUAUGGCGUGACAUGGUGCAAAAUGUUCAGCUUUCUGAUCAGGAUGAUUCAAUUUCGUGGAAAUGGACAGCAACGGUCAGUACACUGCCAAAUCGGCUUAUCUAGCUCAGUUGCAGGGUACUGUCUUAGUGGUGCAGGGAGAUAACAUAUGGCGAGCUUAUGCUGAAGGGAAGUUGAAAUUCUUUGCCUGGCUUUUGCUUCAAUCGAAACUCCUGACUGCUGACAAUCUUCUAGCCACAAGUUGGCCUUGUUCUGAAACAUGUGUGCUCUCUGAUCAGGAGCCUGAAAAUGCUACUCAUAUAUGCUUACAAUGCUCUUAUGCUAAGCAAGUUUGGUUUCUGAUGUCAAACUGGAUGGGCUGCUCUCCUGAUUUCACGGCAGCAAAUGAUGGGGACAUUCAGGAGUGGUGGGAUUCAACUUUGAAGCCUCUAAAAGGGAAGCAUCGUCGAUCGGUGGCAGCAGUAAUCAUGUACACUACGUGGAACAUAUGGAAAGAAAGGAAUCGACGAAUUUUCGACAGCAAUUCCAUGACAGCUGUUCAGCUUGUUCAUCUCAUUCAGAACGACAUCCUCCUAAGAAGAACAGCUUGUGGCACACCUUUCAUCCGAGAAGAUCCUAUUGUAUCCUAAUGCCUUCAGUUAGCUUUUGUUUGUGUCUGAGAAUGAGUGUUCUUACUUUUAUGUAAUAUUCUUGUAAUGCUAAACUUUAAACUUCUUCUCCUUUUAAAUAAAUAGGCAGAGCUCCUGCCAAUAUUUUUUUUUAAAAAAUGUUGUUUCUUGAUCAGGUGGUGCCGAUGCUACUGCGCCUUUUGAUCCCUUUCGCCCCCAUCUUCUCUUCAGCCAGUCAGGAAGUGGCGUAGUGCAAGGGCGGCAUGAUUUUCUGCCCAGUGACAGCGUCCAUCAGGCAAAUCGUAGCUUAUGGCCCUGUUUGUCGCUGUGCUUGAAUUAUAAUUUAAACGAAGAUUUUCUCGUUUCUCGCUUCUCGUUUCUUCUCGUUUCUUGUAGUUCAAAUCUCUGAAGCGACUUACUACAUAAGUAAGAAUUUGGAAAAAUAAGCGAGACGUUUGGUGAGAUUCUCGCUUAUUUUUAUCGGUAAGCUGGUGGAAACAAACAGGAGCUCUUGACAUUCCAUCUUCUUCUCUGGUGCCGUGCUGAAUUGCUGAUGAACAAGAAAACCACACCCUGUUGCUCUGUAAAAGAAGAAGAAAAACACAAGGCUAGGUUUUGGCCACAUUGGAAACGCCCAAACGUGUGCGUAGGAGAGGAGGAAGGAACUGGCACUCGAAGAAUUUUUUAGGUUCGAGGUACAAGAGGAAAUAAUGCUGGGCCGCUCGUGGAGCCCGGAACAGUCAUCUACUGACCCAGUUUGCGCCCGUGGGCCUCGAAAUAGCAGGGUAGCAGCAACGGGCUUUCUUCUAUUAUAGCCCAUGGUCUGGACUAGAGGCAUGAACACGAGUUUUUUCACAGUCACAUACUCACAUUGCUUCAAUGCUGGCCGAGUUGAGGUACUGUAGCUCUGGAAAAAAUGCUGGCUGGGUUCAAUAAGCCAAUGACAAUAGAUGCGUAAAUCUGAAAUGUUUUCUUUUUCUCAAUUCACCACUUCGAAAAGAAAGAACACUUUCAUUGCAUGGCCUUCACCCUCCUACAUGUGGUUAUACUCCAAAUCACUAAGUUGAUUAAUCUCUCAUAGUGAGCCCCGCCUGCUCCUCCGUCUCCAUCGCCCGUCCACCCAGCCGGCCUACGAAGAACUCCGGCGGAUCCAUCUCGUACGGCAGGCAGCUGUAAUACCCGCGGCUGGGAUCGCACCAAGUCAGGUCCAUGAUCUUCUCUAUCGCCUUCGUUUCGAGGUUAAGGACGAAGACGCCGCUGCCGCCGUACACGGCCAUCAUCGCCCCCUUGCUGAACUGGAACCAGCUGCAGCACAUGAAGUUCGCGCCGGCGGGCACCGCCGCCGCCGGCAUCUGGAUCACCUGCGAGAGGAGCCAUUCUUUUCCAUAAAACUGAGCACGGAGCCAUGCCACCAUGUCGCCGCCGUCGUCUCCGUCUGGCUGCGUCCAGACGUCGACGCGCGUGGGGUGCACCCGGGCGAGCGAGAACCUGCCGUCCCGGCGGACGCACAGGUACGGCACCCCGCCGGCGGCCUUGAUAGCGAGCUUGGUCACGGACGCGGAGGCGCGCCCCGUCGCCGUCGACGCGCUUAGCAGGUACAGGUCUCUUCGGCUUGGGCACGGAGGCGUCGAUCGUGUCGUCGGCGUACAGCCAGUGCGCCGCGCCCCGGGGCACGACGGCGGCUCGCGCCCCCACCAUACGGAGGCGGUUGUGGUGCCGGAUCUGGGCGGGCGCGCUCCAGCGGCGCGUGGCGCCGGAGAAGGAGUGGACGUGCUGGCGCAAGCGGUUGUUGUCGAGGUGGGAGCCGACGAGGAGCAGCUCGCCGGAGAACGCGGGGUGCGGUGCCGACGACGGCGGCCGCUGCUCGCGGUUGAUGUGGUCGCCGUCGGCGGCCGUGAGGAUGGCGUAGCCGUUUGCGUGAUUAACGCACGCGCACUCCAGCGGCGGGGCGACGUCGUCGUGCGCGCCGGUGACGGGGUCGAGGAGGCGGCAGUGGAUGUCGGGUUUUCUUCUGAUGCAGCAGCUGCCGCGGUUGACGACGAUGUGGCGGAGGAGGAUUCCGUGGCGCGCCGCCAGGGGCUGGGCGUAGUUGAAGGUGCCGUCGUCGUUGGCGACGAAGGAGGUGAGGGCGCGCUCCGUGGGGCCGAGCGGCGACCCCGGCGUCGGCAGGGAGGUGGGCGGAGAGUCGAGAGACGGAGGUGCGCUGCGCCAUCCGCAUCUUCAUUGUGCUUGGACUAUCCACGUGCAAUUUAGCCUGCCGGGGGACGAAGCCGAGGAGGCGCGCGCGGCGGCCCUCGCCGUGCCCCGGGCAGAGCUCGCGGAGGAAGGCCGGGUCGGUGAAGAGGCGCAGCCACCGUCGGCUUGUCACGGCGAACAGGAAGAGGGCCUUGACGUUGCCCACGCGGGAGAAGACCUCGAGGAGGAGUUCAUCAGGUAAAGCCGCGAUGCCGCCGCCGUCUGUGCUUUUGCGUCUCCUGGUAACGGCUGCCGCCGCCAUGAUCGUAAGCGGCUAAGCGCUGUUGCGUACGGGAAGGGGUGGAGAAUAAUUUACUUCAAGGGAUUUGCCCUACGGAAUUCAAGGGAUCGCACAGAGAAACUGAUCCGGAUCGAAGUUGGGAUCGGUGACGCUCGUGGCGUAGAAGAAAAGGGCAGUGACGCGCCAUUGGCUAUUUUCACACCGUCGGCUGGACAGCACCCAAAUUUCAGUUGUUUGGAACGUAAGAAGUGUGUUUUUAGCAAAUUUCUGUGUUUUUUUCUUUUGCUGAACAUCAGAAAUGUAGGCCGUAGACAUCGUAGGGAAAAAAGAAGAUGUAUCGCUGCUUAUAACAUCGAAAGGCCAAGCACUAGAUGCUUAUUGGCAUCCAAUACGUAAUAAUCUUUUAAAGAAUGUCUAUGAACUAUGAAGCAUGGGUGAAUUUGUUUCCUUUUGUAAUGAAUGAUUUGACCUUUUCUAUUGUAUUGGCCACUGAAAUCUCGAUCGGUCGAUUGCCAACCUGUCUCUAUUGACGACCAAGUUGUAACACGAAGAACUCCGGCAGGAAGGCGACGAAGGCGGUGAGGGCGCGCUCCCUGGGGCCGAGCGGUGACCCCGGUGCCGGCAGGAAGGCGGGCGCGAAGGCGGAGGGAGUGCUGCCUCGCCCGUGCCUUCAUCAUCUUCAUCCUGCGCACGAAACCCUUCUGCUGGAAGAAGAAGCCGAGGAGGUGUGACCGGAGCCCCUGGCCCUGCUGGUCUGGCCAGAGCCGGCGGAGGAAGGCGCGAUCGGUGAAGAGUUGUCGCCACGGUUUGCACGUCAUGGCGCAGCGGAGGAGGUCGCUGACGUUCUCUACGCGGGAGAAGAUCUCGAAGAGGACGUCCUCCGGUAGGGCUGCAGCGCCGUCCGUGAGUCGCCCGGUGGCCGCCUCCGCCAUGAUCGUCCGGCUUCCGGCGUGAAGGGUCAAGAGCGCAGAUCCAGGCGCGGAGGCUCCCAGGAGGCCAGCCCACGCACGGCAAAGGGUUUGACCUCCGUUUGACCUAGAGGGCGCUCCUGCUUGGGAUCAACUGAUUCAAUCGUGCCCGCACUCUUUAGAUCCAACGGUUGAGGGCACCCGGGCCCGGACGGUAAAUGAAAUACCGUCCGGGCUGGACUGGUUGCCGCUGGGACGCUCGCCGGCGCGCUCUCCCAGUUUCGCCGCCGCCGGUGGCCCGCGGCGUCGCCCGACAACACGGCAAGGUGAAAGCGUUAACCUUCAUCGAAGUUCGUCCCCGCAGCAGCUAGAAUCACCUCCCCGCUCGCCGGCGCCUCUCCUCCCGGCCUUGCGUUUUCGCGCGCCGGGAGCGGCCCCGGCCAGCGCCAUCCGCCCCUGCCCACACGGCCGCCGCCUUGUUUGGAGGCAGCAACUCCAUGGCGCUAAGGGCUCCGUUCCCGAGCUUCGCCUUCUCCUCCCAGUCUCGUGCGUCCAGCUUCGUGGACUCGAGGUGCCUCUGCUGACGGGCGACCGCGCCGUGGCCUCCGCUGCCUCGUCCGGCACAGGUACGGACGCACGGUGAACCGCGGCAUCACCUGCGAAUGUUUUCACGGACACAGAGUGUCGACAUGAAUCUUAGAGACGCUCAGCAUUUAGGUGUGAGGGGAGUGGUGGAACAUUGUUGUUUUUAGUCAGUUUCUUUAAAUCUUUGUGUAUAUGUCAACUUGGUGAUGAUAUCAUUCCAGUACAACGAUUUACUCAAAUGUAAAACCUGGCGGACUCUAUGCUAUCAGCUCCCAUCGAAAACUUGAGAACACCCUGAAUUUCAAGUUCUGGUUUGCACUGUAGAAUUGGGUUCUUCCGAUUUUAGUCUGUUAGGCUCAGGCAUCCUAUACAAGCUCUGUUGGAGUCCACAAGCUGCAAGAACAUGCCAUGAUCAAGUUAACUGAGAUAAAGAAAGAAAUAACCUUCAGAAGAGAUGCAGUCUACUCUGGGAUCAAGUUUCAAAAAAUCUCUGUUGAAGCAGAGGAAGGAGACAAAUGGAAAAUCUUGAGCUCUUGCUGAUGCCUAAACAGAAGCUCCCUACCUAGCACCAGCACCUUUGUGCUGUACAAAAUUCAGCAGAUGUCAAUGAAGUAACUCAAGCUUAAUUCGGUCAUGAGAAUAUGAUGUAGAAAGGGAUUGUUUCUAUAUAAUUUUUGUAGUUGGAUAUGACCUUGGCACACCAUUCAAAAAGAGAAUAUUUUCGGUUUUUAUGUGUUUCAUUCCUGACAGGAAACACAUUUGGAACUGCAAUUUCUUUCAUCAAUUCUUCUAACCAACGCAUUGCUGCAUUUAAGAGAUUAUGCAUUGCUGUGAAUGUUCGUCCUAGAAAGUUUGGUUUGGACAUGGAUAUCAGGUGGAACUUCACAUACCUCAUGCUUAAGCAUCUGAUCCCUUACAGGCAGACAUUUAAUAUUUUCAUUGAUACUAACUAUCCUAGGAGUAAAAAAGAUCCUUUACUUUUGAUAGAAGAUCACUGAAUUGUUGCAGAGAGUAAAUUAUCAUUCCUUAAAUUGUUUUAUGAUUCUACUGUUCCACUUUCUGAUGUUUAUUAUCCUACGUAUCCACUUAUGUUGCAUCAACUUAUUUUGAUUGCUAACCAUCUGAAACAUUAUGAGAAUGAUAAAUUGAUUAGGCAUGUGGUAGUUCCUAUGAAAGAUUACUAUCUUAAGUGCUGGAGGAAUAUUCCAAUAUUUUAUUCUGUUACAUUCAUCUGGGACCCUGAACUAAAUUGAAAGGUUUUCAAAAUGUGCUCAGGUUGUUAUCUAGUCUUAUUGGUACUGAUUAUUGUGCUUACUUCACUGAUGUAAGAGCUAAACUUUCUACUGCAUUUAAGUUGUAUGAUGACAAGUUUGGUGCAGUUAAAUUGCCAAGGCCUCCACCGCCAUUGUGGCGAAACCGUCCAACUUAAACUGGCUUAAGUGCGCCUGACAGGAAUUAUCCAAAACGCACUUAAAACAGUGUAAGUCUGGUAGUCCGUCAAGGGUUCUAUUCACAGAACUCCUUGAAAACCUCCACGGUGUAUUCCAUAGCCAUACAUCAGGAUCGCUUCCACGAUGGGAUAGUAUCAACAAACAUUACAUUUUUACAUACAUACCAGAGGUACGAUUUAUUACAAACCUGUUGACGCCGGAUUUCGUCAUCAGUAGAAUCGGCGCCAAGGAGGAAAAAAGUCGAAGAAGUAUGGAUGAAAUCGGUCAAAAGAUGCUAUAAUGCGGAAUCGGUCAAAAGAUGCUAUAAAGCAGAAUCGGUCAGUAGCUCUUACUUCGCUUCAGGGUGAACGCGCUAGAUUCCCAAUCGGCAAUCCUUUGCUGAUAAGAAAUCGGCCGAUCAGGAAGGUGGACUAAGGUGGGCCUGUAUGGGCUUGGAAAGAUGGAGGGAUAAGGUGGAGUUCAGCCCACGAAGCGUGGAGUAAUUAGUUUAGCACGGAUUGUGCUUGUAGAUAUUUGUUUUCUGUUUGAAUUAGAGAUAGAGUUCUAGUCGGUUAAGAAGAUUAUUUGUACGGGGCUAUAAAUAGCUACCUUUGUAAAUCUGUAAACACAACAAUCAAUCAAUACAACAAGUUACUUUAUUCUUCAUACUUACUUUCGAGCAGGCGACUUCGCCAUCACUUUUCUUUCUCACGAGUUCGUGCGGGUUGGCAGGGCUGCAUCAUCUUGAUCUCCGGCCGAUUCUGUAAGUUCCGUUUAUCGAGUAAUAUCUAAGCUUUAACUUCCGGCGCAUCGCUGUUGUUUCGUUUAGAUUUAUUCAUCAGUUAUCGAUAUCGACUAGAUUCAUAGGUUUUUACCUGUUUUCCUAGUUUUUAUCACCUGUUAUCCCGCUAAGAAAUCGGUAGUAUCGGCUUUUAUUACUUUCUAUUGUCAGAUCCAUCUGUUGCCGAUUAAAUCUUUUUCUAGUGUUGUUAUUACGUGCUUUGUACCGAUUACUUUAAGUAUUUUUCUACCUACAAGGCUACAGGGAUCGUGCUGUCUUAUAGCCGAUUUCAUUAUCAUAGUAAAUCGGCCGAUCUGCCGAUAAGCUUCCCUCGAUCGGAAACUUAGCCGAUCGUAGUUACUGAAUUUGACACGUGUUCUUCCUUGCCAAUCAACAGGUCAGAUUGGCUGGCACGCCGCGCGAACCGCACCAGGGCAUUCACCCGAACAGGAGCUAAGCAGAUUCUCCCGGGUCGUGUGUCGGUCGCUGGGAUUCGGUUUGCCGAUUUCUAGCGCCAACACACUUUUGGCACGCCCGGUGGGACCAAUACAACCGCUGUCAUGUCGAAAAUUGCUGAAGUCUCCGAAGAUAACGUCAUCGAAGUGACGGAAGCAGAUCUAAAGGACGACCAAAAAGAAGAUCUGAAUCAGUAUUUGGAGCAAGUCCGGAAAACUUGCUUGAAAUCCUUCAGUCGUUCCAGGAGCGGGGAAACUGUUAAAAAGUCUCCUUUCCCCACUCCCCGCCAGAUCACAAUUUCAGAAGGUUCGGAUAAAAUGUCCGAUAUGAUUCAACAAUCUCUUCAUCACGCUUUCAUCAACCAAUCCCCAGUACUCUCAAACAUGGUGCACAAUGCUGUUGUCAAUUCCUUCGCCGGAGGUAUACCACAAGGGUAUAGGGGACCUACGUAUUUUCAGCCGAUUCCACCAAAUCAGGCUUAUCAGGCUUCUCAGCCGAUCCAAUUUUCUGUCGGAGGAACCAGUGCUUCUACGUCAUCAACUCCUUUGGGAUAUGGCUCUAUCCAACCGUCCUCUGCACCACUCCCUCCAGUCAUCCCUCUACCUUGGAGGACGCCUUUAAGCACGACCGGUUUGAAUCAAUCGGUCAGUCAAGGAAAUCCUCCAUUCCAGACACCCUCUCAAACGGCCACUCGGCCGAUCAUACCACCAUACCAACCUAUCGCUCCAGAGGUCAACAAGACGUCGGAGAUCAUGCUAUAUGAUGAAACAAGUGGCGCCCACAAACAGCCGUCCUUUACUACACCGCCGGCUUAUACUCAGAUACCACCUUUUCAUCAACCUCCUUUUAUUCAACCUCCGAUUUAUCAGCAUGUGCCGAUCCCGCCGCCAAAUAUUCCCCAGCAACAACCAGAUUGGUCGGCGCAAAUCGCGGAGGUAAUGCAAGAACAAUUCGGCCUGAAGCCGAAGGUACAAACUUAUACCUACAGGACGCCGUACCCAUCUACGUAUGACCUAUUGCCGUUUCCCCAUCGGUACAAAGUUCCUGAUUUUACCAAAUUUUCGGGGAUGGAUGACACUUCUACCGUGGAACAUGUGAAUAGAUUCAUCAUCCAAUGCGGGGAGGCAGCUACGCAAGAUGCCCUGCGGGUACGGUUGUUCUCGUCAUCUUUGUCUGGAUCGGCCUUCCAAUGGUUCACCACUUUGCCACCAAACUCAAUUAUCACAUGGGCCGAUCUAGAAAGGCAGUUCCACAAGUAUUUCUAUGCUGGGGUUCACGAAAUGAAGCUGUCUGAUUUGACUAGCCUCAGGCAAAGAAGUGAUGAGCCGAUACCCUCAUACAUACAGAGGUUUCGGGAGAUCAGAAACAAAUGCUACUCCCUGGCUCUAACCGAUGCACAGUUGGCCGAUAUAGCUUUCCAAGGCUUGCUGCCACACAUUAAAGAAAAAUAUGCUUCACAAGAGUUCGAGAGCCUGAGCCAGAUCGUCCACCGAUUGUCCGGACAAGAGGUGCGUCCGUUCGAUCCAAGACGGAAUUUCCAAAAGAAAGUGGCAUUCCUGGAAGAAGUAGAGGAUGAAGAAGACGCCGAAAUCGGACUUGCAGAGUGGAUUAAGGGAAAGAAGCCGAUAUCAUGCCCGUUCGGCAAGAAGGAGCCGGAAGCAUUUGGUUUCGAUACAACUAAAGCUGACAAAAUCUUCGAUCUUCUACUUCAGGAAGGGCAGAUUAAACUCUCGCCUUACCACACCAUACCUUCUGCCGAACAAUUGAAGAAGAUGAAGUAUUGCAAGUGGCACAACGCCACGUCACAUGAUACCAACGAGUGCAAAAUCUUCAGACAACAAAUACAGUCGGCCAUUGAGCAGGGCAGACUUAAAUUUGAAGUGCUGGCGAAACCGGCCAAACCAAUGAAAAUCGACCAGCACCCUUUUCCUACCAACAUGGCUGACACGGGGAGGAAUUCUCUCCAAACAAAGGUACUGACAUCCGAGUCGGCAAAAAGGAGUGGCCCUGUCGAUCCUAGAAAUCAAGUUACGACUGAGGACGUCAAGGGAAAGCGACGAAUGGAGACCGAUGAUGGUGAGUCAGAAGGACCAUGCAUUACUUCACAGUUCCUACUCCAAAAGUACCAACGCCAACAUGAACGUUCGAGGUCCCGAGAGGAAGCGAUGCGUCGGCACGAGGAGCACUGGAGAUGCCCAUUCUUCAUCCAUUGUUGGGAAAAUAACCUCAGACUACCGUCGGCCGAUACUUGCCCAGAGUGCAACGGUCCCUAUCGAAGCAAUCGGCCGUUCACCAGGUCUCGCUCCAGAGAUGGAAGGCCAGAACCAAUCAGCAGGAAUCGGCGCGACCCAGAUGAUCAGCGCCCUUCCAUGCGUGAUCGGCUGGGGGGCAGAGGUGACCGAUAUGAUCGGUCAGAAAGUAGAAGCCAUAAUGGGCAGGGGGGCAGGACCGACCGACACGAUCAAUCAAAUAGCAAAGCCAGCGUUCACAGUCGGCUCCAAGACAUGGCCGAUGCUCGGGUAACAGACGAGAACCCGUUAGGACGCGAGCCAGAAUGGGAACGCGCUAGGAAAGAAGGGAGGCCAAUAAACCCCAGAUGGUGUCCCGAUGGUUUAACCAAAUCACAAAAACGAAGAGUCCAACGCCUCCGCCAAUGGGAACUGCAAGAAGAAGAAGGCGCGAUGGACAAGAAGGAAGGGAGGCCUCGGGUAUGGCGCCCCAAAGCAAACGACAAGGGCAACGAUGAGUCGGUGGGCGAUGAAUCGGCAGCCGAAAUCGGUAUGGUUUUCAUAUUGCCGAUGGAGUUCAUGACCCCUGCCGAUCAACAGAACGUGUCGGCGAUAGAGGAACAAACAGCACGGUUGGCUUUAGAACCAAUGAUGGCCACGUUCGAAAAGCCCGAAGAUGACGAACGACAACAUAUGAAGGCGUUGUUCCUUAAAGGGCACGUUGACGGUCGCCCCCUCACUAGAUUGAUGGUCGACGGGGGAGCUGCCGUCAACAUCAUGCCGUAUGUCGUACUCCGAAAGUUGGGAAAGAGCGACGACGACCUAACCAGGACGGACAUGAUCCUCAAGGACUUCGAAGGCAAGGUGUCAAACGCUCGCGGUGCCCUCUGCGUCGACCUCACCAUCGGCAGUAAGACUCUUCCUACCACGUUUUUUGUCAUUAAUGGCAAAGGGUCCUAUAAUAUGCUUCUUGGCCGAGACUGGAUACACGCAAAUUGCUGCAUCCCGUCAACUAUGCACCAAUGCCUUGUACAAUGGGUCGGCGACAACAUCGAGGUGGUCAAAGCCGACUCCGCAUACAGCAUCGCAGCAGCCGACGCACAGCAAUGGAGCUGCGAAACCGUCAGGUGCAUAUCAGGUAGGAUGUGGGAAACCGAUUUCCUGAAGGUCACCGAUUUUGGCCUACAGCCAAUCCGAGCAGUCGGCUCCGAAGAAGCGCAAUAGAUGGAUCAGUUCGCCCGAGAAGACGGGAAGCUGGGACACGGAUUCACGUCGGCCGAUUCAUUGGAGAUGGUAGAUUUAGGUGACGGGACCAAACCAAGGCCGACUUUUAUUAGUGCAAAUUUAGAUCCAGAGUACAAGUGUAAAUUGAUAAGUUUAUUAAGAGAAUUCAAGGAUUGUUUUGCUUGGGAGUAUCACGAGAUGCCCGGAUUAGAUCGGUCUAUUGUUGAACAUCGGCUACCCAUAAAGCCAGGGUAUCGGCCGUACCAACAACCCGCACGGCGAUGCAAUCCUAAAAUUUUACCAGACAUAAAAGCCGAAAUAACUCGGCUAAUUGAAGCAAAAUUUAUUCGGCAAUGUCGUUAUGCCGAGUGGAUUUCUAAUAUCGUACCGGUGUACAAGAAAAACGGGAAGCUCCGCGUUUGCGUUGAUUUCAGAAAUCUUAAUCAGGCCACACCGAUGGAUGGUUACCCCAUGCCUACGGCCGAUGUACUGAUCGACGCUGCCGCGGGGCACAAAUUAUUAGCUUCAUGGAUGGAAACGCCGGAUACAAUCAAAUACUUAUGGCCGAAGAGGANNNNNNNNNNNNNNNNNNNNNNNNNNNNNNNNNNNNNNNNNNNNNNNNNNNNNNNNNNNNNNNNNNNNNNNNNNNNNNNNNNNNNNNNNNNNNNNNNNNNCCAGGGCCAUCUUGGCCUAAUUCGAGGUGGGUGGUGAUGACUUUCGGUUUAAAAAAUGUUGGUGCUACAUAUCAGAGAGCCAUGAACUACAUUUUUCACAAACUCAUUGGCCUCCUGGUGGAGAUCUACAUCGAUGACGUUGUGGUCAAGUCCAGAAGCCACGAGGAACACCUAGCCGAUUUGCGACAGGUGCUAGAGUGUACCAAAAAGCAUGGUCUCAAGAUGAAUCCCAACAAAUGCGCUUUCGGCGUCUCCGCCGGACAGUUCUUAGGAUUCAUGGUGCACGAACGAGGUAUAGAAGUCAAUCAGAAGACCAUAGCGGCCAUCAACAAAGUCGUCGCUCCACAGAACAAAACUGAGCUACAGUCUCUAAUCGGCAAGGUAAACUUCAUCAGAAGGUUUAUAUCUAAUCUAUCUGGACGGAUUCAGGCGUUCACACCGCUUCUGAAGUUGAAGCCAGACCAGGAGUUUGUAUGGGGAGAAGAACAGCGCAAGGCGCUAGAAGACAUAAAGCGAUACUUGGUCUCACCCCCAGUCCUGGUUCCCCCUCAAACGGGCAAGCCGUUUAAACUAUAUUUAUCAGCCGACGAAAAAGCUAUUGGGUCGGCUCUAGUCCAAGAGUUUGAAGGCAAAGAGCGGGUAAUCUAUUACGUUAGUAGAAGACUCCUGGAUGCCGAAACAAGAUAUCCUCCAGUGGAGCGUUUGUGUUUGUGUCUUUACUUCUCGUGCACCAAACUCAGGCACUAUCUACUGUCGGCAGAAUGUAUAGUCGUAUGCAAAGAUGAUGUAGUAAAAUACAUGCUGUCAUUGCCGAUAUUGAAGGGACGAAUCGGUAAGUGGAUCUUAGCUUUAUCGGAAUUUGACCUACGAUACGAAUCGGCAAAAGCCAUCAAGGGUCAAGUCAUGGCCGAUUUCGUCGCCCAGCACUGUGGGCCGGAGAUCGCUUUCGUGGAACUAGCGCCUUGGCAGUUAUUUUUUGAUGGGUCAUCAUGCGGAGUCGGAUCAGGAAUCGGCAUCGUUCUCAUAUCGCCUCGGGGGGCAAGAUAUGAUUUUUCUCUGCCGAUAGAAACCGCCGCCACAAACAAUCAAGCGGAGUACAGAGCCGUAUUAAAAGGCUUACGAUUAUUGAGGGAAGUCAAGGCCGAUUCUGUUGAGGUCUUCGGAGAUUCGAUGCUAAUUGUGGAUCAACUAACCGGAAGGGCUGAGUGCAAAGAUGACAUAUUACGAAUUCAUCACGAAGAUUGCUUACAGCUUUUAAAAGAAUUCAGAUCGGCAACAAUCGAGCACGUCCCAAGAGACCGCAACGAGGAAGCAAACAGACUCGCUCAACACGCAUCUGGGUAUCGGCCGAUUCCAGGCGCCAUGGCCUUAGAGCUUGCAGCUGGCGAUUGGCGUAAAGAAAUUGCCGAUUACCUGAAGGAUCCGGCUAAAAAGGUGGAACGACGAGUGCGCUUUCACGCUACCAAGUACGUAUUACUCGAAGAUGAUCUAUUCUACCGAACGAUCGAUGGUGUUCUUCUUAAAUGCCUUGGAACAGAAGAAGCCAAGACUCUAAUGGGAGAAAUCCAUGAAGGGGUAUGCGGAGCUCACCAAUCAGCACAUAAGAUGAAGUGGAUGAUCAGAAACAACGGGUACUAUUGGCCUACGAUCCUCGAAGAUUGUUUCAAAUAUUAUAAGGGUUGUCAGGAAUGUCAAAAGUUUGGAAAUAUCCAGCGUGCACCCGCAUCGGCCAUGAAUCCCAUCAUCAAACCAUGGCCGUUCAGAGGGUGGGGAAUAGACCUCAUCGGCCAAAUUUAUCCACCAUCGAGCAAGGGGCACAAGUUCAUUCUGGUUGCUACCGAUUAUUUCACCAAAUGGGUGGAGGCGAUCCCACUAAGGACCGUGACGUCGGCUAUCAUGGCCGAUUUCGUAAGGGAUCAUAUCGUCUACCGAUUCGGUAUCCCUCAAACUAUAACAACCGAUCAAGGAACAAUGUUCACAUCGGGAGAAUUUGAGGAAUUUACGACCGAUAUGGGCAUCAAAUUGCUAAAUUCUUCUCCGUAUUACGCUCAGGCCAAUGGUCAAGCAGAAUCUUCCAACAAAGGAAUAAUCAAGUUGAUCAAAAGGAAGGUUGAAGAAUACCCAAAGAAGUGGCACCUAUGCUUGACCGAAGCCCUGUGGGCAUACAGAAUGGCUUGUCAUGGGGCUACCAAGUUAUCUCCCUAUCAGUUGGUAUACGGUCACGAUGCAGUACUUCCAUGGGAGUCGAGGGCAGGAUCAAGGCGCAUUUCACUUCAGGAUCAGUUGUCGGCCAAUGACUACUCGGUUCUGAUGAAGGAAGAACUUGAUGAUUUGGCCAGCCAGCGACUAAGGGCUCUGAUAAGUAUCGAAGAGAAUAAAAAGAGAGUGGCCAGGUGGUACGAUAAAAAGGUCAAAGUCAAGCAGUUCUCCCCUGGAGAUUUGGUAUGGAAGUUAGUACUACCGAUCGGGUCGAAAGAUCCUAAAUUCGGCAAAUGGUCUCCUACCUGGGAAGGGCCGUAUAAAAUCGGCAAAUGCGCUCCAGGGAAUGCCUACAUCUUGGAAACAAUAGAAGGAGAAGAAUUCACUAGAGCUCUGAAUGGGAGGUACUUAAAAAGAUAUUACCCAAGUAUAUGGGUCGAUGCCUAAGGAAUCAACACGAUCAUACAUGACUGAUACGAUUCGGUCUUAAGACACACAUAAAGUCGACCGGAACGGCCGAUUACAUUCAUUCGGUACGGGCGACGCGUCACAUGGCCGACAAAAUGUUUAGUCGCCCUUAGAACAAAAAAUACAGCAACUAAUUAUUCUUUUUCUUACGCUCCCUCUCAGCCCGACCUAACUCUAUCAUGAGUCGGAUGUAUUCUUCCUCUAUGGCCUUCAUUGAAAUCUCCGCUUCGACUUGACGGGGGAGAUCUACGGGAGGGCGCGAAGUCCCCGCUCCCGCAUCUUCAAGAACGACUUGCCGAGGGAGUAGAUGACUCCUGUCGAUAGGAGGUCGCCGGCUGCCGUUCCUCUCCACGAAGUCCAGGAUCGUUCGGGCCUCCGUGGCAAUAUUGUCUUCAAGAUCGCCACAACGAUCGCUCCUGACAGGUGGAGAUUGAUGGUUACUUUCACUCACCACGGAAUCGAAGACUACGCGAGCCUCCGUGGUAAUAUGAUCCUGGAGCUCCUCUCGGUGAGCCACGAUCAGCAUCUUGUCCUCCGACGUUAAUGGAUCUUCGGAAUGAAUGCGCUCAAUGGCGCGCACGAGCUCGGGGUUAAGACAUUGAGGCUGAAACAAAGAAGGAAUGAGGGGGGAUAUUCUCUUCCUUAGGGUCUAAAAAAGAAAGGAAGGUAGAGGUCAAAGACUUCACCUGGUUAACAGAGGAAGAAGAAGACGACGAGGCCAUGACGAAGAAAUUGCACCGAUGAGAAGGGGCAGAAAAGUUAAACCGAGAGCCAAGAUUGAUGCUACCAGGAGUAAGCGCCAAGGUUGGUAUUUAUAAAAGAAUGCGUGGAAAUCUGGUAAAGCUACGUCCCAUCGGUAAUAAGAAGGCAAUAAAUAGAAAGGGCGUCGCGAGGGGCGGUCAAAGAAGAUAGUAAAUGAUUCGUACAAAACGGUCAGUGUUUUACAGAUUACCCAGAAGGGUAUCGAUAGCCGUGAUGGCCCGACGCCGGAUCUGAUCGGCAGAGUCAAGUACCCGUUGGUCUUCUUCCGCCGACCCAGGAACCUCCGAUGCGCUGCGAUGGAGUCUCAGUGCCUCGUGAGCAAAGCGUUGCGUCUCCCGUGUCAAAUCGGCAAUAACAGAGGGUAGCUCUUGGAGUUUGUUCUCUUCGGCACUGAUUGCCUUGGUCACUUGCUCCAUUUCCUUGGCAAGCUCCGCCCUCCGGCGCUUGAGACGGUCUAUCUCACCUAUGAUCGCCGGGCGGGAAUCUUCUAGGACAUGGAUACGCCGAUUCGCCUCUUGAGCCUGACGCUUGAAAGCGUCUUCCUCUUCGCGAGCCUUGGUCAGCUUGGCGCGAUCGGCCAUGUGACGAAGGGCUCUGAAGACCGGGAUCCUCAUAGACUCGAUGAAGGCCGCCGGCGCCAGGGCCUCCUCCGCCUCUUCUGGUACUCGUCCGCUGACGUCAUUGAAGAGCUGCCGAAUCGGCGAAGCGUCUUCUACUAAUCGGCCGAUGUCCCCUUGAAGGAGGGAUCGGAUGCUGGAAAGUUUGGCUCGGACGUCAUCAGGAACGGAACUCAAGGCGACUUGGCGAGAAGCAACUUCUUCGUCGUCAGAGAGGGCGACCGCAAAAGAAAAGAGACUGUUGUCGGGGGUAUCCUGUUCCUGAAGAUAAUAAAGAAAAGAAAUAAAACAGCUGUAAGAAAGAGCAAAUCAGCUAAGACAGAAGCAGAAACAGAAAAAUACCAUUUUGAAGCGAAUCUCCUCAUGUUGCACUUGAGAAGUCGCCAUGCCUUGCUCGGGGGCCUGCGCCAUGGGUUCGUCAGAUGAAGAGGACUCCACGAUAAUCGGUGCAGUAUUUGGACCAGCCUCCUGACAAGAAAUCGGCAAUCGAGGAGCGAUUGAUGUGCCGAUUGCCUGUGUCAGAAGUUUGGAUAAAUACGUUACGUGAAUGCCCGAAGGAAAUCGGUACGAGAAGUUCUAUACCUUAACGGAAGGAAAUGGGGGCGCGUCAAUAGCUGGAGGGGCUGCUGCCGAUUGUGGUACUUCUGUAGGGAUGCUCUGUGCAGUUUAAGGUUAAAGAAAAGUUAAUAUCAAAAUAAUAAUCAGAGGCAGCGUAACUCAGUUUUACCUGUAUGGCCUCCAACAACAACGAUGCGGCGGCCGCCCCAGCUUGCGUCAUGGUUUGAGUAUCGGCACCUUGAAUGACUUGAGAAGGUGGUACGGCCGAAGUUUCUGCCGAUACGCGCACAGGAGGAUCCGCCGAUCCCGUACGAGCCCGGACUCGGCGACUGGUCUUCUUGGUGGUCCUUUUAUGAACUUGUUUCAAUCGGCCAAUAAUCACAUCAACAGACGGGGCGUUGUAGCCGAUAAGGGGAUAAGUAGUGUAUGGAUGACUCUCUAUUAGUCGUCCGCUGCGGCUGUGUGUUGGAGGGAUCCGAUUCUCGGCCUAAAAUAAUAAAAUCAUUAGUACUCGAUCGUGUUAAGAGGAAUAAAAGGGAAUAAAAAUCGGCUAUGUGAAGUACCUCGGCGUUUGGAUCAAUGUUGGUCGGGUCCAGAAGAUUGCAGUAUGCCGAUGCUGAGUUGCAGAAGAGGAAUUGCUUCCAAUCAGCCCACCAGAGUUUGAACGGCUGGACAGCAAAUGGAGCUACUAGCCAGUCGUUCAAGUUAAUUGUACUAGAGUCUGGAAUUCGGUCUCGCAACCGACCGUAAUCUAGGCCAGAUGUGAGAUCAUCUCUAAACUUGAUUUUGCCAGCAAAGUACACCUGAAUCGGCAGCUGACCCAUGCCGAAUUGUCGUGCUGCAGCAGAAGGGUUGUAGAAUUCGUACGUAGGGGCAUCCUUCCCUGAGAAGAAGUUGGCCGGUAGGAUCCCUGGCUUGAUCAACCCUUCAUAGAGAUCUUCAUCAAACCGGCCAGAAGUUGAAUCAAAGCAGGAAGGGAGCUCGAAGAUGGGAAUGUCUCGCUGAUAUGGAAACCAGAUAGUUGCGUCCUCAUUAAAUCCAUUAUAAAAACACCGAAAGUACUCGGCUACCUUUGUAGCGGAACACGCACAACCUGGAAAAGCUGAUGCUGCUUCACCAUAAGACAUGCAUCGGCGGCGCUCGGUAGGGUCUUCUGCCGAUUCAAUAUUGGGAAAUGUCAUGCGGUCCACUGGCUGCCGAGUGAUCCUGUUCAUAUAAAGGUUCAACCAUAAAUUGACGAACCACCAAGGCCCACCUGGGUUGCCGAUUGGUUCUCCCUUGGAAAGUUUUGUCCCGAUUUGGUGGAGCAUGUGGUACACAGCACCCAGAAGAUGUUUCCCGAGAGGAAUGUGGCUUCCUUUGGACAGUGCCUCGGCUAAAGAUUGGGUGUUGGUUGUUGGGCCGGCGGCUCUUCCACAGAAGAGGUGUUUUUCGAGCCACAUCAUCAGGAAAGCGGUGUGCUCCCUGUUAUCAACAGUACCGGUCUUCUUAUUAUCAUUAAUAAAGCCCUUCCAGCCGCCGAUUCUUCUUGUGUCCAGCCGAUGCGAUGGUACGGUCAGAAGUUGGAAAGGCGUGUCAGGAGAGGAUACAUCCAGGCCGGUCAAGAGGACCACAUCGGCCAGAGUGGGGGUCAUGGGACCGUGUCCAAAUAAGAAUGCAUUAAGUGCGUCAGACCAAAAAUAGGAAGCCGCCAUCACUAGCGGUUCGUUUUUCUCCAUUUGCGACAGGGAAAGGUUGAUACAUUGGCCGAUUUUGAGCUCAUCCCACGAGACGCUCCUUGAUGCGGCUACCCGUUGGUACCAUUCCCUCCAACCUGGGGUUUCAUUCGGCCAAGAUCUAAAAGUGCUGGCCCAUUGAUCUAAGUUCAUAUCAGAUCGUUUGAAAGGUAUCCGAUCAGUUUCCAAGUUUAUGAGGUCUGCUGGAUCCGGGUCUCCCAUGGGACCAAGGCAAACAAGGCCAGGACUACCCGUGAGAUGAAUAGUAAUUCUAUGUCUAACCGCCUAAAAAAGGAAAAGGGGCAUAAGAAAUAUAAAGAGUAGAUCUAAGAUAAAUACGUUACCGAUAGAGGAAAGAUUCGGUAUUUACCUCCGGUAUAAAAUUCUGAGUAAUCGGUGUGGUCGCCGAUGCAGAUGCGGAUGAUGGAGUCGCAAUGGGGAUCGCCAUUGGGAUCUCUGAUGAAGCUCCUUCAUCUGCGGAUGGAGUGACGGUUGUCGUCACCGUUACCGAAGGUGCUACCUCCACCGGGGGCAUUGUCCCUGAAGCAUCGCGUGCUGGGGAAUUACCGGAGGGAGUCGCCAUUGAAGGGAAAGGGGAAGAAGUGAUUGGAGCUGAAACUGGAAGACUUCGAUGGCAAGAUUGAAGAAAGAAGGAGGUGCGCGCGCUGGAAAAGGAGAUGCGAGCUUGAAGAUGAGUUGCGGUGAAAUGAUAUUUAUAGGGUGCCUGAAGAAAGGGUAAAGAUGGAAUUUUCACCGCGCCGGCGCAUCGAGUUUUUCGGGGUAGUGGCUGUCGUGGGCGCCCGUUUCAAAAAAUUGCAAUGAUCAGCCGGGAGACCGCGAAACGGAAGGAUAUUUUCACUGCGGCCGUUUCGGAGGAGAGGUUAUAAAGAAUUUCGAAGUAAAAGAUUAUGUUUUACUCCGAAACUGGGGGGCAUGUGUUGACGCCGGAUUUCGUCAUCAGUAGAAUCGGCGCCAAGGAGGAAAAAAGUCGAAGAAGUACGGAUGAAAUCGGUCAAAAGAUGCUAUAAUGCGGAAUCGGUCAAAAGAUGCUAUAAAGCAGAAUCGGUCAGUAGCUCUUACUUCGCUUCAGGGUGAACGCGCUAGAUUCUCAAUCGGCAAUCCUUUGCUGAUAAGAAAUCGGCCGAUCAGGAAGGUGGACUAAGGUGGGCCUGUAUGGGCUUGGAAAGAUGGAGGGAUAAGGUGGAGUUCAGCCCACGAAGCGUGGAGUAAUUAGUUUAGCACGGAUUGUGCUUGUAGAUAUUUGUUUUCUGUUUGAAUUAGAGAUAGAGUUCUAGUCGGUUAAGAAGAUUAUUUGUACGGGGCUAUAAAUAGCUACCUUUGUAAAUCUGUAAACACAACAAUCAAUCAAUACAACAAGUUACUUUAUUCUUCAUACUUACUUUCGAGCAGGCGACUUCGCCAUCACUUUUCUUUCUCACGAGUUCGUGCGGGUUGGCAGGGCUGCAUCAUCUUGAUCUCCGGCCGAUUCUGUAAGUUCCGUUUAUCGAGUAAUAUCUAAGCUUUAACUUCCGGCGCAUCGCUGUUGUUUCGUUUAGAUUUAUUCAUCAGUUAUCGAUAUCGACUAGAUUCAUAGGUUUUUACCUGUUUUCCUAGUUUUUAUCACCUGUUAUCCCGCUAAGAAAUCGGUAGUAUCGGCUUUUAUUACUUUCUAUUGUCAGAUCCAUCUGUUGCCGAUUAAAUCUUUUUCUAGUGUUGUUAUUACGUGCUUUGUACCGAUUACUUUAAGUAUUUUUCUACCUACAAGGCUACAGGGAUCGUGCUGUCUUAUAGCCGAUUUCAUUAUCAUAGUAAAUCGGCCGAUCUGCCGAUAAGCUUCCCUCGAUCGGAAACUUAGCCGAUCGUAGUUACUGAAUUUGACACGUGUUCUUCCUUGCCAAUCAACAGGUCAGAUUGGCUGGCACGCCGCGCGAACCGCACCAGGGCAUUCACCCGAACAGGAGCUAAGCAGAUUCUCCCGGGUCGUGUGUCGGUCGCUGGGAUUCGGUUUGCCGAUUUCUAGCGCCAACAAAACCAUAGAUUGAAAGAAACUUAACAGUGCAAGUUAAACCAUUACUAAGAGUUUAAAAUAUAAACCAGUCCGAGGCAAGUAAUUAAACAUCUAAGUUUAUUCGGGGGUAUCAUGAGACUCAUAAGAUACCCUAGUUCUUUGGAGCUUCCUCCUCGGUGGGUCCUUGCUGGGUUUCUGGAAAUAGCAACAAAGGAUCCCCUGAGUACGAAGUACUCAGCAAGUCUGACCCGUCUAACCAAUAUAAAUACUUUUUGUAUACUGUAUGAUAGCUUUAUGGUGUAUUGGCUGACUCACAUUUUACAGAAAGAGCUUACUAUAAGUGAAACCUUAGUUUUAUCUUUUACUUCAGUUUGAGUUUGUUACCUGACCAGUCUAGAUGACAAAAAAUAUUUUAGCAACCAGAUGGAACUAAGUCAUACAACAUAUUUAUUCAAAGCAAACGGUUCCCUUCUCUUUCUUACAGUACGAUGCUUAAACAAUGAUCAAGUGCAUUCAUAUCCGAGAAUUGCGACGAUCCGGACCGAUUUAUAUCCUGCAAGAGAUACCCGACUACCAGCUAUGUACAACUGUACCGGUUGUACAUAACUACCUUUCGAUUAGCUGUACCCAACAAUCGGAAAUAUGACUACUCGAACCCAGGGACGCACCCCCACAUGGGACCCCACGUCUGGCCUGAUCUCCAAUGUGAGUUUCAGGCAACGCCACUGCCCUUCCACUGCAUGCCAAGCACGGGUACGAAAUAUUUUCAAUCAGAGAGCCAACUAACCUACCGGGCUUGCUGGUUCCCAUAUGGCAGUAAGUAACCAGGUAAUAUCACUUGAUCACUGGUUAAAACAACGAACGAUCCUUAAUCAAAUUAACCGAGUAGACGGAACUAUAGAACUCAAGACUCCUUUCUUGGUUCCAUCCAAGCUUCCGUCCACUACCUUCCAAAAUAGGUCAUUUCCUUGAUAUACAUAUGUAUGACAAUGUUACCUUAGGUUGCUGAGUACCAUAGGUACUCAGAAAGGAUAAAGGUAGCGCGACUAUGCUUUGCUAAGCAUCGGAUACUUACUAAAUAUUUGGAAUAGGUGGCAAAGAUAUCCUUAAUAACAAGGUUGGAUUAUGCAUAAAAGUAAGUUUUCAAUCAACUCCUAGACUUAAUGCAUUCAUAAAGAAAAUAACCAAUAGUUGGACACGUGAAAUAAUAACUCCAAAAGUAGAUAGGCUUAAUGCACCGGGGCUUGCCUUGAUCCACAAAAAAGUUAGUAUCUCCAGACGAUCCUGCUUCACAAGGGACCAACUCGACAACCUCCUCAAACUCCAGAGGUUCUUCAGAAAUUUCCAGAAAUUCCACUUCUCGACCUUCAGUGUCUACGAUAAAAUGCAUGCAUGAGUCAGAGAUGCAAAUUUUUUCUAAGCACAAGACUAUACAACUUCCUUCAUGAUAAAGUUGUAAGCCAACAAUGACUUAGGCAACAUAACUUCAUAAUAAAGUUGUAAGCCAACAAAACUCUACCCAUAACGACUAACCCACGAUUUAAACUUCCUUUAUUUAUCCCAUUUUAAACCUUUUCUUUUUAUUUUUGAAAAGCAUUUGAAUUAAUUUCUAAUGUAAAAUAAAAUGCAAAACUAUAGAUAACCAUUUGUUUGGAAUUAAUAAAAACAUUAUUUAGAAUUUUAUUUAUUUAUAAAGCUUAAGCAUUUACUUAAAUAUUUUAAGGAAAAGCAUUAAAUCAAUACUUAAUCUUUAUCUUUUUAUUUAAAAACGUAAGCCUUUUCUUUUAUUUUUGAAAAGCAUCAUAAUUAUUUUCUAAUAUUAAACUUCUAAUUACUAUACAUUAUGGUUUAUUUGUAAUUAGAAAAGAAUUAUUUCAUAUUUUAUGUAUUUUGGAAUUAUUAAGUAUUUAUUUAGUACCUUUAAUUGAAGGCACUAAAUAAACACCCAAAAUUUUUCUGGGUGAAAUUAAGUUUUAACAAUUUUAAUGUAUAAAGGAGAUUAAAACAAACUUAGUAAAAUUUAUUUCACUAUUUUUGGGUACUUCUACGAAUUUUGGUGAAUUAAAUGGUGUAACAGGUAAUUAAAUCUAUUUCUAAAAUCAAAAAUUCCAAAGCUUAUCCGAAUAAACCCCCCUGAAUUCUUUUCUUACCGGCCCUCCCCUACCCACUCUCACAAACACGUGGGGCCAGCCGGCCAGGUCUUCCUGCCCGACGCCACAACAGGGCGCCGGGGCGGGCAAGACCGGCGGCUCGCCGGCAACAGGGCCAGGCCUGGGCGCACCCGCGGGAGGCGGCGGCCCCCUCGGAGGCGACUUGAGUCGGGCCCUCCACGGGCAUUGGCGGCCAUGGCCGGUGGCCGGCCGGCUCUGGGUGCAGCGGCGGCACCCUACAGCCUCUACAUGGCCUAGAUAAGCCCCGCAACCCAAGGAAUCGAGCAAAAGGGGCAGCACAGAGAAACCCACCAGAGGACAGUGGUGGCAGCCAGGUGGACAGGAGAUGCGGUGGGUGUGGGCUUGCCGGCGGGGAACUGAUGAACGGAGCGGCGUGGGGCGUUGAGGAGGAGCUGGCGGAGCUUUGGGCGGGUGGAAUUGCGGAGAGGAGCGGCGGCGUGGUUGAAUCGGCCGGCGAUGGCACUACUGCCGUGCCCUGCUUCGUGGUGGUGAAAUGGCGGCAGGGUAAACAGAUGAGGAUGGGAGCGGUACAAAUACAAGUUUUCACUGCGUGCAUGAAGGCCACAUCGACGAGCUGCAGGCGUGCGUGGCGCGGAUGUGGCCAUCGCGCUGGCCGGUGCUCCAAGAUGCCGGCGGCGGCAUGUCUCUACUCCUCUGCUCGUUUCCCUCUUUCUUCUUCUUCUUUUCGUCUGAAUUUCAGACCUCAAAAUCGACCAAUCCGAAUCCAAUCUCUAAACUAACCCUUAAGAAAUCUUGUAGAGUAAUCCAAGAACUUCAAUUGAUAGAUUGGCCUCUACCCGAGAUGAGCACCCUAACAUCGAGAUUUUGAAGCUCGAAGUUCGGCCAAAAUUUCCUGUAACUGAACCUCGACGAUUCAAUUUCGUCAGGUUCCGAAACAGGGACUUCUGCCCUAAUUUGAGCUCGAUUUAAAUUGCACAAACUCCUUCCCUACAGCUUGAACCUUGCCUAUCCUUGUUCUACAACUAACAAAGAUUCUAUUUUGCACAAGAACCCAUAUAAUGUUUACACUGGAUGUUUCUGAAAUUUGCUCCAAACAUUGCUAAUCGAUGUUGUUUUUCAGACUUAGGAUUAUUUCGGCGAGAAGGCUGAAAUCUGCUCAUUUGCUGAUUUUGGGCUUCAUUUUAAAUAUUAAACUUCUACUUUCUCUGGCCAACAAUAUUUCAUUUUCCUUCUCCAUAGACCAUAUUUCACUAAUGUCCAAAAACAUCUGCUCACUUACAAGAAAAAUUCUCCAGAAAUUGGCUCCAAAGUUGUGUACUCAAUAUUAUUUUCAGAUUUGCGUGUUUUCGGACGAUGCAUAGUAACUUCAUCGAUUCCAUCUUCGAUUAUAUUUCUGAGAGGUUUAUGACUUGAAUUAGACUUCAAUAUUCAUUCCUUUGAGUUCUGAAUACUCUCAAGACUCGAUUUCAUAUUUUUAUCAAAUUUGUCUAAAUUUGCAACUCCAAUUUGUAGAUUUGGUCAACUUCGGCUUAAAGUUGACUUUGGCUCAAAUCAACUUCCUUCAAUCCAAAUUUCACCAUUAGCUUCUUAAUGUCAUACUUAAGUUGUCACUAACAUUGGGUGUUACAGCCAUCUAGUUCUGGUUAGAAAAAAAUGCUUGGGAUAAUAUUUUUCAAGUGGUGGUGAUGCUCAUGUAUCUGCUUUCAGACUUGGUGAUGUCCCUGGUACUUCUUUCUCCACCCCUCCUCCUGCUUUGCCUCCCGCUUUGUCAAGAAGAUCAUCUGCAAGUGCUUCGCUGCAAGCAGCAAGCACUAGUGCAACUAGUAUGGGUAUUGGUUCUGAACUCUCUAUCUACUUGGACAGUGACACUGUCACCCAUUUUGAUGAUAGCUUCAGUAUCUUGAAUUGGUGGCAUGAGCAUAAAUGAACUUAUCCAGUUCUAUCAAUCUUAGCUAAAGAUGUUAUAACUAUGCCUAUCUUUAAAGUAUCAUCAGAGUCUACUUUUAGUACAUCUGGCAGGAUCGUUGAGGAGAGGCGGUGUCAAUUGAGCUUUGAGAUGGUGGAGAUGAUCUCUUGCGUCAAGGACUGGGAGGCUGCAGAAGCAAGAAUUCAGAACCUGGUCAGGAACUUGAAGAUAGUUUUGCUAAUUUGUAUCUAGAUGUUCUUGAUGAUUCAUAUGUGUAACUCAAACUUGACCUGUAAUAACUUUGUACUACUUUAAUGUUUAUUUAAUUAAGUUGGGCUGCACUCUUUUUCCUAUCUAGGAUUUUUCACGAGGUGUGAGUUUUACAUAGAUAGAUUUUUAAUGAGGUACCCAUUGCACCAGCUCAAACUUUUGAAAUUGUUUCUCCUACCUUUGGUUGUGGAUUGGAUUGUGGUCUAAAUGUGUUAUGAUGUGAAUUCUGCGUUGAUGAAAAUUUUUGCAUCUUCUUAACUUGGAGUUUUGGUUGAGUGGUGGCUGGCCUAUAGUGCCUGGCCCGGCACUAACACGGUAGUGCCAGCCGUGCUAGCGGGUCGGGCUGGCACGAAAAAGUCAUCAGGCCUAAUAGUGCCGGAUCUAUUCGGGUCGGGCCAAAUCAAGCUAGAGCCGAGCUAGUGCCGGGCGGCAAAAGGAGAUUCAUGCAUGAAUUCUCGCUUGUGCUACGUAGAGCUAAACCUAGCCUUCUUCCUCAUAUGUCUCUUUGCCUCCAAGCCUUGUAAUUUUCCUUUUGAUAGUUUCUUCUGGUCUGUUUCUUUCUUUUUUUGCCUUGUUGUUUCGAUCUGUCUGAACAUCUGUUUUUUUAAUAUAAUCUUCAGUAGGGGCUUAUUGAAAUUCUAAUUGUCUCAAAAACCCUACACAGCUGCCUAUCAUGUGUUCUGAACUCCGCUUUCCUACUUGUUGGUACUUAGAGGUUCAUUUAGGCAAGUUUCUAUUUUCAUUGCCAAUACGUAAGAAGACGGGAUCUUGGAACAGUGUGUAACGGCCCAAAAGUGGCAGCCAACAGUAUUGACUUGGAAUUUUCAAUACCGUGAGCAGCUAUAGUUGGAAAAAUUAUCAGAGCUGAGGUGUUCUUUUGCAACUUGGUAGUUUUUCGUGCUGAACUGCACCGUGGACUUGACUAUUCUUUGUCGAGCAGUAUCGGUUGGGGCCUUGGGGGAAAGCUCUUUGUGAUGGUGGCAUGUGGAAUAUACCACCCGCAACCAGCAUAUGGAUUCCUCGAAGGGAUUGACAGCCAACGCUUGAUGGGACAAGAUCUUUGACCAUGUGCACAAAAGUCUUGGCAACUAAAAGCUGCUUCUAGAGUUGGUUGACUUUCCAAGUUUGUAGUCUUUUCUUACUACGUGUGGCAUGGCCAGUGGAUUAAGAAAUAAUAAACGCCAUAAUUAUAGUGCUGUUAGCUACACUAUAAUUCCAUUGUGAGUUCUGCCAUGGUAAUUGUCCUGGUUAGUGCCUGUUGUCAUUGUCAAGGAUUAGAAAGGACGUACUUGGAUGAGCUCUGUCAAAACUCAUAUUGACGAUGCAGGUGCCAAGGACGUACUUGGUAGGUGCAGCCUAUGCAGCAUUCUGCUACAAGACUUCUGUGGUGAUGAGUUGAGUGCCUUGGCAUCUUUCUCCUCAUUUUUCCAAUCUGGGUCCGGAAUAAAGCUGCACUUGGAAAAAUUAGUGACUGCCUUGCUUUCUGUUUAAAAGAUAUCUACUUUGGUUGGUACAAAUCAAGAACCGGUGCGUACUGCGUAGGCUAGCUAGACAUGCUCGGCGCCUGUUUUUGACGGGUUGUUCGUUUGUUGGUCGUGUGCAUGAAUGAUGCCAUAAAUGCUCUAUGUCAUCCAGUCCCCUUUCCAUCCAGUUGCAACCAUCCUUCUUGAACCUUGACCAAUUUUCUUUCUUCUUUUCCCGGACGCAUGGCUAGCCAAUGACAUAUAUGAGAUCUUGCCGUACAUGUCAUUGACACAGUCUGCAGUGUAGAUGAUCGAAAAAUGUAUUAGUGAUGUGAAAAUGAGUAAUGAAAGCAGGCAUAUGAAAAAGAAACCCUACGCUGUGAAGAGCAUUUAACAACUAUGGCAGUUGGUAAAAUUUGUUGAACUGUAUAUAUAUCGUCAUAUUGAAUCAUAACAUUAGCUCGAGCAUUGUACUAGUUUAUAUGGUAUACAACGAGUUUAAUUUCAUCAAAACGCUAAGCAGUUUAAUUAAUAUAAAAACCAUCAGUUCCUGUCAACGCAGGGUUAGGCCCGGAGGUUUCGGCGAAUACAUGAGCGUGGAUGUUGGUAGGUGCUACCGUAGUGAGUGGAGUGGUGAGGAUGAGUUGGUGUCCCAAUCCAACCGGUCGGGUGUGGCAGUUUUGAGUGGAAUGACUACCCACGUUGAUGUCCCAAUCCAUUCGGGUCAGUCUAUUUUGUUUUUAUUUUGUUUUUUUCUUGUAAAGAUCUUUAUUGGAACUCUUUCUUUUUAAUAUAUAUAAUCGGCAACGGUCGUACCGGUUCGAUUCGAAAAAAAGAUAAUUUAAAAACCGAAACACUGAAGAAACUGAAAGGACACAAGCAGUGUAAUCAAGCGAGCCAAUUCAAGCGCCGUCGACGCAGCUACUGCUAGUGCUACCAAGGCCUAGGCGGCUAUGGUGCGGCCACCGUCGGCGCAGAUGACCUGGCCGGUGAUGUAGGACGCUGCCGGCAUGCAGAGGAAAGCGACGAGCGAUGCGAUCUCCUCCGGCUCGCCGCUGCGGUGCAUGGGGACCCGCGCCAUCUCCGCCUCCCCCAUCUUCCGCGCCACCUCCGGGUCCAGCUUCAGUCCGCUGCUGGCGGCGAAGUCGGUGCGGACGCCCCCCGGCGCGACGCAGUUGACGCGAACGUUGUCCUGCGCCCACUCGACGGCGAGGCUCCGGGUGAGCUGGUUCAUGGCGGCCUUGGUGGUCGAGUACACGGACAGCGCCGGGUAGGAGACGAGCCCGCCGAUGGAGGACACGUUGACGACGCUGCUCGCUUCGCCGCCCGGCGACGCCGCCGCGGCCGCUACGAGGAGCGGAUGCGCGAGCUGCGCGAGGUGGAAGCAGGACUCGAGGUUGGUGGCCAUGAGGCGCGCGUAGUCCUCCGCCGUCGUCUCCGUGGCGGCGCGGAACAUGGCCUGCCCGGCGUUGUUGACGAGGAUGUCCAGCCGGCCGCUCAGCUCCUCCCGCGCCGCGGCCACGAGCCGCUCCCGGUCGCCGCGCGCCGCGAUGUCGCAGGCGGUCGCCGUGACGCGCGCGAGGCGGCCGUCGGCGCCCCACCGGCGCAAGCACUCCUGCAGCUCGGCAUCGCCGCGGGCGCAGGUGUGCACACGCACCCCGAACCCCGCGAGCUCCUCCACGAUCGCGCGCCUGCAGGACCGAAGCGAAGCAUCAGCAAUACGGCGAACACGCACUCACGAACGCACGUGUAUAGACUUACCCGAUGCCCUUGCUUCCUCCGGUGACGAGCGCCGUCUUGCCGGCGAGGCUCCACCUCUCCUCCCUGCUCCGGCCGCUCGCCGCCAUGUUCAGAGCUUGCUCGCACACGAUUUCGACUUGUUUUUGUCUGAGGCGAAAGGAUACGUAUAUGGAUCGCCGUCGUUGUCCGACGAGUAUAUAUCGCAUUCGUGAGCGGUCAUCAAGUAGGCAUGAGCCGAUCCCAAUUCCACUGCGUUGGAUUCUCCUCCACAGGAUGCGUCUCGGUGGAUGCCGGCCGGCUCAUGUGGCUGGUGCUUUCGCUCAUUGUUUUGUCAUGGAGCCCUGAACCAGGUGCAAGCAGGAAAUAAGCUGAUUUCUGUUAGGUUUUUUUAAGGUCAAAUUGGUUUUCUAAUUUUUAGAGGCCCUACACCGUAUAGAUGGCCAGAUGGGCUAGGCCCGCUGGGCGGCAUGAGGCCCGACCCUAACACAGCCCGGCAUAAGGUUAAAAGUGCCUGGGUCGGCUCAACCCUAUGCUCGGGCCAGUGCCUGGGCCGCAACCUCGGCACGCUAGGCUAGCGCAAGCUAUGCACAGUUUUUGGACCGACCCGAUACACCAACCACCCCCCCUCCCCAACCGUUUGAUCAGCCAAUCAGGUCCUCCCGACCAUUGGGGGAGGGUGUAUAUAAACCGACAUCGGUGCCUUCCCCGACCAGAAACCCUAGCCUGCCCAUUCCUCUUUCCCGUCUCUGCCUCCCUCGACUCUCUCUCACCCUCUCACACCUCUCUUGCCCUCUCGUCUCCUCCCACUCUGACGAUGGGAAGCCGGUGUUGGCCGCCACCCUUGCAAGAAACCCUAGCCUCCCAGCUUGCCCGCCCACUCCUCUCUCAUGUCGCUGCCUCCCUCGACUCCCGUCGCUCUCCGCCUCUCUCUCUCGUCCUCUCGCACCUCUCUAGAUCUGGAUGACUAGAUCCACUCUCCAGCCGCUCUCAUCAUCUUCUUGCUAGAUCCGUUGUUCGUCGACCUCACCGGUCGCUCUGGUGCUCCGGAACGACCUCUAACCCUAACCCUAACCGUAAUCUGCUUCUUGCUCUGGUGGGUGGUGGCCGGUCUUUCUAACUUUUUGUUUCUACAGGUCGUCACAUCCGCCGUCGCGAAGCUGUUGAGGGACUAGAGCUCCGGUAAAUCGAUCGUUCGUCAACCUCGCUGGCCGUUCUGGGGCUCCGAAUUCGCUCGUUCGUUGAGGGACCAGAGCACCGGCGACGGACAACGACAACGAGUUCUAGGGCCACACCUACAAUGAUGAGCUUCGGAUGUUGGGCUAGCGUCCAGAUGACGAGAGUGACCUAGAGACAGAGCAGGAAGAGGUGUUCGGUGGCAGCGCUGCCGAACCAAUCGACAUCGCUAAUGGCGGUGACGAUGGUGAUGGUGAAGUAGAAGCUGCUGCUGAUCCAAACAUGGUGAGCAGCAGCACCAAGAGGAGCCGUUCCACCACCUCUAAAUGUUGGAAGGAUUUCGAAAAGAUCUUCAAGGACAUCAAUGGUAAGAGGGCAAGGGUCUCUGCCAAGUGCAUUCAUUGUGGCAUUGUACACACUGCUCGAUCUACUAUUGGCACUAGCCAUCUAAACCGGCAUGUUGAGAAAUGCCCAGCGAGGAAGUCAAAUCUUCGUGUUUUCCAGUCUUUGCUCCAGUUCAAUUCAGAUGGAAGUAUCCGUCACUGGGAUUACAGUUCUGAGGUAGCUCAUACUCAGCUAUGUCGAAUGAUUGCUAGACUUGAUCUUCCUCUUAGCUUUGGUGAAUCUGCUGCAUUUGAAGAGUACAUUAAGCUUGCUUAGAAUUCUAGAUUCUCUACUGUCUCUAAGCAAACCACCACUAGAGAUUUUAGCAAGUACUUUAAUGAUUGUUGUGCUAAGAUUAUUGAAUCAUUAACUAGUGCUUCAUCUAUGUCUAUAACUUCUGAUAUCUGGUUUGGUAAUGCUAAGGAAGAUUACCUUAGUGUGAUUGCUUAUUAUGUUAAUGUUGAUUGGCAAUUAGAGAAGAGGAUAAUUGGUUUUAGGCUCAUUGAUGCAUCUCACAAUGGCCAGUUGAUUGCUGAUCGUGUGACUGCUGUGCUUGAGGAGUAUGAUUUGAUUUCAAAGGUGUUUUCUGUUAAUUUGGAUAAUGCCUCUGCUAAUACCAAUGCUAUUGAGAAACUGAGUCCCAAAUUGUCUGCUUAUAUUGGUAAAGUGUUCUUGCAUAAACUUUUUAUUUGUCAUAUCAUUAAUCUUAUGAUUAAAUCCGCCUUGCAUUAGACUAAGCGAUAUCUUGAAGUAUUUAGAACUGCAAUUUCUUUCAUCAAUUCUUCUAACCAAUGCAUUGCUGCAUUUAAGAGAUUCUGCCUUGCUGUGAAUGUUCGUCCUAGAAAGUUUGGUUUGGACAUGGAUGUCAGGUGGAACUCCACGUACCUCAUGCUUAAGCAUCUGAUCCCUUACAAGCAGACAUUUAAUGUUUUCAUUGAUACUAACUAUCCUAGGAGUGAAAAAGAUCCUUUACUUUUGAUAGAAGAUCACCGAACUGUUGCAGAGAGUAAAUUAUCAUUCCUUAAAUUGUUUUAUGAUUCUACUGUUCUACUUUCUGGUGUUUAUUAUCCUACGUAUCCACUUAUAUUGCAUCAGCUUAUUUUGAUUGCUAACCAUCUGAAACAUUAUGAGAAUGAUAAAUUGAUUAGGCAUGUGGUAGUUCCUAUGAAAGAUUACUAUCUUAAGUACGCUUUAUUCUGUUACAUUCAUCUGGGAUCCUGAACUAAAUUGAAAGGUUUUCAAAAUGUGCUCAGGUUGUUAUCUAGUCUUAUUGGUACUGAUUAUUGUGCUUACUUUACUGAUGUAAGAGCUAAACUUUCUACUGCAUUUAAGCUGUAUGAUGACAAGUUUGGUGCAGUUAAAUUGCAAAGGCCUCCACCGUCAUCUAGUUCUGGUUAGAAAAAAUACUUGGGAUGUAUUUUUUCAAGUGGUGGUGAUGCUCAUGUAUCUGCUUUCGGACUUGGUGAUGUCCCUAGUACUUCUUUCUCCACCCCUCCUCCCGCUUUUGCCUCCCGCUUUGUCAAGAAGAUCAUCCACAAGUGCUUUGCUGCAAGCAGCAAGCACUAAUGCAACUAGUAUGGGUAUUGGUUCUGAACUCUCUAUCUACUUGGAUAGUGACACUGUCACCAAUUUUGAUGAUAGCUUCAGCAUCUUGAAUUGGUGGCAUGAGCAUAAAUAAACUUAUCCAGUUUUGUCAAUUUUAUUUAAAGAUGUUAUAACUAUGCCUGUUUCUACCGUAUCAUCAGAGUCUGCUUUUAGUACAUCUGGCAGGAUCAUUGAGGAGAGACGGCGUCAAUUGAACUCUGAGAUGGUGGUGAUGAUCUCCUGCGUCAAGAACUGCGACCUCAUCGAAGUUCUUCCCCGCAGCAGCUAGAAUCACCUCCCCGCUCGCCGGCGCCUCUCCUCCCGGCCUUGCGUUUUCGCGCGCCGGGAGCGGCCCCGGCCAGCGCCAUCCGCCCCUGCCCACACGGCCGCCGCCUUGUUUGGAGGCAGCGACUCCAUGGCGCUGAGGGCUCCGUUCCCGAGCUUCGCCUUCUCCUCCCAGUCUCGUGCGUCCAGCUUCGUGGACUCGAGGUGCCUCUGCUGACGGGCGACCGCGCCGUGGCCUCCGCUGCCUCGUCCGGCACAGGUACGGACGCACGGUGAACCGCGGCAUCACCUGCGAAUGUUUUCACGGACACAGAGUGUCGACAUGAAUCUUAGAGACGCUCAGCAUUUAGGUGUGAGGGGAGUGGUGGAACAUUGUUGUUUUUAGUCAGUUUCUUUAAAUCUUUGUGUAUAUGUCAACUUGGUGAUGAUAUCAUUCCAGUACAACGAUUUACUCAAAUGUAAAACCUGGCGGACUCUAUGCUAUCAGCUCCCAUCGAAAACUUGAGAACACCCUGAAUUUCAAGUUCUGGUUUGCACUGUAGAAUUGGGUUCUUCCGAUUUUAGUCUGUUAGGCUCAGGCAUCCUAUACAAGCUCUGUUGGAGUCCACAAGCUGCAAGAACAUGCCAUGAUCAAGUUAACUGAGAUAAAGAAAGAAAUAACCUUCAGAAGAGAUGCAGUCUACUCUGGGAUCAAGUUUCAAAAAAUCUCUGUUGAAGCAGAGGAAGGAGACAAAUGGAAAAUCUUGAGCUCUUGCUGAUGCCUAAACAGAAGCUCCCUACCUAGCACCAGCACCUUUGUGCUGUACAAAAUUCAGCAGAUGUCAAUGAAGUAACUCAAGCUUAAUUCGGUCAUGAGAAUAUGAUGUAGAAAGGGAUUGUUUCUAUAUAAUUUUUGUAGUUGGAUAUGACCUUGGCACACCAUUCAAAAAGAGAAUAUUUUCGGUUUUUAUGUGUUUCAUUCCUGACAGGAAACACAUUUGGAGCCAAUUUCGGCAAGCACUCUAACAGUUCGAAAAAUGAUUGUAUGUGUUUACUAAGCAUUACCACUACAUAACUGUUCAUCUCCAUCAAUAAUCCUCAGACAUAUCUGGUGAUGAAUAUGUAAAUCAACCUCCAUAAGCGCAUAUUAGUUGUUUGCUGCCAUAUACACGUGGUGAUUUCGGGAAUGGCGCAAAGGCAUUGCCGGAUAAAAUGAGUGAAGACUCUAAUUUCAGUUGGUAAGUGGAGUCAAACUUGAUCGACACUCAUCAUGGUGUUUUGGUUUCCUCCAAUACUUCAGUUCCGUGGCUCACACAUAGGAUCCUUGGAAGAGAAACACAAGCUAGUUAAACUUUGCAUAAGGCAUGAGAGUAUAUAUAACAGUCUCUGGUAGCUGCCCUUGAUCUAGUUGUAAACUGCAUUUGUUACUGCAAGUCAUCCGAGAAGUGCUUAUAUAUCAUUCAUCUAUUAUGAGUGCACUCCAGAAUCAUGAGGUUCAUUUCAUAUGCACCACCGUCUUGUUUGCCUAUGCCUGGUGCCAAUCAUGUGAUCUGCACGAAACGGGCUGCACUGGUUGCAUUGUGCGUAACAACCAUGAGUAAAAACCUUGAAAUGAACUAAAUUAACUGUAACCCGAUGGCUCAUGCUCUCUUUUAGUGGACUUUGUCUCCGAACCAUCCAAGAUCAACAUCAGAAUUUGUAUAGCGAAACCCUUAUGCAAAUAUAUUUCAUUUUUUCCCUUACCCACCUGAUACAGUCUAUUUUUUUUUUCAUGGACCCAUGGCCUAAUGCACAUACAUUUUCCAUUCACAACUGAACAGCGAACAGCAUCAGUGUCGGUUCUAGUGCUGAACUCGAAUUUUAUUAACCUUAAACAUCCGGACCAAACAAAUUUCAGCCACAUGCCUUUGGUUGAUAUUUGAAUUUACAUGUCACUUAAUAUGCGUAACAACCCCCGUCAGCAAUUGAUAGUUUGCUUGUUGUAACGUCCCGUUUUGAAAACAUGAUCAAAUCAACAUAAUAUGUUGGUUGUCGUCAAGAGCCGUUUGUUGGCUCUAAUUUCAGUCGGUAAGGGUAAAAUAAGGAUUUGAACUGCCGGAAUCAUGGAAGAACGUGGCCAGAUACUUCACAGAAUUACUGGGAUUCACACAGCUAUACAAGUCAAUGCUUAGUAUCUUGAUUUCCUCCCAUACUUCAGGAUUACACAUGUUGCUGGAACUCGUGCAACAUUUUGAAGCGCUUCCAUUAGUAGUUGACAGCUAACCCCUUUAUUUGUUGAGUUCGUCCUAGCUAGCCUGUAAAAACAUGCUUUAGUUGCUACAAAUCAUCAAGGAAGUGUUCAUAUAUCAUUCAGUUAUCGUGUGAGUGCACUCCAGAGUCCAGAAUAAGAGGUCCCUGAUGCUGCUGCUGUUUUGCAGUAUAACAUCCUGAUCCUUCUAGCACCGCUGCCCUCAUGCAGUUCGCCGGCCGGCGUCGCAACCAUGGCGGCUGCUUGUGCAUGUCUGUCGACAAAUCGGCGUCAACGCCAGGACCUAGGCCGUGUAGCAACGGCGGCCUCCAUCCCAAAGAAAAAGAGUGGGCUAAGUUAACUGUGCCGGCCCAGGGAGCGCUCGUACUACAGACGCCGCCAGGUGAAAUCUCCACCGCAGGAUUUAGAUCCAACGGUCUGGAUGACCCCAGGCCCGGACGGUAAACGAAAUACCGUCCGGCCUGGACGGUAAAUCAAAUACCGUCCACCCCGACCUGGGUGGCGGUGCCGCCGGUACAGUUCGCCGGCGCGCUUCGCCGCCGUUGGCGCCACCAGCGACCCAACUGCUAUGGAAAAUCGCUACUUCUUCCUCGUCGUCCGUCCUCCUCCUGUCCGCGCCCAUCUCCGGCUCCAUAGCCUCCGCUUGCAUUGCCCUGGACAGCGCCCUCUCGCCACUCGCCACGCAUGUGGCGUUCCCGGCACUGCACAGUCACAGUUCGCCGGCACUGCACAGUCACGGUGAGUGAGGUUCGCCGUUCCCUUGCCUUGAACCGCGCCCGUAUACGGCGGCGGAAGCAGAUCUGCUCGUCGUUGAAGAUCGCCUUGAAUCCAAUAUCCUCGCCGAGGUGCAACAAGGGCUGCGCUCCAGCCCCCUUGAGGGUGGUGACCGCGCCCAGGCGUCUGCACCCAUCUGGCCAUCUACAAGCUCCCCAUGCACGGCGACGGCGCGGCUGCAACCACGCGCACCGUUUCAACAUGUCUCUUUCCAUGAAGAUGGAACUCAUCUGUCGCUGAAAGGCUGAAUUCUUGGCUGGAUACAAGAUGAACAUGACUCAAGUUGUCCAUCAGUAUGCGAAUUAAGGGUAGUGUGAUUUGUGAAGAUCAAGCGAAAGAUGCCUCGCCAGUGGAGUCUGUCUCAAGUCGUGUCCAACAAUAAGACCAUAAUUUGUUAUGCAAAAUAUCACACUUGAACAGUGAACAAAAGUGUCAGAUAAUGGUGCUGCGCUAAGUAUUAUUACCAUUUGACAUCCUGAUAAAAAUAGUUUUUUAGGUAUCAAACUUUAUCAUCAAUUCACAACAUAUUUAUCAGCUACUGCCAUGGCUAAUUUUGCAAACAAAAUAUGAGUGACCUAGCAUUGCGAGUAGAGCCGAGGGCCACGUUGGGUGAGUGCAAAAGAGGAUUUGAACGAUACAUUGUUCAUUCAUCAUUGAACUCUACAAGCCAAUGCUCGGCAUUGUGUUUUGGUUUCCUCAAAUGCUUCAAGUUUACAGAAACACAGGUUGCUCGAUCUCCGACAUGAAUUGGAUCCAGGGCUAGGACUAUGCAUAAUGGUAAUUGGUACCUGACUCCCAUGUUGAGUUCAUCCUAGCUAUCCUAGCUACUCCCUCCGUCCGAAAUUACUAUUUAUUUUAACUUUUCUAAUAUGUACAUAGAUAUAUACUAUGUCCAGAUACAUAGUAAGAUAUAUGUAUCUAGAAAACAGAGGGAGUAGCUUUAUAAAAUCAUGCAUAAUAAUCAGUUAUCAUGUCAUGGGUUCUUUUCGCAUGCCUUGUGCUCCCUCUGUCUCAAAUUAUAGGUCGUUUUGACUUUUCUACUCCCUCCGUUCUAAGGUCAUUUUGGCUUUUUUAGAUGCAUAGAUGUUGUUAUGUAUCUAGACAUAGGGUAUAUCUAAGUGCAUAACAAAGUCUAUGAAUCUAAUAAUGUCAAAACGACCUAUAAUUUGGGACGGAGGGAGUAGAUACAUAGAUAUUACCCCCUCUGUCCUAGAAAGAAUGCAACUCUCGCUUCCCGAGAAAUCAACCAAUUUUAAAUUUGAUCAAAUUUAUACAAAAUAGUACUAAUAUUUAUCGUACAAAAUAAAUAUCAAUAGAUUAAUCAUGUAAUAUAUUUUCAUACUAAAUCUAUUUGGAGACGUGAAUGUUAGUACUUUUAUUUAUAAAUUUGAUCAAAUUCGAAACUGUUCAACUCAUCGAGAAAUGAGAAUUGUAUUUAUUUUGGGACGGAGGGAGUAUUAUGGAUUUAGACAUAGAGAAUAUCUAAGUACAUAAUAAAAUCUAUGAAUCUAGGACAGAGGGCCUUACUGCCAAUGUACCGAUUUCGAUCAUGUGAUCUGCAGGAGAAGGGGCUCGAUUAUUAGAGCUGCACUUUAUCUUGUCUCAUCAGCUUCAGUCUGUGCACAUCGAAUUAUCUUAUAAGAAAUGAUAUCUAUGUAGAGUUUGACAAUUAUUACUACUUGUUCACGUUAAAAUACUGAGAACAUAAACUCUAGACAUCAAACUCUGGUACUGUCACAUUUUUUUUGAAACACUUGGAUUGGCUGCAGCGCUUUGUUGUUGAAAAUUCUUCUGUUUCUCUCCUUCCAGAUAUUCCAAACCACGUACAUUGCUAUCGCUGCCAUUGAUCUUCUCACCUUGGUUGGAAUUGGAUUCAGAUUUUGUUCCAACAAUUCUGAAAUUCAGUCAUAGUGGCAUCUGGUGUACUGAAUACUGGUGCAGCCCAAUUGACCACCAGAUACCAAACCUCUUUAGCAUAACAGCAUUGCAGGCAGACGUGAUUAGCUGUUUCGACCUCCUGAUCACAUAAGGGGCAAAUUGCAGAGCAAGGCCAAUUCCUUGCUAGAAGCUUGUUAGCUGUGAGUAUUUUCUGGUGCAUUAGCAGCCACGUAAAGAAUUUUUGCUUUCCUUCAGUGUGUGCUCGCCAUAUGUCAUUCCCUGUAAAAGGUGGAUGGGUACUAAUGAACUGUGCUUUAUAUGUAGAUUUUGCUGUGUAAUCUCCAUUUGAUGUCCAUUUUCAACGAAUGCAGUCUUCUUGAUCAUUGAGUUGGUAAUCUUGUACAAGGUCCCAAAGGUCCACAAAUUCUAUCAUUUGUUCAAUUGUAUUCAUCCUCCAGAGCCCCCUAGUCCAAUUUUGGUUGUUUAGUUCCUCAUUGACCUUUCUGUUUUUCUCCAGGCCAAUUUGAAUAAGUUGGGUGCAAUAUCUAUUGCAGCUUUUCCAUUUAGCCAUGAACUGUGCCAGAAUUUUGCUUUGUUUCCAUUGCCGAUAGUUACUACUGUAGAAGAUCUGAAAAGUUGUUUGUCAAUCUGAUCACUAGGUGGUUGAGUUCCCACCCAAGGUCUUUCUUCAUCUGUCCACUCAUACCACAACCAUCUCAACCUCAAUACUCUACUGAACCUUUCCAGGUCGAGAAUGCCCAAUCCUCCUAGAUUUUUGGGUAGCAUCACUUUCUUCCAAGCAAUGAGACAGUGACCCCCAUUUGCCUGAUCAGUGCCUUUCCAUAGGAAAUUCCUUCUUAGCUUGUCUAUUUUCUUAAUUUCCCAUUUCCUAAGUGCAAAAAUAGUUAGAAAGUAAAUGGGGAUUGAGGAUAGGAUUGUCCUUACAAGGGUCACUCUUCCUGGCCUGUCAAUGAGUUUCCGCUUCCAAGCAGGCAGCUUAUUUGCAAUUUUAUCCAAUAGUAGCUGAACUUGCACUCUUGUGAGCUUCCUGAGGCCUAGAGGCAGGCCGAGAUAGGUGCAUGGAAACGAUUUCAGAGGACAAGGCAUGUUCUGCAAAACAUCUUCCAAAUUGAGGCCUUGGCAUUGAAUUGGGUAUGCUGCACUUUUAGCCAAGUUAAUAUUUAAUCCAGCUGCUAUACCAAAAGAGUCAAAGAUGUAUCUUAUGGUGUCAAUGUCUUCUCUUGUUGGGUGCAGAAACAAUGCAACGUCAUCAACAUAGAGGCUCAAUCUAAUUUUGGCUGCUCUGUUGUUUAGUGGUUUCAUCCAUUGAUUUUCUUGUUCCAUUCUAAUUAACCUUUGCAAUGGUUCCAAUGCCAGAAUGAAAAGAAAAGCAUAAGGGACAAAGGGUCCCCCUGCCUGAGUCCUGUUCUGUGCUUAAAAGACUGUGUUCUUACUCCAUUAACCAUUCCUGAGGAUGUGGCAGUGGAAAGUAGAAUGGAUACCCAAUUCCUCCAUCUGGCUCCAAAACCCAUUUGUUCCAAAACUUCCAUUAGAUAGUCCCAACAUACAGUAUCAAAGGUCUUGGCAAUGUCGAGCUUGAGAAAAAUUGCUGAUUGUUUCCUUCUGUGCAGUUCCUUAUGAGAUUCUGAGUGUAUAAGAAAUUAUCAUGUAUGCUUCUUUUCUUGAUAAAUGCACUUUGGUUUCUGGACACCAGACUUGGUAAGUACUGUGACAGCCUUAUAGCUAGAACUUUAGAGAUAAUCUUUGCCACACUGCUUGUCAAACUGAUUGGCCUGAACUCUGAGAUUUUGGAAGCUUCAGUUGUUUUUGAGAUCAGGGCUAUAUGGGCUGAAUUAAGUAGUUGGAAAUGUUGCCCAUAUAAUAUAUAGAAGAAGUUGACAACAACCAUCAAAUCUUCCUUUAUAAUUUCCCAACACGUUCUAUAGAAUUUCUCUAUGAAGCCAUUAGGUCCUGGAGCAGCCUCCUGUUUCAUUUCCAUUACCACUUUCUUCACCUCCUCUUCAGAAAAUUCUGUUUCCAGGUCCUGCAGAUCAUAAGAGGGCAUGUUGAUAACCUCCCAGUUCAAGGUAGCAAUCCUUAGUUGCAUAUCUCCAAGGAGCUUAGAGAAGUGCUGUUGGAAAGCUCUUUCUUUAUCUUCCUGCCUAUGCAAUGCCCCAUAAGAAGCCAUCUGUCACAGUCCAUUGGCUUACAUGUUCUUAGUUCAUUCAGAAAUUGCAAUUUAUCUGCUUCACCUUGUGGCCCAUACACCCCUGUCAUGCACCAUGUAACAGGCGUGGUCCUUGCUUCCAAUUUAACGGUUACAGUAUUAUAUCCAAGAUGAUGUGCCGUUAUUGUAUAGUAGUCUUCAUUUGCAGCUAUGAGAACUCCCCCUCUAGUAUCCUGUGCUAGCAAAUAUGCAUAAUUUGUUUGGAAUUGCAUCCCCAAGGUUUCUGUGACCAUUAAUGGAUCAAUCAACUGCAUCUUUGUCUCUUGCAAACAUACAAUAGUGCAUCUGUGUUCCUCCACAAGGUCCCUGACAACCUUUCUUCUUGCCCUGUCAUUUAGCCCCCUUACAUUCCAGUUCAGUACUAGACAAUUUUGUUCAUUCAUCGGCAAACAAUUGCUCUCUUUGACAGAAACUGCUCCAUAGGAAUGCUGACAAUUCCCUUUCUGUGUUCAGGGUAAUCCCUCUGUUGGCGACGAGAAACCCCUCCGGACACUGCUCCUACCUAGCAAAAUAGAGAAAGAAACCGAAGACAAUAUCUAACACUGAAAGAAGGAUUACAGUUAGGCUAGUCCCAGUGCAAGGUUUCAUUGCACUAUUUCCAAAGAUGCCACAUCAUCCCAUGAGGUGUAUUCUCAUGAAUGAAACAGGGAGUCCCAGUGCACAGUUUCAUUUCACGAUUUCAUAGGAUGCCCAUGACAUCUAAUUGUGAGGCAUGUGAUUGGAUAUGGUUAGAUGAAAUAAAACUCUAUAGCCCCCAAUGCAAGUUUCAAUAGGUUUCAUAGUCUUGGAAACAGUGUAUACACAGUUUCAUCCUGAUAAAACUCCUUUCCUCUCUCACUUCAUAAUACCAUGUCAUGUCAUCACAUAUGCUGAUGUGUCACCGUAUUUAAUGUGCAUGAAAUCUCUAUAAAACUCCCACUGAAAUUAGCCUUAAACAUACAGACACCCAACGACCACAAGCUACAGACACCAGUCCAAACUGAAAACGAACUACACCACAACACACAACAUAGCAGGUACAGGUACAUGGAUACAGCCCCACACUCCCCCCCCACCCCCACCCCCCCACCCCCCAAGAUGCUGUUGGAGAGGUGUCUAUUUAUGCCUCUAAUGCCAGCGCAUGAAAGGCCCAUCUUCCAUAUUGUUCAGAUCAAAAGCUUCUCUGAAUCCAUUCACUGUAGUUUUCACCAGUGGGUCAACAAAUUGUGUCCUGAAUUGGAUGCUGUCACUGUCAUCAGCUUUCUUUUUCUCAUUGAGUAUCCCACACUUCUUCAUUAGUGGUACUGUCACAUUAAAGGUUGAAUAUUAAACCAUGAUACUAGAAGAAAAGAGACAGUAUCGAUCAUGUCUCAUGUAUGUUCCUUCAUCUAGCACCGGACGACGGUUGGGGAUCGCGACGGCUGCGGCCAGGUCUCGUCGUGGCCGCACUCCACCAACGGUGCAGAGCAGAGCACCUCGUUCAGGGACCAACGCUGGCAUCGUGACUCCUCGCCACGCGGAUUCAGUUCAGCGUCAUUGUCGCGUUCGACGCCACCAGCUGUCGCCUCCGCGGUCACGGCCACCGCAUUGGGGACCGACGCCUUUGCCGUCCGCCGCCAUCAUCCCCUGCGCCGCGCUCCGCUCAGCGGUGGCCGCCACAUCCUGUCCGCGUCCUACGCUGCCUGCCGGCGGCGUGGCACGGCCCUGUGCGCGCGGCCGCCAACCACGGACUAACAGUAAACAUAUUCAACGGAAGACAGUCACAGCCACUUAAACGAGUGAUCAGCUAGGAAUCGGUGAAGAGGACGAUGACGGGAACACGAACGAUCGGUGAAGAGGCGUCUGCACGCCGCUCGCGGAAGAGGAAUCUGAUGCUGCGCACCGCCGACUGCACGAGGGAGAAGACCUCGAGGAGGACGACGCCCUCCGGUAAGGUUGCGGCCCAGGCACUGGCCCGAGCAUAGGGUUGAGCCGACCCAGGCACUUUUAACCUUAUGCCGGGCUGUGUUAGGGUCGGGCCUCAUGCCGCCCAGCGGGCCUAGCCCAUCUGGCCAUCUAUACGGUGUAGGGCCUCUAAAAAUUAGAAAACCAAUUUGACCUUAAAAAAACCUAACAGAAAUCAGCUUAUUUCCUGCUUGCACCUGGUUCAGGGCUCCAUGACAAAACAAUGAGCGAAAGCACCAGCCACAUGAGCCGGCCGGCAUCCACCGAGACGCAUCCUGUGGAGGAGAAUCCAACGCAGUGGAAUUGGGAUCGGCUCAUGCCUACUUGAUGACCGCUCACGAAUGCGAUAUAUACUCGUCGGACAACGACGGCGAUCCAUAUACGUAUCCUUUCGCCUCAGACAAAAACAAGUCGAAAUCGUGUGCGAGCAAGCUCUGAACAUGGCGGCGAGCGGCCGGAGCAGGGAGGAGAGGUGGAGCCUCGCCGGCAAGACGGCGCUCGUCACCGGAGGAAGCAAGGGCAUCGGGUAAGUCUAUACACGUGCGUUCGUGAGUGCGUGUUCGCCGUAUUGCUGAUGCUUCGCUUCGGUCCUGCAGGCGCGCGAUCGUGGAGGAGCUCGCGGGGUUCGGGGUGCGUGUGCACACCUGCGCCCGCGGCGAUGCCGAGCUGCAGGAGUGCUUGCGCCGGUGGGGCGCCGACGGCCGCCUCGCGCGCGUCACGGCGACCGCCUGCGACGUCGCGGCGCGCGGCGACCGGGAGCGGCUCGUGGCCGCGGCGCGGGAGGAGCUGGGCGGCCGGCUGGACAUCCUCGUCAACAACGCCGGGCAGACCAUGUUCCGCGCCGCCACGGAGACGACGGCGGAGGACUACGCGCGCCUCAUGGCCACCAACCUCGAGUCCUGCUUCCACCUCGCGCAGCUCGCGCAUCCGCUCCUCGUCGCGGCCGCCGCGGCGUCGCCGGGCGGCGAAGCGAGCAGCGUCGUCAACGUGUCCUCCAUCGGCGGGCUCGUCUCCUACCCGGCGCUGUCCGUGUACUCGGCCACCAAGGCCGCCAUGAACCAGCUCACCCGGAGCCUCGCCGUCGAGUGGGCGCAGGACAAGGUGCGCGUCAACUGCGUCGCGCCGGGGGGCGUCCGCACCGACAUCGUCGCCAGCAGCGGACUGAAGCUGGACCCGGAGGUGGAGCGGAAGAUGUGGGAGGCGGAGAUGGCGCGGGUCCCCAUGCGCCGCAUCGGCGAGCCGGAGGAGAUCGCGUCGCUCGUCGCUUUCCUCUGCAUGCCGGCCGCGUCCUACAUCACCGGGCAGGUCAUCUGCGCCGACGGUGGCCGCACCAUAGCCGCCUAGGCCUUGGUAGCACUGGCAGUAGCUGCGUCGACGGCGCUUGAAUUGGCUCGCUUGAUUAGACUGUUUGUGUCCUUUCAGUUUCUUCAGUAUUUCGGUUUUUAUAUUUUUUAAACUUCUUAGCGUUUUGAUGAAAUUAAACUCGUUGUAUACUACAUAAACUAGUACAGUGCUCGGGCUAAUCUUAUGAUUCAAUAUGGCGAUAUUUAUAGUUUAACAAAUUUUACCAACUGCCAUAGUUGUUAAAUGCUCUUCACAGCGUAGAGUUUCUUUUUCAUAUGCCCGCUUUCAUUACUCAUUUUCACAUUUGAGAGAUAAUGAUAUUUUCAUUUUUUUACUACUAAUCCAUUUUUCAAUCAUCUACCUGCAGACUGUGUCAAUGACAUGUACGACAAGAUCUCAUAUAUGUCAUUGGCUAGCCAUGCGUCCGGGAUCUAGUGCUUCAAUGAUUAGCAGCUAGCAACAACAUUCUUUUUCAUAACGAAUACGACAUGCUUAGUAUAAUUUCAUUCAGAUAGAAGGAACACACAUCCUAAUAUCAUUUUGUUCCACAUAUCCUAAUAUCCUAUCAAGCUCAAACACUUUUUUUUUCCCGAUAUAGGUAGUUCUAGUUUAUUACUUCUUAAAACCAAGCACAAACACUGGAAAUUAUUUGUUCGUUUAGCAGAAAGAAAUAAGAUUGUCCGCCGACAAGUGCACAUAGACAUGGCCAUACAAGAACAGACGACGAUUGGAUGCAGGAGCGUGCAAAAAACCGGGCGGUCAAGCAGGGAUGUUCAUCCAAACUCUGAUGAUACCGUAGGCCAGAGUGAGGAUCUCCUUGACGUUGUCAGCGAGCCGGAAGAACCAAUCGUUGCCGUAGUCGCUCUUGCUUUUCUCGAUCACCCCCGUGAAAUUGAGGAGCUGGGUAACCAGGUGAGCCACCUGGUAUCCACGAGUCGCCUGCAGCUUCGUGAGCUGCUCGAUCACCCAAGCGAUAUCGAUGGAAUACCAAGGUAGUUGUGCGGCGCCAGACCCAGCGCUGGAUUCCAGGGCGGCCGAGGCAAAGCUCUCCUGGCAGCUAGAGCUACUCGCCUGGGCGCGGUGGUGGUAGUGACAAGGGUAUCCAGGAGCAUACGGGUAGCGCCAGGUCGUUCCCUGAUGCUGCGACAUCCUCCAAGCACACCACUGACAGUAGCGGAGUGGCAUGGCGCUGCAGCAUUGAUAGAUCGUCAUCGUCCUUCAAAGAGAUGGAAGGAGAGAUAAAGAUGAGGAGAAUGAGUGUACUUAUAUUAGGCGCAGGGGGAAAGCGCGUGCACAAAUUUGGUCAUCAGUCAAGUGUUAAACAAAGGGAUUACGCGCAAAACCUUCAACUAACUACUGUGCAGUUUCCUGGAAACUUCGUUCCGGCAAGAUUUGGAAGUACAUUACUAGCAUUUGUUAUCAACAUUGUCAUCUUUCCAAUUUGUUUUUCUUUCAUUUGAACUCUUGUUGGCAAAAUUUAAAACUAUUCGAAAAGAUGUUGCUUCAAAUACUAAUUAUGGAUCAGGCCGGCAUUCAGGCUUACGGUAACGACGUAACCGCGUGGAACAAGAGAGACAUGCAUUGGAAGAAUGACACAGCAUUCAAACCACGCAAUGCCUCAUACUGAUGAGGCAAUACAGAAUGGACAUCAUCAUCUAGAUAAUUUCGUAGCAACUCAUGAGAGAAUGGAACCUUCCCAUGUAACGUAACCGCGUGGAACAAGAGAAGGCAAUACUGAAAGGUCUUGCUCGCAUCGGUUGGUAGGUAUACGAAAGAAGGAUUCGAACUGCAAAAAGAAAGGAGCCAUAGCUCAGAUCGCUUGUAAUUUGGUCCUCUCAUGAACUGAACUGAAAGAAAUGAAGUGCAGGUUCGUCACAAUAUAAUCUCUUAACCUAGCUACCAGCGUGCUCUUGGUCCACCCGUUCAGUUCUACAGGAAGCCCUCGAAGAUGUCUUCCGCGGCCAUCGCGUACAUGCCGAUCCAUCGCAGCGGCACGAAAUCCUGUCGGAUUUACCAAAAAAAAAACCGAAAUCCAGCCGGUUCCGUCCGCAAAUCGUUUCCAUUUCGGUGUCGGAGUCCGAUCACGAUGUUGUUGAUGAUUUAUGGCCGUGCUUGUUAUGGCACCAUAGCAGCAGUGAAACCGCUUCUCCAACAGCCAAAUUCACCCAUGGCUAUGGCGGCGCUCAGGCCAAGCCCAAGCGGGUACGACAUCACGGCCGAGACGACGGGGCUACACCUGAAGCCCCGGCGGCCCGGCGGCCAGCCGAGCGUACUGGUCCUGCGCUUGGCGGUGACGGAGACCCACAACUGGUUCGGGAUAGGAGGCCGGAGCGGGCGGCUCCGCCGUCCCCGGCGCCUGAGCAGAGACAUACGGCUGCCCUUGGCCAGCUCCGGCCCCGACUACCUCCGGAGCGGCGACGACUGCCGCCGCCUCAUCGCCCGGACGACGAUGCACGAUGUGCCGGCGCGACAAGAUUCAGUUUCUGCCACCGGAUUACAGGGCCGUGCAUGACAUGAUGCUCUCUGACCCUGAGAGCUCAUGCUAGGCUCUCUCAGCUGGCAGCCACGGGGGCAAGCAUGAACACUGACCAGCUACUGUCAAAUUCAGGGCCUGCGAAACUGCAAUUCAAAUCUGAUUUCAAACAAAUUUGGACAAACGGAGGCACCGUGUCUGUACACUAAAUUAGAGCUUCCAGUAGAGGCCGGCGCGGUGGAGGACGCCGGAGACGAGGGCCCAGAAGAGGAUCUGCGCGAAGAGGACGUAGAGGAGGAUGCCGACCCUGGUGGAGUGCCAUACCUUCACGAACACGUGCUUCCUCACCCAGUAAACCUGCAGGCGUGCGUUCGUUGCUCUCAUCAGCUGAACUGAAGAAACCAAAGCUUCAGUUCCAAACUGCAAUCUCAGCUUUACCAGCGUGUUGUUGGUGCCCUCGUAGUACCACCCGUUGAGGAACCCCUCGAAGAUGCCCGCCGCGGCCAUCACGUACACCAGCAUCGCGUUCAUCCCGAUCCACCGCAGGGGCGCGAACGCGUAGCCAUGGUUCAGGAUGUCAACCUGCAAGAGCAAUUUUCAGGUUCUGAAGAAUGCUACUUAUCAUUCAGGGGAUGGUUUGGAUGUUUUAUUUGUUUUUCUAAACAAUUUUCAGACCCCCGAUGUAAGAUAUCGAUUUAAUUACCAGGAAGUAGAAUAUGGAGAACACGACUCCAGCAGCGCCGGCAGUGACGCAGAUGUAACUGAAUGUGUAGAGUUGUUUAUUAAGUGGAAUUGCUGCAAAGGAAUGUGUAGAGCUGCUUGUCAAGCAGGAUUCAGAUGUAAUGUCACUCACAUGAAGAUGAAAAACAUGAGUUAUUAUUAUGCUUUUUUUACCAUGUGAGAAAUGUAGAAUGAUUCCAAGAACAAGAAGAGCUAUGCCCAUGGUAAACCACUGCCUCAGCCUCUCUGUAUGACUCUGAAAUUUCAGAAACAAGAACGCAUGCUAGUAAGCGUGUUGCAGUCUCUGCUUUCUGACACCACAAUAUAGAUCUGAAACGAGAAGCAUAAUCACCUUCAUAUGGACAAGCACAUGCCCGUAGUGCACACCAAUGAUCGUACUCAAUACCGCAGAAAAUGAGCUGCAAAUUGAUGAGAUAGUAGUGUUAACCUGAAUCAGCAGAUGAGAAUUUCCAUUCAGCAGGCCAUACAGGCAGGUUUAUCUUUCACAUUCAGUUACUACUUACUAUAGUCAUUUUAAGAAGUUUCAACAUUGAACAUGCUAAAACAACAGAUGUAGCAUGAAUCUGACAUAGUGACAAGUACCUUAGUAUCCCUUCAGGUUCGAAUGGCGCAACACACCAUGCUGGGGCAUCGUUCUUAAAAGGCCCCUCAUGUGGGGAACUAUCAGUACAGGCCUGCAUGGACCAGGACAGUAGUUGAUAAACACUGAAAAUAACAGUAAAGCAACAGCAAAGCGUUUAGUCAGAAAACACAAACCUGGUGCCUUCUCCAUGCCGGUCUCUGGUACAAGUGAUUGAUGCCAAGAAUUUUGCGGUCAAUGUAACCAACAGCAUUGCAAGGAGGGCUUAAUAUCCCCCUUGUACCACAAGUCACCUAAACAUUAGGGAACAUUACAGUGAGUUGCAGUGUUUCACAAAACAAUUGGUAAUUAGCUCAUUUCUGAAGCGCAAGAAAUAAAUUAUGAGAAAAAUCCCAUACUGUUAAAACUUUGCCGUAGUUUGGGCUGUCAACAUUUUGCACUCUGAAUUCCCAGUCAGGAACAUAAAUUCCAUAAACAAGAGAUAGGUAGACCACUAGAAUGCAGCAUGCAACAAUCCUUGCAAAUGCACAGAUCAUGCAAUUAGCAUGUAGAAAUGAAACCUGUCAGUGUGAGAACUAAAAGGAAAUAAAACCUUGCAUACCAUUGGGAAAGGUACAUUCUGAAGAUAGAGAAGCCUGAACUUGACUGAUCCUGAAUCUUUGCAUCUUUUGUAACAAUCUCUAGAACUGCAGCUACCAAGUAUGCAAGAGCAAUCCUCUGGAGGAGCAAGAACCGGAUUACUCUUGAUAGCACACAGCCUCCUUUUGAUUCAGAUAUUAUGAAAUUUUACUGGGUUUCAUUGAUACCUGGAGAAUUCCACCCCAUCUUACGUGCUUCAUGUCAACUCCAUAUGUCAGUUUAUCCGGAGCAUGCGAGUAACCGCCUGAAUGUAUUCAUCAAUUGCUAGUCAGCUUUGUUGCUAGAGCCUAGAGACGUGCAAUUGUGAGGAUUUGAAGGACAUUUGCAGAAUAACCUUGCAACAGGAUCCCCCAAAAGAGCAGCUUCAGUGUCCUGAUGACUACUCUCCUGAUGGCUUGACCACGGUCAGGAAUUCUCUGCGUGUUUGUGGCAAUACAGGUUAUACCAACGAAUAUUGAAACAGCAUCAGUGAGGAGCAGCUUUCAGUAUGCGUUUAUGUUGAUCCGUGUUGAAUUCAAACUUGACUGAUGGCGUCGUGGCGUAUAAGAAAGCGUCGAAAGGGACAUCGAUUGAUACAGACAGGCCAUGUACACAGUACACCAGUAAUGCGAGAGAAACAGGAUGGAACCUUGAGGGAGAGGGGAAUGGCCAUGCCGACGAUGAAGAGGAAGAAGGGCAUGACGAAGUCGGCGAGGUUGCAGCCGUCCCACGGCGCGUGCCCGAUGACCGGCCACUCGCCGCCCGCGCCGUCCACCAGUAUCAUCAGCUGCACACGGACGAACAGACGUGCUGACAUGACAUCCAGAAACACUAAACACUGACAACUCAUCACUCAUGACUGAUUCCUUCCUACAAUCUAUCCAUUGCCCCAGAUUUCCAAUAAGAAUUCUCGAUUCUGUCAGUUAGAAAUAACAGCCAGGGGCUAAUUCUGACUUGCAAUUGUCAGUAAUUCCAGAAACCUUGUUACUACUACGAACUUCGCCGCAAUGAGGCAGCCUGAAGGAGCAAGUGGAGAGAACGAAAGCCACUUACAGCGACGGUGAGGCCUCGGAACACGUCGAGGGAAGCAACCCGCUUGCUCCGGCGAGGCGCCUUCUGGUUGCCGUCGUCUUCAUCCACCAGAGCAGGCUGCCGUUCAGGAUCCUCCUCGGCGGCAUCGCCGUGCGGCCGCUCAACCUUCUUGCCUCCGUCCAUGGAUCCCCCACUACCCAAGCAGCCUCCAGUCCCACUGCGUCCGUCCAACACGAACAGGGCGGGGGCAGCACCCGCCGUGCAAGUACUAGUAAGCGGCCGAAAGCUGCGUGACGCCGACGGGGCUCGGAUAUAUUGGAUAAGAGGAGGAGGAUCCCCGAUUCCUUGAAGCAAUCGCUCACUCGCUCAUCAGCUGCCGAACGUGCUCGCAUGUCGUGCUCCGGUGAGCCAGCGAGUGUCGCCGAGGCACCAGACAAAACCAACCAGCCUUGCUCUCUCACACGGCGAAUCAUUGAUCCAUUGGGCACACUGACAGGCUGACAGGUGGGGUCACGCACGUGCUGCAUCUUUUUCUUUUCUUUUUCUUUUUGCCGUGCCGGGUUUUUUGGCCGUUGCGCAGAACACGCCGAGCUCGGUGGAGGGCGUCGUUUUCGGAUGGAUGCGACAGGUUUGGCGAUCGAGAAGAUUGGGGUUGGCUGGGGUUUGCCGGAUGAGCUCGGUGCCCAUCUCAACGUCACUGGCCCAUCGGAAUGCACGAGUCCUUUCAGUAGACAGUGAAGUGAGUGAAUGCUGCAGGUUUUAGGAGAAUUACAUUUACUUCUGAACCUGAAUUUUUCUCCCCUGUGCAGUCGUUUGCCAUUCCACUCGAUCGUAGUGUGUGCGUGUCCGGACUUGAAACUUAUGCUUGAUGUUGCAGGCACUAAUGCACUAUGGUGCCAUGAGAUAAGCCAUGUGAAAUCGAUAUGUUAUUACUUCAUUACUUGCAGUAACCCAACGGGAUAAACAGAACAAAGCAUGCGAGAUAGCAUGUAUAAACGACCAAACGAAUCAGCAACAAACUAGUAAAGCGACGGCUAAAAUGGGUUCUGAUCUGAACCAGCCGAGCCCAAGGCUAGCAACGCAGCAAUACGCGUGGCUACUGCGACGACGAGGCGAUCUUGACGACGGCCUGCGCGGAGAUGGGCGGCAGGCUGAGGGAGCAGAGGCUCUCCCAGGAGGCGGCCACGGUGGGCGCGUCCGCCUCCUCCUCCUCCCCCCUCGCCGCGGCCUCCUUGGCGAAGGCGCCGUGCAUCGACCCCACCACGCUGCGGGCGGCCUCCCUGGCUUCCGGUAGCCGGUCGUUCAGGAGCUCCGCUGCCACCUGGAGGAGCGCCGACAUCCCGAACUCCUUCAUGGCCUCGAUGUCCUGCGCGAGCACCAACCACGCAAAAAGGAAGGAUUUUGAAUCUCUUCUCUCCGAAUUGUGUCUGUGUUACACUCGAAUUGCGAAGGAUUAAUUUGAUUUGAGUUGCGGCGUACCAUCCUGGCGGCGCAGUGGGAGAUGGCGACGGCGGCCUUGGCCCUGACCCUGAGGUUGGCGUGGUGGACGUACGCCUUGAGCUUCUUCAGCAGGGGGAGCGGCGGCAUCGACGCCGCCAUCGCGCGCAUCGCCUUCUCGGCCUCCUCGCACACGAACCGCUUGUCCUGGGACGCCUUCAGCAGGAGCUGCAGCAGCUGCAGGCAGAGGCAAACUCAGAUAAGCUGCGGCAAACAGAUAAGGUGCUGUUCCUUUGUUGGGGACGCGACGCGACACGUACCAGCUUGUCGAAGGCGUCGUCGGAGACGGAGGAGAGGAGGUUGCCGCAGGAGUUGAAGAUGUCGGUGCAGGCCAUGAUGGACGUCUUCAGCACCGCGCUGCGCGGGUUCUUCAUCGUCUUCACGAUCGCCAGCAUCACUUUCUCCCUGCCAGAUUAGGCACGGAUCAAGUCAGGGAUUCCUCAAAAUCCCACGAAAUCAAACGAGAAUGUGGGUGCAACGGCUUACAGGAUCGGGUUCAGGAGCGCGGAGUGGUGGAUCGCGAGGCGGCGCGCGUCGUUGAGCGCCUCGCACGCGCGGAUCCAGUCCUUGGAGUCCAGCUCCGCGACAAGCCCCGCGGCCUUGGCCUUGGGGUGGGCCGCCGCCUCCAGCUCCGCCGACGGGAUGUACUCCACAGCCUGCUCCCCCGCCGCGGCCGUGGCCCUGGGCGCCGAGUUCUCGUCGUUCUUCUUCUUCUUCUUGCCGCUCCCGGGGGAGGCGGCCUUGACGGCGGCGGCGGGGGCGGGGACGGCCACCUUAGCGACCUUCUUGGGCCGCUCCUCGACGACGGCGGGCAUCGUGUUGUCGAGCGCGCGGAGGGCCAUGGGUUCCUGUUGCUGGUCAAGCUCACCGGAGGCUGCUGCUGCUGCUAUUCUUGGAAUGGUUCUCGGGGAUGGAGAUGGAGACGGGGAGAGGUGGCGGCGGCGGCGGCGGCGAUUGAUGCUUGUGGAGAGUUGGGGGAUGGAAAGGUCGAUGAGACGGAUUGGAAUUUUAAAUGCGGAGGGUGGGGAGAGGGGGGAUGGAAUGCACGGCUGUGUCCAACGGCUAUAAAAUGUUCAAACCCGCGAGUGAACGUUGGGAGCUUGUGAAGUUGUGAUGAUGUUUUCUUUACCGUUGCAAAAAAAAAAUGGUAAACGAAUUUUUCGAAAUAAAAGGUGUGGUCAAUUGGCUCACUCAAUGACAGAGUGGGGUCAUCUGAGUCACUGAAUGUGGGCCAGAAUGGCAAAUGGAUUGUCAUCCACUUGAAUUAAUUAGAGAUCUGCAGUUUUUGAUAUAUCUGUUCGGUAGUUUUGAAUUCGUGCCUACUGUGAGAGAAAUAGCCAGUGAGAGCGGAUAAAUGGCGCAACUGAACUGCUGAAAAAGUGAACGACACCGACAUGAACAGCAGGGAUCACGAAUGGUCACGGGAUACCUGAGCUGGGAGAACCUGCAGAAAUUACUAGCCGAGAGAACACUUGGUAUUUGCUAGUGGAGUUUCCAACCCUUGUCCCGUAAGAGCGUACUUCCUCUAUCUCUAGAUAACUGUCGCUUUUAAUUUUCAUACCACAAAUUUAACUGGAUUUGUAGAAAAUACGCGCACCAUUUUGUAUCUCAAAUAAAUUUAUUAAAAAACUAUGUUCAAAUAUCUAUGAUAUUAAUUUUGUAUCAUAAAUAUUAAUAUAUUUUUAUAUAUAUUUAAUUAAAAUUGUUUCUCAGAAAACGAAAAAGACAGUUACUUAGGUCGGAGGGAGCAGGCGAGGUUUGGAAUGCCAUUUUACUGGAGAGGCUUCAAUCCAUUUUCUACCGCAGUGUGCUAGCAAGUCGGUCGGUGCCCAAAGGACCGUGGGACCUGUCUCGAAUAAAAAACAAAGUCCGGCCCAACCACCACUUCAUUCGCGCGAGAAACAAUUCCCCUCCCCUGCCCCGUCCCUUUUUCCUCCUCGACGAACCCUAGGACAAAAAUCUCCCAAAUCGAUCUCUUCGCUUCCACGUAUCUCACAAAAUCGAGACCCCCUCUCCCAGAUCUUGGCUUAGCAAGCAAUUCCGCUCAUGAAUCCGGAGGGAAUCGGAUGGAAUCUCAGCGUUUGGGACCGGUCGCUAGCGGCGCCACGGGGCGACGCCUGGCCGCGGGCGGCGCCACAGGACGAGGCCUGGCGCGCGCGGCGCUGCUUUGAUUCUGAACGGCAACGCCAUGCGUCAAGCUAGCUCAGGUUCGUUUCGAUUGCCUCACAGCUGUGUACAGGUAGUUGUUUUUUUUUUUUACCUAGGAGCACUGAAUACGUAGAGAUAGAUAGGUGCUAGAAUAGAGCAGGACUCACGAGAUACACAUACACACAUGAAGGAAACUGAAAUCAUUAAUAUAGAGUAAACUAGUACAAUUUGACUGCGAUAAAAUGAAAGUACAUCAAUUUUAUUGUCAAAAUAAAAGAUAGCUAAGAUUGAUUUCCUCUAAAUCGCUGCCAUAUGUGCUCAACCAAGUCAUCCUUCAGUCGGCGAUGCAUAUCUUGAUCUCGAAUGUCUUCUUCUAUCUCCAGUACUUUGUAAAAUUCAUGAAUGGGUCCAUGUCCAUAUCCAGAUAAUGGUGCAGUUGAGGUCUGGUCAUAUUCGCUGUUAUAGUCAUGAUCGUAGCGUACUUUGUAAGUAUCCCUUUCAUCCUCCACAAUCAUGUUAUGUAAUAUAACACAUGCAUACAUGAUCUCAGCGAGUGAUCGCAUUUGCCACAUACGUGCUGGGUUACGUAAAAUGGCAAAGCGAGCUUGCAAAACCCCAAAUGCUCGUUCAACAUCUUUCCGUGCUCCUCCUUGAUGUUCAGCAUACAAUUUAUCUUUUUCACAUUGAGGCAACUGGAUCGUUUUCACAAAUGUUGCCCACUCAGGAUAUAUACCAUCUGCCAAAUAGUACCCCAUAUUGUACUCAGUUCCAUUGACCAUGAACUGAACUUCUGGAGCUCUUCCUUGCAGUACUUCGGUGAAUAGAGGUGAUCGAUUUAGGACGUUGAUGUCAUUGUUUGACCCGGCUGUACCAAAAAAUGCAUGCCAUAUCCAAAGGUCUUGCGAGGCAACGGCUUCUAGCAUUACGGUGGGUACUCUAUGGUCACCACGAGUAUUCUGCCCCUUCCAUGCCACUGGACAGUUUUUCCAUUGCCAGUGCGUGCAUCUCCUGAACUGGGUGAGAUUGUCUACUCCAUUUCGGUUGGUCCUUUACUGCUCUCCACCAAUGUUCAAAUGGAAAAGGUCUUUUCUUUUUGGCAACCGUUUUGUACUUUGCACGAACCUUGUCCAUGAGUUGAUCUUCAGAUUGACCGUUAGAAUAUGUGCUGCAGAUAUCGUGGUACACUCCAUUAAACUUGUUAAUAUGAGGGAUAGUCUUGUUCCAAUGUUCUUUGCACUGCAUAGCUGUUCUCUUUUUACCUCCAGGUGCAUGCUUGUUGUACUCAUCUGCAAUGUCCUUCCAAAAGCGGCAUGACUUCUUCCCAUUGCCUGAAAUUGGGUCAUUUGAAUUUUUUAACCAACAACUUACUAGGCAUAGGUCAUCCUCUUGAUUCCAAAUUAUACGCCCUCCUUUCUUUUCAGCUUCAUCUUCACUUGCAUCACUCCACUCUUCUAUGUCAACAGGAUUUGAAGGCAAUGUUGGUGCUGAAGUUGAGAAAAUGAGGUGAUUGGGCUGCUCUCUCCGCUGCCUAGAAAGAAGGCCAUUGAUCCCACCAGAGAUGCUGGACCAUUGGCCACGAAACCUCCUACACCUCCUGGCAGGUACUGCCCAAUAUUGACUGGGAAAGGGCCUCCAUGGUAGCUUACUGGUGUGGGAGACAAGCUCUGAUAGCUUGGACCUGGAAAUGGGUUGACAUUCUGUGGGUAAUGACCAUGGAAAUUUGGAUGAACAUGUGGAGGCAGGUAGUUCAGGGGAUAAUGGUGUGGCCAAAAAUUCUGGUGCUGCUGCUGUGUGUGUUUGUAUCUUGUGGAUCUGAACUAAAGAUCGAGGAGUUGAGAAAGUUUGUGAGGCUCCCUGAAGAUGACUUAUCCAUGUCAAUGGCUGGUUUGGUCGUUUGUAGUAUUCUAGUGUGUAUGCACAAGUGAGAAGAAGUUCAUGUCUAUUUGUAUGCAAAGAGAUGUCUGUAUGUGAAUUGUGACCGUUGCUACGAACACAUGAAGCCAACGGUCGUAUGCUGAAACAGUGUUGAAAUAUUAUUCUAUUUGGUUGGAGAAGUUGAGCACCGAGAAGAGUACUGACGUCGGUGCCAGAUCUUUUUUACCAGGCAUCGGUGGCUGCAGUGGGAAACCCGUUGCCUGGAAAUCUCUCUCCUAAACCAGGCAUCGGUCUCCUACCACACUGCGGCUGCUCUAAGAUGUUCAUAGUUGAAAAGUAAACACGGAAGUCAAAAAUUUCCAUAACAACAACCUAUUCGGUGUUUCCGGUAAUUGUGUUUCCGGUACUUGAAAGCAACUCGCGUAUCAAGUCUAUUAAAACAAUUCGGUGUUGCCCAUUUGGGCCAUUUCCAUCGAGUAGAUGGAAGAUGUCAUUUACCUAAAAAGUACAGUCAAGUGCCCAAAACCCAAAUGGCACUUGCAACCUCUGUAAGACUUUGUGUUGUAUGGUGCUGACUGCUGGCAGUCGAUUCAUCACCCUAUCUCCAAUUUCCACAACUCCACGAAGGAGAGAAAUUGGAAUCUAUCAAAAUUGUCCGCAACUUAUGUACAAAGGAAGGGUGAGGCCUCAGUCAGGCAAUGCUCCAUCUGGGCACAGCAUUGUUGGCCUGAGACCACCACCAGGUGUUCAAUGUAGUUGGUUCUUGGAGUUCCCUGUAACCUUCCUCUAACUUUCCAUUCUUGAUCAGGCCACGGGCAGCAAACCCCAUGAGCUCCGAAGGAUCCACGUGACGCUGGAACCAGUUUGGAACAGCAACAUCACUGGGGGCUGGAGAAACGCUUUGUUCCACUUCCAGGCGCAGUUCAGGCUCAGCUUCCUUUGAUUGCUCCUGGACAGCUGAAGGUUCUGAUGAUAACAUGGAGUUCCCUAUGCCAAAUCCUUCCCAAUCAACCUGCUGCCACAGACGGUAUCCAUCAUCACUCACAUUGUGUAUGUUAUGAUUUUGGAGUUCAGAUUGCUGCUCUGCUGCAAGUCUGUCAACUUCAACCUUCAGUUCUUGCAAUCGCUGCCCAAUUCUUUGUGUUGCUUUGUCAUACAGGAUCCCUCUAGAGGUAUGUUGAGUGUCAUCGCUGUUGUCAAUGAUCAGAUCAUCGAAAUUGAUUGGGUCACCCACAACUACAAUCACCUAGAAAACCAAAUAAAUAAUUUAGAAUCCCACAAAGAUUUUAUGAUAGCACUCAAUAUGAGCUGCAUAGGCACUCACCCUUUUCCCUGCUCUUGGGAUACGCUUUCCAACAGGCAUUAUAUCCUGCAUCCCAGUAUGGACAAAGGGUAUUACAACUGGAAGGCUGUCAGUGUCCAUCACCAACCUGGUAAAACAAGAGCAAAUUGAAUUGAGUAAAACUCAACAUCGAUCAAUAGGAACCUUAUUGGAAAAAUUUGUAUGCAAAAGUAGAAUGCAGGUUUUCCAACGAAAACAGAAACAAAUCAACGGUGGCUCGGUAUUCUUUAGAAAAAGGACAGUAUUGAAAGAACCAGUUUUCUAACCUUCCAACACCUCUCUUGGCAGGAGCAAUUGUUUUCCCUCCAUCCCUUGAACGGCUUCCUUCUGGAAAUAUAUGAACCCAUCCACCACUGUUCAGCUUUGAAAGAGCCAUAUCCAUUCCCUGAACAAAGAAAAAAAAAGAGAGAGGCUAUGAGAGAAGGCCAUGCCUAGUGGUACAUCCGAUUCAACACAUCCAAAUGCAAUCAACUAUACCCCAUGAUCUUGGAUCAGAAAGAGAUGACUUGAGAUAUUAAUGCAUGAAGCACUAAAAUUAUAUAAGGUAAGAGGGCAAAACGAAGUACAUUACAAACUCAUGCACCACCAAAAUACAUAACUACCCUUAGGGUUUGGUGUAAUACUUCCUUAUGGAAAGCCAACUACCAGAACCUGUUAUUCCCCUCGUCUUCUAAUUCCUAAUAUUCAACCAAGGAAUUCUCUAUAAUAAUUUGCAAAUCCACAUCUGCUAAUUGUCCUCUUGCACCUGUUGCAAAUUCCCAUUCUGAAAUGUUGCAAAGGCUAGGGUUUAAUUUAAUUAUGUACUUCCACCAUUAUUCCCCAGAAGUCAUGUUACUAAAAGGUUAAUAACAUUGCAAAUUGCAAAUCAUUGACGGGGCCCAUGAGAUGAAGCAAAAGCACAUCAAGUAUAUCUAAUAGCACUUUAAUAAUACUAAUGCUUUCACAAUAUUUAGACCAUUCAUAGAGUACUUGAUAACCACAAGAUGGAUACCUUUUGGUAGAUUCCAUCACCGCGAGAAACAGGUAACACCUUAACAGACCUGAAGAAUGUAGACAGGACUGGAUUUGUAAAGCAACGAUCAGUCGCACAAAGUGUCCAUCUCAGCUUUUGUGCUUCCAACAUAAUAGAUGGUGGGAGAAGGGAGGCAAUUACAAAGGGGUCAUCCAUUGCUGCCACAUGAUUGCUGACCUGUAAAUGAAAAUUACAAAUAAGAUAGAAGACCAUGUGACUAGAAGAAUGCAUAGUUGAGAAAUAUACAGUAAAGAAGGCAUCUAACGUGUUUGGAAUAUCUCAAUGGAGAGUUAUUGCAAAAUCCAAAUCAAAUGGUGCCAAAAGUCAUCUUAAAGAGAACACAUGCUACAACCUAAGAGCCUUUAGAUUUGUUGAGUAUUACUCCAAAAAUACACAAUAGAUGUCCUGCAAUUAAGCUGUUCCAUACCGUUAGAAGAGGCUUGCCUUUAGGUCUCUCUUGUAAUGCCUGAUGAAGCUUCUCGGCACCAUAAAUCUGCACACCCUCUCAUAGUUUAGACAAAUGAAACAACCAGACUAAAGUAUUUGUGUGUUCUGUUUUCAGCUAGAAUACCUGGACAGAGUUAAGGCCAUGCAUAAAAACAUAGCAGGCGUUGCCAAUAAGAGGAACAGCCAAUGCUUGAAGUGAACGGAAAAUAACAGAGUCUUCAAUACCAUCAACUUCUUUGCCCACUGAUAAACAAAAAAUGAUUCAUCAGUAGGAUCUCUUUUUAUUUUUGAUGAUUCAUCAGUAGGAUUUCUUUUUAUUUUUGUUAUGAGAUGAUAAAAAAACUUAAAACUAGUAAAUAAUCAGGCUUCACGUGGGACUACUUCAAUACAGAAGUGAAUACACUAGCUCGAAAUCAACGAACCGAUAGCUAUACAGUAUCAACUCAUGGGCAUCACUGUGACACAUUUGAACCAAACUGGAGCAAAGCCCGCCAUUAUUUACCUUUCUUCCGGUAGAAUCUCAAAGCACUGGACGAAGGCUUCGCCGUCGCCCCAGUAGACGUCCCCGUCGAGGUGGAGCUCUGAUCCGCUCCCCGGUCUCUCUGCAGCUGGGCCCGAACGCGAUCCGACCAGCGCCGGACCGCCUCUGUGGCGACGCUUCCGUCCGGCCGCCGCCACAGCCACCGGCGGUCCACGGGCGCCACGCGGAACCUGUUGCGGAUCUGCGCCCCCACCACCCGCGCCCGCUCCGCCCACGGAGCCCCGCCGCCGGCCGCCAUUGGGGGCUAGGGUUAGGGUUUGUGCUCGGUCCGAACACUGGAGGGCGUCGAGAAGAGAUUAUUUUAGAGUUUCGAGCUUGCGAUUGCUGUUGCAUCAAAUCAAACUAACGGAAAAUUUACUCGCGGCCUUGGUAAGGAAGAAAGCGAGGGAGGAGAGGGUGACGGGACCCAGGUGCAGAGGAAGAGUCCCCGAAAAAUAUCAGGUGUGGGUCCAAUCCGAUGCACAAGUAGGGCCCAGUGACAGUGAAAGGAUGGUGGCCAUCGGUUAGGGUGGGAUUAGGACAUUCCUAGCACGCAAAAACGUCGGCGAAGGGUCCCAGGUGCUGAUGCAGGCUCCUUAUCCAGAAAUAUCCGAUGAUCCGAUCCGAAUGCAUCUAAAACUGCCAAGAAGAUCAUCUUAAAAAAAAAUACAAAGAUGUUUCAAUCAUGAACUUCGAACUAUCGGUGAACAGAUGCCCAACCCGUUGAUUUUUUUAGAGGGGGGGGGGGGGGGGUGCAUUUAGUGAGGCCUUCAUAAAGUGGAACCGUCAAUUAUGAACAAGAACUUCACACAUAUAUUGACAUCUAUCCGGCUGCAAAAAGCAGCGGAAGACAGCACACCACGCUACAGAAUAUGACCUCGAUCCAUGUAACAGUGAGGCGACAAAAUUUGGGCAUGGAACCACGCUAAAUUAUGGCAAAUUCAGCUCAAUGCCGAAGAGAUAUCGUCCAAAUCAGAUCAGAAUCUGAGGUCACAGUUACUUUAUCGUCAUCCACGAUGUUAGAUGUGCUUACCAAUCCACCAUAGCUCAUACUGGUGUUAUCUGGAGAGGAAAGUGGAGCAUAACUAAUUAGAUGUUGGCAUACAACCAUACAAGAAAAGAGGAUUAUAAGGUGUGAUGUUUUUACCCAAAUUCCACCGAAGCCCGGUUGUUGUGGUGCUAGUGGACGGUCCGCCAAUGGGAAUCAAACCACAGUGAGGACCUUCGACCGAUUUCUCAAUAUGGAUCUCAUGGGUAUACGUCUUGGGGAGCAGAAAGAUUGAACAGUCAUCUGACAGGAGGACGAUCUUGGUGUUUGAGAAGCGGUAUAAUACAUUGAUGUUCCCCAUCUCAUGAUCAAACCUUCCUCCAAGUGCACCAAGAACAAGAAUACACAGCUGCAAUCACCGGAAAAUCUGUUAAGCUGAUGUUGCAUAGUUGUAAUGGAUGUUUAUGAUCAAUUUAGUUGAGUACGUUAGACUUGUCUGAGACAGGGAGAUCUCUUGUGAUAAAUGAUACACAUUUGUGCAAGUCAGUUGUGUCCUGAUCAUGUGAUUCAUCAACUAUGUUUGUGCCCUGCAAUCAAACAAAAAAAAGUAUCAGUUGCUAAGUUCACGAAAAGUUCCUGUCAUUGUCAACAAAAAAGCUUCAAGUGUCAGGUUGUAGGAAUCGGGAGGCUGCAAUUUAAGUAAGGUAACACUGGGAAUGGUCCAGCAGAGAGAGGAUCAGGAAACAAGCACUUCCUCAAUUUACCAGUGGCCUCUAUGAAUUUUCUCAAAAGGUUAAUCAGAAGCAGCAACAUACAGGGGAUAUCGAAGUGCUCAAUUUCUUUAGCCCAUGAGCUUCCUGAGGAUAUUCCAAAACUUAUAUAGCAGGAAAAUUAAAGUGCAGAAUUCAAAUUUUGGACAGUCCUACAAGCAUUAUUACAUUUGCACUUCUUAAAUGCUCUUUUCUCUUGAUUCAAAAAUCUCUGGACAAGAAUCUACAAUAAAACAAGGCAUUGCACGUUCCUGACUAGGAAGUUUGGACAGUCCAUAUGCCUAAUGAUUAAUAAAACUACCUCUAUCUGAUUACAACUGCAAGCCUUUAGGGCAUUGACAUGGUUCCAAAUGCGAAACUUUGACUAGUGAUUUCUAUGAACAUUUGUAAUCUGAAAUAAAAACAAUUAUAUGUUGUAAAGGUAUUUUCAAUGAAUCUAGUAAUCAAAUUUAUGUUCUCAAUCUACAUAAUUGUUGAUAUAUUGAUGGUCGAUAUUAAUUGACCAACAGAGGUCCCAAAACAACUUGCGUUUGGAAUCAGAGGGAGCAAAGUGGUUUGAUAUACAGUUUGAGCUUGCCAACAAAAACCAGACAAGGAGAAUUUCAAACAUAUUCAAGUGGAGCCAGGGGCAAAAGCGUUGAUAUGUUAUACAUGUGCACUGGAAGCACUUACCGAAUUGGAAUAAUAUUCCUUCACUUCUGGCCUUAUUGAAUCCAUAUCCCCUUUAAUUACAUCUGGCUUGUACCUGCAGGAAGAUAAGAUUACAUUAAGUGGUCCUGAAUCCUUCCCAACAACCAACAAACCAAACUGUCUUAAAUCUCUUCUAACUAGUAUCAGGCAUGACAAACCAACCAACCAUGCUCCUUUGCCUGAUGGAAUAUACCCACAUAAACAAUAUCCUCAGCUGAUUCAUCAUGAUUGAAUUUAACAAUUAUCAAAUCUGAGAAGAAAUGCACAAAAGUCUUCCAAACUUAUGGCAAACUACCAAAGCCCAAAAAGUGCCUGUAAACACUCUGAGACACAUACGUAAUAUGAGAAAACAAGCAUACUCUAACAUCACUAGUGACUUCAUAGAACUGAAAGAGCAAUUUGUUAGCUUAAAGUAGUUGCUUGCUCGUAUCAAAGAAAAGACAACCCAAACAAACAGCCCCCAACAGUAUUCCAUGGCAACAUAUAGCAACUACAGCAUAAUGGUGAGGGGUCAAUUUUAUCAAAAGUGAAAACGAUACCAGCCAUGUAUUCCAAAAAAGUGGCAUACUGGCAUUGCUGAUGCACACGCAAUGAACAUAUUUUGGAAUCAACGCAACUAGAAACCGGAUUCGGCAAGGCACUCUUUGGCGCCAUGGUAACAGCUACGUCGCUCUCAUGGUGCAUCCGCACGCAAACAGACAAGUAGAGCAGAACUCAUCAUCGUUGUCUCUGGUGCAUUCCAUCGAGCACAUGAUGAUCAUUUACAUUUAGCCAAACACACAAUCACGACUCACGAGAUACGACGUACGGGGAUGAGCAAACGGAAGAACAGGCAAAGUUGGGAUUCCCAUCACCUGGAGCGAACCUCGGCGGGGUCCUCGCCCGGCAGCAGCUCCGGCAUGCCGUCGAAGACGCGGUUGGCGCCCCCGUCCGCGCACACGCGCACGCGCGCUGCCCUCGAGCAAAACAACAGCGCACGAGUCAGGCACGGCGAGAACCGAUCAGGCGAACCGGAAGCCAGCUAGCAAUGGCAAAAGGGGGGCGAGGGAGGGAGGGAGGGAGGUAGGGAGAGGGGCGUCACCGCGGGCCCAGAUGAGCGGCGCGAAGCGGGGGAGGCGCUGGUUGAGGACGACGAGCGCGUAGGUCGUCGUGGCGGCGUCGUUGGACGGGGGAGUCGAGGCGGGGAGGAGGAAGGCGGAGGAGUGGGUCAUCGCCGGCAGCGGCAUGGCGGUCGGCGGAGGUGGGGGUGGUGGUGGUCGGUGUGGGGCAGAGGAGGAGCGAGGGAACUGGGGACAGAUGGGAAAAGAGCUGCGCCCGCAAACUGGGUGAGGGGCUUUCGAGAACGACCCUCUGCUGGCUUUUGGAUGGAGUUCGAACGUGGAACGAGAGGUCAGACUCGGCCUUUUGCUGCCCGCUGCCGGGGCAUUUCCUCCCACUAAUGCUACUACGGUAUAGAACUGAUUAUUUGUCGGGUCGGAUUGGGUUCUCUCGAAGUUUGGGUCAAAAUAUUUUGGCCCGUGCCCGAUCCGAGCUGACCAUCGGGUCGUGUUUUUUCUGCGCCUGACCCGUCAUACGGUGUCGGGUUGGAUUCGGAUCGGGUCGGGUUGAACUCAUAUUUUUUACGUAAUAUUCGGGUUAGGUUGGUGUUUUUUCCGGAUUUCGGGUAAAAUGGUGUUUUAGAUCGGGUCAUGCCUGCCCAGAUCAGGUUGAGUUGGGUGGGUCGGGUCAGGUUUGUUGGAUCGGGAGAUCCAGGUCUACUACGGCAACAAAUAAACAAAAAAAAAUCUAUGCAGACGUGAUAUAAUACCACGUUAGACUUCUCAACCAUAGAAUCUAUUUUUUGACGUCAGUUGCACCACUUAAAUGUUUUUAAAAUUGGUGACCACCUAAAUAUAAUUGGUAACUUGUUUGAACAUUUUACAGGAAGUAUGACUACAUGUAUCCACCGCACAAAUUGUUAUACUUGGCAUAUCAUUUAUUAUUUAUACUAGUUUGGUGUCUUGUCAACUUAAUUGAUUGCUAAUUGUCUAGUUUCUAUAAGGAAGUGUAUGAGCUUUUAAGACAAGUAUUUUAACAAGUUCUCAUGAUAACCAACAUCAAUUAACUUCCACAUUGAUCUUCCUUUAAAUGGAAAGAGUAUACAUAUAAUAAAAAUCACUCAAAAGUAGAUGUCAUUUACUAUUAAUAUCAUAUAAGUUCGUGCUAUACCAAAAUUCUAAAAAAAAGGGUCAGCACAAGGAUACUUUACAUUUGUUGAUUUGGAUCGUGAUAAUUACGUUGCAGAGCUUAAGUUCUUCGCCCUUAAUCAUGCAUGUAUACUAACGGGUACAUCUACCAUAGGGGCAAGUGUCCCCCACCUCCCUUCAAAAUCCUUACUUAUAACUUACAGCUUAAGUUUAUACAUGAUUCGCUAACUUGUGGCGUAAGGUAAAAACUUGAUUCACAAUAACCGCGACAACGAUUAUACUGACAGUGGUAAGUUGGAGAAAUUUAAUAGGUUAUCUGGAGUUUCGAGGCUAGUUUACACGCAAAUAGAAGGCACGAGAGAUUAUUGAAAUACUUUGUAUGAUUAUAAAGAAAUGAAGAUCAAAAUGUUGAACAUUUUCUUUGGAUGGAUUACUCCAUACUCCUCCGGACCUAAAUUAUAGGUUGUUUUAAUUUUUCUAUGUUCAUAAGUUUUACUAUGUAUUUGAACAUAAUGUAUGUCUAAUUCUACAGUAAAAUCUAUAAAUUAAAAAAAAGCAAGAAUGGUCUACAACUUAGGACGACGGACAUGCUGUGAUGGUCGUAUGAAUCGUGGCAAAACCAGUAAGGUCGAAACUUGAUAAUUUUUUGAUAAUCAGCAGACGACAUUUGGAGCUACUACCGAUCCUAAUAAUCAUGCAGCCCGACACAGCAAUGGCCAAUAUGCAUGAUCCUAAUACACUUGCAGUUUAAACUGGCGUGCUAAUUGCCAUCAACACAUCUCAUUUAAGCUCACACAUUAAUUGGCUAGUUUAUGUAACAAAGAGUGUGGGUUUUUAAUUGGAGCUGAAGACGAGUAUUUUAAUAAAUUCUCACAACUAACAUCAAUUAUUUAAGUAUAUUUAAAUCAUUUAACUUUCACAUUAAUCUUUAUAAAAGUCUGAAGGGAGUACUUAUAUAAUAAGCAUCAUGAAUCAGGUAAACUCAUGCUACACCAAAAUAUUACAAAUCAGCACAUAAAUAUUUUGCAUUUGUUGUUGUGGAUAGAGAUAAGCUUCAGAGUUUCGGUUUUUCAUCACUCAAGCCACUGUGACAUUUUCUUUGGAUGGUUGACUUCGUACUUUAAGGUUCAUGUUCUAAUAAUCGUAUGAACCGUGGCAAAUCAUCAAGACCAAUAUUUUUUUGACAACCAGCAGACGGCAUCUGGAGCUACUACCGAAUACCGAUCCUAACAAGAGAAUGCGAUCGUUGGGGGGCGAGGAGGCAGCCCGACACGGCGAUGGCCAUCAUUCAUCGGCAAACGGGCUAGCCUGGUGCUGGCGUGCGCCUUUCAUCGCGUAAUAUAGUAACCAGCAGCCAUUGAAUCUCGCAUCGACCAGCUCGUAUGCGCGCCGCUCGUGUUGCGGGCAGGGGCGUUGCGCUGUUGCACUCCGAUUUCAUUCUCUCUAAUAAUAAACUGAUCAGUAUAUACGCCGAUGUGGACGGGCAGGAGUAGUGUGUGUGUGUGUGUGUAGGAUAUGACAGCGACGCGUUCAUUUCUUGGGCACCAAAUUAGUUAAAGCGUUUGCUCGUGUGCCUUGUUUUGUUGGUAAACUUUGUGGCGUAUUUACUACAACUAUAUAUCUUAGCUUACGUAUGAUAAAAAUUCUCUGUAUGUAUAAUUGCCAUGCGCCUUCACACCUUUUAAUCAUCCUCAUAUAAACUUGGUCAAUGUUAUAUUUCUUUAUCAAGAUCCGAGCUGAGCUAGCAGACUUUUCUUUAACGAAAUCUGCACCGCGUGGUGCUUGGAUAUGUGAAAUUGACACUAGGAACUAACUUAUACAUGUAAUAAAUCGCGCAGACGAGGACGAGCAGAAGACGGCAGACGAGGACGACGACGAUGCAGCGGCUGCAGGCAAGGGGCUUGACCUUGGCCAUUGGAGGGGUCGGGGAGCUGACCGCUCGCCCCGCCACCCCGCCACCUCCGUUACUCGCGGCUGCUUGUUGAUUGAAGAGGAUGGGGGGUGCAAGUUGCUCUGCUAGGUCUUCCGUAUGUGUAUUUAUACGUGCUUGCUGUAUCUCCCAAUCUUUUCCACUUUCGGGAGACCUAACUAAAAAACUCUGUUGGACCAUUGGGUACUUAAUUGUACUUGCUCAUCAUACGCGUCAUGCGAUACGAUACAAUCGUGUAGCACGAAUUCGACGGUUGUUCGUGCUCAAUUCAAGCUUUGUCCGAGUCAGCAAUGAGCAAAACUAAUGAAAAACAUCACGUUCACCUGGUGUGCCUAUGGAGUUUAGACUGAUAACCUACUGGUGGUUCAUGCAAUGCAGGUUGGGCAAACGGUAGGAUUUGUGGAAGAGUGCCUUCUGGAAAGAGUAUAGCAUAUAUGCAUCCCUGGUAACACAAGUUCAGUUUGGAUGCCUGCAUACAGUUGACUGAAAAUAUACACCAACUAACUUCUUGCUUCCUCCAAUGCAGUUUAAGAUUACGAUCUAACAUCAAAGGCAAGCAACGGCGAAAAUGCAUGUGCGAUGAGAUUUCAACAUCAAUCUAAAUGUCAUCAUUUCAGGAAACGCCAUCCUCUGGUGACGGAAUAAGACAUAUGUGUAAGUGCAAAAAUGAAUUUGCUAAUUAUCUUACAGCUCGCCAGGAUAAGAUAAGAUGAUCAUCAGAUUAAACAACGGAAGGGCUGUCGCGGAGAAUUCGGAGAGCUGGCUUGUGCAGAUCAGCAACCGCGCGCGGUCAGAAUGCAGAUGAAGCUGUACCGGAUACGAUGCAAUAAUAUUUGCUGGAAUAUCUUCUCCUGGGCAUGAAACCCAUGCUUGCAUUUAAAAUUUUCUCAAGACAGAAGGAACCUUCGGGGAGUUGAAUGUCAGCAUGUAGACAGCUGCGAAGACAAGUGCCCUGACGGGCCACCUCCAGGGGCUGCUGGGGCACGAAGAGCUACGAUGCCGACGACAACAAGCUACGAUGUGGAUGCCGGCUGGCUGACCGAACCCUUCACCGAAGUGGAAGCACGCGCGGCGGUGAGAGCAAUGAACCGCAUCCAGCUAAUAAUUAGCAGUUAGCUAUUUUCCCCUGCUGACACAGCUAAUAGCAGCUAGCUCUAAGGGAUCCAAACAGGACCUUAAGCUCAUCAAUAAUCACUUUUUUUCCAACUUUCAAGCACAGAGCCUCAUAUAUUGCUCAAGCUAAACUUAUGAUCAAGUAAUGUCUUAACAAUAGCAAUGAAGGCAACAACAAAAUUGAAUUUAAAAAAGUCUGUUUCAUAGGUUACCACCUUACAAUCUUGCAAUAUAGGAUCCAGAAAAAAACCAUCCACCAAAAGAGAAAUCAUCCUCAGAUUGGUGGGGAAAAAGGAUCCAAACUGCUACAUAUGAAACAAACUCUCCCUAAAAUCACCAUGUAUCCUCCUAACAAUCAAGCAAUAUCUGCAAAAACCGCACUGGAAAAAAGAACAAAUUCGUUCUUGACGCCUUUGUGAUGCAGCACUUCCAUGGAUGAUCCUCAGCUGUUCCCAAACUUCCCGUCACAACUUCACAAGCACCGGUUCAUGAGGCCACAGACGACCACCAAACCCAAGGCGAGCAGAUGAUCUGUGCCCGACCCCACCGUCAGCGUCAGGACGUCUUCCCCCAGCACAACCCCGGACGCCGUCUGCUUCCGCCCGAUCGCCGCCGCGACCGCGCCGUCCGCGCCGGUGAUUUUGUAGUCCGAUUUGCGCGCGCACCCGUCGACGGUGUACGUCCUGCCGCUGCCAUGAAUCGUCACGGCAGCUUCGUUCUUGCCAGCCUUCUGCACUCUGAACCACGGCCUCGUCUCCUCGCCGGAGCCCUCGCCGGCGUCGAAGUACCGGCAGGCUUCCCACCUCCUGAACAUCCCAAAGCUCCUUCUCUGAAUCUUGAUGAGGGUCUUGCCGGCGCGGUCCAUGAAGAACACCUCGCGGCCGCCCCGGCAACCGUAGUUGUCGACGCGGAAGGCGACGCUGCCGUCGGCGCCGUACACCGUGCAGCCGUUGCCAUUGAACACCAGCGACUUCAUCCACACCGUGUACGCUGCCUUCUUCUGCAGGAUCUGGGACUCAUCCCCGGAGGGUGAGCAGGAAGGAGAUGAUGAAGCUACAGGCAGGGGCUGGAUCUUGGCCAUUGGAGGGGUCGAAGAGCAGAGCUGGUUGCUUGUUCUGCUUCUGUCCGUAGCUGCAGUGAGAUGAUGAGGGUGGGGAACCAGUUCCUGGUCACCCACAUAUAUUUAUAGGUGCAUCAAUUUUUAAAAAAACUUUCAGAGACCUGAUUAAAAUUUUAAGCGGGGUUUUGGGUACUUGUUCUUAUACGCGUCACGCGGUCUGAUAUAAUAGUGCCGUACCAGUGUUGUUUAUGCUCAAUCCUAGCUCUGUACGAGUCAGCAAUGAGCAGUUUAGCAUCACGUUUACCUAGUGUCUCUGGAGUUCAGAAAAAUCAUGGCAUGCCAAUGCCAUAGUAGGUAACGGAAGCAUUCAGGGAUAUACUAUUACAGGCAAGUUUGGCUUAGCAUGCUAACCCAGUGAUUUAGAGUUCAUGUUUGACGUUGCUAGCUGCUGGUGAUUCAUGGAUGGUGUGAACGAACGCACAGUGAACAGUUGGAUUUGUGGAUGCACGCUUUGUGUGCUCAUGCGUCCGGUAGCAUCAGUGCACAAGUCCAGCUUAAGUUCUUACUCCAUAUACAAGUCAAAAACAACCGGUGCACUUCAAUACUUGCUACUUUAAGUUCAGCAGUAUCAGUUAAUUGGUAAAGCAGAGUAACAGAUUUCGACUUCAUUUCUCCAGAAGCAGUUCAGGAUUUCGAUCUGACCUCAGACCAACGUGGAAUUUAACAUGCGCGUGUGAUCAGAUUUCGAAACUGAACAUUGUUCUAUUCAGCGCUAUAUACAAAGCAAGCAUGUUGAAGGAUAAGUACUGACACUGUCACACCUAAGGGUGCGUCAUGCUGAAGGAUAAGUACCGGUACUGUCACACCUAAGGGUGCAUUUGGCAGAGCUCUUAGAGCUAAUUCUCUGCAUAUUCUGGCAGGAGCUCUGUCAAAUAGUUUUUCAGAGAGAAGUGAUUCCUUUCUGAUUUUGUGAAGUGAUUCUCUGAAAUAAAUUAAAAGGCUGGGAGAUGAAAAAAGUAGAUUCUCCUGAUUCUGUGAAGUGAUUCUCCAUCCUGAUUUUAAGAGUUUAUACUAGAGAAUCAAAGAGAAUCACUUUCAGCUACAAUAUCAUUCUCUUAGAGAAUCAGCUCCCAUAGAGAAUCAGAAUCAGAUAGAGCUCUACCAAACGCACCAUAAGUAGUAGGUUUGGAUUUCUGGCCGCUUCGCCUCCUCGAAAUGAUGUGGCGGCCGAUUUAUAUUGUUGGACAUUCUACCUUCUCUCUGAUGUCAUGUACAGGGACAGACACCCAUAACUUAGUUUACAUUACAGAUCACUUAUCCACACAUGGCGAGUACCAUAACAAUAAACAAUCUCUAUUAUAUUCCUAAUAAUCUGCUACCUAGACUCCUAGAGUGCAUGCACUUGUGUUUUUGAGAUGAAAUGUCCUGCUUUUGGUAAAUGGGCAGCUUCUGGCGAUGGCAUAAAAUGGAUGUGUGUGUGUGGAAUUAAUGUGGGUACUGAGUUAGCUAACUGAUUAGUUUCCAAAUGGCAAGGACAAAAUGAACGUAAGAGCCAUCAGAUUAAAGUUUAAACAAUGGAGAAGCUGACAGAAAAUUGGGAGCCUUGUGCAGAUUACCAACUAUGCUAAUAAUGCGCGUAAAGUAUUUGCAGAUGCAGUUGUACCCGAUCGAUCGAUGUGAUGCCUUGAAAGUUGGAAGACUUCUGAAGAUUAUUUUCUCCAAGGCAUGAAACCCAUGUUUGCAUUGUGUAGUUGUCUAUACACAAGACAGAAGGAAUCUUUUUGCUGAUUGAAAAUUAGUAGGUAUAAUAUAAGGAGUCGAGAAUUCAGUUUGAAUAAUAAAUAACAAAAUAACUUCUUGUGAACUAUAAAAGAGAAAUAAAUUGGCGCACCAACAACAAAGGUAUCUCAACGUUUGGAUGGGAACAAAAGUACACUAUGCACAGUUCUCCGUACAUAUGUGCUUUGCACGUUUAUGAUCAAAGUCUUCAGAGGCUAGCAGCAAUGUCUUGCUAGUUUGGAUUCAUGCAGCAACAGCAAACUUAUUAAGAGUUCUACAUGAGUUUUGUAGAGAAAAAUAGGUCCUACUAUUUUUUCCUUGCCAAUCCUGUACCUGAAAUAUGUUCUCAUCUUUAAUUAAACCGCCUACAAGGGUUUUUGGAUACUGCUUUAUGAAGUCAGAGCUAUAAAUAUUGAUGGUCUCAUACAACAAACAAAGCAAAAAAGAAAAACAUCGUAUUCAUAUAUUGUAAAUCAUCUCAUGCAUAAACAGUUCACUGCAACGAAACACAUGUAGGUCUACUCUGUUCCAUGAACCAAUUCUAUAGCAUAUUUGAAUUAUGAUAAAAUGUUGUUCACCGUCUCUAUAUAACUUCCAUACGUGUCUACAAUCCAUCAAUUUUUCAUCUUGAACGAACAUAGCGAAAAUUAUAUUUGAUUAUAUUAAGGUCCGAUUUUAUAGAGUAUAUGUUUAUGCUUUCUUUGCUAGUAGCUCCUAGUCCUCGAUAUGCGAAUAAGAAUUUACAUGUUGAACUUUGUAUUGCUCAUGCUAAACUUAUGACCAAAUGAUGCUCAGAAAAAAAAAUCAAUAUCAAAGAGAAAACAGUCAAACACAGAUUAAAGUGCGUAACAAAAACAAGUCUGCUUCACAGAUUAUAGCCUUACAAUUGUACAUCCGUAGGACCCGGAAAAAAACAUCCACCAAAAAGGGAAAAUCGUCCUCAAAUUGGUGGGAAAAAUGACCGGCUAUUACCGAUACGAAACAAACUCUCACCAUGUAUCCUCCUAAGAAUCAGUCUAACUGAAAAAAAAUCGCAUGAAAAGAACAAGAACAUAUUCGUUCUUGUGAAUUGUGAUGCACGCUCUCCUGGAGAAUCCUCGACCGUCCUCGUCAGCCGUCACAUGCAACGGUUCAUAAGGCCACAGACGACCACCAUUCCCAGGACGAGCAGAUGAUCCACCCCCGACCCCACUGUCAGCGUCAGGACAUCCUCUCCGAGCACAACCCCGGACGCCGUCUGCUUCCGCCCGAUCACCGCCACGACCGCGCCGUCGUCGGUGAUCUUGUAGUCCGCUUUGCGCGAGCACCCGUCGAUCGUGUACGUCCUCCCGCUGCCAUGCAUCGUCACGGCAGCUCCACCGCUCCGAGCCUUUUCCACGGUGAACCACGGCUUCGUCUCCUCGCCAAAACCCUCGCCGGCGUCGAAGUACCGGCAGGCCUCCCAUCUCCUGAACAUUCCAAACCUCUUUCUUUGGAUCCUGAUGAGCGUCUUGCCGGCGCGGUCCAUGAAGAAGACCUCGCGGCCGCCCCGGCAGCCGUAGUUGUCGACGCGGAAGGCGACGCCGCCGUCGGCUCCGUACACCGUGCAACCGUUGCCGCUGAACACCAGCGACUUCAUCCACACCGUGUACGCUGCCUGCUUCUGCAGGCUUCGAGACUCAUCCCCGGUGGGUGAGCAGGAGGGAGACGAUGAGGCUGCAGGUAAGGGCUGGAUCUUGGCCAUUGAAGGAGGUCAAGACGCUAAUUGCUCUCUGCUGUUCUUGUUCUUGGUGGCAAAUCAAGGCUGCAGAUGAGGAUGGUGGUGUGGCUGUGGCAGUGACCUGGUAGCCCAUAUAUAUUACGGAAACCUAAUUAAAAAAAUAAACGGGUCACUGGGUACUUUGUUCUUAUACGCGUCAUGCAAUAUGAUAUAAUAGUGCUGUACUAAAGUUGCUUAUGCUAAUCUAGCUUUGUACGAGUCAGCUAUGAGCGAGCAGCUUCAUUAGCAUCACGUUUACCUGGUGUGUGCUGGGAGUUUAAUUUGAUUAAUAGUAGCAUUUGGUAUUAAAAGGCACAACAAGACCUUUCAGGGUUAUACUACCACUACAAGCAGGUAUAGUAUACUGCUCAGUCUCUACGCACUAGGAGCUAGUAGCCUAAUGUUCUUGAGUUCUACUGGGAGGAGCAGGCAGGCAUACAGAGACAAACCAUCAGAACACAAGUUCAAUUGAGAUUCUUAUAUAGUCAUAUGCAAAUACAAUUAUAUAUAAAUAUCAACCUUGUAUUGAGCUUCAUAAGAGCAUGUCGUUGUUUGCGCAAGAACAGUUAUGUGUAGUAGGUAGUAAGUAAUCUGCAGCAAGAUGCUUCUGGGAAGCGGAGGAGGUGAGGCUCUCCAUGUUCUCUUGCACUACAUGGACAUGAGUAGUUUCAUCCAAUGCAGUUGAGGAUUCCAAACUAACAUCAGAAAUUGGCAUCCAUCUGAUCGUUCUAUUCAGCGCAAAUAAACAAAAAGAAGCUCUUGAACGAUAUAAUAAUGGAUUAAUGCAUGAAGGAUAAGUACUAACAGCUAGGUUUAAUUUCAAUUCGUCUUCCAUGGAGUGAUGGAUAUGCAUGGCGGCCGAUUUCUAUAGUUGCCUUGUUCAGUUGUUCCUCCUCCUUCCUCUGAUGUCAGCUACAGGGCCACCUCGAGCUUAGUUUACAGAUCACUGGUCAUGGCUACCAUAACAAUAAAUAAAGUCUAUUAUUUCCCUAAUCUGCCUAGAGUGCAUGCAUGAACUUGUGUUUUUCUGGAUGAAGUGUUUCCUGCUUUUUGGGAAUCGGCAGCUUCUGGUACUCUUGAUGAACACAAAACUGAUUUGAUGUGGAAUAAUGAAUUAGCCUCCAGCUCGACAAGAUGAUCAAGAGACCUCAUCAUAUUUAACAAUUGGUGGAAGGGCUGCCAGAAAUUUGGGAGGUUCGUGCAGAUUAACAUCUGAGCUAAUAAUGCUCAUAAACUAUCUGCGGAUGCAGUUGUACCCGAUCGAUCGAUGUGAUGGCAUCGAAGACUUCUGAAGAUCAUUCAUUCAAAUUGUUUUCUCCAAGGCACGAUCAUCACGAGUGGACUGUAAUCUCUGUACUGUGCAGGACAGAAGGAAUCUUUGGGGUGUUGAAAAUCAGCAUCGUUUUUCUAGUUGAGAGUAUUGAAUAACAUGCAGCAAUCUUUGGGGUAUUGAAUAACAUGCAGCAAAAACAAUGUUGACCGAACAAUAUGCUUUUCUUCCAAACUUCUCGCUAAUAAAUAGAAAAUAAAUGGCGUAUGUAUUUUCUUAAAUAAAGAUACCUCAAGGUUCAGGUGAGAACAAAAGUGCAAUAUGAUGGAAGUCUUCAGCUCGCUAACAGCUAUAACUGUUUUGUUUGGAUUAAUGCAUGGAUUUUUCUUAUAUAUAUAUACAUAUAUAUAUAUAUUAUUUUGCCAAUCAUCCAGUGUAAGCAGGCUCUUAUCUUCAAAAACAGGGGAUAAAUCUGGCACUGGUGAAUCAUCAUGUGUGUUUCGUGCUUGCCAGUGAAUCAACUAGUCAAAUGAAAAUGCGUGUGCCGCUUCAAAAAAAAAAGUGUUUGGACUACUUUUACAUAAAGUUGUGGCCUCUUAUUCAGAUGUAGAUCACAGUGACCUCUUUUCACAAAGGCAGGAAAAAGAAAAAAAACGAGUUUGAAAAUAAAGGCAGAUCUAUGACCGAGCAGCUGGACAAACAAAACAAGGCAUAGAGCAUAGCAACUACGGGUUAGCUUUGUUGGAUACUCUCCUCUGAGCUCUGAAAUGUAGAUGCUCUGCUAAAAAUACAUUAAAGAAGAAGAACUACUGAUAGAUGCUCUCCUGCUACAAAAGCCAAGAAAAUAAAAUUUAUCGGCUGACAAAUGCACCUCAACAAAAACAUGCAUAUUGUAAUGAAAACAUCACAUUAUGCAUGUUGUAACGAAAAGAUCAUAAUAUGCAUAAUGUAAUGAAAAGAUCAUAACGGCAUGUGACACCGUCGUGCACAAAGUGUAUAACGUACAUGAAGCAUCACUUUCCAAAAGACAUAAAAGAGAGACAAUUCAGCAUCUGAUCCCUGACUAUUGCAUAAACAAAUAUUGUUAAAAUUAACCUUGUGAAAAUUGCAUGCGGAAGCAAAACAGAACCUGUGAAAGUUCAGAGGAGCGGAGGAGAACACCGACGCCCUAUCUGGGUCGUGCGAUGAUUACGUGUUGAUUAGAUGCAGAAUAGCCCCGCAUGUAGCAGUUACAUAUAGGCGUUACAACUUGAGGGCUAAGCCAAGAGAUCUUUUCUAAAUAUAAACCUUCUAUACGUAGAUGAUCUAUUCCUGUACAUAGACAAUCUAUAUCUCUUGGCUUUAGCACAAUAUGGUAAGGUAAAUACGCAUGCAUCUAACCUUUCUAUCUAACAGCCUCCCUCAAUCUUAACCGCUCUAGGUUCAGAUUGACUUUGAAAUUUUCUAACAGCCGAACAGACAAGGCCUUUGUAAAGCCAUCUGCAAUUUGAUCUCCUGAUGAAACAAAUUCAAUCUCUAGUAAUUUUCGAGCAACUCUUUCUCUGACAAAAUGAUAGUCAACUUCAAUAUGUUUUGUUCUGGCAUGGAAAACAGGAUUAGCAGACAAGUACUUUGCACCAAUAUUAUCACACCAAAGUCUUGCUGCCUUUGGACUAGGAAUACCCAAUUCACGCAGUAAAGUUUGUAUCCACAUAACUUCUGCAGUAGCAUUAGCAAUUGCUUUAUAUUCUGAUUCUGUACUAGAUCUUGAAACAGUAGCCUGUUUUCUUGCACUCCAUGAUACAAGAUUAGAACCCAAGAACACAGCAAACCCUCCUGUAGACCUUCUGUCAUCAACACUGCCAGCCCAGUCUGCAUCUGAAAAUGCACUCACCAAAGUCGAAGGAGACUUCUGUAUUUUCAAGCCCAAUUCUGUACAUUGCUUCAAGUACCGUAAUAUUCUUUUAACUGCUGCCCAAUGUACUGUGGUAGGUGCAUGAAGAAAUUGACAGACUUUAUUAACAGAAAAGGCUAUAUCAGGUCUAGUGAGGGUUAGAUAUUGAAGAGCACCAACAAUGCUUCUAUACCGUGAUGUAUCAUCCGGUCCCAACAAUGAUCCUUCAUGUAAUGAUAAUUUUUCACUAGUGGAUAAUGGAGUAUUAACAGGCUUGCAAUCUGACAUACCAACUCUUUUUAGAAGAUCAGAAGCAUAUUUUCUUUGAGUGAGAACAAUGCCAUCUCGCACCUUGGCAACUUCUAUACCGAGAAAAUAAUGCAGAUCUCCCAGAUCCGUUAGAGCAAAUUCCCCCUGCAAAUCUUGAAGUAACACUGUGGUAGCAUGUGGUGUAGAGCUGGCUAUAAUAAUAUCAUCAACAUAAACAAGGAGAUACAUGCUAACAUCAUUCUUGCGAUAAAAGAACAAAGAGGUAUCAGCCUUUGAAGAUUGAAAACCGAGUGAUAUCAAUUUAGCACUUAGUCUAGAGUACCAUGCUCUGGGCGCCUGUUUCAGACCAUAUAAGGCUUUAUCUAGGCGACAAACAAAGUUUGGUCUUGAAGGAUCUUCAAAACCAGGUGGCUGUUGCAUAUAUACCUCUUCUUCAAGAUUGCCAUGGAGAAAAGCAUUUUGUACGUCAAGUUGUCUGAGAGUCCAUCCUCGAGAAACAGCAAGAGAUAGAAUAAUACGAAUAGUAGCAGCUUUAACAACAGGACUGAAAGUUUCCUCAUAAUCUAUUCCAUAUCUCUGCUUAAAACCCUUUGCUACCAAUCGAGCUUUAUAUCUAUCCAAGCUACCAUCAGAUUUUCUCUUUAUUCUGUAUACCCAUUUGCAACCAAUAAUAUUUCUACCCUUUUGAGGUGGAACAAGGUGCCAAGUUUUAUUCUUCAUUAAGGCAUUGUACUCAAGAUCCAUUGCAUUUUUCCAAUUACUAUCAGCUAGAGCCUCGUCAGUACUACUAGGUUCCCCUGUAGUUGUCAAAAAUCCAUACCUGACAGUACCAUCUGUGUAUAUUUUCUCCUUGCGUAUGCCACUUUGAAGUCUGGUUACAGGUCGGGUUGCAGCUGGAGGUGCCUCUGUUGCCGCAGCAGCAGUCUGGCCUGCCUGGCCCGGCGAAUCUCCCGCGCGCGGGGAAGAAGACGUGGCCGCGCCUGGCUGGUGCGGCGCGGUGUCCGAAGACGUGGCCGCGCCUGGCUGGUGCGGCGCGGUGUCUGGAUCAGGCGCCGUCGCGAGAGGAGAAACCGGAGAUAGCGUGGCGUCCGGCGGUUGGCCAAUGGACGCACCCGAACCAGACUCCGAUCCCGAGCCCGCAUGCGAAUUGCCUCCGGAGUUUGCAUCACCGGUUCCUUCCGAAUUGUCACCAGCGUCUCCCUGAUUCUCAUCAUGCAACUCAGAGGAAACAUUAGAAGAAUUAGAUGAACCAUUAGCACACUGAUCUACUGCAUGUUCGCCCCCUACAUACGGAUAAACAAGAUCAGAAGGAAGACAUAAGAUCUCGGAGCGAAGACGGGCACCGGCAUUGGGAUGCAGCUCAGUGAAGGGAAAAAUAUUUUCAUCAAAUAUCACAUCCCUGGAGAUGUAAACACGGCCAGUGGAGACAUCAAGGCACUUGUAGCCUUUGUGCAAGGUGCUAUAACCAAGAAAGACACAUCUUUUGGAUCGAAAUUCUAGUUUGUGCUUAUUAUAGGGAUGAAGAUGAGGCCAACAAGCACAUCCAAAAACUCUCAUCGAGGAGUAAUCUGGUUUUUGAUUAAAGAGACGCUCUAGAGGCGUAGCAUGACCAAUCGUUUUGCUGGGUACACGAUUGAUGAGAUAAACUGCUGUUUGGAAGGCUUCAUCCCAAAAUUUUAGGGGCAUAGCCGCAUGAGAUAAAAGAGAGAGACCGACUUCAACUAUGUGACGGUGUUUUCUCUCAGCUGACCCAUUUUGCUGAUGAGUGUGUGGGCAUGAAACAAGAUGAACGAUGCCAGCUUUAUUAAAAAAGGAAUUAAGUGUCUGAUAUUCGCCUCCCCAGUCAGUUUGCAUGGCAAGAAUCUUACGAUCAAACAAGCGUUCAACAAGAGUUUGAAACUCUUGAAAUUUUUGAAAUACUUCAGACUUGUGCUUAAGAAAGUAAAUCCAGGUGAACUUGCUAAAAUCAUCAAUGAAACUAACAUAAUAUCGUUUUCGACCAACUGAUUCUGGUGCAUGACCCCAGACAUCAGAGAACACAAGUUCUAAAGGAGACUUGGAAAUACUAGAAGACUUGGGAUAGGGCAACUGAUGGCUCUUCCCUUGCUGACAAGCAUCACAAACUGACUGACUCAACGACUCAUCGAUAUAUGGGAGACUAUUAUUACUGACAACUUGCUUAACAAUUAACGAAGAUGGAUGACCCAGCCUACUGUGCCAUCGAGACAGGGGCAAUCUGUUGGAGUUGUAGGCUUGCUUUAUUGUUGGUGCAGGUAAAGGAUAGAGACCCCUGUGACACCUUCCUCUAAGGAGUAUAUUCUUCGUUUCCUGAUCCUUAAUCAGAAAGAAAUCAGGGUGAAAUUCUAUAAAGAUAGAGUUGUCAGCGGUAAGACGAUGAACUGAAACAAGAUUUUUCUUGGCUUGUGGAACAUAAAGAACAUCAUUUAAUUGUAUGUUACGAGUGGGGGUACGAACUGUAGUACGACCAAUGUGACUAAUGUUCAUACCUGUUCCACUAGCUGUGUGGAUCUGAUCACCACCAUGAUACUUUUUCUUGAGAGACAGCUGCUCGAGAUUGCUUGUCAUAUGAUCCGUAGCACCGGUAUCAGUGUACCAGUUGGUGUCCACGCCAUACGAGUUUGUAGCUGCUGCAACAAGACGCUGAUCUGGCACAAAGUUCUCAUCGAACCUGUGCCAGCAUUCAGCGGCUGAGUGAUUCAUCUUGAAGCACACCUGGCACCUGUUGUCAUCUGAAUCAGGCGCACCACCAGAUGUCCCGCGACUAUUGUUGUUGUAGAAGCCGCGGGAGUUGUUGUUGUUGUGGGAGCCACGACCUCCUGCAGGAGGCUCGCGACUGGACCUGCCGCGGCUAGACUGCGCGCCCCCACGCGAGGGGCCUCUCCCACGCGCGUGAUUCUUCCCGCGCCACGAGCCACGACCACGAGAUGCCGAGUUUGCCGAUCCAGACCCAGGGCUGCCUCCAUAGAUCAAGUCCAUUCUAGUUUCAAAAUUGAGAAGUUGUGAAUAAAGCUCACCAACGGAGAUGGGUUCCACUCUAGCGCAUAGAGCAGAGACGAUGGGCGAGAAAUCUUCGCCCAAGCCGGUGAUGAUGUACUCCACCAGUUCUUCAUCUUCUAGGGGCCGUCCUGCAGCCGCCAUGUCGUCGCCAAGAGCCUUCAUCUUGGCAAAGUACUCGGCAACGGACGAAUUUUCCUUCUUGGUCGUUGCCAGAGCAAUCCGCAUGUUAACGGAUCGCGCUCGCGUCUGUGACGCGAACAUGUCUUCAAUGAUCUUCCAGGCGUCCGCCGCGGUGGCGCUGGUGGCCACUUGUGUGAGGACAUCCUUGGUGACCGAUGCGAGGAGGUAGCUAAGGACCUGUUGAUCCGUGGCCUCCCAGUCUUCGCGCGCUGGAUUGGGAACCCUCACUUCCUUCCCAUCAGCGCCCUUCUGCACAAGCUCCGCCGCAGGUAUAGGGGUGGCACCCGUGAGGUACCCCUGAAGACGAGCACCACGGAUCGCAGCACGCACCUGUGCCUUCCACAGGGCGUGAUUGUUCUUGCUAAGCUUUUCCGUGACAGGCUGGGCGAGGAGAGGAUUGGAGGAAGCAGAUGAUGACGCCAUUGUAGUUGCGAAGAGGAGAUGCAAUCUACUCAAAAGCAAUGGCUCUGAUUACCAUGUGAAAGUUCAGAGGAGCGGAGGAGAACACCGACGCCCUAUCUGGGUCGUGCGAUGAUUACGUGUUGAUUAGAUGCAGAAUAGCCCCGCAUGUAGCAGUUACAUAUAGGCGUUACAACUUGAGGGCUAAGCCAAGAGAUCUUUUCUAAAUAUAAACCUUCUAUACGUAGAUGAUCUAUUCCUGUACAUAGACAAUCUAUAUCUCUUGGCUUUAGCACAAUAUGGUAAGGUAAAUACGCAUGCAUCUAACCUUUCUAUCUAACAGAACCCACCCUAAUUCUUAAGAAUUUUAUAUGACAUAUCUAAUCCGAGUACUAUAGCACGCAUGUAGGCCAUGCACUUCUGAAUUAUGGGCGUGAUGAGGCCGGCCAUGCCCUGCUUGUAUAAAUACAGCAGACCACUGCACUGACGCUCAUCUCAUCAGAAAACAUGGCCAUCACUAGGAUCCAGCCGCUCUCUUCUCACCUGCAUACUUGUGCUAACCCAGCUGAUCCUAUCCCUGAGAAGCAAGUUUACACGGUUUGGAUGAAAUCCCUGGUCUUCAACGGCCACGGAUGCACGAUCUACGGCCAGGAUGGUCGCGUGGCCUACCGUGUCGACAACUACGCUUGCAGCCGCAGACGAGAGGUGUAUAUCAUGGACAGUGGCGGCAAGACGCUGAUCAAGCUGCUCAAGAAGGUAACUUCUACUGUUAAUUCUGCACAUCCAUGAGGAUUUGACAUGCCAUUCCCAUCUCUGAAGAAACCGUAGAAGUAGCACUCAUAGCUUUUGGUUCUUGUGAUUUUUUGCUGCAGAAUUUUGGGGUGUUCAAGACAUGGAAGGGCUACUCCUAUUGCAAUGGCCCUGCUGGUCUGGAACAAGAGGAAUCUAAGCCAUGGUUCAGUGUUCAGAAAUCUCAUCGAAUUCUGAAGGAGGAAGGGCCGUACAGUAGUUGUGCUAUGGUAACAGUCUGUGUCAGUGGGAAGGUGUACAAGAUCGAGGGCGUGUCACACAAAUCCGAGUACAGAAUCAGCGACCCAGAUGGAGAGGUCGUGGCCGAAAUGAAGAGGAAGCAGACGGCCUCAGGGGUUGUGCUGGGAGAAGACGUCCUGAGCCUGACAGUGAACCCCACGGCGGAUCGCCUGCUUGUCGUUGGACUUGUGGUCGUGUGCGGCCUCCUCAGCCGUUGCAUCUGAAAAUACACAAAGGGUACAAAUAUUUUUAGGUUCUUUACAGCGUUUACAGAUAUAUUUUUCCCAGCUAAGGAUAAAACAUUUUUGAGAAAGAAAGUUUUCUUUCUUUUUAUUUUUUAUUAUCAUUCAGUUCAUCAGUUGUGGACAUGUGCUGUGAGUGCUAGUAUUUCUCAUGAGAGCAGAAUGGCAAGAUUUUUCUUUGUUUUUCACCAAUGUUGGUCUCAAAGGGAUUCGACACCAACAGUAAGUGCUCAAAACAAUGUGUCCUCCUUUACGAUAGGGUAGGGUUCCCCUUUUAUAGUGACUCGCGAGCCACUUUACAUCCCGAAAAUGUCAUUUCUCAACUACAACAUUCCUAGGAUAUGCCGUAUAUAAAUUAUUGGAGUAACGUGUACAAAUUAAAUUCCCCUACGUAGUCACGCUUCUCACGCCCUUGUGUAGUCACACUUCUCACGCCUUGGUGUAGUCACGCUUCUCACGCCUUUAUGUAGUCACGCUUUCAUCCUCUUAGCCUCGGAACUUCUCCCCCAUGCCAGAUCAAGCUUUCAGCCUCGCAUCAUUGCCUUCACGCCAGACGAAACCUUCAACCUCGUGCCUUUAUCCUUGGCUCGAGAAAGAUGCCCAACCUCGUGGCAUCUUAGGCCAUGUUUAGUUUCCACCAAAAUCCCAACUUUGACACUAUGCAAAAAGAAGAUUCCCCAUCACAUCAAACUUGCGAUACAUGCAUGGAGUACUAAAUGUAGAUGAAAUCAAAAACUAAUUGCACAAUUUUGUUGUACUUUUCAAGACGAAUCUUUUGAGCCUAAUUAGUCAAUUUUUGGACAAUAAUUCACAAAUACAAACGAAUUGCUACAGUUGCGCAUUUAUGACAAACUCCCAACUUUGACACUCCCAAAUUGGGAACUAAACAAGGCCUUAGUCCAGAUCCGAUCCUGAGUAAAAUGUAGAGGAGUUGAAAGUCCGGUGUUCAAAACUAGCUUCGAACACUCAAGGGCAAGUCAAAUUAUAACUUAAUUAUCAGCAAUAGCUGUUAGCUUCGAAAUCUCUAAGUAGCGAAGAAGAUGCAAAGUUAACCGGGUUUUGUUCGCUGGUACACAGCUUGCGAGGUUAACCAAGUUUUGUUCACUGGUCCAAAAGUUGCAAGGUUAACCGAAUUUUGUUCGCUGGUCCAAAAGUUGUGAGGUUAGGAAGUUUCUACCUACGAACGACGCUCGAGGUUGUGUAGUUUUUGGACGAUCCCAACAACCAAUAUCCAUAAAAAUCUUGUUGUACUGCCAGUGUACUUUUGCUGACUAUUAUGCUCCUUGUUAUGCGUGCUUUUAUGUUACGCGUGCUUCCUGCUGUCUCAUGGCUUUAGAUUAAGAGUAGUCAAAGUCCAGCCUCCCAAGUGUUGUUAAAAGAAUGAGAGAUUAAUCAUCGGUAUUUGUAAUUAAGCCACACAUUACUGAACUUCGUCUCUAGGAGGCACAGUUAAAAAGAAUUCGAACUUUUAGCUCGUCUUGGACUCUGAGGACGUUUAUAUAGAGAGCAGAGAUGGAAUCCUUCUAUUCUGACUACUGUGUUAUUAGACCUGAGCAAAAUGCAGGUUGGGCCGGUUUGGCAAAAGCCCGGAAUAUUUCAGGUUAAAAAACGUGACCAAGCCCGCCCAGAACAGCUUUCGGGCCGACCUUUUUCAGGCUUUUUCAGGCCAAGCCGAGCCACCCGAUCUUUUUAAGUUGAAAAAUAAAUAGGAAAAAUAAUCGGGCCGGACUUAGCCCGCCUAGAUUUUUUCGGGCUGGCAAAAUGUACGCCACACCCGGCCCUAUAAAGACCACAGGCCAUGGAAAAUAAAAAUAAAUAUGUUAGGUCGAUAUCAUCUCUGUUUUAGAGUCUUUUCCUCGUUGCUAGUUUUCAGUUGUUCUUAAAAAAGAGUAUUUUCAGUUGUUGAUAUAAAGCUCUUUUUCUUUCCUCCUUCUCACCCUUGGUUUGUUGUUUUUCCCUUUUUCUCUUCUAACAAUAUUCAUGGCAAACCUCGUGCUGUCCGUUAGAAGAGCAUCAACAUAUUGUGGAUCACCUCAGGCUUGAAAGCACCUCAACAAAAGCAUGCCUGAAAUAAGAAAUUAUUUCACAGUUCUCAAGGCCCUACUGAAUAAUGCAUGGAUAUCACACGUCUACCCCCUUCAAUCCAAUGUCGAGAUUCAUGAGUAUGUAGCUCUCUGGGAGAAGAUUAACCUACUAGCUUGAGAUGAUGGAGCAGAAGAUCGGAUCAUUUGGAGAUGGACGUCGGAUGGAGAAUACACGACUAGCAGUGCCUAUCGUAUCCAAUUUAAAGGAAGAUUCAAAAAAUUAGCAAUUACUCCAAUUUGGAGGGCAAAAGUAGGGCCAAAAUGCAAAAUAUUUGCUUGGAUCCUGCUCCAAAGGAAGAUCCUCAUAGCGGAUAAUUUAGAAAGGAGAGGUUGGCCGCAUGAUCCCAUAUGCAAAUUGUGCAACUCUGCACCGGAAACACCCAUUCAUUUAUGCAAGAACUGCCCCUACACGUGUGCAGUAUGGACACAGGUGACCAGCUGGUUUGAUCUUCAUCAAAUACCGAGCAGAAACUCUAACAAGCUCAAUUCAUGCCCGGUGGAAGCAAGGUCGACGGGGGUUUGACAAGAAGCACAAACCUUUCUUCGACGGUCUUGUCUUGUAUUUUUGGUGGAACAUCAGGAAGGAGCAAGCGAGGUCGACAGGGAUUUGACAAGGAGCACAAACCUUUCUUCGAUGGUCUUAUCUUGUAUUUUUGGUGGAACAUCUGGCCGAAGAAUUUUUCAGCAGGAAUCUAAAGAAGUUAUGGACGUGGCCUAUCUGAUCAAAGAAGAAGUUCAGCUCUUUCAAGCGGCCCGAAGAUUGAGAGGAUCGUCAAAUUAGUCAUUUUAAUUUCUUGCGUCGUGCCUCUUUUGGGUCGGUUCAGUUGUGGAGAGCGUUGAGUUGUUGUUUUUCAAUUGUUUGGUCUGUUUGUUUUUUCUUUUUAGCUUUAAACUCCUUCUAAUAAAAAUUACGGCAAAUCUUUUGCCAUUCAAUUAAAAAAAUAAGAAAUUAUUUUGUACGACUCCGUAUAUAAGUAUAUAACUUUGAUGCACCUUCACGCUCCAUCGCAUUUUCAGCCUAAAUAUAGUCAGCUAUAUUCGGUUCUUAUGAUCGGAGUUUAUUAUAGAGUAAUAGUCGGUUUCAUACAGGCUACAACCUUGCAAUUGUACACUGGUACAACGGGGGAAAAACAUCCACCAAAAGGACAAAGCGUCCUUAUAGCUUGGUGGAGAAAAAAAUUCCAAGUUAUUACCUAUGAACAAAUUCUCACGAAUGCAUAUGCUCCUAGUAAGAAUCAGAUUAGCUGGAAAAAAAAGGCCCUGAAAAAAAAACCAGUCUAGCACUCUCCUGAAGAAGUGGAGAAUCCUCAGCCGUUCCGAUCACAAGCGACGGUUGAUAAGGCCACAGACAACCACCAAACCAAGGACGAGCAGAUGAUCCACCUCCGGUCCCACCGUCAGCGUCAGGACGUCCUCUCCGAGAACAACCCCGGACGCCGUCUGCUUCCGCGCGAUCGUCGCCACGACCGCGCCGCCGGCGCCGCUGAUCUUGUAGUCGGACUUGCGCGAGCACCCUUCGACGGCGUACGCCGCCCUCCCUCCGCCGCGCAUCGUCACGGCGGCCCCGCCUUUUCUAGGCCUACACACCGUGAACCACGGCCUCGCCUCCUCGCCGCCGUCGAAGUACCGGCACGCUUCCCAUCUCCUGAAGAUCCCAAAGCUCUUCCUCCGGAUCCUGAUGAGGGUCUUGCCGGCACGGUCCAUGAAGAAGACCUCGCGGCCGCCCCGGCAGCCGUAGUUGUCGACGCGGAAGGCAACGCGGCCGUCGGCGCCGUACACCGCGCAGCCGUUGCCGCUGAACACCAGCGACUUCAUCCACACCGUGUACGCUGCCUGCUUCUGCUGUGUUGGGGAUUCAUCCCCGGAGGAUGAGCAGCUGAGGGAGGGAGACGACGCGGCCGCAAGCAAAGGCUGGAUCUUGGCCAUUGAAGGGGCCGAAGAGCUAACUGCUGCUGUCGGUCGCUAGCUGCAGAAUGAGGUGAGAUGAUUGUGGAUGGGGACCAGUGCCUGGUCAACCGUUCGUAUUUAUAGUGCUUGCAUUUUGUUUACCAUAUUUUCAGAGGCCUGAUUAAAAAAUUAAGCGGGGUAUUGGGUACUUCUUCUUAUACGCGUCAUGAAAUGUGAUAAUUUAGUGUCAUGGUAAAGUUGUUUAUGAUAACCUUAGCUCUGUACGAGUCAGCAAUCUGCAGCUUAGAGUAGCACCACGUUUACAAAGCGUGUCUCUGGAAUCUGGAGUUUAUACUAAACUCUUUGCUUGCUAUAGUAGUAGGUAACAAAAGUCUUCAGGGAUAUACUAUUACAGGCAGUGGUGUUCUAGAGUCUCUUACUCCUAGCUGUCGGUGGUUCAUGAAGGGUGUGAAACUGUGAAUGAGUGCGUAGAUGAACAGCUGGGUUUGUGCAUCCUUCAGAGCACAAGUUGAGCUUAGAUUCUUACUCCAUAUGCUUAAGUCUAGAUAACAGAAGUGGUAAGUAUCAAACUUGGUAAGUAACUGAGAAGAAGAGUAACAGAUGAGUCUCCCCAUGUUCUUCAACUGCAGUUCAGGAUUUUCAAAGCAACGGGGAGCAUGCGAAAACAAAUUUCAACACGAGUACUACCUCCGAUCACUAAAACAUGACGUUUCAGACCAGCAAUGCAGCUUGUUCUUCUAUACUGUUGCUUCUUGUCAGAACGUCAAGCUUUCUUGAUGGGAGGUAAUAUUUAGCACCGACACCUACACUUUUUUUUUAGAAAACAUCAUUGCACCAUAUUAGUAUGUUACAUUUACUGCACCUCUUAUCUUGUUGGAGUGAUGUGGCGGCAGAUUGCUAUUGCUUUUUAUCCUCCUUUCUCUGAUGUCAUCUACAGGGACACACCCAGAACUUAUAAUUAAACUUAAUAAUUACUCCCUCCGUUCCAAAUUAUAAGCCAUUCCAACUUUUUUGGAAAGUCAAAGGAUAUCAAGUUUGACCGAAUUUAUACAAUAAAGUACUAACAUUCAUGAUACCAAAUAAGUACUAUUAGUUCCUUCAUUAAAUAUAUUUUUAUAGUAUAUCAGUGCCAUAAAUAUUUGUGAUCCUCUUUAUAAUUUUGGUCAAACAUAAAAUGGUUAGACUCCAAGAAAAUUGGAAUAACUUAUAAUUUGGAACGGAGGGAGUAGUUUACAGGCCAUAUCGCUUAAUCAAAUAUGACAGUGUACCAUAACAAUAAAUAAGUAAAUAAACUCUGCUUUCUUUCUGGGCGAUGAAGUGUUUCCUGCUUUUUGGGAAAUGGCAGCUUCUGACGUUCAUGUGAUGAUAUAAAAUGUGGGAGCAUGUGGAAUAUUGAAUUGGCUACCUAAUUAUCUUCCAGCUCGACGAGAAGAUCACGAGAGGCGUCGGAUUUAAUAAGGAGCUCCACAGUUCGAUGUGAUGGCAAUGGUAUGCAGACUUCGGAUCACUGUUCAUCCGAAUUAUUUCCUACAAGGCACGGAAAGCACGAGUGCAUUAUAAAUCUACACUCCACAAGGCAGAAGAAAUCUUUGGGGUACUGAACAUUAGCAUACCUCCCCUGUGGUUUGGAAUUGAGAUUGCAUAAUGUAUACCGAAAAAAUUGUUGGUCUAAUCAGACGAUUUUGUUCCGAACUUCAUGCAAAUAAAAAUAAAAGGAAAAUGACACAUCAACGUAUGCUUUGAAAAUUGAAAGAAAGACGUCUCAGCGUUAGGAAAGAACAGAAGUGCAGUAUGUAGCACUAUCCUCCCUGGAUGCAUAUGAGCUUUGCAUGUUUAUGACCAAAGUCUUCAGCUCACUUUUUCAAACCAAAAAAAAAAGGUCUUCAGGUCACUAGCAAGUUCAGUUAAAUUUUGUUUGGAUUGAUUCUGGAAAUUUUCGGGGAAUCCUACUAUUUUUUUACAGAAAAAGAAACUCCUAAUGCAAUUUCUUUGCCAGGCAAUCCUCCGGCCCAAACAUGCUCAUGUGUUUGAAAAACAGAGGAUGAUUUUUGGCAGCAGUGAAGUUUCAAGUAAUAAAGAACCACCUUUUUGUGGGGUACAUGGUUGCCAUUGAGUCAACUGGUCAAAUGAAAAUGUGUAUGCAGUACUUUGAGAAAAAUUGCGGCCUCUUUUGGCAUAAGCAUGAAAUAGAAAUAGAACUUGAAAAUAAAGGCAAAUCUAUGACCUGCAUCUUUUGAAAGUAGGCACACAAAGCUGCGCUUGAGUCUUGUGCUCAACAGUCUGCUAUAUAAACUACUGAAUUAUAAAAAGCUAUAUUCUCGGAAAAGGCAGUGUAGAGCUACUUCAUAAGCAUAACGACAUCACACACAUGCAAGAUUGAAAAAGGUCGGUUGGGGGAUACUGCCUCUGAACUCUGGAGUCUGAACACUGAACUCUGGAUGCUCUCCUGCUACAAAGCAAAAACAAAUCAGAAAAUAUAUCCCCAUUGCGACACCACACGCGUUCUCAACAGAAACACGCGUGGAGAAGACCAGAAAAUACUUGAGAGGACAUGUGAUACCAUCGUGUACAAAGUGAUGUAUAAUGUACAUGCAUCAUCACUUUCCAAAAGAGAGAAACAAAAGAGAUGUAGAGUUGGGUAUCUGAUCCCUGCUGACCACUUAAACAAAUUUCGCUCAAAUUAACCCUUGUGAACAUUGUUGAUCACCUAACUCUUAAAAAAUUAAAAAAAUGACGCGUAUCUAACGCCGAAUACUAUAGCAUCUGGAACGCAGGCUUGGUGAGGCCGGCCAUAUGGCUGCAUGUAUAAAUGCAGCAGAUGAUUUGCAGUGACGCUCAUCUCAUCAGAAGUUCAGAACAAAUGGCCAUUACAAGGGUCCAGCCGCUCUCUGCUCACCUUCUGAAACCUUGUGCUACUCCGGCUGAUCCAGCCGAGAAGCAGGUUUACACGGUGUGGAUGAAAUCGCUGGUGUUCAACGGCCACGGGUGCACGAUCUACGGCCAGGACGGACGCGUCGCUUACCGUGUCGACAACUACGCCUGCAGCCGCAGCCGCGAGGUGUACGUUAUGGACAGUGACGGCAAGACGCUGCUCAAGCUACUCAAGAAGGUAGAUGCAUGAGAUGCUACUGUGUUUCCUUUCUCUGAUGAAGUUUCAGCAUAACUCUAACACUUUGGUCGUGUGUUCUUCCCUGCAGAAUUUUGGGGUGUUCAAGACAUGGAAGGGGUACUCUUAUCGCAUUAAUGGCCCUGAAGGCCUGGAACAGGAGAACUCCAAGCCAUGGUUCAGUGUUCAGAAGGCUCAUCAAAUCCUGAAGAAGGGAGGGCAGUGCAGUAGGAAAGCUGUAGCGACAGUUUGUAUCAGCGGUAACGUUUGCAAGAUCGACGGCGUUUUAUGCAAAUCGGAGUACAGAAUCAGCGACGCAAAUGGCGAGGUCGUGGCGGAGAUGAAGAGGAAGCAGACGGCCUCAGGGGUGGUGCUGGGAGAAGACGUCCUGAGCCUGACAGUGAGCCCCGCGGCGGAUCGACUGCUCGUUGUCGGGCUUGUGGUCGUGUGUGGCCUCCUCAGCCGCUGCAUCUGAUGAGUGGGGAUUGGAGAAGGAUGCUGCCAUGCUGGCGUCAUUUUUUUACGCUGCUUGCAGUGUUUAAUCGCUGAGGAAUGGGAAAAACACUUUCAGAGUUUACUGGGUCAGAUUUAGAAGUAACCUUUUUUCCCCAGCCGAAGGGUAAAAUAUUUUUUGAGAAAGGAAGUGCACCUUUCUUUCUUUAUUUUUUAUUUUUAUUUCAUCCUUCGGUUGCGGAUCUUUUGAAGUAUAUGUUUGUGAGCGACAGUACUUUCAAUGUUCUUUUAGCAGUGAAGAAUGCUACUGUACGGUUUUUCUUUGUUUUCCCCUUAUAAAGAUAUGAUCACAGUUUCGGUCACUACUGGAGAACAGGCCAUCACUACCGGCCCUCAAACUCCAUCACCGCCGGUUUUGGAUCCGUCGUAUCCAAUUCGGCAGUGAUGGGUACCCCAUCACCGCCGAUUCUAGCUUAUUAAAAAAACAAAAAAAAAAUCCCUGCCGCCCCACCGCCGCUACCCCUGCCGCACACCCCCACCCCACCAUCGCCGCCACCACCCCGGCAGCACGCCCCACCGAAGCCCCGUCGCCAAUCGAGAGAGAGAGGGAGGGAGGGUGGGAGGGAGGUGGUGCACCUGGAUUUGAGAGAGGCGGCCCCGCCACUGCUGCGGCUCCGCCGAGUGAGAGAGAGAGAGAGAGCGGGUGGGGAGUGGGGCUGAGGGGGCCGGGGGGUGAGGGUCGGGGGGGGGGGGGUGGCGGACGUGAGAAGGGAGUUAAGUUAAGUGGGUUGAAAAGUUUUUUCGGAUCCGCGUCUUGUUUCACCGCCGGUUGGUGUUAAAAACCGGCGGUGAUGCCGGUGGUGAAAUUGAGCAUCACCGCCGGUUAUAAGUGUUAUUGUCCGUAUUUGCUUCUAAACCGGCGUUGAAAGGAUAUUACUGCCGGUUUACAUAAAACCGGCGGUGAUGGUUUGUUCUGUAGCAGUGAGUUUACUUUCAUUUACUACAUUCGUUGUCAAUGUGCGUGACUUUGAUCUUUAUCUUUUUCCACGCGCUACCUUUUACCUCUUGGAUUCAUUCACCGAUUCCAAAUGGUUGGUAAAAGAAUGAAGCCGAUCGGUUUAUAAGUGUAGGUGUAGGAGGAGAGAGAGCUGGAGAAGAAAUUGAGCUUUUUGCUCGUCUUGGAAAUUGUAUUCAGCUGAAGUGCUGGAGUUAGAUAGAGAUGAUAUCCUCCUGCUGGUUUCCUGCUUUCAAAAUGGAGCUCAACCAUGCUAAACACACUAUCACGAUGGAAAAAAAAAUCUAUGAAUUAACUAAAACACUAUGCUGAAUUUCUCGUCAUGAUCUACCCCUCUCCGUCAAAACAGCAUGGGGGAACAAAAUUCAUUUUUUUUCUACCCCAGUUAAAUCUCGUAGAGCAUUCCAAUCUGCAAGGUCUUGGCAUGGUCAAUUUUGAGCAUGGAGACGCUGGACCUGAAGUUCUUCUGCAGGAACCUGUAGAGGUGAUUGAUCACGAACCGCUUGAAACAGUUGUGCUCGCCGCCCAUGUGCAGGAUCGUCCUCCCAAACACGACCACGUACCCAUCCCCGAGAGCCGAGUCCAUCGCCUCGGCCUCCUCGGCGCUCUCGGCGGCGCCCUUGAGCGCGGCAACGGCGGACGCGACGAAGCCGUCGCCGACGAGGUCGUACUUGUCCAUGUACCCGUACCGCACGACGCAGCGGUACACCCCCGCGGGCCCCAGCUCCUUGGCGACGAGGAACCUCUCCUCGGGGAGCACCGACCGCACCGGCAGCUCCCGCACGGUGACGAAGAGCGUGAGCUCGCGGAGGCACGCCGUGUGCUCGGCGUAGCGGCGCACGAUCGGCGGGAAGCCGUUGACCAGGUCGGUGAGGAAGACGCAGGCGCCCGGCGCGCGCCGGGCCCUCGCGCGGGUCGCCAGCGCGCCGAGCUCCGCGGCGUCCAGGGCGUGGCGCGCCUCGUACCCGGCCUUGAGCUUGCGCCCGUACGUCCACGACAGCGUGGGCACCAACAGCAGCGCCGCGAUGGCGAACGGCACCCAGCCGCCCUCCCGGAACUUGUUCAUCAGCGCGCUCCCGUACACGCCUUCGAUGGAGAUGAAGGCCACGGCGAACGUAGCGAUCCAUACGGCGUUCACGCGCCAGAUGACAUCCAUGACUAUCGCCAUCAGACUAGUGGUGAUGAGCAUGACAAAGAUCACUGCAACACCUGCAAAUCAAACAGAAGCAGCAAAAGCAAAGCUCUCAGAUCAUUCAAAUACUAAAGCAGCGAAGUACCCAGAAAAAACACGGAGUGAAGCCCCGCGUCGUCCCCGCUCGGGUGACACGGGCGGUGCCCACGACCUCGGCCUCCGCCUUCGCUGCCCCUCCCUCUCCUCCCCUCCCCUGCCACCACCGGAGGGGCUGCCGGAAACCCGCGUGGGCCCCAUCUUCCUCGCUUAGGCUGCGUGUGCCAGUACUGGGCGGGGACUGUGCGGAGCAGCUCCGCCGUCAGGGUGACGGUGGCGGCAAGGGGUGGCGGAUCCGGAGCCCUGGUGGCCGGAUCCGACCAUCCCGGUGCCUGAUCUGCGCGGAGAAGGAGGCUGCGGGCGAGCGGUGCGGCAUGCGGCAGCAAGACGGCGAGAGCAGGUGGCGGUGGAAGGGGAGUAGGUGGCGGUGGCGGUUGCGGCCAUGGAAGCCUUCCCGGCGUCGGCGAGGAGGUGGCCGUGGCUAGCGGGAGCCGAGGAGCCGAACGUGCUGCUGCUCGGCAGAGGUAAGCAACGAGAGCGGCGAUGGCGAGGAGCUCCAGGCCGGGUGCCCCCCCUCCCGCAGGUGGCGGCAGCGGUUGUGGCCAUGGAGGCCUUUCUGGCACUGGCGAGGAGGAGGUUGCGACCGACGGGAGCCGAGGAGCCGAACGUGCUGCUGCUCGACAGAGGCGAGCAACGAGGGUGGCAAUGGCGGGGAGCUGCAGGCCGGGUGGCCGUCCCCACCCUAAGCAGGUGGCAACGACGGUUGCGGCCAUGGAGGCCUUCCUGGCGCCGGCGAGGAGGAGGUCGCGAUCCGCGGGAGCUGAGGAGCCGGAUGUGCUGCUGCUCAGCAGAGGCGAGCAACGAGGGCGGCGAUGGCGGGGAGCUGCAGGCCGGGUGCCCCCCUCCCCCCCAAACCCUCUCUGGUGGCUAGGGGGACCGAACAACUGGCUAUGUGACGGCAUUCUUCGGCUCCUAGUGGCGGCUGUGAUUUCUGGGGAGGGAACGGGGUGUAGGCGAAAGCCUUGUGCCUGCUUGCGGGUCAAUGACAGCAACGCCCCCGGGCGCCGCUUCUCUUCUUGAAGGUGUCAUUCAUUCCCCCUUCUCCCUCCCCUACGGCGAGCUUCCGGGUGAAAGCCUUGACUGUGUUGGUCGGACGACGACGGUGCAAGUGGCGUCGCCCCUUCCCUUGAGGCGUCGUCUUGGAAGCUCAACGGGUUCUUGCUACCGUCACUACAAGGAUCGUUGCUGAACGCCACCCUAAGUCAUCUCCGGUCGGGUGCCUGCCUUCACUUCGAUUCGUCCACCUCACCCGGGUUGCUUUGGUCAUCGUCGUCUAGCAGAUGUUUUGCCGCCCCCUCUUCUCUGGUGGAUGCUUUGUCAUCGUCGUUGGUUGCUUCGGGCGGAUGCUUUGCCGCUCUGGUUGUACUGGUUGGGUGGAUGCGUUGCCACUGUUAUUCAAAUCGUGUGCGUGUGCUCGGUUAGCCCGUGUUGUAACGUUUCGAACAUUCUCUUCUUCUUAAUACAAAGAUACGCAGCCCUCCUACAUAUUCUAGAAAAAAAAUGCUUAAGCAAACUGAAAAUGUUAAUGGCUUGGUGAAUUGGUUACCAAAGGCGCGGCCGAUCUCGGGUCCGCCACCGAACCCAACAGUGAUCACGAUGCACACGACCAUCAGGAAGAAGUUGAUCUCCGGGCAGUAGACCUGCCCUUCGUACUCCUCCGAGGUGUGCCGAAUGGUGACGCGAGGGAAGCAGCCAAGAGCCAUGGACUGACGGAUGAUGGAGAAGCUGGCGGAUAUCAGCGCCUGGCUCGCAACAAUGGCGGCCAGAGUGGCGACCACGAACAUCGGCCAGAACAGAGGCCCCGGGAUGCUGCUGUAGAACGUUGUGCUCAGCUCGGAGGGGUGCUUGAUCAGGUAUGCUGCUUGCCCGGAGUACGCGAGGAUCAGGGAUGGGUAAACUACAGUCGAAAACGCCACCUGCAGGGAAAGGAAAAACAUCAGUACAAGCACACAUGUUUGAAAUGCAUGAAUUUGUAAGAAACGUUAAAUUUUUUGUGGGAGAACUCGGAAACAAUUCUAUACAGUCAGUCAUGUUUACCUGGAUUGAUGACUUGUUGAAGUGACCCAAGUCAGCAAACAUAGCUUCAGCACCUGGUUAUGAUCACAAGCAUUCAGUCAUAUACUCGUAUGUUCAGAUUUCAUCAAAUAUGAACAGGGAAAAAUUGUCAGUUCCUCAGGAAUUUGAAGCUUUGCAGCAAAUGUAGAUUAUAUUUCUCACCUGUGAUGCACAGGAUGAUGGCUCCAAGUUGCUCCCAGCCGACCUUUUUGUUCCUGGCGAAGUAGUAGUAUAUGUAAUGCGGUGAUACAGCUUUCAGAACAGGUGGAUAGUACUUCGCUAUGUUGUACACCCCGAUCACGGCGAUGGAUCCAAACCACACGAGCAUGAUUGGGGAGAACGAGGCGCUCACUUUGUUCGUGCCAAAUCGCUGGACGAGGAACAGCAGGAGCAGAAUCACCACGCUCAAUAUGACAACAUGCUCUGCAACAGCGAAACAGAUUGCCAAUUGGACAAUAAAACAAUUUCUGUCAGAAGAUAUCAAUACAGCAGAAAAUAACCAAUCAAUCUUUUGUGGUAAGUAACUGACUAACUGUUACCUUGUUUGAUGUUGGGAGACCUCGAUUGAAUUCCUUGGACGGCCGAAAGAACUGAACAAACGGAGCAUGAAACAUUCAGAGAAAUCCGAAUGAGAACUGAUCUGCUGCUUGAAUGCACUUCAGAAUUCAGACGAACAGAGACGAUUGAGUAGCAAGACGUGUGUAAAUUACCUGAGAUGGCUGGAGUGAGAGCCCCAUCGCCAAUCAUCAUGCAGGUCCCAAACAGCACGAAGCAGGUGACAGUGGCUUGCAGCAGCGAGCUGCCCUCGAGCCACCGGUGCAGCCUGGACGGCGACCCGCUCCUCUCGCCGUGGAACCUGAGGCCGGCGUCGGAGGCAUGCCGCGUGACGGGCACCGGCAUGUCGCCCUUGAAGUUCACGUGCUGGCGCAGGAGCGAGUAGAGCGCGAACGUGCCGCCCUCGCCGUGGUCGUCGGCGCGGAGGACGAUGAGCACGUACUUGACGAGGCUCAUCACGGUGAGCGUCCAGAGGAUGAGACUGAGCACGCCCAGGAAGUCCGGCUCGCCGGCGCCCGGCAGGACCAGGGACGAGAACACGUACAGCGGCGACGUGCCAAGGUCGCCGUAGACGAUGCCGAGGGACUGGUACGCCAGCAGCAUCGUCUGCAACUUCGUGAACACCUGCACGCCAUUGCCAUGUCGUGCGAUGAAGAACGAGUCGGGGGAAUCCGCAGAUCACGUCAGCCGUCACAGAUGAGAACAGCCAUGGACGGACGAAGGAAACUUAGAUGACGACGUACCAUAGGUUCGCGGUGCCUCAUCUUGUAAGCCUGGCUGAAGCUGAAGGUUUGACGCCCGGCGGCGCCGCUAGCACUCUCGUCACCGGCGGUCUCAUCGUGCUCUACCUCGCCGGCCGGACGGCUCUUCUCGGCGCCGACCUCGAGGAUGAGGUCGUCGUCCGCGAGCCGCACCGCUUUCAUCGGCCUAAGUUGCAGGUGUGCCCCUGAUUAGCCCCUGCAAUCCAGGCUCAUCCGCCGUUUAUAAGAUCUGAAAAUCGAAGCCUCGUUUCUUCGUCUCUCAUCAACAAGGUAUUGUUUGUUUUACGCGUUUCGGUUGGACAAAAUCUUUGUAUAAAUCGGGAUCAUCAGCUGUCCUUUUACGUAGGCAGAUUUGUUUUCACAGCUGAAAAACGUACAAAUCGUUACGCCUUCCCACUUAUCUAUCUACAUGCAUCCUGACAUCACAUGAGAUCUACGUAUUGUUCAGGUGGGAUCCACGUAUUGUUCAGGUGAGAUCCAUGUGUACCAGUAGUGGGAUCCACAUGCUCAUCCGCCAUUUUAUAAGAUCUCAAAUCAUUUUUUUCUCAAUUUCAUUAGAAUCUUCAUUAAAAAAUGUACAUAUUUUUUAAAAAAACAAGAAUAUAUUAUAAUACGUUUCUUAAAAUCUUAAACCUGGUAUUGAUAGCAAAAGGUUGUAAGAUAUGUUUUAAUUUUUAUUUUUAACAUCAUAAGGUAACCAAUGCUCUCAAAAAUCAAAUUGUGAGGGAACGAGGCACACCAUUAGCAUCGAAUCUUGCUGCCAUAUGUUUGAUUCGGACCAUGCCAAAUAAAAUACUCUAUUUACUAGAGGGAGAGAGAAUGAACUAUAGUUGCAACAUCUGAAGAGAGAUUGGGAGUGAAAACUUGCAUUUUCUACAUUUUUAACUCCAUACGCGGACCUUCUAAAAUAGCUUUUGCACUGGAGCAAUCGAAUGUUACCGUGUCACCGAACAAACUUAUGCUCUCUAUUCAUACCAGCACUGAUGAUGCUCUAAUGGCAUGCUAGUAAAUGAGAGAAAAAAAUGUAUGAUCCUACACAUGUACUGUCGUAAUAAAGAGAUCAAGUUCACAAAUAUGUAUUUAAAAAAUUUGCUCGUUCAGUUAACUUACGAUCAUCCGCUUUAAGAUUUUGCACCAUUACAUGAAAUUAAUACUAUUUUAUCGAACACAAUUCAUCAAACACUAUCCAACAAAUUAUAGCACACGCCAUUAAAAAAUAAAAUACUUUCUAUUUAUAUUGUUUGGUUUUCUUUACCUAAACAUUGUGGAUCACUCAAAGAAAACCUCUCUUGUUGGGCAAGGAAAAAAAAUAGAAGAACAUGAAACGUCUCGCGAUUGUAGGCAAUAACAGUGGCGCAUUCCCCGAAAGCCGAGAGAUCGCCUUUUUCCUCGUUCGCCUUUCUUCAACCUCCCGACUCGUUCGCCUCUCCCCACCCCUGCCCCGCCUCAUCACUCCCCCAUCCCACCGACACGCGGCGUGUCACACGCCUCCGCUAAAACCCUAGCCCCAGGCCCCCGAUGGCCGCCCCACCGCAGCCGCUCCCGCCGGCGGCGGAGGAGGGGGCUGCACCGGCGGCUCCCCUCCCCGCCGCCCCGCCGGGGCCGCGGCCGUACGAGGUGGCGGUCGCCGCGGCGGAGCUUCGGCCGGUGGACUGCAACCUCGCGGCGCUCUGCGACCACGUCCAGGCGGAGGGGUUCGGCUCCGGGGCCUUCUCCGACGUCGUCGUGGAGGCCAUGGGCGCCACCUACAGCCUCCACCGCCUCAUCCUCUCCCGGAGCGCCUACUUCAGGUGAGCUCUCGAAUGCAGAGCCCUGGCGCUCCUCCCGCCUUCGAUUCGUUGGGAAUUGAAGUGUCUGUUGCGAUCUGAUCGUCUGCAACUGCCUAGAGUACUUAAUUGCAUUUCUAAGUGACAUUUUUGUCUGUUUCGUUGGGACGUCUCGAUCCCUUCCCUAAGAAAUUUUCAUGUGCUUUGAUCCCUACCGAAAUGUUUAAUAAGAAUCCGACCUUAUCCAUUGUGCAAAUAUCAUGUCGAUUACAGCCUUAAAAUCCCCAAGACCUUAAUUUGUACUAUUUGUUAUGGGUAGGCUGGCAUUCUUGUUGAUAUCAUAUUUAAGCCUUUGGUACAAUUGAACCUAGUUUGCUUCCUUUAGACUUCCGGAUUCCCAUUUAAGCUGUGAAUCAUUGUUGAAGCUAAAAAUGAUUUGACAGAAAUCGGUUACUAGCUAGUGUUUCCCUUGAGAUUUCAAGGCCAGAACUUGUGGAUGGGGGCAUAGGCAUCAACCAGUACUGUGGACUGUGGUACAUUAAAAAUGAAAUCAUAGUUUCCUCCCUUUAGGGAUCCUAUCAGAUUUGUGCACACAUAUUUCCCUGGUCACUCUUAGGAGAAAAAUUAGAGACCUCUUUCUUCUCCUAUGUGAUACAAUUCAACUAGAUGUUAUCCUGAUGGUUAUGGUCUCUGCACUUUGGCUUGAUGCUACGUUUAUUUCUACAUGAUAUAUGCAAAACCAAAGUAAAUUCGAAAGGAAUCUUGCUCACUCCAUUCCUACACCUUUUCCCUUUUUUCCCUUUUCUCACAUUUUUUCCUACUAGGACAUACAAGUAAUUAGAGAUGAGUAAAAUACUAACAAAUUCUUUAUAAAAAAUGACUGGCAGGAAUAUGCUUCAUGGUCCUUGGAGGGAGGCUGGAGCACCUACAGUGGUCUUGCACAUAGAUGAUGCUAAUGUUGAUUCAGAGGCAAUCGCAAUUGCACUGGCAUAUCUUUAUGGGCAGCCUCCCAAGCUUAAUGAUAACAAUGCAUUUCGGGUGCUCGCAGCCGCAUCAUUUCUGGAUCUUCAGGUGAAAGUUUAGCUAUUUAGUUGGUAAUUUUCCUUUGUGCCUCAUUCCACUUUGUUGUUUUGACUCAUAUGAUAUGUUCAAUUGCAGGACUUAUGUACAAUAUGUACAGAUUUUAUUAUUUCUGAGCUUUGGACAUCAAAUUUUUUACAAUAUCAGGCAAGUUCAUUACUAUUAUGUAGCUUUUCUUUGGAUCUGUAUACUUUGAUGAUUGAUGAGAUCAACUUUAUUUUACAAUAAACUAUUCGCUUUCUUCUCCUUGAUCAUUCAUCUUCAUAUUAACUUUUUCUUAUUCCAACAGUUGUUUGCUGAAAGUCAAGAUUAUGGUAGUCAUGGAGAACGUGUCAGAAAUGCUUGCUGGGGUUAUCUUUGUCAAAGUGCCACACUGGAACUACGAGAGGCACGUAUCAUUUAAGAACUUUUUCUGGUCAAAUCCAGGAUAUUGUUGUUUACUUUUUAAUUCUUAUAGAUCUUUUUAAAAAAAAUUGGUAUUUAAAGACCAUGUCACCCAUGCCUUAAGUUCUAUAAAUUUCUUGCUGUGCAUUACAUGAAUUGACUGAGUAUUUGUUUUGGUAUUUGAAUCGAGUAGCGUGGAUGUUAUAUUGUAGUAAAUGGAGAUUGUACAGGCCAUUGGUGUACCAAAAAUGCUAAGAAAACUAUUCUUUUUUUAGAAUUCACUAAGAAAACUAUUCUAUGUUGUAUUAUAUGAAUAUGUUUAGUUUUUUCUUUUCAUCAACACAAGUGCUUACAUGUUUGGAUGGUCUUGGCUGGGAUUUGUUAUUCAAUAUAUAUUCUAUGUUAAUUGUGAAUUGCUGGGCCUUUUUGUUACUCACAAUAUUAUUUUUGUUUUGUUCUUGAAAGGUGCUACCAAAGCUUUCUUCACAAACUUUGCAUGCUCUCCUUACGUCUGAUGAAUUGUGGGUACCGAAUGAGGAGAAACGGUAUGCUUUAUGUUUAUCUGUGCGCUGAAUGAUAUUACAAGCCCCUUUUGUGACAACAACUUAUCUUGGUACUUGAAGGUUUGAACUAGCAUUAUUUACUCUACUUGCAAAGGUUACCAUGUUUGAGUUACAAGUUAGUGGGAAUGAAACAAGCUCAUCAAAUGCUGAUCAUUCCAUGAGGAAGGGGAAGACUCCAAUGGAUGAACCUGGCGAGGAACAGCUAAUUGAGUCUGAAUUGCAGAACUUAAAGUUGCAUGAUAACUUGGGGAAUGAAAUUGCCCAUAACAUUAUUGCUAUUUCAGACACGGUAAUACCCUGGAAUAUCAUACCAUACCCCCAUUGUACGACUAAGAUGACACCCAAAAUUUCUGCUUUUGUUCGAUAUGCUAUGCAUUUUUUCCUUGUCAUCACAAAUAACUAUAUUUAGCUGAAGCAUGACCCUGCUGUUUUUCUGAAUUUAGAAUGGUGAAGCUUCCAAGAGGAUGGGGAACGAUUGUUCUACAGGAGGACCAUCUGGAGAAAGUACUUCAUAUCAGUUUAAUGAAAACAUCUGGCUUUCUAGUGAGCAAACUAAGAAUUAUUUCUCAAGAACUUCCAGUAGUGGGGUUGUUCCUACUGAGUGGGGAAGGCCCAAUGCACCACUUUGGGGUGGUAGGGUCGUUGGACGGCGGCAAGUUAGAUGCAUUAGGGGAGGCUCUUGUUUAUCUAGUGAUGAAUAUAAUGCUUUUAUGAAUAUAUUUGAGAGGGGUUCUCUUCUCUACUGCAACAUGUCAUUUGAUGCGCUGUUAAGCGUUCGAAAGCAACUUGAAGAAUUCGGAUUCCCUUGCAAAGCUGUCAAUGAUGGUCUUUGGCUACAGGUUUGUAGUCUAAUUUCUGCCUUGUAGUACAGUGUUCCUUUUAUGAUGGUUUAUAGAACUUGAUGCUUUUGUUACUGCAGAUGCUUCUGUGUCACAGAGUGCAAGCAAUAGUUGCUGAUACUUGCAGAAACUGUUGCCUUACGAGUAGUUCUUGUGCUUGCAAGCAAGCAUAUGUGAGCUCGCAUACACACUACAGGCAGGAAAAUGACCGGAGCAGUGCUUCUGGUACCAUAGGUAAUAUCUAUCUCGCAGAUGCCCAGGGUGAUGGCAAUGGUGGGCUUGGGCCUGUCCGUGUUAAUGUAAGAGGAGCAGUCGAUGGACUUGCUGGUAUUGGGAGAGGGAACUCAAAUGUGCCUGGUGCAGCUUGGGCUCCUACACGUUAUGUCUUCUCCCGUGUCCCUUAUGGGCUUGGUUCAAGAAAUGGUCAGCAAUUUGCCAAUGAUGAAUCAGAACCUAGAAUUGACCGCAAUGGAGAUAUUUCAGCGGAUGGCCUAACUGCAUUGGUUAAUCUUAGCCAAGAAAGCAAUGUUGUUCAUCAGCAGGCUGAAAGCAUAUUUGAGACCAGCGUGCAGACGAGAUAUCGCAGUGUUGCAUCUGUUUCUACUCCAGGUGGUUCUUCUGUCCAGAUGCAGGAGUCAAAGGAGCAUGAACUUGGGUCGGAUUGGGAAACUGCAGAGGAUGCAACUAUAUCAUUAGACAUGAAAACACCGCUUAGCCAUUUUCCUCCUUUCCGCUUUGGGUAAGGUUACUUAUUUUUCUGUAUCUGCAAUUCUAUCAUCAAACAACACCUCAUUGAACAGUAUUCCAGGAAAAACUUGAGUUAUUAUUUAUUUCGUUUUCCUGAAUGUCAAGUAAUAUCUCUCAAGCUAUCUAAAAGCUUGAGUUUAUUUCUAGGUUACCAGUUGGCUUGUUGCCUUGUUGAUAAAUGUGCCAUGGCAGGAAUAUGAAAAAGAAAAUAAAUUUUCUCAUGAAAAAUGAUAAGGCUAGCCAACAAAUGUUCUGCUAUUUACCUUUUAUCAUCUUUAGGCAGUAAAGGCUUACAAUUAGAUGUGCACAUUGAUUCCUUGUUUCUGGCAUGGCUUGACCAGCUUAUUGCUGUUCACAGAGUUGAGUUCGAGGAUGUGCACAGACUUGCUGAUGGUCAGGUGAAACAUUCGACUGAAGUGUUUUAUGCAGGCUCUCUGUGGAAGGUUGGCUUUGUUGUCUUAAAUCUAUACAUCCUUCUAAUGGCCUAAAUCUAGUUAAGUGGUAUACCCAUUUGCAGGUGAGUGUUCAGGCAUUCAAUGAUGAGGAUCCUCAUGGACGACGCACCCUUGGUAUUCUUUUUAUUACCAUGUCCUCACAAGCUUACCUCUUGCCUGACUGUCCAAGUAUAAUAAUAUGCCUUGUACAAAUUUAACUGGCAAUACAGGACUUUUUCUCCACCGACGCAAGGCUGAGUUUUUAGACCCCUUGAGGAAGGUGAGUGAUUUACUGAAUUCAUUGGUUUAUGGUCAAAUUAACUGAUAAACUUAUUCCUUAGGUCCACAUGUAUGUUGACCCUCGGGAAAAGGUUACUGCUCGGUAUCAGGUGCUUAUACCCACUUUUCAUCAACUCAUCUUCUAUUGAGGUAUUGUGUAUGUCCUAAUUUGCAAAAUUGUUUGUUGCUCGUAGCUCAUCUGUCCAUCAAAGAGAGAGGUCAUGAUAUUUGGAAGCCUGAAGCAGGCUGGGACGCUGCUACCAAAAGCCCCAAAGGGCUGGGGCUGGCGCACUGCUAUAUUGUUUGAUGAGCUUGCAGAUCUUCUCCAGGCUGGCGCCCUGCGAAUAGCGGCAGUAGUCCAGCUUGUCUAAAACAACAAGUUGCAGAAAAGAAUAACCUGCAAUGCUGGUGAUAUCACAGCAUGACAGCAGUGUAUGUAGUUAAUACCUGGAAUAUCUCUAUAUAUUGUUCUGAUUAAAAAAAACUCAAUAUAUAUUGUUUAAAUGCUAAACUUCUUAGUCAUGCUCUGAAAGUGUGCAGUAAGAUCUAAAUAUUGGGACAAAAUCUUUGGCUAUAAAUCUAUUUAUUUGGCUACAAAUCUUAAUAUUUUGGGACAAAAUCUUUGGCUGCAAAUAUAUUUAUUUUGACGACAAAUCUAAAUAUUUUGAGACAAAAUCUUUGGCUACAAUUCUGGUAUUGUAAUAACUGAAGUAUAAUAGUUCCUCAAGAAUAACAAAUUGGAAUGCUGCAGUACCAGAAUUGAAGUGUAAUAACAGUAUAACACACAGCAAUUGAAGUGAAUGGAAGUCCAAGAACAAACUGGACUACUGUAACGUGCAAAACCGACAGGUCGUGUGUCUAGGAAUUACUCGCGCCUUGUCAUGUUGUCGGUGUCUCCGGAAAUCAGUACACCGAGCAUAUUUGACUGUAUUUGGACUAUGUUGCGUGCAUUUAUAUUUUGCGUAUCCAUUCACCAGUUGCUUUUCCGUAUCCAGAGGAAAAAAAACUACUACUUUAUUAUAUCCACAGGAAAAAAAACUAUACUAUUUAUUUUGACCAUACAGCAAAAAACUACUACUUUAUUAUAUCCACAGGAAAAAACCAUAAAAUAUUUCAUAAAACAAGGGUAGUAAUAAAUUGUAUAGUAUCCAACAUUUGGGUUUUGCCGUUUUGCUAUCCACAGGAUAGGCCUAGGGCCAAAGCAACCCCUCUAAAUCUUGAACAUGUGUAUGCCCUUUUCUCCGCACCAAACUGCCAUGGCGUCCAACAGGAAAGUAGCAGCUCCUGCUGUCUUCGCCCUGGCCUUGCUCCUCGUGGCCUAUUGUAAGUAAAACAACCCUUGUUGUUUUCAUAUAUUCUCGCGAAAUUUCUGCGAAUUUAAAUUUCCUGACAAGGUUUAUGUUUGUACGUACAUAGGUGCGGAGGCAUACAUGUGCACAACGCAGAACAGGUUUUUCCAUGGCAGGUGCGUGAACAAUCUGAACUGUGCGAGCUCGUGCGUGCACGAAAGGCUCGGCACCGGCGGGCACUGCGCGACGAGGAAGCGCAGCGCCGCCGACCCCGGCGUCGACAUCGACUGGGUCUGGAAUAGAAGAAUCUGCGUGUGUGUCUUCCAGUGCAGGUGGCCAUCGCCGCCGGGAGAAGAAGAGCCGCCGUCCGGCGGGGAAGAGCCGCCGGCCGGUGGGAGACAGCCACCGUCCCUCCGUCACACCCAGGAAAUCCAACCGAAUUUUUAAGGGUAGAUCCACGUUCGACGGAAUAAAAGCAGAACGUACUGUAACUGCAAUCGCAUGACAGUAAUUUAGUAAGUUUUUAUCCAUGAAUAUUUUCAUGGCGAAGGCCCAGCGUCUUGUUUAAAUGCGAGAGCAUGUGCUUUCAAUCGACAAUACGAUCUGGACAUGCUCAGUUUCCUGCUCAGUCCGGCCAGUUGCCUGUGAUCGAUCGAUGAUUUGCCCAUUACUCCAGUAGGAGCUUGGAGCUGAACUACACAGAUUCCUGCUCGCCCUCGGAUCACGGUCAUGCCUUUCUGGAUUAGUCCAACAAUGGUUGGAACAUGGGAAACCGAUCGCUGCUUUCUAGUCAGGCCUCCUGGCCUCGAAAGUCAGAAACCACCUUCAGCUUUCAGUCUGUCACCACUCCGAUCUGGACUUCAAAAGGAAUGCACAGCACGAAUGCAAAGAGUGUCGGUGCAAAUACUGACAGUAGUGUAGUGGGCUGUAGCUGCAAUGCUGCAUCCUGCGUGUGAACAGAAUCCCAAUGAUUUCACUCCUCCGCUGUGUCAGUGACAUGUGGGGGGGCACUUGGCACUUGUUUAUCGAGCGCAGCCUGUCCGAAAAAGGCUCCGCUUUUCCCAACACUCGUUUCAAGUAUUUUCCCUCUUAGGAUAUAUCCCUAAGCCCUUAUACAAAUAAUAAAAUGUUUCAAGUCUUCCUUAUAAACUGAGCUACCUUCAACUCGAAUUUGCAUUACAAGAGUUCUUAUAUUUUCCCAACAUUCUUGUGUGGUGCUUGAGCCUCCUUCGACUCAAAAUGGUUCCUGGUUGUAUACUUGUAUCCUAACAUGGAUAAGAUUAUUAGACCACUUCCUUUCUACAGAAGCAAUUUUGCACGAGGUUCAUGCAUUGUGUCCGUACUUCUAACAUGGCAGAACCCUUAUAGGUCGAUCCGCCUCCUGCCACCUUUUUGACUAUCUUGUCCUAUAACCUCGAUCGAGGGAAGAAGCUUAUAGGCUUACCGUAUUGACCUGUUGGCCGGAAUCGUGCUUAGUUAUUGCGUUUAGCGAAAACGUCCGCUGUACCUUCAGCAUUUUCAUGUAUACAGCUUGAAACAUAUGACACUACAAAACGGCAAUUGUUCUUGACAAUUGACAUAAUGUGCAAGCGUUUCUUUUUUUUUUAAAUAAAUGUGCAAGCAUUUCAUUGUUCCAAAACAGAACUCAGUAUUUCAGAUAAACUAACCUAUAUAUGUCUCUGUUUAACCCUCCCUUUUCUUUUAGCAAAACUUGAUGAAUUCCUAGCCGUUUGCAAACUAAUGUUGACGAGCCGCUGUUGACCAUCAAAAAUUCAAAAGUUCAAACGAAAGACUGGUAGCUCGUAGUGAGAGGAACUAUAUCGCCCGAAACAAGAAAAAGACCAAGCUGAGAGCCAUGACUGAGCAUUAUAUUACACGAACGAAUCAGGUAUUCGUUUUGCCUACAAAUGCCAAAUACAACAAAUGAAUUAUAGAGCAAGAAUCGUCUCGCUCCAUGUCAAUUGAUGGAUCUCAAUCCAGCUACAGAAACCACCACCAAAAAUCAAAACUGAAACAAAAAGGGGAAAAAAAAGAGCUAGGAGGCUUUGUCUUACAAGGUGCAAAAGUACGUGGAGCUAGCGUUCAUGAGACCGUGCCGCCAUGAACCCGGCCAGGUCACCUCGCCUGCUCGACGGCCGCUAGCCCCUGCACUGGGUGAUGGCGGAGCAGCCCCGGGAGUAGGGGUUGGCGGCGCCGCUCGGCCGGCAGUUGUAGUAGGACGCGCCGCGGUACGAGCACGGCACGUUGCCGGCGCUCAUCGCGCCGUAGCCGAUGUAGCCGCUCCCUCCCAGCUCCCUCCUCCUGCCCAUCGCGCACUCGCCCACCGUGCCCGUGCUGCAGGCCAUGCCGUGGGCGGCGGCACCCCGCGGCGGGCUGGCUGCGACGAGGAGGAGCACUGCAGCGACGACGGCCGCGAGCGCCACGCGGCUCCGUGGCGGUGGCAUCGCGUGCACCCGGCCGGCUGCUUGCUGCUGCAGGCCUUGCAUUGUCUGCGUCGUUUCUGCCUGUGUGCCAGUGGCAGCGCUAGCAAACUUUUAAAGAUCCGAGGAGUUGGUUAAAAAGAAGAAGAGAAGAUUCGCUUUUGAACAAGGUAAGGGCAUGUGGAAAUUCGCAAUUAAUAAUCUUAACCCUCUUUACACGCAGCACCUCCAGAUCUGAUACUGGUAUCAACUACCUACCAUCCCUAGUAUCAACCAUAUAAAAUUACUGGGAAUAUUCAAUCAUUUCUAACUCAAAUGUAGGUGUGCAUAUUAUUUUCUUUACAACUGAAAACAUAGGAUGAAAGGGAAAUGGUGCUGCAAUACAGAAAAUGAAAACGAUCAGGUUAGGAAUUUUUCCAUACUUAUAAUUUUAACAAAUAAGUACGAAAACGAUACCGAACGAUACAGGAAUUUCCCGUCCGAACGAUAUGGUGAGUUGUGAUUUACAGCAAAUAUAUACACCUAAAAUGUGUUCGCAGAAGCCAUGACCCUAUCUGUAAACUACCUGGUCUUGAGCCAAAAACACCAACAUGUUUUUGUAAGGACUUGAAGGGAUUGCCUAUUUGUAAACUCUGGUGGCACUGUAUUGACUUUUUUUGGCCUGGAACCUCUAGGGGAGGAGCUUAUAGGCUUGUUACAGUUGACUUGAGAGCUGCAAUCGUGCUGACUGCUUUGUGAGAUGGAGAGAGAGGGCGUGUCUGCAUGGCCGAGCCCAGUAUUCUUGCCAAUCCGGCCCACAUUGUUUGCUGUUGAAAAACAUGGCCCAGAAAGACAUUCCGAUAACCGCACAUCGGGCGCGAUGGGUUCGGUUGAAACGGGGAUAGGAAUUGCACGUGGGCUGGGUUUGUUUUAGAUUGGGUCUCAGCCCACUAGGCCACAUGACGACGGGUUCUUCGGUUCAGUCCUGCCUGCUGCAUGGAGGACGCGCUGCGGAAAGAAUAGACCUGCGCAGCUCGAUGGAGCAACGCUUAAUGGCCCGUAGAUAAUUACUUGGGUUUCACUGGAAAAUGGAAAAUAGCAAAAUUUGAAUCCGUUCCAGCAAAAAAGAAAAUAAAAUCGACGAACGUUGCAGCAAAAUUCGAAUUCAACUUCAUAUCCAGGGGUCACGGCAAGCACUCCGCUUCUCGAGCUCUGCAAAGCAUGCUACUGCUGCUUCUGAAUCUGUCUCCACUCUCUCUCUCUCUCUCCCUGAUCUGUACAGGAAAAGAGUGUCGGUGCACGAACUGAUCAGAUCGAUUCCAUGUGAAAGGAAUCGUGCCUGUGCAUAACAGGACAAGAUCAGGACCACACUUGCGUGUCGAUCAGAUUCCAUCUGAAUUAAUAAGCAACCUAGAAGGGAUCGGAUCAACAAAGCUAGUAUGGGAGCUUGAACAAGCAAUUUGUAUGGACGAAGAAUGUAAUGAGAACGAAGAGGAGCUCUCACAUGUCGCCUACCAAUGCCAAUUACAAGAAUAUAUGGGAGCAAGAAGAAGCUUGAUCCACCUCCCAAAACCCAGAUGCUAUAGAACAAGAAAGGAGAAGCGAAGAAGAAACAGGUUUCCCUUACAAGCUAGCUGCUGCUGCAAGAACCUGAGACGAUGAAACCCAAGCCGCUAGCCUCUGCAGCGGGUGAUUUGGGAGCAGCCUCGGGAGUAGGGGUUGGCCGGCCCGCCCGGCCGGCAGUUGUAGUAGGACGCGCCGCGGUAGGAGCACGGCACCCGCCCCCGGCUCAUCGCGUCGUAGCUGAUGUACCCGCCGUUCCCAAGCUCCCUCCUCGCCGCGCCGCCCGCGCACUCCUCCACCGUGCCCGCCGCGCCACGGUCGUCGGCGGGCACCACCCAGCUAUCCGGAUCCACCACCGCCGUCGUCUGGCCGGACGCUCGCGACGCGGCCACGGCCAGCAAGAGCGCCACGACCACCGCAAGCGCGGCGCGGCUCGGCGGCGGCGGCAUUGCCGGCUCGGUGGCCGGCCGAAGCGCGCCUGCUGUGCUGCCUCCCCUUCGCUGCAGCCGGCGGCGGCCCUGCGCUCGCUCUAGCUCUUUCUCCCUACUCGUGGGAUUUUCCCAAGGAGGCCAAACGGCUAAUGAAUGUGGGCGGCGAUCGUGGACGAUGAGGACCCCGAUCCCAGGGGCAACAUGGCAACAUGGCACGCCUGCCACGCCGGCACUAAUAUACGGGGGAGGCGCCUUGUCCGCGCCCGCGCGCGCCGCACAUGACAUGAGGCCGGAGCUGCACCUGCACCGGUCGCGCCUGGCACUGGCAGGCACGUCGGGGGCCGGGAGCACGUGCCGGCGCCCCGUUUCUUACCAUAUCCUGCUUGGAUGUAUGCUUCCAGCUCCAGCUGAGCUCUGGGGUAUGAGUACGAACGGCUAGCCCUAGUUCCCCUGUCUCAUCUGCUCAUCAGAUCUGCUCAUCAGUCACCCCCCUGACAUCUGCAUAUGCUGCUGCUUAGCUAGAUUCGGUUAUUCAAAUGGGACUGCUGGGACAUGCCCGGCUGGCCGUUGCGUGAAUCUUGGACUGCUCAUUAUUCGAAAAAAAAAACCUUGGCCUGCUCACUUCACCGCAGUGAUUAUACGUAUUGAAGCAUUGCACUAGCAACAACAGCUCGUGCUCAUCGGUGCGAAAGAGGAAAAGGUCAAAGAUCCUAUGUUUCAGAAUGAGUUCAUGAUGCGCCCUUUUAAGAACAGCAUAAUGCGCCAUUUUGCAGUUGUGGAAGAAGCCCAGAGUGUUAAGCCCAUCAGAGGCCCAAAUAACCGUAUGUGUUGAGGAAGCCCAGAGUGUUGUUAGACUGCUGAUCUUUUUCUAACAGCCCAGCACUUCAACGACUACACCUUUUUGGGCUGAGCCUAAAUUUCAGAUCAGGUUCGCUAUCUUCUGGGCUCCACUUUUUGGGCCCGCUCCUUACCUUUGCCACGCGGCCUGAAUGAGAAGAUGUUCCUAGAUUAUGCGGUUAACUUUACUCUAAUUCCAGAAGAAUAUUAGUAUAAAAUAUUUUUUCCGUUUAAAUUUCCGGACCGCAGGCAAUAAAGCUACAAUGACGACUGCCGAAGCUCAUGACAACUAGAACUUUCAUUUUGAAAUAAGUAGCACUAUUGUUGAUGUUCUGAGUUGACUCAUGCUUAUUCAGCGAGAGGGGAAAAAAAAUUUGGCCCUGUACUUCUCAGACAGUGACCAGCUGACCUCCCUAAUCGAGAGCAGCUAGGCCUUGGGCACCAUGCUUACAAGCUUAAACUAGCUUUCCCUGCUGCCUAAAUGGCAGACUAGGACAGCAGUUUUCACGCCAGCUUUGCUUUGUGUUAAAGAAACGCUUAUGUUAACGUACUAGUAGCCCGUUUGCUUUCACUUCGCUUUCAUGGGGAUGGUGAAGAAGAGCGCACAACCAUCGGUAUCAGUUAACUAACCGCACUCUGGAAUCCAUAAUUGGUGUCCCUCGGGCAAUUCCAAAGCAGAGGCCUCUGCUCCACUCCAGUAUCCUAUUAGUACUAAGCUGCCAAGAAUAUUCAGAGAUCACAGGUCCCUGUGCUUUGGUUUCGGCCGCCAUCUAGACCCCACAUCAGGCUCGUCUCAUGAGCCUGCUUGCUGUUGUUUGAGCCGCCAUCUCUUUACUGCAUUCUGCAUGGUACUUGCUGGGGGCAAGCUUAUCCGGGGUCACAGCUUGUCUGCCGCUGUUGUCUUCCAUUCAGGUCGGUUCAGGGUCAAUGCAUCAUGCCCGAAGCCCAACGCUCUGAAACAAAUAUUAGGAGCAGUAGCAAGUUUCAAAUGAAAAAGUUAAAGACUGCUCGUUCAGUUCUUUUGAGCACUUCGAAGUAACUUUAAAUUGGAGUUAACUGAGCUAUCCUUUCUCAAAGGGAUCUUUAGACAGAAGCAUCCUACUUCUGAAACAUACUCUGUUAAUUAGCCUGCUGGUUGAUUGACAUAGGAUAAUAUCAUACGCAAGUUUCACAGGUUAACAAAGAUGCAUACUAGAUCGUGUCUUUGCUCGUAUUUUCUGUACAAAGUUCCCAACUGGAAUUUAAGAGACUGAAUAUCUCCAGUUUAACCAAGUCAAAUGUUACAAAAUUGCUCUGAUGUGUAGCACAACACACCAGAGCUGUUCCAUCAGCCCCUCACGCUCUCCCUCUCGUGCGUCAAGCAUUCAAGCUCCGCUCAUCUUAUUGUAGCGCCAUGAAGCCCGAGCAGUGCUACUACAUUGGUUACGUCUACUAAUUCUAACGUCUAAAGACAUAUUACACAUAGCCGUGCUUGAUUACGGAGCAGUGAAACUACAAGCUUCUUCUUUCCUGCCUUCACAUCACGCUGCAAGAAUUGGCGUUCUCGUCGUUGAACAUGUCGCCGUAGCCGUCCCGCGGCGGCGAGAAGGCGCUCCUCUGCGGCGGCGCGCUGUAGUAGUAGUAGUCCUCCGACGACGGGGUAGGCUGGUACUGGUAGCGAUACGGUGACGGCUGAGGCGGCGGAGGGUUGUAGUAGUACGGCUCGUUCGAAGACGGCCGGCCGUAGUAGGACGGCGUGUAGUGCUCGUCGAUGUAGCCCUGCGACGGCCCCGGCCUCGCCAUCGGCGCCGGCGCCGGCGCGGGGGCGUAGUAGGACGCGCUCAUGCUCGGCCGCGCCUGGUUGUAGCUCAUCACGACGUGCUGCGGCGCCGGCAUGUGGUUCCCGUAGCCGCCGCCGACGCCCCGGUCGUACUCCACCGUCACCCGGGCGUCGACCGGCUGCUUCUCCAGCUCCGGCGGCGGCGGCUGCUGCCUCGCUUUCCCCUUCACUUCACUGGGUUGAUGGUGAUGCUGCGGCUCUGCUGCCGGCGCGGCCUCGCCGCCGGCGUUCGCAUUGGCGCCGGAGGCUUCUUUGCUCUCUGGCGCCGGCUUUGGGGUCUCGCCUGCGGCGCUCUGCUUAAGCUCCGGUGGAGGCUGGGGAUUGCUCGGCUCUGCCGCGGCGGCCUCGUUGUUGUCGGCGCCCGGCUUCUCCGCAGGUUCGCUGUGUUUGCUCUGCUCGUCGGGUUGGUUCUUGGGCUCUUGGCUCUCUGCAGGAGGCUGCGGCUGCGGCUGCUCGGGCCAGAGGUCGGCCUGCUUGCCGGACUUACGCAGCUUGGCAACGAUGAUGUAGGGAUCGAGCUUCGUCGAUGCCGUCACCGAGACCUUGUUGCUCCUGGCAUCGAUCUCGCAUCGGUACACGCCUUCAAGAUCAAAAGAACACGAUUUCAGGAUGGCCGUCUUCGCUUUACUGUCAUGGAUUCUGGAUGUUCAUUUCGUAGAAAUAAACGAGGCACUUGCUUGCUAACAAAGCUACCUAGUAUCAGGUACUCAGUGUGAUGAAAUACCAAUUCAAUUCAAUACAGCAAGCUUUUGCGACAUGAGGAAUUUUUCUGGAAGGCGGCUGAAAAAUGCGCAACUGAAUGGUAAGAGAGACUGUUCUGCAUACAAUUCUGAGAUCAAACAAGACUUACCAUUAAUAUUUUGGAGCACUUUCUUCACCUUCUUCUUGCAUCCCUCACAGUGUAUGGACACCCUCAGCACCACGACCUGGAACAGGAGACAUCACAAACCGACAGAGUAUGAGCACGCUGAGAUGAUCAAUUGAAAGAACAGACCAUGAACCACUAGCCCUAAAGAACACCAUCACGACAAAGAAGAAGAAAAGAUCAGUGACCCAACAGCGAUCCUCUGAGCAAGAAUCAGACUGCUGACCACAAGAAUUGCUCUCAAAGGUCAAAACAUUUACUGAAAUUCAGGCCCAAAGAGAGAGAGAAUAUUGGUACCUGGCACUCUAUAGGCUCUGAGGCCAUGAGAGCGAGGCGAAGGUGCUCGCAGGAGGCGAGAGAGCUGAGGAGGGGAAAGUGUGUGUGGUGGAGUCGUGAACUGUGGGGAAGGGCUCGGCGAGAUUUUAUACCACCCACUAGUUUAACGAGCGAAAGGAAUCGGAACAGCCUCCCUACAGAGAAGCGUAGUGGGGGUUUCGUUGGCCCUGUGAUUUUUUGAGUCGGUUCGUGACUAGGAGAGGCGGCUUUACAAAUGGACACGGCACACCACACACACACACCCUUUGAGGCUUGGAGAGGAGGUAAAGAUGGCUGUCAAAGUGAAACCAAACGUAUGGAGGUGGUGAUGGUUCGGUGCUAGUGCUCUUCCUUCUUUCUUUCGUUCUUUUCUUUCUUUCAGAGCUCAUCAUGAGCUGUGCAGUACAGCUGAGAUUUCGAUGAUGGCAACUAAAGCUGCUUUUUGUUGGGAGAAUUACACUUGGAUAUAUCUCUUUCGCUGCCUGUAAAUAGGGAGAGAUUUUCCUUCCUUUUCAUUUCAUAAGACUGAUUGAGUAACAAAGACAAACACUGCAUGCACGGACUGAUUCAUCUAAUCUUCAUUUACGCCUCGUUUGGAUACCAGGAGCUGUCACAUCAGAUAUUCGGAUGCUAAUUAGGAGGACUAAAUAUGAGCUAAUUACAAAACUAAUAGCAGAACCCCUAGGCUAAAUUGCGUGACGAAUCUAUUAAGUCUAAUUAAUCUAUCAUUAGCGAAUGGUUACUGUAGCACCACAUUGUCAAAUCAUGGACUAAUUAGACUUAAUAGAUUCGUCUCACAAUUUAGCCUAGAGGUUGUGCAAUUAGUUUUGUAAUUAGCCUAUGUUUAAUACUCCUAAUUAGUAUCAAACACCCGAUGUGACCUGUCUCCCAAAUACCCCUUUUUUUGCAAGUUCAAUCGUCAUAUGGUAUUUGCAGAGCCAGACUCUGUCGAUAUGUGUGCUCAGAGUCAACAAAGAUUUCCCCUCUAUAGAAUGGACACAUUCGAAAAAGAAAAUUAGGUCUAUCUGUGUCUGGACAAAGACAAGUUCACAUGCAAUUUUUCUUUGACAUACUUUGACAUCCUAUAAACGCCAACCUUAUCAUAUGUUAUCCCUCUUGUCCGCACAUGCUCUUCUCCUCAAAAACUACAUGACACCAAUCACAAAAACAAAAUGCGUCCCUAUCCCUUGUACGCUUUGGAACCAUUUUUCCAUACCACAGUGGUCAAAGUUUCACGUCUUAAACAAGCAAAAAGCGAUGGCAACUCGUUGAAGGAGACGGCACUAUAGGUUACAAACAAAACAAGCACGACAUGACUGGUGAGGGUAAACACCUCCCAUGGAGUCUUGCUGAGAUUCGUUGCCCUCCCAUGGAGUGUUCAAGCGUUGCAGGCAAGGGCAACCGCGUGGUUAGUGGCCGGCUUCGUCACGCCAGAUACCAAAAUACUGCAUGGCCGCUGCUUUUCUAGGGUUUUUUAAUCUCUCUUGGUUUGAGCAGAAACUUUUUGUAGGUUUGUUAAUGUGCAUUUCCCCCGGCCGUGCGAAGGAAUUGGAGGGUUUUUGCGUUGUUUGCCUCGUCAGAAAGUGGAAAGGCACUGACGAACGAGUGUGGCGACGCCUUUGUUUGCAUGGAGGAGCGGAAGAAAGCAUCGAUUCGAGGGGACGGAGGAGAACUUUUUUGACAACUACUCUUGUUGGGUGUCCGUGGGGGUGUUUAGUUAAUUGCUUUGAGCCAUCAUUAGGCGCAAGUUGAUGCUUGUGCUAUGGCUACAUUUGCAAAAGGUGAAUUCUGGAGUGAUCUGGAAUUAUGCCUGCUGCUGUGUUCCUAAAAUAUGACUCUGUUUGGUUAUCGAUGCAUUGUAUUGCAUUGGUUGGCAAAGUUACUGUUAGGCGAUCACGCACUAGUUGUUUUGGGACUCUUGAGAUCAGAUGCAGAUUGUACUGAAUCUGAAUGAGCUCUGUCAGGUAGUGGAUUAUCGAUGAACAAAAUUCAGUUCCAAAAACAAAAAGUUCAACAAAAGGUGGAAAUAAACGCAUUGCGACGUCAAGAGAUUGUGACGCCAAACCGUGCGUCUAGCAGUUCAUCACGAAAAGUAAACGAAAGCGCCAAACAAAUGACAAUGAAAUGGUGACUCUUUGAUUCUUUACGAGCCGUUGAGUGCUUUCAGUUACUCUUUCGAUCUACAUGGAAGAAGCACAGCUUUGUUAAGGUGACGAAGUUCUUCAGCGGUUAGUUAUGAUGAUGAGGUACCUUACGACAUCCUAAUAAGCACGUGUAUAUAAUAAACAGAUUAAAGCGCCAAACAACUUCCCCAGAAAAUCGGAUUCCACAAUAAUCGACGCAUAUCUCUUCUCUCAACUCUCAAAGGUUUCUGUUGUUCCUGUCACGAUCGAACACGGUGACACUCUCAAGAAAGAUGCCGGAUCAGCAGCCCAGCAUUGGUAUGACCGUCCUUUUCCCGAGAGUUUCUUCCACCUCUCGCCUUCCUCCUCCCAUCACCAUUCACCACAAACAACAAAAGCUUCCUCCUCCUCAACUAUUAGCUGUAAAAAGGAGAGAGAUACAACGACAUCGACGGCACAGACUGCAGAAUGCUCCGCGAAAGCGAACUAAAGGCGGACGGAGCGCGUGGGAGUGACGAAAGCAACAGUGUGGAUGCGCUCCAAGGAAAAGCGAUCGAGGAGACCAGAGAGCGAGAGAGAGAUAGCCAUUUCCUUCCUCACGCUUUUCCGCAAGCCGUUUGAGUCGCCGUCGUCUUUAGGUUUUGCCCCGGAGGGAGGAGCGAGGCAGGAAUAUGGCCACCGUUUUGUCGUGCCUAAAGCAGUGCUAUGGACUAUACCAUUGGGUCCAUCCAGUAUCAGGUCCAUCCCCCAAGUCACAUCCCAAGAGCAAGUCAAGAGAUGACUCUGAUCUAUGCACAUCCCAAGAGAAAGUCAAGAGAGGACUCUGAUCUAUACAAGUAGCUGCUCGCGGAGAGGAAAAAAACAGAAAUGAGAAUUCAGAAUUGAAUCGGGUUUCCCUUCACGUUCGUCCUCGGCGGCGACCGAUCUGACGUCUCGGUGAUCCCUUGUCGGCGGCGACCGGUGUCGGUGUUUAAUACCCGGCAACCUACUAAGAGAUAUUCUAAGGUAGUAGAUUGGUUGGUGGGGGACUGCCGCCUGGAACUUGACGAUAAAAAUGAGAACACGAGAUACGGAUUUAUACAGGCGUGAUACCCUACGUCCUAUUUGGGGUGUUGUAUUGUAUAUUGCGCCCUGAGCUUUGGUGUUAUUUUGCCUUAGGUUAGGCUUGAGGAUUUGGUCCUCUGUUGUGGAUCUAUGAUGUCAUGGCCUACCGAUCUAGGGAUCCUUGCCCUCCUUUGUAUACUACAGGGGGCGGGAUUACUAGUCGGUUAUAAGGUAGGAGUCCUAGUAGAAUUAUAAUGUAUGAGUCCUAAUAGAAGUCCGUCUUCUUCCUUCCUUUCGAGUACUAGGGAUCUAUCCCCGACAAGCCCCCGAGCGCUUCGUAGUCGAAUGCAGCAGUCUUCGAGUACUUUUCAGAUUCUCACCAAGUAGUUUUAGUGCUCUUUGAGUACUUUGUCUGGCUGAAUCUUCAAAGUUCCUCAAAACUGCCAUGAGACUAUGGUGUGCUCAAGCCCUUAAUUGUCUUGAUUUUGUAUUAUUCAUCUUUGGAUUGUGAUAUGGAGGGCGGCGAAAGUCGCCCUCCAUAUGGAGUAGCUUCUGAUCCUUAUGUUGAAUCGAAGAAUUAGACUGAGGGUCAGUAAAAUCUUAAAUUUUCUUCUUUCAUCUUAAAAAAAGCAAUUGUUGGGUGUAGUUUAUCAACCACCGAGCCUUGUAAUGAUUAUAAUCAAUUCGAGGGUCUUUAGUCUUCACACAAGUCAUCAUUCGAGUAGUUUUGUGGCGUCCAGCCCCCGAGCUUAUGAACCACGUGAGCCGUAGGAGCCAUGUUGAGUAGCUAUUUGGCGCUUAGCCCACCAGCUUGGAAGGUACCUGAGCCAUUGGAGAUAGUCCGAAUAGUAAUUGACGCUUAGUCCCCGGGCUGGGAGCUAGCGGAACUAUUGAAGGUACGCUGAGCGUUCUAGUGAGUCGUUGCCAAAGUUUGACCUGCAAAAAGAGAUGCAUACAUUGUGUAGCAUAUUCGUAGAAUUUUGAAACUACUGAAAUUUAUUUAGUGAUGAAUGUAAUGUAAAUGUUGUGUGUCAUGCUCUUGUUUCGCCAUAUUUCUCCUAAGUAGUUAGACUGCUACCAUUGUCAUUGCAUGUGAGAUUUUUGUCCCCUGUUUAGCCGUUGCCAUUGCGUGUGAAAUCUUUGUCUCAUGUAUGUGUACUGGCACUGCUGCUAUGGAGAUCUUUGUCUCGCGUCCUAGCAUUUAGGCAUGACAGAAGAUCCGAGGUUUUCACGAAUUAAGGUGUAUUCUACUCGAAUAGAUUAGUGACCACUAAGAGAAGAAAGUAAAAAUAAGUAGUCAACGUUGCGAUAAAAAGACUGCGCGAUUGCGCGUAAAGUAGUCUUUGAGAUUUCUCUACCUUUUGGCAAGGAGAGUGCGUGUUUGCCGCGCAUAGAAUUUGUGCCUCACUAGAGUGUAGCCACUGUGAACCUCCAGGACUCAAUGUACCAAACUUCGUGGCAGAGCCUCCUAAUUCAGUGUACCAAGCCUGUGGCGGAGCUUUCGUAACUUAGUGCACCAAAUCCGUAGCGAUAACCUCCGUAAUUCGGUAUACCAAGCCCAUGGCUGUCGAAUAGUCGGCGAAGUGUAGCUCUGGAGGAUAAUUACCGUCGAGAGGCGUACACAAAUUAAUACUCGGCACAUUAGUCAAUCAUGCUGAAAACAAGCCAAAGAAAAAUAAUUAUUAAAAAAAUGACUUAGCUUGAUUAAUGGAUGAUUGUCGAUGAAGCCGUGCCAGUUGUUCAUGAAGCUGACAAGUUAGAGUUUGAUUCCGACUGGUUGUCGACGGUACGAGACCCACCCUCGACUAGUUUUCUAGCCGAUACGAUUAGUUGAAGUAGUCAUUAGCGAGCCGGCGUAGACGUCUUGCUCUUGCAGAAGUAGUCGAUCGCAUCAUUAGAGAUUUGUUAAUAUUGCCACGCAAGCUGAAGUCUUUUUGAUAGCUUUUUUGGGGUGCGUAUAACUGAAUACACCAUUGAUUUCUAGCAAAUUGAAUUCUUCACGCACCACAGCAGCAUGUUCUUGUUACUUAGUUGCAGCUUUUUCUUCGCAUCCAACUCGAACACGACAUUCAAUUGGAUGUGAUUCCAACUGGCCUCCGAUUCCUACUCUGGCUCGGUGUGCGCUCAGAAAAAAAUUAAUCCGAGCACUGCUUUCGUAGAUGGAGCCGCCAACGCAGGUGAAGCACUCCACCUUCAGCGACUUUGACUUAGAAGCUUCGCACCGUGCUAGAAAUCGGAGCAAACACGGAAUCGGAUCCAUUCGCUUUGGCUUUGAUGCAGUUGCAGGUUGAUUUCCCGACUGAUUUGGCGCAAAAUCAACCAUACCGCGCGUGACUAGAUUGAUGCUCAAGAUGAGGUCGAAGCUCGCCCGAUGAUCUCGACGAUCACCCCUACCUGGCGUCUCAGAUGUCGGUGUUUUAUAUCCAGCAACCUAUCGAGAGGUAUCCCGAGGUAGUAGAUUGGUUGGUGGGGGAUCGCUGGACCUGGAACUUGACGGUAAAAGUGUUGACACAAGAUACCGAUUUAUACAGGUUCGAGAUGCCAGUGUAGUGUAAUACCAUGCAUUAUGUUUGGGGUGUUGUAUAUUACGCCCUGCGCUUGGUGUUUUUUACCUUGGUUUAUGCUUGAGGAUUUGGUCCUCUGUUGUCGUUCUAUGAUGUCAUAGUCUACCGAUUUAUGAACCCUUGCUCUCCUUUGUAUACUACAAAAGACGAGAUUAAUACUUGAUUUUUAGGUAGGAGUCCUAUUAUAAUUACGAUGUAUGAGUCAUAGUAGAAGUUCGUCUUCUUUCUUUUCUUGCGGGUACAUCUACCCGUGACAACGGGAGCAUCUACCGGUGAGAGCAUCCUCGUCCUCCUCACGCUCCGGUUCUCACCACCGGUGGCCACGGGGCAUGAUAUAUGGUAUUCAGAGCUAUCGAUCCUCGGCGUCCUCUUUAGGUUGGUCUGGUCGAGGUCAGCUUGGAGGCAACUCGUGAGAUGGCAGCGCAGUCGGAGUGGUCGAUGCAGCUGAAUCAGAGCACUCCUCUGUCGGCGACACCAACGCCACCACAGAGGUUGGGGUCACGAGCACCAGGCGUGCUGUUUCAUCCAACAGAUAACACAUCCACAAGCCUUUCGAUGGGUGGUCUGAAGCACGGUCACGAGGAGAUGGACAUGGGUCGCUCUCAUCCUCAACUGUCACCAGGUGAUCUCUUUUUGGGUGAGGGUGGUGUUGAUUUGUUGCCGCUGAGCCAUGGUAAGAAUGGUGCCCACAACAUGUUUGAUAAAAUGCUUGUUGAGAGGGUAGUCUGGGAUGCAGAUUUGCAACUUGGCUUCGAUUCACAUGGCCUAUUGCAGUAGCUAGCUCAUAGGGUGGGUGACCAGAUGCAGCACGAGCAGGAUGGUGUGGUGCCUGAUGUCCCCUAGGCGUUUGAUAGAAUGUCACAGCAAGGAAGUGUGCAUCCAGUUUUAAGUGAAAUGGGUCAUAAAUUUACAUGGGAUGAAGAGCUCUUUGACAGUCCUGAGUCGCAGAAUAGUUUGUUGGACCAACUAGCUUGGUUUGGAGGGGACUCAGUUGAUGAGGAGUGGAAACCAAUUGCUGAGCUGGCCACUGAUGACAAACUAACUUAUGCCAGUGACUCUUCUUUUUUCUCUGAACUUGGCAUGAAUUUUGCAGAGCAGGUGUGCAUUGAAAUGCAGAACACAGUUGUGGUGUGGGACGAGGAGAUAUCUUUCCAUCUUGGCAGCAAUGACGACUUAUUGCACCGGCUAAUGUUGGGAGGAGAAUUUACAGAUGAGAAGAUUGGGUUGAUUGUUGAGUUGGACGCUGGUAAGAUGCUUAUUGAUGUUAAUGGCUUAUCGAAAAUUCUAGUACUAGAUGAAAUCUCAGAUGCUAUGUCACAUCAAUUAGUUUGCAACCAGCACGGCCAUUCAGUCAAUAUACAACAAACUCUAGAGCCGAGUGUAUUGGAUUGUGACAAACUAGACUGUGAGAUGUUCAUCAAAGCCAAUGGCAACUUGCAGCUGGAAGAACGUGUAGUUGGUUUGGGUACGGUGAUGCCAUCUGCAAGAUGUGUAAUGGACCACUUCUCUCCAGGUUAUAACCAGCACCUUGAGCAUAAUUUCUUCCUUGUUUUCUAUGGAGCCUAUUCUGGUUAUCACACAAACUGCACGAUUGUUCGCCAUGGAGAACACAGGACUAGGCAGGAAUUUAAAGACAUAUCACUAGGAAGUUAUGGAAUUAUUGGCUGUGUGAAUUCGAAAAUUAGAGGCACAGGAUGUGUGUUCAAAGAAUCACCGUCAUGGAGAAGAAGUGCCUUUGACCCUGGGAAGUACAGAAUAGAAGCUGAUUGUUCAUUUCUCGGUGAAAUGCCAUCAUGGCAACAAGGUGGUUUCAGGCCAUGGAGUAAAGGUGCUAUGUCCCAGGAGUUAAUAAAUUUUGCUGAAAAUGAGCGUGCUGUAUUUUUUUGUCUUGUUUAGCACUAGACCAUUGGAUCCUGGAGUGCAUCCUUUCCAGUUUCUUAUUAAGUUCAAAGUUGCUUGAUGUGUCGUAAAUGAGGCGCAACCAUGUGCAAGAAAUGCUUUUAGUCCUGGACAAAUUGAGCAGCCACAUCAAUUGCAUAGGGAACAUUUUAUUGUGCAAGGUUUUUAUGCUAACAAAAGGGUAUGCAGCUUCAGCUUCACAUCAUCGUGGAAGUGGAAUGAUUUCAAUCCUAGCAUGAAGGCUGCUUUGAUGACCAAGGUUAAAAAGUUACAUCAAGAGAACGAUGGUUUGAUCUAUAAGGUUCAAUCAGUAAGAUAUGUUACUCCAGAAAAGCCGUGGGAUCCUGGUAUUCCAAUGAACAUAGAUCUAAAUAUGACCGAACUAUCGAGAUCAGUUCAGUUAGUUCAGAAAUUUUUUGGGCGCAUGAUACAGGUGCACGACAUGAAAUUCAAAUAGUGCAAACAAAAUUUAGAAGGCGAGCACAUGCCUUUGCUUGGGGACAAGCUAAAUUUUCAGGGGCGGUAAUGUUAUGCUUGAAGUAGUGCCAUGGACUAUACCAUUGAGCCCAUCCAAUGUCAGGUCCAUCGAUCCAAGUCACAGCCAAGAGCAAGCUAAGAGAGAACUCCGUUCUAUACCAGCAGCUCCUCGCGGAGAGGAGAAACACAGAAAUGAAAAUUCAGAAUUGAAUUGGGUUUUCCCUUCGCAUUCGUCCUCGACGGCGACCGAUCUCACGUCCCGACGAUCCCUUGUCGGCGGGGCCACGGGAGCAUCUAUGAGAGCAUCCUCGUCCUCCUCACGCUCCGGUUCUCACCACCGGUGGUCACGGGGCAUGACACGUUUCGAGCAAGAUGACGCGCGUUGAGCUGGGGCGGGCACGUACGCGGCGGCGGCGGUAACGGAAAGGGAAGAAGGUGAUGAGGAUUGGGGUGGAAUGCGGCAGGCCGGCCGGCAGCGGGCAGUGGGAUGGGAGGAGGAGAAGAUUCAGACGCAAGAAAUGGACACGUCGCAACUCGCAUGGCGGGCCACGAGCAGCGGUGCGCCGUGCGCGUGAAGCAGGUGGCAGCGGCGCAGGAAAGCAGAGAGGCUGCUGGCCUGCUGCCGCUCAAGAAUGAGACCUGUGCCACUAUUAUUUUGUGCGCGUUGGUGCGCUUCUGGUGUUAUCCUGAUCUCCCUUCAGAUUCCAGAAGAAAGGAGGGCAAAAAAAAGGUGGUUUUUCCAUCAUACGCAUUUGGAGGGGAUAAAAAGGAGAUGUUGAUGGUAAUAGACUCGCAUCGGAAAUCGGAAGCGAUGUUGCAUAACGUAACACAAGAGAUGUUGCAUGUACAAGUGAACAGUAUAGCCUUACUCCAUAACAGGCACUUACUUCUGGACAAAGGCAGUGGCCGAUCUCGCAAUGUGUGUAGGACAUUCCCCUUCACAUCCUUCACUUUGGAUGAAAACUGUCAAUUCAAAGGUCGAAAUGCAGUAACGAGCACCUUCCGGCGGCGGCCUUCUUCCCCCGGGCCAGGUUAUCGAGUAGCCCACAACGUUGCAAGCCCGUCAAGUCAAACAGUCCCCGUCAACUCAACAUGAUGACAGGCCCCACCGCACAUCAAAAGUCCAGUAGGCCCAUGUGACUCCAGCCCACUGCACACGCAGCAAUGACACAGGCCCCAAGUGAAUGAAGCCGCCUUGAAAAGCCAGCCCUUUUAGUAAACGGCCUGCAAAAUCCUCUCCGACCGAACUGUACAAAUUAUUGGUGCACGCAUGGUAUUUUUUUUUUAUUAGGAGGAGAAAAAAAACAUAGAGGAAGGAGGAGGAUUGUAGCGGAAGCUGGGCGUGCGGUGCUCGCAAGCAUCUCCUCACAUGGCCGUGUUUUCAUUUCAUUCAUCCGCAGGGCUAAUCCGGAAUAGCGAUCGAUGGGAUAAGGGAUGAGGAUUUCGAUUUCUGCCGCCGUAGGAAACGUAACCUCAGCCAUUCAUCAUCCAUAAACCAUGGAUAAACAAUAUAUGCACAUCCUUUUUCCAAUGAGGAAAAGUGCUGGUAUCACGCCCAGCCUUUUCCCGAGCGGGGCGCGAAUCGGUUCCGGAUCCCCCACAUGCCAAGCCGCAUUUGCAUUUAUGCCUCCUUUUUAAUACUAUUUUAUCUCGCGAGAUGGAGAAUUAAUAAAGAGGACGGAUGGAUGGAGGAUUUGUUCUUGGUGCGAGUAAAGCAUUAACAUUUUCUCCCUUUGGUUGCAACCUUAGAGAUUUUAUCGUCACUGGGUGCGCACGAUGUAUGCUGCUCAUGCACACGUCGUUUUCGUCAAUCAUCAUCGCUGCCUGGCUGCACAGUGUCCGGGCUACGUGGUACACUGUUGCGAAUUCUUUGUGAUCUUGGCAUUUUGCCGCCGGACUGAUCCGGCAUUUUCAGCUGGAUCUAAUCUAAGGGAAAUUAAUGACGGGCGUUGCCGGUGGAUCGUCGGUCCGGGCAGGAUGCAUGACGUGCCGUAGCGUGGUGACCACGCGCGAGCACGCCGCAAUGCUGCUGCGCAUCGCGCGGCUGGAGUAUAGGCCUGUACUAGCCGCGAUGAAUAAUAAAUUCGACUGCGACCGGUCGGGCUCUGGCUGCGCGUCCGCGGGCACAGCAGCGCGGGCGGCGGCAUUAGCUGUCACGUCAGCGGACAGCGGAGGAGGAGGGCCAAGGCCUCCGCCACCGCCGGCGCCACGUACGACGGCGCAGGCAGGCAGACGGAGACGACGGCCGCGAUCGGCCCGUCGGUUGGGGCGGCCUGGACUGACUGGAGUAGUAGCCUGCUCUGGUACCUGCAUGCAUGCACGCUGACAACCGAUCCAUCAUCCAUGGGGUUGCCCGGCCCGGCCCCGGCCGGCCGGCCUUGACGACGGCGGCCGCGCGCGCGGUCUCACUGACCCUAGCCUGAGCUGGUGGGCGCAGCAGAGCCGAGGGCGCACUGUGCGCGGCAUGUGGGACGCUGGGCAGAGCAAGAGCAAUCAUGAAGGAUCCAGGCGGGGGCAGCAGCCGCAGCGGCGGAGGUCGGUAAUAGUUCUGAUCGUGGGUCACCUCAGAUAUUUAAAUACCAGUUAAAAAAGGAUUAAAAGAAUUAAACGUGAACUAAUUAUAAAACUAAUUGAUCGUAAGUCAUGGCUAAUUCGCGAGACGAAUCUAUUAAGCCUAAUUAAUCUAUAAUUAGCAUAUAUUUAUUGUAUGGUCAAAUCAUGUACUAAUUAAGCUUAAUAGAUUCGUCUCGCGAAUUAGCCUUCAUUUAUGUAAUUGGUUUUGUAAUUAACCUAUAUUUAAUACUCUAAUUAGUAUUAUGUGAUAGGGAUUAAACUUUAGUCCUACGCUGCUGUAAGUGGGGUGACGUACGUCCAUCCCAUGAUCGCAACCGCGGCCCAACCUGCUAGGCUCGCGUCCUCCACCGGUGCACUUCUAAAUUAUACUCUACUCCUUCCAUUUUAAAUUAUAGAUCGUUUUGAUUUUUUAGAUGUUUGUAUGCAUAUGGACAUACACUAACACGAUAUGGAUCGAAAUAAGAAUCAUUAUGGCCUACAUGCUGGUUGUUCAUGUAGAGGGAUGAGAGUCUUCUUUUCUUCUCUUUUUCCAGAAGAAAAAUCCGCCGUUGGUUUUGGUGGACAACGAUUGGCUCAACUGUUGCACUUGCACUGUGCAUGCACGCGUGCCCUGCUCCGUCUUGGCCAAUGUUAGUACAUCGGAACCCUUAGCCCUUAGCCAAGUGGGAUGGGGAGGCGGUAAGAACGGCAGGCGGUGGCCCACUGCCAGUCUGCCAAGCCCGUGAGGCCGGCUGGUGGCAGGAGGCAGUGCACUGGGGCACGGGGAAAAGGCUGCCGCAUAUUCUGUAACGCACGUACAUACGCUGAGUCGCAGGCCACAGAUCGGGGAUCGCCCAUAUUCUCACUCAACUACUUGGUAGGUCGCUCCCUCGGAGUAGGGAUGGCGAUAGCGAGGUGACGACGGUGAACCGUUCCUGCUUGGCUUGGAUAUGAAGCAAAAAUGGGCGAUCCGUGCAUGGGAUCGGAUCCUGAUUAGUUUCCUUUUUGCACGAGCCAUCGCCUCCAACUCCGUCGCCCGGCGGCCUCGAUCAUUUGCCAGGGCUCUCGAUCAAGAAGAGCACAACCUGCAUGAACAAGCAUCGCUCACCCUAAAGGCACCAAGAUGAUCGAUAGCAACAGAGAGAAGAGAUGAGACGAGAGGGGAAUUCGCAUCACCAAUCGAUUCGUUUCACUGCUUGGGAGACUCCUUCAGUACCGGUUUCUAACCCCAUUUAGUACCGGUUGUGCAACCGAUAUUGCUAUUUCGGUACUAAAGGGGAGUCCUUUAGUACCGGGUUAAAUAACCAGUACUAAAGGGCUAUUAAAAAUAAAAAGAAAAAUGAAAAUUCGGCCAGCCGCCCGGCCCCGCAUCCCGCCGGCCGUGCGCGGCUGCCCCGCCACCGCGCCUCGUCAGUGCCGGCUGCCCCUCCCCAGCGACACGCAUCCCACCGGUUGCACCUCGUCAGAUCUGGCCGCCGCUGCCCCGCCGACCGCCAACAUCCGCGGUCCCGCUGGAUCUGGCCGGCUGCACCCUGUUGCCUCGCCGCUACCGCCACCACACUGCCCUGCCAAAUCCAGCCGCCGCCGGAACCCAGAGCGCUGGAGGCUGGACACAGUAGGAGGGAAGGGAGGGGAGGGAAGGUGCGGGAGAGGGAGAGGGAGAGGGAGAGCGACGUGGUGGUGCCACAACCGUCAGCCCCGGAGAAAAAAAAGAAAAUAUCUGUGCCCCGCCGCUGCACCCUUGCGUCCCGCCGUCUCCGGCUAGCAGCCGCUCCCCCGCGCACCGCUGCACCCCCACGUGUCAUCGAGCACCUCCACACGCCCCACACCUCACCCCGCCACCCAAGCACUGCCCUGCACCUCACCCCGCUACCGCUCCUCACCGCCAAUGAGGGGCGAGCAAAGGGGGAAGGGGAGGGGAAGGGGGCGGUGACGGGAGAGGUAGGGGAGAGAGAGGGACGGGAGAGGGAGUGGGAGGGGGGUGGAGAGGGGGAGAGGGCGGGGGAGGGAGGAGCAGAUAAGGAGGCGCGAGGGUAGGUGUGACUGGGGUUAGUACCGAGUGGAGUCUCCAUCCAGUACUAAAGACCCUCACGCACAUUAGUACCAAGUGAGGCUCCACCCGGUACUAAUGGGUGACCUUUAGUACCGGUUGGAGCUCCCGCCGUUACUAAAGGGGGUUACGGAAGGUUCCUAGGGAACUACCUGACCCUAGAACUAAUGUUUAUUUUUUUUGAGGGCGUUUGGUUUCCUUUACUUAUUUUUAGCACGUGUCACAUCGAAUGUUUAGAUACUAAUUAGGAGUAUUAAACGUAGACUAUUUACAAAACCCAGUACAUAAGUGGAGGCUAAACGGCGAGACGAAUAUAUUAAGCCUAAUUAAUCCAUCAUUAGCAAAUAUUUACUGUAGUAACACAUUGUCAAAUCAUGGACUAAUUAGGUUUAAUAGAUUCGUGUNNNNNNNNNNNNNNNNNNNNNNNNNNNNNNNNNNNNNNNNNNNNNNNNNNNNNNNNNNNNNNNNNNNNNNNNNNNNNNNNNNNNNNNNNNNNNNNNNNNNCCACCUUCCCCAGAAGCCUCUGAUUGACCUUGGACAUCGGCAAGUUACCCCCUCUCCAAAGGGACGGUGCCCUCGAUAGGCGUGUUGGGAACCCAGGCCACCGACCGGAGCGAUCCUGGAGCAUCAGCGGCACCACCCUUCUAAGCGUGGUUAGGACCCCCGAUAUAGUUCCGGCCCCGGGUCAGGCCCUUUUCCUUCAGGGCGGGGCGAUGACAAAAACCCAGGUACAUAAGGGGCUUUCACUCUCGAUCUCGACUAGAAUUAUUAAAGCCUUAAUUAAUCGACGUUUUAUUUAAUUAACGCAGGAGCAGUGCAUUGUCAGAUCAUGGACUAAUUAAGGUUUUAUAGAUUCGUCUCGCCGUUUAGCCUCCACUUAUGUAGUGAGUUUUGUAAAUAGUCUUCAUUUAAUACUUCUAAUUAAUAUCUAAACAUUCGACGUGACGGGUGCUAAAAAUAAUCAGGUGAAACCAAACCAGGCCAGUAACGUUCGUUUGCUGCCACCCGUGACGCAUUAUCCAUUCCAUGGGCUCGGCGGGCGGCGAAUCGAUGCUUCCAUGAUCCAUACUAGUAUGUGAUACAUGCCUGCCAGCUAGCUUAUUGGGCGCUUAUUAGCCUGCUGCCUAGGCGCGCGCGCGGGUGUGGGCACCGAGCUAGCUAGCUUCGUGGAUCGAGGAUUGGAUUCCAGGGCCAUCACUGUUCUCUGCACUGUGCACGCAGGUCAUUUUGCUGAACCUACACAAGACAACGUAUACCCAACCUAACCGGGGAUUCGAUCCAUUGUAUAAGUAACGUUGAAGGUAGGCACAUUGAUGCCAAACCUACAUAGUACUCUAGUCUUGGCAGAUCAUAGAUCGUGGAUGAUGCAAUACAUACGUGUACCCAUGCCAAACAGGCGUGUAGUAUACUAGCACUGACGAUGAUCCAUCCAGCACCAGCAUAGCCGAAGCCACGGAUUCUCUGCUUGUUUCAUUCCGAUGGCUGGCAGCCACGCCUUGCCGGAGCUCCCAAGCCUCCCUGUCCGUCCAUUCCCGAUCGCCGGGCCCCGCCGCGGCGUGCAAGUACGGUUCGCGCACAUAUACCACCGCGCGCGGCCGGGCCGGCCGGUCGGUCGGCCGAAUCCCAGGCCUUGUUUAGUUGGCCAAUUUGGGAGGUGCCAAAUUACUGUUACAGCACUGUAGCACACUGUAGCGUUUCGUUUGUAUUUGUGAAUUAUUGUCCAAAUAUUAACUAAUUAGGCUCAAAAGAUUCGUCUCGUAAAGUACAACAAAACUGUACAAUUACUUUUUAAUUUCAUCUACAUUUAGUACUCCAUACAUGUACCGCAAGUUUGAUGUGAUGGGGAAUCUUCUUUUUACAUAGUGUCAAAGUUGGAAGUUGGGAGUAACUAAACAUGGCCCCAAUCCCGGCCGCGCCCGGCGCGAUCCAUCCGUCCACACGGCGGCAGCGAGAGCCCUUGGUCUAUUUAUAGCCGCUCGCCCACCGCACCCUCUUCCGCAUCCCAAAGAAAACGCAGCUAAGGAGCAAGAGGACUUGCUAGGAAACCCGGCCAAGAGGAGGAGGAGGAGGAGGAUAAAUCGGCGAGGAAUCAAGCAUGUCGGGGGUGUGGGUGUUCCGGAACGGGGUGGUGCGGCUGGUGGAGAAUCCGACGUCGGGGGCGGCGGCGGCGGCGUCGGGGAAGCGCAAGGCGCUGCUGCACACGCCGUCGGGGGAGGUGGUGGCGUCCUACGCGUCGCUCGAGCGCAAGCUGGCGGCGCUGGGGUGGGAGCGCUACUACGGCGGCGGCGACGGCGGCUCCAUGCUGCAGUACCACAAGCGCACCUCCGUCGACCUCAUCUCGCUGCCAAAGGACUUCGCCCACUUCGGCUCCGUCCACAUGUACGACAUCGUCAUCAAGAACCGCGACGCCUUCCGCGUCAUCGACGCGUAGAGGCUGCCUUGAUUAGCCUUCUAAAUUUGCUGCUUGCUUGCUUGCUCAUCGUCAUCUAACUAGCUAGCCCUGCAUCUACCUAGCUAGUGGUAGGUUCGUGUGAUCGGUCGUGCUGUGUACGUAUGUAAUCUCUUCACGUAUAUGUGUGUAGUAUACGUGGGUUGUCGUCGACGUAUGUUUGCACACGUGUGCAUAGGGAGUAGCUAGCUAGUCAUUGAUCGAUCGAUUUGGUUGCCAUGUCUGUCUGUGUUGGUCCAAUAUAGUAGUUCUGAUCGAGUUUGCAAGUGAUUGUUUUCUUUCAGUAUCUUUCAUCCCAUUCUCAUGCAUGCAAGUGUGUGGCUGUGUUCAAUCUCAUGGGUUGUGAAGAAUCAAUCAGAGAAAGGCAGCACUGAAUAAUGACACUUUCAAUUCAUGACUGGAUGAAUUAUAUGCAGAAGAAUAUAGUUGCUCCAUCCGUUCCAAAUUACAGGUUGUUUUGACUUUGUUAGGUGCAUAUAUAUUAUUUUGCAUAUAUAUUAUUAUGCAUCUAGACAUGAGGUGUAUCAAAGUGUAUAACAAAGCCUAUGAAUAUAAAAAAGUUAAAACGACGUGUAAUGUGGGAGGAAAGCUAAAACGACAUGUAAUCUGGGAGGAGGCGGUAUUAUUCGUGGGAGGAGGGGGUAUUAUUCUUCGACGGGUGGACAUGGCACGGCGGAAUCCGAGAUCACCGAACCAAACUAGAAGAUUGUCGACGGCGACGGUGACCAUUCAUCAUCCAUGGAUGCACAGGAUACAUCAGAGCCCGUGGGGACCGGAGAGAAUAUAUAUGCUGCUGACUUGCUGUCCUCUGGUCUCCUCUGCACUCGUCCACCAAUCCAACGGCCGGGCUACCUACUCGAUCGUCCUUCUUUCGAAGAAGAAUCUACCAAACGCGCUAGUAGUUUGUUGACACCGAAUCGAAAGUAGGACGGUGACUCAAACGAUUACGCAUGCGAGCCCCAAGAGUACAAGGCAAUCGUUUUCGCGCGCCCACAACCCGCUCGACGGAAUGCCGCACGCCAUGCUCGCUGAACCCGGCCCCGCUACCUGCUGGUUCUCCUAUGCGAAGGUCCUCAGCAUUGGAAACAGAGAAGGUCGUGGCCCUCCCUGAGGCCUGAGCGUUACUGGGGUUGAGCAAAUGCCAGGAUCCGCAAGGCGCGCCGCUCGCUGGCGCCGGGAGUUGCUGCCACCGGCGACCAGGAAGAUGGGGGUGGACUACUGCAUGGUCCUCAACAUCGACUGCGAAGCCAGCAACGACGGCCUCAACACUGGCGGCCUGGCAAGAACACUCCAGUACUCCAGCAACAGUCAGGAAGGAGGCAGAGGCCAAGUUCGAGCACAUCUAUGGGGCAUACGAGGUUGCCCACCCCUCCAUCUCACUUUCUUCCAUUCCAAUUUACCUUUUAUUGCAAAGAUUAUUGAUUCAUUUGUUGCCUGUGGGGUUUUGAUCCUCAACUCCUUUGUCAGUUAACAAAGCAAUUCAACAACAUCAUUUAAAGUGCCACUGAUUCUGCAUAAAUUUAAACUUUCUCAUAAGAGGUUGUGAUAAGAAAAUAAUAUCAUCUAGGAGGCAACAACUAUUGUUGCGUGUUCAAAAUAAGGGUUUUUUUAAAAAAAUCCUAACUCUAGCAUAUUGAUUUGAGGCAUUGAUUGUUUGCACAGUCAAAUUUUUCACCAUUCAGUUCUUGAAACUGUUGAAUAAUGUUGUGUGUCACCUCUCAGUUGCUUAGUGAUCCAAGAAACGUAGAAUCUCAGUUGCUUAGCAAUCUUAGAAAUGCAUGUACCGUUAUAUGAGUGACAUAUACAGGCAACAUAAGAGGGGAAUUAAGAUUCCACAGGUUGGCAAUGAUUUGUUUCCUUCACAGUUUGGCGCUGGCGUUGCAUUCCAUCAUUCCAGUAGGCCUUGCAGAUCUGUACAAGGGUGUAACAGAGUAGAUCAAAUCUCAAGGAAGACUAACAAGAUUCCUCCAUUAUUUCAAAAGUUCAUGUGUGUUGUGUAUAAGAUCCGUUUAGUAAAUUCUCUCGUACAUAGUACUUAUGCAAAUAUAUUAAAAGUAGUAACAAAAUUCAGUUAACAUGCUAUUUGAAAGAGUUCAAUACCACACAUGAGAUUACUUCUUUACUCAUUUAUCUUUCACACUAAGAUAAGCUUCUUUAUUAUUGUUGGCAAUGAUGUACUUCCUGGAUUGAACUCUUUGGCCAUUUCUAUCUUAAUUCCAUUCAUAAUUAAGAUGAUUUGUUUUCAUGUGGCAGUCCUAGGUCAAAAUUAGAAUUAUAUAGUUUCCAUUGCAUGUAUACUGUUGUUGAUGGUGUGCUACUCAACUUAGCAAAAACGCAACUUAUCGUUUUAGUAAUUAUAUUAUCUAUCUCCAAUUCUAUUGUUCUCAUACUUCCUUUCAAAGCAAUGGCUGUUUAAUCAUAGGAACAACAUGGUAAAGAAGACCUUACGCUAUAUCAACAAUUCAGGUAAUACCACAAGUCCACAACUAAUUUCUUUAAGCGACAAGAACAUACUUCGAGAUAUACCACUUGUCACAACAGAUAGGCGCGGCAACGCCGCGCCAGGGUUUUGGAGUGUGCACGAUGGCCCGCCGCAUGUCCAUCAGAUGAAGCGGCCCAACGUGUUAUUUUUUUUUGUUUGAAAAUGCCCAGCGCAUUUUUUUUUGAUAAGGUGGGCUUGAUCGCCGCCUUGCGCGCCCAAUACGGCAUCUCCUACAGGCCCAACGGAGCCCACGGGGCCCGAGGAUUUUAUUUCGACGCGUUGGGAGUUUCCAAAACGCAGUUCAUUUCAUCCAGGACAAAAUGGAAAACGCGCGAUCAACGCGGUAAGGGGAAAUAGAAAUAAAGCGCUGAUCGAAGCUUACAAAAGAUCAACUUCACAAUACCUGGCAUGUCGCUAAUCACAAGAACAAUUAGAAAAACAAACAGGAACAGCAACACAAUAUCUGACGAUCGAGGAGCAAAAGCAAUUGCACAUCGCGUCCGCCGAGCUCGUGGCACAACAACCGAUCACAAGAAGCACGCUGUUUAUUCCACGGAUCUAGCAGCACCAGAGCAUCUUAAUUUUAUUCGACGCUUCCGCGACA